UCCAUCGGCAUGGUGGACGUUCCAGAAGCACUCUGUGACUUUGGCUCUAGCGUCAACAUUAUACCCAGGGUACUCUAUGAGAAAUUCUUUACAUAUCCUUUAUUAGAAACAACCAUGUGUUUACAGUUUGCAGAUCAGACGAUAACUUUUCCAAAAGGAACAGUGAGGAACCUUUGUGUCCGAGUUGGUACUUUAUAUGCCCCAGCAGACUUCGUAGUGGUUGAGACCGGAAAUGAUGAGAGAGCACCUAUCAUCCUAGGAAGGCCAUUUUUGAACACCACGGGAGCUAUCAUCUACGCUAGUGCUGCCAAGAUCAGUUUCUACGUCAAAGGGAAGAAGGAGACAUUUUUCUUCAAGAACAAGACUACACAAAUUCCAGAUCAAUCCAGACGUGAAUCAAGGAAGAGGACCAACAGGAGAAACAGGAACAAGCAAGUGUGGACCGAGUCAGCUAAGAUGGUCACUGUAGUCCAUGGAGGCCAAGAUCACCAACUUAAGUCACCGUUUUUGACCAAGAAGGACGACCCAGGAAUGCCAAGCAUCUACUACUCCAUAAAUGGAUAUAACUUCUACAAGACGAUUUGCGACACCGGAUCGGGCGUCAACAUAAUGGCCGCAGUCACUUAUCGGCUCUUGUUCGGGACCAUGCCACUAAGACCAACAUACAUUCAGCUCCAGAUGGCAGAUCAGACAUUUCGAGAAGUUCAAGGAAUAGUAUCUGAUGUCCCAGUCAAAAUAGACGAUCACCUUGUCUACACAGACUUUCAAGUUGUUGACAUGGGAGAAGACGAGUAUGAUCCACCCAUCAUCCUUGGAAGACCAUUCCUCAGCACCGUUAAAGCAAUUAUCUACAUUGGAACCAGAGAAGUCCAUAUGCACUUCCCCUCAGAGAAGGUACGCUAUUAUUUUACUGACCCUAACUAUAUCAUUGAAGAAUCUAAGCAGGUCAGAAAGAGACGCAACCGCAACCAGAGGAGGCAGAUCGUCAAGGACGGAUGGGCAGACUAUGAAGGAGAAGUUGUAAGGUCAGAAGACGUGGAGUUUAAACAGAAUUAUCCAGAGGAGAUUGAAGCACCGAGUCAGGUAUGGAAAAUGAAGAUAACUAUACAAGAAAAGGAGGCACUGCCGGAAGUACCGACUACGCCACCCAACGAACCUCAGGACGAUUAAGAAAAUGGAUAGUCCUGUUCGAAGGACUUAAAAACACCGAACGCCUUGCCAAGAGGUAAACUUGGUAGUUACCCUUUCCCUUUCAAUUAUUUCAAUUAUUUCAAAUAGUUUACUUAGUUAAUUAUGUUCGUGCUAUCCUAAAAAGAAAAUAAAAAUGUAAAAAAUAGUAAGCCCCAUAUGAGUAGACGAGUGGCAUAAAACCCAUAAGUACAUUCACUGUGGUGGCAUAAAAAUAAAAUAAAUAUUUUUUCUGCUUUAUAAAAACAAAAAUAUAAAAACAGGGAGUAACAAUUAUUAAGAAGUCUCAACAUUAUAAAGGCUAGAUAUUUAUGCUAACACUUAAUCAGUUCCACAAGCUUUGUUGUCUAUUUGAGCUCCACAGAAUUUAAGAAUCAAGAAGACUCGCAGACGGAGGACAUUCUAAUCGCUGUCAGAAUGCUGCUGACUUUCAAAUACACCUCUGCCACCUGCUAGCUACAUCAAGAGAAAUUACGUCAAAAUUCAGCUUGGGGGAGAGCACCCCCAUUUACCUCGAUAAGUAUUUCUAUCUAUUUUUAUACUUAUAUUAUUUUAGAAUAUUAAAAUACACAUAAACUAUGGGAAAACCAAAUAAAGAUUUUAUGCUUAUAUAUGUCUUUUGCUUAGUGUGUUUAAGUGGCUAUGCUAAUGUAUCUAAAUAAAACUUAAGCAUAGAUAUGAUAAAUAGUUGCUCUGUCUAAUUUGCAAAUUUUAAGUUCUCUCUCAAGUUUAGAUAUAACUGUUAUAAUUUAAAGCUUGCCCUAUACCUAAACUUGUGGGAUGAAAACUUGAUCUAAAGUCUAAGUUGUUAACGGAUACGAUAUGGGAAGGUUGAGCUGCUGUUUAUCUGUUCCUAGAGAUGCUAGAAUUCUGGAGAAUUUUAUCUUUGAAAAUCUUUAAAAUGUUGCAUGAUGAGUUCCUGUAUGAUGAGAGCUUAAAUUUCUACCACAGCCAUAUAUACAUGCUUGCUAGACUUUGAGCCACACAUUUAUUAUUUCCUGCUUAUGAGCAUUGAGUGUGGUCAAGCUGUGUAGACCCUUAGGAGCUUGUCAUGUGGUUAAAUCAAGAUUUCACUUGCACGUUCACUCAUAUAUGCUACUUCUACUCCAGAAGUACCAUCCACAUAUAUCCAUCCAUUUCCAUCUCCAGAAUCACCCAAAAAUAUUCUGCUCCUAAUCCGGGAGAGAAUAACCAAAAAUAUUUCUGUUUCCCCUUGUGAAAUAAAUGCUCAAGUUAUCUUGUUACUACCACUUGCUAUAUUAUCUCAAGAGAUGAGUGCUCUAAAAAAAAGAAGAAAAUAAAAAAAUAUACGAGGAAAUAAAAAGGAGCAAGUGCUCGGAACCUCGAAAGAAAAGAAAGAGUGAGACGAGAGGUAAAAAUGGACAAGUGUCCGACAGUAGAAUUAGGGGUGCAAGAUACCCACCUGAGAGACAAGAAAAAGAAGAGCAUCUCAUUCUCCUCAUAAAGUUUCAAAAGCAAGGAAGGUAUGUAUCCCCUCAAAAGAGCAAAGUAGAAUUAGACUUCCACCACCAUUAUUUUCACCAUUGUUAUCACCAUCAUCACCAUACACCAUUCAUUCGCCACACAUGCACAUCUUGAUUUGGAAUAUUGAUUUGUUUCUUUGGAUCCAUGGUUUGACUAUGCAAUAAAUGUCUUGUGAGUAUGUAUACUUUAUCUCCCACCUAUGAGCUCCAAAUAUUAAAGCCUUAUUAGAGUAGGGUGAGAGAGAAGGCAAUGUCACUAUGCCUUAUACCACAAAUACUACAUAUCUUGAGAGAAGGCAUAUACCAUCAAUGCCAAGGUAAGGAUCCAAAAAUACCACAAAAGAGAGAUCUGAGAGAAUCAUACAAGGAAUCUCUGAGUUUUAUUUGAAAAUCUGCAAAAACCCCAGAGCUAUAGCUGAUCAAGAAUAAGAGACAUGGCACUUGGCUAGACUGUUCUAUCUUUUAACCACUCAAGACAGAAGUGACAGUUACAAGUCCCAUGGUGAAGGUAAAGUAAGUAAGUUUUAAGUCUUGAUAGUUUACUCUAACUCAGAGAUGAGAUCUUAUUUAAAAGCAUGUGUACCGUCUAUUUUUUAAAAAUAUUGCAACAACUUAUGAUCCAUAGCUGAGUCUAUCCUUGCUCAGGGACGAGCAAGAGGUAAGCUUGGGGGAGUUUGUUGACGGUCCUUAAGUAUCAAAUUUAAUUAUCAAAUAAAUAAAGAAAAAGAUCCAAAUGAAAUCAAGAUCCAGACUUAGGGUUUUAUCUGACAGAAUUCCACGAGUUUUGGUGUUUGUCUAUUUCUGCAGGGGGUUAUCAGGAAAUAUGGAAGAAAGGCCCACAUGUCAGGAUUACGUAAAGAUAUUAACGUGCUGCGCAAUUAUCUUACAUCUAGAAGACUCUAGAAGCCACGAGACCGAAGCGGAGGCGAAACGGGGCCAGACCCUGGGCGGCCGCCCAGUUGGUCAGGGCGCCCGCCCACCUCCUGAGUCCAAUCAGGACUCUGCUUUGUGGGAGAUCUCCACCGACCUAAAGGAUGAAUCUAAACCAUAUAAUCUAUGUCGGUUUGAUCCAAGGGCCCAAAUUCACUUGAAGGGACUAUAAAACCAGACCCCCUGGCCCUUGGAGGAGGGAGCCUCUCAACCCUAAUUCAUUGUUCCAUCAAGGGAGAAGAAGCCUCUGAUCAAGAUUAGAGCCACCACAUCAAUUAGAUAUCUAGAUUAGCAUAGCUACAUAGGAUUAGAACUAGAAGGAGUCAAUCUUCGAUUGGUUUCCGGAUCUGUCAGGAGGAUUCUUGGUAAUUCUCUAAUUGUCCUUCUAAUUGCUUUCUAAUUAUCUUUGUUCUUCAAUAUUAUGAAUAUGACUUUGUUCUACUUCAAUAUAUUGCUUAUGACUUUGCUCUACUUGCUUAUAUUCAAGAUUAUAUUGUUCUUAGUUUAUCAUAGUUAUGUACUUGGCUUAGUUAGAUUGGAUCUAUAUACAUGCUUAGGAUCGUAUAGCGUUUAUCCAUCGGAUCCAUGGGUAAAUGAUAGAUAUUGUGUAGGCGUGGUGCUUAUACCGUAUUUAUCUGCGAUUGUACCCAAUAUGCCAGAUCGUGGGGUGGUUCGUGAUAGUGACAGCUUCAUUGAUUCUUAUAUAGUCCCCCUCUCGUGUAUUGGGCUGGCAGAGCAACAUUAUUACAGGGGAGUGAUUGCUAUGUUUCUCAUAUUCCUUGCUAAUAUCACUAUGCAUGGGCGUAGUCUUGUCUCGCAAUGAUUGCUAAGUAUGCUUGCACUAACUAUGAUAUGCUAGACUAUAUAGUUGAGAAUAACUUAGGGAAUAUUCUUGUAGUUCGUUCUAAUACCAUGCUAAUGACUUUCUAGAGUAUCUAAUUGAGGUGCUUAUCAUAUUUAUUAUGUGGCCAGAUCAGAUUAGUUAUCCUUGUCACUAUUAUUAUUUCAUAUAUCUUUUAUGUGACACUUAUCCCUGUAUGAAGAGUUAGAUAUAAUGUUCUCAAUUAUACAUGCAAUGAUAGAUGCUCAAUCUCAUAUUCUAUUCAGUAAUCAAUAGUGAUGAUUGUUAAUCCCUUCCUAGUGGUAAAAAUAUAAAUAACGAUACCUGGAAUACUUCCCGGUUAAAAUGCUACAUCGGUAUUAAUCUGUGCGCUUGCAGAUCCAAUUUAUUAUUUAUUUAGAAGAGCAAUUGCAUAUUUCAAUACCGCGUCUCUUAUAUCAUGCUGGGGAUGACAACUUGGCUUAAGUGGUGUGAGGGAUAGGUUUGGCAUUUUUGGCACCGUUGCUAGAUUUAGAACUUAGUCUACUUUUAGUAAUGAUGUUAAGAAUACCCAACAACCGGCAGAAGAUACAUCCAGGCCAGUGAGCAUAGCUACAUCGGCAAGUGUAGGGGAAGCAGGGCCAUGGCCAAAGACAAAGGCAUUGAGGGUGUCUGACUAGAAAUAAGAUGCAGCUAUCAACAGUGAUUCAUUCUUAUGCAUAUCGGCAAUGGACAACCUAAUGCAUUGGUCUAGCUUUCUCUCGCCCCACUGGACUUCAUUGGAGUUGCUGACCCUCAAGAACCAAUCCUUCCACCCCACGGUAGGGCUGGGUCAGGAACGAAAAGUAUCCUUCCACAGAUCCAAAGAAAAAUUCUCUGCUCUAAAAGGGAUCCUGGUGGUUUCUGCGUUUAUGAGGUUGGUUGGAUCUGGAUCCCCUAGCGGGCCAAGGCAUUGGAGGUGUGGUUGAUCGGUGGGGAUGAAAAUUUUGUUAGCUAAUUCCUAGUGGUUUUGGAGAUGGAAAAGAAAAACACAAAGAAAAAAAAAGAGAAAAUGUUCAGUAAGAUGGAUUGAAGAUGAACAGGGGUGCGAGGAAAAGUACAACAGAUGGCGCGAAGGACUGACCUCAGGAACGAUGAAGUUGACGGCCAUUUUACCACGGAGAAGAUGUUUGAGAGCUUCGGAGGUGGUGAAGAAGGGACUUCGUCGAAGAUCUUGGAGCUUUUGGACAGUGCCGCCGCCGGGAAAGUGAAGUUGGAGUUGUGGAAUGAUGUGAUGGAGAAGGAGUACCCGAGAAGGAACUAUUUAUAGGACAAAACGUGCAAGGGCAAAUCUGACUUAUCUCUUUGCCGCAUCCGUGAAAUCCGAGAGUGCUCAGGUAGAUAUGGUAACUGUUCGCACGGUAAUCAAGGGAUUGUGCAGGUGAUUUGACAGGAGGCGGUCAUUAUCCAGAGAUAUUUUACUGUGCGGGAUCUCCUGGUCGGUCCAUCGGCAGCGUCUUGUAACGGUCAUAUUGCCAAUGAGCGAAUAAAGUGGAGAUAGCCGUUUGGAAAGAUAAGGUACGAACGUCCUGGUCAGUCCAUCGGCAAGUCUUUGUAACGGUAAUAUUGCGGAUGUGGGACUAAAAUGGAAAUACCCGUUUGGGAAGUUGAGGAUUUCGAGGAAUCUGCAAAAGAAUAGGAUCAGAGUUGUUCAGAUUGAGGUUGUCGGUUACCAGGUUAGGAGCAUUAAUUGCGGAAAAGGGCAUCAUUACUGCAGAGAAUUUCGGAGCAUUAAUGAUUUUAUACUCCGAAAUUGGGGGGCAUGUGUUGACGCCGUUUUCGGGCACGUGUCCAUGUUUGGUAAAGUAUAGGCCGACAAGAUAAGACGGCGGUGUUUAAUCUACAGGAUGAGUUGCCGAUGUGGAUGGUUCCCGAUGGAGGAGGGGUUGAACAUGACUAAGUCCAUAGGUGGUGAUGUGUCUGUGCCGAUGGCUACGACAAGAAAGUCUGCCGAUGACUAUGACGAGGGAGUCUGCCGAUGAUAUGGAGGGAGAGUCUGGAACCUGCCGAUCGGCUUGUGGAGGUGUUCCAGUUUGUCACGGGGGGAUAGUUUUAUGUUUUCCUUAGUUAUUUAAAUCGUUUUGUAUACGGAUUCUGUGUAAUUUGGAAUUCGAGUUCUAGUCGUGUCUGGUUGUUGCUCUUUGAGCAGGGUAUAAAUAUAAACCCUAGGGCCUUGUAAUGAGACAUCUAUCAAUCAAUCAAACACACGUUUUUACUCAUAUUCCAAGCAUCUACUUUUUCGACGACUUCGUCAUACUUUUUCCAUUUCAUUACGAGUUCUUAGGAAUUCGUCAACUUAAGCUCGGCGUGUUCUCAAGUUCCGCGUGGAUACCUCUUGGCCGUGACAUCCAGGCGCAUCGCUGUUGUCGGGACCAAAGUAUUCGAGUUACCACCUUUGCCGAUAGUAAGGUCAAAUCGGCUGGCACGCCUUAACGUUUGAAUCGGUUAUUAGCCCUUUGUGUUUGCAGAUUAGCUUUUGCACCAACAACAGCUCCAUUGAUUCUUAUAUAGUCUCCCUCUCGUGUAUAGGGCUAGCAGAGCAACAUUAUUACAGGGGAGUCAUUACGAUGUUUCUCAUAUUCCUUGCUAAUAUCACUAUGCAUGGGCGUAGUCCUGUCUCACAAUGAUUGCUAAGUAUAAUUGCACUAACUAUGAUAUGCUAGACUGUAUUGUUGAGAAUAACUUAGGAAAUAUUCUUGUAGUUCAUUCUAAUACCAUGCUAAUGACUUCCUAGAAUAUCUAAUUGAGGUGCUUAUCAUAUUUAUAUGUGGCUAAGUUAUGCUGAUUAGAUUAAUUAUCUUUGUCACAUUCAUUACUUUAUAUAUCCUUUAUGUGACACUUAUCCCUGUAUGAAAGAGUUAGAUAAAUGUUCUCAAUUAUACAUGCAAUGAUAGAUACUCAAUCUUAUAUUCUAUUCUAUAAUCAACAUUGAUGAUUACUAAUCCCUUCCCAGUGGUAAAAAUAUAAAUAACGAUACCUGGAAUACUUCCUGGUUAAAAUGCUACAUCGGUAUUAAUCUAUGCGCUUGCAGAUCCCAUUUGUUAUUUAUCUAGAUGAGCAAUUGCAUAUUUCAAUACCACGUCUCUCAUGUCAUGCUGGGGAUGACAACUUGGCUUAAGUGGUAUGAGGGAUAGGUUUGGCAAUUUUGGCGCUGUUAUCAGAAUUAGAAAACUAAGUCUAUUUUUGGUAAUGACGUUAAAAAUACCCAACAAGCAUUUUUGGCGCCGUGGCCGGGGAAGGUUGAUUACUAAUCAGGAAUGAAUAUAGAAUUUUGAGUUAUCAUUCGCAUCACUAAUAUGAUUGAGCUUAUCAAUUCUCUCAUACAGUUUUACCCCGAUAUUUUUCUAUUUUAUCUUAUGCAGGGUAAUGUAUGAAUAGAAGACACCUUCUAGGAAAUUUUGUUGACAAUCCCGAAGCAUUAUUCAGAAAAACAAGAACCAAACUCAAGAAGAAAUCAUCAACACUUCAGCAAGAAGCUUCAUCCAAUCAAGAAGAUCACCGAAACUUGUCUUCAGAGUUCGAAGCCAUGGCGAACAAAUCGAUCCGUGAGUUCUCAGCUCCUACUACGAACAACAUCCGCACUGGACCUGCUGUAGAGAUCGAUGGCAACUUUGAGCUCAAGCCUAGACUUAUCAACAUGGUGCAAUCCAACCAGUUCUGUGGGAAGGCACAUGAAGAUGCUAGUGCUCAUCUCCAACACUUCCUGGAGAUUUGCAACACAUUUACCAUAUCAGGAGUCCCCAGAGAUGCUAUACUACUUCACCUUUUCCCAUUCUCACUGUUAGGGAGAGCGAAGCAGUGGUUCUACGCUACAAAGGAAAAGAAUACUACGUGGGCAGUGUGCUCCACGAACUUUCUGGCUAUGUUCUUUCCCAUGGGCAAGACCAAUGCUCUCCGUGGGAAAAUUACAAGUUUUCAGCAACAACAUGAUAAAUCCAUUCCAGAAGCUUGGGAGCGCUUCCAAGCCUACAUCCUAGAAUAUUCCCAUCAUGGAAUGGAGAGUUGGCUAUUAAUGCAGACGUUUUAUCAUGGGCUCGGCAAUAGUGCCCGAGAGACCAUGGAUGCUGCAGCUGGAGGGACAUUCCUAUCACUUACCAUAUCACAAGCCACAACUCUUAUGGAGAAGAUGGCGUCCAACCAAAGCUGGAAUGAAGAGAGGACCCAGAGACGCAAGAGAGGUGGAGGUAUGCAUCAGCUCAAGGAGGUAGACAUGCUGUCUGCAAAGCUAGACCUGCUCAUGAAGAAGCUCGAUGAUAGAGCUAGAGAUAAGAAAGAAGUUAUGCACAUCUACGACUCUCACAUGACUUCUGAGGAGUGCGGAGAUACUGGACACUCAGGCAAUCACUGCCCUGAGACGCUUGAGGAUGUGAACUACAUCAACAAUAACAACAACUACUACUACAAUCGUCCUCAACAAAAUCAAGGUUGGAAUCAACAGAGGCCUAACUACUCAGGUAAUUAUCAAGGUAACAAUUCUUACAACAAUAAUAAUAAUUUUCCACCUCUAAGAGAGUUAGUCUAUAAUCAAGAAAAGCUAAUGGAAAACCUAUCUAAGAAAUUGGCAUCUAAUGAUAAAAUGCUAGAAAAUAUAAAUAAUAGAAUGGAUAAUUUCUCUACUGCCAUCAAGAAUCAAAUUAGCUUUAAUAAGAUGAUUGAAUCUCAGUUAAAUCAAAUAGCUGCUGCUGUUCCUACUACUAACCCCGGUAUACCAUCACAACCAGAAGGAUUAGAAUCUGCAAAUCUUGUAGACAUGUUUGAAGCAGGUAACUACUGGAGUAACCCCGUCACUGAAGUUACUACUGACCUUCUGCCGGUCAAGAGAGGCAAUCCAGGAUGCCCUGUCAUCCCAAUCUCCAUUGGCAUGGUGGACUUCCCAGAAGCACUCUGCGACUUUGGCUCUAGUGUCAACAUUAUGCCCAGGGUACUCUAUAAAAAAUUCUUUACAUAACCUUUAUUAGAAACAACCAUGUGUUUGCAGUUUGUAGAUCAGGCGUUAAGUUUUCCAAAAGGAAUAUUGAGGAACCUUUGUGUCCGAGUUGCUACCUUGUAUGCCCUAGCAGACUUCGUGGUGAUAGAGACUGGUAAUGAUGAGAGGGCACCCAUCAUCUUAGGGAGGCCACUCUUGAACACCUCAGGAGCUGUCAUCUAUGCUAGUGCUGCCAAGAUCAGUUUCUACAUCAAAGGGAGGAAGGAGACAUUUUCCUUCAAGAACAAGACUACACAAAUCCCAGAGCAAUCCCGACAUGAACCAAGGAAGAGGACCAACAGGAGGAACAGGAACAAGCAAGUGUGGACCGAGUCAGCUAAGAUGGUCACUGCAGUUCAAGGAGGUCAAGAUCAUCGACUUAAGUCACCGUUUCUGACCAAGAAGGACGACCCAGGAAUGCCAAGCAUCUAUUGCUCCAUAAAUGGAUACAACUUCUACAAAACGUUUUGCGACACCAGAUCGGGCGUCAACAUAAUGGCCGCAGUCACCUAUCGGCUCUUGUUCGGAACCAUGCCCUUGAAACCAACAUACAUUCAGCUCCAGAUGGUAGAUCAGACAUUUCGAGAGGCUAAAGAUAUAGUAGCUGAUGUCCCUGUCAAAAUAGACGAUCAUUUUGUCUACACAGACUUUUAGGUUAUUGACAUGGGAGAAGACUAAUAUGAUCCACCCAUCAUCCUUGGAAGACCGUUCCUCAGCACCGUUAAAGCAAUCAUCUACAUUGGAACCAGAGAAGUCCAUAUGCACUUCCCCUCAGAGAAGGUACGCCGUUAUUUUACUGACCCUAACUAUAUCGUUGAAGACUCUAAGCAGGUCAGAAAACGACGCAACCGCAACUAGAGGUGGCAGAUCAUCAAGGAUGGAUGGGCAGACUAUGAUGGAGAAGUGGUAAGGUCAGAAGACAUACAGUUUAAACAGAAUUAUCCAGAGGAGACCGUAGCACCGAGUCAGGUGUGGAAAGAGAAGAUAACUAUACAUGAAGAGGAGGCGCUGCCGGAAGCACCGACUACGCCACCCAACGAAUCCCAGGACAACUAGAAAACGAAGAGUCCCGUUCGGAGGACUUAAAAACACCGAAUGCCUUGCCAAGAGGUAAACUUGGUAGUUAUCCUUUCCCUUUCAAUUAUUUUAAAUAGUUUGCUUAGUUAAUCAUGUUCAUACUAUCCUAAAAAGAAAAUAAAAAUGUUAGAAAAACAGUAAGCCCCAUGUGAGUAUACGAGUGGCAUGAAACCCAUAAGUACAUUCACUGUGGUGGCAAAAAAAUGAAAUAAAUAUUCUUUUUUGCUUUACAAAACAAAAAUAUAAAAAUAGAGAGUAAUAUUUAUUGUGGAGGCUCAACAUGAUGAAGGCUAGAUAUUUAUGUUAACACUUAAUCAGUUCCAUAAAGCUUUGUUGUCUAUUUGAGCUCUACAAAAUUUAAGAAUCAAGAAGACUAGCAGACGGAGGACAUUUUAAUCGCUGUCAGGAUACUGCCGACUUUCAAAUACACCUCUGCCACCUGCUAGCUACAUCAAGAGAAAUUACGUCAAAAUUCAGCUUGGGGGAGAGCACCCCCAUUUAUCCCGCUAAGUAUUUCUAUCUAUCUUUAUACUUAUACUAUAUUGAAAUACAUAACUAUGGGAAACCAAAUAAAGAUUUUAUGCAUAUAUAUAUAUCUUUUGCUUAGUGUGUUUAAUAAAUAAAUAAAGUGGUUAUGCUAAGGUGAAUCUUAAUAAUAAAACUCUAGCAUGGAUACGAUGAAUAGUUGCUCUGUCUAAUUUUUCAAAUUUGAGUUUUCUCUCUAGUUUAGACAUAACUGUUAUAAUUUAAAGCUUGCUCUAAACCUAAACUUGUGGGAAGAAAACUUGAUCUGAAGUCUAAGUUGUUAACGGACAUGAUAUGGGAAGGUUGAGCUGCUGUUUAUCUGUUCCUAGAGAUGCUAGAAUUCUGGAGAAAUUUAUCUUUGAAAAUCUCUAAAAUAUUGCAUGAUGAGUUCCUGUAUGAUGAGAGUUUAAAUUCCUACCACAGCCAUAUAUACAUGCUUGCUAGACUUUGAGCCACACAUUUACUUUUUACUACUUAUGAGCAUUGAGUGUGGUCAAGCUGUGUAGACCCUCAGGAGCUUGUCAUGUGGUUAAAUCAAGAUUCACUUGCACGUUCACUCACACAUGUUGUUUCUACUCCGGAAAUAUGCAUUGCAUCUCCAGAACCACCUAAAAAUAUUCUACUCCUAAUCCGGGAGAGAAUAGCCAAAAACAUUUUUGUUUUCCCAUAUGAAAUAAAUGCUCAACUUAUCUUGGUUACUACCACUUGCUACAUUAUCUCAUGAGAAGAGUGCUCUAAAAAAAGAGAUACGAGGAAAUAAAAAGGGGCAAGUGCCCGGAACCUCGAAAGAAAAGAAAAAGUGAGACGAGAGGUAAAAAUGGACAAGUGUCCGACAGUAGAAUUAGGGGUACAAGAUACCCACCUGAGAGGAAAGAAAAUGAAAUAGAGAGCAUCACAUUGUCAUCACAAAGUUUCAAAAAGCAAGGAAGGUAUGUAUCUCCUCACAGAGCAAAAGUAGAAUUAGACUUUCACCAUUGUUAUCACCAUCACAACCAUACACCAUUCAUUCGCCACACAUGCACAUCUUGAUUUGACUUAUUGAUUUGUUUCUUUGGAUCCAUGGUUUGAAUAUACAAUAAAUGUCUUGUAAGUAUGUAUAUUUUAUCUCCCACCUAUGAGCUCCAAAUAUUAAAGCCUUAUUAGAGUAGGGUGAGAGAGAAGGCAAUGUCACUAUGCUUUAUACCACAAAUACUACAUAUUUUGAGAGAAGGCAUAUACCAUCAUUGCCUUUUUAGGAUCUAGAAAUACCACAAAAGAGAGAUCUGAGAGAGUCAUACAAGGAAUCUCUGAGUUUUAUUUGAAAAUCUGCAAAAACUUCGGAGCUAUAGCUGAUCAAGAAUAAGAGACAUGGCACUUGAUUAGACCGUUCUAUCUUUUAACUACUCAAGACAGAAGAGACGGUUACAAGUCCCAAGGUAAAAGGUAAAGUAAGUAAGUUUUAAGUCUUGACAGUUUACUCUAACUCAGAGAUGAGAUCUUAUUUAAAAGCAUGUGUACCGUCAACUUUUAAAGGCAUUACAACAACUUCUGAUCCAUCGCUGAGAUUAUCCUUGCUCAUGGACGAGCAAUAGGUAAGCUUGGGGGAGUUUGUUUAUGGUCCUUAAGUAUCAAAUUUAAUUAACAAAUAAACAAAGAAAAGGAUCCAAAUGAAAUCAACAUCUAGACUUAGGGUUUUAUCUGACAGAAUUCCACGAGUUUUGGUGUUUGUCUAUUUCUGCAGGGGGUAUUAGGAAAUAUGGCAGAAAGGCCCACACGUCGGAAUUACAUAGAGAUAUUAACGUGCCGCACAAUUAUCUUACAUCUCGAAGACUCCAGAAGCCACGGGAACGAAGCGGAGGCAGAACGGAGCCUGGCCCAGGGCGCCCGCCCCUGUUAGAGUCCAAUCACAACUCUCUUUUGGGAUUACGCUCCACCGACCUAAAGGAUCAAGGAUAACCAUUCAAUCAAUGUCGGUUUGAUCCAACAGCCCAUAUUCACUUGGAAGGACUAUAAAACCAGACCCCCUGGCCCCUGGAGGAGGGGAGCUCUCAACCCUAAUUCAUUAUUCAUUAAGGGAGAAGAAGCCUCUGAUCAAGCCUAGAGCCACCACAUCAAUUAGACAUCUAGAUUAGCAUAACUACAUAGGAUUAGAACUAGAAGGACUCAUUCUUCGAUUGGUUUCCGGAUCUGUCAAGAGGAUUCUUGGUAAUUCUCUAUUGUUCUUCAAUUGUUCAUCUUUGUUCUUCAAUAUUAUGAAUAUGACUUUGUUCUACUUCAAUAUAUUGCUUAUGACUUUGCUCUACUUGUUUAUAUUCGCAAUUAUAUUGUUCUUAGUUUAUCAUAGUUAUAUACUUGGCUUAGUUAGAUUGGAUUUAUAUACAUGUUUAGGAUCGUAUAGCGUUUAUCCAUCGGAUGCAUGGGUAAAUGAUAGAUAUUGUGUAGGCGUGGUGCCUAUACCGUAUUUAUCUGCAAUUGCACCCUAUAUGCCACAUCGCGGGGUAGUUGUGGUAGUGACAGCUCCAUUGAUUCUUAUAUAGUCCCCCUCUCGUGUAUAGGGCUGGCAGAGCAACAUUAUUAGAGGGGAGUGAUUACGAUGUUUCUCAUAUUCCUUGCUAAUAUCACUAUGCAUGGGCGUAGUCCUGUCUCACAAUGAUUGCUAAGUAUAAUUGCUCUAACUAUGAUAUGCUAGACCGUAUAGUUGAGAAUAACUUAGGAAAUAUUCUUGUAGUUCGUUCUAAUACCAUGCUAGUGACUUGCUAGAAUAUCUAAUUGAGGUGCUUAUCAUAUUUAUAUGUGGCUAAGUUAUGCUGAUCAGAUUAAUUAUCUUUGUCACUAUUCAUUACUUUAUAUAUCCUCUAUGUGACACUUAUCCCUGUAUGAAAGAGUUAGAUAAAUGUUCUCAAUUAUACAUGCAAUGAUAGAUACUCAAUCUUAUAUUCUAUUCUAUAAUCAACAUUGAUGAUUACUAAUCCCUUCCCAGUGGUAAAAAUAUAAAUAAUGAUACCUGGAAUACUUCCCGGUUAAAAUGCUACGUCGGUAUUAAUUUGUGCGCUUGCAGAUCCCAUUUGUUAUUUAUCUAGAUGAGCAAUUGCAUAUUUCAAUACCGCGUCCCUCAUGUCAUGCUGGGGAUGACAACUUGGCUUAAGUGGUACGAGGGAUAGGUUUGGCAUUUUUGGCGCUGUUAUCAGAAUUAGAAAACUAAGUCUAUUUUUGGUAAUGACGUUAAAAAUACCCAACAAUGUGCACAUCUCUUAUUACUCACCUUGCUGCAAGUGUUGACCCCAAUGCUGCUAAUACCAUUAUUUACAUCACUACUCGCAUCAUGAUUAAUGAAUCACAUCUUUCGCAUGCACAUAUGAUUAAACGCGAUGAAAUAGUUAAAAAGAUUUUAUUUUAUUUUCCGGGAUAUACAAAUGAGGUCCAGUUACCUAACCCGGAUCUCGCUCUGUAUAAUUCCCCAUCACUCACUUUCACCCUCAUUGAGAGGGAAGGAGGACGCAGGAGCUCUGUUUCACACAGGAACUCACGGAGGAGGGAACAAGAAGAGCAGGCAGCACAAGCAGCAAGGGCAACACAACCAGCACCAUCUGCAUCGCUAGCACAGCACACUCCACCACCAGCUAUGCCUGGGAUGGGAUGGACCCCUGCUAUACCUACACCCAGAUUUACCCCUGGCUAUGGAUAUGGUAUGGGAUACGUUCCUCACCCCUACGAGGCUGGAGGUUCGAGCUGGCAUGCAGGAGGGUCGAGCUGGCAGGCGCACUGAGGCGCAGGCCCAAGCGAGCCAGAGACAUAUGGGGCAGGGGGAUCUAGGCAUCAUGAGCUAGGACACUCCCCAGAUUCCGAGGGAAUGCCACCCCCUGUUCGCCCUCAGGUCACACUGGACGUCCUCAACACUCGCAUGGGAGGACUGGAGCUCCAGAUCAGGCAGAUCCAAGGUACACUGAAUGCCCACAUCCAGACUGCUACCCAAUGACAUCAGUAGACCCAGCAGAGCUUCAUCGACCUUAUGGAUGCAAGCCGUCGCCGGCACGAGGCACAGAUGGCCUACCUGCGAUCCAUGGGACAUUUCCCUGGACCACAGCAGUGAGCUAGCUUGGGGGAGGACCCCCCCACAAGAGGUAACAUGUAUCUUACAUAUUUUAGUUCUUAAUUUCAGUAUUUAAAUUUCAGCAAUUUUUCAUCAUCUUUCAAAAAAAUUUCACUCUCAUGUGCGCUAUGAUAUGUUAGUUUCUCUUCUGUUGAAAUGAUGAAUAGUUGCUCUAUUUAUAAUUCUCUAGUAUCUAAGUUAUAAUUUAGUGUUCAUCAAGAUUUAAGUUUGUUGGCUAAAAAUGUCUCAUUCUAAGAACUUGAAAUCUUGUCGGUUGCAAAUGCAUGAUCCUUUUCUAAGUUGUUGCGAGACAUGAUAUGGUAUAAAUAGAUUUUGCUAUGACUUUGUUUCUAAGAGAAGCUUGACAUCUGGAGUUUUCUUUUUAAAAAUUCAAAACAAAGAGUUCCUCAAUGAUUAUGAAAUACCUACCAAGGCCAUAUGACUUGCUUAGUAGUUUGUACACCUUUAGUCAUACGCGACUUGCGGCGCUUUGAGUUGAGUCAAAUCCCAGGUAUCCUAGAGUGAGAUUAUGGUCAUGCACCCAUGAUAUGAGAUUCACGCACCCACCAAAUAAAGCUGACUCUCACACUGAGAAGUUGUGCACAACAUGCACCCUUCCAUCCACCAAAAAUAUGCCAACUCUUACCCUGAGAGUUGCGCCUUAGCUUCCACCAAAUAAGUAUACCAAACUCUCACCCUGAGGAUUGAGCAUCCCCAUACACAAUUUUACUCCUUGCAUCACUAUCAUGACAUCUGUCCAUUUUCCUCUUUGAGAUGCCUUUGAAACAUGUGGGCAUUAGUUAUCCAUGAAAAAAAAAUGAAGGAAAAGCCAAAGGGCAUGGACGGGAAAAUCAAAAUCCCUGUCAGAAUAUAUAUAUAUAUAUAUAUAUAAUCCAUAUUUUUAGGGCCCAUAUGUUUACAUUCUCUCAUUCUCAUCCUCAAAUAAAGAGAGUCCUAAUACAUGGAGUAACCAAAAAUAUUUAGAUAGGACUACCAACAAAAAUUCCACACACUUGCACAUCUCAAUCAAGGUGUAUGACUUGUAUCUCCUCAUGGUCCAGGCUUUGACUUGGCAACACAAGUGUCGUUAGUACGCCCACCUCUAUACCUUCCCAAAGCUCCAUUCUCAGCCUUAGUGGUAGGUCUUAAAGGCAAACACAAAUGCCUUUGGUGAGGAUUUCAUACACAUUGAGCGAUCAAGAGAAUCAUUCGAGGAACUUAUUUAUUUUGCAAAAAUUUAUAAAACCUCUGGAUUGAUGGUCUAUCAAGGGAUGAAUGAAUGGUGAGUCUGUUACAACCAUUCAAUCUUGCAACCACCCAGAACUUGGAAAAGCUAUAAGCCCCAUGAGAAGUCAAGGUAAAGAGUGGAUAGCAUGCCAACUUAUUUAAAUUGCGAAUGAAUGCUUUGUUAUAGGUACGGUACUCUUGAAUUAUGUCGGCAUAGUAGCAACUCCUGAUCAACAACCAUACUUAAUUAUUUGCUCGAGACGAGACAAGGUUAAGCUUGGGGGACUUGUUGGCAAUCAUUAUAGACCAAUCAUAAACUGCCAACUUGAUCCAAAAGGAGAAGAAGCAAUCAUAUUAUAUACACACAUGCAUUUUAUUACUAACAAGUUCCACUUGUACCAUAGUGAUUAUAUUUUGCAGGAAUUAUAGUGCAACAAGUGCAAAUGUGCCGUAACAUGAAGAAAGCGCAAAGUACCAAAAGACGUAUUUAGAAAUGCGCAAACCAAGAAAAUAGAGAAAGGCCCGAACAACGUAGAACUGGGCCUGAUCGUAACCACGGGAGAGAUCCAGGCCCAGAGCCAAACCGACCACGUGAAGGCGGUGGCUAGGGGGACCCACCUAGCCCAUCUUUCUCAGGCGAUUGCAUGCUACCAUGCAUAGGACGGUUUCACAUACUACCAAAUUUAGAUGCGACAAACCGUCCUAGUUCCACUAUAAAAAGAGAGGCACUCCCCCCUUUUCAACACACACAUCAUUUGGAGUCAAUUUACCUCACACCUCUCACUUGUAUCUUUAGUCUAGAUUAGUAGUAGAGCAAGGCAAGAGCUAGCAAGGAGAGCUUGUCUCCUUGGAAGAAAGGAUCUUCUUGGUAUGAAUAAUAUUCAAUCUUCUUCCAUGAGCAAGUUCUAUUCAUCUUUAUAUGAUUUUGCAUAUGAACCAGAGUAUGGUUGUGUUCUUAUCAUGUUCAUAGUAUAUGAACUAGUUCUUAGUUCUUGUGCUAUGUUCUUGAUAUGUUCUUCAUUGUUCAUCAUAUUAGUAUGAUUAGGAUUAGAAUUAGGAAUGGGAUGAUGGUUCACUGUGCUGUGAUGGUUGCUCUUAGCCUAGCCUAUCACUCCGAAGGGGUGGGGCCCGUGGGGGUUAGGAGUUGUUUCCAAUUACGUGAACAUGGAGUUCAGGUAUGUGGGAAUGAGUGGAUGUGCGGGUAUCUUUCGGGUAGAGGGGUAGGUGGUAGGGUAGUGACAGCUCUGUCAUCCUUUGCAUUCCCCCAUGAUCAGGUAUUUCGAUAGGAGUUUUGUAAAGUCUCUAUCGGCUAGGGAUCCAGCUGCGGGGAUCUCCCCUCAUCUCAGGCUUAGUUCUAACUCUAUUUAUUGCUAAUUAGAUGAUCCGCUAACUGUUUUAUGCAUAGUUUUAUGUGACCCAUGCCUGCUUAAGUAGAUUUAUUUCUUUAUUCUUUAUUUAUUAUUUCUCUUCUAUUUUAUCCUUGAGGUUGAUCCAAUGUGUGUCCACUAUCUUGAAUAUCAUGUUUAUUCCUCUUUACUCUAUGUCUACCAAGCAUUCAAUAAGUACUCAUGUUUACACCAUGUUUGAUCCCUUUGUCUUCCUACGGGAAUUAUAAAUUCGACACCCUUGAAUACACACGGGUUGAAAUGCUACAAUGAUAGUUGUUGAUAUUUGGUAAUGCAAUCAGGAAAUGAUCCGCAAGCACACAGAUAUCAGUGAGCACUGUUGAUAUUUGGUAACGCAAUUAGGAAUUAAUCUGCAAGCACACGGAUAUCGGUGAGCACUUCACCCGGGAUGUUAUCCUGAGUAUCGUAUUUAUAUUUUACCACUAGGAGAAAGCGUGCAUCUGACUAACCAAGUCUAUUACUACUAACCUUUAGGCUACAACCACUAUGACUCGAUGUGAGUGAUGUAUAGAGAAGACUUCAACUGCACCCUCGUUCUAACCUUGGUAAGUAUGAUCUACUGUUGUGUUGGGGAGGUUCACGGAAUCUAGACACCACAGAGGAUGUUCGACCCGCAUCUAUAAAACCUAUCGAUCCUACUAACGGGAUUAUGGGCUACAAAGGUAACUCAGAAAUGUCACGUUCCUCGCUACUACCAUGAUCCGGCUAGACAGGGGAUAUCUAUGAGUAUCCUAGCCCAAACACCACGUUUACGCUAGAGAUGAUUACUCUAAACUCUACGCGAAGAGAUCAAAGUAAAAUCAUAAACCAAAGAAUAAUAAAACAAAGAACUUACUAGAAUUUAGAAGUCAAAAUACUGAAGAAUCCUAGGAGCUGUUGACACUAGCUAACACCACUUAGACACUAGGUUGUCAUCCCCAGCAUGGUGCCGGAGUGUACAAAGGUAUUUAUAAAUAUGGAGGCUCUCUAGAAAAUAAUCUAUUCUAUCCGCAAGCGCACAGAUAAAACACCUCAUUGUAGCAUUUCACCUGGAAAGUAUUCCAGGUAUCGUUAUUUAUAAUUUUGCUCAGGAGAAAAAGGAUUAAAUGAAUGAAGAUAAGGAUAAACCUAUCAAGGCAUAGACUAGAGAGAAACUUACAAGAACAUGAUUACUAAUGAGGAACUCGUCACACAGUCACUUACUUUGGCAGGGGGUAAACAAUGAAGAUAAUGAUAACGAAUUAUAAGUUCAUGGGUAAAUAACACAGCAAUUAGAAAAUAGACUACUCCUCACAGAUGUAAGGUGACGUUGGAUUAGCUAGAGAAUGGAUUCUAAGUUAUCUACUAUCUACUAAGUCACAAUCUACUCUAGUUAUCUACAAGAUCAUAUAUAGCAUAAAAGACUCUUCAUUCAUGUAUAAGGAACAUUGCUAAAGUAAAUCAGAGCAUCGCAAGACUUACUCCACAAUACAAAUUCUGCCUGUCCUAUCAACGGAGGGUGGACUAUAUAAGAAUCAACGAAGCUGUCACUAUCGUGAACUACCACACAACCUGGCCAAUAGGAUACAUUUGCAGGUAAAUAAUAUCUAAGCACCACACCUACAUAUGAUCUACCACUUAACUCCCACGUGUCAAGAGCUAAGCGCUUUGCAAACUUAUACAUAAACUAAUUGUCAAUCAUAACUAUAUCAAAUAUAGAACUAUAGCAAACUAAGAGCAUAAUAAAUAGAGACAUAAUGCAAUUAGAACAAAGUAUUAGAGAAAGAUAUGAAAUAAUACCAAUCUUUAUUACCAAAGAUCCGAAUCCAGAGCGUAGUGCUCUACUUCUCUAAUUCCUAUCUAAUCAAUCCUCUAAACUUGAUGGAUUAGGGAGUAGCUAAUUCUAGUUCUCUAUGGGAGAGAUGUCUAAACCCUAACUUUGAUGGCUACCUCUGAUAAUGAUUUCUCCUCUCUCCCCAGGGGUGGAGAGGCCUUGAUUACAUAGUCCUUUCAAGUGAAUUUGGGCCGUCGGAUCAAACCGACAUUGAUCGCACGGUUUUCCUUGAUCCUUUAGGUCGGUGGAGCACGAUCCAAGAGUUUGGUUCUGAUUGGCCCUGAGGCCAGGGCGGGCGCCCUGCCCCCGAGCCCAUCCAGUCUCCCGUUCGUUCCCGUGGCUUCUGGAUUCUUCUAGAUUAAGGAAAAUUGCGCGGCACAUAAUUAUCUCAUUGUAAACAUGACAUGUGGGCCUUCUCUCCAUAUUUUCUGAUAACCCCCUGCAGAAACAGACAAACACCAAAGCUCGUGCAAUUCUGUUAGAUAAAACCCUAAUUCUAGAUGUUUGGUGCAUAUUGAUCCUUUUCCAUGUUUAGUUGAUGGUUAAAUUUAGUACUUAAGGACCAUCAACAAACUCCCCCAAGCUUACCCUUUGCUCAUUCCUGAGCAAACAGCAAAACUCAGAUGGAUCAGGAGUUGCUUCGAUGUUUUCUUUCCUGACAGGCACACAUGCUUUCACAUAAAAAUUCUUCCAGAUUAGAGUGAAGUGUCAUGGAGCUUAGUACCUGCACUCAAGUCUUAAGUAAUCGAAAGACAAAAUAAUUAAGUCAAGCACUAUUCCUCCUGUCUAUACUUCACCUUUGUUCUAGAGUUUUUCAUAUGUUUUCAAAAUAAAACUCAGAGUUCCCAGCAAUGAUUCUCUCAAGUCUCUCUAUAUGUGGUAUUUGUGGAUCCUUACCAAAAUAUCACUUACCUAUAGCUAAUGGAAUAUUUAAGUGGAGCUCAUAGGAGUGAAAAACAGCUUCAUACAUAUGUUGUCUAAUCGAGCCAUGGAUCCAAAGGAACUCAGCAUGCAAUUAAAUCAAGAUGUGCAUGUGUGGUGGAGUUAAUGAUGGUAAUGGUGAACAUAUAUAAGUGAUAAUAAAACUUACUUCUCAUUGCUCCUCAUAUUGCUAUCUCUCCUCCUCUCUUGAUCUUUGACUUGGGAGAACAUGGGCUAUCUUUUUUUUCGGGUGGGUAGUAGAUACCCCUAAUUCUACUGUCGGAAACUUGUCCAUUUUUUUCGCUCAAGUGAGCAUCUUUGUACCCCUAAUUCUACUUUGGACACUUGUCCAUUUUUACCUCUCGUCUCACUCUUUUUCUUUCUUUUUUGAGGUUCCGGGCACUUGCCCUUUUUAGUUCCUCGCAUAUUUUUGCAUAACCCAUGCCUCUUCUGCAUUGAAUCUUUUUAGAGAGAGAGAAUAACAAUACUUGGGACAGUGAGUGAUAAUAAUAUUUUUAGCAAUUUUAAUGAAUGGUGGUGAUUGGUGUAGUGGAUGUGUGCAAGUGAAUAUCUUAGUUUAACCACAUGAAAAGCUCCUAAGGGUCUACAUAGCUCGAUCAAACUCAAUGUGAAUAUAGUAAAAGAUGUUAUAGCAAGUAUGGCUGUGGUAGGAAUUUUGUAAUGCUAGGAACUCAUCGUGUGAUUUGCAAGUUUUCAAAAUAAAUCUCCAGAAUUUAGUGUAGUAGGAACAAAUAAACAAUAGCUCAAACUUUAUAUCAUGCCUUUCUCUUACCUAGACUUUAGUUUUAUGUUUCCCAUAGAUAGUAAAUUCAGUUUUAGUAAUUUCUAGAAGAACUCAAAUAUAAAAUCUAGGUACUUGCAAGUAAGCAAAUAGAGCAACUGUUCAUCAUUUCCAUCAUGUAUUUUUUUGUCUUUUUAUUUUUCUAGAGAUUGACACUUAGCACAUAAAAUAAAGCACACUUAUCUACACACUCUUUUUAUUUUCUUUUCAUGUUUAUAAAAUGUAGUAAAUUAAAGCAACAAAAUAUUUAUUGGGUUUUCUAAGUUUUUCUCCUUAAGAUAAAUAAAAGACUAAAACAAAAAAGAAUAAAUAAGAAGAGCAAAUAAAAACUUACUUGAUAAAACAGGGAGGAUCUCCCCCAAGCUGGACGAGGUUGCCGGUCUUACCCAAUGUUCCAGAAUCGCAUCAUGGUGGUGAUGGUGUCGUUCAUUGUCAUGGUGUCUUGUCUCAGUUCUUGUACUGCAGUGGCGUGGUCCUGGUUCCAUUUUUGUUGCUAUUCUAGGAGUCAUCCAUGUUCUGCUUGCGUAUUCUGAAUGUCGAGGAGAGUGUUGUCGGUAUGGGUGAAGAAAGCAUCGGCCUCUUGGUAGUAGUCAUUUGUGAAAGCAUAAGAGGCGUCGGAGUAUUGUCCUGCAUCGAAUUGGGGCAGAGGUCUGAACCCUGAAGCUCCAUAUGGAUCAGUGGAGUACCUGCCCAUACGGAAAGGCGGGUUUGUCCACUGGUGAUCUUGGCUCUCCGGCCAUGUCUCCUAUGUUGGCUCUUGUGGUUGCGCAUGUCGAACCCAUGGGUCUCGAAGGACUUGGGGGUUGUAGUCGCAAUAAUGCAGGUGCGCUGCUUCUUCCGGCCCAGGAUCAGCUCCAUACCAGGUGCGUUCUUGAUGGGUGGUCAUCCUUUCAGAUGCCACUCGUUGUGGAGCUCUCUGGUUUACCGGUGUCACUGCAAUCUCAAUCAAGUAAUUUUGAACAACAUAGAGGCCAAGGUUCGGGUUAGGUAACCGAAUCUUGCCUUUAUUAUCAUAUAGCAUAUACAUUAUGUUCCCCUCUUUCUUCAACAUCCGAGCUUGCCUAAAUGUGUCAUAGCCAUGAUAAAUCCGUAACUCAUCUAUGAAUUCCAAUGAUGAGUUUUCUAGUAAAUAAAGGCUAGAGGCUAGACGAGUGAUAAGUGAAGUACAUCCUACUGGUCCCUGAAGACUAGGUAUACUAAGCCAAUGAGAAACCAAAAGUGUAACAGGUGAAGUGGGUACUUUAUUUAUAGUAUCAUAUAGAAGUUGUAAAUCUCCUACUCUUACUUUUCUAAUAUCAUCACGAUGGAAAAGAUUGUACCCAAGCCAUUUGUGGAACAUCCUAAGAGUGGGGUGUUCCAUGUCACUGGUUCGGGCUUGACUAUAAAAAUCAUCUCAAGAUAUCUCUCUCUAGAACUGGUGUCUCUCAAAAUUAGGUAGGUCGGAGUCAGUGUUCAAGAUGCAUCUUGAAGAGAAACCGAGAUGGUCACUCAAUUCUCUCCAAGACAACAUAAUGUCGUGUUUGAACAUCCAAAAAACAAUUCCCCCCUCAUAAUAUUGUAAAGUGCAAAGAAAUUCAAGGGUGAGAAGACGGGAACCCAACUCAGUUAUGUUCCAAAAAUUUGUCCAUCCCACCAUCUAGAAAAUCAAGUCGAAUUCAGUAUCCAUACCUGUUUCUUGUAGCAAGAUAGGAUCAAGAGUGGGGGUGUGAAUGAAAUCCUUAAUCUUUAGCUGCUGGUAAACUUCCUUUUCCCUGCGGGUCUUCAGUCCAAGGUCUCCUAUCUUGAGAAGGACCUUGACUUGUUGAUCAGAUGAAGAUGACGGAGCUUGUGCGGGCGUCGGGUCGAUGCUCAUCUCUGACGGGUGCGAGGAGUGUCGGGAUGAACUCCUUGUACCUAUGUUCUUGAGGGCCUUCCCUACGUUCUUUACCUUUUUGAACAUCCUGCAAACAAAAGUUGACACAAACACAACUAGUGGAAAAUGUGAGAGAAAAUGUUAGUGGUCAGCUGUCCGGAAUGUCAGCAGUCCAGGGGUUGGUCGUUCAAGACAAGUUUUUAUUUUCGUAGCACCUCCCCGUAAACAACUUUUACUUCCACUCAGGACAGCGGGAUCACUACUUACUAGGUGAAACUCACUCUCUCAGUUAAAGACUACAAACUUCUUUCCCACUCUUCUCUUCCCCUCUACUCUCUUCUCACUUCACUACAAAAGUUCCUUCUCUGGAAACUGAAACUUACAUGGUUUUCUGGAAUGCUUGUGUGAAGAAGUUGGAGGCAGGAAGUAGCAAUUUAUAGGAGGAAGAGGGGACAGGGCGGGCGCCCUCUAUAGGUGCGCGCCCGCCCACCUUUGGUGCCCAUCCUGGCUGCCUUUUCUCCACUCCCUCCUUUGCUUAAUCUUUAAGCCAAAAAAUAAUUAAUAAAUAUGGAUUGUUACACACCAUAAAUAUUAUUUAUAUGGGGCUUUUUAUUAUUAUAAUAAUGCUAUGAAUAAAAAUAACUAAUGCAAGAAUUAAUUAUGCAAGGAUAAAUACCGAUUUACCUCCCGGUGAGGGUUUGGGAUUUUUGGGUCCCCCAAGCUGAACCUCCAAAUCUUUUAAUCUUCUAAAUUACCUUCCUCCGGAGAUGGUGUCUCCAGUGGUUCUUCUUCAUGAACUUCCUUCACUGUAGAGUCUCUUUCUGGUCUGGGUUUGAAUGUGAAGUGUUCUUGUCCGUUUAUGUUGAAUUUGAUUUCUCCCUUCCCGACAUCAAUGUGGGCAUUGGCAGUGCUCAGAAAUGGCCUUCCAAGGAUGAUGGAUACUUUUGAGUCAGGACUCAUGUCUAGUACCACGAAGUCUACUGGCACAAGGAAAUCUCUGAUCUUGACUGGAAUGUUUUCGGCGAUACCCAACGGGUGUAGAACUGAUUGAUCUGCUAGUUGUAGGCACAUUGAUGUUGGUUCUAGGGUCGCAUGCUCAAGCUUCUCGUAGACUGAUGCUGGCAUCACACUGACACUUGCUCCGAGUUCACAAAGUGCAUUGUUGAAGUGUUGGUUUCCGAUCAAGCAAUCAAUAGUGGGGCAUCCUGGAUCCUUUUUCUUCCUUGGUGGUUUAUUGAGGAUGGCCGCACUGCAUUCUUUUGUCAGCUUGAUAACCUCAGUGGUGGGCAGUGGUCUCUUUUUGUUAAGAAUAUCUCUGAUGUACUUUGCAUAUGUGGGUACCUGUAUGGCAUCAAGCAGAGGUAUGUUGACAUAUAAUUUUUGAAUGACCUCUACAAACUUACCAAACUGCUCAUCCGACUGCAGUCCUCUGUUUCUUCUGGGAAAUGGCAAAUAGUUGGCGUCGUAAAAAUCUUUCCUCAUUUCUCCAGUUCUUGGUGGUUGUAACAGAUCUUCUGCUUCAACUGGGCUUUCUUCUUCUAUCACUGCUGGUUGCACUAGUGCUGAUGUUCUUUGUUUCUCUUUUGGGUAUGGGGGAUCCCUGGUGGCCUUGCCUCCUCUAGUAGUUAUGUUCUUUACCUGCUCAAUGUUAGUGGCAACAGACAAUGCUGCAGCUAGCUUUAUUAAUUUAAGCUCUACCCUUUUGUUAAGAGUGUUUUGCUCAUCAAAGGCAGUUAAUAGAAAAUCCAUUUUAUUGUGUAUAUCUUUUAGGGAUGAUUCAUUUGUGUCUAGCCUUUGUUUAACUUCAUCAUUAGUUUUUGUUUGUUGAGCAAUUAUCUCUUUUAAUGAAAGUUGCUUGAAAGUAUUACCUGAAUUCAUACCUUUGCUAUUGGGUUGGCUUGAGGUAGGCUGAUAUUUGUAUGCUGUCUCAAUGGCCCUUUGAUCUUCUUUGAACUUGGCCCUCUGGUCAAUCCAAUGGAGCAAAUUUUCCAUCUUGGUUGAUAAUGCAUUUACUUCUUCUGGCAUUUCUUCAGUUUGAUAACAUUGUUGAGCUUCAUCUUGGAACCAGCUUUGGUUUUCUGCUAUCUUAUCCAAAAGUAUCUCUGCUUUUCCAAUUGUAAGCUCCAAGAAUGAUCCUUUAGCAGAUGCAUCUAGACACUCACGAGCCUUCUGGGUUAAUCCAUGGUAGAAGGUCUGCAUAAGUAACCAUGUGGCCAUUCCAUGGUGAGGACAAUCUAAUAUGUAUCCUUGAAAACGCUCCCAUGCUUCUGGAAUGGUUUCGGUCUUGUGCUGUUGGAAACUGACAAUAUUUCCUCUUAAGGCAGUUGUUUUGCCUAUAGGUAAAAACUUUGAUAGAAAGGCAUCUGACAAGUUCGUCCAGUUGUUGAUCUUAUCUUGAUGAGUGUAAAACCACUUCCUCGCUUUCCCUUCUAGUGAGAAUGGAAAAAUGCGAAGCAGUAUGACGUCUUUGUCAACUCCGUUGAUGCGGAUUGUGCUUCCAAUCUCUAAGAAAUUCUGCAAGUGUGCACUAGCAUCUUCAUGUGCCUUUCCACUGAAUUGUGUAGCUUGUACCAAAUUGAUGAGGCUUGACUUGAGCUCGAACUUAGGUGCUCCUUCCUCUACUGCAAAUCUUGGACCAGUUGGAAUGUUCUCAAGACUUGGAGCAGAGAAUUCUAGCAAGGUCUUUUGUGCCAUAGCUUCAGCAAUUGGUAGCUAGCUUCUUCUUUCUUUCUUGAUUGCUUUGGUUCUGAUGAUGAAGAGUUGAAUGUACACAAAGUCAAUCCUGAUAUACCCUGUAUAAAAAUGUAAACAUAGAAAAACAACAGGGUGAACCUACCAAAGCAGAGGUGCCUUGUUAUGAUUUCUCACUUAGUAGCUGUUUUAUGCAAUUAUUUCUCUAUAGUCUAGUCUAAUAUUUUAUAUGAAUAACCAUGACUGAUUUCCUAACUUCCCUUACCGUUCCUAUGUGUUUCGCUUUUGCUCCCCGGCAACGGCGCCAGAAAUGCUUGUUGACACUAGCUAACACCACUUAGAUACUAGGUUGUCAUCCCCAGCAUGGUGCCAGAGUGUACAAAGGUAUUUAUAAAUAUGGAGGCUCUCUAGAAAAUAAUCUAUUCUAUCCGCAAGCGCACAGAUAAAACACCUCAUUGUAGCAUUUCACAAGGUAAGUAUUCCAGGUAUCGUUAUUUAUAAUUUUGCUCAGGAGAAAAAAGGAUUAAAUGAAUGAAGAUAAGGAUAAACCUAUCAAGGCAUAGACUAGAGAUAAAGUUAAAAGAACGUGAUUACUAAUGAGAAACUCGUUACACAGUCACUUACUUUGGCAGGGUGUAAACCAUAAAGAUAAUGAUAAUGAAUUAUAAGUUCAUGGGUAAAUAACACAGCAAUUAGAAAAUAGAGAAUGGAUUCUAUAAAAAAGAGAAUGCUAUAUGUAAGGUGACGUCGGAUUAGCUAGAGAAUGGAUUCUAAGUUAUCUUCUAUCUACUAAGUCAUAAUCUACUCUAGUUAUCUACAAGAUCAUGUAUAGCAUAAAAGACUCUUCAUUCAUCUAUAAGGAACAUUGCUAAAGUAAUUCAGAGCAUUGCAAGACUUACUCCACAAUACAAAUUUUGUCUGUCCUAUCAACAGAGGGUGGACUAUAUAAGAAUCAACGAAGCUGUCACUAUCGCGAACUACCACACAACCCGGCCAAUAGGAUACAUUUGCAGGUAAAUAAUAUCUAAGCACCACGCCUACAUAUGAUCUACCACUUAACUCCCACGUGUCAAGAGCUAAGCGUUUUGCAAACUUAUACAUAAACUCAUUAUCAAUCAUAACUAUAUCAAAUAUAGAACUAGAGCAAACUAAGAGCAUAAUAAAUAGAGACAUAAUGCAAUUAGAACAAAGUAUUAGAGAAAGAUAUGAAAUAAUACCAAUCUUUAUUACCGAAGAUCCGAAUCCAGAGCGUAGUGCCCUACCUCUCUAAUUCCUAUCUAAUCAAUCCUCUAAACUUGAAGGAUUAGGGAGUAGCUAAUUCUAAUUCUCUGUGGGAGAGAUUUCUAAACCCUAACUUUGAUGGCUACCUCUGAUAAUGAUUUCUCCUCUCUCCCCCUGGGGUGGAGAGGCCAUGAUUAUAUAGUCCUUUCAAGUGAAUUUUGGCCGUCGGAUCAAACCGACAUUGAUCGCACGGUUUUCCUUGAUCCUUUAGGUCCGUGGAGCACGAUCCAAGAGUUUGGUUCUGAUUGGCCCCGAGGCCCGGGCUGGCGCCCAAGGGGGGAGGGCGGGCGCCCUGCCCCCGAGCCCGUCCGGUCUCCCGUUCGUUCCCAUGUCUUUUGGACUCUUCUAGAUUAAGGAAAAUUGUGCGGCACGUAAUUAUCUCGUUGUAAACAUGACAUGCGGGCCUUCUCUCCAUAUUUUCUGAUAACCCCUGUUGAUAUUUAGUAACGCGAUCAAGAAAUGAUCCGCAAGCGCACGGAUAUCGGUGAGCAUUUCACCCGGGAGGUCAUCCAGAGUUAUCGUAUUUAUAUUUUUACCACUGGGAGAAAGGGUGCAUCUAACUAACCAAAUCUAUUGCUACUAUCCCUUUAGGCUACAAAGAAUGUUUCUCGAUGUGAGUGAUGUAUAGAGAAGACUGCAACCGUAGUCUCGUUCUAACCUUGGUAAGGAUGAUCUACUGUUCUAUUGGGGAAGCUUACGGAAUCUAGACACCACAAAGGAUGUUCGACCCGCACCUAUAAACCCUACCCGUCCUGCUAACAAGAUAUGGGAUGCAAAGGUAACUCGAAAAUGUCAUGUUCCUCGCUACUAUCACGGUCUAGCUAGUCAGGGGAUAUCUAUGAGUACCCUAGCCUAAACACCACGUUUACACUAGCAAUGAUUACUCUAAUACUCAACCGGAAGAGGAUUAAAGUAUACUCAUAAACCAAAGAACAAUAAAAUAAGAACUUACUUAGAAUUAGAAGUCGAAUUACCGAAGAAUCUUAGGAGCAAGCCUCGGGUUAGAAGACUUGAUCCCGCAGGUACAACUCGGAGUAGACACCGACAGGCCGGCCUUCCUCCGAUCUACACCUCCACUCUAUCUCUCUCAAUCUAGUAGAAACUAGAAGAUCUAUUUCUACUUUACAUUGGAUGCUAAGCCUAAAAAUAAAUAUUAUUUAGAGAAGAGGUUUUCCUUCGAGGGCACCCCUCAACUCUAUGAUAACUUCUUGUCUUCUCCAUGGGCCAGGGGGGUCUCCUUAUAUAGUCCUCCUCCUCUAUGCGUUUUUGGGUCGGUAGGCAAUGUGGUACUAUGUUAUCCUUGAUCCUUUAGGUCGGUGGAACAUCGUGUGCAAAGAGAGUCCCAAACGGAGUCCAGGACAUGGCGGGCACCCAAGGAAGGAGGGCGGGCGCCCUGGGCCUGGCCCCUUUCCGCCUCUACUUUCUCCCCGUGGCUUCUGGAGUCUUCUAGAUGGUAGAAAAUUGCACGGUGCGUUGAUAUCUCUAUGUAAUCCCGACAUGUGGGCCUUUCUUCCUUAUUUCCUGAUAACCCCCUGCAGAAAUAGACAAACACCAAAACUCGUAGAAUUCUGUCAGAUAAAACCCUAAGUCUGGGUGUUGGUUGCAUUUGGAUCCUUUUAUUUAUUUAUUUGAUGAUUAUAUUUGGUACUUAAGGACCGUCAACAACUCCCCGAAGCUUACCUCUUGCUCGUCCCUGAGCAAGGAUGAACUUAAGAGUUUCUGCAGGGGUUUCAUGCCUUAAAAGUACACACGCAUUCAAGCAAGAUCUUAUCUCUGAGUUAGAAUAAACUGUUAAGACUUAAAACUUACUCAUUUUACCUUUCACUAUGGGGCUUGUAACCGUCACUUGUGUCUUGAGCAGUUAAAAGAUAGAACGGUCAAGUCAAGCGCCAUGUCUCUUAUUCUUAAUCAGCUAUAGCUCUGGAGUUUUUGCAGAUUUUCAAAUAAAACUCAAAGAUUCCUUAUAUGAUUCUCUCAAAUCUCUCUUUUGUGGUAUUUCUAGAUCCUUAGCAAGGUAGUAAUGGUAUAUGCCUUCUCUCAAAGUAUGUGGUAUUUUUGGUAUAAUGCAUAGUGAUAUUACCUUCUCUCUUACCCUACUCUAAUAAGGUUUUGAUAUCUGGAGCUCAUAGGUGGGAGACAGCUAAUACAUACUUACAAGACAUUUAUUGCAUAGUCAAACCAUGGAUCCAGAAGAACAAGUCAAUAAGUCAAAUCAAGAUGUGCAUGUGUGGCGAGUGAAUGGUGUAUGGUGAUGAUGGUAAUAACAAUGGUUAAAACAAUGGUGAAAGUCUAAUUCUACUUUUGCUCUUUUGAGGGGAUACAUACCUUUCUUGCACUUUGAAGCUUUUUUUGGGGAGAAUGAGAUGCUCUAUAUUUUCUUUUUCUUUCCUCUCAGGUGGGUAUCUUGUACCCCUAAUUCUACUGUCGGACACUUGUCCAUUUUUACCUCUCGUCUCACUUUUUCUUUUCUUCGAGGUUUCGGGCACUUGCCCCUUUUUAUUUCCUCGUAUAUUAUUCAUUCUAUUUUUUUCUCUUUUUUUUAGAGCACUCAUCUCCUGAAAUAAUGUAGCAAGUGGUAGUAGCCAAAAUAACUGGAGCAUUUAUUUCGCAGGGAAUAACAGGGAUAGGAAGAUGUUUUUGGCUAUUCUCUCCCGGAUUAGGAGUAGAAUAAUUUUGGGUGAAUCUAGAGAUGGAAAUGAGUGGAUAUAUGUGGAUGGUAUUCCGGAGUAGAAGUAGCAUGUAUGAGUGAAUGUGCAAGUGAAUCUUGAUUUUAACCGCAUGACAAGCUCCUAAGGGUCUACACAGCUUGGCCACACUCAAUGCUCAUAAGCAGUAAAAAGUAGAUGUGUGGCUCAAAGUCUAGCAAUCAUGUAUAUAUGGCUGUGGUAGGAAUUUAAACUCUCAUCAUACAGGAACUCAUCAUGUGUUAUUUUAAAGAUUUUUAAAAUAAAAUUCUCCAGAAUUCUAGCAUCUCUAGGAACAGAUAAAUAGCAGCUCAACCUUCCCAUAUCAUAUGCGUUAACAACUUAGACUUUAGAUCAAGUACUCUUCCCACAAGUUCAGGUUUAGAGCAAAUCUUACUUCAUAACAGUCAUGCCUAAACUUGAGAGAGAUUUCAAUUUUAAGAACUAGUCAUGGCAGAGCAACUAUUUAUCAUUUCCAUGUGAGAGUUUAUCAUGAUGGUUCAUAGCAACCUUUAUUUAUUUAUUUAUUUAGCAAACUAAGCAAAGAUAUAUAUAUAUAUAUAAAAGCACAAAAUAUUUAUUUGGGUUUUCAUGAUUAUGCAUCUCUUAUUAUUUGAGUAAAGUAUAAACGCGAGUAGAAACACUUAGCUGGAUAAAUGGGGGUGCUCUCCCCCAAGCUAGAUUUUGACCUAAUUUCUUCUGAUGUAGCUAGCAGGUGGUGGAGGUGUAUUUGAAUGUCGGCAGCACCCUAACAGCGAUUAGAAUGUCCUCCGUCUGCUAGUCUUCUUUGAUCCUUGAAUUCUAUGGAGCUCAAAUAGACAACAAAGCUUUGUGGAACUGAUUAGGUGUUAGCAUAAAAUCUCUUUGCCUUUAUCAUGUUGAGCCUCCUCAAUAAAUGUUACUUAUUUAGCAGGAUCAUGCACUUAUUAUUUUUAUAUUUUCAUUGUAAGAUGAAAACUUAUUUAUUUUAUUUUUAUGCCACCACAAUGAAUGUACUAUUUUUUUUAAAAUUUUUAUUUUCUUUUCAAGAUAGCAUGAACUUGAUUGACUAAGCAAACUAUUGAAUGGAAAAGGAUAACUACCAAGUUUACCUCUUGGCAAGGCGUUCGGUGUUUUUAAGUCCUCAGAACAGGACUCUCCGUUUUCUCAGUCGUCCUGGGAUUCGGUGGAUGGCGUAGUCGGUGGUUCCGGCGGCGCCUCCUCUUUGUGUGUAACUAUCUUCUAUCUCCACACCUGACUCGGUGCUACGGUCUCCUCAGGACAGUUCUAUUCAAGCUAUAUGUCUUCAGACCUUAUCACUUCUCCUUCGUAGUCUACCCAUCCGUCCUUGAUGAUUUGCCUCCUAUCGUUGCGGUUGCGUUGUCUUCUUCUUGUCCUGACCUGCUUAGAGUUUUGAUAAUGUUGAGGAAUGGUCUUCCAAGGAUGAUGGGUGGAUCGUACUCGUCUUCUCCCAUGUCAGUGAUCUGAAAGUCAUCUGGAGCUGAAUAUAUAUUGGUUGUAGGGGCAUGGUUCCAUGCAGGAGCUGAUAAGUGACUGCGGCCAUUAUGUUAACGUCAGAUCCGGUGUCGUAGAGUGUCUUCUAAAAAGAGUAUCUGUUGAUUGUGCACUCGAUGCUUGGAACACCAGGGUCGUCCUUCUUGAUCAGGAAAGGCGACUUGAGUCGACGAUCUUAACCUCCUCCGACAAGGAUCCAAAGUUUUAAAUCUUCUGGACAAGACUUCUCACUGUCUGCACCCUUUAGGUGCAUCAUUUGAUUAGGUGUGGACCUUGACGUCUGCACCUCUUGAUAUGGUGUCACCCAUGUUCUUCGUUAGCCCAGCAGUUCGAAGUGCGGUGUUGGCAAUAUCCUGCUCAAUGUGUUUGUGCUCGUAGAUCUAGGUCCUUCACUUGGUGGAGUCUGGGAGUUGUAAAACUCCUCCAUGUUUUGCUUGAAGUGUACCUAUUCAUAGAGACAAGGCAGAGAUCAAAUGCAUGGGCCCUGUUGGUGGAAAACACCAACAGAACCAAAAGUGUGUUUGUUCUUCUCUAACCUUAAGCAUAGUGAGCAAGACAAAGUUGAUGGAUCAUGAGUGUAGCAUUUGUCAGAUCAGAUGGCUCAACCUAAUGGAAAGAUAAUCUAUCUAUAUUUAUGUUUUGUUUAUAUCUUCCAAAGAUUGAAUGUGCAACAUAUUAGCUUAUAUGAUUAGGAGUGUGGGAUCAUGAAGGUAAUACUAAGAUCAAAGAUUAAAGGACUAAACAUGUUGAAUUAAUUGGGUUGAUUAAUUUGGAGUUAUAAAUCAUACAUGUUUGUCUCUUUAUUUUAUGUGAACGUUAGAACCAAGGAGAAGCUUAUAAAAGCGACAGUCAAGUUCCUUAAGAUGUUAUCUUAAUUGAAGAGUGAUGGUACCAUCUCACCUUGUGGAAGCUUCCCAUUCGUAAUGGGUGUGUAUCUUGUUUAUGUACUUUGUCUCCCUCCAUGGAUCAUCUCUCUAUGAUGAAUGAGCUAUGUCUUCCAUGUACAAGUCGUUGAAUUUCAUGUGUCUCCUUUAUCUCCAAUGUGAGUUUAUCUCAGGACUUCCCAGGUUGAUAUUGAAAGUUUUCCUGUAGGGGUUAGUCUGACAAAAUAUACCAAUGCCUACUCAAGCAGUUGUUAGUUCAGUAACCAAACUAGACUCCAUGUCUAAUUAGAUUAAGGAAGGCUAUUUAACCUAAGCACCACACUUAAUUUAAAAGCCAAUAGAAGUAUGUACAGUACUUCCAAACUAACACUUAUAAGAUAAACAUAGGUAACAUGAUGGCUUUUGUAGAGAUCUACUAAAGUGGAGAUGAAGUAGUGUGAUUAGUAUUUAACAAAUUGAGCAUGUCUCAAAGGUAAGGAUAACCAACAUAGAAACAUGGCAAAAGAUGUUUUUAUGUAAAGUACUCCCCCAAGCUUGAAUUUUGCAAAAUUCAAGUUUGGAUGAAUUUAAUUUAAUGUUGUGUGAUGGUUGGUUGGACAUACCUUGUGCUUGUCAUUCAUCCGAUCUUCUUGCUCCAAUCCUGGAAAGGUUAGUGGCAAGAAUACCCGAAGGAAUAUUUCUAUAAUUAUCUUUAUAUGCUCAACACACAAGGCAAUGUUGCAAAUAAUUAGAAGUUCAUGUCACAAUCUGAUCAGUGCUUGUUUUAGGACACUAAGCUUGUCCUUGGGAAACCAUCAAUCAACUCAACGAGAUCUGCAAUAUUUAUUUUUGACAUAUGCAUCGACAACCGCCCUUUUAAAAUUUUUACAAAUAGAAAAGAAGAGGGGGUUGGAGAUCUCAAAUGUGGUGAUGUUGGAGACACCAAUUGAUUGGGGAGAUGUUUUAUAUGAGCAAGGACUUGGUGAGGUAUUUAUGAAAUAACUUCCAUGCUCACUGUUGUUUCUCUCAUUCUCAAACUCCAAGGAUGAUUCUUCACGAAUGCUUAAAAUUCCUCUAGGAUUGUUUCUCAAGUUUGUUUUAUCUAUCCAUUCAAUGGUGAUAGCACAUGGAUUUUUAGUGCCCUCUAGCCAUUGAUGUUCCUCUUCUUGAUCCUCCUUCUUAUGCAUGGGAUAUCUAGAGAGAUUCAUAGGAUUAUCGGGAGGUUCAACAGAAAGAGCAUAGUAGAAAUUAUUAGGCUCAAGGAUGGGUUGAAUAGCCGAAGCAUGGGAUUGGAAUGUUUGGAAAUCGGCUUUUGAAACUUCCUUUUCUUGUCUGGGAGAUGAUUCCUUCUCUAUCUCUAAGAUUUUUCUAUGAAGACCAGUACAAGAAGGAUGUCCACGAAUGAAGACAUACCUUGCUUUACUAUAGAUAAAGAAAGAAAGACUCUACCAAAGGUUAUAUGAUUAAGACCAAUGUGAAAAUAUCAAGAAAAAACAUGGUCUUGUAGGGCUAGGUUUAAACCAGAAUUUAUAGAAAGAUUAACAGAUUCCCUGGGUGUAGCUGAAAGUGCAUUAUCUUCUUGAUUAAAAGAUAGGACCUCAUCUCCGGACACAGAUCAUAAUUAGGGGCAGGACUUGUUGACUCCCAUGGUCUAUGGCUGGUCUCCGAAGGUGCAAAAAAUUCAAUAAUAGGCAUGGAAUUUAAGUUAUCCAUAAAGAUAAAAGUAAAAAGAUAAAAGAAUAAAAGUAUAAAAGUAUAGUACAAGAUAAUAGCAAGAUUCAAAGUUAUCUCAGCAAACCGUCUUUCUCCCCGGCAACGGCGCCAGAAAUGCUUGUUGAUAUUUGGUAACGCAAUCAGGAAAUGAUCCGCAAGCGCACGGAUAUCGGUGAGCAUUUCACCCGGGAGGUUAUCCAGAGUUAUCGUAUUUAUAUUUUUACCACUGGGAGAAAGGGUGCAUCUGACUAACCAAAUCUAUUGCUACUAUCCCUUUAGGCUACAAAGAAUGUUUCUCGAUGUGAGUGAUGUGUAGAGAAGACUGCAACCGUAGUCUCGUUCUAACCUUGGUAAGGAUGAUCUACUGUUCUAUUGGGGAAGCUUACGGAAUCUAGACACCACAAAGGAUGUUCGACCCGCACCUAUAAACCCUACCCGCCCUGCUAACAAGAUAUGGGAUGCAAAGGUAACUCGGAAAUGUCACGUUCCUCGCUACUACCACGGUCCAGCUAGUCAGGGGAUAUCUAUGAGUACCCUAGCCUAAACACCACGUUUGCACUAGCAAUGAUUACUCUAAUACUCAACCGGAAGAGGAUUAAAUUAAACUCAUAAACCAAAGAACAAUAAAACAAGAACUUACUUAGAAUUAGAAGUCGAAUUACUGAAGAAUCUUAGGAGCAAGCCUCGGGUUCGAAGACUUGAUCCCGCAGGUACAACUCGGAGUAGACACCGACAGGCCGGCCUUCCUCCGAUCUACACCUCCACUCUAUCCCUCUCAAUCUAGUAGAAACUAGGAGAUCUAUUUCUACUUUACAUUGGAUGCUAAGCCUAAAAAGAAAUAUUAUUUAGAGAAGAGGUUUUCCUUCGAGGGCACCCCUCAGCUCUAUGAUAACUUCUUGUCUUCUCCAGGGGCCAGGGGGUCUCCUUAUAUAGUCCUCCUCUAUGUGUUUUUGGGUCGGUAGGCGAUGUGGUACUAUGUUAUCCUUGAUCCUUUAGGUCGGUGGAACAUCGUGUGCAAAGAGAGUCCCGGACGGAGUCCAGGACAGGGCGGGCGCCCAGGGAAGGAGGGCGGGCGCCUUGGGCCUGGCCCCUUUCGGCCUCUGCUUUCUCGCCAUGGCUUCUGGAGACUUCUAGAUGGUAGAAAAUUGCACGGUGCGUAGAUAUCUCUAUGUAAUCCCGACAUGUGGGCCUUUCUUCCUUAUUUCCUGAUAACCCCCUACAGAAAUAGACAAACACCAAAACUCGUGGAAUUCUGUCAGAUAAAACCCUAAGUCUGGGUGUUGGUUGCAUAUGGAUCCUUUUCUUUAUUUAUUUGAUGAAUAUAUUUGGUACUUAAGGACCGUCAACACCUCUCUCUCUCUUUGAAUCCUCUCUAGAAAAUAUGCUAAUGAAUAAUGGGAUUGCCUUCUCCAGGGGCCAGGGGCCCUGCUUAUAUAGCCCUCUCAAAUGAAUUUGGGCCGUCGGAACAAACCGACCUUGAUUUAACGGUUUUCCUUGAUCCUUAGAGGCGGUGGAGCAUAAUCCGCGUGACUCGUGCUGAUUGGCAAGCAGAGGAGGGCGGGCGCCCAAGGGGGUUCGGCGGGCGCCUUGCCUAUGGGCCCGCUUGGCUUCCCGCUUAUUCGUGUGGCUUCUGGACCCUUCUAGACCGAGGAAAAUUGGCGCACAAGUUAAUAUCUCUAUGUAAGACCGAUGUGUGGGCCUUUCUUCCAUAUUUCCUGAUAACCCCCUACAGAAAUAGAUAAAUAGCAAAACUCGUGGAAUUCUGUCAGAUCAAACCCUAAUUCUAGGUGUUGCUUGCAUAUUGGUCCUUUUCCUUAUUCAUUUGAUGAUUAAAAUUGAUACUAAAGAACCGUCAACAAACACCCCCAUACUUAGGCUUUUACUCAUCUCGAGAAAAGGAUGGUUUAGAAAAAUAUCUGGUGUUAAAACAUUGUAAAGCAUUCUUUUCAUACCUGCAGGGUGUUGUAAAAAUCCACUGUGUACCGUUGUUAGGGAAAUAUAUGGUCAAAAGUAGAGAUCCUUUCUUCUUCACAAUCCUGUCACUUGGAGUCUUUUGUAUAUUUUUUAAAAGAAAUUUAGCAUACCUUUAUCCUCAUAGGUUCUUUCAGAUCGCUUAUUUCUUUUGUAUAUCUCACUGAGACUGUUUUAAUUUACAUAAAUUCUCAAGCAUACUUACCUUGCAUUUAUUGCCUGAUCAAAACGGGAUCCGAGGAGAGGAAUGCCAUACUCUUAGAUCACAGACUUUGAAAAUUAAAAACUUGUCAACUCUUACUGGCAUAUUGCUUAUUAGAGGGACCAUGGGCUAUCAUUUUCUUUUUUUAUCAUAUUUUAUUUUUUUCAGGUGGAUACCGAGGUACCUCUAAUUCUACUGUCGGACACUUAUCCAUUUUUUUUGCGAGGUUGUCGAGCACUUGCUCCUUUUUAUUUCCUCGAAAUAUUCACAUAUAUUUUUGCAUAGCCCAUGCCUCUAACGCAAUAAUACUUCGGAAGAGUGAAUCUUUCUGAAUAAAUAUCCUCAUCUUAGGAGCAUGAUAAAUCUCUCAACAAGGGUUUAAUUCAUUUUGAACAAACUCAAUACAAAGCAGAUAGCUUUUAUUACCAUAAUUGAUAUUUUCAGGUAUUUAGCUAGGAUUUUUGAAGAUUUUGAAAUAAAUUCUCCAAGCGAAAAAGAUAUCAAAAAUAAGGUACUUAUACUCUACCAUCUCACAUUCCACAGUGACUUAAGUAACACAGGGUUUUUAAAUGAUUUUCAAUAAUUGUAGGUUUUCAGGAAAUAUCACAGAGUGAGAUCGAUUUAUGAUUAGAAGUAUUUUUAUUAUGUUAGAGACAAUAUUCUACAUGAACCAAAAUACAUGUGUAUGUGUAUGUGUAAAACAUGCAGAGUAUGUACCUGAAUCGUGGAGUGGUGUGGUAGAAGUGCGUUUGGCAUGUCGGGGGAUCUCCCCUAUACUUGUUUUCUGCUUUCUUGCAUAAAAAUAAAGUAGAGACACACAAGACAUAAUAAUAAUAAUCUUUAUCAAUCCUAAGGCAUUUAUUACAACUGACUAAUAAAUAAUGAACUGAAUCUAAUAAUAGAUCUAAGCCGAAUCUAAUGAUGAAUAACUAAGGUACACUGCCUCAAGAUCUAAUCUAGAUAACUUAGCGGCGCUCUAACUCCCUGAUCUUCUUAUUAGCACUAGCAAGAUCACGAUUAAGACCUAGUAUAAUGGUGUUCUGGUUAUAGAGCUGCCUAUUGAUGGAGUUAACUGAGGACUGGAGAUCUAUGAUGACCUUGUCUAGCCUACGAACGUCCUCAUCUACAUCUGCUAUAGUCUUACGACGCUUAGGAGGUGUCUCGAGAGCGUUGAGGGUGUGCUUCGGGGCUUCCUUUGGAGGGAUGAAACGGACUUUGGGUGCUCUAACCCCCUCGAAGUAAGGCCUCUCCUCCUCCGUGGUGUAGCGGACGCUGCUGAUCUUGCCGCUCCGGUUGGUCUUGACUUCGAUGACCCGCUCAUUGGCUCUGGGCGGCAGGAUCCUUGUGCCGGCUGGCACCUUGACGAUGGCCUCCUUCUUGGCUGACAGCCCCUUGAGAAGUAGGGGCUACGGCGGCGCGGUGAGAACUGGUUGGGCAUAGUAGGAUUGGGUGGAGCUGCGCUGGCGUGAUGGCAUGGCUGCUAGCUAUCGCUCUGUGUUGGCCGGGACGAGAGUGUAUGCGUCGGGGUCUUCCUUGGGCUUCUUGUUGAGGUCGUAGGGGACGACUUCCCAAUCGUCGUGGAACUUGUCGGCCAUUGGAGCAGCGAGGAACUAAGCAAGCUCUAAUUGAGGAAGGAGAGAAGGUUUGAAUGAAUUGGUGUUGAAAGCUGACGUCAGGGGUCUGUUUAUAUAGGGGUCAAAAAGUGCCUCUAGGGUUUGCUCGAGUUACUCCCGCCGCCAUGCGUGCGUAACAAACCAUCCGCGUGAUUAUUUGGAUAACCAUAGAUGAGUUUAUCACGACGGAGGAGACCGGGGCCGAGGGGAGAUAGGGGCUGGGCGCCCGCCCUCAACCUCAGGGCGCCCGCCCUGUGUCUGGCCCCUCUGUGGGCCCACCUUCUCGAGCGUGUUUCUAGAUGCAUUUUUUUAUUCCGAAAAAUAUAUACGUGGUCCAAAAAUGUUAGAUUAAAAAGGUCGGGCUCUAAUUCUCCAUGGGAAGGUAAAAAUGGAUCACGUCUAUUUCUUCUAAUUCUUUAUUAGGCUCUAAAAAUAAUUUAAGACGUUGACCAUUUACCUUGAAUAACGUACCUUCAUCAUUUUGAAGUGUGAAAGCUCCGUGGGAUGAUGAAUUGAUUACCUUGAAUGGUCAUUCCCAUUUACUCUGGAGUUUUCCAUGCCCGAAAAGCUUCACCCUAGAAUUAAAAAGUAAUACCUUAUCUCCGGGUGCGAACUCCUUCUUCUUGAUCCUCUUGUCAUGCCACCUUUUGACUCUUUCUUUGUAGAUCUUCGAAUUGUGAUAUGCUUUCUCUCGCCAUUCUUCCAAUUCUGAUAGUUGUAUUCUUCUAUGCUCUCCAGUGACAUCUAGGUCCAUAUCCCAUCUCCUUAUGCCCCAUUGUGCUUUGAACUCUAGUUCAACAGGUAGGUGGCAAGUCUUCCCAUACACCAAUUGGUAUGGGGACAUUCCAAUUGGGGUCUUGUAUUCUAUUCGGUAUGCCUAGAGUGCAUGAGGUAACUUGUUCUUCCAUGUCGUUCCCAUUUCAUUGACUGUCUUCUGAAGAAUAUUCUUGAUUUUCUUGUUGGAAGUCUCUGCUUGGCCACUUGUCUAAGGAUGAUAGGGGGUAGCGAUGUUGUGACGGAUUCUAUGUUUUGAUAGAUAGUGCUCAAAGUGUUUGUCGAUGAAGUGUGUUCCUCGAUCACUUAUCACUACACUGGGGACUCCAAAUCUUGGAAAUAUGAUUUCUUCAAACAUCCUCUUUGAAUUGAUGUUGUCGGCGUGUUUGCAAGGUAGUGUCUCUACCCAUUUGGAGACGUAGUCAACUGCCACCAAGAUGAACUCACACUUCUUUGAUGGAGGAAAUGGACCCAUGUAGUCUAUUCCCCAGACAUCAAAGAGCUCAAUCUAAAGGUUGUUGGUGAGUGGCAUGGCAUCUCUUGUGUUUAUGUUUCCGUGCCUUUGACAUGGCCCACAUCUUCUGAUAUAUUGCUUCGUGUCUUCAUACAUUGUAGGCUAGUAGAAUCCACACUGCCGGAUCUUUGAAUGUGUACGGAAUGCUCCAUAGUGACCUCCAUAUCGUGAUGAAUGACAUCUGUCGAUGAUCUUCCAUCCUUCCUCAGUGGUCACACAUCUCAUGAGUAAGCCAUCAGAGCAUACUUGGAAGAGGUAUGGCUCAUCCCUUAGAUGUGAAUGACUUUCUUGAAUAAGCUUCUUCUUGUUCGAUCCUGGUGGUACAUACCCUGAAACCAUAAAAUUAACAUUGUAUGCAUACCAGGGGUCAGACCUGUUAAUCCCAUAGAGCAUGUCGUCCCGGAGUGAAUCAUUAAUGGGGGGUUUCCUGUGGAUUCUUAAAAUGCAUUCUAGACAAGUGAUCAGCAAUAGAAUUUUCUACUCCCUUCUUAUCUUUUAUUUCUAGGUCAAAUUCUUGAAGUAAUAAGAUCCAUCUAAUCAUGCGAGGUUUAGCAUCUUUCUAAGUGAGCAGAUAUUUUAGUGCAGCAUGAUCAGUGUAAACAAUUAUUUUAGCACCAACUAAGUAAGAUCUAAAUUUAUCAAUGGCAAAGACAACAACUAGAAGCUCUUUUUCAGUGGUUGUAUAAUUAAGUUGAGCUCCUGUCAAAGUUUUACUAGCAUAAGCAAUUGCAUGAUGCUUCUUGUUUUUAGUUUGUCCCAAAACUACCCCCACAGCAUAAUCACUAGCAUCACACAUAAUUUCAAAAGGCAACGACCAAUCAGGGGGUUGAAUGAUUGGUGCAGAGAUGAGUGCAUUCUUUAAUAAAUUGAAAAAUGUUAGGCAUGAAUCAUCAAAUUCGAAAGGAGCAUCCUUGGCUAGCAAAAGAGUAAGUGGUCUAGCAAUAAAUGAAAAAUCUUUUAUGAAUCUGCGAUAAAAACCAGCAUGGCCAAGAAAGCUUCGAAUUCCUUUUAUAUUCACAGGUGGAGGUAGUUGUUCAAUUACUUCAAUUUUAGCUUUGUCUACCUCAAUACCUCUUUCGGACACUAGGUGUCCCAGCACUAUUCCCUUCCCGAACCAUAAAAUGACAUUUUUCUCAAUUAAGGACUAAGUGCUUUUCUUCACAUCUUUGCAAAACCUUGUCUAAGUUUUCAAGACAACUAUCAAAAGUUUUUCCAUAUACAGAGAAAUCAUCCAUGAAAACUUCCAUAAUCUCUUCAAUCAUAUCAGAAAAUAUAGACAUCAUGCAUCUUUGGAAAGAAGCUAGUGCAUUACAUAACCCAAAAGAUAUUCUACGGUAAGCAUAAGUUCCGUAUGGGCAUGUAAAAGUGGUUUUGCUUUGAUCAUCGGGAUGGAUCGGGAUCUGGUGAUACCCUGAAUAUCCAUCUGAGAAAAAGAAGAACGAAUGGUUCGCUAAUCGCUCUAGCAUCUCAUCUAUGAAAGGUAAUGGAAAAUGAUCCUUUUUCGUGGCUGUGUUCAGUUUCCUAUAGUCUAUGCACAUCCGCCACCCUGUGACGGUGCGUUGCGGAAUUAGCUCGUUCUUUUCAUUCGUGACGAUAGUCAUGCCUCCCUUAUUAGGCACAACUUGAACUGGGCUCACCCACUCACUAUGCGGCACAGGAUAUAUAAUCCCUGCAUGCAGCAACUUUAUAGCUUCCUUUUUAACUACCUCUCUCAUCAUGUUGUUAAGUCUACGUUGGGGCUCUCGAGAAGGUGAAACAGAAGGAUCUGUCCGAAUACGAUGGGUACAAAUCAUAGGACUGAUUCCUGUAAGAUCUUGGAGUGAGUAGGCGAAAACUGAGUGAUGUUUCUCAAGAAUGGUCAUCAAUCGCAGAGUUUGCUCUUGAGUGAGUUUAUCACUAAUGAUCACAGGAAACUCUAGAUUAUUAUUUAGGAAAGCAUAGGUAAGACCGGGUGGUAAAGUUUUAAGCUCUAUGGGAGGUCUAGGUGUUUCUGCAAACUCGUCUAAGGGUUCACAUUCAAAAGGUUCGGCCUCUUCUUCUAUGAAGAAAGGAGCUUCUUCUUCUAAGUCUGGUUCAUCUAAAAGCUCUAGAGAUAUAGCCUUUACCUCCUCCAUAGGAUCGGACAAAAGAUAUGACUUGGUCUUAUUAUUUAAGGAGUGAGAAAUCGUUAUUGGAAUUUUAAAAUCUUUCUCAAAAGAAAUGUGUAGCUUUCCAGUUUGACCUUCAUAAAUGAGUCUGCUAAAAGGUUGUCCUAUCAACAGGUCGAAGUCCCAUGUAUCAAAGAUAUAAAAGUUCAAAUGAACCAUGGAGCCUUCUACCAUAAAGGGUAGGACAUUAAUAAUUCCAAGACUGGGGACUAAUUGUCCCGAAGAUUCCUUUAUGACCUUUGUUGUGGGGGUUAAGACUAGUUUUCCAAAUAAUUUAAGUGCAAAAGCUUCAGAAAUGAUAUUGAUCCCCACAACAGGAUUAUAGAGAGCAUCAAAUUGAUCCGAAUCAUAAGCACAGCGUAUAGUUAUAGGAGGUGUGUCCAAACGGAUCACAUCAGAGGAAAGCUCUGACUCCUCCAACCAUUCGCUACUCAUGACUAAGAUAAGCUCUCUCAAUUGAUGUUCACUUGGCAAACAAAUGCUAAAAUGGCCGUUUUGGGGUCUAUCUAUAGAAUGGUAGUUUGAAAUGUUUCCAAAAUCGGCAAAAAGAUCAGAUUCUAUAUCUAGCAUGAAAUCGGGUGGUGGAAUUUCUUCCUUUUGUGGCUCAGAACUUGGCAUAGCUAAAGUAGAUGGAGAAUUUGGCAAAGUGUCUACUUCGGCUUCAUGGGUUUCAUCAUGAAGGGUAUUAUCCAUCUCGGCUUCUAGGAUUCUAUUUAGGAUCGCUCUAGCGUCAUCUGUAGGGAUGCGAAAGAAAGAACCUCUAGACAUUGUAUGUAGCAUUUGUUUAUGAUCUUUCUGAAGACCUCGAAAAAAGUGAAAUAAAAGAACAGGGUCUUCAAGAUUAAGUUUUGGACCAUAUUCUAUAAGAUCAGAAAAACGUUUCUAGGAUUUUCCCAAAGUUUCAUUAUCUUUUUCUUUAAAAGAUAGGACUUCGAGUCUAAGGUCGCCGAUAUGGUCGAGGGAAUAAAAAUCUGGACAAAAGUUGGCUCGUAAAACUCCCCAUUCACUUCAUUAUUGUCUUACCUUCUGACUAUACCAUCGUCUAGCUUCUCCCCUUAGAGAAAAAGGAAAAAGCUUCCAACGUAAAGUUUUAUCAGAAAUGCCUUCAAUACGAAGACAAUCACAUGUUUGCUCAAAAUCUCUAAUAUGAAGGGUUUUCGUAUUCCUUUCCCGAAAAAAGAUAGGUUUUGAAUCAUGGUAAUCAACCUGGAACUUAACCUAUACUAGGAUAUUUGGAUAGGCUGUGAUGACUCCCAUGGUAAAAGGUCAGUUAUUGAAGGUGUUACAGAUUCAUGGAUCGAUUUAGAAUUUUGGUUUUCCAUAAGGUAAAAAUAAAGGAAAAUAAAAAAAAUAAUAUAAGUAAAAGGAUAAAAGUAUAGAUACAAGCUAGUAGUAAGACUCAAGGUUAUCUCAACAAACCAUCUUUCUCCCGGCAACGGCACUAGAAAUGCUUGUUGAUAUUUGGUAACGCAAUCAGGAAAUGAUCCGCAAGUGCAUGGAUAUCUGUGAGCACUUCACCCGACAUGUUAUCCAGAGUAUCAUAUUUAUAUUUUUACCACUAGGAGAAAGUGUGCAUCUGACUAACCAAAUCUAUUACUACUAACCUUUAGGCUACAACGACUAUGAUUCGAUGUGAUUGAUGUAUAGAGAAGACUUCAACUGCACCCUUGUUCUAACCUUGGUAAGGAUGAUCUACUGUUCUGUUGGGGAGGCCAAUAGAAUCUAGACACCACAGAGGAUGUUCGACCUGCACCUAUAAACCCUAUCGAUCCUGCUAACGGGAUUAUAGGCUACAAAGGUUGAUCGGAAAUGUCACGUUCCUCACUACUAACACGGUCCGACUAGACAUGGGAUAUCUAUGAGUAUCCUAGCCAAACACCACGUUUACGCUAGAGAUGAUUACUCUGAACUCUACGCGAAGAGAUCAAAGUAAACUCAUAAACCAAAGAACAAUAAAACAAAGAACUUACUAGAAUUUAGAAGUCGAAAUACUGAAGAAUCCUAGGACCAAGCCUCGAGUUAAGAGACUUGAUCCCACAGGUACAACCUCGGAGUAGACACCGACAGGCCGGGCUUCCUCCAAUCUACACCUCCACUCUAUCUCUCUCAAUCUAGUAGAACUAAUUCUACUCUCACAUUGGAUGCUAAGCCCUAUGAGGUAGGAACCCUAAAGGAACCUCUCUCUCUCUCUGAAUCCUCUCUGGAAAAUAUGCUAAUGAAUAAUGGGACUGCCUUCUCCAGGGGCCAGGGGCCCUGCUUAUAUAGCCCUCUCAAAUGAAUCUGUGUCGUCGGAUCAAACCGACCUUGAUUGAACGGUUUUCCUUGAUCAUUAGAGGCGGUGGAGCAUAAUCCGCGUGACGCAUGCUGAUUAGCCAGUAGAGGAGGGCGGGCGCCCAAGGGGGUUGGGCGGGCGCCCUCCCUGUGGGCCCGCUCGGCCUCCCGCUUAUUCGUGUGGCUUCUGGACCCUUCUAGGCCGAGGAAAAUUGGCGCACAAGUUAAUAUCUCUAUGUAGGCCCGACAUGUGGGCCUUUCUUCCAUAUUUCCUGAUAACCCCCUGCAGAAAUAGAUAAAUAGCAAAACUCAUGGAAUUCUGUCAGAUCAAACCCUAAUUCUAGUUGUUGCUUGCAUAUUGGUCCUUUUCCUUAUUUAUUUGAUGAUUAAAAUUGAUACUUAAGAACCGUCGACAAUAGUUCUGUCCGCUUGCAGUUAUAUUACUUCUUCAUUCUUGAACUAUCGAUUGGCGUACCUAAGUACCGUUACUUAAGAUUGUAAUCCUUGUGCACUUUCAAGCAUAAUGCCACAGCUUUGCAUAUCGCAAGUAAGGAUGGUUAGGAAGGCCAAUCCGACAUUCCUAAUUAUUGUUACCAGACUGCACUGCUAAGGCCGGCGCCCUCGAGUUGCCUUGGGUUAUCUCUCUGAUGUAGCGAUAGUACGGUAUGCCAACACCCGACAUUUCUGGUGCCAUUACUAAGGAUGGAUCUAUGGUCUAUUUUUAGUAGUGACGCUAAGAAAUGCCAAAAUUUAUCUUCUCGAGAGCCCUAACGUAGACUUAACAACGCAAUGAGGGAAGUAGUUAAAAAGGAAGUUAUAAAGCUGCUGCAUGCAGGGAUUAUAUAUCAUGUGCCGCAUAGUGAGUGGGUAAGCCCAGUUCAAGUUGUGCCUAAGAAGGGUGGCAUGACUAAUGUUACAAAUGAAAAGAACGAGCUAAUUCCACAACACACCGUCACAGGAUGGCGGAUGUGCGUAGACUAUAGAAAACUGAACAAAGCAACGAAAAAGGAUCACUUUCCUUUACCUUUUAUAGAUGAGAUGUUAGAGCGGUAAGCGAAUCCCUCGUUCUUCUGUUUCUUAGAUGGAUAUUAAUGGUACCACCAAAUCCUGAUCCAUCCGGACGAUCAAAGCAAAACCACUUUUACAUUCCCUUAUGGAACUUAUGCUUAUCGUAGAAUGACUUUUGGGUUAUGUAAUGCACCAGCUUCUUUUCAAAGAUGCAUGAUGUCUAUAUUUUCUGAUAUGAUUGAAGAGAUUAUGGAAAAUUUCAUGGAUGAUUUCUCUGUAUAUGGAAAAACUUUUGAUAGUUGUCUUGAAAACUUACACAAGGUUUUGCAAAGAUGUGAAGAAAAGCACUUAGUCCUUAAUUGGAAAAAAUGUCAUUUUAUGGUUAGGGAAGGAAUAGUGGUGGGACACCUAGUGUCUAAAAGAGGUAUUGCGGUAGACAAAGCUAAAAUUGAAGUAAUCCAACAACUACCUCCACCUGUGAAUGUAAAAGGAAUUCAAAGGUGUGACAGAACCGGCCAAUUUAUACAAGUUUAAGUAUGACUGUCCCCGUUUAACACGUUGACACGCGCAUACUCUGACUUAUAUAAACCCGGUAGUCUGCCGAGUGUCACGAAGGACCUCGGUAAAUCAACCUUACACCAAGAUCGCAUGAUUAAGCAAAUACACAUCACAUACACGGAGAUUUUACAAAAGAGUUCACAAAUAAUAAUACAAGUUUGGAUUUUUCCAAAUCGAUUAGAAAACAACAUAGCUUUCAAAUGAUUAGAAUAACAUAAGUUAUAAAUACAUUGCCAGCAUAAGUGACAUCCUCUGACAAAAGCAUGUAGAUGAGAACACUAUAUAGAAUCACCGAGCCCACCGGCGGUUAGCCACCAUCUUUAGCAGACUGAAGACUUCACCUGCAACAUGGUGGGAUAAACCCUGAGUACUCGAAUGUACUCAGCUAGACUUACCCGACAGGAGAGAAAAUAAAAGACUCUCAAGGAUAUGCAAAGCUUUUUCGUGGAGUUGGUUGGAUAGCAUAACUUUGCCAAAAAGAGCAUUACUAUCAUGAGUCCUUACUUUCAACCUUUUAGUCAAUAUUUUAGCAUCAAGUUCAGAUCACCUUUAGCACAACUCCGGCCAAUUCGCGGGUCCGUCCAGCGCCGCACCCCCAGGGACCGCCAAUCUGCCAGGGCAGGACUCUAACCUGACACCUUGGGCUUACGCCAUUGACUCCCCGCACAUCCUUGCUACCAACCGGUGUGCGCACUCAUACAGAACGGGGUAUCCGGCCUGAGUUGCACUUGUAGGCUUCACGGUCGGAAUGACUUAUCUGGCCAAAUAAGUGUUAGGCAUGCGUUCAACAUGACACGAGGACGUACAGCGAUUCGGUCCUUAACCGACACAGACGGGGAUAGAUUCACACCCAACACCUCCAUGCCUUGUUGCUGCACUAUCGUCAUCCCGCCCGGUCUCAAAUUCAUUAUUAGCACAAGGUUAUUUCCACGAUUGCAAAUAUAGCCAACCAUGAUCAGGUAUCCACCUAUCUCUCGCAGGUGACAGGAAAUCACUUGGCUUCUACCGAGCUAAGCAUAGCUAAGCAUAGAACGUCUUCCUUAUACAAGUAAGGGUUCAGGUAGUUUCAUAUAGUGGACAAGGUAGGAAUAUAUGCACCAACGGUUUCAUUCAACUCCUAUCACCUAAUGCAUCAUAUAAAGUUAUACUCUUGUGCUUUUAUAAAAAGAGAGGGUAGGAGACUUAGAAUGCUCCGGGGCUUGCCUGGAAUCCGACACAAGUCAAUUAAGUUAGCUUGUGCCAUCUUGACGACAUCUAAGCUGACAACACUUGUGUAGUCCUUCCAUCAUCCCGAUAGGUCCACCAUCAUGUCCUUCACGUGGUUCAUCUAGCGUAUCUAGAUGACAUGCAAGAUGCAAGUGCAUGAACACAUGUUUCAUAGGAUCACAUAACACUAAUUAACACCACCAAGACAUGAGUCACUUAAAACCACACACAAUGUAAGUUAAUCAAGCUUGCAUACAUUUUUAGCAAAUUCUGGACAUACAUGCAACAGUUGAGUAAAUAAAUCAUAACCAGAGUUAUACAGAUCCAAAAUCCAUGCAACAAGACAUUAUGAAAAGCUUAUAAACUUGUAUACAAUUCAUAUUUAAUCAUCUUAGCAUGAUUAGUAAGUUACCUAAGUCAAACAUGCAUAUUUAUAGAAUCUGGUCCAGGAAUUCCAGAUAACAAGCAUUUUGACAAAUAAACUUUAUACCCUUAUAACUCACAAACCAUUUAUCCAAAUGAUAAGAAACUCUAACACAAGCUAGACAAAAGAGUUAUCUACAACUUUUGUAUAUACAAGUUUCACAGCAAACAUAAUUUAUACUAUGAAAUUCAUUGCACAAUCAGGACUGCUCAUGUUGCCCCAAACAGUAGGGUACAAUUAUAGGCAGAAAUCUGAUAGACACUUUAAACAAGCAUAACUGGAGUUGUAGACCUCCAACAACAUGAUUAUUAACUUCACAGAAAGCUUAUAAAGUUACCUACAACUUUAUUAUUAUCAUCUAAAGAUGAUUUCAUAGUUAACAAGGUCAAUUAACCCCAUGAAGACAUCUCUGACCAAAGCAUAGACAGGACCUGUCAUGCCACAUUAAACAGUUAUAACAUCAUUUUCACAUGUCCACAAAUUAUGAUUAUGGACUCUCUAUAAAUCUUACUAAAUUGUGAACAACUUUGUUAUAAACAUCAAGAGCUCAUUCUAUCACUAAAAAUAUCACACAUAGCAAUAUACCAAGCAAACAACUAUAAAAGCAAUCUAUCAUUUUUAGGACAGCCCACAACAGCUUUUGUUUAAAUCAUUACUGGAGUUACAUAUCUCUAAAAGACAUGCAAGAAGAUAUGCUGGAAAGCUUAAGAAAUUAUCUACAUUUGAUAUUUAGACAUCAAAGCAUGAUUGUCAACUUAAGCUAGUCGAAAUAUUAGGAUUACUGAAUCAGGUCCUAACAGGACAGAGAGCAACCAUUUCUGAAACCCAACUUUAAACAUCCAUAACAUACAAACCACAUAACCAAUUACCACCAAAUUUUAACAGCAGCUAUAUGGAUGAAUUAUCUACAACUUUUCUAUAAACAAGAUUCCCAGAAAAUAAAAUAAUCAUGAUGUAAUUGUCUAGGCAACAGAAACUAUACUAAAAAUCAUUUUUGGAAAAUAGAUACAUUUCAUUAAAGUUCCCAACAUGAAUCUAGGCAAAGACCAAUGUUGCCAACAGUUGACAUACAUCAAAUAAAGACUAAGAAACAUAGUGAACAUUCCUAAAUAAAUUCUUCACAUGCCAUUUGAAUAAUCAUAGCAACCUCUUUUAAAGGACAAAUUGCUAUGCAAGAAAACAUGUGAGAGCAAGAUAAAACUAAAGCUCACCAUGUUCGGUAAACACAUUGCUAUGUUAGUAUUUCUCAGGCCACAAUAUCACCAUAACAUGGCAACGACACCAUACUUCAUCCUUUUUUGCAUAUAAUAAAUACACUCCAGUGAGGGUAUGCACAUAGCUAACUUUAUGCAAUUGCAAAACCUGAAAGUUUAGGACAGCAGUAGCACAGUCACUUAGGGAAAACAUAUAGGGAGCUAAAGGCUAUGACAAAUUAUGUUCUUUAGAAUUUUAGAAAGUAUAGGAAAUUCUCUAUAGAUUUCUAAUUAUAGCAUAGGCCUGAUUCCUAAGUAGACAAGAUUGAAGACAAACACAAACAAGCACCGCUGCACAAACUAGGACAGAAAACUGAUAUAAACUUCAGAAAUACAUAACUGGAGUUCAAACCAACCAAAACUAUUGUUCUUUAACAAUUUGGAAAGCUCAAGAAAAACACUACAAUUUCCUAGUUAUCAGCAAAAUCUAAUUUCGAACUAACAUGGUCGAAAACACACCAAACUUCAGAUCUGUACAGCAUGCAGUUCAAACCUGACAGCAAACUUUGAAAAUUCGUAACUCUCAAACCUGAUGGGAUAAAAUCAUGAUAUUUCACGAGAUAGUAGAUCUGAAGGUCCUCUACAACUUUGUAGUUGACGAAAACACCUAUUUCAUCCUCUAAGUUGCCUUGAUUGCUUCCCUAAGAAAAUCUGCAGAAACUGUCACUCUGAAAUCCGAGGAACAACAUUACAACAACUUUUCUCCCUCACUACCACUUAUUCCCAUGGCCAAACUAUACCUAAACACUAAACUCACCUUGGUCACCCACAAACCCUAGGAAAGCAGAAAGAGAUGGGGAAGACCAAUCUUCAUGGAAGAUGCACCAUUGGACACUAGAGCAGGGUUGCUGCUUGCUGCAGUAAAGGGAGGGGAAGAUGGGCGCCCUAGCUUGCUACAAGAGGAGGGGGCUUUCUCCAAGGUGAGGAUGGGAAGGGAGGGCGCCAUGGCUGGGAGAAGGGAGGAGAGGAGGAAGGGCACCAUCAGCAUCAACAGGGAGAGGAGAAGGAGUAGGGCAGCUCCAAGGGGAAGAAGGGACUGCUGCCUUUGUGCUGGUGGGGAAGAAGUGUGGUGGGGAAGGAGAGGGGCUGCUGCUGGUGGUGUAUAGGAGGAGAGAAUGGAUGGAUAAGGUUAAUGGUGGAGAAAAUAAUUACAAAGGAUAAGAUUUCUAUUUCACUCACUAUGAAAUUUCUUUUCCCAACAAACAUAAAACAGGGCAGGAAAACAACUGUAGCCUACUGCAGCCGUGGAAUGUAGAUUGGGUUGUAAAGUUUUGGUUGACAUCACAUAUUUGAAAUCAAUUAGCAAAAGUAUUGCAAGCAAGGGUAUAGCUUAACACCUCAUGUGACUGUUGAUGUCCAUCUUCAUGAAACUUUUCUAGGGAUCACUAUAGGUAGUGAUUGAUAUGGGACACAUGAGAGAGGUUCCGUUAAUGUCACCCAAGCAUGCACUUUGAAAAGGGCCUAUAUGUAAGAAGGGUGCAUUCUCCAAGUUUAACUUGAGGCUCACUUUCAUGGCUUGACUUUAACAUGAUCAUCACCACUUAUCAUGACAUGUUUGAGCUCAAAACCUAAGGUCUAACUUGUGGCAAACACCUGGGGUGUUACAACCCUCCCCCCUUAAAAGAAUCUCGUCCCGAGAUUCAGGAGAAAAGACUUCCAAGGGUAGAGAAGCAUGUUAUUCACUUCCAACAUUGGCGAUAGCAGUCAAUUACUUAUCUCCUAGAUUCAGAGAGGCUAAUUUGGUCAGCACACUUUCUGAUACUUGUUCUUCAUAGUGAAUUUUUGUCUAAAGAAUUUCCUUUAUUGACUUCUGUGAAGUAUUGUUACUUUAGGAGGAAUUCAAGACAACAUAGUUCUUCAUUCCCAAUGUACGAUGGAUGGUUCGGAGCAGAGUAAACUACUCAUUACAAUGUUUCCGUAUUUGUUCACAAGGCUCAAAAAGCGGUCCGCUAACAGAAUGGCUUGAGUACAACCUUUCGUAGGAGAUGAGAUCACGAAGUAGAUAAACAUCCUUUGAGGUUAUGAGAAACCAACUAACCAACAAACAAUGUCUAUUUUGGUCAUAGGGUCUAAUCACUCAGAUGCCCAUCAAUGGAAAGCUACAUAAGGUUCCAUGUGUGCAGUUCUCUUUCACUGAUAUCAACACUUUAUUUUCCAAGUCUAUCGAGUUAGUGUUGAUCAUUCAAUGAAUUUAAUGGCUCCAAGUGUUAACAGUGGUCUAGGUCAUAUCAGAUACAAUCUCUUAGGUACAAAGAUACAUCGAAAACACCGAAGGCAUGUUACCAUUAGAUAAGCAUUGCUAAGGAUGGAUGAUAGCAAGGUCUAGAUGAUAGCAAAAGUUGCAAGUAUUCACCGAACUAAGGAAACAAGCCACGAUCAAGCUAGUCAAACUACAAUUUUCCAUCACUAAGUAGUUGCUUAGUAAGCUCGGUCAGUUUGCACAGUAGUGAAAUAGCUUGGUGAAACUUCUUUUGACAUUGAGGCUUCCUUCCUAGGGCCAAACAACAGCUCUAAGAUAAUAAAUCUAAGAUAUGUUGUUUAACACCUUUCCAAUUAUUUUUGACUUUUAGAACUCCUAGAUUGCUCAACUAUCGGUUGAUGCGAUAGGGUAACAACUAGGUGUCCAAGGGUGCAAGAAGUAUUUUCUAGGUCAUCCUAAGGUUCAUCUUGGUUCAGUUCACACCUCACAAACUAGCUUCAUUAUGCAUGAAUUGUUAGUGUGUAUAUAGAUCCAAGAGUCUUUUGAUGAUUAACCAAAAUUCAGCACAAGCAAACACCAUAUGGCUAACCAAACAGAACAAAACCUUUGAUAGCACCACACACAUAAUGAUGCUAACCUAGACUAGGGACGUGCUUUUCUCUAUCUUGUGACUCAGAUAUAGCAUUUGGUACUAUCUACGUGAUUGUCCAAGAUUGAAUUGACUUGAUAACAUAGGGCCUAGAGAAGGAAAUAGUAUUUGCAUCGUUGAUCAAUCUUAUUGUUUUCUUUGCAUGGCACUAUUUUAUGAGACAUAGCCUUUAGGGAUAUCAUGGAGCCAUUUUCAAGAUAGUGAUUAACCUUCUAACUGAUAACUAAUCAGUUGUCUCUAAACACCAAAUAGUUCCAAAGCUUUCUUCUUUGGUGGCAACAAUUGUAGUUGAUGCAUUUGUAGGCAGUCAAGAUCAAAGUUAGCCAAAAAGGAGAUCACAAUAAAGAUGGUUGAUGAUGACUGUGUGACCACCAUGAUCAAGAUUUGGAUCAAUUUUUGUCUAAUUGGUAACUUGUCCAACUUUAAGUGUUGUGUGCCCUUUUGGAUUCAAUAGGGAUGACACAAGUUACUCACUAAACGACUGAUAUUGUUACCUGGGUAACAAAUAGUGUCUCUUGUCUACCACCCCUUGCAGUCUGUUAAGGUUUAUGUCGGUAACCUAUUAUUCAAAUGUUAUCUUCUUAGCAACUUCAGAAGGUGGUCCUAUUACAUAAGUCUGAUAUAGAUCCUUUGAUUCAAGAUAAGGAAAGAUAACCAAGGACAAGCUCAUGAGAAGAUAACACAGUGGUGUAGUUUUAUAAUAGAUCAUGACUAGCAACCAUGAUACCAGUGCGUGCCGAGCAGCACGACCUUGUGUCUACAGCCACAGGAUGCUCUCGGUUUCGUCACGGCACCGUCAAUCGUUAAUCGUGACAAUAUUAUUGACCUUACCACCAACGUGAAAUCUCACAUGACAUAGGUAGGUCUUGCAUGUACAAGGAUCAUGUGCAAGACAAAAUUAAGCAAGCAAAGAUGACAGGACGAUUUGGAGGUAACAACUAGAAGGUCAAAGGAUGAGAACACGGCACAAGACAGAAAUGGAUACGCCUUAUGCCCAUCAAGGCCAUUGCCCAACAAUUAAUUUAUGAGAUGCGGUCAUGUUGGGUAGGAACAUGAGAUCAAAAUUGAUAAGCAUCCGAAGAUUUGGGGAGGUUGGAGAUGAAUUAAGAAAACUCCAAAGGUAAAACCAUUACGUUGAUGAGAGAUUAGAUUGAUAAGGAGCUACAUGAUUUUUAAGCAAAAGAUUCAGAGAUCAGGCAGUAAGAGAUUGCAUUACACAAGCUAAGCUUUGGGAGAGGCAACCGGGAGGUCCAACAUGGAUUUGGUAUGGUCUCCGUUACUAGCAAAGAACAACUAUAGUCAAAAACUUUCUGUAGUGAGAGCUUAUCCUAGCUAGUUGGCUAGACAAGGAUAUUUGCAUAUGGGUGUAGGACAACCAUGGUAUAUGCAAGUAUUUAACAGUCUGGACAUUGGUUUACGUAUCAAGCAUAGGCAUGGAUGUUCUAACAUUCAAAAACUAAUAGUCAAGUCCAUAAGCUCGGCUCCUAAGAAAUAGAACCUAAUUUGAUACAACCAGCACACAAUGAACAUAACUUGAGUGCCAUUCUAAGAUAAAGCUAUUUAACACUCGUGCUUGUCGAGGACAAAACAAGAAACAACCAAGGCACGAUCUAGAUAACCAACAUCCACACAACAUAACAGUUUUAAGCAAGUACUUGAGAAAACUCAAACAAUCACGCUUAAACAACCACUACUAGGCACACAGCUUACACUUAACAAGCAUUUAUCUACAGCAAUACACACAUUUGUUCUACUUACAAGGAUUAUGAUACCAUAUGUGCUACAAAGCAAGUGGACAUGGCUCAGUCUUUUAGGGAGAAGAUGAUUUUGAGAUAGAUAGUAAAAAGGGCUCCAAAAGAUUUUGGCAUGGUUGUACUAUCAUGCAAAUGGGCAUACCACAAGGAAGAGUUUAGCAUUCAGGAAAACUCAGCGGGAAAAGGUUAUCAAACCUAUAGACCUAAUUCAAAACUUAACAAGGUUUAAAAAGAAUAGCAAUCAACUCUGCCUAAACUAGGAUAGAGAACUUGACAUGAAUUUAAAAAAAAUAAUAACUAAAGUUCUAUUGAUCGAACAAACGUGAUCCUUAAUCUUAUGGAAAACUUAUCAAGUUAUCUAAAAUUUUCUUGUUAUCAUCUUAAGGUGCUUCUAUAGCUAACAAGCACAAACAAUACAAGAAGACAUAUCUAUUUAGAUUUUUGACAGAUUCUGUCAUUCUACUUCACAGGCUCAUAACAUAAGAUUUAGACCAUCAAAAGUAGUGAUCUAAGACAUUUUGGGAACCUUAACAUAAGUACUAUACUUCUUCUAUUAACCCCAAGACAUGAUUUGUAUGCACACUAGUCAAACAAACUAAACAUUCGGAUCCGUUCAGAACAUGAUCAGGAUCUGAGAACAAACUCCAAAAGUUCAUAACUCCUAAACCAUCAGGUCUACGGUCAUGAAAUUUUAGGAUAAACUAGAUAUAGAGGUUGGCUACAACUUUGGUAUUCACUAUAAUUACAGAAAACACCAUUAUUUUCAUGAAAACAUUACGAGUAUAGAAUCUGCUCUAGCAGCCAAAGUUCAACACACAUAUCAAGCAAUGUUUUCCCUUGUUCUAUUAACAAGAUAGCACACACAUGUAUAACUCCAGUAGCUACAACAUUAUUACCUAGAUAAACAAUAAUUUAGUUUAGUGACAAGGAGGGAUUAACAUAAGAAUCACAAUUCAUUAAGUGAGGUUAAAGCAUUUGCAAAUAUUUUCAUGAGCAACAUAUUCACCACUUGGCUAAACAAGCGGAUACCCACAAGUUCAAGCAUAUAGCCUUAACUAUUUCUAUUAUAGGUAGGCCAUAUUUUACUUAGUUAUUAAUCAUUAGAGGAUUCAUCAGAAAACAUUCACAUACAUGUUCACCUACAAGUUUUAGCUUUCAAAGGAUUGUAGGUUCUUAUAGAAGCAAACAUUUCAAGGCUAGACACAUCACACACUACUUUGAAGCAAAAAUAUUCAAGUAGCAUGGAAUAUGGCAACUUUUGUAUAGCUUCACACAAUGAAAAGAGUAGCAUCACAUUACUCACAAGUUACUAAUUAUUGGAACAAAGGUGGGAGAAGCAUAGUCAUGCAUAAUGCAACAAUCAUAAUGAUGCAUGCUUCGUCUUAUUCGUCCUCACAAAAUUGCCAGCCUGAGGUGGCAAUCACGUUCUAUGUAGGUGGCAUAACACGUACUCUCUCGACAUAUAGCUAGUCGUCAACUACGUUCAAUCUAUGCAUUUGUGGUUAGUGUACCUGCAGAAGAAUUUCAUUUCAGCCCAACCCAUCAAUAGUAUAAGUACAGAAAUGAAAGUCUAGUCUAUAGGUUGAAAGCUAAAUACUCCAAUAUAUAUUCCCAAUAUAUAUUGCAGCAUACUACCCAUGUGAAGCACGCCCAUGUAUACACAGAGACAUGUAUACACUGUCGUACCAACUAACCCACAAUUAAGUACCUUCAUAUAUACAUGUGUAUAACAUGUAAAUAUUCUAGUAACCACAUCUAGCUCUCCCCUAGACCGACGGUUGGACGGUCAUGCUCUCACAACUCACAUUCUUACCUUGAGCGUCGAGGCAUAUAGAUCCAUGCAUUACCACUCAAGCAAGUGGCAUCCAUACAAUUUCACGCCGUAUGGACGACGAAAGGAAAAUAUUGCUUACCGUGGCGUAGAGGUAUAUGAUCCAUUCAUUACCACUCAAGUAAGUGGCAUCCAUACUAUUGCACGCCGUAUGGACGACGAAAUAAAAGUUGCAAUAAAGUAACCCCCCAUAGUUAGUAGCAGUUUACAUAAAGCCACCUAGUAGUCCUUAAUUGGGCAUAACUAGAGGUUGUCGCUAGCAUACUUUUUAUAAAUUAGUUUUGACAAGUUUUGCCUAUAGCUAAAGUUUUAGUCCAAAUAGGAUUUUUAAAACCAAAACUUUGUUUCUAAAACAGUGUACUUGCUUUGAUACCAACUGUGACAGAACCGCCCAAUUUAUACAAGUUUAAGUAUGACUGUCCCCGUUUAACACGUUGACACACGCAUACUCUGACUUAUAUAAACCCGGUAGCCUGCCGAGUGUCACGAAGGACCUCGGUAAAUCAACCUUACACCAAGAUCGCAUGAUUAAGCAAAUACACAUCACAUACAUGGAGAUUUUCAGCGGAAAUAAUAUUGCAAAAGAGUUCACAAAUAAUAAUACAAGUUUGGAUUUUUCCAAAUCGAUUAGAAAACAACAUAGCUUUCAAAUGAUUAGAAUAACAUAAGUUAUAAAUACAUUGCUAGCAUAAGUGACAUCCCCCGACAAAAGCAUGUAGAUGAGAACACUAUAUAGAAUCACCGAGCCCACCGGCGGUUAGCCACCAUCUUUAGCAGACUGAAGACUUCACCUGCAACAUGGUGGGAUAAACCCUGAGUACUCGAAUAUACUCAGCUAGACUUACCCGACAGGAGAGAAAAUAAAAGACUCUCAAGGAUAUGCAAAGCUUUUUGGUGGAGUUAGAUGGAUAGCAUAACUUUGCCAAAAAGAGCAUUACUAUCAUGAGUCCUUACUUUCAACAUUUUAGUCAAUAUUUUAGCAUCAAGUUCGGUUAAGCUACCAUAGCUAGAUGUUGCACCUAUUCUAUAGCAAUCACUUGAUUAUUAAGCAUCACAUUAAUAACCAUAUCCAGUUUAUCAUGUAGCCAUCAUCAUCAUCAUAACCAUUAUGUUUAUUUAGUGGAUCUACGUUGCCGCUGCUCGAGUCAAGUUCUCACUAUCCGGGAGAGACGGCGAUUCAAAUCGAUUCCUAUCCAGCUGGAGGGGUAUUCCUAGCACUCACCCAAGCAUACCUCGCGAGGGCAGCUCGGAUCACCUUUAGCACAACUCCGGACCAAUUCGCGGGUCUGUCCAGCGCGGCACCCCCAGGGACCGCCAAUCUGCCAGGGCAGGACUCUAACCUGACACCUUGGGCUUACGCCAAUGACUCCCUGCACAUCCUUGCUACCAACCGGGGUGCGCACUCAUACAGAACGGGGUAUCCGGCCUGAGUUGCACUCGUAGGCUUCACGGUCGGAACGACUUAUCCGGCCAACUAAGUGUUAGGCAUGCGUUCAACAUGACACGAGGACGUACAACGAUUCGGUCCUUAACCGACACAGACGGGGAUAGAUUCACACCCAAGACCUCCAUGCCUUGUUGCUGCACUAUCGUCAUCCCGCCCGGUCUCAAAUUCAUUAUUAGCACAAGGUUAUUUCCACGAUUGCAAAUAUAGCCAACCGUGAUCAGGUAUCCACCUAUCUCUCGCAGGUGACAGGAAAUCACUUGGCUUCUACCGAGCUAAGCAUAGCUAAGCAUAGAACGUCUUCCAUACAAGUAAGGGUUCAGGUAGUUUCAUAUAGUGGACAAGGUAGGAAUAUAUGCACCAACGGUUUCAUUGAACUCCUAUCACCUAAUGCAUCAUAUAAAGUUAUACUAUUGUGCUUUUAUAAAAAGAGAGGGUAGGAGACUUAGAAUGCUCCGGGGCUUGCCUGGAAUCCGACACAAGUCAAUUAAGUUAGCUUGCGCCAUCUUGACGACAUCUAAGCUGACAACACUUGUGUAGUCCUUCCAUCAUCCCGAUAGGUCCACCAUCAUAUCCUUCACGUGGUUCAUCUAGCGUACCUAGAUGACAUGCAAGAUGCAAGUGCAUGCACACAUGUUUCAUAGGAUCACAUAACACUAAUUAACACCACCAAGACAUGAGUCACUUAAAACCACACACAAUGUAAGUUAAUCAAGCAUUCAUGCAUGUUUAGCAAAUUCUGGACAUACACGCAACAGUUGAGUAAAUAAAUCAUAACCAGAGUUAUACAGAUCCAAAAUCCAUGCAACAAGACAUUAUGAAAAGCUUAUAAAAUUGUAUACAAUUCAUAUUUAAUCAUCUUAGCAUGAUUAGUAAGUUACCUAAGUCAAACAUGCAUAUUUAUAGAAUCUGGUCCAGGAAUUCCAGAUAACAAGCAUUUUGACAAAUAAAUUUUAUACCCUUAUAACUCACAAACCAUUUAUCCAAAUGAUAAGAAACUCUAACACAAGCUAGACAAAAGAGUUAUCUACAACUUUUGUAUAUACAAGUUUCACAGCAAACAUAAUUUAUACUAUGAAAUUCAUUGCACAAUCAGGACUGCUCAAGUUGCCCCAAACAGUAGGGUACAAUUAUAGGCAGAAAACUGAUAGACACUUUAAACAAGCAUAACUGGAGUUGUAGACCUCCAACAACAUGAUUAUUAACUUCACAGAAAGCUUAUAAAGUUACCUACAACUUUAUUAUUAUCAUUUAAAGAUGAUUUCAUAGUUAACAAGGUCCAUUAACCCCAUGAAGACAUCUCUGUCCAAAGCAUAGACAGGACCUGUCAUGCCACAUUAAACAGUUAUUACAUCAUUUUCACAUGUCGACAAAUUAUGAUUAUGGACUCCCUAGAAAUCUUACUAAAUUGUGAACAACUUUGUUAUAAACAUCAAGAGCUCAUUCUAUCACUAAAAAUAUCACACAUAGCAAUAUACCAAGCAAACAACUAUAAAAGCAAUCUAUCAUUUUUAGGACAGCCCACAACAGCUUCUUGUUUAAAUCAUAACUGGAGUUACAUAACUCCAAAAGACAUGCAAGAAGAUAUUCUGGAAAGCUUAAUAAAUUAUCUACAUUUGAUAUUUAGACAUCAAAGCAUGAUUGUCACCUUAAGCUAGUCGAAAUAUUAGGAUUACUGAAUCAGGUCCUAACAGGACAGAGAGCAACCAUUUCUGAAACCCAACUUUAAACAUCCAUAACAUACAAACCACAUAACCAAUUACCUCCAAAUUUUAACAGCAGCUAUAUGGAUGAAUUAUCUACAACUUUUCUAUAAACAAGAUUCCCAGAAAAUAUCAUAAUCCUGAUGUAAUUGUCUAGGCAACAGAAACUAUACUAAAAAUCAUUUUCGGAAAAUAGAUACAUUUCAUUAAAGUUCCCAACAUGAAUCUAGGCAAAGACCAAUGUUGCCAACAGUUGACAUACAUCAAAUAAAGACUACGAAACAUAGUGAACAUUCCUAAAUAAAUUCUUCACAUGCCAUUUGAAUAAUCAUAGCAACCUCUAUUAAAGGACAAAUUGCUAUGCAAGAAAACAUGUGAGAGCAAGAUAAAACUAAAGAUCACCAUGUUCGGUAAACACAUUGCUAUGUUAGUAUUUCUCAGGCCACAAUAUCACCAUAACAUGGCAACGACACCAUACUUCAUCCUUUUUUGCAUAUAAUAAAUACACUCUAGUGAGGGUAUGCACAUAGCUAACAUUAUGCAAUUGCAAAACCUGAAAGUUUAGGACAGCAGUAGCACAGUCACUUAGGGAAAACAUAUAGGGAGCUAAAGGCUAUGACAAAUUAUGUUCUUUAGCAUUUUAGAAAGUAUAGGAAAUUCUCUAUAGAUUUCUAAUUAUAGCAUAGGCCUGAUUCCUAAGUAGACAAGAUUGAAGACAAACACAAACAAGCACAGCUGCACAAACUAGGACAGAAAACUGAUAUAAACUUCAGAAAUACAUAACUGGAGUUCAAACCAACCAAAACUAUUGUUCUUUAACAAUUUGGAAAGCUCAAGAAAAACACUACAAUUUCCUAGUUAUCAGCAAAAUCUAAUUUCGAACUAACAUGGUCGAAAACACACCAAACUUCAGAUCCGUACAGCAUGCAGUUCAAACCUGACAGGAAACUUUGAAAAUUCAUUACUCUCAAACCUGAUGGGAUAAAAUCAUGAUAUUUUACGGGAUAGUAGAUCUGAAGGUCCUCUACAACUUUGUAGUCGACGAAAACACCUAUUUCAUCUUCUAAGUUGCCUUGAUUGCUUCCCUAAAAAAUCUGCAGAAACUGUCACUCUGAAAUCCGAGGAACAACAUUACAACAACUUUUCUCCCUCACUAAUCCACUUAUUCCCAUGGCCAAACUCUACCUAAACACUAAACUCAUUCAGUGAAGGGCGAAAUCCAACUCACCUUGGUCACCCACAAAUCCUAGGGAAGCAGGAAGAGAUGGGGAAGACCAAUCUUCAUGGAAGAUGCACCAUUGGACACUAGAGCAGGGUUGCUGCUUGCUGCAGUAAAGGGAGGGGAAGAUGGGCGCCCUAGCUUGCUGCAAGAGGAGGGGGCUUUCUCCAAGGUGAGGAUGGGAAGGGAGGGCGCCAUGGCUGGGAGAAGGGAGGAGAGGAGGAAGGGCACCAUCAGCAUCAACAGGGAGAGGAGAAGGAGUAGGGCAGCUCCAAGGGGAAGGAGGGACUGCUGCCUUUGUGCUGGUGGGUGUUGGGUAUUCUUAACAUCAUUACUAAAAGUAGACUAAGUUCUAAAUCUAGCAACGGUGCCAAAAAUGCCAAACCUAUCCCUCACACCACUUAAGCCAAGUUGUCAUCCCCAGCAUGAUAUAAGAGACGCGGUAUUGAAAUAUGCAAUUGCUCUUCUAAAUAAAUAAUGAAUUGGAUCUGUAAGCGCACAGAUUAAUACCGAUGUAGCAUUUUAACCGGGAAGUAUUCCAGGUAUUGUUAUUUAUAUUUUUACCACUGGGAAGGGAUUAGCAAUCAUCACUAAUGAUUACAGAAUAGAAUAUGAGAUUGAGCAUCUAUCAUUGCAUGUAUAAUUGAGAACAUUAUAUCCUACUCUUCAUACAGGGAUAAGUGUCACAUAAAAGAUAUAUGAAAUAAUAAUAGUGACAAGGAUAACUAAUUUGAUCUAGCCACAUAAUAAAUAUGAUAAGCACCUCAAUUAGAUACUCUAGAAAGUCAUUAGCAUGGUAUUAGAACGAACUACAAGCAUAUUCCCUAAGUUAUUCUCAACUAUAUAGUCUAGCAUAUCAUAGUUAGUGCAAGCAUACUUAGCAAUCAUUGCGAGACAAGACUACGCCCAUGCAUAGUGAUAUUAGCAAGGAAUAUGAGAAGCAUAGCAAUCACUCUCCUGUAAUAAUGUUGCUCUGCCAGCCCAAUACACGAGAGGGGGACUAUAUAAGAAUCAAUGAAGCUGUCACUAUCACGAACCACCCCACGAUCUGGCAUAUUGGGUACAAUCGCAGAUAAAUACGGUAUAAGCACCACGCCUACACAAUAUCUAUCAUUUACCCAUGGAUCCGAUGGAUAAAUGCUAUACGAUCCUAAGCAUGUAUAUAGAUCGAAUCUAACUAAGCCAAGUACAUAACUAUGAUAAACUAAGAACAAUAUAAUCUUGAAUAUAAGCAAGUAGAGCAAAGUCAUAAGAAAUAUAUUGAAGUAGAACAAAGUCAUAUUCAUAAUAUUGAAGAACAAAGAUAAUUAGAAAGCAAUUAGAAGCACAAUUAGAGAAUUACCAAGAAUCCUCUUGACAGAUCCGGAAACCAAUCGAAGAUUGAAUCCUUCUAGUUCUAAUCCUAUGUAGCUAUGCUAAUCUAGAUAUCUAAUUGAUGUGGUGGCUCUAAUAUUGAUCAGAGGCUUCUUCUCCCUUGAUGGAACAAUGAAUUAGGGUUGAGAGGCUCUCUCCUCCAGGGGCCAGGGGGUCUGGUUUUAUAGUCCCUUCAAGUGAAUAUGGGCACUUGGAUCAAACCGACAUAGAUUGUAUGGUUUAGAUUCAUCCUUUAGGUCGGUGGAGAUCUCCCGCAAAACAGAGUCCUGAUUGGACUCAGGAGGUGGGCGGGCGCCCUGACCAACUGGGCGGCCGCCCAGGGUCUGGCCCCGUUUCGCCUCCGCUUCGGUCUCGUGGCUUCUGGAGUCUUCUAGAUGUAAGAUAAUUGCGCAGCACGUUAAUACCUUUACGUAAUCCUGACAUGUGGGCCUUUCUUCCAUAUUUCCUGAUAACCCCCUGCAGAAAUAGACAAACACCAAAACUCGUGGAAUUCUGUCAGAUAAAAUCCUAAGUCUAGAUCUUGAUUUCAUUUGGAUCCUUUUCUUUAUUUAUUUGAUAAUUAAAUUUGAUACAUAAGGACCAUCAACAAACUCCCCCAAGCUUACCUCUUGCUCGUCCCUGAGCAAGGAUAGACUCAGCUAUGGAUCAUAAGUUGUUGCAAUAUUUUUAAAAAAUAUACGGUAUACAUGCUUUUAAAUAAGAUCUCAUCUCUGAGUUAGAGUAAACUUUCAAGACUUAAAACUUACUUACUUUACCUCCACCAUGGGACUUGUAACUGUCACUUCCGUCUUGAGUGGUUAAAAGAUAGAACAGUCUAGCCAAGUGCCAUGUCUCUUAUUCUUGAUCAGCUAUAGCUCUGGGGUUUUUGCAGAUUUUCAAAUAAAACUCAGAGAUUCCUUGUAUGAUUCUCUCAGAUCUCUCUUUUGUGGUAUUUUUGGAUCCUUACCAAGGCAUUGAUGGUAUAUGCCUUCUCUCAAGAUAUGUAGUAUUUGUGGUAUAAGGCAUAGUGACAUUGCCUUCUCUCUCACCCUACUCUAAUAAGGCUUUAAUAUCUAGAGCUCAUAGGUGGGAGAUAAAAUAUACACACUUACAAGACAUUUAUUGUAUAGUCAAACCAUGGAUCCAAAGAAACAAAUCAAUAAGUCAAAUCAAGAUGUGCAUGUGUGGCGAAUGAAUGGUGUAUGGUGAUGAUGGUGAUAACAAUGGUGAAAACAAUGGUGGUGGAAGUCUAAUUCUACUUUGCUGUUUUGAGAGGAUACAUACCUUCCUUGCUUUUGAAACUUUAUGAGGAGAAUGAGAUGCUCUUCUUUUUCUUUUCUCUUAGGUGGGUAUCCUGUACCCCUAAUUCUACUGUCGGACACUUGUCCAUUUUUACCUCUCGUCUCACUCUUUCUUUUCUUUCGAGGUUCCGAGCACUUGCUCCUUUUUAUUUCCUCGUAUAUUUUUUUUAUUUUCUUCUCUUUUUUUAGAGCACUCAUCUCUUGAGAUAAUAUAGCAAGUGGUAGUAACAAGAUAACUUGAGCAUUUAUUUCACAAGGGGAAACAAAAAUAUUUUUGGUUAUUCUCUCCCGGAAUAGGAGCAGAAUAUUUUUGGGUGAUUCUGGAGAUGGAAAUGGAUGGAUAUAUGUGGAUGGUACUUCCGGAGUAGAAGUAGCAUAUAUGAGUGAACGUGCAAGUGAAAUCUUGAUUUAACCACAUGAUAAGCUCCCAAGGGUCUACACAGCUUGACCACACUCAAUGCUCAUAAGCAGUAAAUAAUAAAUAUGUGGCUCAAAGUCUAGCAAGCAUGUAUAUAUGGCUGUGGUAGGAAUUUAAGCUCUCAUCAUACAGGAACUCAUCAUGCAACAUUUUAAAGAUUUUCAAAGAUAAAAUUCUCCAGAAUUCUAGCAUCUCUAGGAACAGAUAAACAGCAGCUCAACCUUCCCAUAUCGUAUCCGUUAACAACUUAGACUUCAGAUCAAGUUUUCAUCCCACAAGUUUAGGUCUAGGGCAAGCUUUAAAUUAUAACAGUUAUAUCUAAACUUCAGAGAGAACUUAGAAUGUGCAAAUUAGGCAGAGCAACUAUUCAUCAUAUCCAUGCUUAAGUUUUUGUUUAGAUACAGAUUAGCAUAGCCACUUUAUUUAUUUAUUAAACACACUAAGCAAAAGACAUAUAUAAGCAUAAAAUCUUUAUUUGGUUUUCCCAUAGUUUAUGUGUAUUUUAAUAUUCUAAAAUAAUAUAAGUAUAAAAAUAGAUAGAAAUACUUAUCGAGGUAAAUGGGGGUGCUCUCCCCCAAGCUGAAUUUUGACGUAAUUUCUCUUGAUGUAGCUAGCAGGUGGCAGAGGUGUAUUCGAAAGUCAGCAGCAUUCUGACAGCGAUUAGAAUGUCCUCCGUCUGCGAGUCUUCUUGAUUCUUAAAUUCUGUGGAGCUCAAAUAGACAACAAAGCUUGUGGAAUUGAUUAAGUGUUAGCAUAAAUAUCUAGCCUUUAUUAUGUUGAGACUCCUUAAUAAUUGUUACUCCCUGUUUUUAUAUUUUUUUUAUUUUAUAAAGCAGAAAUGAAAUAUUUAUUUUAUUUUUAUGCCACCACAGUGAAUGUACUUAUGGGUUUUAUGCCACUCGUCUACUCACAUGGAGCUUACAGUUUUUUUCACAUUUUUAUUUUCUUUUUAGGAUAGUGCGAACAUGAUUAACUAAGUAAACUAGUUGAAAUAAUUAAAAGGGAAAGGGUAACUACCAAGUUUACCUCUUGGCAGGGCGUUCGGUGUUUUUAAGUCCUCCGAACGGGACUCUCCAACUUCUUAAUCGUCCUGAGGUUCGUUGGGUGGCGAAGUCGGUACUUCCGGUAGCGCCUCCUCUUCAUGUAUAGUUAUCUUCAUUUUCCAUACCUGACUCGGUGCUUCAAUCUCCUCUGGAUAAUUCUGUUUAAACUCUAUGUCUUCUGACCUUACAACUUAUCCUUCAUAGUCUGCCCAUCCGUCCUUGAUGAUUUGCCUCCUUUGGUUGCGGUUGCGUCUCUUUCUGACCUGCUUAGAUUCUUCAAUGAUAUAGUUAGGGUCAGUAAAAUAACGGCGUACCUUCUCUGAGGGGAAGUGCAUAUGGACUUCUCCGGUUCCAAUAUAGAUAAUUGCUUUAACGGUGCUGAGGAACGGUCUUCCAAGGAUGAUGGGUGGAUCGUACUCGUCUUCUCCCAUGUCAAUAACUUGAAAGUCUGUGUCGACAAAGUGAUCGUCUAUUUUGACUGGGACAUCAGAUACUAUCCCUUGAACUUCUCGAAAUGUCUGAUCUACCAUCUGGAGCUGAAUGUAUGUUGGUCUUAGUGGCAUGGUCCCGAACAAGAGCCGAUAAGUGACUGCGGCCAUUAUGUUGACGCCCGAUCCGGUGUCGCAAAUCGUCUUGUAGAAGUUAUAUCCAUUUAUGGAGCAGUAGAUGCUUGGCAUUCCUGGGUCGUCCUUCUUGGUCAAAAACGGUGACUUAAGUUGGUGAUCUUGGCCUCCAUGGACUACAGUGACCAUCUUAGCUGACUCGGUCCACACUUGCUUGUUCCUGUUUCUCCUGUUGGUCCUCUUCCUUGAUUCAUGUCUGGAUUGAUCUGGAAUUUGUGUAGUCUUGUUCUUGAAGAAAAAUGUCUCCUUCUUCCCUUUGACGUAGAAACUGAUCUUGGCAGCACUGGCGUAGAUGAUAGCUCCCGUGGUGUUCAAAAAUGGCCUUCCUAGGAUGAUAGGUGCUCUCUCAUCAUUUCCGGUCUCUACCACUACGACGUCUGCUGGGGCAUACAAGGUACCAACUCGGACACAAAGGUUCCUCACUAUUCCUUUUGGAAAAGUUAUCGUCUGAUCUGCAAACUGCAAACACAUGGUUGUUUCUAAUAAAGGAUAUGUAAAGAAUUUCUCAUAGAGUACCCUGGGUAUAAUGUUGACGCUAGAGCCAAAGUCACAGAGUGCUUCUGGAACGUCCACCAUGCCGAUGGAGAUCGGGAUGACGGGGCGUCCUGGAUCGCCUCUCUUGACCGGCAGACGGUCAGUAGAAAAUUCAGUGACGGGGUUACUCCAAUUACCUGCAUCAAACACGUCUACAAGAUUUGCAGAUUCUAAUCCUUUCGGUUGUGAUGGUAUAUCGGGAUUAGUAGUAGGAACAGCAGCUGCUAUUUGAUUUAACUGAGAUUCAAUCAUUUUAUUAAAGCUAAUUUGAUUCUUGAUGGCAGUAGAGAAAUUAUCCAUUCUAUUAUUUAUAUUUUCUAGCAUUUUAUCAUUUGAUGCCAAUUUCUUAGAUAGGUUAUCCAUUAGCUUUCCUUGAUUAGACACUAACUCUCUCAAAGGUGGAAAAUUAUUAUUAUUGUUGUAAGAAUUGUUACCUUGAUAAUUACCUGAGUAGUUAGGCCUCUGUUGAUUCCAACCUUGAUUUUGUUGAGGACGGUUGUAGUUGUUGUUGUUGUUGUUGAUGUAGUUCACAUCCUCAAGCAUUUCAGGGCAGUGGUUGCCUGAGUGUCCAGUGUCUCCACACUCCUCACAAGUCAUGUGAGAGUCGUAGAUGUGCAUAACUUCUUUCUUGUCUCCAGCUCUAUCGUCGAGCUUCUUCAUGAGCAGGUCUAGCUUUGCAGACAGCAUGUCUACCUCCUUCAGCUGAUGCAUACCUCCACCUCUCUUGCGUGUCUGGGUCCUCUCUUCAUUCCAGCUUUGGUUGGACGCCAUCUUCUCCACAAGAGCUGUGGCUUGUGGUAUAGUAAGUGAUAAGAAUGCUCCUCCAGCUGUAGCAUCCAUGGUCUCUCGGGCACUGUUGCUGAGCCCAUGAUAGAAUGUCUGCAUCAGUAGCCAACUCUCCAUUCCAUGAUGGGGACAUUCUAGGAUGUAGUCUUGAAAGCGCUCCCAUGCUUCUGGAAUAGAUUCAUCAUUUUGUUGCUGAAAACUUGUAAUCUUCCUACGGAGAGCAUUGGUCUUGCCCAUGGGAAAGAACUUAGCCAGGAAGUUUGUUGAGCAGAGUGCCCACGUAGUAUUCUUCUCCUUUGUAGCGUAGAACCACUGCUUCGCUCUUCCUAACAGUGAGAAUGGGAAGAGGCGAAGUAGUAUAGCGUCUUUGGAAACUCCUCCUAUGGUGAAUGUGUUGCAAAUCUCCAGGAAGUGUUGUAAAUGAGCACUAGCGUCUUCGUGUGCCUUCCCACAGAACUGGUUGGAUUGCACCAUGUUGAUAAGUCCAGGCUUGAGCUCAAAGUUGCCAUCGAUCUCUGCAGCAGGUCCAGUGCGGAUGUUGUCCGUAGUGGGAGCUGAGAACUCGCGGAUUGAUUUGUUCGCCAUGGCCUCGAACUCUGAAGACAUGUUCCGGUGAUCUUCUUGAUUGGAUGAAGCUUCUUGCUGAAGUGUUGAUGAUUUCUUUAGCUUGGCUCUCGUCUUCUUGAAUAAUGCUUCGGGAUUGUCAACAAAAUUUCCUGGAAGAUGUCUUCUAUUCAUACAUUCCCCUGCAUAAGAUAAAAUAGAAAAAUAUUGGGGUAAAACUGUAUGAGAGAAUAGAUAAGCUCAAUCAUAUUAGUGAUGCGAAUGAUAACUCAAACUCUUUUAUUCCAUUCCUGAUUAGUAAUCAACCUUCCCCGGCAACGGCGCCAAAAAUGCUUGUUGGGUAUUCUUAACAUCAUUACUAAAAGUAGACUAAGUUCUAAAUCUAGCAACGGUACCAAAAAUGCCAAACCUAUCCCUCACACCACUUAAGCCAAGUUGUUAUCCCCAGCAUGAUAUAAGAGACGCGGUAUUGAAAUAUGCAAUUGCUCUUCUAAAUAAAUAAUAAAUUGGAUCUGUAAGCGCACAGAUUAAUACCGAUGUAGCAUUUUAACCGGGAAGUAUUCCAGGUAUCGUUAUUUAUAUUUUUACCACUGGGAAGGGAUUAGCAAUCAUCACUAAUGAUUACAGAAUAGAAUAUGAGAUUGAGCAUCUAUCAUUGCAUGUAUAAUUGAGAACAUUAUAUCUAACACUUCAUACAGGACAAGUGUCACAUAAAAGAUAUAUGAAAUAAUAAUAGUGACAAGGAUAACUAAUUUGAUCUAGCCACAUAAUAAAUAUGAUAAGCACCUCAAUUAGAUACUCUAGAAAGUCAUUAGCAUGGUAUUAGAACGAGCUACAAGAAUAUUUCCUAAGUUAUUCUCAACUAUAUAGUCUAGCAUAUCAUAGUUAGUGCAAGCAUACUUAGCAAUCAUUGCGAGACAAGACUACGCCCAUGCAUAGUGAUAUUAGCAAGGAAUAUGAGAAACAUAGCAAUCACUCCCCUGUAAUAAUGUUGCUCUGCCAGCCCAAUACACGAGAGGGGGACUAUAUAAGAAUCAAUGAGGCUGUCACUAUCACGAACCACCCCACGAUCUGGCAUAUUGGGUACAAUCGCAGAUAAAUACGGUAUAAGCACCACGCCUACACAAUAUCUAUCAUUUACCCAUGGAUCCGAUGGAUAAAUGCUAUACGAUCCUAAGCAUGUAUAUAGAUCGAAUCUAACUAAGCCAAGUACAUAACUAUGAUAAACUAAGAACAAUAUAAUCUUGAAUAUAAGCAAGUAGAGCAAAGUCAUAAGCAAUAUAUUGAAGUAGAACAAAGUCAUAUUCAUAAUAUUGAAGAACAAAGAUAAUUAGAAAGCAAUUAGAAGCACAAUUAGAGAAUUACCAAGAAUCCUCUUGACAGAUCCGGAAACCAAUCGAAGAUUGACUCCUUCUAGUUCUAAUCCUAUGUAGCUAUGCUAAUCUAGAUAUCUAAUUGAUGUGGUGGCUCUAAUCUUGAUCAGAGGCUUCUUCUCCCUUGAUGGAACAAUGAAUUAGGGUUGAGAGGCUCUCUCCUCCAGGGGCCAGGGGGUCUGGUUUUAUAGUCCAUUCAAGUGAAUAUGGGCCCUUGGAUCAAACCGACAUAGAUUGUAUGGUUUAGAUUCAUCCUUUAGGUCGGUGGAGAUCUCCCGCAAAACAGAGUCUUGAUUGGACUCAGGAGGUGGGCGGGCGCCCUGACCAACUGGGCGGCCGCCCAGGGUCUGGCCCCGUUUCGCCUCUGCUUCGGUCUCGUGGCUUCUGGAGUCUUCUAGAUGUAAGAUAAUUGCGCAGCACGUUAAUACCUUUACGUAAUCCUAACAUGUGGGCCUUUCUUCCAUAUUUCCUGAUAACCCCCUACAGAAAUAGACAAACACCAAAACUCGUGGAAUUCUGUCAGAUAAAAUCCUAAGUCCAGAUCUUGAUUUCAAUUGGAUCCUUUUCUUUAUUUAUUUGAUAAUUAAAUUUGAUACUUAAGGACCGUCAACAGUGGGGAAGAAGUGUGGUGGGGAAGGAGAGGGGCUGCUGCUGGUGGUGUAUAGGACGAGAUAAUGGAUGGAUAAGGUUAAUGGUGAAGAAAAUAAUUACAAAGGAUAAGAUUUCUAUUUCACUCACUAUGAAAUUUCUUUUCCCAACAAACAUAAAACAGGGCAGGAAAACAACUGUAGCCUACUGCAGCCGUGGAAUGUAGAUUGGGUUGUAAAGUUUUGGUUGACAUCACAUAUUUGAAAUCAAUUAGCAAAAGUAUUGCAAGCAAUGGUAUAGCUUAACUCCUCAUGUGACUGUUGAUGUCCAUCUUCAUGAAACUUUUCUAGGGAUCACUAUAGGUAGUGAUUGAUGUGGGACACAUGAGAGAGGUUCCGUUAAUGUCACCCAAGCAUGCACUUUGAAAAGGGCCUAUAUGUAAAAAGGGUGCAUUCUCCAAGUUUAACUUGAGGCUCACUUUCAUGGCUUGACUUUAACAUGAUCAUCACCACUUAUCAUGACAUGUUUGAGCUCAAAACCUAAGGUCUAACUCGUGGCAAACACCUGGGGUGUUACAGAAGGUUUCUUGGCCAUGCUGGUUUUUAUCGCAGAUUCAUAAAAGAUUUUUCAUUCAUUGCUAGACCACUUACUCUUUUGCUAGCCAAGGAUGCUCCUUUCAAAUUUGAUGAUGUUGUUGAUAUUUGGGAACGCAAUAAGGAAUUGAUCCGCAAGCGCACGGAUAUCGGUGAGGACUUCACCCGGGAGGUUAUCCAGAGUAUCGUAUUUAUAUUUUUACCACUAGGAGAAAGAGUGCAUCUGACUAACCCAGUCUAUUACUACUAACCUUUAGGCUACAAAGAAUGUUUCUCGAUGUGAGUGAUAUAUAGAGAAGACUACAACCGUAAUCUCUUUCUAACCUUGGUAAGGAUGAUUUACUAUUCUAUUGGGGAAGCUUACGGAAUCUAGACACCGCAGAGGAUGUUCAACCCGCACCUAUAAACCCUAUCCUUCCUGCUAACGAGAUAUGGUCUGCAAAGGUAACUCAGAAAUGUCACGUUCGUUGCUACUACCACGGUCCAGCUAGUCAGGGGAUAUCUAUGAGUAUCCUAGCCCAAACAUCACGUCUAUGCUAGAGAUGAUUACUCUAAACUCUACGCGAAGAGAUUAAAGUAAACUCAUAAACCAAGGAACAAUAAAACAAGAACUUACUAGAAUUUAGAAGUCGAAAUACUAAAGAAUCCUAGGAGCAAGCUUCGGGUUAGGAGAACUGAUUGAUCCCGCAGGUACAACCUCAGAGUAGACACCGAUAGGCCGGGCUUCCUCUGAUCUACACCUCCACUCUAUGUCUCUCAAUCUAGUAGAAACUAGAAGAUCUAAUUCUACUCACAUUGGAUGCUGUUGACGGUCCUUAAGCACCAAAUAUAAUCAGCAAAUAAAUAAAGAAAAGGAUCCAAAUGCAACCAACACCCAGACUUAGGGUUUUAUCUGACACAAUUCCACGAGUUUUGGUGUUUGUCUAUUUCUGCAGGGGGUUAUCAGGAAAUACGGAAGAAAGGCGCACACGUCGGGUUUACAUAGAGAUAUUAACGUGCCGUGCAAUUUUCUACCAUCUAGAAGACUCCAGAAGCCACGGGAACGAACGGGAGGCCGAGCGGGCUCGGGGGCAGGGCGCCCGCCCAGCUACAGAGUUGGAUCAGGACUCUCUUUCGGGAUGAUGUUCCACCGACCUAAAGGAUCAAGGAUAACCGUUCAAUCAAUGUCGGUUUGAUCCAACGGCCCAGGUUCACUUGAGGGGACUAUAAAACCAGACCCCCUGGCCCCUGGAGGAGGCACCCCUUGAUCAUUAUUCAUUCAUAGACAGAGCAAAAGCUAGGGUUUAGAGAUGAGAGCUCUCCUCUCUUCUCUAAACUAGAGUAGAUCUAGAUAGUAGCGAGAUGGAGAGCGAAGGAGGAUUAGAGGAGAGGCCGGCCUGUCGGUUCUUCCUCCGGUUGUACUUCAUCAUGAUCAAGCUCUAAUCAAGCUGGCUCAUGGGAUGACUCUGGUAAUCUACUUCUAAUUCAUUAUGCAAUUACUAAUCAUGUAACUUCUGGUUCACAAUUCUUUUGAGUACUUCUAAUCUAUAGGACCCUAUAGGUUAGAGUUGUAGUAUAGGUGUAAGCGUGGUGCUUCGACCUAGAUUACUUGUGGAUAUCCCCUGUCUAGCUGAAUCGUGUGGUAGGCCGCGUAGGUGACAGUUACGUUCGUCCUCUGUAGUCCACCUCUCGUUAGCAGGACGGGUAGGGUUUAUCGGCCUAAGGAUAAGCAUCCUUUGUGGUGUACUCUUAUCACGUGGUUCAUCCUAGACAUGGACAUACCCCUUUGAAGUAGAGAAACUAUAGUUAUCCUCUCUAUUCUGCUACCAUCGCCCAUAUACUAGAAUUGCUCUACUCUCUAUUCCCAUAUUACCACCCAUUGUUAUCUUACCUUUAACAUUGUUCUUAUUCAAUUCUACCAUCUUUUCUAUUUACACUUAUCUAUCUAUCUUGGUUAAGUUAGAGCGUAGUUGGUUCUCCCGUUUCCCUAUGGAUACGAUAAAACCUUUAACCGGGUAAAAGCUUCAACGGUAUCCGUACGCUUGCGGAUUAUCUGUGUGCGUAUAAAUACCAUAGUACACUCUAGUGCCAUGCUGGGGAUGACAACCUAGUAUUCAAGUGGUGUUAGCAAGUGUCAACAAGCAUUUUUGGCGCCGUUGCCGGGGAGGGGGUUGUUGAGUUGACUACGAACUAGCUUAAUCAUUUUCUAAAAAAUAAAAAAAUUAUAUAUAUAUAUAUAUAUUUCCUUUUAUCUUUUACUUAUCUCUGCUAUUCUUUCCUCUUAUCUAAUCCUUGAUCUCUGGUCUAUCAUGAAUUCAAACAUGUCUAUCUAUGAAUUUCAUAGACCUACGGGCACACAUCUCGAACCACCAAAAUCUUCAAAGCCUAUCAUAGCAUCUAGUUUUGAGAUAGACCCCGAAUACAUAGAAUUUGUUCAAAAACAACCUUUCCAGGAGAAGGUGAGGAAAACCCAUACACACACCUAAGAAAGUUUUAUCGAGUCUGUGACCUCCUUCGCAUAGAAGGCAUGUCCGAUGAGACCCUUAAAUGGAAGCUCUUUCUGUUCUAUUUAACGGGAAAAGCUAGACAUUGGUACAAACUCAAAGUAGGGAGUAUUCAUGGAGAUUGGAAGGAGUUAUAUAGUAGUUUUCUUUCUAAAUAUUUUCCAAUCUCCAAAGUGGUGGAACUUCGGCGUGAGAUUCUUUCUUUUAGACAACUGGAAGAAGAAUCUCUUGGCAAAUCAUGGGACCGCUUUAUUAAUCUUACUCUCACUGGCCCAAAGCUUUCUAUUCCAGAAGAAGUUCUUCUAAUUAAUUUUUUUGAGGGCCUUAGUAGGAAAAAUAAGCAAACCCUUUAUGCGGCCUCUGGAGGAUCUUUCCACCACCUAUCCGCUAGUGAAGCUUGGAAUUUGAUUGAUUUAAUGAGCGAAAAGUCUCCUAGCUUUUAUAUCCCUGAGAAAGAGAAGGAACCAGUUCCUAGACAAGAAGAAGAAGUUUCGAUAGCCAGAUCACAACCACUUCAAUUCCAAACUUUAGCUAUCGAUCCUAAACCAUCAAUAUCCCAAAAUUCUGCAAGGGAGGAAGAAAUUCCGACCUUAAAUCUUUCAGAUGCUGAUGGUUUAGACUUCUGGCUCCAUAAGAGACCUUCAAGCAGGGAUAAUUCAAAUCCUUGCAAUAAUGUUUCUCUUAGAGAAUGUCCUGGUUGCUAUUAUGAAGAAGUCGAGGAUGACAUAUCAAGUGAAGGAGAGCUAAACCAUAUAGAAAAUUCUAUCUGCUCCCCUUCCAUGUUCACAAAUUCUAAAUCCAUCCUUGACCUUAGAGACCCCUCUUAUCCCUCUCCUUUUAAGUCUCAUGAUGAUCCUAGCAAUCCAUCAAGACAACCAAACCAUAGGAGUCAUGAAGACCAUAAGGAUGGCAUAGAAGGAGAGCUAAGCCAUAGGGAAGAUUCUAUCAGCUCCCCUGUCUUGAUCACAAGUUCUAAAUGGCUAGAAUGUGUAGAAUGGAUGGAUAAGGAAGAAGCCUUAAUGGAUUCUGACUUUGGCUCAAUUUCAAAUGGUGAGUUCUUGACUCCCUUUGAAGAUGAAAUUCAUCCAACUACAGAAGAGGACAUAGGUGAGACCAAUCCAGGAGAAACUCCAAAUAUUCAGAUUGGAGACGAAGAUAACAUUAAUGAGCAUGGAAUUUAUUUCAUAGCCACUUCAUUUACUCCAUGCUCAUAUGCAACAUCUUUCCAAUCUAUUGGUCUCUCCAACAUCACCACAUUUGAGAUCUCCAACCCCAUCUUCCUUUCUAUUUAUAAAAACUUUAAAAGGGCAAUUGUCGAUGCAUAUGUCUAUAAUAAAUAUUGCAGAUCUCGUUGAGUUGAUCUUGAUAUAGGUUAGCGUUGGAAGGGAAACCACUUCGCCGACAUAAAUUGAUGGUUUCCCAAGGACAAGCUUAGUGUCCUAAAUAAGCACUGAUCAGAUUGUAACAUGAGCUUUUAACAUUACCUUGUGUAUUGAGCAUAUAAGGAUAAUUGUAAAAAUAUUCCUUCGGGUAUUCUUGUCACUAACCUUUCCAGGAUUGGAGCAAGAAGAUUGGAUGAAUGACAAGCACAAGGUAUGUCCAACCAAUCAUCAUACAACAUUGAAUUAAAUCCAAACUUGAAUUUUGCAAAAUUCAAGCUUGGGGGAGUACUUUACAUAAAAACAUCCUUUGCCAUGUUGCUAUGUUGGUUGUCCCUACCUUUGACACAUGCUCAAUUUGUUAAGUACUAAUCACACUACUUCAUCUCCACUUGAGUAGAUCUCUAUAAAUGCUGUCAUGCUACCUUUGUCUAUUUACUAGCAAGUGUUGGUUUGGAAGUACUCGCCAUACUUCCAUUGGCAUUUAAAUUAAUCAUGGUGCUUAGGAUAAAUAGCCUUCCUUAAUCUGAUUAGACAUGGAGUCUAGUUUGGUUAUUGAACUAAAAACUGCUUGAGUAGAUAUUGGUAUAUUUUGUCGAACUAACCCCUGCAGGAAAACUUUCAAUAUAGAUUUGGGAAGUCCUGAGAUAAGCUCACAUCAGAGAUGAAGAGAGUGACACAUGAAGUUUAACAAUUUGCACAAGAAGUACAUAGCUCAUUCAUCAUACAGAGAUGAUCCAUGGAAGGAGACAAAGUACAUAAACAAGAUACACAACCACUACGAAAGGAAAGCUUCCACAAGGUGAUACUAUACCAUCAGUCUUCAAUUAAGGUAACAUCUUAAGAUAUCUGACUAUCACUUUUAUAAGCUUCUCCUUGGUUCUGGUGUUCACAUAAAUAAAGAGACAAACAUGUAUGAUUUAUAACUCCAAAUUAACCAACCCAACUGAUUCAGCAUGUUUAGUCCUUUAAUCUUUGUUCCUAGUACUACCUCCAUGAUCCCACCCUAAUCAUAUGAGCUAAAAUGUUACACAUUCAAUCUUUGAGAGAUAUAAAGAAAAAUACAUAUACAUAGAUAGAUUAUCUUUCCAUAAGGUUGAGCGAUCUGAUCCGGCAAAUGUUUUAAAUGCUACACUCAUGAACUUAUUCAUUCAUCAACUUUGUCUUGCUCACCAUGCUUAAGGUUAGAGAAGAACAAAUACACUUUUGGUUCUGUUGGUGUUUUCCACCAACAGGGCCCAUGCACUUGAUCUCUGCCUUGUCUCUAUGAGCAGGUACACUACGAGCACAAACACACUGAGCAAGAUACUGCCAACACCGCACUUCGAACUACUGGGAAAACGAAGAACAUGAGUGACACCGUAUUAAGAGGUGCAGACGUCAAGGUCCACACCAGAAUCAAAUGACGCUGGUGGCGUAAAAAUAAAAUAAAUAUAUUCCUGUCCUAUAAAAAUGAAAAUAUAAAUAUAAGAUUGUGAUCCCACUAAAGAGAAUAACAUUUAUUAGAGGAAGCUCAACAUGCUAACGGCUAAGAGAUUUUAUGCUAAUACUUAACCAGUUCCACAAAGCUUUGUUGUCUAUUUGAGCUCCACAGAAUUCAAGGAUCAAAAAAGACUAGCAGAAUGGAGGACAUUCUAAUCGCUGUUAGGGUGUUGCCGACAUUCAAAUACACCUCCGCCACCUGCUAGCUACAUCAAAAGAAAUUACGUCAAAAUCCAGCUUGGGAGAGAGCACCCCCAUUUAUCCAGCUAAGUGUUUCUACUCGCGUUUAUACUUUACUCAAAUAAUAAAAAGAUGCAUAAUCAUAAAAACCCAAUUAAAGAAUUUGUGCUUAUAUAUAUAUAUCUAUGCUUAGUUUGCUAAAUAAAUAAAUAAAUAAAGUUUGCUAUGAACCCUCAUGAUAAGCUCUCACAUGGAAAUGAUGAAUAGUUGCUCUGCCAUGACUAGUUCUCAAAAUUGAAAUCUCUCUCAAGUUUGGGCAUGACUGUUAUGAAUUAAGAUUUCUGUAAACCUGAACUUGUGGGAAGAGUACUUGAUCUAAAGUCUAAGUCGUUAACGGAUAUGAUAUGGGAAGGUUGAGCUGUUGUUUUUCUGUUCCUAGAGAUGCUAGAUCUAGAAUUCUGGAGAAUUUUAUCUUUGAAAAUCUUUAAAAAUAACGGAUAUGAUAUGGGAAGGUUGAGCUGUUGUUUUUCUGUUCCUAGAGAUGCUAGAUCUAGAAUUCUGGAGAAUUUUAUCUUUGAAAAUCUUUAAAAAUGUUGCAUGAUGAGUUCCUGUAUGAUGAGAGUUUAAAAUCCUACCACAGCCAUAUAUACAUGCUUAUUAGACUAUGAACCAUACAUUUACUUUUUACUGCUUAUGAGCAUUGAGUGUGGUCAAGCUAUGUAGACCCUUAGGAGCUUGACAUGUGGUUAUAAUCAAGAUUCACUUGCACGUUCACUCAUACAUGCUGCUUCUACUCCGGAAGUACGCAUCCACAUACAUCCACUCCUUUCCAUCUCCAGAUUCACCUAAAAUUAUUCUACUCCUAUCCAGGAGAGAAUAGCCAAAAACAUUAUCCUAUCCCUGUUAUUCCCCGUGAAAUAAAUGCUCGAGAUAUUUUGGUUACUACCACUUGCUACAUUAUUCUAGGAGGGUGAGUGCUCUAAAAAAAGUGAAUACGAGGAAAUAAAAAGGGGCAAGUGCCCGGAACCUCGAAAGAAAAGAAAAAGUGAGGCGAGAGGUAAAAAUGGACAAGUGUCCGACAGUAGAAUUAGGGGUACAAGAUACCCACUUGAGAGAAAAGAAAAAAAGAGAAGAAAUAAAAUAUAGAGCAUCUCAUUCCCCUCAAAAAGCUUCAAAGUGCAAGAAAGGUAUGUAUCCCCUCAAAAGAGCAAAAGUAGAAUUAGACUUUCACCAAUGUUUUCACCAUCAUCACCAUACACCAUUCAUUCGCCACACAAGCACAUCUUGAUUUGACUUAUUGACUUGUUUCUCUAGAUCUAUGGUUUGACUAUGCAAUAAAUGUCUUGUAAGUAUGUAUUAGCUGUCUCCCACCUAUGAGCUCUAGAUAUCAAACCUUAUUAGAGUAGGGUGAGAGAGAAGGCAAUAUCACUAUGCCUCAUACCACAAAUACUACAUACUUUGAGAGAAGGCGUAUAUUACCACUGCCUUGGUAAGGAUCCAGAAAUACCACAAAAGAGAGACUAGAGAGAGUCAUACAAGGAAUCUCUGAGUUUUAUUUGAAAAUCUGCAAAAACUCCAGAGCUAUAGUUGAUAAAGAACAAGAGAUAUGAUGCUUGACUUGACCGUUCUAUCUUUUAACUGCUCAAGACACAAGUGACGGUUGCAAGCCCCAUGGUGAAAGGUAAUAUGAGUAAGUUUUAAAUCUUAAUAGUUUACCCUAACCUAGAGAUGAGAUCUUGUUUAAACGCAUGUGUACCUUUAAGGCAUAAAACCACUGCAGAAACUCUUGAGUCCAUCCUUGCUCAGGGACGAGCAAGAGGUAAGUUUGGGGGAGUUGUUGACGGUCCUUAAGUACCAAAUAUAAUCAGCAAAUAAAUAAAGAAAAGGAUCCAAAUGCAACCAACACCCAGACUUAGGGUUUUAUCUGACAGAAUUCCACGAGUUUUGGUGUUUGUCUAUUUCUGCAGGGUGUUAUCAGGAAAUACGGAAGAAAGGCCCACAUGUCGGGUUUACAUAGAGAUAUUAACGUGCCGCACAAUUUUCUAUCAUCUAGAAGACUCCAGAAGCCACGGGAACGAAUGGGAGGCCGAGCGGGCUCGAGGGCAGGGCGCCCGCCCUCCCCUCUUGGGCGCCCGCCUAGCUACAGAGUUGGAUCAGGACUCUCUUUUGGGAUGAUGUUCCACCGACCUAAAGGAUCAAGGAUAACCGUUCAAUCAAUGACGGUUUGAUCCAACGGCCCAGGUUCACUUGAGGGGACUAAAAAACCAGACCCCCUGGCCCCUAGAGGAGGCACCCCUUGAUCAUUAUUCAUUAUUCAUAGACAGAGCAAAAGCUAGGGUUUAGAGAUGAGAGCUCUCCUCUCUUCUCUAAACUAGAGUAGAUCUAGAUAGUAGCGAGAUGGAGAGCGAAGGAGGAUUAGAGGAGAGGCCGGCCUGUCGGUUCUUCCUCCGGUUGUACUUCGUCAUGAUCAAGCUCUAAUCAAGCUUGCUCAUGGGAUGACUCUGGUAAUCUACUUCUAAUUCAUUAUGCAAUUACUAAUCAUGUAUGUUCUGGUUCACAACUCUUUUGAGUACUUCUAAUCUAUAGGACCCUAUAGGUUAGAGUUGUAGUAUAGGUGUAAGCGUGGUGCUUAGACCUAGAUUACUUGUGGAUAUCCCCUGUCUAGCUGGAUCGUGUGGUAGGCCAUGUAGGUGACAGUUACGUUGGUCCUCUGUAGUCCACCUCUCGUUAGCAGGACGGGUUGGGUUUAUCGGCCUAAGGAUAAGCAUCCUUUGUGGUGUACUCUUAUCACGUGGUUCGUCCCAGACAUAGACAUACCCCUUUGAAGUAGAGAAACCAUAGUUAUCCUCUCUAUUCUGCUACCAUCGCCCAUAUACUAGAAUUGCUCUACUCUCUAUUCCCAUAUUACCACCCAUUGUUAUCUUACCUUUAACAAUGUUCUUAUUCAAUUCUAACAUCUUUCCUAUUUACACUUAUCUAUCUAUCUUGGUUAAGUUAGUGCGUAGUUGGUUCUCCCGUUUCCCUGUGGAUACGAUAAAACCUUUAACCGAGUAAAAGCUUCAACGGUAUACGUGCGCUUGCGGAUUAUCUGUGUGCGUAUAAAUACCAGAGUACACUCUAGUGCAAUGCUGGGGAUGACAACCUAGUAUUCAAGUGGUGUUAGCAAGUGUCAACAGAUGCUAAGCCCUAAGUCUAUUUAGAGGAGAGGUAUUCCUUUGAGGGCUCCUCUCAACUCUAUGAUGAACUUCUGUCUCCUCUAGGGGCCAGGGGGUCUGCUUAUAUAGUCCCCUCAGGUGAACGUGGGCCGUUGGAUCAAACCGACGUUGAUUGAACGGUUAUCCUUGAUUCUUUAGGUCGGUGGAGCGUAAUCCGCGAAGAGAGUCUGGAUUGGACCCCAGAGGGGGGCAGGUGCCCUGGUCCCUAGGGCGAGCGCCCUGGGCCAGGCCCCGUUCUGCCUUCGCUUUGUUCUCGUGGCUUCUGGACUCUUCUAGAUAGUAGAAAAUUGCGCGGUGUGUUGAUAUCUCUAUGUAAUCCCGACAUGAUGGCCUUUCUUCCUUAUUUCUUGAUAACCCCCUAUAGAAAGAGAUAAACAACAAAACUCGUGGAAUUAUGUCAGAUCAAACCCUAAUUCUAGGUGUUGUUUGCAUAUUGGUCCUUUCUCUUGUUUAUUUAUUAAUUAAAAUUGAUACUUAAGAACCGUCAACAAAUACCCCCGUACUUAGGCUUUUACUCGUCCUUGAGAAAAGGAUGGUUAAGAAAAAUAUCUGGUGUAAAACAUUGUAAAACAUUUUCUUCAUACCUGCAGGGUGCUGUAAAAAUUUCACUAUGUACCAUAGUCAGGGAACUGUAUGGUUAAGAGUAGAGAUCCUUUCUUCUCAAUCCUGUCACUUAGAGUUUUUGUAUAUUUUUGAAAAGAAAUUCAGCAUACCUUUAUCCUCAUAGGUUCUCUCAGGUCACUCAUUUAUCUUUUAUAUAUCUCACUGAGGCUAUCUUAAUUUGCAAAAAAUCUCAAGCAUACUUACUUUGUAUUUAUUGCCUGAUCAAAAUGGGAUCCGAGGAGAGGAAUAACAUACUCUUAGAUCAAAGACUUUGGAAAUUAAAAACUUGUCAACUCUUACUAGCAAAAUGCUUUUUAGAGGGACCAUGGGCUAUCAUUUUUUUCUCUCUUUUUUUUUCAGGUGGAUACCGAGGUACCCCUAAUUCUACUACCAGACACUUGUCCAUUUUUUUCUGCGAGGUUAUCGAGCACUUGCUCCUUUUUAUUUCUUCGAAAUAUCCUUAUUUUUGCAUAGCCCAUGCCUCUAACGCAAUAAUACUUCGGAAGAGUGAAUCUUUCUGAAUAGAUGUCUUGAUCUUAGGAGCAUGAUAAAUCUCUCAACAAGGGUCUUACUCAUUUGGAACAAACUCAAUACAGAGCAGAUAGCUUUUAUAAUUAUCAUAUUAAUAUUUUCAGGUUUAGUAGGCAUAUAAAACACUGAAGUUGGUAGCUAGAAUUUUUGAAUAAAUUCUCCAAGCAACAAUGAUAUCAAAAAUAAGAUACUCAUACUCUACCAUCUCACAUUCCACAAUGACUUAAGUAACACAGGGUUUUAAAAUGAUUUUUCAAUAAUUUCAGAUUUUUUGGAAAUAUCACAGAGUGAGAUUAAUCAUGAUUAGAAACAUUUUAAUCUUUUUAAUUUAUCAUGUCGGAAACAGUAUCCUACAUAAUCCAAGAUAUAUAUGUGUAUGUGUAAAGUAAAGUGUGCAGAGUAUGUACCUGAAUCGUGGAGUGGUGUAGUCGAAGUGUGUUUCGCAUGUCGAGGGAUCUCCCCCAUACUUGAUUUCUGCUUUCUUGUAUAAAAAUAAAGUAGAGACACACAAGACACAAUAAUAAUAAUAAUACUCUUUAUUAAUCUUGAGGCAUUUAUUACAAAUGACUAGUGAUAAACUGACGAUAAUAAUAGAUCUAAACCGAAUUUGAAGAUAAAUAACUAAGAUGCAUUGCCUCAAGGUCUAAUCUAGAUAACUUAGCGGCGCUCUAACUCCUUGAUCUUCUUAUUGGCACUAGCAAGAUCAUGCCUAAGGCCUAGUAUAACGGUGUUGUGGUUAGAGAGCUGCCUAGUGAUGGAAUUAACUGGGGACUGGAGGUCUAUGAUGACCCUGUCUAGCCUGCGAACGUCCUCAUCAAUAUCUACUAUAGUCUUACGACGCUUAGGAGGUGUCUCGAGAGCAUUGAGAGCGUGCUUUGGGGCUGCCUUUGGAGGGAUGAAACAGGCUUUGGCUGCUCUAAUCUCCUCAAAGUAAGGCCUCUCCUCCUCCAUAGUGUAGCGGAUGCUCCUGAUCUCGCCGCUCCGGUUGGUCUUGACUCCAACGACCCUCUCAUUGGGUCUGGGUGGAAGGAUCCUCGUGCCGGCUGGCACCUUGAUGGUGGUCUCCUUCUUGGCUGAUGGUCCCUUGAGAAGUAGGGGCUACGGUGGUGCGGUGACAACUGGUUGAGCAUGAUAGGAUUGGGCGGAGCUACGCUGGCGUAAUGGCAUGGCUUCUAGCUAUCGCUCUGUGUUGGCCGGGACGAGAGCACGGGCGUCGGGGUCUUCCUUAGGCUUCUUGUUGAGGUCGUAGGGAACGACUUCCUAAUCGUCAUGGAACUCUUUGGCCAUUGGAGCAGCGAGGAACUAAGCAAUCUCUAAUUGAAAAAGGAGAGAAGGCUUGAAUAGAUUGGUGUUUGAAAACUGACGUCAGGGGUCUGUUUAUAUAGGGGUCAAAAAGUGCCUCUAGGGGUUGUUCGGGUUACUCCCGUCGCCGUGUGAAACUUUCCAUCUGAAGGAUUAUUUGGUUUACCAUAAAUGUGUUUUCCGCGACGGGGGAAAUCAUGACCGAGAGGGGUCAGGGGCUAGGUGCCCGCCCUCUUCGUCAGGGCGCCCGACCUGUGUCUGGCCCCUCUGUGGGCCCGCUUCCUCGAGCGUGUUUCUAGAUGCAAAACUUAUUAGGAAAAUAUAUAUGUGACCCAAAAACGUCAGAUUAAAAAGGUUGGGCUCUUAAUCUCCAUGGGAAGGUAAAAAUGGAUUACGUCUAUUUCUUCUAAUUCUUUAUUGGGCUCUAAAAAUAAUUUAAGACGUUGACCAUUUACCUUGAAUAACGUACCUUCAUCAUUUUGAAGUGUGAUAGCUUCGUGGAAUGAUGAAUUGAUUACCUUGAAUGGUGCUUCCCAUUUACUUCGGAGUUUUCCAUGCCCGAAAAGCUUCACCCCAGAAUUAAAAAGUAAUACCUUAUCUCCGUGUGCGAACUCCUUCUUGAUCCUCUUGUAAUGCCACCUUUUGACUCUUUCUUUGUAGAUCUUCGAAUUGUGAUAUGCUUUCUCUCGCCAUUCUUCCAAUUCUGAUAGUUGUAUUCUUCUAUGCUCUCUAGUGACAUCUAAGUCCAUAUUCCAUCUCCUUAUGGCCCAGUGUGCUUUGAACUCUAGUUCAACAGGUAGGUGGCAAGUCUUCCCGUACACCAAUUGGUAUGGGGACAUUCCAAUUGGGGUCUUGUAUGCUGUCCGAUAUGCCCAGAGUGCAUCGGGUAACUUGUCUUUCCAUGCCGUUCCCAUUUCAUUCACUGUUUUCUGAAGAAUAUUCCUAAUUUGCUUGUUGGAAGUCUCUGCUUGGCCACUUGUCUGAGGAUGGUAAGGGGUAGCGAAGUUGUGACGGAUUCCAUGUUUUGAUAGAUAUUGCUUGAAGCGUUUGUCGAUGAAGUGUGCUCCUCCAUCACUUAUCACUACUCUGGGGACUCCAAAUCUUGGAAAUAUAAUUUCUUCAAACAUCCUCUUUGAACUGAUGUUGUUGGCAUGCUUGCAAGGUAGUGCCUCUACCCACUUGGAGACGUAGUCAACUACCACCAAGAUGAACUCACACUUCUUUGAUGGGGGAAAUGGACCCAUGUAAUCUAUUCCCCAGACAUCGAAGAGCUCAAUCUGAAGGUUGUUAGUGAGUGGCAUGGCAUCUCUUCUAUUUAUCUUUCUGUGCCUUUGACAUGGCCCACAUCUCCUGAUAUAUUGCUUCAUGUCUUCAUACAUUGUAGGCCAGUAGAAUCCACACUGCCAGAUCUUUGAAUGUGUACGGAAUGCUCCAUAAUGACCUCCAUAAGGUGAUGAAUCACAUCUGUCGAUGAUCUUCCAUCCUUCCUCAGUGGUCACACACCCCCUGAGUAAGCCAUCAGAGCAUACUCGGAAGAGGUAUGGCUCAUCCCAUAUAUGUGAAUGACUUUCUUGAAUAAGCUUCUUCUUGUUUGCUCCUGGUGGUACAUACCCUGAAACCAUAAAAUUAACAAUAUCUGCAUACCAGGGGUCAGACCUAUUAAUCCCGUAGAGCAUGUCGUCCCGGAGUGAAUCUUUGAUGGAGGUUUCCUGUGGACUCGUAAAAUACAUUCUAGACAAGUGAUCAGCAACAGAAUUUUCUAUUCCCUUUUUAUCUUUUAUUUCUAAGUCAAAUUCUUGAAGUAAUAAGAUCCAUCUAAUCAGGCGAGGUUUAGCAUCUUUUUUAGUGAGCAAAUAUUUUAGUGCAGCAUGAUCAGUGUAAACAAUUAUUUUCUCUCCAACUAAAUAAGAUCUAAAUUUAUCAAUGGCAAAGACAACAGCUAGAAGCUCUUUUUCAGUGGUUGCAUAAUUAAGUUGAGCUCCUGUCAAAGUUUUACUGGCAUAAGCAAUUGCAUGAUGCUUCUUAUUUUUAGUUUGUCCCAAAACUGCCCCCACAGCAUAAUCACUAGCAUCACACGUAAUUUCAAAGGCAACGACCAAUCAGGGGGUCGAAUGAUUGGUGCAGAGAUGAGUGCUUUCUUUAAUAAAUUGAAAGAUGUUAGACAUGCAUCAUCAAAUUCGAAAGGAGCAUCCUUGGCUAGCAAAAGAGUAAGUGGUCUAGCAAUGAAUGAAAAAUCUUUUAUGAAUCUGCGAUAAAAACCAGCAUGGCCAAGAAAGCUUCGAAUUCCUUUUAUGUUCACAGGUGGAGGUAGUUGUUCAAUUACUUCAAUUUUAGCUUUGUCUACCUCAAUACCUCUUUCAGAAUCUAGGUGUCCCAGCACUAUUCCUUCCCUAACCAUAAAAUGACAUUUUCCCAAUUAAGGACUAAGUGCUUUUCUUCACAUCUUUGCAAAACCUUGUCUAAGUUUUCAAGACAACUAUCAAAAGUUUUUCCAUAAACAGAGAAAUCAUCCAUGAAAACUUCCAUAAUCUCUUCAAUCAUAUCAGAAAAUAUAGACAUCAUGCAUCUUUGAAAAGAAGCUGGUGCAUUACAUAACCCAAAAGACAUUCUACGGUAAGCAUAGGUUCCAUAUGGGCAUGUAAAAGUGGUUUUGCUUUGACCAUCGGGAUGGAUCGGGAUCUGGUGAUACCCUAAGUAUCCAUCUAAGAAACAGAAGAACGAAUGGUUUGCUAAUCGCUCUAGCAUCUCAUCUAUGAAAGGUAAAGGGAAAUGAUCCUUUCUCGUGGCUUUAUUUAGUUUUCUAUAGUCUAUGCACAUCCGCUACCCUGUGACGGUGCGUUGCAGAAUUAGCUCGUUCUUUUCAUUCAUAAUGACAGUCAUGCCUCCCUUUUUAGGCACAACUUGAACUGGGCUCACCCACUCACUGUGCGGCACAGGAUAUAUAAUCUCUGCAUGCAGCAACUAUAUAACUUCCUUUUUAACUACCUCUCUCAUCGUGUUGUUAAGUCUACAUUGGGGCUCUCGAGAAGGUGAAACAGAAGGAUCUGUUGGAAUACGAUGAGUACAAAUCAUAGGACUGAUUCCUGUAAGAUCUUGGAGUGAGUUGCCAAAAACUGAGUGAUGUUUCUCAAGAAUGGUCAUUAAUCACAGAGUUUGCUCCUAAGUGAGUUUGUCACUAAUGAUCACAGGAAACUCUAGAUUAUUGUUUAGGAAAGCAUAGAUAGGACCGGGUGGUAAAGUUUUAAGCUCUAUGGGAGGUCUAGGCGUUUCUGCAAACUCGUCUAAGGGUUCAGGUUCAGAGGGUUCAGCUUCUUCUUCUAUGAAGAAAGGAGCUUUGUCUUCUAAGUCUGGUUCUUCUAAAAUCUCUAGAGAUGCAGCCUUUAUCUCCUCCAUAGGAUCAGGCCAAAGAUAUGACUCGGCCUUAUUAUUUAAAGAGUGAGAAAUCGUUAUGGGAAAUUUAAAAGUUUUUCCAAAAGAAAUGUGUAGCUUUCCAGUAUGACCUUCAUAAAGGAGUCUUCUAAAAGGUUGUCCUAUCAACAGGUCGAAGUCCCAUGUAUCAAAGAUAUAGAAGUUCAAAUGAACCAUGGAGCCUUCUACCAUAAAGGGUAGGACAUUAAUAAUUCCAAGACUCGGGACUAAUCGUCCUGAAGAUUCCUUUAUGACUUUUGUUGUGGGGGUUAAAACCAAAUUUUUAAAUAAUUUAAGUGCAGAAGAUUCAGACAUAAUGUUGAUCCCCACAACUGGAUUAUAGAGAGCAUCAAAUCGAUCAGAAUCAUAAGCACAGUGUAUAGUUGUAGAGGGUGUGUCCAAACGGAUCACAUCAGAGGAAAGCUGUGACUCCUCCAACCAUUCGCUACUCAUGACUGAGAUAAGCUCUCUCAAUUGAUAUUCAGUUAGCAAACAAAUGCUAAAAUGGCCAUUUUGGGGUUUGUCAAUAGAAUGGUAGUUUGAAGUAUUUCCAAAAUCGGCAAAAAGAUUAGAUUCUAUAUCCAGCAUGAAAUUAGGUGGUGGAAUUUCUUCCUUUUGUGGCUCAGAACUUGGGAUAGCUAAAUUAGAUGAAGGAUUUGGCAGAGUGACUACUUCGGCAUCGUGGGUUUCAUCAUGAAGGGUAUUAUCCAUCUCAGCUUCUAGGAUUCUAUCUAAGAUUACUCUAGCAUCUUCAGUAGGGAUGCGAAAGAAAGAACCUCUAGACAUUGUAUGUAGCAUUUGUUUAUGAUCUUUUUGAAAACCUCGAAUAAAGGGAAAUAAAAGAAAAGGGUCUUCAAGAUUAAGGUUUGGACCAGAUUCUAAAAGAUCAGAAAAACGUUUCCAGGAUUUUCCCAAAGUUUCAUUAUCUUUUUGUUUAAAAGAUAGGACUUCGAGUCUAAGGUCGCUGAUACGGUCGAGGGAAUAAAAAUCUAGACAAAAUUAGGCUCGUAAAACUCCCCAUUCACCUCGUUGUUGACUUACCUUCUGACUGUACCAUUGUCUAGCUUCUCCCCUUAAUGAAAAAGGAAAAAGCUUCCAAUGUAAAGUUUUAUCAGAAAUGCCUUCAAUACGAAGACAAUCACAUGUUUGCUCAAAAUCUCUAAUAUGAAGGUAAGGGAAGAUAGGUUUUGAAUCAUGACAAUCAACCUAGAACUUAACCUAUACUGGGAUGUUUGGAUAGGCUGUGAUGACUCCCAUGGUAAAACGUCAGUUUCCGAAGGUGUUGCAAAUUGAUAGAUUGAUUUAGAAUAUUGGUUUUCCAUAAGGUAAGAAUAAAAAAAAUAAACAAAGAAUAUAAAAGAUAAGAAAAGAUAAAAGUAUAGAUACAAGCUAGGAGUAAGACUCAAGGUUAUCUCAGCAAACCGUCUUUCUCCCCGGCAACAGUGCCAGAAAUAAUUGUUGAUAUUUGGGAACGCAAUAAGGAAUUGAUCCGCAAGCGCACGGAUAUCGGUGAGCACUUCACCCGGGAGGUUAUCUAGAGUAUCGUAUUUAUAUUUUUACCACUAGGAGAAAGAGUGCAUCUGACUAACCCAGUCUAUUACUACUAACCUUUAGGCUACAAAGAAUGUUUCUCGAUGGGAGUGAUAUAUAGAGAAGACUAUAACCGUAAUCUCUUUCUAACCUUGGUAAGGAUGAUCUAGUGUUCUAUUAGGGAAGCUUACAGAAUCUAAACACCACAGAGGAUGUUCAACCCACACCUAUAAACCCUAUCCUUCCUGCUAACGAGAUAUGGUUUUCAAAGGUAACUCGGAAAUGUCACGUUCCUCGCUACUACCACGGUCCAGCUAGUCAGGGGAUAUCUAUGAGUAUCCUAGCCCAAACACAACGUCUACGCUAGAGAUGAUUACUCUAAACUCUACAUGAAGAGAUUAAAGUAAACUCAUAAACCAAAGAACAAUAAAACAAGAACUUACUAGAAUUUAGAAGUCAAAAUACUGAAGAAUCCUAGGAGCCAGCUUCGGGUUAGGAGAACUUGAUCCCGCAGGUACAACCUCAGAGUAGACACCGACAGGCCGGGCUUCCUCCGAUCUACACCUCCACUCUAUCUCUCUCAAUCUAGUAGAAACUAGAAGAUCUAAUUCUACUCACAUUGGAUGCUAAGCCCUAAGUCUAUUUAGAGGAGAGGUAUUCCUUCGAGGGCUCCUCUCAACUCUAUGAUGAACUUUUGUCUCCUCCACGGGACAGGGGGUCUACUUAUAUAGUCCCCUCAGGUGAACGUGGGUCGUUGGAUCAAACCGACAUUGAUUGAAUGGUUAUCCUUGAUCCUUUAGGUUGGUGGAGCGUAAUCCGCGAAGAGAGUCCUGAUUGGACUCCAGAGGGGGGCGGGCGCCGUGGUCCCUAGGGCGAGCGCCCUGGGCCAGGCCCCGUUCUGCCUCCGCUUCAUUCUCGUGGCUUUUGGAGUCUUCUAGAUGGUAGAAAAUUGCACGGUGCGCUGAUAUCUCUAUGUAAUCCUGACAUGUGGGCCUUUCUUCCUUAUUUCUUGAUAACACCUGUAGAAACAGAUAAACAACAAAACUCGUGGAAUUCUGUCAGAUCAAACCCUAAAUCUUGGUGUUGUUUGCAUAUUGGUCCUUUCUCUUGUUUAUUUGAUAAUUAAAAUUGAUACUUAAGAAUCGUCAACAGAUGCAUGCCUAAUAGCUUUUGAAUUAUUAAAGAAUGCACUCAUCUUUGCACCAAUCAUUCAACCCCCUGAUUGGUCUUUACCUUUUGAAAUUAUGUGUGAUGCUAGUGAUUAUGCUGUGGGGGCAGUUUUGGGACAAACUAAAGAUAAGAAGCAUCAUGCAAUUGCUUAUGCCAGUAAAACUUUGACAGGAGCUCAAUUUAAUUAUGCAACCACUGAAAAAGAGCUCCUGGCUAUUGUCUUUGCCAUUGAUAAAUUUAGAUCUUAUUUAGAUGGAGCUAAAAUAAUUGUUUACACUGAUCAUGCUGUACUAAAAUAUCUGCUCACUAAAAGAGAUGCUAAACCUCGCUUAAUUAGAUGGAUCUUAUUACUCCAAGAAUUUGACUUAGAAAUAAAAGAUAAAAAGGGAGUAGAAAAUUCUGUUGCUGAUCACUUGUCUAGAAUGCACUUUAAGAAUCCACAGGAACCACCCAUUAAUGAUUCACUCCGGGACAACAUGCUCUAUGCAAUCAACAGGUUUGACCCCUGGUAUGUAGAUAUUGUUAAUUUUAUGGUUUCAAGGUAUGUACCACCAGGAGCGAACAAGAAGAAGCUUAUUCAAGAAAGUCGUUCACACAUAUGGGAUCAGUCAUACCUCUUCUGAGUAUGCUGUGAUGGCAUACUCAGGAGAUGUGUGACCACUGAGGAAGGAUGGAAGAUCAUCGACAGAUGCCAUUCAUCACCAUAUAGAGGUCAUUAUGGAGCAUUCCGUACCAAUUCAAAGAUCUAGCAGUGUGGAUUCUACUGGCCUACAAUGUAUGAAGACACGGAGCAAUAUAUUAGAAGAUGUGGGCCAUGUCAAAGGCACGGAAACAUAAAUACAAGAGAUGCCAUGCCACACACCAACAACCUUCAGAUAGAGCUCUUUGAUGUCUGGGAAAUAGACUACAUGUGUAUAUUUCUCCCAUCAAAGAAGUGUGAGUUCAUCUUGGUGGCGGUUGACUAUGUCUCCAAGUGGGUAGAGGCACUACCAUACAAGCAUGCCGACAACAUCAAUUCAAAGAGGAUGUUUGAAGAAAUCAUAUUUCCAAGAUUUGGAGUCCCUAGAGUAGUGAUAAGUGAUGGAGGAACACAUUUCAUCGACAAACGCUUCGAGCACUAUCUAUCAAGACAUGGAAUCUGUCAUAGCGUCGCUACCCCCUAUCAUCCUCAGACAAGUGGCCAAGCAGAGACUUCCAACAAGCAAAUCAAGAACAUUCUUCAGAAGACAGUAAACGAGAUGGGAACGGCAUGGAAGGACAAGUUACCCGAUGCACUCUGGGCAUAUCGGACAGCAUACAAGACCCCAAUUGGAAUGUCUCCAUACCAAUUGGUGUACGGGAAGACAUGCCACCUACCUGUUGAACUAGAGUUCAAAGCACACUGGGCCAUAAGGAAAUGGAAUAUGGACCUAGAUGUUGCUGGAGAUCAUAGAAGAAUGCAAUUAUCGGAAUUAGAAGAAUGGCGAGAGAAAGCAUAUAACAAUUCAAAGAUCUACAAAGAUAGAGUCAAAAGAUGGCAUGACAACAGAAUCAAGAAGGAGUUCUCACCCGGAGACAAGGUAUUACUUUUGAAUUCUAGGGUGAAACUUUUCGGGCAUGGAAAACUCUGAAGUAAAUGGGAAGGACCCUACAAGGUAAUCAAUUCAUGAUCCCACGGAGCGAUCACACUUCAAAAUGAUGAAGGCACGUUAUUCAAGGUAAAUGGUCAACGUCUUAAAUUAUUUUUAGAACCCAAUAAAGAAUUAGAGGGAAUAGACGUGAUCCAUUUUUACCUUCUGAUGGAGAAUUAGAGCUCGACCUUUUUAAACUGACAUUUUUGGGCCACGUAUAUAUUUUUCAAGACAAUUAUACUUCUAGUAACACCCACGAGCAAGCGGGCCCGCAGAGGAGGUAGGCCUAGGGUGGGCGCCCUAGAGAUGAGGGCGGGCGCCCUACCCCUGGCUCCCCUCACCGCUGACUUUUUCCGUUAUAAUAAUCUUGCCCAUGUCUAUCCAAAAAACCCUGCGGAUGGAUUGUUACGCAAGUAUGGCGGCGGGAUUAACCCAUGGAAAACCCUAGAGGCACUUUUUGACCCCUAUAUAAACAGACCCCUAGCGUCAGCUUUCAACACCAAUUCAUUCAAUCAUUCUUUCUUUCCUCAACUAGAGCUUGCUUAGUUCCUCGCUGCUCCAAUGGCCAAUGAGUUCAACCCCGACUGGGAGAUCGUUCACUACAACCUCAACAAGAAGCCCAAGGAAGAUCCCGAUGCCUACGCUCUCGUCCUAGCCAACACAGAGCGACAACUAGCAGCCAUGCCAUCACUCCAGCGCAGCUCCACCCAAUCCUACUAUGCCCAACCAGUUCUCACCGCGUCGCCGUGGCCCCUCCUUCUCAAGGGGCCAUCAGCCAAGCAGGAGGUGAUCGUCAAGGUGCCAGCCGGCACGAGGGUCCUGCCGCCCGGACCCAAUGAGCGGGUUGUAGGCAUCAAGAUCAAUAGGAGCGGCGAGAUCAGCAGCGUCCACUACACCACGGAGGAGAGGCCCUACCUUGAGGGGAUCAGAGCAGCGAAGGUUCGCUUCAUCCCACCGAAGGAAGCCCCGAAGCACGCCUUCAACUCCUUCGAGAUACCUCCUAAGCGCCGCAAUACUAUAGCCGAUUUAGAUCAGGAAGUACGUGGGUCAGACAAGCUACUUAUGGAGCUCCAGUCCUCGGUUAACUUCCUUAAUAGGUAGGUCUCUAAAUUGAACGCUACUGUGCUCGACCUUAGACGUGACCUUUCCAGCGCUACUAAUAGGAUCAGGGAGCUAGAGCGCCGCUGGGCUAUCCAGAUUAGAUCUUGAGGCAGUGUAUCUUAGUUAUUCAUCAUUAGAUUUGAUUAGAUUCAAUUAGACUCGGUUUAGACUCAUUAUUAGAUUCAAUUCAUUAUUUAUUAGUCGGUUGUAAUAAAUGCCUCAAGAUAAAUAAAGAUUAUUAUUAUGCCUUGUGUGUCUCCACUUUGUUUUUAUGAAAGAGAACAGGAAAUAAGUAUGGGGGAGAUCCCCCGACAUGCCAAACAAACUUCAACCGCACCUCUGCACGAUUCAGGUACAUACUCUGCAUGCUUUAUUUAUACACAUACACAUACAUAUUGGUUUGUGGAAAAUAUUGUCUCUAACAUGAUAAAUUAAAAAGAUAAAAAUAUUUUUAAUCAUGAUUAAUCUCACUUUGUGAUAUUUCCUGAGAACCUGCAAUUAUUGAAAAAUGGUUUUUAAAACCCUGUGUUACUCAAGUCAUUGUGGAAUAUGAGACGCUAGAGUAUGAGUACCUUAUUCUUAAUAUCUUUGUCGCUUGGAGAAUUUAUUUCAAAAACUUCAAAAAUUCUAGCUACCAUCCUAAGUGUUUUAUAUCCCUGCUAAAAUUGAAAAUAUUAAAUAAGAUAAUGUAAGCUAUCUGCUUUGUAUUGAGUUUGUUCAAAACGAGUUAGACCCUUGUUGAGAGAUUUAUCAUGCUCCUAAGAUCAAGACAUUUUUAUUCAGAAAGAUUCACUCUUCCGAAGUAUUAUUGCGUUAGAGGCAUGGGCUAUGCAAAAAUAUGAAUUUCGAGGAAAUAAAAAGGAGCAAGUGCUCGACAACCUCACAAAAAAUGGACAAGUGUCCGGCAGUAGAAUUAGAGGUACCUCGGUAUCUACCUGAAAAGAAAAAAUAAUAUGAGAUGAUAAAAAUAUGAUAAAAGAAAAUGAUAGCCCAUAGUCCCUCUAAUAAGCAAUAUGCCAGCAAGAGUUGACAAGUUUUUAAUUUUCAAAGUCUUUGAUCUAAGAGUAUGGCAUUCCUCUCGUCGUUUCCCGUUUUGAUCAGGCAAUAUGUACAAGGUAAGUAUGCUUGAGAAUUUUUUGCAAAUUAAAACAGCCUACAAAAGAUAAAUGAGCGAUCUGAGAGCACUUAUGAGGAUAAUGGUAUGCUGAAUUUCUUUUCAAAAAUAUACAAAAACUCCAAGUGACAGGGUUGAGAAGAAGAAAGGAUCUCUACUUCGACCAUAUAAUUCCCUAACUACAGUACACAGUUGACUUUUUACAACACCCUGCAGGUAUGAAAAGAAUGCUUUACAAUGUUUUAACCCCAGAUAAUUUUCUGAACCAUCCUUUUCUCGAGGACGAGUAAAAGCCUAAGUAUGGGGGAGUUUGUUGACGGUCCUUAAGUAUCAAAAUUAAUCAUCAAAUAAAUAAGGAAAACGACCUAUACGCAGGCAACACCUAGAAUUACUGUUUGAUCUAAUAGAAUUCCACGAGUUUUGUUGUUUUUCUAUUUCUACAGGGGGUUAUCAGGAAAUAUGGAUGAAAGGCCCACACGUUGGGUUUACAUAGAGAUAUUAACGUGUGCGCCAAUUUUCCUCGGUGUAGAAGAGUCCAAAAGCCACACGAACGAGUGGGAGGCUGAGCGGGCCCAGCCACAGGGCGCCCGCCCUCCUGUGAUGACCAAUCAUAGCGAGUCUCGCGAAUUAUGCUCCGCCGCCUCUGAGGAUUAAGGAAAACUGUUCAAUAAAGGUCGGUUUGAUCCGACGGCCUACGUUCAUUUGAGAGGGCUAUAUAAGCAAGGCCCCUGGCCCUUGGAUCAGGGCAAUCCUAUUAUUCAUUAGCAUAUUUUCCAAAGAGGAUUCAGAGAGAGAGAGAGGUUCCUUUAGGGUUCCAACCUCCUAGGGCUUAGCAUUCAAUGUGAGAUUAGGAUUAGUUCUUCUAGAUUGAGAGAGAUAGAGUGGAGGUGUAGAUCGGAGGAAGCCCGGCCUGUCGGUGUCUACUCCGAGGUUAUACCUACGGGAUCAAGUCUCCUAACCCGAGGCUUGCUCCUAGGAUUCUUCAGUAUUUCGACUUCUAAAUUCUAGUAAGUUCUUUGUUUUAUUGUUCUUUGGUUUAUGAGUUUACUUUAAUCUCUUCGCGUAGAGUUUAGAGUAAUUAUCACUAGCGUAAACAUGGUGUUUGGGCUAGGAUACUCAUAGAUACCCCCUGUCUAGCCGGACCGUGGUAGUAGCAAGAAAUGUGACAUUUCCAUAGCUACCUUUGUAGCCCAUAAUCCCGUUAGCAGGAUCGGUAGGGGUUAUAGGUGCGGGUCAAACAUCCUCUGUGGUGUCUAGAUUUCAUAAGCCUCCCCAAUAGAGCAGUAGAUCAUCCUUACCAAGGUUAGAACAAGGGUGCAGUCGUAGUCUUGUCUAUACAUCGCUCACAUCAAAUCAUAGUGGUUGUAGCCUAAAGGUUAGUAGUAAUAGAUUCGGCUAGUCAGAUGCACGCUUUCUCCUAGUGGUAAAAUAUAAAUAUGAUACUCUAGAUAACCUCCCGGGUGAAGUGCUCACCGAUAUCCACGCGCUUGCGGAUCUUUUCAUAAUUGUGUUACCAAAUAUCAACAAGGGCCAUGAACACUACUUUUUCACCUUGUUUAUGUCACUUCGUCCUAGUGUUCUUUGAUGAUAUCUUGAUAUACAAUUCUUGUUAUGUGAGGUUGCCAUUAUCAGCGCAGACCUCGAGCACGAGGUGCAGCUAGUCCGGCCUCCAAGGGUGUGCAUGGCCUAUAAGAGCCCGAGGAGCCUUAGGGGCUGAAGAGGCCUAAGUUAUGAAGGCAAUUAAGGAUAGAUGAGGAGACUAAGGAAGUAAUAGCUGGCUGGUAGUUAAUAGCUAGAGGAAUUGUUGACACCAUUUUUGGACACGUACCGAGGAUUGGUAGAGUAUAGAUCGGCAAGAUAGGGCAACGGUAAUUGGUAUACAGAAGAGUUGCCGAUGAGGGUGGUUGCCGAUGAGGGGACGGCUGGAUAUGGCUAAGUCCAUGGGUGGUGAUGUGUUUGUGCCGAUGGCCAGCAUUAACCUUUGCCGAUGGCUACGAUGGAGAGUCUGCUGAUAACACGAAAGGAAGACUUGAAGGUUGCCGAUUGGUCUAUGGUGGCGUCCCAGGUUGUCAUAGGGGGAUAGUUUUAUGUUUUUCCUUAGUUAUUUAAAUUGUUUUGUAUACGGAUUCUAUUUAAUUUGGAAUUUGAGUUCUAGUCGUGUCUGGUUGCAGCUCUUUUGAGCAGGGUACAAAUGUGGACCCUAGGGCCUUGUAAUCGAAAUCUAUCAAUCAAUCAAUCAAACACAAGUUUUUACUCAUAUUCCAGUACCUACUUUUUCGACGACUUCGUCAUACUUUUUGCUUUUAUUACGAGUUCUUAGGAAUUCGUCGACUUAAGCUCGGCGUGUUCUCGAGUUCCGCGUGAUCACCUCUUGGCCGUGACAUCCGGGCGCACCGCUAUUGUCAGGACCAAAGUGGUCGAUUUAUCACCUUUGCCGAUAGUAAGGUCAAAUCGGCUGGCACGCCUUAACGUUUGAAUCGGGUAUUAGCCCUUUGUGUUUGCAGAUCCAGCUUUUGCAUCAACACAUCUUUUGGCACGCCUGGUGGGACAAGAUUCAAGAUCAAGAUUGACAUGUCGACUACUGAGUUUGAUCAGGAGAAUGUCAUCCCUGUGACGGAAGCCAAUCUCAAGGAUGAGCAGAAGCAAGCUAUUGCGAAAGCUAUGGAGGAUUACAAGCAGCAAUGUUUGAGAUCCUUCAGUAUCAACAGGAGCGGCGAAGUGAUCCAGAAGGAAGCGCUGCCGAUGCCUCGGCAGGUUACCUUUGAUGCCAAUCCUGGUAAACUUCAAGACAUGGUUGAUAAUGCUAUUAACCAUGCUUUGAUCAAUCAAGCUGGUGUGCUGUCCAAUACGGUUUUCAAUGUCGUGGCUAGAACUUUCAAGGAAGGACAGUUGCCACCAAAUUAUGUGGGCCCUUCUCAUCAUCAGCCAGGAUCACCGGUGGUCACAGCUCCAUCGGCUGCUACAGCCGCUGCGGGCACAGAAACUGCUGUUCCUCCAAUCACGUUAGGAGUUACCAAUGCACAAUCCACGCCGAUGACGACCAAUCCAUCGACCUCAGAUGGGCAGAUUAAGCUUACUACAGAUCUAUUGGCAUCGGCAAUGUCAGGACCGGUUCCUCCUCCUAACUGGUGGGGUUUUGGUAUACCCCCAGAGUUCACGUUGAAGACACCUAGUACAUCUCAGACGGCUGAUAUGAGAGGCAAGGCUCCUAUGGCAUCGGCACCUCCAAACAUGCCGAUGAAUCAGAGUCCCCAGUUCACUACAACUACUACUGCAAGACCUUACACUGGGAAUUCUGAAGCUCCAACUUUCCAGAUGCCUAAUGCAUCGGCAGAUUCAAGGCUGGUGCAACAGAGGUUUAUGACUCAACUAGGGUAUGUCAAUUCAAUGAUGAUGCCCAAUUACCAGUCAUCGGUAGGUCCUAUGCCGAUGAAUGCUAAUAGUGGAUGGCAUGAGCAGCAAGUCUUUCCACAAAUGCCCCAGCAGCACCAUCAAGCUACAGGGUUUCAACAAGGCCAGAUCUACCCCAGGUUCUAGAAUCAGGGAUUGCCCAACCAGCCAAUGAAUCAUGGGCCGCAGAUCGGCGGACAGUAGAUCGGCGGGCAACAGGUUGGUGGUCAGCAGAUGGGUGGCCAAAUGAUUAACACAAUGUUCCAUGCAGAUCGCGCACCGCACAGACACGUGGAAGCUUACCAGCAGAUGCCAGAUCCGCAACCGCCUCAUCGGCAAGAUGUCGAUGCUUAUUGGGCCGAUAAGAUCGCCGAAGUAAUGAGAGACCAAUUUGGGAUAAAACCCAAAGUCAAUACUUACUCUUAUCGGACACCGUAUCCUCCUGCAUAUGAUUUAAUCCCACUUCCAAAUCGGUACAAGGUGCCAGAUUUUACUAAGUUUUCUGGACAGGAUGAUACAUCGACCAUGGAGCACGUUAACAGGUUCAUCAUUCAAUGUGGAGAAGCUGCUAACAGGGACGAGUUGAGGGUUCGCUUAUUCUCGUCAUCAUUAUCUGGAUCGGCUUUCACUUGGUUUAUAUCGUUACCUCCCAACUCAGUGAUUACUUGGGCCGAUCUAGAAAAGCAAUUCCACAUACUUUGUCACAGAACCGACCAAAUUAUAAGAGUUCAAGUGCAGAAACGAUCGACCAGCAAUCAAGUUUCCAAACUUGAGCCCAUAUAAUCCCGGUAGUCAAUUGAAAUCACGAAGGACUUCAAACCAACUCGCAACAAACCAAGAUCGUAAUAGUUCAACAUAAACAUAGUGGAUGUUACAUAGUCAUUCAUUGCCGUCGAAGCGGCAUCACAUCGGAGUCAUUAAGUUAUUACAACCCAAGUUCGAAGUAGCGGAAGCAAAAUAAUUACACACACUUGUUCAAAGUUCAGUUCACAAGUUCUUGUUACUGCCAGAGUCUACACCAUCCUUCCAAAAGCAUCAGAGACGAGAUUGUUAGAGAACUGAGCCCAACGGUUAGUCCUCAUCCCCAGCGGGAUGGAGACAGGUCUUGCAGAAGCCGUCAUAAAAGAUGUCAUCUGCAACAGGUGGGAAUAAACCCUGAGUAUGAGAAUGUACUCAGCUAGACUUACCCAUCUAGUAAAACAUAAAAGACACCAAGGAUCAUGCAAGGCUAAAUAUCAAGUGGAGCUGGUUGACUCACCUUUUGCCAAAAGCUUAACUCACAACUUAAGUUAUUUUGAGAGCAUCAUAUUUAAUUAUCAUCAACCUACCACUAGAUUGGCACCUAUACUACAACACAUCACUUGAUUAUUACAAACAAUAAUAACCAUAUCAAAUUCAUCAUAUGUUCUUCUUGGUAUCAUCAUUUUCAUGAACCAAGUUCAUUAGUGAAUGCUACGUUUGCCGCUGCUCUGUCAAGUUCUCACUAACCGGGAGAGACGGCUAUUCGAAUCGAAUUCCUAUCCAGCUGGAGGGUUAUUCCUAGCACUCACCCAAGCAUCCCCUACCGGAGAGCCAACGGGUCACCUUUGGUACAACUCAGGAAUCGCGGCUCCGAUCAGCGCCGCACUCCCAGGGCUACCACUCUGCCAGGGAGGUGAGGAAUUUUAACUCACCUGCCUUUGGGCUUACGCCAAUGGUCCCCCGCACACCGCACUUCCUCCGGUAGUGUGCACUUUAUACUUGCCGGUCUUCCGGCCUGAGUCACACUACUCGGCUUCGCGGUCGGAACGAGUUAUCCGGCCAACUAAGUGUCAGGCAUGCGUUCAACAUGACAAGAGGACGUACAACGAUCGGUCCUUAGCUGCCACAGAUGGAGUUACUACAAACUUGCAAAACUCCGCCUGGCUUAAGUCAAAUUAAUCAGGUUCCACCCACGAUAGCACAUAUAGACCAUCGCGAUCCGACAUAACCCUAUAUCGCGCAGGUGACAGGAUAUCACCCGACUUCUACCGAUUAAAGCAUAGCUAAGCUGCUAUUCGAUCCUAACUCUACAACCAGGGUAGGGUGAAUUAUCUGGGCAAGGAUAGAGUAGAAUGCACUAAGAGUUUCAUCACAACUCCUAUACGUAAUGCAUCAAUAGAUAUAACAUAUUGAUUAAACUUUUGAAAGUAAAGGGAGACUUAGAAUGCUCCGGGGCUUGCCUUUCACGAACGACACCGGCUCGUGAUUCGGGCACUCAACUUCUUCUUCUGGCUCCUUGAGUUCGGCUUGCUGGACCUCCACCUCUUGGCUGCCCUCCUGACCUUCUGGAUUCGCCUGCAGCUCGUAGGAGACGGUCGCGUCCGAUGCACCUAUUGCAGGCUCGAACAAUAAGAAGAUGCACAUGCUAAAGAUGAAUGCUUAAUAACAUAAGUAACUUACUGGACACUCAAUUACAGAGUAACCUUCUAAGUUAACUUAUAAGAAAUCCACAUGAACAAACAAACUAAGCAAGUUGACUUAUAACAGCAAGCACAUAAACAGAACAGCUCCGAAAACAGAUCAUAACUAUUGCUACAAAGGUCCAACACACUUAAGUGAGGACAUUCUGGAAAGCUUACGAAAUUGUCUACAACUCAUCUUUAAACAUGACAGCCAGAUUCAUAUAUUAAACUAGUCAUUUAAACAAAGUUCCAGGUUCUGUCCCAGAAAAACAGAGAGCACCUAUUUCUGGAACCCAACUUGGAACAGCCAUAACUUUUAAACUACUAGGCCACAUUAUCCCAAAUUUAAACCAUAGCUAGUUCAAUAGAUUUACUACAACUUUGAUUUAGACAAGAUUCCCAGAAAUGCAAGUUAUCAAUAAGCAUUAGUUAAAUUGCUCCCUUGCUGUCCAGAACAGCCUUUAACCCUAUAAUUAAUUAUUUAAAACAUGACCAAGACACAAACCAUGCCAACCACAUGACUUAUGACCACAAGCAUAUUAUAAUACAACCAGAACACCAGAUGGAAACUUCCAAACAUUUACUUAACAAGGCAUCUAUUAAUUAAUUCUAGAAAGAAGCAUAAUUACAAGAUACCUAGUCAAAGUGCUUAGAAAAAUCUACAAAAAUUACAGAAGCACAAGGAUAGCAUCAAAGCUAGGUAUUGCACAUACCAAAUUAAAGAUAUGUAUUUAACAUGUAACUAGGUGCUUAUUUCAUAAAUUGGAAAACAUGACUUAUAUGGUGUCAAACAACAGAUUUCAGAUUAUUUAUAUCUUAGGAAUACCAUAAACAUGUUUACUACCAAAGUAGAACACCAGCAUAAGCACCAAUUAUUUUAUAUGAUUUAAUUAAAGAAACAACCACAUUUCAAUCAUAAAAUAUAUAUCAAAUCUGCAGUACUCCAAAAAUCAUGAAAUAUUUACCAAAGCACUCUAAUACCAAACAGAUACUACCAUAAAAUUUUUAGGGCAAACUAAGCAGUAAAACAAGAGAUAUGAAUUUAUCCAUGAAUAACAAGAUUAAAUACUUAAUAAAUACUUUCCCAGAAAACAUGGUUCAAUUUAUAUUUUUAUUAAAAACUAGCCAUCUCAAGGAAUGCCACAAAAUUUGUUUCACAAUUUUUGGAUCUCAUAAACAGGAGAUAUGAUUUUUGCAAGAAAGCCAAAAAUCAGGAUUUUGAAUAAAAGAAAAGGAGGGAAAGAGGAGACACUGACAGUGGACCCCAUCUGUCAGGUCCUUCUUCCUCGCGGCCGAGGUGACGUUCGCCGGCGAUUUCUCCGCGACGGCGAGGUCUCCGGCCAAACCAGGGGCAUCAGCGUGAUCCCCAAACCCUAGCGACUCGAUUGACCCGCUUUUCCCCACGGCGGAGCCACCGGAAGGGGCUCACCGUCGACGAUGGCGGCUCGGCGGAGGUGCUCGGCGUUACGCCGGAGCCCUCAGGCCGGUAGAGCGCAACCUAAGGCCUUCUACCGCACCAGCGGACUACGGCGAAGCUUCCUAGGUACGCAGCUUGGCUUGGAUCCUCGUGAAACACGCUGGCCACGAGAGCACCCAUCUCCGGCGGAAGCACAGCAGCGCUGCGCACCGUGUCCGGCGACGGAGAGUUCGGUAGAGCGUCCACCACAUGGCGCAAAAGCUCGCUAAGGACCUAAGCUACCUCUAGAACCAAACUAGAGACGACGAGAGGCUUCACAGAGCUCAGCAUUGAGUUCGCUGGAGAAGAAGGUCACGGCGACCCGAUUUGGGGAAAGAAGGAAAUGUCGGCUCACCGGUGGGUUUCUCGGCGAGUUAGAGGGUGGAGAUUGGAGAACGGUUCACGGCAGAGCUUUGGGUGAAGUUUGGUGAGCAAUGGCGCAGCAGGGAACACGCGCGAGCUCGCCGGAGUUCGCUCGCGACGGAGAGCUCACGGCGGCCGCAUUUCGGGCGAGAGGGGCGAGGCAGAGCGAAGUGGACGCGUCCACUCUGCGCGGGGCGUCGCCGUGGACGUCAUGCGCACGCUGGGAGCUGACGAGCGGGGCCAUCGCCGGCGUACGGGCGACAUCUGGCGGACAGAUGGCGCUCUGGCCAUCCACGACGGCGAGCUCGGCCUCGAUUCAGAAGGAACGAUGACAGUCCGACAGAGCAACUUCACCGAUGAUUAUCUCCCAAACCAGCCCGAGUUAGAAGAUGAUGCAGUUGACAAAGUUGGAGUUCCAAACGAGUUCCACAACUUUGUCAACUAGAGAAAAGGCCAGAUCAGCCGGGAUUGAGAGAUAUAGAGUUUUCAAAAUCGAUCGAGCAAACUGGUUUCGUUCCAAGACUUAGAAAAUUUUCUAAGUGUUGGAAACAGCCCCAAAUCUGCCUUGUGAGUCACUCUUGAGCUAUUUGUGAUCAUUUUCAUGAGAUGGCCAUAAAACAACUUUUGUUCCUUAUAACAUUUGCUACAACUUUGCUGUAGGAAGUUUUGACAUGCAAACAUUUUAUGAAACACUUUUUAAAAGCCUAAGCAAAAGAGGUUUCUAGGGUCUAUUUUCAUAGGUAGGACUUAAAGGCAUAUUUUGGAGAUGUGAUCAACAUGAACAUUGUUCCCAAGGUUAAAUUAAGCAUAGAUAAACUAAUUACCAAAGCAUUGAACACAAACACAAGCAUGGUUCACUCAAACAUAAGCAUAGGAAGCCUAUUUAAGCAUUUUAAAACACAUUUUUGCAUAGAAUGACAUGGCUCAAGAUAGAUGAUGAUCAUGGAUGCUUUGAAUAGAUGAUGAUGCUCAUGCUAUGCACAUGAUCAAUGCAACCAUAACACUGGGGUGUUACAGCCCUCCCCCCUUAUAAAAAUCUCAUCCCGAGAUUUGAAAGCUUGCUGAUUUUCGAAGAAUGUUUUGUAAACUUCUCUUAAAUAAUCCUCCGUCUCCCAAGUGGCAUCUUCCUCCCCGUGGUUACUCCACAACACUUUGUAGAGCUUAACCACACGAUUACGCGUCUCCCGUUCCUUGCGAUCCAGAAUCGCUACGGGUAUCUCCUCAUACACCAAGUCGGACUUCAACUUGAUAUCUCGAAUUUCCACUCGCUCCUCCGGUACACGAAGGCACUUCUUCAAUUGUGAGACGUGGAAAACAGGGAAAAUAGCUCGAAGCGCAACUGGGAGUUGAACUUUGUAUGCCACAUUCCCUUUCUUUUCGAGAAUCCGAUAAGGUCCCACAUAGCAAGGUGCAAGCUUUCGCUUGACUCCGAAACUUUGUACACCCUUCAUCAAAGACACCUUGAUGUACACAUGGUCACCAACUGAAAACUCAAUCGGCUUCCUUCUCUUGUCGGCAUAACUUUUCUGACGAGCUUGAGCAGCUUCCAGAUGUUGCUAGAUAAUACGGACUUUCUGCUCCGCUUCGUUCACGAAAUCGAUGCCAUAGUACCUUCGCUCUCCAGCUUCUACCCAAUUCAACGGGGUUCGACACUUUCGACCGUACAGGGCUUCAAAUGGAGCCAUCUUGAUACUCUCCUGGUAACUAUUGUUGUAGGAGAACUCAGCUAAUGGCAACCACUUAACCCAAGAACCUUUUGAAGAGAGAGCACAUGCCCUCAACAUGUCUUCAAGGAUUUGGUUAACUCGUUCAGUUUGUCUAGCUGUUUGGGGAUGAUAAGCAGAGCUGCGGACUAAAUGAGUACCAAUUUGCUCAUGCAGACAUUCCCAAAAACGAGCAGUGAACUGUGGUCCACGAUCAAAUAUGAUUGUUCGAGGCACACCAUACUGACAAACAAUGUGCUCGAAAUACAACUCCGCAUACUGAUGUGGACGAUAGUCAGUUCGGACUGGAAUAAAUCGAGCAACCUUGGUCAAACGAUCUACAAUUACCCAGAUGGAGUCGUAACCCUUAAUAGAAGUUGGGAGUCUACUGAUGAAAUCCAUGCUGACUUCUUUCCAUUUCCAACCAGGGAUUGACAAGAGCUGAAGCAAACCAGCUUUCAUGUGAAUAGCCUUCACACGACAACAAUUGUCACAACGAGCGACAAAAGCAGCAAUCUCCUUUUUCAUCUUUGUCCACCAAAACAAAGGUUUUAAAUCCUGAUACAUCUUGCUACUACCAGGAUGGAUAGACAAUUUGGAUGAAUAAGCUUCCGAUAAGAUCUGAUUUCGCAGCUCGCGGUCUUUUGGGACCACUAGACGAUCCUUGAACCAAAGGAUUCCAUUCUCAUCGACUCGGAAAUGCUUGGUUUCUUCUUCUUUCAUUUUCCUCUUUAUAUGGUGGAUGCCUACAUCUGUGGAGGGUACUCUCCAGAGAAAUCUGGUUGAGCACAAGUGGAUGCAUAAGAUGUGACAACAACGGGUCUUCCCCUUGGAUUGAGUGACAGUGCGUUUUCCGACUCAAGGCGCGAGGUAUAUGCGAUAACGCGACCUUCCUGCAUCAACACACAGCCUAGACCAAUGCCUGAUGCGUCACAAAAGACAUCGAAGGGCUUUUCGAUAUCAGGUUGAGCUAGAACCGGAGCUGAAGUCAGCAACGUCCUCAACUUGUGGAAUGCUUCCUCACACUCAGGCGUCCACACAAACUUCUCAUCUUUCUGAAGUAGACGAGUCAUAGGCUUGGAUAUCUUUGAGAAUUCAGGAAUGAAUCGACGGUAAUAUCCAGCCAGACCAAGAAAACUCCGAACCUCGUGUACCGAAGUUGGAACUUUCCAAUCCAGCACUUCUUGCACCUUAGCUGGAUCCACCGAUAUGCCUUCUUCAGAUAAGACAUGGCCCAAGAAAGGUACUUUCUUCAGCCAAAACUCGCAUUUGCUAAACUUGGCAUAAAGCUGAUGUUCGCGCAAACGCGACAACACUACACGCAGAUGCUCUGCAUGCUCCUCUUCAUUGCAGGAAUAUACCAAGAUAUCAUCAAUGAAGACCACCACAAACUUGUCCAAUUCGGGCAUGAACACCGAAUUCAUGAGAUACAUGAAGUGAGCAGGUGCAUUCGUGAGACCGAAGGACAUGACGAGAUACUCAUACAACCCAUACCUUGUCGAGAAAGCUGUCUUAGGUACAUCUUCAGGACGAAUCUUGAUCUGAUGGUACCCAGAUCGCAAAUCAAUCUUGGAGAAUACCUUGGCUUUAGACAACUGAUCAAACAAGACAUCAAUGCGAGGAAGAGGGUAUUUGUUCUUGAUAGUCACCGCAUUUAGGGGACGAUAGUCCACACACAUGCGCAACGAUUGAUCCUUCUUCUUCACAAAGAUAGCCGGACAACCCCAAGGAGAAGAACUAGGAUGAAUAAGACCCUUCUUCAACAACUCAUUUAGUUGGGUCUUAAGCUCAACUAAUUCAUUGGGUGGCAUUCUAUAAGGCCUUCUAGAGAUAGGAGCGGUACCUGGAAUCAAUUCAAUUUUGAACUCCACAUCCUGAUCCAGAGGAAGCCCGGGUAAAUCAUCAGGAAAUACAUCCGGAAACUCACACACCACCGGAAUAUCCUGAAUAGCCUUAGAUGUAACUGCAUUCACAGUGCUACAGAUUUGAAUAUCACGAGGAAGUUGCACUAGAAAUGCCUCCUUGGUGUUUGGGUCUUUCAACAUCACUACACGAGUGGUGGUGUCGAUAAGAACUCCAUUACCACUCAUCCACUUCAUCCCCAGAAUUACAUCUAUGCCCACACCGGGUAGAACAACCAAAUCAGCAAGGAACUGACGGUCUCCUAUUUCCAGAGUUGCCCCCAAAACCACUUGAUUGGUGGAAAUAUCAUUUCCCGCAGCACUAAUACAAUAACUGCCCUUAUCAAGUGUAAUGGCCUUGAUGCUAUGCUUAGACACAAAUUCAGAACUCACAAAGGAAUGCGAUGCUCCAGAAUCAAAAAGCACGAGUGCAUCAUGUUGAUUGAUCAGAAACUUACCAGCCGUGACUACCUCACCAGCAGGGAUUGCUUCCACAGUGGUGUAGUGAACACGCCCCUGACGGACAUUCCCUGGGUGGCCCUUCUUCGGCGAGUAAGGACAGUUGCUCUGCCAAUGCCCGGUCUGAUUGCAGUUCCAGCACGGACGGUUGGCACGCGGAGUCUCGGCAUAGUUGGGACCCGUGUUGCCCCUAGGAAGAGCAAUAGAGUACCCUUGCGAAAACCUGUCUUUGCCUGAUUCUUCUUCACCGGAGGGCGGUACCGCUGGUUAGGCGUUGGAGCACGAAACGGUGGCUUAGCUGCCACUGGAGCCUUGGACUGAGAUGACCCUGUCCCGGCCUCAAAAGCCCUCUUGCGAGUCUUGGUCGCAGUGUACACAGUGUUAUAGUUCUCUUGAGUGAGAGCAUCACUGACAAACACAUUGAAAGUUGCACACUUAGUGCGGCCCAUAGUCUUCAGCAAUUUGGGUCCCAAACCCCGCUUGAAACUAGCAAUCUUUUUCGUCUCCGUGUUCACAAACUCAGGAGCAUACCUAGACAAAUGAUUGAAAGCAUGCAAAUACUCCUUCAAAGUCCUGUUGCCCUGAGUUAACUGCAUGAACUCAGUAUGCUUCAUCUCCAUGACCCCAGGAGGAAUGAAAUGCCCUUUAAAAGCAUCACGGAAAAGAUUCCAAUCAAGCACGGUGUUGGCGGAAAGAGCUUCUCGAUACUGAUUCCACCAGAUGCCUGCGGGGCCCUGCAGUUGAUGAGCUGCAUACUCUGCCUUCAAACCUUCAGUCAACCGAAGCAAGCGGAACUUUUGUUCCACCGUGUUCAGCCAUUCUUCCGCUUGAAGGGGUUCUUCAGCUUCUCUGAAAGAUGGGUGCUUUGUAUCCAUGAAAUCCUUUGUUAUUCAUUCUGAUCAUUAAGCUUUGAAGUACUUGAAAGGACAAGCAAAGCUGAACCGUCGACAUUCUAAAUGGAUUGAGUUCAUCAAAACAUUUCCAUACAUUGUAAAAUACAAGAAAGGUAAGGACAAUGUGGUUGUUGAUGCUUUGUCUCGAAAGAGUGUGUUGUUGAACCAACUUAAGCUAAAAGUUUUUGGUCUGGAAAGUCUAAAAGAUAUGUAUAAUAAUGAUGCUGAAUUUUUAGAACCAUAUAAUCAUUGCCAAGAUGGAAAAAGUUGGGAAAAAUAUCACAUACAUGAUGGUUUUCUGUUUAGAGCUAACAAACUGUGUGUUCCAAAUUCUUCGGUUAGAUUGCUUUUGUUACAGGAAUCAUAUGGAGGUGGGCUAACAGGUCACUUUGGACAAAAGAAAACAUUUGGACUGCUUGACACUUCAGAGUCGAGGACGACUCCUUUUCAAGGGGAGAAGGAUGAUAUGACCAUGCCACCGAGCAAGAUGUCACAAGCUCUAAGUCAAGCUACACCCAGUCAUGUUUCACUUACACCGACACCAGCCCAAGUCAUCGAUGGACCGAUUAUACGUAGUCGUGCAAUGAGGCUACAACAAGAGGUCCAUGCGCUACUUUGUGAGAUUCAUUUUAAUAUUAAUCAGAAUUAUAUACUACCUAAGUGUUGUACCUUGAUUGUACUCAGGUGUAUAGAAGAAGAGAAGGAGGAAUCAGACCCUGAAGAUGGACUUGCAAAUCGGACCACUAGAGAGAAGAAUGGACCAGUGCACGAUUAGACCAGUAGAAUCAAGAACGGACUAGUGCAAAGAAAUCUUCAUAACUUUUUACUCACAAAAGCUAUGAAGGUCCAUUAGGACUUGUUGGAAAGCUUGUCGAGUCUACUUUCCAGUGAUUCUAGUGGCGACCAGUUUGGAUACUCCAUAUUGUCUGUAGACCAGAAUUAGUAUAGACUGCUGAGAAGGUCAACAGUCUGUCGUGACAGAAUGUUUGUACAACUUGCCAAGUAAAACUAUACCAAACUACAAUGUUUCGUGCUGGUUGGCGUACAUUGCUGGGAAGCCCUCUGAGUUUAGUUUCACACCCAAGAAACGGUUUAUCAUUUGGACUUCCCAAUAAGAAGUUAUGGUCAGUUUAUUGGAAACUGCUAUGGAGGCCAACAGUCACACGAAGCCAGUUCGGGAAUCCAUUCUGAGGGGACCUUUCACAUUGCCUUCCCUCAGAAACUCUAUUUUGUUUUCAUACCUAUCUAGUAGGGCAGUUGCUAGUAUAAAUACCCCCUAAGACUCAUUAUAAUCUAAGACUUUUGAUAAUUGAAAUACAGAACCCCUUUUAUUUAGUUGUGUGCUAACAAAUAUUUAGAGAGUGAUCUCUACCCCUUGCUCUUGUUAUUUCCUCGUAGGAUUGCAGAAGCGGCACCUUCAUCCGCUCCCAACUGGUGCUCCUACUCCCUUGAAGGUAUUCCUUGAUUAAUUGUAGGCUGUGUUGGUUGGUUCCUUGAGAGUGUGGUUGGGCAAAUCCUCGAUUCAGGUUGUCGGUUAAAGAUGGUGGUUGGCUUCGAGUUUUAUUUACCAGGUUGCACUAGUUAUCGCUACUUGCAGCAAGUUAUUCGGCUGUUCUUCAGCUAGUUAUCGCUGUUCUUCCUACGUCGUAAAGAUCGGGACAACGUGUCGCAUCAAAGGACCACCAGUCAUUUACCCUUCAUCAGUUGGUGCCGUCACGCUCUAAUAAUAAAGUUAAUAUUCUAAGGUAAGUGGUCACUCUAUUCUCUUGAUCUUGGUGCGCACAUAAGUAAAGACACAAACAUAUUAGACUUACAACAUAAAUUGAUUAACUCAAUAUGCUUUGCUCUUUAAAAUUGUUCAUGGCACCAUUCUCUUAAUCUCAGUCUUAACUGAACAAGUUAAAAUAUUAUAUUCAAUCUUGGGAAGAUGAUAGUCAUCCUUAUUUGAAAAUUUAUAUAGAGAUAGAUAAUCGUUCCAUUCGUUAAGCAAUUUCAUUAUUUUCUAUCAUGUAAAUGCAACACUAAAUGCUUAAUUUUUUGAUCUUACCACUCAUAAAUAAAUAAAUCAUGUAACACAACUUUAUCUUGUUUAAUGUGCCUAAGGAUAGAGAAAAAUAAAUAAAGAAACAGAUUUGGUUUUGAUGGUGUUUUCCACCAGCAGAGCCAAUGCACUUGAUCUCUACCUUAGUUUUUUAAACAGGACAACACAUCAAGCAAAGUUUAUUAAUUCUACAAGUCAAAGUUCUGUGAAUAUGCACACUGAGCAAGAUGCUGCCAGCUACUAUUAACUCUCCUUCAACCUGCUAGCCAAAUCAAAGAACAAAGGUUACAUCAUCAUCACUAGAGGUAUGCAACUAACAAGACCUCCAUCUCUCAAGAUGGAGAGAUACACAAGAGUGGAAGAAGUCCUUCGGUAAAUUUUAAAAUUUUUAUAUUCUUGCCAUAAUGUAAUAUGGUAGUUAUAUAUUUAAUUAGUAUUUCUUUCUACAUUAAUAAAUUUACCUUAACAUAUUCAUCUUCAUAAAUACUAAAAAUAAAAUAAAAUAAAAUAAAAAUCUUUAUUCCUUCAUUUACUACAUCAUAAAAAACCUAAGCCCCAUAAGAAUAAAUAUUCUCUGUGGAGGCAUAAAAAUACAACUAUAUAUAUCAUGCACACAUAUUUAAUUUCUACAUAAUUAAACUAGAAAAUCCUAAAAAAAGAGAAUCCUGCUAGAAUCUAUCAAUUCAAAUCAACUCAAAGAAUAAUAAAUCACUUAUUGGCUGACCCCUAACCCAUUAUUAAAUUCGAGCCUCGAGUUUUGGUUUUCCUUUUGGAGUGUAAUUAUGCAGGAACAACAUUAUGACAAGGAGAGAGUCUAUUAGUGGCACCCACCUAGAGCGCUGCCGGUUAGCUCGCUCUGAAGAUCAUCAACACCACUAUUGCAAACAUCUAGCUUAGGGGAGGAGCAUCACCUAGUUAUCAGGUAACUAUACCUACGCGAUUAUCGAGUCUAUUUUAUAUGGUCACAAAAUACCAAAAAUAUGUGAGCACAUGAAAGUUCACAAUAGGAUCAUAAGAAAAUAUAAAAAUACCAAAAAUAUAUGGGCACAUGAAGAUCCAUGUCUUUAAGUCUUAUGAUCCAAUAGAAAUAAAAAGAUGGAUAAUAAUUGAAAAUAAAAAACAAAAUACUUAUCUAUAUAUUAAGGUGUGAUCAUAGAGUGUGUCUACAGUGAGUCUAGUUUAGAGUCAAAUAAAAAUUAGAGAACAUUAAAAUUUUGUCUUCGAGAUGAUGAAUAGUUGCUCUAUAGUAAUUCCUUUCAAGUGCCUAGUUUUCAACCAUGAAUUCUCCUGAGUUUUAGACAUGACCACUUUAAUAUAAGAAUUUACUCUGAACUUAAAAUUUGUGGAGGCAUUUGUUUAAGCUGAGUCUAGGUAAUUGAUAUUGUACAUGAAGGUCUAAGCUGCUAUUUAUCUUAUUCCUAGCAUUACUAAGUUUUGGAGAUUUAGUUUCAACAAAACCAAAAUCUUAUAUGACGAGCUCUUGUAUGAUAAAUGUCAAAUUCCUACCAAAGCCAUACGAUACAUUUAGAGUUAGGAAAACCUUUCCACAUUCAUGUUGCUUGCUUUACAUUGAGUUUAGUCAACCUUUGGAGUAUACCUUAUGAGAGUCUUGUCAUGCUUUUAAAAAUAAGAUCACUUACGCACUCCACCCAUAUAUGCAAUACUCCUACUCUGGGAUGUAAGCCUAGUCAUUUCCACUUUCAUCCAGAUCCACCUUAAAAAUAUUUUCUCCUACACUAGGAGUAAACACCCAAAAAUAUACCCUAUAGGACAGCCCCCAUUUAACUGCUCUAAGUUCUUAUCAUUAUCUAUCCGAUUAUUUAUAUUCAAAGGAUGCAUGUGGCUAUGCAAAAGUAUUGAAAAAAAUAAGAGAAGAAGAAAUGUGGGAGUAAAAGAUGGAGAAGUGUCCCAACAAUUAAAACAAUGGGUACACAGAUGCCCGCCUCCCAUAUUAAAAAAAGAAAAAGGAAAAAUAAGAAAGAAAGAAAUAAUAAAUAUAUUCCUGCGAAAAGUUCUAAGGAGGGCGUAAUUUUCAAAGAACAAAUGUAGAAUUAGGAUUAGCCACUAAAUACUAUAUAUACACCUAUCCACCAUAUUCCAUACACAUACACAUCUUGAUUUGAUUGUAUGCCUCGAUUCUCUAUGGAUCCAUUGUUUGAUAUUACAGUAUAUGAAAUGCAAGUAUGUUCAUCCUUGUUAUUGCCACUCCUAUAAGCUCCACUAUAUAUAUCCUUAGUUGCAGGAAGGCAUCCUCAGCGAGAUCCAUAAAUACUACAUAAUAAGAGACUUGAGGAUGUCAUACAAUCAUGCUUUGAGCUUUAUUUUGAAAACUUGCAAAACUCUAGAAUAUUGGUACUGUGAAGAAUUUGAGACAUAGUGCUUGACUUGAUUGUUCUAUCUUUUGAUUACUCAAGACUUAUGCAAAAGUUGUAAUGCUCUAUGUUUAAAGGUAAAAUGGGUAAGUUUGAAAGUUAGAUCGGAGGAAAAUUUAUGGUUAAAAACAAAUGUACUUAAAAGAAAUGAAAGUAUUAUAGCAACUCCUGAUCCAAGUUUAUUAAUAAUUAGAUCUAGGUUGUUUGCCAAGGGAUGGGCAAAAGGUAAGCUUGGGGGAAUUGUUGACGGUCGAUAAUGUUCAUAUUUAUUAGAACUUUCGACAUGAAAGGAUACAGGAAUACACACUAGUCUAGGGUUUUAACUGACAACUUCCACGAGUUUUGGUGGUUCUAUAUUUUCUAGGGAUUAUUCAAGAAAAGCAUAAAAGAGGGGAUUAUAGUGCAUAAUUACCACGAAACUUAUCCACAAUGGAAAACAUCACGAGAAGACUCAGGAAUAGUCUAGAAGACACUCGAAGGAGUGGGGCCUACAGGGGAGCCUAGGUGGGGCCGGCCGGACCCACCCUAGGGCCGGUCGACGCCCUUGGUCAACCGAUGGCCGCCGCCUUCUAGAGUCUUCCUCCUACGCCUCAUUAGAAGCCAAGCAAAGUAUCGCUACGUUGAUUCUAGGGUCAGUUUGAUCCGACGGUGCAUGCAAGACGAAGACGUGGAUCAAUGAUGUGGCGGUUCCUUGCCCCCUUACUCCACCUCGGGCUAUAUAAUGAUGCCCCAAGGCCCCUCCAAGAGGCAUUCUACACCCCGGUGCUCCAUAUUCUCUACAUAAUUAGGGUUAGGGUCCCUCUACUCGAUCUAGUUCUAGUUCAUCUAGAUCUAGUUCAUCUAGAUCUAGUUCAUCUAGAUGUAGCAAUUAGGAGAGACUAGUUAUUCUAGAUCUAGUCUUGUUUAGAGAUUAGAGAGAUUGAGUAGAGCAGUAGAGAUUCUGGAGGAGUUCCUGCCAGUCGACGCUUCUGCGUGGCUAUAUUCUUCUGGAUUUACCUCCCUCGCCAGCAGCUGCAUUCUUAGGUACUUUUGUACUUACCAUUCCAAUUUAAGUAAGCAACUUGUUCUUAUUCAUUCUUUGGUUCACAACUCAUAUUGAGUGCUUUGAUCUUGGUCAUUACAUAGUUCAAGUAGUAUUUCAUAGUGUAAGCAUGGUGCCUAGGCUAGGUUUACUUGUGAAUGUCUCUUGAUUAGCCGAACUGUAGUAGCUCACAGAGGUGACUUUAUAGCUGCGUUGAAUCCUCUGUAGUCCACAUCCCGUUGAUAGGACUGAUAGGCUUAUAGGUGCCUGGUAGGAGAUUACUCUAUUUCUUCUCCUAUUCGGGUUACUUGUCCAAUAAGAUGAUAUUAUACAAAGUUUACCAGAGUCAGAACUAGACUGCAUUAGCUAUUUCCUUAUUCUUGGUAUGAUCUAGCCUAAUUGUAGGGCUAAGUCUAUAUACUUUGUCAUCAUCACAAUUGUUCCAUGUGGAUACAAUAUUUAAAUCCUCCGUGUAAAAUGUGACACUGGUAUGAUAUCUGUGCGCUUCUGGAUAAUCCUACUUAAAACAUAUUUAAUGGAGUGCAGUUAAUUUAUACCAACAAUCCUCCUGAAGUAGUGUCGAGCAACUUUCUACUUUCUCUACUUAUACCUUUAUAAAAAUGUUAUAGAAGAAUAGGGUCUGGUAGACUAAGGUCUGGGCCGGAUGCUAAAAGUGUAGUAAAUUGAUUCCAGGCUAAAGCCAAGGACUCUUUAGAUUCUUGCUUUGUAGUGAGAACCUUGACUCUAAGGUCGAUGAUUUGGGAGAUGGGAUAAAAAUCUAGGCAAAAAUUGGAAUGUAAGGAUCCCCAAUCUCCUUGUUGCUUACCUACGGCUCCAUUAUACCAUUGUCUAGCUUUUCACUUUAAUGAAAAAGGAAACAACUUCCAAUGGAGAGUUUCAUCAGAUAUUCCUUCAAUGCAAAGAUAGUCACAUGUUUGCUCAAAUUCUCCAGUGUGUAGGUAAGGAUUUUCAUCUACUUCUCCUAAAAAAGAUAGGCUUUGCACCAACACAAUCAACCAUGGACUCAGCCUAUAUCUACAUGUUUGGAUAGGUUGUGGUGACUCAUGUUGCACUAAGCUGGUCUUCGUUGGUGUAGAGGACUGGAGGAUAGGAAUGGAAUUUAAGGUAUCCAUAAAAGAAAAGGUAAGAUAAAAAAGAUAAAAGUGUGAUACAAGGUAGAGUAAGAUAAGGUUAUCAAAGCAGACUGUCUUUCUCACCGACAACGACGCCAGAAAAGCUUGUUGAUAUUAGUUAUGCACACAAAAGAAUCAAAGAGAAAUAAUCUGCAAGCGCACGGAUAUCGGUGAUCACUUCAUCUGGGAGAUAAGUCUAGAGUAUCGUAUUUAUUUUUUUACCACUAGGAGAAAGAGUGCAAAAGACUAAUCUUUUACCUUACCUACUACCCACGGGUUGCAAGACAUGAUAGGGAGAUAUAGGCGAUAUAGAGAGAACUCUUUCUUCAUUCUUCUUCUAACCUAUGGUAAGUGUGUAGAUAUUGUUCUAAGGGGAGUUACUAGAGAAAAGAGACAACUCAAAUAGUGCUUAACCCUUGUGCCAUACACCCUACCUUCCCUCCUAACGGGAUGUGGAUUACUAAGACCCAAGUGGAUUGUUGUAACACCCCAGUGUUAUGGUUGCAUCCUUUCACAUACAUAACAUGAGCAUAAUCAUCUUCAUAAUCAUACCAUGAUCACCAUUCACCUUGGAGCAUGUCAUUUUAUGCAUAGAUGUUGCUUAACUUGCUUGUUUAUGCCCUCUAUGCUUAUAUUUGUUUGUGCCAUGCUCUUGUUUGUGUCCUAGGCCUUGGUAAGUAGUUCAACUAUGCUUAACUCAACCUUUGGAACAAUGUUCAUUUUGGUCAUAUCUUCAAAAGAUGUCUCUAAGUCAUACUUUCACUCAUAGGCCCUAUAAACCUCUUUUCCUUAGGCUUUUAAAAAGUGUUUCAUAAAUUGUUUGCAUGACCAAACUUCCUAAAGGAACGUUGUAGAAAAUUGUAUAAGGAACAAAAGUUGUUUUAUGGCCAUCUCAUGAAAAUGACCACAACUUCCUCAAAAGGGCUCAUAAGGCAGAUUUGGGGGCUGUUUUGACACUUAGCAAAAUUUUGCUAAGUCCUGGUGCCCCCAGUUUGCCUAAACGUUUUUGGAAACCCCAUAUCUUUUCAUCCAGGCCGAAUUGGUCUUUGCUCCAGUCGACAAACUUGUAGAACUCAGCUAGUACUCCAAGAGUGUCAAUUACACCAUCUCCUAAUUUGCCACGGUUUGGGAGAUAAUCAGCUCCAAAGUACCUCUGUGAGUCUUUGAAAACCAGCUCUGAAUGGACAUAGUCCCCGUCGACGUGGCCGACCGGCGACAGUGUUUGAGCGACAUUUGGCGACCAUACGCCGUAUCUAGCCCCGCUCGUCAGCGCUGAUGGCUUGCAUGACCUCCAUGGCAUCGCCCUCGAGCUCCUGGAUGCAUCCAUUCCCUCUCUCUCGCCCUUCUCGCACUGAAACUCGGCCACAGCGGAGGCGGUGUCGUCGGGCUCACUCCGACGAGCUCGAGCGCGCUCCACACUGCAUCGCCAUCCACCAAAGCUCGCCCACAGCUCUGCGGUGCUCUGCUCUCCAACUUCCAUCUUCAAGCUCGCCGUGAAACCAUCUGGAGAGCCGCCAUUUUCAUCUUUCCCCAAAUUGGGUCGCCGGAACAGUUUUCUCCGGCCAGCCCAAUGCUGAGCUCCUCGGAGCCCCUCUUCUUCUCCAGUUUGUCUCUCUGGGUAGCUUAGGGUCUUAGAUAGCUAGUGAGCCAACCCUAGAGCGCUCUACCGCACUCAUCGGUGAUGAAAACGGCAGCGCAGCGCCACCGUGCUCUCGCCGGAGCACCACCUUCAAGUGGCCAGGCUUGCCUGAGCCCUCUCCGGUCGAGCUCUCCACCUAGGAAGCUCCGCCGUGACUCACUGGUGCUAUAGGAAACCCAAGGGCACGCUCUACCGGCUUGAGAGCUCCGGCGUAUCGCCGAGCAUCUCCACCGAGACGCCAUGGUCGGCGGCAAGCCCCUUCCGGUGGCUCCGCCGUGGGGAAAAGGGGGUCAAUCGGUUCGCAAGUGACCUGGGAUCAUGUUGGUGUCCUAAGUUUGGUCGGAGAUCUUGCCGUCACAGAGAAAUCGCCGGCGAAUUUCGUCUCGGUCGAGAGGAAAAAGAACCUGACAUGUGGGUCCCGCUAUCAGUGGCUCAACUGCUCCCUCCUCCCAUUUAUUUAAAAUCCAGAUUUCUUGCAAUCUUGCAAAAAUCAUAUCUUCAGUUCCUGAGCUCCAAAAAUUGUGAAACAAAUUUUGUGAUGAUACAUGGGAUGGCUAGUUUUUAAUAAAAAAUAUAAUUGUUAUGAAUUAAUCCUGUUAUUUCAAUGUAAAUUCAUAUCUCUUGAUAUACUGCUCCAAAUGCUGCGAAAUUUUUAUACUAUGCUUUGGGUAGUCUUAGAAUGCUCUAGUAAAUAUUGCAUGAUUUUUGGAGUGUUGUAUCUCUGAUAUGUAAUUUAUGUUCAUACUAUUGCUUAAAUCCAUGUUUAAAUCAUAUUAAAUGUUACAUGCUUAUGUUGAUGUUCUCCUUUGCUGUCAAGCUUGUUCAUAGUAGUAGUAUCAUGUAAAUAAUCUGAAAUAUGUUGUUUGACACUAUUUAAGCCAUGUUUCUUAAUUUAUGAAAUAAGUGCCUUGUUACAUGUUAAUUAAAUAUCUUAAGCUUGGCAUGUGUGAUUGCUCUUAAAAUUUUAUGGCAAUGUCAACGUACCUUGCUUAUGCUUCUGUAAUGUUUGUACAUUUUUCUGAAUACUCUUGCUGGUAUCUUUUAAUUAUGCCCCUUUAUGAAAUUAAAUUAAUAAAUGCCUUUUAAUUAAGUGUGUAGUAGUUAACAUGUGGUUUUCUGGUAAUCUUGGGUCAUGCAUGUUCUUAUGAGUCACUUGGUUAGUACUAAAUAUGUAUUUUCUAUGUCAACAAAUAAUUAAUUAAAGGAUAUUUAGCUGUAUUGGACAGCAAGGGAGUAAUCUGGUUAUUGUCUAAUGAUAACUUUGUUUUCUGAAUGACUUGUCUGUACCAAAAAUGUUGUAAACUUUAUAUGCUAGCUGCAGUUUAAAUUUGGGGUCAUUUGGCCCAGUAAUUUAAGGUUUAUGGCUUUUCCAAGUUGAAUUCCAGAACUAGGUGCUCUCUGUCUUUCUGGAACAGAACCUGGAUCUUUGUUUAUUUGACCUUUUUAACUUGUGAAUCUUGCUGAGAUGUCUAAAGGUGAAAUAUAAACAAUUUCAUAAGCUUUCAGAAUGUCUUCAUUCAUGUUUGUUGGAUCUAUAUAUCUCUAGUUAUGAAUUGUUCUUUAAGCGGCUCUGUUAAUUAGUUGUUGCUGUUGAAUUGUGUAAGUUGGUGUGUCCUUGUUAGUUGUGGUGGUACUUUUUGUGAGAUUGUAUAGGAGCUUACUCCUUAAAUGAGUGUCCAGUGAAGUAUGUAAUCAUGUUUGCCAAAGCAUUCAUCAUUCUCUUCAUGUGCAUCCAUUCCUUAUUCAUUCACGCAUGCAAUAGGUGCACCGGAAACUGCGACCUCGUUCGAGCUCGAGCGGGUGAAUCCCGAAGGCCCAGAGGUCACCCAAAAGACGGAGGCCCAGCCAGCAGGACCCGAGGAGCCCGAAGAGGAGGUUGAGUGCCCUAGUCAUGAGCCUGCUUCGUUCGUGAAAGGCAAGCACCAGAGCAUCUUAAGUCUCCCACUUUAAUUUCAAAGCAUACUUGAUUAUGAUAUCUAUUGAUGCAUUACGUAUAGGUGUUGUGAUGGAACUCUUGCUGCAUUAUACACUUCCUUGUCCGGAUAUCUUAUCAUACCUUGUUGUAGAUUUAGGAUCGAGUAGCAGCUUAGCUUUUGCUUUAAUCGGUAGAAGUCAGGUGAUAGACUAUCACCUGCGCGAAAUAGGGUCUGUUGUUGGAUCACGAUUGGCUAUAUGUGCUAUCGUGGUAAAGAACCUGGUUUAAAAUGACUUAAGCCGGGUGGAGUUUUGCAAGGUGGUAGUAACUCUGUCUGUGGCAGCUAAGGACCGAUUAUUGUACGUCCUCUUGUCAUGUUGAACGCAUAUCUGACACUUAGUUGGCCGGAUAACUCGUUCCGACCGCGAAGCCUAGUAGUAUGACUCAGGCCGAAAGACCGACAAGUAUAAAGUGCGCACUACCGGAGGAAGUGCGGUGUGCGGGGGGCCAUUGGCGUAAGACCAAGGGCAGGUGAUUUAAAAGUCCUGAUCUUCCUGGCAGAGUGGCAGUCCUAGGAGUGCUGCGCUGAUCGGAGCCGCGAUUCCUGAGUCGUACCAAAGGUGACCUGCUUGCUCUCCGACGCGGGAUGCAUGGGUGAGUGCUAGGAAUAACCCUCUAGUUGGAUAGGAAUCAAUUCGAAUCGUCGUCUCUCCCAGAUAGUGAGAACUUGAGAGAGCAGCGGCAAACGUAGCAUUCACUAAGUACUAAUGGUUCUUAAUGAUGAUGUUGAGGAUAGCAAGAAAGAACAUAUGAUGAAACUUGAUAUGGUUAUUAUUGUUUGUUAAUAAUCAAGUGAAGUGCUUAGUCUAGGUGCUAACCUAGUGGUAGGUUAAUGAUAAUCAAUAUGAUGCUUAUAAGAAUGGUUUAUUAUCCAAUCUAAGCUUUGUGGCAAAAAGGUAUAAGUCAGGCCAGCUACAAUUUAUACUCAGCCUUGCAUGAUCCUUGAUGUCUUUUAUUUUGGUUAGACGGGUAAGUCUAGCUGAGUACAUCCUCGUACUCAGGGUUUAUUUCCCCACCAGUUGUAGAUGACAUCUUCUAUGAUGGUUUCUGCAAGACCUGCCUUCAUCCCGCUGGGGAUGAGGACUAAACCGUGGGCGCGGUUCUCUAACGACUUCGUACCCCAGAUGCUUUUGGUGGAUGUGAUGAUACUCUAGCUAUAACAAGAACUUGUGAAAUGUGGGUGUAAAAACUAUGUUGCUUCCGCUAUUUCAAACUUGUGUUGUAAUAACUUAAGUAACUCCGGUGUGGUGCCGCUUCGUCGGCAAUGAAUGAACUAUGUAACACUCGUUGUAUUGUGUUGAACUAUUACGAUAUUGGUAUGUUGCAAAGUUGGUUUGAAAUCCUUCAUGAUUUCGGUUGACUACUGAGAUUAUAUGGGCUCAAGUCUGAAAACUUGAUUGCUAGUUCGAUCGUUUCUACACUUGAACUCUUAUAAUUUGGUUGGUUAUUCGACAGCUGGCAUCGGAGCAAGUUUAGCGUUAAAAUAUAGCGUUUGUGUAUUUAAAAACAAAAGAGUUUUUAAAAUAAAGUGUAAAAAUCAGCACCUAAAGUAUGCUAGUGGUCGAAUCCUCCUUGCCCAUAUAAGGACUCUAGGUGGCUAUUUAAGUACUGACUUGGGUGGUUUUAAUUAUGCAUCUCCGGCAGUACUUAGGUAUGGAUGUGUGAUGACCGCACUAUGCUACCCUGUGGUCUAAUGGUAGAGGUAGCCUUCAUAUGUGAAUUAGCCACAUAUGUCGUUAGAUUUAAAUUAUGCAUUAUCGCACCUACGCUGAGGUAGGUGUGAGCUGUGAGAGCAUGAUCGUCCAAACGGCGAUCUAGGGGAGUGUUUGCGAUGGAUUUCUGGAGUGGUUGCAUGUCAAACCAUGGGAGCACGAAAGAAACUUCACUGGGGAGUAUUUAAAUUCUCGGGUAGAUGUGGUGUCAUUGUUGAUGCAUGCUGGGGCAUGUAUAAGCAGUGUGCACUUAGUUUACUGCUUUCUCGAGUGAGAUAUUGGAAUUGUUGGGCUGCAAUGAAGUUUUAUGCAGGUACUCUAAUAGCGCGUGUGUAAAUCGAUAGUUACAGUAUCGAGAUAUGAAUGUGUGCCACCGUAUACCGUUAGAAUAAUAAUUUUUCUAAGUUCGUGAGGACGUACGGGUCGUGCAUGCAUCAUAUCACAUUCAUACAUACAUUCCCUUAUAAUAUCAUUCCUUUUUAAUUAAUAAAUGUUGCUUAAAUAAUCCUCUCUCACCCACAGUUAAUCCUUUCCACAGAUGGAUGUGCCCGCCUCACCUCUCCCGAGUGACACCUUUCUAAGCGAGUUUGGCACUCCUACUCUACUUUCGAGGGUGCUGCAGUUCGAUAUGAGAGGAGACUUGCAAUGGUUCACUGUGCAGGGAGUUGUCCCACCACAUGGUGUUAGGCCUGCAUGGACAGGAUGGACCUGCAACUCAGAUGGGCAAACCCCAUGGGAAGCAGCUUAGGUUGUGGCCCAUGCUAUGGUGCUCAACAUCUGUCAGAGGUUUGGUGAUGAGCUGACACGAGGGCCAGCGGCCUACAUUCCCCAUGCUGACCUAGCAGUGGCGGAGUGGAAGCAGGCUGAUGGAUGUGCAUUGGUCCGAGGUCAAGGAGAGCGAGCUGAGAGCUCUAGUCCUGCUAUGAGCGCUAUGAUGGUUGUGCUCAAGCUGUUCACUCAGCGAGAGGACACCUAUGCACAAGUGAUGGGUGCUGUUCGCCAGGCUUAGGAGAUGCAUCAGAAGGCUGAAAAGCAUGCUCGCAAUUUCGCAAGCAAGCUAGACUCCUUGAGCAGGCCCAGAAGGACUGCAAUGACUGGGAGGACAUUGCGGAGUAUCGUAGGACGUAGUGGGUGAUGGCCACUAGAGAGAGAGAUCAUAAGCAGGUGCAGAUGAGUGAGUUGGCUAGGGAGAAGGAGACCAUGCAGGAGCGCCUGGUGCAGAUCACUCAAGAGAGGGAUACUGCACUAUGUGUGUCGGAGAACAGGCACCGGGCAUGGGAGAUGCAUCGUAUCCAUUCGGUUGAGCAGGAGAACUAUCUGCAGGAUCAGAUUGAGGCUGGUCUUGUGGAGAUUCAAUGCCUCAACAACGUGCUACACCCUAUUCCUUGCCCUGUACCAGUUUACCCGUAGGUGGGACCUCAGGUGAUCGUGGCCGAUGACGAUGGUAUGGAGGUAGAUGGACCAGCUGUGGCUGCACCACCCUUACACGAGGACGUGGAGGACGAGGAGCUUGAACUGGUUAGCGACGAGGACGGAGAGGCGAUCUUCAACACUGACUUGGACGACAAGCCUGGAGUGUAGUGGGUAGUUGGUAGCUACCCUGUGAGGCUCUUUUAUAGUGUGACCUGUGGCAGUCGUGCCCUUGUAAUCAUGCUGUAAUCCUGAACCUUGAUCUAAGACUUAUGCCUGUGCUGUGGUGAUGUCAUAUCUUUAUGGACCGGAUGUUGUAAUGACUCUAUCAUGUUCGAACAGUUAUGAUAAUAUUCCCCUUUGUUGUGCAUUUUAUGGGUAUCUGUGUCAUGUGUUGUGAUUGGUGAUGUUGUUUUGUGGAGUUGAAUUAUUGUGCCUUUUUCUGUAAAGUUAUUCCCUCGAAUACUUUCAGGCAUGAUUAUAAGUUCUUCUACUACAAAUCUUGUCAUCAUCAAUACUCAAUGACUAUGUCUUUACAGAUGUUUAGAUGCAAUUGAGGUGCGGGAAAUCGUGCAAACAUGGAUCCACCCCCUCCUCCUCCUCCACCGAAUCCAGCAGAGUUGAUGCAAGCGAUGGUGGAAAAUCAGAGGUUGCUGAUGGAGACUAUCCACCAGAUGGCAAAUCAGGGUGGUCGGGACGUACAACAGGGGCCAGCACCUAACCAGUACAACAGUUUCAAGGAUUUCGUGGAUAACAAGCCCCCAUCUUUCAAAGAGGCUGAGGAAUCCCUUCAGGCACAAGAAUGGCUGAACACGGUGGAAGAGAAGUUCCGCUUACUCCGGAUGACUGAAGGUCUGAAGGCGGAAUAUGCAGCUCAUCAACUGUAGGGUCCGGCUGGUAUCUGGUGGAAUCAGCAUAGGGAGGCUCUUCCAGAUAAAACUAUGGUUGACUAGAAUCUCUUAUGUGAAGCUUUCAAGGGACAUUUCAUACCUCCUAGGGUCAUGGAAAUGAAGCAUACUGAGUUCAUGUAGUUAACUCAGGCAACAAAACUCUGAAGGAGUAUUUGCAUGCUUUCAAUCAUGUGUCAAGGUAUGCCUCUGAUUUUGUGAACACUGAAUCAAAGAAUAUUGCUAGCUUCAAGAGGGGUCUUGGCCCCAAGUUGUUUAAGACUAUGGGCCAUGCUAAGUGUCCCAUCUUCAAUGAGUUUGUCAGUGAUGCUCUUACCCAAGAGAAUUACAACACUACAUACAAUGCGACCAAGACUCGCAAGCGAGCUUUUGAGGCCGGGGCAGGGGCAUCUCAGUCCUAGGCUCCAGUGGCAGCUAGGCCCCAGUAUCGUGCUCCAUCCCCUAACAUGCGAUACCGCCCUCCAGCAAAUAAGAAUCAGGCGAACACGGGGUUCCGCAAGUGGUACUCCAUUGUUGUUCCUAGGGGGAACACUAGGCCCAGCUAUGCCAAGACUCCGCCUGCCAACCAUUUGUGCUGGAACUGUAAUCAGACAGGGCAUUGGCAAAGCAACUGUCCUUACCAGCCAAAGAAGGGCAACCAAGGGAACGUCCGUCAGGGGCAUGUUCACUACACAACAGUGGAAGCUAUCUCUGUUGGUGAGGUAGUUACGGUUGGUAAGUUCCUGGUUAACCAAUGUGAUGCAGUUGUGCUUUUUGAUUCAGAAGCGUCACAUUCCUUUGUGAGUUUAGUUUUUGUGUCUAAGCAUAAUCUCAAGGCUGUUACACUUGAUAAAGGCAGUUACUGAAUUAGUGCAGCUGGAAAUAAUAUUUCUACAAAUCAAGUGGUUUUGGGGGCAACUCUAGAAAUAGGAGAUUGUCAGUUCCUUGCUGAUUUGGUUGGUUUGCCCGGUGUUGGUAUAGAUGUGAUUCUGGGAAUGAAGUGGAUGAGUCGUAACGGGGUCCUUAUCGACACCACUACUCGCGUGAUGUUGAGAGAUCCUAGUUCUAAGGAAGUGUUCUUAGUGCAACUUCCUCGGGAAAUUCAUAUCCGUAGCACGAUGAAUGCAGUUACAUCUAGGGCCAUCGAGGAUAUUCCGGUGGUGUGUGAGUUUCCGAAUGUAUUCCCUGAUGAUUUGCCCAGGUUUCCUCCAGACUGGGAUGUGGAGUUCAAAAUUGAAUUGCUUCCAGGUACUGCUCUUAUCUCUAGAAGACCAUAUAGAAUGCUGCCCAAUGAGCUAGCUGAGCUUAAGACCUAGUUGAAUGAAUUGUUGAAGAAGGGUCUUAUUCGUCCUAGUUCUUCUCCUUGGGGUUGUCGAGCUAUUGUGCGCAUGUGUGUGGACUAUUGUCCCCUGAAUACGGUGACCAUCAAGAAUAACUAUCCUCUUCCUCGCAUUGAUAUCUUGUUUGAUCAGUUGUCCAAAGCUAAGGUAUUCUCUAAGAUUGAUUUGCGGUCUAGGUACCAUCAGAUCAAGAUCCAUCCUGAAGAUAUACCUAAAACAGCUUUCUCAACAAGGUAUGGAUUGUAUGAGUAUCUCGUCAUGUCUUUCAGACUUACGAAUGCACCGGCACACUUCAUGUAUCUCAUGAAUUCGGUCUUCAUGCCCGAACUGGACAAGUUUGUGGUGGUCUUCAUUGAUGAUAUCUUGGUAUAUUCUCGCAAUGAAUAAGAACAUGUAGAGCAUCUACGUGUAGUGUUAACUCAUUUGCGUGAGCAUCAGCUUUAUGCCCAGUUUAGCAAAUGCGAGUUUUGGCUAAAGAAAGUAACUUUCUUGGGCCAUGUCUUAUCUGAAGGAGGCAUAUCUGUGGAUCUGGCCAAAGUGCAAGAAGUGCUAGAUCAGAAGGUUCCAACUUCGGUGCAUGAGGUUUGGAGUUUUUUGGGUUUGGCUGGGUAUUAUCGUCGUUUCAUUCCAGAGUUCUCAAAAAUAUCCAAGCCUAUGACUCGCCUACUUCAGAAAGAUGAGAAGUUUGUGUGGACACUUGGGUGUGAAGAGGCAUUCCACCAGUUGAGGACACUGCUGACAUCGGCUCCUAUCCUAGCUCAACCCGAUAUCGAGAAGCCUUUCGAUGUCUUUUGUGAUGCAUGUGGUAUCGGUCUGGGCUGUGUGUUGAUGCAAGAAGGUCGUGUUAUCGCUUAUGCCUCGCGCCAACUUUGAAAACAUGAGGUCAAUUACCCUACUCAUGAUUUAGAAUUGGCCGUGGUUGUUCAUGCUUUGAAGAUCUAGAGGCACUAUUUGCUGGGUAAUCUAUGCAAUAUCUACACUGACCAUAAGAGUCUCAAGUACAUCUUCACCCAAACUGAAUUGAACAUGCGGCAGCGAAGGUGGCUUGAGUUGAUUAAAGAUUAUAAUCUUCAAGUGCACUAUCAUCUGGGCAAGGCAAACGUUGUUGCGGAUGCCUUGAGUCGAAAAUCACACUGCCAUUAAGUUCAGAUCAAAGACUCGUCGCUGUCACGUCUUAGGCACCCAAUAGUGCUUCACCAGAUUGCUUUGGAAAGUUCUCUUCGCAAUCGAGUAAUCGAAUUGCAGCAAACUGGUGUAGGUAUCCACCAUAUAAAGCGGAAGAUGAAAGAAGAAGAAACCAAGCAUUUCUGGGUCGAUGAGAACGGAAUUCUAUGGUUCAAGGAUCGGCUGGUUGUGCCAAAGAACCGUGAGCUCCGAAAUCAGAUCUUAUCUGAAGCAUAUUCGUCCAAGCUGUCUAUCCAUCCUAGUAGUAGUAAGAUGUAUCAGGAUCUGAAACCUCUGUUUUGGUGGACGAAGAUGAAAAAGGAGAUUGCUACUUUUGUUGCUCGUUGUGAUAACUGUUGUCGUGUGCAGGCAGUUCACAUGAAAGUAGGUUUACUUCAACCCUUGCCAAUCCUUGGUUGGAAAUGGGAAGAAGUAAGUAUGGACUUUAUCUCUGGACUCCCAACUUUUGUUAAUGGUUAUGACACUAUCUGGGUGAUUGUAGAUCGCUUGACCAAGGUCACUCGCUUUAUUCCAGUUCGAACUGACUAUCGUCCACACAUCAGUAUGUGGAGUUCUACUUCGAGCACAUUUUCUGGUAGUAUGGCGUGCCUCGCACUAUCAUAUCAGAUCGUGGACCGCAAUUCACUGCCCACUUUUGGGAGUGUCUUCACGAGGAGAUUGGUACUCACUUGACUUGUAGUUCUACAAAUCAUCCCAAACAACCAGCCAAAUUGAACGUGUCAACCAAAUCCUAGAAGACAUGUUGAGGGCAUGUGCUCUCUCUUCAAAAGGUUUUUUCGUAAAGUGGUUAGAGUUAGCUGAGUUCUCUUAUUACAAUAGUUACCAAGAGAGCAUCAAGAUGGCUCCUUUUGAAGCCCUGUAUGGCUGAAAGUGUCGAACAACGUUGAAUUGGGUAGAACCCGGGGAACGAAGGUAUUACAACAUCGAUUUCGUGAACGAAGCAGACCAGCAAGUUCGUACAAUCCAGCAACAUCUGGAAGCUGCUCAAGCUCGUCAGAAAAGUUAUGCUGACAAGAGUAGAAAACCGAUCGAGUUCACGGUCGUGGAUCACGUGUAUCUCAAGGCAUCUUCGAUGAAGGGCGUACAAAGGUUUGGAGUCAAGCGAAAGCUUGCAUCCCGUUAUGUGGGACCUUACUGGAUUUUCGAGAAAAAAGGGAACGUGGCUUACAAGGUUCAACUACCGAUUGAGCUACGGGCCAUUUUUAAUGUCUUUCAUGUAUCGCAAUUGAAGAAAUGCCUUCGUGUCCCAGAAGAAAGAGUGAAGGUUCGGGAUAUCAAGUUGAAAUCAGACUUGGUGUAUGAAGAGAAGCAUGUAGUGGUAAUUGACCGUAAGGAGCAGGUGACUCGUAAUCAUGUGGUUAAGUUCUACAAGGUGUUGUGGAGUAACCACGGGAGGAAGAUGCUACUUGGGAAACAGAGGACUAUUUAAGAGAAGUUUAUAAAACCUUCUUCAAAAAUCAGUAAGCUUUCAAAUCUCGGGAUGAGAUUUUUGUAAGGGGGGAGGGCUGUAACACCCCACUGUUAUGGUUUCAUCUUUUUCACAUGCAUAACAUGAGCAUAUUCAUCUUCAUAAGCAUACCAUGAUCAUCAUUCACCUUGGAGCAUGUCAUUUUAUGCAUAGAUGUUGCUUAACUUGUUUGUUUAUGCCCCCUAUGCCUAUGUUUGUUUGUGCCAUGCUCUUGUUUGUGUCCUAGGCCUUUGGUAAGUAGUUCAACUAUGCUUAACUCAACCUUUGGAACAAUGUUCAUGUUGGUCAUAUCUUUAAAAGAUCUCUCUAAGUCAUACUUUCACUCAUAGGCCCUAUAAACCUCUUUUGCUUAGGCUUUUAAAAAGUGUUUCAUAACUUGUUUGCAUGUAAAAACUUCCUAAAGCAAAGUUGUAGCCAAUUUUAUAAGGAACAAAAUUUGUUUUAUGGCCAUCUCAUGAAAAUGAUCAUACUUGCUCAAAAAGGGCUAACAAGGCAGAUUUGGGGGCUGUUUUGACACUUAGCAAAAUUUUGCUUAGUCCUGGCGCCACCAGUUUGCCUAAACGUUUUUGGAAACUCCAUAUCUUUUCAUUCAGGCCAAAUUGGUCUUUGCUCCAGUUGACAAACUUGUAGAACUCAGCUAGUACUCCAAGAGUGUCAAUUAUACCGUCUCCUAAUUCGCCACGGUUUGCAAGAUAAUCAGUGCCAAAGUACCUCUAUCACACACUGAAAAACAGCUCUGAAUGGACAUCGUCCCCGUCGACGUGGCCGACCGGCGACAGCGUUUCGGCGACAUUUGGUGACCGUACGCUACAUCUGGCCCUGCUCGUCAGUGCUCAGGGCAUGCAUGACCUCCACGGCGUCGCCCUCGUGCUCCUAGACACGUCCAUUCCCUCCCUCUCGCCCUUUUCGCACUGAAACUCGGCCGCAGCGUAGGCGCCGUCGUCGGGCUCACUCCGGUGGGCCCGAACGCGCUCCACACUGCAUCACUGUUGAUAUUUGGGAACGUAAUAAGGAAUUGAUCCGCAAGCGCACGGAUAUCGGUGAGCACUUCACCCGGGAGGUUAUCCAGAGUAUCGUAUUUAUUUUUUUACCACUAGGAGAAAGAGUGCAUCUGACUAACCGGUCUAUUACUACUAACCUUUAGGCACAAAGAAUAUCUUUCGAUGUGAGUGAUAAAUAGAGAAGACUGCAACCGUAGUCUCCUUCUAACCAUGGUAAGGAUGAUCUACUGUUCUAAUGGGGACGCUAACGGAAUCUAGACACCACAGAGGAUGUUCAACCCGCACCUAUAAACCCUAUCCUUCCUGCUAACGAGAUGUGAUCUACAAAGGUAGCUCGGAAUUGUCACGUUCCUCACUACUACCACGGUCCAGCUAGUCAGAGAAUAUCUAUGAGUACCCCAGCCUAAACACCACGUUUACGCCAGCAAUGAUUACUCUAAACUCUACGCAAAGAGAUUAAAGUAAACUCAUAAACCAUAAGAACAAUAAAACAAGAACUUACUAGAAUUUAGAAGUCGAAAUACUGAAGAAUCCUAGGAGCAAGCUUCGGGUUAGGAGAACUUGAUCCCGCAGGUACAAGCUUGGAGUAGACACCGACAGGCCGGGCUUCCUCCACUCUACACCUCCACUCUAUCUCUCUCAAUCUAGUAGAAACUAGAAGAUCUAUUUCUACCUUACAUUGAUUGCUAAGCCUAAAAAGAAAUAUUAAUUAGAGAAGAGGUUUUCCUUCGAGGGCACCCCUCAGUCUCUAUGAUAAUUUCUUCAUGUCUUCUCCAGGGGCCAGGGUGGCCUUGCUUAUAUAGUCCUCCCCUUCUAUGCGUUUUUGGGUCGAUAGCCGAGGUGGUACUAUGUUUUUCUUGAUCCAAUAGGUCGGUGGAAUAUCCCAAAUGAAAGAGUCCUGAUUUGGCUCCAGCAGGGGGGCAGGCGCCCAGGCUUCCAGGGCGGGCGCCCUGGGCCUGGCCCAGUUUUGCCUCCGCUUCGGUCUCGUGGCUUCUGGAGUCUUCUAGAUGAAGUAAAAUUGCACGGUGCGUUGAUAUCUCUAUGUAAUCCCGACAUGUGGGCCUUUCUUCCUUAUUUCUUGAUAACCCCCUGCAGAAAUAGAUAAACCACAAAACUCGUGGAAUUCUGUGAGAUCAAACCCUAAUUCUAGGUGAUGGUUGCAUAUUGGUCCAUUCUCUUGUUUAUUUGAUAAUUAAAAUUGAUACUUAAGAACCGUCAACAAUCACCAUCCAACAAAGCUCGCCCACAGCUCCGCCAUGCUCUGCUCUCCAACUUCCACCCUCAAGCUUGCCAUGAAACCCUACUCUGAGCCGCCAUUUUCAUCUUUCCCCAAAUCGGGUCGCCGGAACAGUUUUCUCCGGCGAGCCCAAUGCUGAGCUCCUCGGAGCCCCUCUUCUUCUCUAGUUUGUCUCUCUGGGUAGCUUAGGGUCUUAGCUAGCUAGUGAGCCAACCCUAGAGCGCUCUACCGCACUCACCGGUGAUGAAAGCGGCAGUGCAGCGCCGCCGUGCUCUCGCCGGAGCACCACAUGCACGUCGCCAGGCUUGCGUGAGCCCUCUCCGGUCGAGCUAUCCAACUAGGAAGCUCCACCGUGACUCACUGGUGCUGUAGGAAACCCUAGGGCAUCGCCGAGCUUGAGAGCUCCGGUGUAUCGCCGAGCAUCCUCGCCCAGCCGCCAUGGUCGACGGCAAGCCCCUUCCGGUGGCUCCACCGUGGGGAAAAGGGGGUCAAUCAGUUCGCAAGUGACCUGGGAUCACGUUGGUGUCCUCGGUUUGGUCGGAGACCUCGCCGUCGUGGAGAAAUCGCCGGCGAACUUCGUCUCGGUCGAGAGGAAGAAGAACCUGACAUGUGGGUCUCACUGUCAGUGGCUCAACGGCUCCCUCCUCUCUUUUAUUGAAAAUCUAGAUUUCUGGCAAUCUUGCAAAAAUCAUAUCUUCAGUUCCUGAGCUCCAAAAAUUGUGAAACAAACUUUAUGAUGAUCCAAAAAUAUAAUAUGCACCAUGUUUUCUGCGAAAAGUAAUUGUUAUGAAUUAAUCUUGUUAUUUCAAUUUAAGUUCAUAUCUCUUGAUAUACUGCUCCAAAUGCUGCGAAAGUUUUAUACUAUGCUCUGGGUAGUCUUCGAAUGCUCUGGUAAAUAUUGCAUGAUUUUUGGAGUGCUGUAUCUCUGAUAUGUAAUUUAUGUUCAUACUAUUGCUUAAAUCCAUGUUUAAAUCAUAUUAAAUGUUACAUGCUUAUGCUAAUGUUCUCCUUUGGUGUCAAGCUUGUUCAUAGUAGUAGUAUCAUGUAAAUAAUCUGAAAUCUUUUGUUUGACACUAUUUAAGCCAUGUUUCUUAAUUUAUGAAAUGAGUGCCUUGUUGUAUGUUAAUUAAAUAUCUUAAGCUUGGGAUGUGCAAUUGCUCUGAAAAUUUCAUGGCAAUGUCAAUGUACCUUGCUUAUGCUUCUGUAAUGUUUGUAGAUUUUUCUGAACACUCUUGCUGGUAUCUUUUAAUUAUGCCCCUUUAUGAAAUUAAAUUAAUAAAUGCCUUUUAAUUAAGUGUGUAGUAGUUAACAUGUCAUUUUCUGGUAAUAUUAGGUCAUGCUUGUUCUUAUGAGUCACUUGGUUAGUACUAAAUAUGUAUUUGCUAUGUCAACAAAUAAUUAAUUAAAGGAUAUUUAGCUGUUCUGGACAGCAAGGGAGUAAUCUGGUUAUUGUCUAAUGAUAACUUUGUUUUCUGAAUGACUUGUCUAUACCAAAAUUGUUGUAAACUUUGUAUGCUAGCUGCAGUUUAAAUUUGGGGUCAUUUGGCCCAGUAAUUUAAGAGUUAUGACUUUUCCAAGUUGAGUUCCAGAACUAGGUGCUCUCUGUCUUUCUAGAACAGAACAUGGAACUUUGUUUAUUUGACAUGUUUAACUUGUGAAUCUUGCUGAGGUGUCUUAAGGUGCAAUGUAAACAAUUUUAUAAGCUUUCUAGAAUGUCUUCAUUCAUGUUUGUUGGAUCUAUAUAUCUCUAGUUAUGAAUUGUUCUUUGAGCUGCUCUGUUAAUUAGUUGUUGCUGUUGAAUUGUGUAAGUUGGUGUCCUUGUUAGUUGUGGGUCCUUGUUAGUUGCGGUGGUACUUUUUGUGAGCUUGUAUAGGAGCUUACUCCGUAAAUAAGUGUCCAGUGAAUUAUGUACUCAUGUUUGCCAAAGCAUUCAUCAUUCUCUUCAUGUGCAUCCAUUCCUUAUUCAUUCGCGCAUGCAAUAGGUGCACCGGAAACUGCGACCUAGUUCGAGCUCGAGAGGGUGAAUCCCGAAGGCCCGGAGGUCACCCAGGAGACGGAGGCCCAGCCAGGAGGACCCGAGGAGCCCGAAGAGGAGGUUGAGUGCCCUAGUCAUGAGCCUGCUUCGUUCGUGAAAGGCAAGCCCCAGAGCAUCUUAAGUCCCCCACUUUAAUUUCAAAGCAUACUUGAUUAUGUUAUAUCUAUUGAUGCAUUACGUAUAGGAGUUGUGAUGGAACCCUUGCUGCAUUAUACUAUUCCUUGUCCAGAUAUCUUAUCCUACCUGGUUGUAGAGUUAGGAUCGAGUAACAGCUUAGUCAUGCUUUAAUCAGUAGAAGUCAGGUGAUAUUCUGUCACCUGCGCGAAAUAGGGUCUGUUGUUGGAUCACGAUUGGUUAUAUGUGCUAUCAUGGGAAAGAACCUGGUUUAUUAUGAUUUAAGCUGGGCGGAGUUUUGCAAGGUGGUAGUAACUCCGUCUGUGGCAGCUAAGGACCGAUCGUCGUACGUCCUCUUGUCAUGUUGAACGCAUGCCUCACACUUAGUUGGUCGGAUAACUCGUUCCGACCGUGAAGCCUAGUAGUAUGACUCAGGCCGGAAGACCGGCAAGUAUAAAGUGCGCACUACCAGAGGAAGUGCGCUGUGUGGGGGCCAUUGGUGUAAGACCAAGGGAAGGUGAUUUAAAAGUCCUGAUCUUCCUGGCAGAGUGGCAGCCCUGGCAGUUGUUGACGGUCCUUAAUGCUCAUAUUUAACUGUCAACCAAUCAUAGAAAAGGAUCCAAAUGCAACCAAAACCUAGACUUAGGAUUUUAUCUGACAGAAUUCCACGAGUUUUGGUGUUUGUCUAUUUCUGCAGGGGGUUAUCAGGAAAUAUGAAAGAAAGGCCCACACGCCGGGUUUACAUAGAGAUAUUAACAUGCCGCGCAAUUUUCUACCAUCUAGAAGACUCCAGAAGCCACGGGAACGAACGGGAGGCCGAUCGGGCCCGGGGGCAGGGCGCCCGCCCAAGUCCCUUGGGUGCCCGCCCAGCUACAGUAACCAAUCAGCUUCAACUUCGCGGAUCAUGCUCCACCGAACUAAGGGAUCAAGGAAAACCGUGCGAUUAAUGUUGGUUUGAUCCGACGGCCCAGAUUCAUCUUAAAAGACUAUAUAAGCAAGGCCCCCUGGCCCCUGGAGAUCAUACCUCUUCUACAGAAUCAAAGUUAGGGUUUCAAUUCUUCAUCCAAGUAUAGAGGAUCCCUCUAGUUCUUCUAGUUCUACCUCUAGUUCAUCUAGAUCUAGUUCUAGUUCAUCUAGUUCUAGUUCUAGUUCCUCUAGUUCUAGUUCUAGUUCUAGUUAGUUCUAAUUGUAAUCUAGAAAAUAGGAAGAGAGAAGAGGAGAGCGGAGAAGGAGGAGCCGGAUCUGUCGGAUCUUCCUCAACAUUGUACUUUUCCAGAAACUUGUUCGUUCUUCAUCAUUCUCCAGGUUCUUCAAUUCAUAAUUCCUGAGUUCUUUAAUUACUUUUAUUUACAUUCAAUUUAUUUAUUGGAUUCCCGCUUGCAUCAUGUGCUCUAGUCUUUAUAACGCUAGAGUAGUAAUUAAUAGAUUAGACGUGGUGUUUAGUCUUGCAAUUACCUGGAAUUGCACCCAAUCCUACGGAUUGUUGUGGUAGCCUUAGGGUAGUGACAGCCCUAACGGUCGACGUAUUCCACCACGUUCGGAUCGGUGUUUGUAGGACCGUAGUCAGACCUUCCUAGCCCCCUUCUCAUCUCUUUCUCUGGUUAGUGCUCUGAUGUCCCGAUAUAGAUAAUCUUGAAGUAAUUCUUGAUUCUUAGAUCAACUAGAGAACUCUCAGGAAACUUCCUCUCUUCCCACCAAAGAUAAUUAUAUAGUUAUCCUUGGGCGAUCUUGGAUCUUAAUUAGUACACUCACGUUCUCUGUGGAAAAUCGAUACUCUGGAUUACUCCCGGGUCAAAGCUACAUCGGUAUCCGUGCGCUUGCGGAUUUUUCUGUUUGCGUUUAAAAUACCCAACAAGCUUUCUGGCGCCGUUGCCGGGGAACGGUAGCUGUGCUAGUUUCGAACCAAGUCGUCCGUGUAUCCUUUUUCUUUUUCUUUUUACCACACUCACCUUACCAUAGUCACCACACCACAUGGAUUUCACUCUAAGCAUUAAUGAGCAUGGAAUUUAUUUCAUAGCCACUUCACUUACUCCAUGCUCAUAUGCAACAUCUUCACAAUCCAUUGGUCUCUCCAACAUCACCACAUUCGAGAUCUCCAACCCCCACUUCUUUCUAUUUAUAAAAACUUUAAAAGGGCGGUUGUCGAUGCAUAUGUCUAUAAUAAAUAUUGCAGAUCUCGUUGAGUUGAUCUUGAUAUAGGUCAGCGUUGGAGGGGAAACCACUUCACCGACUUAAAUUAAUGGUUUCCCAAGGACAAGCUUAGUGUCCUAAAAUAAGCACUGAUCAGAUCGUAACAUGAGCUUUGAAUUAUUUGCAACAUUACCUUGUGUAUUGAGCAUAUAAGGAUAAUUGUAAAAAAUUCCUUCGGGUAUUCUUGUCACUAACCUUUCCAGGAUUGGAGCAAGAAGAUCGUAUGAAUGACAAGCACAAGGUAUGUCCAACCAAUCAUCAUACAACAUUGAAUUAAAUUCAUCCAAACUUGAAUUUUGCAAAAUUCAAGCUUGGGGGAGUACUUUACAUAAAAACAUCCUUUGCCAUGUUGCUAUGUUGGUUGUCCCUACCUUUGAGACAUGCUCAAUUUGUUAAAUACUAAUCACACUACUUCAUCACCACUUGAGUAGAUCUCUAUAAAUGCUCUCAUGCUACCUUUAUUUGCUUUAGUAUAUGUCUAGGUUUGGAGGAGUUUCAUUUAUCUCUUAAUUAAGCAUGGUGCUUAGUUUUGGGCUGAUGAUCUUACUUCCAAGGGAGUUUAAAUUAAGUAUGAUGCCUAAGUUAAAAUGCCCUCCUAAAUCAAAUUAGACAUGGUGUCUAGGUUGUUUUUGAGCCAAUAGUAUGCUAUAGUAGAUAUUGGAUAUUUUGUUGGACUAACCCCUGCAGGAAAACUUUCACUAUCGACCUGGGAAGUCCUGAGAUACACUAACAUUGGAGACAAAGAGAGAGGCACAUGAAGUUUAACAAUUUACACAAGGAAGGCAUAGCUCACAAGAGAUGAUCCAUGGAGGGUGCCACAAACACGAUGCAUAACCGCUAAGAAAGGAAAGCUUCCACAAGGUAAUACUGUACCAUCACUCUUCAAGUAAGGUAACAUCUUAAGGUACUUGACUAUCACUUUUAUAAGUUUCUCCUUGGUUCUAGCGUUCACAUGAGUAAAAGAGACAAACAUGUAUGAUUUACAACUCUAGAUUAACCAACUCAAUCAAUUGAUUAUGUUUAGUCCUACCACCUUUGUGAUCGCACACUCCUAUUCUUAUGAGCUAAAAUGUUGCGCAUUCAAUCUUUGGAAGAUAUAAACAAAAUAUAAAUAUAGAUAGAUUAUCUUUCCAUUAGGUUGAGCGAUCUGAUAUGACAAAUGCUUUAAAUGCUACACUCAUGAUCUUAUUAUCCAUCAACUUUGUCUUGCUCACUAUGCUUAAUGUUAGAGAAGAACAAAUACACUUUUGCUUCUGUUGGUGUUUUCCACCAACAGAGCCCAUGCACUUGAUCUCUGCCUUGUCUCUACGAGCAGGUACACUUCGAGCAAAAUAUGAAGGACUUUUACAACUCCUAGACUCCGCCUAGUGAAGAACUUAGAUAUACGAGCACAAACACACUGGAGAUACUGGACACUCACGCAAUCACUGCCCUGAGAUGCUUGAGGACGUAACUAUUGGAGUAACCCCGUUGUGGAAGUAAUUACUGACCUUCUGCCGGUCAAGAGAGACAAUCCAAGAUGCCCCGUCAUCCCGAUCUCCAUCGGCAUGGUGGACUUCCCAGAAGCACUCUGCGACUUUGGCUUCAGCGUCAACAUUAUGCCCAGGGUACUCUAUGAAAAAUUCUUUACACAUCCUUUAUUAGAAACAGCCAUGUGUUUGCAGCUUGCAGAUCAGACACUAAGUUUCUCAAAGGGAAUAUUGAAGAACCUCUACGUCCGAGUUGGUACCUUGUACGCCCCAGCAGACUUGGUGGUGAUAGAGACUCGGGAGGCCAUUCCUGAACACCUCGGGAGCUGUCAUCUAUGCUAGUGUUGCCAAGAUCAGUUUCUACAUCAAGGGGUGGAAGGAGACGUUUUCCUUCAAGAACAAGACUACACAAAUCUCAGAGCAAUCCCGACAUGAACCGAGGAAGAGAACCAAUAGGAGGAACAGGAACAAGCAAAUGUAGACCGAGUCAGCUAAGAUGGUCACUGCAGUUCAAGGAGGUCAAGAUCGUCGACUUAAGUCACCGUCCCAGACCAAAAAGGACGACCCAGUCACCUAUCUGCUCCUAUUCAGAACCAUGCCCCUAGAACCGACAUACAUUCAGCUUCAGAUAGCAGAUCAGACAUUCCGAAAGGUUGAAGAUUUUCAGGUUAUUGACAUGGGACAAGACGAGUACGAUCCACCCAUCAUCCUUGGAAGACCGUUCCUCAGCACCGUUAAAGCAAUCAUCUAUGUUGGAACCAGAGAAGUCCACAUGCAUUUCCCCUCUAAGAAGGUACGCCACUAUUUUACUGACUCUAGCUAUAUAGUUAAAGACUCUAAGCAGGUCUGGACAAGACGAAGACAACGCAACCGCAACUAGAGAAGGCAAAUCAUCAAGGACGGAUGGGCGGACUACGAAGGAGAAGUGGUAAUGUCUGAAGACAUACAGCUUGAACAGAACUAUCCUGAGGAGACCGUAGCACCGAGUCAGGUGUGUAGAGAGAAGAUAGUUAUACAUGAAAAGGAGGCGCUGCCGGAACCACCGACUACGCCAUUCAGUGAAUCCCAGGACGAAUGAGAAAACAGAGAGUCCCGUUCGGAGGACGUAAAAACAACGAACGCCUUGCCAAGAGGUAAACUUGGUAGUUAUCUUUUUCCUUUCGAUUAUUUAAAAAAGUUUGCUUAGUUAAUCAGGUUCAUAUCAUCUUGAAAAGAAAAUAAAAAUGUUAAAAAAUAGUAAGCCCCAUGUGAGAGAUCAUGGCAUAAAACCCAUAAGUACAUUCACUGUGGUGGCGUAAAAAUGAAAUAAAUAUAUUCUGUGGUGCUAAGGACCGAUCGUCGUACGUCCUCUUGUCAUGUUGAACGCAUGCCUCACACUUAGUUGGCCGGAUAACUCGUUCCGACCGUGAAGCCUAGUAGUAUGACUCAGGCCGGAAGACCGGCAAGUAUAAAGUGCGCACUACCAGAGGAAGUGCGCUGUGUGGGGGCCAUUGGUGUAAGACCAAGGGCAGGUGAUUUAAAAGUCCUGAUCUUCCUGGCAGAGUGGCAGCCCUGGCAGUUGUUGACGGUCCUUAAUGCUCAUAUUUAACUGUCAACCAAUCAUAGAAAAGGAUCCAAAUGCAACCAAAACCUAGACUUAGGGUUUUAUCUGACAGAAUUCCAUGAGUUUUGGUGUUUGUCUAUUUCUGUAGGGGGUUAUCAGGAAAUAUGAAAGAAAGGCCCACACGUCCGGUUUACAUAGAGAUAUUAACGUGCCGUGCAAUUUUCUACCAUCUAGAAGACUCCAGAAGCCACGGGAAUGAACGGGAGGCCGAUCGGGCCCGGGGGCAGGGCGCCCGCCCAAGUCCCUUGGGUGCCCGCCGAGCUACAGUAACCAAUCAGCUUAACCUUCGCGGAUCGUGCUCCACCGACCAAAGGGAUUAAGGAAAACCGUGCGAUUAAUGUCGGUUUGAUCCGGCGGCCCAGAUUCAUCUUAAAAGACUAUAUAAGCAAGGCCCCCUGGCCCCUGGAGAUCAUACCUCUUCUACAGAAUCAAAGCUAGGGUUUCAAUUCUUCAUCCAAGUAGAGAGGAUCCCUCUAGUUUUUCUAGUUCUACCUCUAGUUCAUCUAGAUCUAGUUCUAGUUCAUCUAGUUCUAGUUCUAGUUCUAGUUAGUUCUAGUUAUAAUCUAGAAAAUAGGGAGAGAGAAGAGGAGAGCGGAGAAGGAGGAGCCAGAUCUGUCGGAUCUUCCUCAACAUUGUACUUUUGCAGCAACUGGUUCGUUCUUCAUCGUUCUCCAGGUUCUUCAAUUCAUAAUUCCUGAGUUCUUUAAUUACUUUUAUUUACAUUCAAGUUAUUUAUUGGAUUCUCGCUUGCAUCAAGUGCUCUAGUCUUUAUAACGCUAGAGUAGUAAUUAAUAGAUUAGACGUGGUGUUUAGUCUUGCAAUUACCUGGAAUUGCACCCAAUCCCAUGGAUUGUUGUGGUAGCCUUAGGGUAGUCAUAGCCCUAACGGUCGACGUAUGCCACCACGUUCGGAUCGGUGUUUGUAGGACCGUAGUCAGACCUUCCUAGCCCCCUUCUCAUCUCUUUCUGUGGUUAGAGCUCUGAUGUCCCGAUAUAGAUAAUCUUGAAGUAAUUCUUGAUUCUUAGAUCAACUAGAGAACUCUUAGAAAACUUCCUCUCUUCCCACCAAAAAUAAUUAUAUAGUUAUCCUUGGUGAUCUUGGAUCUUAAUUAGUACACUCACGUUCUCUGUGGAAAAUCGAUACUCUGGAAUACUCCCGGGUGAAAGCUACAUCGGUAUCCGUGCGCUUGCGGAUUUUUCUGUUUGCGUUUAAAAUACCCAACAACAGUGGAGCGCUGAUCGGAGCUGUGAUUCCUGAGUCGUACCAAAGGUGACUCGCUUGCUCUACGACGGGGUUGCAUGGGUGACUGCUAGGAAUUACCCUCCAGCUGGAUAGGAAUCGAUCCGAAUCACCAUCUCUCUCAGAUAGUGAGAACUUGACAGAGCAGUAGCAAACAUAGCAUUCACUAAGUACUAAUGGUUCUUAAUGAUGAUGUUGAGGAUAGCAAGAAAGAACAUAUGAUGAAACUUGAUAUGGUUAUUAUUGUUUGUUAAUAAUCAAGUGAAGUGCUUAGUCUAGGUGCUAAUCUAGUGGUAGGUUAAUGAUAAUCAAUAUGAUGCUUAUAAGAAUGGUUUAUUAUCCAAUCUAAGCUUUUUGGCAAAAAGGUAUAAGUCAGGCCAGCUACAAUUUAGACUCAGCCUUGCAUGAUCCUUGAUGUCUUUUAUUUUGGUUAGAUGGGUAAGUCUAGCUAAGUACAUCUUCGUACUUAGGGUUUAUUUCCCCACCUGUUGCAGAUGAUAUCUUCUAUGAUGGUUUCUGCAAGACCUGCCUUCAUCCCACUAGGGAUGAGGACUAAACCGUGGGCGCGGUUCUCUAACGACUUCAUACCCCUAAUGCUUUUGGUGGAUGUGAUGAGACUCUGGCUGUAACAAUAACUUGUGAAAUGUGGGUGUGAAAACUAUAUGGCUUCUGCUAUUUCAAACUUGUGUUGUAAUAACUUAAGUAACUCCGGUGUGGUGCCGCUUCAUCGGCAAUGAAUGAACUAUGUAACACUCGCUGUAUUGUGUUGAACUAUUAUGAUCUUGGUAUGUUGCAAAGUUGUUUUGAAAUCCUUCAUGAUUUCGGUUGACUACCGGGAUUAUAUGGGCUCAAGUCUGGAAACUUGAUUGCUAGUUCGAUCGUUUCUACACUUGAACUCUUAUAAUUUGGUCGGUUCUGUGACAAUUGUCACUUCCCCCCAAAGCUACCACAAAUUCAGCCAAAUAGGGAGUAUCUAUGAGUAUUCCUAGCCCAAGCACCACAAUUACGCUACGAAUAAUUACUCUAUUCCCUACAUGAAGCAAAUAAAGUAUAUUCGUAAACCAAAGAAUAAUAAGAACAAUAACUUACUUGUUGAUGUUAGUUACGCACACAAAAGAAUCAAAGAGAAAAGGUAAGAUGUAAGAAAAGGUGAGAUAACAGAAAAAGAUAAAAGUGUGAUACAAGGUAGAGUAAGACAAGGUUAUCUAAGCAGACCAUCUUUCUCCCCGGCAAUAGUGCCAGAAAUGCUUGUUGAUGUUAGUUUCGCACAUGAAAGAAUCAAAGAGAAAUAAUCUACAAGCGCACAGAUAUCAGUGAGCACUUCACCUGUGGAGAUAAGUCUAGAGUAUCAUAUUUAUUUUUUUUACCAUUAGGAGAAAGCAUGUAAAAUACUAACCUUUUAUCUUAACUACUACCCACGGGUUGCAAGACAAGAUAGCGAGAUAUAAGCGAUAUAGAGAGAACUAUUUCUCCAGUCUUCUUCUAACCUAUGGUAAGUGUGUAGAUAUUGUUCUAAGGGGAGUUACUAGAGAAAAGAGACACCUCAAAGAGCGCUUAACCAUUGUGCCAUAUACCCUACCUUACCUCCUGACGGGAUGUAGAUUACUGAGACCCAAGAGGAUUAUCACUUUCCCCAAAAGGCUACCAUAGAUCCACCAAAACAGGGAGUAUCUACGAGUAUUCCUAGCCCAAGCACCAUGCUUAUGCUACAAAUAAUUACUCUAUUCCCUAUGUGAAGCAAAUAAACUAAACUCGUAAACCAAAGAACAAUAAGAACAAUAACUUACUAGUAUCAGAAGUCGAAUUGUCGAACGAUUGUAGAACCAAGCCUCAGGUUAGGAGACUUAAUCCUGAAGAUACAAAGAAGAAGGCACCGAUAGGGCGAGCUUCCUCAACUCCUAUCCUCACUCUAUACUCUCUCAAUCUCUCUUGGUUCUAUCACCCUAAAGAGACAGAUCCAUUCAAGGGACCUCUCUCUGUCUAACUCUCUCUGCAAAAUACGAAUUAGGGUUUCAGAGUUACAUCUUAGGGGGUCAGGGUCUUUAUAGCCCCCUAGGAAUCACCAUAGCCCUUGGAACAAACUAACUUAAACGUGCGCUUAAGAUUAAUCCUCAAAGUCGUUGGGGGUAGGAUCCGUGAGGUUUGCUCUAAUUGGUGGAGAGCCCCGGGCGGUCGCCCCACCUAGCAAGGGCGCUCGCCCCUGGGUAGCUUCCAUGUGGGCCUAGGUUUCACGUGGUGGCUCCUAGAGUCUUCUAGAUUAUUCCUGAGUUGACGUUCCGGUGUUCUCUCUAUGUAAAUCGAACAUGUGGACCUUCUUUUGUUAUUAUUCUGGUAACCCUCUGCAGAAAUAGACGAUCACCACAACUCGUGGAAUUCUGUUAGUGAUAAAUAAAUAACUAUUGAGUGCUUGCACUUUUUCAUGCUAAGUUGAUGGUUAAAAUUAGGAGUUAUCUACCAUCAAUAGUAGAGCAGCGCGAGGUUCGCUUGAGUAGGGCACACGACGGCCGCGAGUGUUGACACUAGCUAACACCACUUAGAUACUAGGUUGUCAUCCCCAGCAUGGUGCCAGAGUGUACAAAGGUAUUUAUAAAUGUAAAGGCUCUCUAGAAAAUAAUCUAUUCUAUCCGCAAGCGCAUAGAUAAAACACCACGUUGUAGGAUUUCACCAGGAUAAGUAUUCCAGGUAUCGUUAUUUAUACUUUUGCUCAAAGGAACUAAGGAGAUUAAAUUAAGGGCAAAAUCUAUCAAGGCAUAGACUAGAGAUAAACUUGCAAGAACAUGAUUACUAAUGAGAAACUCGUCACACAGUCACUUACUUUAGCAGGGGGUAAACCAUAAAGAUAAUGAUAAUGAAUUAUAAGUUCAUGGGUACAUAACACAGCGAUUAGAAAAUAGACUACUACUCAUAUAUGUAGGUGAUGUCGGAUUAGCUAGAGAAUGGAUUCUAAGUUAUCUACUAACUACUAAGUCAUAAUCUACUCUAGUUAUCUACAAGAUCAUAUAUAACAUAAAAGACUCUUCAUUCAUGUAUAAGGAACAUUGAUAAAGUAAAUCAGAGCAUCGCACGACUUACUCCACAAUACCGGUUCUGCCUGUCCUAUCAACGGAGGGUGGACUAUAUAAGAAUCAACGAAGCUGUCACUAUCGCGAACUAGCACACAACCCGGCCAAUAGGAUACAUUUGUAGAUAAAUAACAUCUAAGCACCAUGCUCACAUGUGAUGUAUCACCUAACUCCCUCACGUCAAGAGCUAAGCGCUUUGCAAACUUAUACAUAAACUCAUUAUCAAUCAUAACUAUAUCAAAUAUAGAACUAGAGCAAUCUAAGAACAUAAUAAUUAGAGACAUAAUGCAAUUACAACAAAGAAUUAGAGAAAGUUAUGAAUAAUACCAAUCUUUAUUACCGAAGAUCCGAAUCCAGAGCGUAGUGCUCAACUUCUCUAAUUGCUAUCUAAUCAAACCUCUAAACUUGAAGGAUUAGGGAGUAGCUAAUUCUAAUUCUCUGUGGGAGAGAAGCUCUAAACCCUAACUUUGAUGGCUACCUCUGCAUAAUGAUUUCUUCACUUCUCCUCUCUCCUCCAGGGGUGGAGAGGCCUUGGUUAUAUAGUCUUUUCAAGUGAAUUUGGGCCGUCAGAUCAAACCGACAUUGAUUGUGUGGUUUAGAUUGAUCCUUUAGGUCGGUGGAGUUUAGCCCCGAAGCAGAGUCCCGAUUGGACUCCAACCCUGGGCGGGCGCCCAAGGAGGGUGGGCGGCCGCCCUUCCCCCGAGCCCGAUCGUGCUCUCGUUCGUUCCCGUGGCUUCUGGACUCUUCUAGAUUGAGGAAAAUUGCACGGCACGUAAUUAUCUCGUUGUAAACAUGACAUGUGGGCCGUCUCUCCAUAUUCUCUGAUAACCCCCUGCAAAAAUAGAUAAACACCAAAGCUCGUGGAAUUCUGUCAGAUAAAACCCUAAUUCUAGAUGUUUGUUUCAUAUUGAUCCUUUUCCAUGUUUAUUUGAUUGUUAAUUUUAGUACUUAAGGACCGUCAACAAACUCCCCCAAGCUUACCCUUUGCUCGUCCCUGAGCAAAAUAGCUAAACUCAGACAGAUCAGGAGUUGCUUCGAUGUUUUCUUUCCUGAUAGGCACACAUGCUUUUACAUAAAAUUCUUCCAGAUUCGAGUGAAGUGUUAUGGAGUUUAGUACCUGCACUUAAAUCUUAAGUAAUCGAAAGACAAAAAUAGUUAAGUCAAGCACUAUUCCUCCUGUCUAUACUUCACCUUUGUUCCAGAGUUUUUCAUAAGUUUUUUAAAUAAAACUCAGAGUUCCCAGCAAUGAUUCUCUCAAGUCUCUCUAUAUGUGGUAUUUGUGGAUCCUUACCAUAAUGUCACUUACCUAUAGCUAAUGGAAUAUUUAAGUGGAGCUCAUAGGAGUGAAAAACAUCUCAUACAUAUGUUGUCUAAUCGAGCCAUGGAUCCAAAGGACUCAGCAUAUAAUUAAAUCAAGACGUGCAUGUGUGGUGGAGUAAAUGAUAGUGAUGGUAAAAAUGUAUAAGUAAUAAUAAAACUUGGUUCUCAUUGCUCCUCAUAUUGCUAUCUCUCCUCUUCUUUGAUCUUUGCUUUGGGAGAACAUGGGCUAUCUUUUUCUCUUUUUUUUCAGGUGGGUAGUAGAUACCCCUAAUUCUACUGUCGGACACUUGUCCAUUUUUUCCGCUCAAGUGGGCAUCUUUGUACCCCUAAUUCUACUUCGGACACUUGUCCAUUUUUAUCUCUCGUCUCACUCUUUUUCUUUCUUUUUUCGAGGUUCCGGGCACUUGCCCCUUUUUAUUUCCUCGCAUAUUUUUGCAUAACCCAUGCCUCUUCUGCAUUGAAUCUUUUUAGAGAGAGAAUAACAAUAUUUGGGACAGUGAGUGAUAAUAUUUUUAGCAAUUUUAAUGAAUGGUGAUGAAUGGUGUAGUGGAUGUGUGCAAGUGAAUAUCUUAAUUUAACCACAUCAAAAGCUCCUAAGGGUCUACACAGCUCGAUCAAACUCAAUGUAAAUAUAGUAAAAGAUGUUAUAGCAAGUAUGGCUGUGGUAGGUAGUUUGUUAUGCUAGGAACUCAUCAUGUGAUUUGUAAGUUUUCAAAAUAAAUCUCUAGAACUUAGUGUAGUAGGAACAAGAUAAACAGUAGCUCAACUUUAUAUCAUGCAUUUCUCUUACCUAGACUUUAGUUUUAUAUUUCCCAUAGAUAGUAAUUUUAGUUUUAGUAAUUCCUGGAAGAACUCUAAUAUAGAAGCUAGGUACUUGAAAGUAAGCAAACAGAGCAACUAUUCAUCAUUUCCAUCAUACAUCUUUUUGGUCUUUUUAUUUUUUCUAGGGAUUAAACUUAGCAGGAAAAUAAAGCACACUUGUCUACACACUCUUUUUAUUUUGUUUUCAUGUUUAUAAAAUGCAGUAAAUUUAAGCAAGAAAAUAUUUAUUUGGUUUUCUAAGUUUUUCCUUUUAAGAUAAAAUACUAAAAUAGAAAAGAAUAAAUAAGAAGAGCAAAUAAAAACUUACUUGAUAAAUUGGGGAGGAACUCCCCCAAGCUGGAUGUUGACGUCGGUCUAACCCGAUGUUCCAGAACCGCAUCAUGGUUGUGAUGUUGUCGUUCAUUGUUGUUGUAUCUUGUCUCAGCUCUUCUACUGCAGUGGCAUGGUCCUAGUUCCAUUUUUUGUUGUUCUUCUAGGAGUCGUCCAUGUUCUGCUUGCGUGUUCUAGAUGUCAAGGAGGGUGUUGUCGGUACGAGUGAAGAAAGCACCGGCCUCUUGAUAGUAGUCAUUCGUGAAAGCGUAGGAGGCGUCGGAGUAUCGUCCUACAUCAAAUUGGGGCGGAGGUCUGGAUCCUGAAGCUCCAUAUGGAUCAGUGGAGUACCUGCCCAUAUGGAAAGGCGGGUUUGUCCACUGGUGAUCUUGGCUCUCCGGUCAUGACUCCUCUGUUGGCUCUUGUGGUUGCGCAUGUCGAACCCAUGGGUCUCGAAGGACUCGAGGGUUGUAGUCGCAAUAAUGCAGGUGCGCUGCUUCUUCUGGUCCAGGGUCAGCUCCAUACCAGGUGCGUUCUUGAUGGGUGUUGCUGCAAUCUCAAUCAAAAAGUUUUGCACAACGUAGAGGCCAAGUUUUGGGUUAGGUAACCGAAUCUUGCCUUUAUCAUCAUGUAGCAUAUACAUUAUAUUCCCCUCUUUCUUUAACAUCCGAGCCUGUCUAAAUGUGUCAUAGCCAUGAUAAAUUCUUAACUCAUCUAUGAAGUCCAACGAUGAGUUUUCUAGUAAGUGAAGAUUAAAGGCUAGACGAGUGAUAAGUGAAGUACAUCCUACUGGUCCCUGAAGACUAGUUAUACUAAGCCAAUGAGAAACUAAAAGUGUAACAGGUGAAGUAGGUACUUUAUUAAUAGCAGCAUAUAAAAGUUGUAAAUCUCCUACUCUUACUUUCCUAAUAUCAUCGCGAUAGAAAAGAUUGUACCCAAGCCAUUUGUGGAACAUCCUAAGAGUGGGGUGUUCGAUGUCACUGGUUCGGGCUUGACUAUAAAAAUUAUCUCUAGAUAUUUCUCUCCAAAACUGGUGUCUCUCAAAGUUGGGUAAAUCGGAGUCAAUGUUCAGGAUGCAUCUUGAAGAGAAACCAAGAUGGUCGCUCAGUUCUCUCCAAGACAACAUAAUCUCCUAUUUGAACAUCCGAAAAACAAUUCCCCCCUCAUAGUAUUGUAAAGUGCAAAGAAAUUCGAGGGUGAGAAGACGAGAACCCAGUUCAGUUAUAUUCCAAAAAUUUGUCCAACUUAUCAUCUGAAAAAUUAAGUCGAAUUCAGUGUCCAUACCUGUUUCUUGUAGUAAGAUUGGAUCGAGAGUAGGGGUGUGAAUGAAAUCUUUGUUCUUCAAUUGCUGAUAGACUUCCUUCUCCCUUCGGGUCUUCAGUCCUAGGUCUCCUAUCUUGAGAAGGACCUUAACUUGCUGACCUGAUGAAGAUAACGGAGCUUGUGUGGGUGUCGGGUCGACGCUCAUUUCUGAUGGCUGUGAGGAGUGUCGGGAUGAACUCCUUGUAACAAUAUUCUUGAGAGCCUUCCCUGCAUUCUUCACCUUCUUGAACAUCCUGUAAACAAAAGUUGGCAAAAACACAACUAAUGGAAAAUGUGAGAGAAAAUGGUAGUGGUCAGCUGUCCGGAAUGUCAGUAGUCCAGGGGUUAGUCGUUCAAGACAAGUUUCUAUUUUGGUAGAGCCUCCCCCUAAAAAACUUUUACUUCCGUUUAGACAACUACUUACUAGGUGAUACUCACUCUCUCACUCAAAAGAACUCCCAACCUUCUCACACUCAGAGCUAUUCUCUGGAAACCGAGAACUACGAGCUUACAAGGUUUUCUGAAAUGUGUGUGUGAAGAGAAGGGGAGCUGGAGGUGGCCAUUUAUAGGCUGAGCAUGGGACAGGGCGGGCGCCCUGCGUAGGUGGGCGGGCUCCCACCCCUGGUGUCCAUCCUGGGUGUGCCUCCUCCACUUGCUUCCUUGCUUUGAUCUCACGCAGAAUAAUGUUGUGUUGGUGGUGGUUGGACGGUGGAAAGAUGUCUGGUGAGUGGAAACAUAUUGGUGGAUGAAAUUAUGUGAUGGGAUCUAUGUGAGGUGAAGUGUAUGAUAUGUGGGACCCAAGGAGUGUGGGUCAUGCUUCUAGAAGGUUACUAUAAUUAAAUAUAAUGCAGGCAAAAUCUAUGAGAAUUGAAACUUAAUUAAAAUGAUAAUGGAAAAUAUUUUUGUGCCUCCACAAUAAUUAAUAAAUAUGGGUUGUCACGCACCAUGAAUAUUAUUUAUAUGGGGCUUUUUAUUAUUGUAAUAAUGCUAUGAAUAUAUAUGACUAAUGCAAGAUUAUGCAAGAAUCGAAAUAUGAGAAAAUUAAUAAUGCGGAUAAAUACCGAUUUACCUCCCGGUGAGGGUUUGGGAUUUUUAGGUCCCCCAAGCUGGACCUUAAAAUCUUUUAAUCUUCUGAGUUACCUUCCUCUGGAGAUGGUGUCUCCAGUGGUUCUUCAUGAACUUCCUUCACUGUAGAGUCUCUCUCUGGUCUGGGUUUGAAUGUGAAGUGUUCUUCUUGUCCAUUUAUGUUGAACUUGAUUUCUCCUUUCCCGACAUCAAUGUGGGCAUUGGCAGUGCUCAGAAAUGGCCUUCCAAGGAUGACAGACACUUUUGAGUCAGGACUCAUGUCCAGUACUACGAAGUCUACUGGCACCAGGAAAUCUCUUAUCUUGACUGGAAUGUUCUCGGCGAUGCCCAACGGGUGUCGAACCGAUUGAUCUGCUAGUUGUAGGCACAUUGAUGUUGGUUCUAGGGUCGCAUGUUCAAGCUUCUUGUAGACUGAUGCUGGCAUUACACUGACACUUGCUCCGAGAUCACAAAGUGCAUUGUUGAAGUGUUGUUUUCCGAUUGAGAAAUCAAUAGUGGGACAUCCGGAAUCUUCCUUCUUCUUUGGUGGCUUAUUGAGGAUGGCCGCACUACAUUCUUCUGUCAGCUUGAUAACCUCAGUGGUGGGCAGUGGUCUCUUCUUGUUAAGAAUAUCUCUGAUGUACUUUGCAUAUGUAGGUACCUGUAUGGCAUCGAGCAGAGGUAUGUUGACGUAUAAUUUCUGAAUGACCUCUACAAACUUACCAAACUGCUCAUCCGACUGCAGUCCUCUGUUUCUUCUGGGAAAUGGCAAAUAGUUGGUGUCGUAAAAAUCUUUUCUCAUUUCUCCAGUUCUUGGUGGUUGUAGCAGAUCUUCUGCUUCAACUGGGCUUUCUUCUUCUAUCACUGCUGGUUGCACUGGUGCUGAUGUUCUUUGUUUCUCUUUUGGGUAUGGGGGAUCUCUGGUGGCUUUGCCUCCUCUAGUAGUUAUAUUCUUUACCUGCUCAAGGUUAGUAGCAACAGGCAGUGCAGCAGCUAUCUUUAUUAAUUUAAGCUCUACCCUUUUAUUAAGAGUGUUUUGCUCAUCAAAGGCAGUUAGUAGAAAAUCCAUUUUAUUGUGUAUAUCUUUUAGAGAUGAUUCAUUUGUAUCUAGCCUUUGUUUAACUUCAUCAUUAAUUUUGGGUUGUUGAGCAAUUAUCUCUUUUAAUGAAAGUUCCUUGAAAGUAUUACCUGAAUUCAUACCUUUGCUAUUGGGUUGACUCGAGGUAGGUUGAUAUUUGUAUGCUGUCUCAAUGGCCCUUUGAUCUUCUUUGAACUUGGCCCUCUGGUCAAUCCAAUGUAGCAAAUUUUCCAUCUUAGUUGAUAAUGCAUUUACUUCUUCUGGUAUUUCUUCAGUUUGAUGACAUUGUUGAGUUUUAUCUUGGAACCAGCUUUGGUUUUCUGCUAUCUUAUCCAAAAGUAUCUCUGCUUUUCCAGUUGUAAGCUCCAAGAAUGAUUCUUUAGCACAUGCAUCUAGGCACUCACGAGCCUUCUGGGUUAAUCCAUGGUAGAAGGUCUGCAUAAGUAACCAUGUGGCCAUUCCACGGUGAGGACAAUCUGAUAUGUAUCCUUGAAAACGCUCCCAUGCUUCUGAAAUGGUUUCUGUCUUCUGCUGUUGGAAACUGACAAUAUUUCCUCUUAAGGCAGUUGUUUUGCCUAUAGGGAAAAACUUUGAUAGAAAGGCAUCUGACAAGUUCAUCCAGUUGUUGAUGUUAUCUUGAUGAGUGUAGAACCACUUCCUCGCUUUCCCUUCUAGUGAGAAUGGAAAAAGGCGAAGUAGUAUGACGUCUUUGUCAACUCCGUUGAUGUGGAUUGUGCUUCCAAUCUCUAAGAAAUUCUGCAAGUGUGUACUAGCAUCUUCAUGUGCCUUUCCACUGAAUUGUGUAGCUUGCACCAAAUUGAUGAGGCUUGACUUGAGCUCAAACUUGGGUACUCCUUCUUCUACUGCAAAUCAUGGACCAGUUGGAAUGUUCUCAAGACUUGGAGCAGAGAAUUCUUGCAAGGUCUUUUGUGCCAUAACUUUAGCAAUUGGUAGCUAGCUUCUUCUUCUCUUGAUUGCUUUGGUUCUGAUGAUGAAGAGUUGAAUGUACCCUAAGUCAAUCCUGAUAUACCCUGUAUAAAAAAUAUAAACAUUGAAAAACAACAUGGUGAACCUGCCAAAGCAGAGGUGCCUUGUUAUGAUUUCUCACUUAGUAGCUGUUUUUAUGCAAUUAUUUCACUAUAGUCUAGUCUAAUGUUUUAUAUGAAUAACCUUGACUAAUUUUCUGGCUUUCCUUACUGUUCCUAAGUAUUACCCUUUUGUUCCCGUUUAUGACUUACUCAUGAGACUCCCCGGCAACGGCCCCAGAAAUGCUUGUUGACACUAGCUAACACCACUUAGAUACUAGGUUGUCAUCCCCAGCAUGGUGCCAGAGCGUAGAAAGGUAUUUAUAAAUGUAAAGGCUCUCUAGAAAAUAAUCUAUUCUAUCCGCAAGCGCACAGAUUAAACACCUCAUUGUAGCAUUUCACCAGGAUAAGUAUUCCAGGUAUCGUUAUUUAUAAUUUUGCUCAAAGGAACUAAGGAGAUUAAAUUAAGGGCAAAAUCUAUCAAGGCAUAGACUAGAGAUAAACUUGCAAGAACAUGAUUACUAAUGAGAAACUCGUCACGCAGUCACUUACUUUAGCAGGGGGUAAACCAUAAAGAUAAUGAUAAUGAAUUAUAAGUUCAUGGGUAGAUAACACAACGAUUAGAAAAUAGACUACUCCUCAUAUAUGUAGGUGAUGUCGGAUUAGCUACAGAAUGGAUUCUAAGUUAUCUACUAACUACUAAGUCAUAAUCUACUCUAGUUAUCUAUAAGAUCAUAUAUAACAAAAAAGACUCUUCAUUCAUGUAUAAGGAACAAUGAUAAAGUAAAUCAGAGCAUCGCACGACUUACUCCACAAUACCGGUUCUGCCUGUCCUAUCAACGGAGGGUGGACUAUAUAAGAAUCAAUGAAGCUGUCACUAUCGCGAACUACCACACAACCCGGCCAAUAGGAUACAUUUGCAGAUAAAUAACAUCUAAGCACCACACGCACAUAUGAUCUAUCACUUAACUCCCUCGCGUCAAGAGCUAAGCGUUUUCCAAACUUAUACAUAAACUCAUUAUCAAUCAUAACUAUAUCAAAUAUAGAACUAGAGCAAACUAAGAACAUAAUAAUUAGAGACAUAAUGCAAUUAGAACAAAGAAUUAGAGAAAGAUAUGAAUAAUACCAAUCUUUAUUACCGAAGAUCCGAAUCCAGAGCGUAGUGCUCUACUUCUAUAAUUGUUGUCUAAUCAAACCUCUAAACUUGAAGGAUUAGGGAGUAGCUAAUUCUAAUUCUCUGUGGUAGAGAAGCUCUAAACCCUAACUUUGAUGGCUACCUCUGCAUAAUGAUUUCUUCUCUUCUCCUCUCUCCUCCAGGGGUGGAGAGGCCUUGGUUAUAUAGUCUUUUCAAGUGAAUUUGGGCCGUUAGAUCAAACCGACAUUGAUUGUGUGGUUUAGAUUGAUCCUUUAGGUCGGUGGAGUUUAGCCCCGAAGCAGAGUCCCGAUUGGACUCCAACCCUGGGCGGGCGCCCAAGGGGGGUGGGUGGCCGCCCUGCCCCCGAGCCCGAUCGUGCUCUCGUUCGUUCCCGUGGCUUCUGGACUCUUCUAGAUUGAGGAAAAUUGCGCGGCACGUAAUUAUCUCGUUGUAAACAUGACAUGUGGGCCUUCUCUCGAUAUUCUCUGAUAACCCCCUACAAAAAUAGAUAAACACCAAAGCUCGUGAAAUUCUAUCAGAUAAAACCCUAAUUCUAGAUGUUUGUUUCAUAUUGAUCAUUUUCCAUGUUUAUUUGAUUGUUAAUUUUAGUACUUAAGGACCGUCAACAGCGAGCACAGUGGCGACGCGCCCGAGGUUCGCUAGAGUAGGGGUCACCUAGUGUCGAUCUUGAGCAGCCAUGUGGUGGACAAGAGAGAGUAGCUCUAGGCAGACUUGGUGACACUUGGAGAGGAGGCAUGAUGCGAGGAAGAGGGCGUGCGGAGCUCGUAGGUGCUCGGUGUCAAUGGCGAUGGUGUUUCCACCGUCAGAGUGUGUGAGAGAGAGGGCAGAGAGACUGAGUGAGUGCCGGUGGCGUGGCAUCCUUGACGGCGUCGACGGCCUAACUGAUGGGGCCAACACCGACAUACGGUCACCGAAUGGUGCUUGGGUGCUAACACUAGUCGGCCACGAUGUUGCCAGGAGCUCGCGAUGAGAGUUUCAUUGCCAACUGAUAGAGCUACUUCGUCGAUGAUUAUCUUCCAAACUAGCUAUAGUUGACAAAAUUGGAGAACUAAAUGAGAUCUACAACUUUGUCAAUUGGAGCAAGAGCCAAAUUGGCCUGAAUGAGAAUAUGCAAAGCUCCAAACUACCUUCAAGCAAACUGAGUCAUGCAGGGAACUUAGAAAAUGUUCUCAGUGUCCAAACAACAUCCAAAAUUGACUUGUGGGCCAUUUUCAUGAGAUGGCCCUAAAAUAACUUUUGAUCCUUAUAAAAUUUUCUUCAACAUUGAUUUAGAGAGUUUUGACAUGAAAACAUUUUAUGAAGCACGUUUUAAAAACUUAAGCAAAAGAUGUCUAGGGGGGCCACCCUAGGCCAACUAUGGCUUAGAAGCAUAAUUAGAGCAAAUGACCAACAUGAACAUUGAUCCCUAGGACAUGUUAAGCAUAGAUAAACUAUUUACCAAGAUUAUAAACACACCCUAGCACAAGGUACACAAGAUCAUACGCAUAGAAGGCAUAAAUUAAGCAGAAAAGCAAACAUAGCACAUACAAUGACAUGCUCCACAUGAUAUGAUGCUCAAGGAAUGAUAUGAUUAUGAUUAUGCUCAUGUCAUGCAAGAGAUAGAAGACAACCAUAACACUUUGGUGUUACAACCUUCCCCCUUACCAAAAUUUCAUCCGAAGAUUUAGAAAGCUUACUAGUUUCCACAGAAGGUUUUAUAGACAUCUCUUAGAGAGUCUUCCCAUUCCUAGGUAGCAUCUUCCUCCCUAUGGUUACUCCACAAAACCUUGUAGAGCUUAACCACGCGAUUAUGUGUUACCCGUUCCUUGCAAUUAGUGACAGCUACAAGUUUCUCUUCAUAAACCAAGUCUGACUCUAACUUGAUACCUUGAGUUUCCACUCUUUUCUAACAGACUCGAAGGCAUUUCCUUAGUUGAGACACGUGGAAAAUAGGAAAAAUAGCUCGCAUCUUAACCGGCAGCUGAACCUUGUAAGCUACCUUCCCUUUCCUUUCGAGAAUCUGAUAGGGUCAUACAUAGUAGGGUGCAAGCUUUCGCUUGACUCUGAACCUUUGCACCCCUUUCAUCGGAGACACUUUGAGGUACAAAUGAUCCCUGACUGCAAAGCAUAACUCUUUUGUUGAGCCUGAGCAGUUUUAGAUGUUGCUGGAUUGUACGGACUUGUUGCUCUGCUUCAUUUACAAAAUCGAUGCCAUAGUACCUUCUCUCUCCCGAUUGUACCCAAUUCAAAGGAGCUAUACACUUCCGACCAUAUAGGGCUUCAAAAGGAGCCAUUUUAAUGCUCUCCUGGUAACUAUUGUUAUAAGAGAACUCGGCUAAUGGCAACCAUUCACCUAAGAACCUUGUGAAGAUAAGACACAAGAUCUCAACAUGUCUUCCAAGAUUUGGUUAACACGCUCAGUUUGGCCAGUCGUUUGCGGAUGAUAAGCAGAACUUCAGACCAAAUGAGUACCUAUCUGCUUACGAAGACACUCCCAGAAACGAGCAGUGAACUGCUGUCCAUGAUCCGAUAUGGUAGUGCGAGGUACGCCAUACUGGCGGACAAUGUGCUCAAAAUACAACUCCACAUAUUGAUGCAGAUGAUAUUUAGUUCGAACCGAGAUAAAACGAGCAACCUUCAUCAGACGAUCCACAAUCACCCAAAUUGAGUCAGAACCCUUGACAAAAGGUGGAAGUCUAGAGAUAAAAUCCAUACUCACUUCCUCCCACUUCCAACUAGGGUUUGGCAAAGGUUGAAGUAGACUCGCUUUCAUGCGAACAGCCUUAACACGACAAUAGUUGUCGCAACGGGCAACAGAAGCAACAAUCUCUUUCUUCAUUUUUGUCCACCAAAACAGAGAUUUAAGAUCCUAAUACAUCUUACUGCUACCAGGAUGAAUAGAUAGCUUGAAACAAUGAGAUUCAGACAGAAUCUGAUUUUGGAGCUCUCAAUUCUUUGGUACAACAAGCCUAUCCUUAAACCAUAGAAUUUCGUUCUCAUCAACCUAGAAAUGCUUGGUUUCUGCCUCUUUCAUCUUUCUUUUUAUGUGGUGGAUACCCAUGUCAGUCUGUUGCAACUCAAUCACCAGAUUACGAAGAGAGCUUUCUAGGGCAAUAUGGUGAAGUACCGCUGGAUGCAUAAGACGUGAUAAAGGAGGAUCCUCAAUUCUCACCGAAUUUCAAUGUGACUUCUAACUCAAGGCAUCCACAACUACGUUCACCAUUCCCGGAUGAUAGUGUACUUGGAGAUUAUAAUCUUUGAUCAACUCAAGCCACCUUUUCUGUCGCAUGUUCAACUCGGGUUGAGUAAAGAUGUACUUGAGGCAUUUAUGAUCGAUGUAGAUGUUACACAGAUUACCCAACUGUUGACACCGUUUUUGGGCACGUGUCCACGUUGGCAGGAUAAGACGGCGGUGUUUUGUUUACAGGGUAAAUUGCCGAUGAGGAUGGUUGCCGACCAAGGAGAGGUUGAACGUGGCUAAGUUUACGGGUGGUGAUGUGCCUGUGCCGAUGGCUGCGAUAAGGAAGUCUGCCGAUGACUUUGGCAAGGAAGUCUGCCGAUGACUAUGGCAAGGAAGUCUGCCGAUGAUACAAAGGGGGAGUCCGGAAGCUGCCGGUCGGCUUAUGGAAGAAUUCCGGUUCGUCAUGGGGGAUAGCUUUGUUAUUUCCUUAUUUAUUUGAGUCGUUUUAUAUACGGAUUCUGUGUAAUUUGGAAUUCAAAUUAUAGUCGUGUCUGGUUGUAGUUCUUUAACCAGGGUAUAAAUAUAAACCCUAAGGCCUUGUAAUGAGACAUCUAUCAAUCAAUCAAACACACGUUUUUACUCAUAUUCCAGCAUCUAUUUUUCGACGAUUUCGUCAUACUUUUUCUCUUUUAUUACGAGUUCUUAGGAAUUCGUCGACUUAAGCUCGGCGCGUUCUCAAGUUCCGCGUGAGUACCUCUUAGCCGUGACAUCCGGGCGCAUCGCUGUUGUCAGGACUAAAGUAUUCGAGUUAUCACCUUUGCCGAUAGUAAGGUCAAAUCGGCUGGCACGCCUUAACGUUUGAAUCGGGUAUUAGCCCUUUGUGUUUGCAGAUCAGUUUUGCACCAACACAUCUUUUGGCACGCCCGGUGGGACCGAUUCAAGAUCAAGAUCAACAUGUCGAUCUCUGACUUCGAUCAAGAGAACGUCAUCCCCGUGACGGAGGCCAAUCUCAAGGAUGAGCAGAAGCAAGCUAUUGCCCAAGCCAUGGAAGAGUUCAAGCUGCAAUGCCUGAGGUCUUUCAGCAUAAACAGGAGCGGCGAGGUGAUCUAGAAAGAUGCACUGCCGGCACCACGGCAGGUUACCUUCGAAGCCAAUCCUGGCAAGCUUCAAGAUAUGGUUGACAGUGCUAUCAAUCGAGCUUUGAUCAACCAAGCUGGCGUACUGUCCAAUACGGUUUUCAAUGCCGUGGCAAGAACUUUCAAGGAAGGACAGAUCCCACCAGAUUACGUGGGCCCCACUCAUCAUCAACCAACAGCACCAGAGGUUACGGCUCCUUCGGCUGCUUUGACAGCUGCGAGUGCACAAUCUGCUGUCCCUCCAGGUACAUUGGUAGCUACUAGCACACAAUCUGUGCCGAUGACAACCAACCCACAAACUUCAAGUGGGCAGAAUAAAUUGACUACAAAUAUGUUAGCAUCGGCAAUGUCAGGGUUGACUCCUCCUCCCAACUGGUGGGGUUACGGUAUGCCUCCAGAGUUGACACCGGGUACAUCACAGAUAACUGACAUGAGGGGCAAAGCUUCUAUGGCAUCGGCGCCUCCCAAUGCGCCGUGGAACCAGAGUCCUCGGUAUACCACAACUACAACUACAAGGCCUCACGCUGGGAAUCCUCAAGAUUCGAUGUUCCAAGUGCCUAAUGCAUCGGCAGAUUCAAUGCUGAUGCAACAGAGGUCCAUAGCCCAGUCGGGUAUGUCAAUUCAAUGAUGGUGCCCAAUUACGAAUCAUCGGCAGCGUCUAUGCCGAUGAACGCUAAUAAUGGAUGGCUUGGACAACAAGUUUUUCCCCAAACACCCCAACAGAGUUACCAGGCUACAGGGUUCCAGCAAGGACAGGUCUAUCCCGGGUUCCAAAGUCAGGGGGUUCCCAACCAGCCAAUGAAUCUCGGACAACAGCUCGGGGGGCAGCAAAUCGGUGGACAGCAGUUUGGUGGUCUGCAGAUUGGAGGCCAGAUGAUCAACCCAAUCUUCCGUGCAGAUCAUGCCCCAAACAGACACGUGGAGGUUCGCCACCAGGUGCCAGACCCGCAGCCGCCUCAUCGGCAGGAUGCCGAUGCAUAUUGGGCCAAUAAGAUCGCUGAAGUAAUCAGGGUUCAAUUUGGGAUAAAACCCAAAGUCAACACUUACUCUUAUCGGACACCGUAUCCUCCCGCAUAUGAUUUGAUCCCGCUUCCACAUCGGUACAAGGUACCAGACUUUACCAAGUUUUCCGGGCAGGACGACACGUCAACCAUGGAGCAUGUCAACAGGUUCAUCAUUCAAUGCGGGGAAGCUGGUAACAGGGACAAAUUGAGGGUUCGUCUAUUUUCAUCGUCAUUGUCUAGGUCGGCCUUUACCUGGUUCAUAUCAUUACCUCAUAAUUCAGUGAUUACUUGGGCCGAUCUGGAGAAACAAUUCCACAAGUACUUCUUUUCUGGAGUUCUUGAGAAUAAGAUCACCGAUUUGGUCAAAUUAAGACAACGCAAUGAUGAAUCGGUCGAGGGUUUUGUGCAGAGGAUACGGGAGGUCAAAAAUAAAUGUUACAGUCUGGUUCUGGAUGAUCGGCAGCUAGCCGAUUUGGCUUUCCAGGGUUUGUUGCCACAUAUCAGGGACAAGUAUGCUUCUCAGGAGUUCGAAAGUUUGAGUCAUUUGGUGCAGAGGAUUUCUGAUCAAGACAUCAAGCCUUUUGAGCCCAAAAGAGCAUGGAACAAGAAGGUAUCAUUUGUGGAUGAGGCAACAAGCUCAGAUUCUGAUGAGGAACCAGUCAUCGGCUUGGCAGAGUGGGUAAAGAAUAAGAAGCCGAUGUCUUGUCCUUUUGGGCAGAAGGAACCAGAAAAGUUCACUUUUGACACCGCUAAAGCCGACAAGAUAUUUGAUUUUCUGCUCCAGGAAGGACAGAUCAAGUUGUCUCCUAAUCACAUGAUCCCAUCGGCAGAAGAGUUGAAGAAGUGAAAUAUUGCAAGUGGCAUAAUGCAACUUCUCAUGACACUAAUGAAUGCAAAGUUUUCAGACAGCAGCUGCAAUCGACCAUAGAGUCUGGGAGAAUCAAAUUUGACAGUCGCAAGAUCCAGAAGCCGAUGAAGAUAGACCAACAUCCUUUCCCGACAAACAUGUUGGAUGCUAAGGGGAAGGCCAAGGUCUUAACAUCGGAAGCAGCUGAGAAAAGUGCAUCGGUAGACCCUCAGCAUCAAGUCACUACUGCCGACGCAAGAGGAAGAGGCUUGGUCCAGGAAGGAACUAGCUCAGGGAGGCCUCCCCGAUCUGGGACUGUGAUAACUCACAGAAGGCCUCGAGAGAACUGGCAACAACGGGAAAAUCGGUAUCGGCGCCAGGAAGAAGAUUAUCGUUGGGAGGAAGAAAGACACCGACAGGAGUGGAAUCGGCAUAGGGAUCACUGGAAUUGUCCGUUCUUCAUCCAUUGCUGGGAGGAGAAUAUUAAGCUUCCCACUGUCAGAGACUGCCCUGAGUGCAAUGGUUAUGAUCGGUAUGAUAGGACCGAUCGGCGUUAUCAUGAUGACAAUCGGCGACUUAAUGGGCCGAUUAGAGGAAGAGCAUCAGUUCAUGAUCGGCUGGGGGGCAGGCUCAGCGUGCAUGAUAGGCUUGGCAAUCGUGUCCAAUAUUUUCCCAGAAACCAGGAAGAACUCGAGGAGAUGGCUAAUGCACGAGUUCCCGAUGAGUUCAUAUUUUGCAGGGAUGCUAACACGCAUCGGAUGGAGUCAAGGGAGAAUCGACGCCCAGUAGCAAGGCAGAAGCCACUUCCUCCAUGGUGUCCGGAAGGGUUGACCAAGACAAAGAAAAGGAGAUUGCAGCGUGAAAGGCAAGAGGAGCUAAACAAGGGCGAGAACUCUGGAAGUCAGCAGCCAUCAGACACCAAGAGGGAAGGUCCAUCGGCGGGAGUUAACAUGGUCUUUAUGUUGCCGAUGGAGUUUCUUGCACCAUCCAGUGAUGAUGAGUUGGAAUUUUCUGAUCAGAUAGCUCAGCUGGCUCUGGAUCCGAUGACAGCUAUCUUUGAGAAACCUGCCGAUGACGAGAGACAGCAUCUCAAGGCUCUGUUCGUCAAAGGGAGGGUUGAUGGGCAGCCAAUGACCAAGAUCCUAGUUGAUGGUGGAGCUGCUAUUAAUAUUAUGCCGUAUGCAGUAUAUCGGAAGCUUGGGAAAGGGGAUCAGGAUUUGACCAAGACCGAUAUGAUGCUCAAGGAUUUUGAAGGAAACGUGUCUCCAGUCAAGGGGGCAAUAUGUGUGGAGUUGACCAUCGGCAGCAAAACCUUGCCGACAACUUUCUUUGUGAUCAGUGGAAAGGGUGCUUACAACUUAUUGUUGGGAAGAGAUUGGAUUCAUGCCAAUUGUUGCAUCCCGUCUACAAUGCACCAAUGCUUGGUUAAGUGGGUAGGUGACAAGAUUGAGAUUGUCCCAGGGGAUUCUUCUUAUGUUAUUGCAUCAGCAGAGAUGGAUACCUAUGAGAGGACUAGGUGCAUUUCAGGGGAAGUUUGGGAGAAGGAUUCCACCGAUCCAAGCAGUCGGUUCUGACGACGGUUUUUAAUGGAUAGAUUCGCCGAUGAUGGAAAAUUAGGCCAGGGAUUCACAUCGGCCGAUGAUUUGGUAGAGGUAGAUAUAGGUAGUGGUGAUAAGCCUAGACCUACUUUUAUUAGUGCUAAAUUAGAUCCCAAGUGUAAGCAACAAUUAACUAAUUUGUUAAAGGAAUAUAAAGAUUGCUUUGCUUGGGAUUAUACUGAGAUGCCUGGUUUAGAUCGAUCAAUUGUUGAACAUCGGUUACCCAUCAAAGUCUGGAUUUCGGCCACAUCAGCAACCAGCUCGCCGAUGUAAUCCUAACAUUCUACCUGAUAUUAAGGCCGAAAUCACCAAACUCAUUGAAGCUAAGUUUAUUCGGCAGUGUCGGUAUGCCGAGUGGAUUUCCAAUGUCGUUCCGGUUUACAAGAAAAACGGGAAGCUUCGGGUAUGCAUUGAUUUCAGGAAUCUCAAUAAAGCUACGCCGAUGGAUGGAUACCCAAUGCCUAUUGCCGAUCUACUAGUUGACGCUGCGGCUGGUCAUCGGAUCAUUAGCUUUAUGGAUGGUAAUGCGGGAUACAAUCAAAUAUUCAUGGCAGAGGAAGAUAUUCCAAAAACCGCAUUCAGGUGCCCUGGCCAUGUUGGGUUAUUUGAAUGGAUAGUCAUGACCUUUGGCCUGAAGAAUGCUGGUGCUAUUUAUCAAAGGGCUAUGAAUUUUAUAUUUCAUGAGUUCAUCGGCAAGCUGGUGGAGAUUUAUAUUGAUGAUGUGGUGGUUAAGUCUGGGGAUUUCUCAAAGCAUCUUGCCGAUCUACGAAAGGUGUUAGAGUGUACAAGGAAGCAUGGAUUGAAGAUGAAUCCCAACAAGUGUGCAUUUGGUGUAUCGGCAGGGCAGUUUCUUGGUUUCAUGGUACAUCAAAGGGGUAUUGAAAUUAGUCGAAGAUCUAUUGAUGCCAUCAAUAAGAUAGUGGCCCCUACCAACAAGACUGAGCUCCAGUCCUUGAUCGGCAAGGUAAAUUUUAUCAGGAGAUUUAUAUCUAAUCUGUCUGGUAAGAUUCGUGCUUUCAGUCCUCUUCUUAAAUUGAAGGCCGAUCAAGAAUUUAUUCGGGGAGAAGAACAGCAGUUGGCUCUAGAUGAAAUCAAGAAGUAUUUAAUGAAUCCUCCAGUUCUAGUUCCACCUCAACAAGGAAAGCCCUUCAGAUUGUAUUUGUCUACCGAUGGGACGGUUAUCGGCUCGGCUUUGGUUCAAGAAUUUGAAGGGAAAGAGAGAGUAAUUUACUACUUGAGUAGGAGGUUGAUUGAUGCUGAAACCAGGUAUUCGGCUAUUGAGAAACUAUGCCUAUGCUUGUAUUUUUCAUGUAUCAAACUGAGGCAUUACCUGCUAUCGGCCGAAUGCACUGUUGUUUGCAAAGAUGACGUGGUCCGGUACAUGCUAUCCAUGCCGAUUAUGAGUGGCAGGAUCGGUAAAUGGAUAUUGGCGCUGUCGGAGUUCGAUCUGCGUUAUGAAUCGGCUAAGGCAGUUAAAGGGCAGAUUAUGGCCGAUUUUGUGACUCAACAUUGCGGUGCAGUGGAAGCCUUGGAAAUUGUGCCCUGGACGCUUUUCUUUGAUGGAUCUACAUGUGACCGGGGGGCAGGAAUCGGCAUAGUGCUAGUUUCCCCUAUGGGAAGGAAGUAUGAAUUUUCCUUGCCGAUUGUUGCUACAUCAACAAAUAAUCAGGCUGAGUAUCAAGCUUUGAUAAAAGGAAUAGAGUUGUUGAGGGAAGUUCGUGCUGAUGCUGUCGAGGUCUUCGGGGAUUCUAUGUUGGUUAUAAAUCAAUUGGCCGGGAGUUAUGAAUGCCGAAGUGAAGUUCUCAUAACUUAUUACGAGAAGAGCAUGCAACUGUUAAAGGAAUUCAAAGAUUUCCGAUUAGAGCAUGUUCCUCGAUUGCAUAAUGAAGAGGCCAAUCGGUUAGCUCAGCAUGCCUCGGGAUAUCAGCCUAUGAUUAAUACAAUAUCGGCAAUCGGUGCCGAUGAUUGGAGAAAAGAAAUUAUUGAUUAUUUGAAAGAUGCAUCUAAGAAAGUUGAAAGACGAGUUCGGUUUCAAGCAACCAAGUAUGUGCUCCUCGGAGAUGAAUUGUAUUAUCGAACUAUUGAUGGAAUUCUUCUCCGAUGCCUAGGUGAUGAUGAAGCUAGGAGUUUGAUGGGAGAGAUCCAUGAGGGAGUGUGUGGAGCACAUCAGUCAGCUUUUAAGAUGAAGUGGAUGGUUAGAAGGAAUGGAUAUUUUUGGCCAACCAUACUUGAGGAUUGCUUUAAGUAUUUCAAGGGAUGUCAAGGUUGUCAAAAGUUUGGUAACAUUCAAAGAGCACCCGCAUCGGCUAUGAAUCCUAUUAUCAAGCCUUGGCCGUUCUGGGGAUGGGCUAUCGAUCUGAUCGGCCAGAUUUAUCCACCAUCUAGCAAAGGGCAUAAGUUUAUUCUGGUUGCCACCGAUUAUUUCACUAAAUGGGUUGAAGCUAUUCCUUUGAAGAAGGUCACCUCGGCCAAUAUGAUUGAUUUUGUGAAGGAACACAUUAUUUACCGAUUUGGGAUUCCUCACACAAUUACUACCGAUCAAGGCACUAUGUUCACAUCGGGGGAGUUUGAUGAAUUCGCAAUCGGCAUGGGGAUUAAAGUGUUGAAUUCUUCUCCUUAUUAUGCUCAAGCCAAUGGGCAGGCCGAGGCGUCUAACAAAGGAAUUAUCAAGCUUAUUAAACGAAAGAUUGAAGAAAAUCCUAAGCGGUGGCAUACAUUGUUAAAUGAAGCACUGUGGUCUUAUCGGAUGGCUUGUCAUGGAUCAACCAAGGUGUCACCCUAUCAAUUAGUGUAUGGACAUGAUGCAGUGUUGCCUUGGGAGAUUAAGGCUGGAUCCAGGCGAUUAUCUUUUCAAGAUCAGUUAACCGCCGAUGAUUAUGCCACUUUGAUGACCGAUGAGUUGGAUGAUCUAGCAGGACAUCAGUUAAAAGCUUUAAUGAGUAUAGAAGAAAAUAAGAAGAGAGUUGCUAGAUGGUAUGAUAAGAAAGUGAAGGCUAAGGAGUUUGUCGAUGGGGAUUUGGUAUGGAAAUUAAUUUUGCCAGUCGGGACUAAAAGUGCAAAGUUUGGAAAGUGGUCUCCUAAUUGGGAAGGUCCUUAUCGGAUAAGUCGAUCGGCUCCUGGUAAUGCCUAUAUUCUAGAAACUCUCGAAGGAGUUGAAUUUCCCAGAGCGUUAAAUGGCAAAUAUUUAAAGAAGUACUACCCCAGCAUAUGGGUCGAUGCAUAAAAGAUUAAAUGCCGAUAACAAUCCUAUCGGCUGGAUUAAAGUGUAUCUGGGGAUGAACUUAAUGUUUCAAAAGAUGCCGAUAACAGUCUUAUCGGCUAGACUAAGGCAUUAAGAAAGCUGAAAUGCAGAAGAGCAAAGGUGUGUUGCCGAUGAGAGUUUCAGAUGUUCAGAAGCGCUUGGAUCGCCGAUAUGGCGCGCAGCCGGAUCUGAUUGGCUGUUUCUAUCUCUUUGGUAUCAUCAUCGGCAGAACCUUCUACCGGCUUCAGCUUCUUCUUCAACUGCAACGCUUUGCGACCGUGGGCAUUUCGUUCUUGCUCAAGGUGCUUGAUGGUCUCCGGCAGUUGGCUCUCUUCUUGCUGGGCCUGAGACAGAGUAUCCUCUACUUGCUGGAGUUCGGCCAGCAGGGCUUCUCUUUUUGCCGAUAGAUCAGAGAUUUUCUGCUUCAGUGCAUCACCCGAGGACUUUAAGGUGCCGAUGUUCUUAUGUUUCUCAUCGGCUAAGAGUUUUUCUUUCAUCAUCUCCUCAGAGAGCUGGAUUUGAGCAGCUCUAUCGGCAAGGCGUCGAGUGGCUCUCUGGUACUGCAGCUGGCGACUCUCCAAGUGAGCGGCUUGGAAAAGGAUUUCUUCGACAUCGGCUGGGAUUUGGCCUCUGAGAGUCCUGAACAGAGUCUUGGCGGGGUCGGAGUCGUCGACCAAUUGUGCCGUGUCCUGGUGAAGGAGAGCUGACAAUUCCUCCAGCCUGGCCCUGAUCUCUGCCGAUGUAAUGCCGAUUGUCUGAGAGGAGCUUGCUUCUUCGCCUUCUUCUUCAGAGAGAUCGAUGGCGAAGGAGAACAGGCUGUCGGGAGAGUCUUGUUCCUGGGAAGGAGAGCAAAGUUAGUUCAUACUCAGAAAAUCGGCGAGUAAUGCUGGUAAAGAUUGGGCGGCUUACUUGUUUUAAGGCUAUUUCCUGCCCUUGUCUGGAAGAUGCCGAUGGAACUGUAGGUUGAUCAGCCAAAGUUGCCGAUGGAAUGACAUCGACUGAGAGAAAACAGAAAAAAUUAUGAGGAUUGAAUGAGAAUAAGUUCAUCGGCGGCAGUAUUAUUAAAAUAUGUUACCUGGAGGAGGAACAGCGGUUGUCUGAAUCGGGAGAACUGCCGAUGAUGUGAUUGGACCUGCUGGGCCAGUUGUUCGUCCACCCGCGUCAGCUGAUGUACCUUCUGUUUGAGGUUCUUCCUGCUGGGGUUCUUCCAUCUGUGGUGCUUCCUGCAUUGGUUGAGGAGAUGGUAUUUGCUGUGUCUGGACUUCUGGAGAAGAAGGGGAAGACUCCACCGGAAUUGGAGACACUGGAGGAGGAGGGGGAGUUGCCGCUUUCUGGCGUUUCGUUCCAGCCCUGGUACUCUUGGCACCUUUCCUCUUUGGCUGGCUGGACUUGGGGGCAUCGGCACCUUGGCGUUUGGCUUUUGCCGAUGCACUGGUUUGCUGCAGCAACAAGAAAGAAGUUAUGAGUUUAAAUGAAGCCGAUAUAAAGGUAAUUGGUAUAAGUGAAAAAGGGUUGACAAAUUGCCUUCAAAGCAUGUGCCAGAGUAGAAGCGGCUACCGUUGGUGAUGUCUGAGUUCUCUUGGUGGUGACCUUCUUAAGGCGCGCACCCCGAUGCACGAUGGCAGCCAGAGUGGGAGCAUUGUGGCCGAUUGAAGAGAUUGGGCCUGAUGGAAACACGUCAAUCGGCUUACCACUUCUGCUAACCGACGGGGGGGAUGUCGUCAACCUGCACAAGGGAUACAAAAGUGAGUUACCGAUGAGAAUAAUAAUGGAACAUCGGUUUGAAAUACUUACAGCGUCGUAGGGGACUUGGUACUCGGGAUCAAUCAUGCCAUGAUACGAAGAGGCUGAUUUGCAGAAUAGAUGCUCCUUCCAUUCUGCCCACCAUAGUUUGUAUGCCUGGGUAAUGAAGGCGGCUGGAACCCACUCUAACAAAUCUGCAUCUAUAUCGGCAUUUGGUGGUAGUUGGGCUACUCGGAUCCACUCAAGAAGGUUGGCGAUGGGUUCCCUGGGUUUUAUCACAUCGGCAUAACAGAGUGCAAUCGGCAACUGGCCGAAGGCCAAUUGACGAGCUAAUGCUGAUGGAUUGUAAAAUUCAUAAGUUUGGGGGGAGGUUUUUGUGCUACCAAAGAAAUUCACUGGUAUAGCUCUAGGGGUCACAAUUGCCAUCAUCACCUCAUUAUCCCUGUCAAGAGCUUCAUCAAAUGGAUUGAAGGCCAAGGGGAGCAUACUGUCUGGGUCGUCGUAGGCCAACCAUGGUCGUUCAUCUCUGGCCAAGCCCUCUAUAGAGUCUGGAAGAAUCGGCCGAUCUGAUCUGGAUUACCCCCUGAACCAGGCAGAACUAUGACAGCUUCGCCAAAGUUCAAGGGGGCGCGUGUUGCCGAUUCCUCUUCACCCAACACAUGAUUUUCAGCUAUAUCUCUUGGGAAACGCUGUGUGAACAGGUUGAAGUUGAGACGCUUGUGCAGAUGCAGGUUAAGCCACAUGUUGAUAAACCACCAGGGGCCUCCCAAGUUGCCAGUGGAUUGACCGAGCAGGAGUUUCUGGGCUACUUGAUGAAGAAGGUGGUAGGUGGCGCCAAGCAAGUAUCGGCCGAGGGGGAAUCGGCCACCGUUAGCCAGUCUUUCUGCUGCCGAUAGAUAGACAGAAGUCGGCCCUGCCGAUCGACCACAGAAUACAAACUUGUCCAGCCACAUGUUCAGAAAGGUGGUUUGUUCCUUUAUGGUGACGGGCCCUUUCCCACGAUACUUCUGAAUGUACCCUGACCAGCCGCCGAUAGCGCAAGUCUCCACUUUGGCACUAGGAGCAGUAUCAAAAAAGUGGGUGCUAUCGGCAGAAGAUACAUCUAGACCGGUGAGCAUGGCUACAUCGGCAAGGGUAGGAGAAGCAGGGCCGUGGCCAAAGACAAAAGCAUUGAGGGUGUCUGACCAGAAGUAAGACGCAGCUAUCAACAGUGACUCGUUCCUGUGCAUAUCGGCAAUAGAUAACCUGAUGCAUUGGUCCAGCUUCCUCUCACCCCACUGGGCCUCAUUAGAGUUGCUGACCCUCAAGAACCAGUCUUUCCACCCUAUGGUAGGGCUAGGCCAAGAGCGGAAGGUGUCUUUCCACAGAUCUAAAGAAAAAUUUUCGGCUCUAAAGGGGAUCCUAUUGGUUUCUGCGUUGAUAAGGAUGGUUGGAUCUGGGUCCCCUAGAGGGCCGAGGCAUUGAAGGUGUGGUUGAUCAGUGGGGAUGACAAUUUUGUUAGACAGCUCCUAGUGAUUUUGGGAAUAAAAGAAAUACAAAGAAAAGAGAAGAUAUUCAGUAAAAUGAAUUGUGGAUGAACAGGGAUGCGAAGAAAAAUACAGAAAACGGGAUGGAGAUCUGACCUCAGGAACGACGAAGCCAAUGGCCAUCUUGCCGCGAAGAAAGCGUGUGAGGGCACCGGAGUUGAUGAGGAAGAGUGCUUGUCGGAAGUAUUGGAGAUUUUGAAUGGCGCCGCCGCUGGAAAAGUGAAAGUUGGGAUGGUGGAGAAGGAGUACCCGAGAAGGAACUAUUUAUAGGAUAAAACGGGCAAGGGCAAAUCUGACUUAUCUCUUUGCCGCAUCCGGGAAGCCCGAGGGUGCUCAGGUAGAUAUGGUAACUAUUCGCACGGUAAUCAAGGGAUUGUGCAGGUGAUUUGACGGGAGGCGGUCAUUACCUGGAGAUAUUUUACUGUGCGGGAUCUUCUGGUCGGUCCAUCGGCAGCAUACUGUAACGGUCAUAUUGCCGAUGGGCGGGUAAGGUAAAGGUGGCCAUUUGUACGAACGUCCUGAUUAGUCCAUCGGUGGAUCUUCGUAACGGUAAUAUUGCCGAUGCGCGGAUGAGAAGGAAGUGUCUGUUUAGGAAGUUGAGGAUUUUGAGGAAUCUGCAGGAGAAUAGGAUCGGGGUUGUUUGGAUUGAGGUUGUCGGUUACCAGAUUAGGAGCAUUAAUUGCGGGGAAAGGCAUCAUUACUGCAGAGAAUUUCGGAGCACUGGUGAUUUCAUACUCCGAAAUUGGGGGGCAUGUGUUGACACCAUUUUUGGGCACGUGUCCAGGUUGGCAGGAUAAGACGGCGGUGUUUUGUUUACAGGGUAAAUUGCCGAUGAGGAUGGUUGCCGACCAAGGAGAGGUUGAACGUGGCUAAGUUUACGGGUGGUGAUGUGCCUGUGCCGAUGGCUGCGAUAAGGAAGUCUGCCGAUGACUUUGGCAAGGAAGUCUGCCGAUGACUAUGGCAAGGAAGUCUGCCGAUGAUACAAAGGGGGAGUCCGGAAGCUGCCGGUCGGCUUAUGGAAGAAUUCCGGUUCGUCACGGGGGAUAGCUUUGUUAUUUCCUUAUUUAUUUGAGUCGUUUUAUAUACGGAUUCUGUGUAAUUUGGAAUUCGAAUUAUAGUCGUGUCUGGUUGUAGUUCUUUAACCAGGGUAUAAAUAUAAACCCUAAGGCCUUGUAAUGAGACAUCUAUUAAUCAAUCAAACACACGUUUUUACUCAUAUUCCAGCAUCUAUUUUUCGACGAUUUCGUCAUACUUUUUCUCUUUUAUUACGAGUUCUUAGGAAUUCGUUGACUUAAGCUCGGCGCGUUCUCAAGUUCCGCGUGAGUACCUCUUAGCCGUGACAUCCGGGCGCAUCGCUGUUGUCAGGACUAAAGUAUUCUAGUUAUCACCUUUGCCGAUAGUAAGGUCAAAUCGGCUGGCACGCCUUAACGUUUGAAUCGGGUAUUAGCCCUUUGUGUUUGCAGAUCAGUUUUGCACCAACACCAACUGAUAGUGCCCCCAGAUCUUUAGGGCAUGAGCCACUACUACCAAUUAUAAAUCAUGAGUGGGGUAAUUGACCUCAUGUUUUCGAAGUUGGCGCGACGCAUAAGCGAUGACUGAACCUUCUUGCAUAAGCACGUAGCCCAGACCAAUACGGAUGAAUCACAAAAUACAUCGAACAACUUCUCAAUAUUGGAUUGAGAUAAGACAGGAGCUGAUUUCAGCAAGGUUCUCAACUUGUGGAAUGCCUCAUCACACUUUGGCGUCCACAGGAAAUUUUCAUUUUUCUGAAGUAAACGAGUCAUAGACUUGGAUAUCUUGGAAAACUCCACAAUGAAGCGACGAUAAUACCCAGCCAAACCUAGAAAACUCCACACCUCAUGCACUGAGGUCAGAACCUUCCAAUCUAGCACUUCUUGCACCUUGGCCGGAUCGACCGAGAUUCCUUCUUUAGACAGGACAUGGCCCAAAAAAGGUACUUUCUUUAGCCAAAACUCACACUUGCUAAACUUAGCAUAUAGCUGAUGCUCAUGCAACCGAGUUAGGACAACACGCAGUUGCUCUACAUGCUCGUCUUCAUUUCAAGAAUACUAAGAUAUCAUCAAUGAAGACCGCCAUGAACUUGUCCAACUCAGGCAAGAAGACUGAAUUCAUGAGAUACAUGAAAUGCGCCAGAGCAUUGGUCAGACCGAAGGACUUAAUGAGAUACUCUUAAAACCCAUACCUCAUUGAGAAAGUCGUCUUGGGUAUAUCUUUAGGAUUUAAUCAGAUACUCUUACAACCCAUACCUCAUUGAGAAAGUCGUCUUGGGUAUAUCUUCAGGAUGGAUCUUGAUCUCAUGGUACCCAGAUCGCAAAUCAAUCUUGGAGAAUAGCUUGGCUUUAGACAACUGAUCAAACAGGAUAUCAAUACAAGGAAGAGGGUAUUUAUUCUUGAUAGGCACUACGUUGAGUGGAUGAUAAUCCACACACAUGCGCAAGGAUUGAUCCUUCUCCAUAAAGAUAGCCAGACAACCCCAAAGAGAAUAACUAGGACAAAUAAGACCCUUCUUCAACAACUCAUUCAACUGGGUCUUAAUCUUAACUAGCUCAUUUGGUGGCAUUCUAUAAGGUCUUCUAGAGAUAGGAGAAAUGCCUAGAAGCAAUUCGAUUUAAACUCCACGUCCCGGUCCGAUGAAAGCCUAGGCAAGUCAUCAGGAAAGACGUCUCGAAACUCACACACCACUGAAAUGACCUUGAUGGCACUAGAUGUAACUGCGUUCAUCGUGCGAUGGAUGUUAAUAUCAUGAAGAAGUUGCACUAAGAAUGCCUCCUUAGUGCUAGUUCCCUUAACAUCACCACGUGAGUAGUAGUGUCAAUAAGGACCCCAUUACCACUCAUCCAUUUCAUUCCCAAAAUCACAUCUAUGCUCACACCAGGCAAGACUACCAAAUCAGCAAGAAACUGAUGGUCUCCUAUUUCCAGAGUACGCCCCAAAAUCACUUGAUUUGUAGAAAUAUUAUUCCCAGUGGCACUAAUGUAGUAGCUGCCUUUAUCAAGGGUGACUGCCUUGAGAUUAGGCUUAGACACAAAGUCUGAACUCACAAAUCAAUGUGAUGCUCCAGAAUCAAAAGGCACAACUACAACACUUCGAUUAACUAGAAACUUACCAGCCCUCACCACUUCACCAGCAGGAAUCUCUUCAACGGUAGUGUGAUGAACAUGCCCUUGAUGGAUGUUCCCCUGAUUGGUUUUCUUCGGCGGGCACGGGCAGUUGCUUUGCCAAUGACCCAUCUUAUUACAAUUCUAGCAUGGACGGUUGGCAGAUGGAGCUUUGGCAUUGCUGGGCCUAGUGUUUCCCCUCAAAAGAGCAAUGGAAUACCCCUUACGGAACCCAGUUUUCACCAAAUUCUUCCUCACCUGUGAAAGGUCCAAAUGGCUAGAGGGGGGUGAAUAGCCUAUUUAAAUUUUCUACAAACUUCAACUAGACAAGUUGAUUAGUAAAACAAAUGGCGAAGCUAUUCUAGCACUAGCACAACUAAGCUAUGCAAGCCACCUAUACAAGUCUAGCAAGAAGGCUAUAUACUAAAACACAACAACUAGAGAAGGCUACACCACAACUCUAUACUAGCAAGAACUAAGCUACACAAGCUAAACUAACAAGAUAGGCAAGUAUGUAAAGAGAGGAGAGUGAUUGUUAUACCAACGUUGUAGAGAUGAGAUAUAUCCAAUCAAUCAUGUACACAAUCACAAGAGAGACCUCGGCAAGAGAUGACACAAGAUUUUUUACCGAGGUUCACUUGCUUCCCGGCAAGCUACUCCUCAUUGUGGCGAUACACCCACUUGAUGGAUCACGAGCUAAUUGGCAAUCCAAAGAUAAACCCUCAGCAGGUGCCACACAUCCACUCACAAGAUGGGGAUCCUCCAAGCCACGAGCAAUUCACUAGAGUAGCCAAUUGCGAGCUCAACACCACCGCUGCUCCAAGCCGACUAGGGUGUCGGGAAACACCCAAGAGUAACAAGAAAUCCCCAGCAAACUCAUGAAUCAAGUGCCACUAAAUGCAACUCUCAGAGCAAUGCACUUGAAUCUCACUCAAUCUCACUAGGAUUAGCAAUCAGGCAAGGAGAUGAGUGGAGGGAGUGUUCUCUAGCUCAAAUGCCCCAAGUAAUCAAAAGUGCAAGAGAGAGUCUCCCAAAGCCGGCCACCUUCUAUUUAUAAGCCCCCUCAAAGAAACUAACCGUUGGCUGUUUUCACUAGGCUAAAAACGGGGGCACCUGACGGUACCAAGUGAGCACCGGAUGCUCGACCCCCUGCGUCCGGUGCACUGUGGUUGGCCACGUGUCCUUCUUGAAUCUCGCGUGUCAGGCUCUAACGGUCACCUGCGGAUCACCGGACGCCCUGUAGGUCCACACCGGACGCGUCCGGUGCACACCGGACUCAUGCGCAGAGAGUUCUGCAAACCUUUAGGGUCACCGGACGCUAAGCUUGUCCACACCAGACGCGUCCGGUGCUCACUGGACUCAUGCGCAGAGAGGGUUGCAAAACCUCCUCACACCGGACGCAACCCACCAGACUCUCUCUGGUGCGUCCGGUGCAAUCUGCUACACCUGACAGCACACAGGACGCUAAAGGCCAGCGUCCGGUGCCUCCACGCUGAGCGUCCGGUGAGUGUUUUCUCACUAAGAAACGCUCCGUGACUUCUCCAAAUUUCCCACACCCCUCUCAACCCUAGGAACUCCACCUCCUUUGCAAAGGUGCUAACACCAACAAGUGUCCACCACCAAAGUGCAAGUGUGUUAGCUUUUCACAAACAUUUUCACCAAAGGAGUUAAGUUAGCACUUUACUAGAUCCUAAUGCAUAUGCUCAAGAUAUGGACCUAGUAGCACUUGAUUCGAGAGAUGACCAUGAUUUCCCCUCUUGAUAGUCGGCUAUCUAUCCUAAAUCCGGUCAAUCACUUCUCUACACAUCUUAGACCGGCAAAAGUAAAACUCUAUGUUUAUACCUUUGCCUUGAUAACUUUUGCUCCUCAUCUAUCAACAUGAUCUUCACUUCAUGCUUCAUCCCUUUGUGAUCAUGUGGCCACCUUUUUCAAGCCACCAUGCACCUUCAUCACAUGUGUUGCUAUGCCUAACUCACAUCACUUAAACACAAGGCAUUAGCAACUUGGUGUCAUUAAUUACCAAAACCAAACUUGGGCUUUCAAUCUCCCCCUUUUUGGUAAUUGAUGACAACCAUCACAAAGAUAUGAAAUGAAAACAUAAUGAACUUGAAUUGCUUGUCCAAAGCAUUUUAAACAUGAGACAAGGUUGGACAAACAUUUCAAUUUUGGUUUUGGUAGUACUAGCUCCCCCUACAUAUGUGCUUCCAUGAGUUUGGUUCAAGUUUGCACAUAUGCAUGAAUUGGAAUUUUGGGAGAUUUAUUACUACCAAAAUGAUGCCAAGGUAUAUAGAAUGGACCUUUGAAGCGUGAUACAAAUCGGAGUUGCCAAUAUACCAUCCUUAGCACCAAUGUAGCUAGACAUACAUCAAAACUCAAGGUACCUUGUGAGAUCACAUUAUAUGUUUAGAAACCACAUGAAAAUAAAACUCUAUGCUAGAAUUCAAAGCAUCAUUCAAGUUCUAUUUGUAGCAAGCACCAAUCAAACAAUAGUUGUGAAUUUAAACUUGCAAUGCAACACCUCACUAUGUUAGUGCACUUACAAAUGCAACAAAUGGUUCAUGAGCUUGCUCCCCCUAUUUGUGUGCUCAAGUUUAAAGGAGUUUUCUCUCCCUAUCUUUGUUUCUCUUCCCUCCUUUUGACUUUAUCUUUGUUUCUCUCCCCCUUUGUCAUCAAUGACCACAAAGGUUCAAAUUUUAGUGAGAAUUAAGCUAAUCAAUGUGAGGGUCAAAUUAUGGUUCAAUUUAGAUUACUUGCCUAGAAUAUGUAAUUCGGUUUGAUCCAAGGACAAGCAUUUUCGCACCUCAUGAAGUAUAAGGGUUAUCUUGACCAUGUUGAAUUACACAACAUAAGCUCAUAUUCUAGUUUCAACACUAGGCUUGCAAGCUCACCAACAUGUCAUAUGCUACCACUAGAUCAAACAAUCAUAGAAGCAAUAGUGGUACCAUACAUACAUCAAAAUAUUUUGAUUUUCAUGAAUGAGCCUAUUUAUCAUGCAAGCAUGUCUAUAUGUUCUAAUCAUGUCCUUAGCAAAGUAUGAAUGCUAUGUCAAUCAACAUUACCAUGCUUUGUUGGAGUAGAGGCAUGUCAUAUAGAAAUGUGGGGGUGCACUCAUCUCAAGUUGGAGAAGUCAAGUAUGUUCAAUUCAUUUCUCAACUUGGAAAAUCUCUUCUCAUCAAGUGGCUUUGUGAAGAUGUCGGCUAGUUGAUCUUCGGUGCCAAUGCUUUCAAUGCUAAUAUCACCCUUUUGUUGAUGGUCUCCUAUGAAAUGGUGCCUUAUGUCAAUGUGCUUGGUUCUUGAAUGUUGAACCGUAUUUUGUGUCAUCUUGAUUGCACUCUCAUUGUCACAUAGCAAAGGCACAUUCUUGAAUUUGAUUCCAAAAUCAUUCAAGGUAGCUUUCAUCCAAAGUAAUUGUGCACAACAACUACCGGCACUAAUGUAUUCAGCCUCGCGGUUGAUAGUGCAACACUAUUUUGUUUCUUUGAUGACCAUGAAACUAGAGACCUUCCUAGCAAUUGACAAGUGCCACUUGUGCUCAUUCUAUCAAUCUUGCAUCCACCAUAGUCGGAGUCAGAAUAUCCAAUCAAUUUAAAGAUAGACCCCUUGGGAUACCAUAAUCCAACAUCAUGAGUGCCCUUAAGAUACCUCAAUAUCCUCUUGGUUGCCUUCAAGUGACUCUCUCUUGUUGAAGCUUGAUAUCUUGCACACUUGCACACACUAAACAUCACAUUCGGCCUUGAUGCGGUGACAUAUAGCAAACUUCCAAUCAUGGACCGAUAUAGCUUUUGAUCUACCAUGUUGCCACUUGCAUCACUACCUAAUUGAUCAUUUGUGCCCAUAGGUGUGCUCAUUGGUUUAGCUUCUUGCAACCCAAACUUCUUGAUCAUGUCCUUGAUGUACUUGCUUGACCUACAAAAGUGCCAUCCUUCAUUUGCUUGAUUUGAAGACCAAGGAAGUAACUAAGCUCUCCAAUCAUGGACAUCUCAAACUCCUUUGCCAUCAUUCUUCCAAACUCUUCACAAAAGUCUUGAUUGGUUGAUCCAAAGAUGAUAUCAUCAACAUAGAUUUGCAACACAAACAAGUCCUUGCCUAGCUUUUUGGUGAAGAGGGUAGUGUCAACCUUUCCCAUCUUGAACCCUUUAGAGAGAAGGAAAUCUCUCAAUCUCUCAUACCAUGCUCUAGGUGCUUGCUUUAAACCAUAUAAUGCCUUCUUGAGCUUGUAAGCAUGGUUGGGUUUCAUGUCAUCUUCAAAACCGGGAGGUUGUUCAACAUAAACGAACUCAUUGAUGUAUCCAUUGAGAAAUGCACUCUUCACAUCCAUUUGAUAGAGCUUGAUGUUGUGGGCACAAGCAUAGGCUAAUAAUAUUCUAAUUGCCUCCAAUCUUGGAACCGGUGCAUAUGUUUCUCCAAAGUCAAGACCUUCAACUUGAGUGUAGCCUUGUGCUACUAGUCUUGAUUUAUUUCUCACAACUACACCAUCUUGAUCUUGCUUGUUUCUAAAGACCCACUUGGUACCAAUCACAUUGUAGUUCUUUGGCCUCUCAACAAGCUCCCACACUUGAUUUCUUGUGAAGUUGUUCAACUCUUCAUGCAUGGCAUUUACCUAAUCGGAAUCUUUCAAUGCAUCUUCUAUUCUCUUUGGUUCUUCAAAUGAGACAAAUGAAUAGUGCUCACAAAAGGAUGCUAGCCUUGAUCUUGUUUGCACACCACUUUGAAUACCACCAAUGACUUGAUCCAAUGGAUGAUCUCUUGCUAUGUUUGUAGGUUGGAGUAUUGGGAGUUGAUUGCUUCCACUUGCUUGAUUUUGAUUUUGGUCAUCAUCAUGAGAGCCACUAGUACUUGCUUGAUUUGCAUCAAUUUGCACUUCUUGAUUGAUCAUGUGAAUAUCACUAUCAUCAUCAACUUGCCUUGGCCUUAUGUCACCAACAUCCAUGUUCUUCAUUGCAUUUGCCAAUUGAUCUCCUCUCACAUCAUCAAGAUUUUGAGCUUCACUUUGAGAUCCCUCGGUUUCACCAAACUCAACAUCAUGGACUUCUUCCAAUGUGCCACUUGCCAAGUUCCAAACUCUAUAUGCCUUGCUUGUGGUGGAAUAACCAAGUAAGAAUCCUUCAUCACAUUUCCUAUCAAACUUGCCCAAUCUAGUGCCUUUCUUGAGAAUGUAGCAUUUGCAACCAAACACUCUAAAGUAUGCAAUGUCGGGCUUUCUUCCAUUCAAUAGCUCAUAUGGUGUCUUCCCAAGCUUCCUUGCUACGAUAGCAAGCCGUGUUGAUAGCUUCACUCCAAAAUGAAUGACUAACAUUGUAUUCACUAAGCAUUGAUCUAGCCAUGUCAAUCAAAGUUCUAUUCUUUCUUUCAACUACACCAUUGGAUUGAGGAGUGUAUGUUGGAGAGAAUUGAUGUCCAAUGCCAAGAUCAUCACACAAUUCCUUAAUUCUUGUGUUCUUGAAUUCACUACCAUUGUCACUUCUAAUCUUCUUGAUAGUGGUUUCAAACUCAUUUUGCACCCUCUUGACAAAAGACUUGAAUAGAUCACAAGCAUCACUCUUGUCAUAGAGGAAGAACACCCAAGUGUAUCUAGUGUAGUCAUCUACUAUCACAAAGCCAUACUUGUUGCCACCAAUGCUAGUGUAUGUUGUUGGCCCAAAUAAAUCCAUGUGGAAUAGCUCAAAUGCCUUUGAUGUGCUCAUUUCACUUUUUUUAGGAUGUGCAUUUCCAACUUGCUUUCCGGCUUGACAAGCACUACAUGGUUUAUCCUUCUCAAAGGUGACAUCCUUCAAGCCUCUAACUAAGUCAUGCCUCAAUAGUUUGUUCAAUUGUUUCAUUCCAACAUGACCAAGCCUUCUAUGCCACAACCAACCCAAACUUGAUUUGCUAAUUAGGCAUGAUGUUAAUUGAGUGUCACUAUCAUUGAAAUCAACCAAAUAUAAGCUACCAUGCCUAAAUCCUUUGAAUAUCAAGUUUGAUCCAUCAACACUAGCAACCUCAACAACAUCACUUCCAAAGAUGCACUUGAAACCAAGGUCACGAAGUUGUGCAAUUGACAAGAGAUUGAAAUCAAGGCUCUCAACUAGCAACACGUUUGAUAUGCUCAUGUCAUUUGAGAUAGCAAUUUUACCAAGCCCUUUGACCUUACCUUUCUUUUUGUUGCCGAAAGUGAUAGAAUCAAAACCACCAUUUUGAUUUGUAUCAAUUGAUUUGAACAUACAAGACACUUCGGUCAUAUGUUGAGUGCACCCACUAUCAAGCACCCAAUGCCUUCCUCCGGUUUUGUAAUUGACCUACAAGACAGGAUCAAUUCUUUUUAGGUACCCAAACUUGAUUGGGUCCUCCAAGGUUAGCAACUAAGCUCUUUGGUACCCAAAUGGCUUUCUUCUUUGAGUCCAUCCAUGGUGCACUAAUGAACUUAGCAUGAACACCUUUUGUAUCCUUGGUAAGCACAUAGACAAAAUUAAGGUUAUUUGAGGAUACAUAAGCUUUGGGUUUCUUGUUCAUGCAUUAUUGCUCUAGGUGACCAACUUGCUUGCAAGCUUUGCAAUACUGGCCAUUGUUCUUCACAAAACUAGUCUUGUGAGGAGCAAAGGCGGCCUUGCCUUUCUUCGGGUUAUAGCCUAAUCCCUCUUUAUAGAGAGAAGCUCUUUGGCUACCCAAGCACAUAAGCAAGCGGUCCUCACCACCUUAAGCCUUGGCUAAUGUGUGAUUGAGCUCUUUCACCUCCUUCUUGAGAAUUUCAUUCUCAACUUUUAGUGUGGUGUCACAAGUGAAACCAUCACCACUAGAUGAGGAUGAUGUAGAUGUGCUACAUGAAGGGUUAGUAGAGGAAAUAACAAUAGGCUUACUUAAGAUAUCACAUGUUAUGCCUGUUGAUAUUUGGGAACGCAAUAAGGAAUUGAUCCGCAAGCGCACGGAUAUCGGUGAGCACUUCACCCGGGAGGUUAUCCAGAGUAUCGUAUUUAUUUUUUUACCACUAGGAGAAAGAGUGCAUCUGACUAACUGGUCUAUUACUACUAACCCUUUAGGCAACAAAGAAUGUCUCUCGAUGUGAGUGAUAAAUAGAGAAGACUGCAACCGUAGUCUCCUUCUAACCUUGGUAAGGAUAAUCUACUGUUCUAUUGGGGAGGCUAACAUAAUCUAGACACCACAAAGGAUGUUCAACCCGCACCUAUAAACCCUAUCCUUCCUGCUAACGAGAUAUGGUCUGCAAAGGUAACUCAGAAUAGUCACGUUCCUCACUACUACCACGGUCUAGCUAGUCAGGGAAUAUCUAUGAGUACCCCAGCCUAAACACCACGUUUACGCCAGCAAUGAUUACUCUAAACUCUACACGAAGAGAUUAAAGUAAACUCAUAAACCAUGAGAACAAUAAAAUAAGAACUUACUAGACUUUAGAAGUCGAAAUACUGAAGAAUCCUAGGAGCAAGCUUCGGGUUAGGAGAACUUGAUCCCGCAGGUACAAGCUUGGAGUAGACACCGACAGGCCGGGCUUCCUCCAAUCUACACCUCCACUCUAUCUCUCUCAAUCUAGUAGAAACUAGAAGAUCUAUUUCUACUUUACAUUGGUUGCUAAGCCUAAAAAGAAGAGGUUUUCCUUUGAGGGCACCCCUCAAUCUCUAUGAUAAUUUCUUGUCUUCUCCAGGGGCCAGGGGGGUCUCCUUAUAUAGUCCUCCUCCUCUAUGCGUUUUUGGGUCGGUAGGCGAGGUGGUACUACGUUAUCUUUGAUCCAUUAGGUCGGUGGAACAUCGUGUGCGAAGAGAGUCCUGAAUGGAGUCCAGCAGGGGGCGGGCGCCCAGGUCACCAGGGCGGGCGCCCUAGGCCUGGCCCCUUUCGGCCUCUGCCUUCUUCCCGUGGCUUCUGGAGUCUUCUAGAUGGUAGAAAAUCGCGUGGUGCGUUGAUAUCUCUAUGUAAUCCUGACAUGUGGGCCUUUCUUCCUAAUUUCCUGAUAACCCCCUGCAGAAAUAAAUAAACAACAGAACUCGUGGAAUUCUGUCAGAUCAAACCCUAAUUCUAGGUGUUGGUUGCAUAUUGGUCCUUUCCCUUGUUUAUUUGAUAAUUAAAAUUGAUACUUAAGAACCGUCAACAAAUACCCCCAUACUUAGGCUUUUACUCGUCCUCCAGAAAAGGAUGGUUAAGAACAAUAUUUGGGGUAAAACAUUUUAAAACAUUUGUCUUUAUAACUGCAGGGUGUUAAAUUUCCACUCUGUACUAUAGUCGAGGAAGUAUAUGGUUAAGAGUAAAGAUCCUUUCUUCUCAAUCUUGUCACUUUUGUAUAUUUUGGAAAGAAAGUUAGCAUACCUUUUUAUCCUCAUAGGUUCUCUCAGAUCACUCAUUAUCUUUUAUAUAUCUCACUGAGGCUGUUUUAAUUUGCAAAAAAAUUCUCAAGCAUACUUACUUUGCAUUUAUUGCCUGAUCAAAACGGGAUCCGAGGAGGGGAAUGUCAUACUCUUAGAUCAAAGACUUUGGAAAUUAAAAUCUUGUCAACUCUUGCUGGCAUAUUGCUUAUUAGAGGGACCAUGGGCUAUCAUUUUUUUUCUCUUCUUUUUUUUUAAGUGGAUACCGAGGUACCCCUAAUUCUACUGUCGGACACUUGUCCAUUUUUCUGUGAGGUUGUCGAGCACUUGCUCCUUUUUAUUUCCUAGAAAUAUCUCUAUUUUUGCAUAGCCCAUGCCUCUAAUGCAAUAAUACUUCAGAAGAGUGAAUCUUUCUGAAUAAUGUCUUGAUCUUAGGAGCAUGAUAAAUCACUCAACAAGGGUCUAACUCAUUUUGAACAAACUCAAUACAGAGUAGAUAGCUUUUAUAAUCAUAAUUAAUAUUUUCAGUUUUUAUCAGGCAUAUAAAACACUGAGGAUGUUAGCUAGAAUUUUGAAUAAAUUUUGAAAUAAAUUCUCCAAGCAACAAUGACAUCAAGAAUAAGAAACUCAUACUCUACCAUCUCACAUUCCAUACUGUCUUAAGUAACACAGGGUUUUGAAAUGAUUUUAUAAUAGUUAUAAGUUUUAGGAAAUAUCACAGAUUGAGAUUAAUCAUGAUUAGAAAUAUUUUAAUCUUUUUUAAUUUAUCAUGUCGGAAACAAUAUUCUGCAUAAUCCAAGAUAUGUGUACGUGUAAAGUAAAGUGUGCAGAGUGUGUACCCGAAUCGUGGAGUGGUGUGGUCGGAGUGUGUUUGGCAUGUCGAGGGAUCUCCCCCAUACUUGUUUUCUGCUUUCUUGCACAAAAAUAAAGUAGAGACACACAAGACAUAAUAAUAAUAAUACUCUUUAUGAAUCUUGAGGCAUUUAUUACAAAAGACUAGUAGCAAACUGAUAGCAAACUGAUGAUAAUAGUAAACCUAAACCGAAUUUAAAGAUAAAUGACUAAGAUGCAUUGCCUCAAGGUCUAAUCUAGAUAACUUAGCGGCACUCUAAUUCCUUAAUCUUCUUGUUGGCACUAGCAAGAUCAUGCCUAAGGCCUAGUAUAACGGUGUUGUGGUUAGAGAGCUGCCUAGUGAGGGAAUUAAUUGAGGACUGGAGGUCUAUGAUAACUCUGUCUAGCCUGCGAGCGUCCUCAUCAAUAUCCAUUAUAGUCUUGCGACGCUUGGGAGGUGUCUCAAAAGCAUUGAGAGCAUGCUUCGGGGCUGCCUUUGGAGGGAUGAAACGGACUUUGGCUACUCUAAUCCCUUCAAAGUAAGGCCUUUCCUCCUUCGUAGUGUAGCGAAUACUGUUGAUCUCGCCGCUCCGGUUGGUCUUGACUCCAACGACCCUCUCAUUGGGUCUAGGUGGAAGGAUCCUUGUGCCGGUUGGCACGUUGAUGGUGGUCUUCGUCUUGGAUGAUGAUCCCUUGAGAAGUAGGGGUUGUGGUGGUGCGGUGAGAACUGGUUGAGCAUGGUAGGAUUGGGCGGAGCUGCGUUGGCGUAAUGACAUGGCUUCUAGCUGUCGCUCUAUGUUGGCCGGGACGAGAGCACGGGCAUCGGGGUCUUCCACAGGCUCCAUGUUGAGGUUGAAGGGGACGACUUCCCAAUCAUCGUGGUACUUCUCGGCCAUUGGAGCAACAAGGAACUAAUCAAGCUCUAAUUGAAGGAGAGAAGGCUUGGUGGCUUGGUGUUUGAAAACUGAGGUCAAGGGUCUGUUUAUAUAGGGGUCAAAAAGUGCCUCUAUGGGUUGUUCGGGUUGCUCCCGUCGAUGUGCGUGCGAAACUUUCCAUCUGAGGAAUUAUUCGGAUUACUAUAAGUGCAUUUUCCAUAACAGAUAUAACACCCUAGUGGUAUGGUUGCAUUAAUCAUGUGCAUAGCAUGAGCAUCAUCAUCUACUCAAAGCAUACCAUGAUCAUCAUCUAUCUUGAGCCAUGUCAUUCCAUGCAAAUAUGUGUUUUAAAUUGCUUAAAUAGGCUCCCUAGGCUUAUGUUUGAAUGAACCAUGCUUGUGUUUGUGCUCUAUGCCUUGGUAAUCAGUUUAUCUAUGCUUAACUUAACCUUGGGAACAAUGUUCAUGUUGAUCACUUCUCCAAAAUAUGCCUUUAAGUCAUACUUGUGUAAAUAGGCCCUAGAAACCUCUUUUCCUUAGACUUUUAAAAAGUGUUUCAUAAAAUGUUUGCAUGUCAAAACUUUAUAGAGCAUAGUUGUAGCAAAUUUUAUAAGGAACAAAAGUUGUUUUAUGACCAUCUCAUGAAAAUGAACAAAAAUAGCUCAAAAGUGACCCACAAGGCAGAUUUGGGGCUGUUUCCAACACUUAGAAAAUUUUCUAAGUCCUGGGACGAAACCAGUUUGCUUGAUCGAUUUUGAAAACUUCAUACCUCUCAAUCCAAGCCGAUCUAGCUUUUGCUCCAGUUGGCAAAGUUGUAGAUCUCGGCUAGCACUCCAACUUUGUCAACUACACCAUCUCCUAAUUCACUCUGGUUUGGGAGUAAAUCGUCGACGAAGUUGCUCUGUCAGUCGGUGAUCGCGAGGUCCGAUUUAGAGCUGAGCUCGCCGGCGUGGAUGUCCCGAUCGACACCUGUCCGCCAGAUGUCGCCCGUACGCCGGCGAUGGCCCCGCUCGUCAGCUCCCAGCGUGCGCAUGACGUCCACAACGACGCCCCGGACGCAGUGGACGCGUCCACUCUCGCCUUUCACGCCCUCACUCGCCAGAAGAGCGCCCGUAGCGAGCUCACCGUCACGAGCUCACUCCGGCGAGCUCGUGCGCGCUCCUCGCUGCGUCCCAGCCCACCAAACUCCACCCACAGCUCCGCCGUGAGCCACUCUUCAUUUCUCACCCUCUAACUCGCCGCAAAACCCACCGGUGAGCCGCCAUUUCCCUCUUCCCCCAAAUCAGGUCGCCGUGACCAUCUUUUCUGGCGAACUCAAUGCCGAGCCCUGUGAAGCCGCUCGUCUUCUCUGGUUAGGUCGUAGAGGUAGAGUAGGUCCUUAGCGAGCGUUUCCGCCACUUGGUGGACGCUCUACCGAACUCUCCGUCGCCGGACACGACGCGCAGUGCCGCCGUGUUUCCGCCGGAGAUGGGUGCUCUCGUGGACAGCGUGUUCCACGAGGUUUCAAGCCAAGCCGCGUACCUAGGAAGCUUCGCCGUAGUUCGCUGGUGCUGUAGAAGGUCUUAGGUCACGCUCUACCGGCCUGAGGACUCCGGCGUAACGCCGAGCACCUCCGCCGAGCCGCCCUCGUCGACGGCGAGCUCCUUCCGGUGGCUCUGCUGUGGAAAAAAGGGGAUCAAUCAAGUCGCUAGAGUCUGGGGAUCACGUUGGUGCCCUUGGUUUGGCCGGAGACCUCGCCGUCGCAGAGAAAUCGCCGGCGAGAGUCGCCUCGGCCGUGAGGGAGAAGAACCUGACAGACGGGGUCCACUGUCAGUGUCACCUCCUUCCCUCCUUUUCUUUUAUUCAAAAACUGGAAUUUUGACUUUCUUGCAAAAAUCAUAUCUCCUGUUUCUGAGGUCCAAAAAUUGUGAAACCAAUUUUGUGUUGUUCCAUGAGAUGGCUAGUUUUUAAUAAAAAUAUAAAAUGGACCAUGUUUUCUGGGAAAAUAUUUAUUAAGGAUUUAAUCUUGUGAUUCAUGGAUAAAUUCAUAUCUCUUGUUUUACUGCUUAGUUUGCUCUGAAAAUUUUAUGGUAUUCUCUGUGUGGUAUUAGAGUGCUUUGAUAAAUAUUUCAUGAGUUUUGGAGUACUGCAGCUUUGUUAUGUAAAUUAUGUGUUGGGAUUGGGCUUGUUUCUUUAGUUAAAUCAUAUAAAAUAACUGGUGCUUAUGCUGGUGUUCUACUUUGGUGGUAAACUUGUUUAUGACAUCCCUAAUAUGUGAAUAAUCUCAAAUCUGUUGUUUGACACCAUAUAAUUCAUGUUUCCGAAUUAUGAAAUAAAUACCUUGUUACAUGUUAAAUGCAUAUCUUUAAUUUGGUAUGUCAAUUGCUCUGAAAUUUUUAUGGUGAUGCUUUGGUGCUAUACUUGUGCCUCUGUAAUUUUUGUAGAUUUUUCUGAGCACCUUGACUAAUAUCUUGUAAUUAUGCUCCUUUCUAGAAUUAAUUAAUAAAUGCCUUGUUAAGUAAAUGUUUGAGGGUUAUCAUUUGAUGUUCUGGUAACCUUGUGAUAUGCUUGUGCUCAUAAGCCUUGUGGUUGGCAUGGGUUAUGUUUUGGUUAUGUCAUCAAAUAAUUAAUUAAAGGGUUAAAUGCUGUUCUGGACAGCAAGGGAGUAAUUUAACUUUUGUUUAAUGGUAACUUGGUUUUCUGGGAAACUUGUCUAAAUCAAAGUUGUUGUAAACUUAUUGAACUAGCUGUGGUUGAAAUAUGAGGUCAAUUGGCCUAGUAGUUUUGAAGUUAUGAUCUUUACAAGUUAGAUUCCAGAAAUAGGUGUUCUCUGUUUUCUGGGACAGAACGUGGAACUUUGUUUAGAUGACUUGUUUAAAUGUAAGAAUCUUGCUGUGAUGUUCAAAGAUGAUUUGUAAACAAUUUCAUAAGCUUUCCAGAAUAUCCUCACUUAAAUUUGUUGGAUCUGCCUAGCACUAGUUAUGAUCUGUUUACUGAGCUCAUCCUGUUGUUUGAUGCUUGCUGUUAUAGGUUAUCAUGAUAGGUUUUGGGCUAAGUUAACUUGUUAACUUGUGUGAACUUGUUAUAGCUAUUGCUCUGUAAAUGAGUGUCCAGUGGGUCACUUAUGUUAUCAAGCAUCCAUUCUUUUGUAUGCACACCUUCUCAUUCACCGAGCAUGCAAUAGGUGUAUCGGACGUGGCAGCCUCCUUCGAUAUGCAAGUGAAUCCCGAAGGCCAGGAGGGCAACCCGGAGGUGGAGGUCCAGCAAGUCGGACUCAAGGAGCCCGAAGAAGAGAUUGAGUGCCCAAGCCACGAGCCAGCCUCGUUCGUGAAAGGCAAGCACCGGAGCAUUCUAAGCCUCCCUUACUUUCGAAAGUUUAUUUAAUAUGUUAUAUCUAUUGAUGCAUUAAGUAUAGGAGUUGUGAUGAAACCUUUGCUGCACUUUACUCCAUCCUUGUCCAGAUAUUUUACCCUACCCUGGUUGUAGAGUUAGGAUCGAGUAGCAGCUUAGCCUUGCUUAAUCGGUAGAAGUCGGGUGAUUUUCUGUUCCCUGCGCGAUAUAGGGUUGUGUCGGAUCACGAUGGUCUAUAUGUGCUAUAGUGGAUGGAACCUGAUUAAUUUGACUUAAGCCGGGCGGAGUUUUGCAAGGUUGUAGUAGCUCCGUCUGUGGCAGCUAAGGACCGAUCGUUGUACGUCCUCUUGUCAUGUUGAACGCACGCCUGACACUUAGUUGGCCGGAUAACUCGUUCCGACCGCGAAGCCGAGUAGUAUGACUCAGGCCGGAAGACUGGCAAGUAUAAAGUGCGCACUACCGGAGGAAGUGCGGUGUGCGGGGGACCAUUGGCGUAAGCCCAAAGGCAGGUGAUUUAAAAUUCCUGACCUCCCUGGCAGAAUGGUAGCCCUGGGAGUGCGGCGCUGAUCGGAGCCGCGAUUCCUGAGUUGUACCAAAGGUGACCCAUUGGCUCUCCGACGGGAGAUGCUUGGGUGAGUGAUAGGAAUACCCCUCCAGCUGGAUAGGAAUUCGAUUCGAAUCGCCGUCUCUCCCGGUUAGUGAGAACUUGACAGAGCAGCGGCAAACGUAGCAUUCACUAAUGAACUUGGUUCAUGACAAUGAUGAUAGCAAGGAAGAACUUAUGAUGAACUUAAUAUGGUUAUUAUUGCUUGUAAUAAUCAAGUGAAGUGUUUAGUACAGGUGCUAAUCUAGUAGUAGGCUAAUGGUAAAUAAAUAUGAUGCUCUUACAAUGUGUUAGUCAUAAUAAAGGCUUUUGGCAAAAUGUUGAGUCAACCAGCUCUACUUUUAUAUGUUAGCCUUGCAUGAUUCUUGGUGUCUUUUAUGUUUACUAGACGGGUAAGUCUAGCUGAGUACAAUCUCGUACUCAGGGUUUAUUCCCACCUGUUGCAGAUGACAUCUUUUAUGACGGCUUCUGCAAGACCUGUCUCCAUCCCGCUGGGGAUGAGGACUAACCGUUGGGCAUGGUUCUCUAACAAACUCGUACCUGUUGCUUUUGGAAGGAUGAUGUAGACUCUGGCAGUAACUCGAACUUAUGAACUGAACUUUGGAAUGUGUGUGUAACUAUUUUGCUUCUGCUACUUCGAACAAGUGCUGUAAUAACUUAAUACUCCGAUGUGGUGCCGCUUCGACGGCAGUGAAUGACUAUGUAACAAUCGUUGUGUUUAUGUUGAACUAUUACGAUCUUGGUUUGUUACGAGUUGGUUUGAAAUCCUUUGUGAUUUCAGUUGACUACCGGGAUUAUAUGGGCUCAAGUUUGGAAACUUGAUUGCUUGUCGAUCGUUUCUACACUUGAACUCUUAUAAUUUGGUCGGUUCUGUGACAGCUGGCAUCGGAGCAAGUUCAGCAUUAUAAAUGCAGUGUUUGUGUAUUUAAAAAUAAAAGAAUUUUUAAAUAAAAUGGUGUAAAUCGAUAAUUAAGUUAUGCCAGUGGUCGAAUCCUCCUUGCCCACAUAAGGACUAUAGGUGACUAUUUAAGUACUGACUUGGGGGGUUUUAUUUAUGCAUCUCCGGCAGUACUCAGGUAUGGAUGUGUGAUGACCGCACUAUGCUACCCUGUGGUCUAAUGGUGGAGGUAGCCUUCAUAUGUGAAUUAGCCACAUAUGUCGCUAGAUUUAAAUUAUACAACGUCGCACCUACGCUCUGGUAAGUGUGAGCUGUGAGAGCAUGAUCGUCCAAACGGCGGUCUAGGGGAGUGUAAGCGGUGGUUUUGUGGAGGGGUUACAUGUCAAAACCAUGGAACCACGAAAGAAACUUAAUUGGGGAGCAUUUAAUUUCUCGGGUAGUUGUGGUGUCAUUGUUUGUGCAUGUUGGGCAUGUCCAAGCAAUGUGCACUUAGUUUACUGCUUUCUUGAGUGAUAUAUUGGGAACUGUUGGGCUGAAAUGAAGUUUUCUGCAGGUACUCUAACAGCGCACGUGUAAAUCGAUAGUUAUCGUAUCGAGAAACGAAUGUAUGCCACCGUAUAUCCGUUAGAAUAUUAAUUUUAUAAGUUUGUGAGGACGUACGGUUCGUGCAUGCAUCAUGUCGCAUUCAUACAUACAUUUUGUCUACUCCUUCCCUUACCAUUUCGUCCCUUUUAAAUAAAUAAAUAUUGCUUAAACUAAUCCUCUUUUACCCAUGGUAUUCCUAUUCCUUUCCACAGAUGGAUGCACCUGCUUCACCCCGUCCCAGUGACACUUUCUUGAGCGAGUUUGGCACUCCUACCCUGCUCUGGAGAGUGUUACAGACUGUCGGGUAUGCUGAGCCACCUCAGUAUUCUUGGUGGGAGUUGGAGAGCACAGGAGGGAUACAGUGGUUUGCUGUGCAGGGAGUUGUUCCUCCACAUGGGGACAAGCCUGCAUGGACAGGAUGGACUUGUAGCUCAGAUGGGCAGACUCCUUGGGAGGCAGCUCAGGUUGCAGCCCAGACUAUCCUGCUCGAUAUCUGUCAGAGGUGUGGCCAUGAGCUGACGGGAGGACCAGCGGCCUCCAUUCCCCGUGCAGACCCAGCAGCAGCGGAGUGGAAACAGGCUGAUGGUUGUGCUUUGGUUCGAGGCAGGGGAGAGAGAGCUGAGAGUUCUAGUCCUGCUAUGAGUGCUAUGAUGGCGGUGCUCAAGCUGAUCAGUCAGCGAGAGGACACCUAUGCACAGGUGAUGGUGGCUGUUCGCUGGGCUCAGGAGAUGCAACGGAAGGCUGAAAUGCGAGCUCGCAAGUUUCGCAAGCAAGCUAGACUCCUGGAGCAAGCUCAGAAGGACCGCAAUGAUUGGGAAGACAUUGCGGAGUACCGUAGGCAGCAGUGGGUGAAGGCCAUUAGGGAGAGGGAUCAUAAGCAGGAUCAGAUGGCUCAGUUAGCUAGAGAGAGGGAGACCAUACAGGAGCGCUUGGUGCAGAUCACUCGUGAGAGGGAUACGGCACUCUACGUGUCGGAGAACAGGCGCCGAGCAUGGGAGAUGCACCGAGUUCAGUCGCUUGAGCGGGAGAACUAUCUGCAGGAUCAGAUUCAGGCUGGUCUUGUGGAGAUUCACCGUCUCAACAACUUGCUACACCCUAUUCCUCGCCCGAUACCCGUGUAUCCAGAGGUGGGACCUCAGGUGAUUGUGGCCGAUGAUGAUGGUAUGGAGGUCGAUGGACCAGCAGCGGCUGCACCACCUUUGCACGAGGACGUGGAGGACGAGGAGCUUGAGCCGGUUAGCGACGAGGAUGGAGAGGCGAUCUUCGACGCUGACUCGGACGACGAGCCCGGAGCAUAGGGAGUAGUGGGUAGUGUUAUGUGAGGAUCUUUUGCGGGAUGCCAGUCAGCCGCAGUGCUUUUGUAACCAUGUUGUAAUCCGGAACUUUGACCUUGACUCAUGGCAUGUUCUGUGAUGGUGUAAUAACUGUAUGGACCUAAUGUGUAACCUGGACAUGUUCGUUAUGUUAUGACAAUGUUUUCCGUUGUGGUGCAUUUUGCGGAUAUCUCUAUCAUGUGUUGGAUUGGCGAUGUUGUUUUGUGGAAUUGAAUUAUUGUGCCUUUCCUGUAAAGCUAUUCUCUCGAAUACUUUCGGGCAUAAUUAUAAGUUCUUCUGUGGCAAAUCUUGUCAUCAUCAAUACUCACUGACUGUGUCUUUACAAAUGUCUCGUGGCACCCGAGGUGCAGAACAGCGUGCAAACAUGAAUUCACCCCCUCCUCCUCCACCACCGAAUCCUGCCGAGUUAAGGCAGAUGAUGGUGGAAAAUCAGAGGAUGCUCACUGAGACCAUCAAUCGGAUGGCGAAUCAGGGUGGCCGUAAUGCACAUGAAGGGCCAGCUCCUAAUCAGUAUAGUAGCUUCAAGGACUUCAUGGAUACAAAGCCCCCACCUUUCACAGAAGCUGAAGAGCCCCUUCAAGCGGAAGAAUGGCUGAACACGGUGGAACAAAAGUUCCGCUUGCUUCGUUUAACUGAAGGUUUGAAGGCAGAGUAUGCAGCUCAUCAACUGCAGGGUCCAGCAGGCAUCUGGUGGAAUCAGUAUCGGGAAGCUCUUCCAGCCGACACUGUGCUUGAUUGGAAUCUGUUCCAUGAUGCUUUUAAAGGGCAUUUCAUUCCUCCUGGUGUCAUGGAGAUGAAGCAUACUGAGUUUAUGCAGUUAACUCAGGGUAACAAGACUUUGAGGGAGUAUUUGCAUGCUUUCAAUCAUUUGUCUAGGUAUGCUCCUGAGUUUGUGAACACGGAGACGAAAAAGAUUGCUAGUUUCAAGCGGGGUUUGGGCCCUAAGUUGCUGAAGACUAUGGGCUGCACUAAGUGUGCAACUUUCAAUGAGUUUGUCAGUGAUGCUCUCACUCAAGAGAACUACAACACUGUGUACACUGCGACCAAGACUCGUAAGAGGGCUUUUGAGGCCGGGGCAGGGUCAUCUCAGUCCAAGGCUCCAGUGGCAACUAAGCCACCGUUCCGUGCUCCAACACCUAACCAGCGGUAUCGCCCUCCGGUGAAGAAGAAUCAAGCAAAGACGGGUUUCCGCAAGGGGUACCCUAUUGCUCUUCCUAGGGGCAACACGGGUCCCAACUAUGCCAAGACUCCACCUGCCAACCGUCCGUGCUGGAACUGCAAUCAGACCGGGCAUUGGCAGAGCAACUGUCCUUACCCACCAAAGAAGGGCAACCAGGGGAACGUCCGCCAGGGGCGUGUUCACUACACAACCGUGGAGGCACUCCCUGCUGGUGAGGUAGUCACGGCAGGUAAGUUUCUGGUUAACCAAUGUGACGCACUUGUGCUUUUUGAUUCAGGAGCAUCGCAUUCUUUUGUGAGUUCUGAAUUUGUGUCUAAGCAUAAUAUCAAGGCAAUUACACUUGAUAAGGGCAGUUAUUGUAUUAGUGCUGCGGGAAAUGAUAUUUCCACCAAUCAAGUGGUUUUGGGGGCAACUCUGGAAAUAGGAGGCCGUCAGUUUCUUGCUGAUUUGUUUGUUCUACCCGGCGUGGGCAUAGAUGUAAUUCUGGGGAUGAAGUGGAUGAGUGGCAACAGAGUUCUUAUCGACACCACCACUCGUGUAGUGAUGUUGAAAGAUCCAAAUACCAAGGAGGCACAUCUAGUGCAACUCCCUCGUGAUAUUCAAAUCCGUAAUACUGUGAAUGCAGUUACAUCUAAGGCUAUUCAGGACAUUCCGGUGGUGUGUGAGUUCCCGGACGUGUUUCCUGAUGAUUUACCCGGGCUUCCUCCAGAUCGGGAUGUGGAGUUCAAAAUUGAGUUGAUUCCAGGUACCGCUCCUAUCUCUAGAAGACCUUAUAGAAUGCCACCCAACGAAUUAGCUGAGCUUAAGACCCAACUAAAUGAGUUGUUGAAGAAGGGUCUUAUCCGUCCUAGUUCGUCUCCUUGGGGUUGUCCGGCUAUCUUUGUGAAGAAGAAGGAUCAAUCUUUGCGCAUGUGUGUGGACUAUCAUCCCCUAAAUGCGGUCACCAUCAAGAACAAAUACCCUCUUCCUCGCAUUGAUAUCUUGUUUCAUCAGUUGUCUAAAGCUAAGGUAUUCUCCAAGAUCGACUUGCGAUCUGGGUACCAUCAGAUCAAGAUCCGUCCUGAAGAUGUACCUAAGACAGCUUUCUCGACGAGGUAUGGGUUGUAUGAGUAUCUCGUCAUGUCCUUUGGUCUUACAAAUGCACCUGCUCACUUCAUGUAUCUCAUGAAUUCGGUGUUCAUGCCCGAAUUGGACAAGUUUGUGGUGGUCUUCAUUGAUGAUAUCUUGGUAUAUUCCUGCAAUGAAGAGGAGCAUGCAGAGCAUCUGCGUAUAGUGUUGUCGCGUUUGCGUGAACAUCAACUUUAUGCUAAGUUUAGCAAAUGCGAGUUUUGGCUGAAGAAAGUACCUUUCUUGGGCCAUGUCUUAUCUGAAGAAGGCAUAUCGGUGGACCCAGCCAAGGUGCAAGAGGUGCUGGAUUGGAAAGUUCCAACUUCGGUCCACGAGGUUCGGAGUUUUCUUGGUCUGGCUGGAUAUUAUCGUCGAUUCAUUCCUGAAUUCUCAAAAAUAUCCAAGCCUAUGACUCGGCUGCUUCAGAAAGAUGAGAAGUUUGUGUGGACGCCUGAGUGUGAAGAGGCAUUCCACAAGUUGAGGACAUUGCUGACCUCAGCUCCUGUUCUAGCUCAGCCCGAUAUCGAGAAGCCUUUCGAUGUUUUCUGCGACGCGUCAGGCAUCGGUUUAGGCUGUGUGUUGAUGCAAGAAGGUCGCGUGAUCACGUAUGCCUCGCGCCAACUUCGAAAGCAUGAGGUCAAUUACCCUACUCAUGACUUAGAAUUGGCGGCAGUUGUUCAUGCUUUGAAAAUCUGGAGGCAUUAUUUGCUGGGUAAUCUGUGUAAUAUCUACACUGAUCAUAAGAGCCUCAAGUAUAUCUUCACUCAACCUGAACUGAACAUGCGGCAGCGAAGGUGGCUUGAGUUGAUUAAAGAUUAUAAUCUACAAGUGCACUAUCAUCCGGGCAAGGCAAACGUGGUUGCGGAUGCUUUGAGUCGGAAAGCGCACUGUCACUCGAUCCAAGUGGGAGAUCCGUUGUUGUCACAUCUUAUGCAUCCACUUGUGCUCCACCAGAUUUCUCUGGAGAGUACUCUUCACAAUCGAGUCAUCGAAUUGCAACAAACAGAUGUAGGCAUCCACCACAUAAAGAGGAAAAUGAAGGAAGAAGAAACCAAGCAUUUCCGAGUCGAUGAGAACGGAACUCUUUGGUUCAAAGAUCGACUAGUGGUCCCAAAAGACCGUGAGCUGAGAAAUCAGAUCUUGUCUAAAGCUCAUUCAUCCAAAUUGUCUAUCCAUCCUCGUAGUAGCAAGAUGUAUCAGGAUCUGAAACCUCUGUUUUGGUGGACAAAAAUGAAAAAGGAGAUCGCUGCUUUUGUCGCUCGUUGUGACAAUUGUUGUCGUGUGAAGGCUGUUCACAUGAAAGCUGGUUUGCUUCAACCCUUGUCAGUUCCUGGGUGGAAAUGGGAAGAAGUCAGCAUGGAUUUCAUCAUUGGGUUCCCAACUUCUGUUAAGGGUUACGACUCCAUCUGGGUGAUUGUAGAUUGUUUGACCAAGGUUGCUCGAUUUAUUCCAGUUCGAACUGACUAUCGUCCACAUCAAUAUGCAGAGUUGUACUUCGAGCACAUUAUUCGUCAGUAUGGUGUGUCUCGAACUAUUGUAUCAGAUCGUGGACCAUAGUUCACUGCUCGUUUUUGGGAAUGUCUGCAUGAGCAGAUCGGUACUCAUUUAGUCCAUAGCUCUGCUUAUCAUCCCCAAACAGCAGCUCAAACUGAACGUGUUAACCAAAUCCUAGAAGACAUGUUGAGGGCAUGUGCUCUCUCUUCAAAAGGUUCUUGGGUUAAGUGGGUGUCAUUGGCUGAGUUCUCCUACAACAAUAGUUACCAGGAGAGUAUCAAGAUGGCUCCAUUUGAAGCCCUGUACGGUCAAAAGUGUCGAACCCCGUUGAAUUGGGUAGAAGCCGAAGAGCGAAGGUAUUAUGGCAUCGAUUUCAUGAACAAAGCAGAGCAGAAAGUCCGUACCAUCCAGCAACAUCUCGAAGCUGCUCAAGCUUGUCAGAAAAGUUAUGCCGACAAAAGAAGGAAGCCGAUUGAGUUUUCAGUUGGUGACCAUGUGUAUAUCAAGGUGUCUCCGAUGAAGGGUGUACAAAGGUUCGGAGUCAAGCGAAAGCUUGCACCUCGUUAUGUGGGACCUUAUCGGAUUCUUGAAAAGAAAGGGAAUGUGGCAUACAAAGUUCAACUCCCAGUUGCGCUUCGAGCUAUUUUCCCUGUCUUCCACGUAUCACAAUUAAAGAAGUGCCUUCGUGUACCGGAGGAACGAGUGGAAGUUCGAGAUAUCAAGUUGAAGUCGGACUUGGUGUAUGAAGAAAAACCCGUAGCAAUUCUUGAUCGCAUGGGACGGGAGACUCGUAACCGUGUGGUUAAGUUCUACAAGGUGUUGUGGAGUAACCACGGGGAGGAAGAUGCCACUUGGGAGACGGAGGAUUAUUUAAAAGAAGUUUACAAAACCUUCUUCGAAAAUGAGUAAGCUUUCAAAUCUCGGGAUGAGAUUUUUAUAAGGGGGGAGGGCUGUAACACCCCAGUGUUAUGGUUGCAUUAAUCAUGUGCAUAGCAUGAUCAUCAUCAUCUACUCAAAGCAUACCAUGAUCAUCAUCUAUCUUGAGCCAUGUCAUUCCAUGCAAAUAUGUAUUUUAAAUUGCUUAAAUAGGCUCCCUAGGCUUAUGUUUGAAUGAACCAUGCUUGUGUUUGUGCUCUAUGCCUUGGUAAUCAGUUUAUCUAUGCUUAACUUAACCUUGGGAACAAUGUUCAUGUUGAUCACUUCUCCAAAAUAUGCCUUUAAGUCAUACUUGUGUAAAUAGGCCCUAGAAACCUCUUUUCCUUAGGCUUUUAAAAAGUGUUUCAUAAAAUGUUUGCAUGUCAAAACUUUCUACAGCAUAGUUGUAUCAAAUUUUAUAAGGAACAAAAGUUGUUUUAUGGCCAUCUCAUGAAAAUGAUCAAAAAUAGCUCAAAAGUGACCCACAAGGCAGAUUUGGGGCUGUUUCCAACACUUAGAAAAUUUUCUAAGUCCUGGGACGAAACCAGUUUGCUUGAUCGAUUUUGAAAACUUCAUACCUCUCAAUCCAGGCCGAUCUAGCUUUUGCUCCAGUUGGCAAAGUUGUAGAUCUCGGCUAGCACUCCAACUUUGUCAACUACACCAUGUCCUAAUUCGCUCUGGUUUGGGAGUAAAUCAUCGACGAAGUUGCUCUGUCAGUCGGUGAUCGCGAGGUGCGAUUAAGAGCUGAGCUCGCCGGCGUGGAUGUCCCGAUCGACACCUGUCUGCCAGAUCUCGCCCGUACGCCGGCGAUGGCCCCGCUCGUCAGCUCCCAGCGCGCGCAUGACGUCCACGGCGACGCCCCGGACGCAGUGGACGCGUCCACUCUCGCCUUUCACGCCCUCACUCGCCAGAAGAGCGCCCGCAGCGAGCUCCCCGUCGCGAGCUCACUCUGGCGAGCUCGUGCGCGCUCCUCGCUGCGUCCCAGCCCACCAAACUCCACCCAUUGCUCCGCCGUGAGCCGCUCUUCAUUUCUCACCCUCUAACUCGCCGCGAAACCCACCGGUGAGCCGCCAUUUCCCUCUUCCCCCAAAUCAGGUCGCCGUGACCAUCUUUUCCGGCGAACUCAAUGCCGAGCCCUGUGAAGCCGCUCGUCUUCUCUGGUUAGGUCGUAGACAUAGAGUAGGUCCUUAGCGAGCGUUUGCGCCACUUUGUGGAUGCUCUACCGAACUCUCCGUCGCCGGACACGACGCGCAGUGCCGCCGUGUUUCCGCCGGAGAUGGGUGCUCUCGUGGCCAGCGUGUUCCACGAGGUUUCAAGCCAAGCCGCGUACCUAGGAAGCUUCGCCGUAGUUCGCUGGUGCUGUAGAAGGUCUUAGGUCACGCUCUACCGGCCUGAGGACUCCGGCGUAACGCCGAGCACCUCCGCCGAGCCGCCAUCGUCGACGGCGAGCUCCUUCCGGUGGCUCCGCUGUGGGAAAAAGGGGUUCAAUCGAGUCGCUAGAGUCUGGGGAUCACGUUGGUGCCCUUGGUUUGGCCGGAGACCUCACCGUCGUGGAGAAAUCGCCGGCGAGAGUCGCCUCGGCCGUGAGGGAGAAGAACCUGACAGACGGGGUCCACUGUCAGUGUCACCUCCUUCCCUCCUUUUCUUUUAUUCAAAAUCUGGAUUUUUGACUUUGUUGCAAAAAUCAUAUCUCCUGUUUCUAAGAUCGAAAAAUUGUGAAACCAAUUUUGUGUUGUUCCAUGAGAUGGCUAGUUUUUAAUAAAAAUAUAAAAUGGACCAUGUUUUCUAGGAAAAUAUUUAUUAAGGAUUUAAUCUUGUUAUUCAUGGAUAAAUUCAUAUAUCUCGUUUUACUGCUUAGUUUGCUCUGAAAAUGUCACGGUAGUCUCUGUGUGGUAUUAGAGUGCUUUAAUAAAUAUUUCGUGAUUUUUGGAGUACUGCAGCUUUGUUAUGUAAAUUAUGUUUGGGAUUGGGCUUGUUUCUUUAAUUAAAUCAUAUAAAAUAAUUGGUGCUUAUGCUGGUGUUCUACUUUGGUGGUAAACUUGUUUAUGACAUCCCUAAUAUGUGAAUAAUCUGAAAUCUGUUGUUUGACACCAUAUAAUUCAUGUUUCCGAAUUUAUGAAAUAAAUACCUUGUUACAUGUUAAAUGCAUAUCUUUAAUUUGGUAUGUGCAAUUGCUCUGAAAUUUUUAUGGUGAUGCUUUGGUGCUAUAAUUGUGCCUCUGUAAUUUUUGUAGAUUUUUCUGAGCACCUUGACUAAUAUCUUGUAAUUAUGCUCCUUUCUAGAAUUAAUUAAUAAAUGCCUUGUUAAGUAAAUGUUUGAGGGUUAUCAUUUGAUGUUCUGGUAACCUUGUGAUAUGCUUGUGCUCAUAAGCCAUGUGGUUGGCAUGGGUUAUGUUUUGGUUAUGUCAUCAAAUAAUUUAACUUUUGCUUAAUGAUAACUUAGUUUUCUGGGAAACUUGUCUAAAUCAAAGUUGUUGUAAACUUAUUGAACUAGCUGCGGUUGAAAUAUGAGGUCAAUUGGCCUAGUAGUUUUGAAGUUAUAAUCUUUACAAGUUAGAUUCCAGAAAUAGGUGUUCUCUGUUUUCUGGGACAGAACCUGGAACUUUGUUUAAAUGACUUGUUUAAAUGUAAGAAUCUUGCUGUGAUGUUCAAAGAUGAUUUGUAAACAAUUUCAUAAGCUUUCCAGAAUGUCCUCACUUAAAUUUGUUGGAUCUGCCUAGAACUAGUUAUGAUCUGUUUACUGAGCUCAUCCUGUUGUUUGAUGCUUGCUGUUAUAGGCUAUCAUGAUAGGUUUUGGGCUAAGUUAACUUGUUAACUUGUGUGAACUUGUUAUAGCUAUUGCUCCGUAAAUGAGUGUCCAGUGGGUCACUUAUGUUAUCAAGCAUCCAUUCUCUUGUAUGCACACCUUCUCAUUCACCGAGCAUGCAAUAGGUGUAUCGGACGUGGCAGCCUUCUUCGAUCUGCAAGUGAAUCCCGAAGGCCAGGAGGGCAACCCGGAGGUGGAGGUCCAGCAAGUCGGACUCGAGGAGCCCGAAGAAGAGGUUGAGUGCCCAGGCCACGAGCCAGCCUCGUUCAUGAAAGGCAAGCCCCGGAGCAUUCUAAGCCUCCCUUACUUUCGAAAGUUUAUUUAAUAUGUUAUAUCUAUUGAUGCAUUAAGUAUAGGAGUUGUGAUGAAACCUUUGCUGCACUUUACUCCAUCCUUGUCCAGAUAUUUUACCCUACCCUAGUUGUAGAGUUAGGAUCGAGUAGCAGCUUAGCCUUGCUUAAUCGGUAGAAGUCGGGUGAUUUUCUGUCGCCUGCGCGAUAUAGGGUUGUGUCGGAUCACGAUGGUCUAUAUGUGCUAUCGUGGAUGGAACCUGAUUAAUUUGACUUAAGCCAAGCGGAGUUUUGCAAGGUUGUAGUAGCUCCAUCUGUGGCAGCUAAGGACCGAUCGUUGUACGUCCUCUUGUCAUGUUGAACGCAUGCCUGACACUUAGUUGGCCUGAUAACUCGUUCCGACCGCGAAGCCGAGUAGUAUUUCUCAGGCCGGAAGACCGGCAAGUAUAAAGUGCGCACUACCAGAGGAAGUGCGGUGUGCGGGGGACCAUUGGCGUAAGCCCAAAGGCAGGUAAGUUAAAAUUCCUGACCUCCCUGGCAGAAUGGUAGCCCUGGGAGUGCGGCGCUGAUCGGAGCCGCGAUUCCUGAGUUGUACCAAAGGUGACCCGUUGGCUCUCCGACGGGAGAUGCUUGGGUGAGUGCUAGGAAUACCCCUCCAGCUGGAUAGGAAUUCGAUUCGAAUCGCCGUCUCUCCCGCUUAGUGAGAACUUGACAGAGCAACGGCAAACGUAGCAUUCACUAAUGAACUUGAUUCAUGAUAAUGAUGAUAGCAAGGAAGAACUUAUGAUGAACUUAAUAUGGUUAUUAUUGCUUGUAAUAAUCAAGUGAAGUGUUUAGUACAGGUGCUAAUCUAGUAGUAGGCUAAUGUAAAUAAAUAUGAUGCUCUUACAAUGUGUUAGUCAUAAUAAAGGCUUUUGGCAAAAUGUUGAGUCAACCAGCUCUACUUUUAUAUGUUAGCCUUACAUGAUCCUUGUUGUCUUUUAUGUUUACUAGACGGGUAAGUCUAUGUGAGUACAAUCUCGUACUCACGGGUUUGUUCCCACCUGUUGCAGAUGACAUCUUUUAUGACGGCUUCUGCUAGACCUGUCUCCAUCCCGCUGGGGAUGAGGACUAACCGUUGGGCAUGGUUGUUGACGGUCCUUAAGUAUCAAAUUUAAUUAUCAAAUAAAUAAAGAAAAGGAUCCAAUUGAAAUCAAGAUCUAGACUUAGGGUUUUAUCUGACAGAAUUCCACGAGUUUUGGUGUUUGUCUAUUUCUGCAGGGGGUUAUCAGGAAAUACGGAAGAAAGGCCCACAUGUCAGGAUUACGUAAAGAUAUUAACGUGCUGCACAAUUAUCUUACAUCUAGAAGACUCCAGAAGCCACGAGACCGAAGUGGAGACGAAACGGGGCCAGAGACAGGGCGCCCGCCCUGUCCUACUGGGCGCCCGCCCCCUGUUGGAGUCCAAUCAGGACUCUGCUUUGCGGGAGAUCUCCACCGACCUAAAGGAUGAAUCUAAACCAUACAAUCUAUGUCGGUUUGAUCCAAGGGCCCAUAUUCACUUGAAGGGACUAUAAAACCAGACCCCCUGGCCCAUGGAGGAGAGAGCCUCUCAACCCUAAUUCAUUGUUCCAUCAAGGGAGAAGAAGCCUCUGAUCAAGAUUAGAGCCACCACAUCAAUUAGAUAUCUAGAUUAGCAUAGCUACAUAGGAUUAGAACUAGAAGGAGUCAAUCUUCGAUUGGUUUCCGGAUCUGUCAGGAGGAUUCUUGGUAAUUCUCUAAUUGUGCUUCUAAUUGCUUUCUAAUUAUCUUUGUUCUUCAAUAUUAUGAAUAUGACUUUGCUCUACUUCAAUAUAUUGCUUAUGACUUUGCUCUACUUGCUUAUAUUCAAGAUUAUAUUGUUCUUAGUUUAUCAUAGUUAUGUACUUGGCUUAGUUAGAUUGGAUCUAUAUACAUGCUUAGGAUCGUAUAGCGUUUAUCCAUCGGAUCCAUAGGUAAAUGAUAGAUAUUGUGUAGGCGUGGUGCUUAUACCGUAUUUAUCUGCGAUUGUACCCAAUAUGCCAGAUCGUGGGGUGGUUCGUGAUAGUGACAGCUUCAUUGAUUCUUAUAUAGUCCCCCUCUCGUGUAUUGGGCUGGCAGAGCAACAUUAUUACAGGGGAGUGAUUGCUAUGUUUCUCAUAUUCCUUGCUAAUAUCACUAUGCAUGGGCGUAGUCUUGUCUCGCAAUGAUUGCUAAGUAUGCUAGCACUAACUAUGAUAUGCUAGACUAUAUAGUUGAGAAUAACUUAGGGAAUAUUCUUGUAGUUCGUUCUAAUACCAUGCUAAUGACUUUCUAGAGUAUCUAAUUGAGGUGCUUAUCAUAUUUAUUAUGUGGCUAGAUCAGAUUAGUUAUCCUUGUCACUAUUAUUAUUUCAUAUAUCUUUUAUGUGACACUUAUCCCUGUAUGAAGAGUUAGAUAUAAUGUUCUCAAUUAUACAUGCUAUGAUAGAUACUCAAUCUCAUAUUCUAUUCUGUAAUCAUUAGUGAUGAUUGCUAAUCCCUUCCCAGUGGUAAAAAUAUAAAUAACGAUACCUGGAAUACUUCCCGGUUAAAAUGCUACAUCGGUAUUAAUCUGUGCGCUUGCAGAUCCAAUUCAUUAUUUAUUUAGAAGAGCAAUUGCAUAUUUCAAUACCGCGUCUCUUAUAUCAUGCUGGGGAUGACAACUUGGCUUAAGUGGUGUGAGGGAUAGGUUUGGCAUUUUUGGCACCGUUGCUAGAUUUAGAACUUAGUCUACUUUUAGUAAUGAUGUUAAGAAUACCCAACAAGCAUUUUUGGCGCCGUUGCCGGGGAAGGUUGAUUACUAAUCAGGAAUGGAAUAAAAAGAUUUUGAGUUAUCAUUCGCAUCACUAAUAUGAUUGAGCUUAUCUAUUCUCUCAUACACUUUUACCCCGAUAUUUUUCUAUUUUAUCUUAUGCAGGGGAAUGUAUAAAUAGAAGACAUCUUCCAGGAAAUUUUGUUGACAAACCUAAAGCAUUAUUCAAGAUGACGAGAGCCAAGCUAAAGAAAUCAUCAACACUUCACGAAGAAGCUUCAUCCAAUCAAGAAGAUCACCGGAACUUGUCUUCAGAGUUCGAAGCCGUGGCGAACAUAUCAAUCCGCGAGUUCUCAGCUCCCACUAUGGACAACAUCCGCACUGGACCUGCUGCAGAGAUCGAUGGCAACUUAUCAACAUGGUGCAAUCCAACCAGUUCUGUGGGAAGGCACACGAAGACGCUAGUGCUCAUUUACAACACUUCCUGGAGAUUUGCAACACAUUCACCAUAGCAGGAGUUUCCAAAGACGCUAUACUACUUCGCCUCUUCCCAUUCUCACUGUUAGGAAGAGCGAAGCAGUGGUUCUACGCUACAAAGGAGAAGAAUUCUACGUGGGCACUCUGCUCAACAAACUUCCUGGCUAAGUUCUUUCCCAUGGGCAAGACCAAUGCUCUCCGUGGGAAGAUUACAAGUUUUCAGCAACAAAAUGAUGAAUCUGUUCCAGAAGCAUGGGAGCGCUUUCAAGACUACAUCCUAGAAUGUCCCCAUCAUGGAAUGGAGAGUUGGCUACUGAUGCAGACAUUCUAUCAUGGGCUCAGCAACAGUGCCCGAGAGACCAUGGAUGCUGCAGUUGGAGGAGCAUUCUUAUCACUUACUAUACCACAAGCCACAGCUCUUGUGGAGAAGAUGGCGUCCAACCAAAGCUGGAAUGAAGAGAGGACCUAGACACGCAAGAGAGGUGGAGGUAUACAUCAGCUCAAGGAGGUAGACAUGCUGUCUGCAAAGCUAGACCUGCUCAUGAAGAAGCUCGAUGAUAGAGCUGGAGACAAGAAAGAAGUUAUGCACAUCUACGACUCUCACAUGACUUGUGAGGAGUGUGGAGACACUGGACACUCAGGCAACCACUGCGCUGAGAUGCUUGAGGAUGUGAACUACAUCAACAACAACAACAACUACUACAACCGUCCUCAACAAAAUCAAGGUUGGAAUCAACAGAGGCCUAACUACUCAGGUAAUUAUCAAGGUAACAAUUCUUACAAAAAUAAUAAUAAUUUUCCACCUUUGAGAGAGUUAGUGUCUAAUCAAGGAAAGCUAAUGGAUAACCUGUCUAAGAAAUUGGCAUCAAAUGAUAAAAUGCUAGAAAAUAUAAAUAAUAGAAUAGAUAAUUUCUCUACUGCCAUCAAGAAUCAAAUUAGCUUUAAUAAAAUGAUUGAAUCUCAGUUAAAUCAAAUAGCUGCUGCUGUUCCUACUACUAACCCCGGUAUACCAUCACAACCGGAAGGAUUAGAAUCUGCAAAUCUUGUAGACGUGUUUGAUGCAGGUAAUUGGAGUAACCCCGUCACUGAAUUUUCUACUGACCGUCUGCCGGUCAAGAGAGGCGAUCCAGGACGCCCCGUCAUCCCGAUCUCCAUCGGCAUGGUGGACGUUCCAGAAGCACUCUGUGACUUUGGCUCUAGCGUCAACAUUAUACCCAGGGUACUCUAUGAAAAAUUCUUUACAUAUCCUUUAUUAGAAACAACCAUGUGUUUGCAGUUUGCAGAUCAGACGAUAACUUUCCAAAAGGAAUAGUGAGGAACCUUUGUGUCCGAGUUGGUACUUUAUAUGCCCCAGCAGACUUCGUAGUGGUUGAGACCGGAAAUGAUGAGAGAGCACCUAUCAUCCUAGGAAGGCCAUUUUUGAACACCACGGGAGCUAUCAUCUACGCUAGUGCUGCCAAGAUCAGUUUCUACGUCAAAGGGAAGAAGGAGACAAUUUUCUUCAAGAACAAGACUACACAAAUUCCAGAUCAAUCCAGACGUGAAUCAGGGAAGAGGACCAACAGGAGGAACAGGAACAAGCAAGUGUGGACCGAGUCAGCUAAGAUGGUCACUGUAGUCCAUGGAGGCCAAGAUCACCAACUUAAGUCACCGUUUUUGACCAAGAAGGACGACCUAGGAAUGCCAAGCAUCUACUGCUCCAUAAAUGGAUAUAACUUCUACAAGACGAUUUGCGACACCGGAUCGGGCGUCAACAUAAUGGCCGCAGUCACUUAUCGGCUCUUGUUCGGGACCAUGCCACUAAGACCAACAUACAUUCAGCUCCAGAUGGCAGAUCAGACAUUUCGAGAAGUUCAAGGAAUAAUAUCUGAUGUCCCAGUCAAAAUAGACGAUCACUUUGUCUACACAGACUUUCAAGUUAUUGACAUGGGAGAAGAUGAGUACGAUCCACCCAUCAUCCUUGGAAGACCGUUCCUCAGCACCGUUAAAGCAAUUAUCUACAUUGGAACCAGAGAAGUCCAUUGCACUUCCCCUUAGAGAAGGUACGCCGUUAUUUUACUGACCCUAACUAUAUCAUUGAAGAAUCUAAGCAGGUCAGAAAGAGACGCAACCGCAACCAGAGGAGGCAGAUCAUCAAGGACGGAUGGGCAGACUAUGAAGGAGAAGUUGUAAGGUCAGAAGACGUGGAGUUUAAACAGAAUUAUCCAGAGGAGAUUGAAGCACCGAGUCAGGUAUGGAAAAUGAAGAUAACUAUACAUGAAGAGGAGGCGCUACCGGAAGUACCGACUUCGCCACCCAACGAACCUCAGGACGAUUAAGAAAUUGGAGAGUCCCGUUCGGAGGACUUAAAAACACCGAACGCCCUGCCAAGAGGUAAACUUGGUAGUUACCCUUUCCCUUUCAAUUAUUUCAAUUAUUUCAAAUAGUUUACUUAGUUAAUUAUGUUCGUGCUAUCCUAAAAAAAAUAAAAAUGUGAAAAACAGUAAGCUCCAUGUGAGUAGACGAGUGGCAUAAAACCCAUAAGUACAUUCACUGUGGUGACAUAAAAAUAAAAUAAAUAUUUUUUCUGCUUUAUAAAAUAAAAAUAUAAAAACAGGGAGUAACAAUUAUUAUGGAGUCUCAACAUGAUAAAGGCUAGAUAUUUAUGCUAACACUUAAUCAGUUCCACAAGCUAUGUUGUCUAUUUGAGCUCCACAGAAUUUAAGAAUCAAGAAGACUCACAGACGGAGGACAUUCUAAUCGCUGUUAGAAUGCUGCUGACUUUCAAAUACACCUCUGCCACCUGCUAGCUACAUCAAGAGAAAUUACGUCAAAAUUCAGCUUGGGGGAGAGCACCCCCAUUUACCUCGAUAAGUAUUUCUAUCUAUUUUUAUACUUAUAUUAUUUUAGAAUAUUAAAAUACACAUAAACUAUGGGAAAACCAAAUAAAGAUUUCAUGCUUAUAUAUGUCUUUUGCUUAGUGUGUUUAAUAAAUAAAUAAAGUGGCUAUGCUAAUCUAUAUCUAAACAAAAACUUAAUCAUGGAUAUGAUGAAUAGUUGCUCUGCCUAAUUUGCACAUUCUAAGUUCUCUCUCAAGUUUAGAUAUAACUGUUAUAAUUUAAAGCUUGCCCUAGACCUAAACUUGUGGGAUGAAAACUUGAUCUGAUGUCUAAGUUGUUAACGGAUACGAUAUGGGAAGAUUGAGCUGUUGUUUAUCUGUUCCUAGAGAUGCUAGAAUUCUGGAGAAUUUUAUCUUUGAAAAUCUUUAAAAUGUUGCAUGAUGAGUUCCUGUAUGAUGAGAGCUUAAAUUCCUACCACAGCCAUAUAUACAUGCUUGCUAGACUUUGAGCCACACAUUUAUUAUUUACUGCUUAUGAGCAUUGAGUGUGGUCAAGCUGUGUAGACCCUUAGGAGCUUGUCACGUGGUUAAAUCAAGAUUUCACUUGCACGUUCACUCAUAUAUGCUACUUCUACUCCAGAAGUACCAUCCACAUAUAUCCAUCCAUUUUCAUCUCCAGAAUCACCCAAAAAUAUUCUGCUCCUAAUCCGGGAGAGAAUAACCAAAAAUAUUUCUGUUUCCCCUUGUGAAAUAAAUGCUCAAGUUAUCUUGUUACUACCACUUGCUAUAUUAUCUCAAGAGAUAAGUGCUCUAAAAAAAGAGAAGAAAAUAAAAAAAAAAUAUACGAGGAAAUAAAAAGGAGCAAGUGCUCGGAACCUCGAAAGAAAAGAAAGAGUGAGACGAGAGGUAAAAAUGGACAAGUGUCCGACAGUUGAAUUAGGGGUGCAAGAUACCCACCUGAGAGACAAGAAAAAGAAGAGCAUCUCAUUCUCCUCAUAAAGUUUCAAAAGCAAGGAAGGUAUGUAUCCCCUCAAAAGAGCAAAGUAGAAUUAGACUUCCACCACCAUUGUUUUCACCAUUGUUAUCACCAUCAUCACCAUACACCAUUCAUUCGCCACACAUGCACAUCUUGAUUUGGCUUAUUGAUUUGUUUCUUUGGAUCCAUGGUUUGACUAUGCAAUAAAUGUCUUGUGAGUAUGUAUACUUUAUCUCCCACCUAUGAGCUCCAAAUAUUAAAGCCUUAUUAGAGUAGUGUGAGAGAGAAGGCAAUGUCACUAUGCCUUAUACCACAAAUACUACAUAUCUUGAGAGAAGGCAUAUACCAUCAAUGCCUUAGUAAGGAUCCAAAAAUACCACAAAAGAGAGACCUGAGAGAAUCAUACAAGGAAUCUCUGAGUUUUAUUUGAAAAUCUGCAAAAAACCCCAGAGUUAUAGCUGAUCAAGAAUAAGAGACAUGGCACUUGGCUAGACUGUUCUAUCUUUUAACCACUCAAGACAGAAGUGACGGUUACAAGUCCCAUGGUGUAGGUAAAGUAAAUAAGUUUUAAGUCUUGACAGUUUACUCUAACUCAGAGAUGAGAUCUUAUUUAAAAAGCAUGUGUACCGUCAAUUUCUUUUUAAUAAUAUUGCAACAAAUUAUGAUCCAUAGCUGAGUCUAUCCUUGCUCAGGGACGAGCAAGAGGUAAGCUUGGGGGAGUUUGUUGACGGUCCUUAAGUAUCAAAUUUAAUUAUCAAAUAAAUAAAGAAAAGGAUCCAAUUGAAAUCAAGAUCUAGACUUAGGGUUUUAUCUGACAGAAUUCCACAAGUUUUGGUGUUUGUCUAUUUCUGCAGGGGGUUAUCAGGAAAUACAGAAGAAAGGCCCACAUGUCAGGAUUACGUAAAGAUAUUAACGUGCUGCGCAAUUAUCUUACAUCUAGAAGACUCCAGAAGCCACGAGACCGAAGCGGAGACGAAACGGGGCCAGAGACAGGGCGCCCGCCCUGUCCUACUGGGCGCCCGCCCCCUGUUGGAGUCCAAUCAGGACUCUGCUUUGCGGGAGAUCUCCACCGACCUAAAGGAUGAAUCUAAACCAUACAAUCUAUGUCGGUUUGAUCCAAGGGCCCAUAUUCACUUGAAGGGACUAUAAAACCAGACCCCCUGGCCCCUGGAGGAGGGAGCCUCUCAACCCUAAUUCAUUGUUCCAUCAAGGGAGAAGAAGCCUCUGAUCAAGAUUAGAGCCACCACAUCAAUUAGAUAUCUAGAUUAGCAUAGCUACAUAGGAUUAGAACUAGAAGGAGUCAAUCUUCGAUUGGUUUCCGGAUCUGUCAAGAGGAUUCUUGGUAAUUCUCUAAUUGUGCUUCUAAUUGCUUUCUAAUUAUCUUUGUUCUUCAAUAUUAUGAAUAUGACUUUGUUCUACUUCAAUAUAUUGCUUAUGACUUUGCUCUACUUGCUUAUAUUCAAGAUUAUAUUGUUCUUAGUUUAUCAUAGUUAUGUACUUGGCUUAGUUAGAUUGGAUCUAUAUACAUGCUUAGGAUCGUAUAGCGUUUAUCCAUCGGAUCCAUGGGUAAAUGAUAGAUAUUGUGUAGGCGUGGUGCUUAUACCGUAUUUAUCUGCGAUUGUACCCAAUAUGCCAGAUCGUGGGGUGGUUCGUGAUAGUGACAGCUUCAUUGAUUCUUAUAUAGUCCCCCUCUCGUGUAUUGGGCUGGCAGAGCAACAUUAUUACAGGGGAGUGAUUGCUAUGUUUCUCAUAUUCCUUGCUAAUAUCACUAGCAUGGGCGUAGUCUUGUCUCGCAAUGAUUGCUAAGUAUGCUUGCACUUACUAUGAUAUGCUAGACUAUAUAGUUGAGAAUAACUUAGGGAAUAUUCUUGUAGUUCAUUCUAAUACCAUGCUAAUGACUUUCUAGAGUAUCUAAUUGAGGUGCUUAUCAUAUUUAUUAUGUGGCUAGAUCAGAUUAGUUAUCCUUGUCACUAUUAUUAUUUCAUAUAUCUUUUAUGUGACACUUAUCCCUGUAUGAAGAGUUAGAUAUAAUGUUCUCAAUUAUACAUGCUAUGAUAGAUACUCAAUCUCAUAUUCUAUUUUGUAAUCAUUAGUGAUGAUUGCUAAUCCCUUCCCAGUGGUAAAAAUAUAAACAACGAUACCUGGAAUACUUCCCGGUUAAAAUGCUACAUCGGUAUUAAUCUAUGCGCUUGCAGAUCCAAUUCAUCAUUUAUUUAGAAGAGCAAUUGCAUAUUUCAAUACCGCGUCUCUUAUAUCAUACUGGGGAUGACAACUUGGCUUAAGUGGUGUGAGGGAUAGGUUUGGCAUUUUUGGCACCGUUGCUAGAUUUAGAACUUAGUCUACUUUUAGUAAUGAUGUUAAGAAUACCCAACAACGGUUCUCUAACAAACUCGUACCUGUUGCUUUUGGAAGGAUGAUGUAGACUCUGGCAGUAACUCGAACUUAUGAACUGAACUUUGGAAUGUGUGUGUAACUAUUUUGCUUCUGCUACUUCGAACAAGUGCUGUAAUAACUUAAUACUCCGAUGUGGUGCCGCUUCGACGGCAGUGAAUGACUAUGUAACAUUCGUUGUGUUUAUGUUGAACUAUUACGAUCUUGGUUUGUUACGAGUUGGUUUGAAAUCCUUCGUGAUUUCAGUUGACUACCGGGAUUAUAUGGGCUCAAGUUUGGAAACUUGAUUGCUUGUCGAUCGUUUCUACACUUGAUCUCUUAUAAUUUGGUCGGUUUUGUGACAACAGAGAAAUUCGGGACCAAGGGGGAACAGGAGCUGGGCGCCCGCCCACCUGAUCUGGGCGCCCGACCUCUCUCUGGCCCCUCUGUGGGCCCACUUCCUCGAGCGCGUUUCUAGAUGCAGACUUAAUUAGGAAAAUAUAUGUAUGACCCGAAAACGUCAUACUAAAAAGGUCGGGCUCUAAUUCUCCAUGGGAAGGAAAAAAUGGAUUACGUCUAUUUCUUCUAAUUCUUUAUUGGGCUCUAAAAACAAUUUAAGACAUUGACCAUUUACCUUGAAUAACGUACCUUCGUCAUUUUGAAGUGUGAUAGCUCCGUGGGAUGAUGAAUUAAUUACCUUGAAUGGUCCUUCCCAUUUGCUCCGGAGUUUUCCAUGCCCGAAAAGCUUCACCCUGGAAUUAAAAAGUAAUACCUUAUCUCUGGGUGUGAACUCCUUCUUCUUGAUUCUCUUGUCAUGCCACCUUUUGACUCUUUCUUUGUAGAUCUUUGAAUUGUGAUAUGCUUUCUCUCGCCAUUCUUCCAAUUCUGAUAGUUGUAUUCUUCUAUAAUCUCCAGCAACAUCUUGGUCCAUAUUCCAUCUCUUUAUGGCCCAGUGUGCUUUGAACUCUAGUUCAACAGGUAGAUGGCAAGUCUUCCCGUACACCAAUUGGUAUGGAGACAUUCCAAUUGGGGUCUUGUAUGCUGUCCGGUAUGCCCAGAGUGCAUCGGGUAACUUGUCUUUCCACGCCGUUCCCAUUUCAUUUACUGUCUUCUGAAGAAUAUUCUUAAUUUGUUUGUUGGAAGUCUCUGCUUGGCCACUUGUCUGAGGAUGAUAGGGGGUAGUGACGUUGUGACGGAUUCCAUGUUUUGAUAGAUAUUGCUUGAAGCGUUUAUCAAUGAAGUGUGCUCCUCCAUCACUUAUCACUACUCUGGGGACUCCAAAUCUUGGAAAUAUAAUUUCUUCGAACAUCCUCUUUGAACUGAUGUUGUCGGCAUGCUUGCAAGGUAAUGCCUCUACCCACUUGGAGACGUAGUCAACUGCCACCAAGAUGUACUCACACUUCUUUGAUGGAGGAAAUGGACACAUGUAGUCUAUUCCCCAGACAUCAAAGAGCUCAAUCUGAAGGUUGUUGGUGAGUGGCAUUGCAUCCCUUGUAUUUAUGUUUUCGUGUCUUUGACAUGGCCCACAUCUUCUGAUAUAUUGCUUCGUGUAUUCAUACAUUGUAGGCCUGUAGAAUCCACACUGCCAGAUCUUUGAAUUUGUACGGAAUGCUCCAUAGUGACCUCCAUAUGGUGAUGAAUGACAUCUGUCAAUGAUCUUCCAUCCUUCCUCAGUGGUCACACAUCUCCUGAGUAAGCCAUUAGAGCAUAAUCGGAAGAGGUAUGGCUCAUCCCAUAUAUGUGAACGACUUUCUUGAAUAAGUUUCUUCUUGUUUGCUCCUGGUGGUACAUACCCUGAAACCAUAAAAUUAACAAUAUCUGCAUACCAGGGGUCAGACCUGUUAAUCCCGUAGAGCAUGUCGUCUCGGAGUGAAUCGUUAAUGGGGGUUUCCUGUGGACUCUUAAAAUUCAUUCUAGACAAGUGAUCAGCAACAGAAUUUUCUACUCCCUUUUUAUCUUUUAUUUCUAAGUCAAAUUCUUGGAGUAAUAAGAUCCAUCUAAUCAGGCGCGGUUUAGCAUCUUUUUUAGUGAGCAAAUAUUUUAGUGCAGCAUGAUCAGUGUAAACAAUUAUUUUAGCUCCAACUAAAUAAGAUCUAAAUUUAUCAAUGGCAAAGACAACAGCUAGAAGCUCUUUUUCAGUGGUUGCAUAGUUAAGUUGAGCUCCUGUCAAAGUUUUACUGGCAUAAGCAAUUGCAUGAUGCUUCUUAUUUUUAGUUUGUCCUAAAACUGCCUCCACAGCAUAAUCACUGGCAUCACACAUAAUUUCAAAAGGCAACAACCAAUCAGGGGGUUGAAUGCUUGGUGUAGAGAUGAGUGCUUUCUUUAAUAAAUUGAAAGAUGUUAGACAUGCAUCAUCAAAUUUGAAAGGAGCAACCUUAGCUAGCAAAAGAGUAAGUGGUCUAGCAAUAAAUGAAAAAUCUUUUAUGAAUCUACGAUAAAAACCAGCAUGGCCAAGAAAGCUUCGAAUUCCUUUUAUACUCACAGGUGGAGGUAGUUGUUCAAUUACUUCAAUUUUAGCUUUAUUGAGAAUUUUAGCUUUAUCUACCUCAAUACCUCUUUCAGACACUAAGUGUCCCAGCACUAUUCCUUCCCUAACCAUAAAAUGACAUUUUUCCCAAUUAAGGACUAAGUGCUUUUCUUCACAUCUUUGCAAAACCUUGUCUAAGUUUUCAAGACAACUAUCAAAAGUUUUUCCAUAAACAGAGAAAUCAUCCAUGAAAACUUCCAUAAUCUCUUCAAUCAUAUCAGAAAAUAUAGACAUCAUGCAUCUUUGAAAAGAAGCUGGUGCAUUACAUAACCCAAAAGACAUUCUACGAUAAGCAUAAGUUCCAUAAGGGCAUGUAAAAGUGGUUUUGCUUUGAUCAUCGGGAUGGAUCGGGAUCCGAUGAUACCCUGAAUAUCCAUCUAAGAAACAGAAUAACGAAUGGUUCGCUAACCGCUCUAGCAUCUAUAGUAAAGGAAUGUGAUCAUUUCUCGUGGCUUUGUUUAGUUUUCUAUAGUCUACGCACAUCCGCCAUCCUGUGACGGUGCGUUGCGGAAUUAGCCACAACUUGUACUGGGCUUACCCACUCACUGUGCGGCACAGGAUAUAUAAUCCCUACAUGCAGUAACUUUAUAACUUCCUUUUUAACUACCUCUCUCAUAGUGUUGUUAAGUCUACGUUGGGGUUCUCGAGAAGGUGAAACCGAAGGAUCUGUUAGAAUACGAUGGGUACAAAUCAUAGGACUGAUUCCUGUAAGAUCUUGGAGUGAGUGGCCGAAAAUUGAGUGAUGUUUUUCAAGAAUGGUCAUUAAUCGUAGAGUUUGCUCCUGAGUGAGUUUAUCGCUAAUGAUCACAGGAAACUCUGGAUUAUUGUUUACGAAAGCAUAGAUAAGACCGGGUGGUAAGGUUUUAAGCUCUAUGGGAGGUCUAGGUGUUUCUGCAAACUCAUCUAAGGGUUUAGGUUCAGAAGGUUCGGCUUCUUCUUCUAUGAAGAAAGGAGUUUCGUCUUCUAAGUUUGGUUCUUCUAAAAGCUCUAGAGAUGCAGCCUUUACCUCCUCCAUAGGAUCAGGCAAAAGAUAUGAUUUGGCCUUAUUGUUUAAGGAGUGUGAAAUUGUUAUUGGGAUUUUAAAAGUUUUUCCAAAAGAAAUGUGUAGCUUUCCAGUAUGACCUUCAUAAAGGAGUCUUCUAAAAGGUUGUCCUAUCAACAGGUCGAAGUCCCAUGUAUCAAAGAUAUAGAAGUUCAAAUGAACCAUGGAGCCUUCUACCGUAAGAGGUAGGACAUUAAUAAUUCCAAGACUGGGGACUAAUCGUCCCGAAGAUUCCUUUAUGACCUUUGUUGUGGGGGUUAAGACAAGAUUUUUAAAUAGUUUAAGUGCAAAAGAUUUAGACAUGAUGUUGAUCCCCACAACAGGAUUAUAAAGAGCAUUAAAUCGAUCAGAAUUAUAAGCACAGCGUAUAGUUAUAGAGGGUGUGUCCAAACGGAUCACAUCAGAGGAAAGCUCUGAUUCUUCCAACCAUUCGCUACUCAUGACUGAGAUAAGCUCUCUCAAUUGAUAUUCAUUUGGCAAAUAAAUGCUAAACUGGCCGUUUUGAGGUUUGUCAAUAGAAUGGUAGUUUGAAAUGUUUCCAAAAUCGGCAAAAAGAUCGGAUUCUAUAUCCAGCAUGAAGUCCAGUGGUGGAAUUUCUUCCUCUUGUGGCUCAGAACUUGGGAUAGCUAAAGUAGAUGAAGAAUUUGGCAGAGUGUCUACUUCGGCUUCGUAGGUUUCAUCAUGAAGGGUAUUAUCCAUCUCAGCUUCUAGGAUUCUAUCUAGGAUCACUCUAGCUUCAUCAGUAGGGAUGCGAAAGAAAGAACCUCUAGACAUUGUGUGUAGCAUUUGUUUGUGAUUUUUCUGAAGACCUCGAAAAAAGUGAAAUAAAAGAACAGGGUCUUCAAGAUUAAGGUUUGGACCAGAUUCUAAAAGAUCAGAAAAACAUUUCUAGGAUUUUCCCAAAGUUUCAUUAUCUUUUUGUUUAAAAAAUAGGACUUCGAGUCUAAGGUUGGCUAUACGGUCGAGGGAAUAGAAAUCUAGACAAAAGUUGGCUCGUAAAACUCCCAUUCACAUCGUUGUUGACUUACCUUCUGACUGUACCAUUGUCUAGCUUCUCCCCUUAAGGAAAAAAGAAAAAGCUUCCAACGUAAAGUUUUAUCAGAAAUGCCUUCAAUACGAAGACAAUCACAUGUUUGCUCAAAAUCUCUAAUAUGAAGGUAAGGGUUUUCGUCUUCCUUUCCCGAAAAAGAUAGGUUAUGAAUCAUGGCAAUCAACCUAGAACUUAACUUAUACUGGGAUGUUUGGAUAGGCUGUGAUGAUUCCCAUGGUAAAAGGUCAGUUACUGAAGGGAUUGCAGACUCAUGGAUCGAUUUAGAAUUUUGGUUUUCCAUAAGGUAAGAGUAAAGAAAAUAAAUACAGAAUAUAAAAGAUAAGAAAAGAUAAAAUUAUAGAUACAAGAUAGUAGUAAGACUCAAGGUUAUCUCAGCAAACCGUCUUUCUCCCCGGCAAUGGCGCCAGAAAUGCUUGUUGAUAUUUGGGAACGCAAUAAGGAAUUGAUCCGCAAGCGCACGGAUAUCGGUGAGCACUUCACCCGAGAGGUUAUCCAGAGUAUCGUAUUUAUUUUUUUACCACUAGGAGAAAGAGUGCAUCUGACUAACCGGUCUAUUACUACUAACCCUUUAGGCAACAAAGAAUGUCUCUCAAUGUGAGUGAUAAAUAGAGAAGACUGCAACCGUAGUCUCGUUCUAACCUUGGUAAGGAUAAUCUACUGUUCUAUUGGGGAGGCUAACGGAAUCUAGACACCACAAAGGAUGUUCAACCCGCACCUAUAAACCCUAUCCUUCAUGCUAACGAGAUAUGGUCUACAAAGGUAACUCAGAAUUGUCACGUUCCUUACUACUACCACGGUCUAGCUAGUCAGGGAAUAUCUAUGAGUACCCCAGCCUAAACACCACGUUUACGCCAGCAAUGAUUACUCUAAACUCUACGCGAAGAGAUUAAAGUAAACUCAUAAACCAUAAGAACAAUAAAACAAUAACUUACUAGACUUUAGAAGUCGAAAUACUAAAGAAUCCUAGGAGCAAGCUUCGGGUUAGGAGAACUUGAUCCCGCAGGUACAAGCUUGGAGUAGACACCGACAGGCCGGGCUUCCUCCAAUCUACACCUCCACUCUAUCUCUCUAAAUCUAGUAGAAACUAGAAGAUCUAUGUCUACUUUACAUUGGUUGCUAAGCCUAAAAAGAAAUAUUAAUUAGAUAAGAGGUUUUCCUUCGAGGGCACCCCUCAAUCUCUAUGAUAAUUUCUUGUCUUCUCCAGGGGCUAGGGGGUCUCCUUAUAUAGUCCUCCUCCUCUAUGCGUUUUUGGGUCGGUAGGCGAGGUGGUACUACGUUAUCUUUGAUCCAUUAGGUCGGUGGAACAUCGUGUGCGAAUAGAGUCCUGAAUGGAGUCCAGCAGGGGGCGGACGCCCAGGUCACCAGGGCGGGCGCCCUGGGCCUGGCCCCUUUCGGCCUCUGCCUUCUUCCCGUGGCUUCUGGAGUAUUCUAGAUGGUAGAAAAUCGCGCGGUGCGUUGAUAUCUCUAUGUAAUCCCGACAUGUGGGCCUUUCUUCCUUAUUUCCUGAUAACCCCCUGCAAAAACAGAUAAACAACAAAACUCAUGGAAUUCUGUCAGAUCAAACCCUAAUUCUAGGUGUUGGUUGCAUAUUGGUCCUUUCCCUUGUUUAUUUGAUAAUUAAAAUUGAUACUUAAGAACCGUCAACAAUGCUUAUGUUGCAAGUUUGAGCUUUUUUAAUUUUAGUUGGCUCAUUUUCACAUUUGUUAACUAGUGAGGAAUGAGCUUCUUCAAGCUUAAUGUGAGCCUUUUGAAGCUUCUUAUGGUCUUCCAUUAGACUCUCAUAAGACGCUCUAAGCUAAUCAAGUUCUUGCUCAAGGGUUUUCUUAUCCUUAAGCAAGGCCUUGCACUCCUUCCUAGUUUCUUUAUAGUGAUGAGUGCAAUCUUCUAGCAUAGUGAUUAGUUCAUCUUUAGUUGGUUCAUCAUCAUCACUAUCACUAUCACUAUCAUGGUCACUCUCAUCAUCGGAUGAUACCUUAGUGGCCUUAGCAAUGAAGCAUGUUGGAGUGUCGAAGAUGGAGCUUUUUCUUUGAAUUGCAAUGCUAGCAUGCGCCUUCUUCUAGGUGCUCUCCUCAUCAAUUGAGGAGUCAUCACUAUCCCAAGUUGCAACAUGGGCAUCACCCUUCUUCUUGUUUGAGCGUUCCUUCUUCUCUUGCUUCUUCUUUUGCUUCUUUCUUUCCUUCUUGAUAGCAUCUUCAUCAUCACUAUCAUAAGGACAUUUGGCAAUGAGAUGAUCCUUGCUAUGGCAUCUAAAGCACCUCAUGGAAUGGUCACCAAAAAUGUUGUAAACUUUGUAUGCUAGCUGCAGUUUAAAUUUGGGGUCAUUUGGCCCAGUAAUUUAAGAGUUAUGGCUUUUCCAAGUUGAGUUCCAGAACUAGGUGCUCUCUGUCUUUCUAGAACAAAACCUGGAACUUUGUUUAUUUGACCUGUUUAACUUGUGAAUCUUGCUGAGAUGUCUAAAGGUGCAAUGUAAACAAUUUUAUAAGCUUUCUAGAAUGUCUUCAUUCAUGUUUGUUGGAUCUAUAUAUCUCUAGUUAUGAAUUGUUCUUUGAGCUGCUCUGUUAAUUAGUUGUUGCUGUUGAAUUGUGUAAGUUGGUGUCCUUGUUAGUUGUGGUGGUACUUUUUGUGAGCUUGUAUAAGAGAUUACUCUGUAAAUAAGUGUCCAGUGAAUUAUGUAUUCAUGUUUGCCAAAGCAUUCAUCAUUCUCUUCAUGUGCAUCCAUUCCUUAUUCAUUUGCACAUGCAAUAGGUGCACCGGAGACUGCGACCUAGUUCGAGCUCGAGAGGGUGAAUCCCGAAGGCCCGGAGGUCACCCAGGAGACGGAGGCCCAGCCAGGAGGACCUGAGGAGCCCGAAGAGGAGGUUGAGUGCCCUAGUCACGAGCCUACUUCGUUCGUGAAAGGCAAGCCCCGGAGCAUCUUAAGUCUCCCACUUUAAUUUCAAAGCAUACUUGAUUAUGUUAUAUCUAUUGAUGCAUUACAUAUAGGAGUUGUGAUGGAACCCUUGCUGCAUUAUACUAUUCCUUGUCCAGAUAUCUUAUCCUACUUGGUUGUAGAGUUAGGAUCGAGUAACAGCUUAGCCAUGCUUUAAUCGGUAGAAGUCAGGUGAUAUCCUGUUACCUGCGCGAAAUAGGGUUUGUUGUUGGAUCACGAUUGGCUAUAUGUGCUAUCAUGGGAAAGAACCUGGUUUAAUAUGAUUUAAGCCGGGCGGAGUUUUGCAAGGUGGUAGUAACUCCGUCUGUGGCAGUGUUGACGGUCCUUAAUGCUCACAUUUAACCGUUAACUAAUCAUGGAAAAGGAUCUAAAUGGAACCAACACCUAGACUUAGGGUUUUAUCUGACAGAAUUCCACGAGUUUUGGUGUUUGUCUAUUUCUACAGGGGUUAUGAGGAAAUACAGAAGAAAGGCCCGCACGUCAGGUUUACAUAGAGAUAUUAACGUGCCGCGCAAUUUUCCACCAUCUAGAAGACUCCAGAAGCCACGGGAAGGAAGCGAAGGCCGAAUGGGGCCAGGCACUGGGCGCCCGCCCCCUCCUAGAGUCCAAACAGGACUCUCUUUCGGGAUCAAUCUCCACCGACCUAAAGGAUCAAGGAUAACCGUUCAAUCAAUGUCGGUUUGAUCCAACGGCUCAUAUUCACUUGAAGGGACUAUAAAACCAGACCCCCCAGGCCCCUGGAGAUCAUACCUCUUCUACAUAAUCAAAGUUAGGGUUUCAAUUCUUCAUCCAAGUAGAGAGGAUCCCUCUAGUUUUUCUAGUUCUAUCUCUAGUUCAUCUAGAUCAAGUUCUAGUUCAUCUAGUUCUAAUUCUAGUUCUAGUUAGUUCUAGUUGUAAUCUAGAAAAUAGGGAGAGAGAAGAGGAGAGCGGAGCAGGAGCCGGAUCUGUCGGAUCUUUCUCAACAUUGUACUUUUGCAGCAACUGGUUCGUUCUUCAUCAUUCUCCAGGUUCUUCAAUUCAUAAUUCCUGAGUUCUUUAAUUACUUUUAUUUAUAUUCAAGUUAUUUGAAACAUUAGAGUAGUAAUUAAUAGAUUAGACGUGGUGUUUAGUCUUGCAAUUACCUGGAAUUGCACCCAAUCCUGCGGAUUGUUGUGGUAGCCUUAGGGUAGUGACAGCCCUAACGGUCGACGUAUUCCACCUCGUUCGGAUCGGUGUUUGUAGGACCGUAGUCAGACCUUCCUAGCCCCAUUCUCAUCUCUUUCUAUGGUUAGUGCUCUGAUGUCCCGAUAUAAAUAAUCUUUGAAGUAAUUCUUGAUUCUUAGAUCAACUAGAGAACUCUCAGGAAACUUCCUCUCUUCGCACCAAAAAUAAUUAUAUAGUUAUCCUUGGGCGAUCUUGGAUCUUAAUUAAUACACUCACGUUCUGAUAGGUUACCGAUAUGAAUCGGUUCUUGGAUGGUCCGAUCUUCACGACAGUAGAUCAAAAGAACAAGGAUAACUUGCUGCGAACAGCGGGUAACAAGCUUUAUACCUGACAAAGGUUGGAUGCGACCAAGUGACGGGGAGAGAGACACCGAAACCGCGAAGACUUCGACUCGAUCUCCGAACGACCGUAGAACCACAAUCCGGAACUAAUCCACACAAUACGGCGCAGCCGAACGGAAGCCGUAGAGCACGAAGUAGGGGAACCCAGAGGAUCACUCACAANNNNNNNNNNNNNNNNNNNNNNNNNNNNNNNNNNNNNNNNNNNNNNNNNNNNNNNNNNNNNNNNNNNNNNNNNNNNNNNNNNNNNNNNNNNNNNNNNNNNNNNNNNNNNNNNNNNNNNNNNNNNNNNNNNNNNNNNNNNNNNNNNNNNNNNNNNNNNNNNNNNNNNNNNNNNNNNNNNNNNNNNNNNNNNNNNNNNNNNNNNNNNNNNNNNNNNNNNNNNNNNNNNNNNNNNNNNNNNNNNNNNNNNNNNNNNNNNNNNNNNNNNNNNNNNNNNNNNNNNNACUAGAUUCAUUGGAAUGUAGACUCGACAAGCUUUCCAACAAGUCCUCAUGGGCCUUCAUAGCUUUUGUGAUUAAAAAGUUAUGAAGAUUUCUUUGCACUGGUCCGUUUUUGACUUCCACUGGUCCGUUUUUGACUUCCACUGGUCCGUUUUUGACGUGUCUUCUAGGACUUGCACUGGUUCGUUCUUCAGGGUCCGAUUCAUCCUUCUCUUCUUCUAUAUACCUGAGUACAAUCAAGGUAGAACACUUAGGUAGUAUAUAAAUCUCAUUAAUGUUAAAAUGAAUCUCACAAAGUAGCGCAUGGACCUCUUGUUGUAGCUUCUUUGCACGACUACGUGUAACCGGUCCAUCGAUGACUUGGGCUGGUGUCGGUGUAGGUAAAACUUGAGUGGUUGUAGCUUGACUUGGAGCUUGUGACAUCUUGCUUGCUGGCAUGGUCAUAUCAUCCUCCCCCCCUUCAAAAAGAGUCGUCCUCAACUCUUCCAAUCCAAAGAAUGGAAAAAGGUCGGAGACAUUGAAACUUGUACUCACACCAUAAGUACUUGGAAGAUCAAUUUCAUAAGCAUUGUCAUUGAUCUUGCGAAGCACUUUGAAUGGACCAUCGGCUUGGGGUUGCAGCUUGCUCUUGCAUUGUUCAGGAAAGCGAUCCUUGCGCAGGUGCACCCAAACCAAGUCUCUCGGUUCAAAUAACAUCUUCUUACGACCCUUGUUGGCGUGCUUCUCAUAUAACUUGGUCAUCUUCUCAAUGUUUGCUUUAGCUUGAUCAUGAAGCUUCUUGACAAAUUCUUUAGGCAAAAGGUAGUGUUGCCAACUUUCCAAGCUUCUAACAAGAGCAUAUAAUUCUUUAUCAUAAACUGAGUAAUUCAGAGUUGGACCACUUAGCUUUUCACUGAAGUAUGCAAUUGGCCUCCUUUCUUGCAUGAGAACGCCACCAAUUCCUAUACCACUUGCAUCACAUUCAAUUUCAAAUGUCUUACCGAAACCUGGAAGUGCAAGAAGUGGGGCUGUUGUCAACUUCAUCUUCAGUUCUUCAAAUGCCUUCUCUUGUGCUUCUCCCCAAUUAAAAGGCACUCCUUUCUUUGUCAACUCAUUGAUGGAGCAGCAAUGGUGNNNNNNNNNNNNNNNNNNNNNNNNNNNNNNNNNNNNNNNNNNNNNNNNNNNNNNNNNNNNNNNNNNNNNNNNNNNNNNNNNNNNNNNNNNNNNNNNNNNNAAACCAGCAAGUCCAAGGAAGCUACGCACUUGACUUGCAUUCUGUGGAGGCAUCCACUCACGAACAGCUUUGAUCUUAUCCUCAUCCACCUCCAUACCAUGUCCUGAAACAACAAAACCAAGAAAGACUACCUUGUCGGUGCAAAAUGUGCACUUGUCAAGGUUAGCAUACAAUUUUUGCUCACGUAGGCCAGUAAGCACACUUUGGAUAUGCUCAACAUGUUCAUCAAGAGACUUGUUGUAAAUUAAUAUAUCAUCAAAGUAAACCACAACAAACUUGCCAAUGAAAGAUCUAAGCACAUGAUUCAUCAAUCUCAUAAAGGUACUUGGUGCAUUAGUCAAUCCAAAGGGCAUUACCAACCAUUCAUACAACCCAAACUUGGUUUUAAAAGCUGUCUUCCACUCAUCUCCUUCUCUCAUUCUUAUUUGGUGAUAGCCACUUCUCAAGUCAAUUUUAGUGAAAAUUGUUGCACCACUAAGUUCAUCAAGCAUAUCAUCAAGUCUAGGAAUGGGAUGCCUAUAUCUUACUGUGAUGUUAUUAAUAGCUCUACAGUCAACACACAUUCUCCAUGAACCAUAUUUUUUUGGAACUAAAAGAACAGGGACUGCACAAGGUGAAAGACUUUCCUGCACAUACCCUUUUCUCAUCAAUUCUUCCACUUGUUGCUGAAUUUCUUUUGUUUCCUCCGGAUUGGUGCGGUAUGCAGCUCGGUUUGGAAGUGAAGCACCGGGAACAAGGUCAAUUUGAUGUUCAAUUCCUCUCUUGGGUGGCAGCCCUGGUGGUACCUCCUCUGGAAAGACAUCCUCAUAUUCCUGUAACACAUUAAAAAUAACACUUGGCAAAGUAGAGGAUAAGUUGUUAGGGGAAAGAAAAUUUUCCUUGUACAGGAGUACAACGAAUGUGGCAUUGGGUUCACUCAAUUCUUUUAAAUCCCCUUUCCUAGCCAUCAUAACUAAUCCCUCUUUUCCCUUUGUCUUGGUCAUUUGUGGCUGUGGGGUUUUAAUUGGCUUUGGAAACACUCCCUCACUAUUUUUGUGGAUCACUCGCAAGUGGUUCUCGCUCUCACGCUGUUUUCUUUUUAGAUCAUCAUUCAAAAUCUCCUCUGGUGUCAAAGGGAGCAAAGAAAUUCGCUCUCCUUUGUACAUGGAAACCAGCUUGUUGGUUCUUCCAAAGAUCUGAACAUCACGAUCAUAUAACCAUGGUCUACCUAGCAGCAGCUGGCAUGCUUGCAUAGGCACCACAUCACACUCCACAUGAUCAUUAUACCUCCCAAUAGAGAAAGGAACUAUCACAACAUGGCUCACACGCAGCGCACCACAAUCAUUCAGCCACUGCAUCUUGUAUGGAUUAGGAUGACGCCUUUGUUUUAGCUCCAUUCUAUCAACCAAUUCUUGGCUAGCAAUAUUGUUGCAGCUGCCAUUGUCAACAAUAAUUCUACACAACUUCUCUUUGACCAUGCCUUGAGUGUGGAAAAGAUUGUGUCGCUGCCCAUUCUCUUCCUUUGCAGCAGUAACACUAAGCACACGAAGAGAAAUAAAGCAGUUGUUAUCACCUUCAUCGGGUUGGAUCUCAUUAUCAUGGUUCUCAUGAUCCUCAUCAUAUCUUGGACCUUCUUCCUCUCGAUCACUUUCAGAUUCCCAUUCACCAUUCUCAUUCACAAUCAUGGUCCUCCUACUAGGACAUUGUGUAGCAAUAUGUCCACGACCGUGGCACUUGUGGCACACAAUUUCUCUACUACGUGCAGAGGAAGUAGUAGCUGAGGAAACAACAGUUGGGGCUGCUACACUUUUAGCAGGUCGCUGCUGAUAUGCAGGGGAUGAUGCUGUAGAAACCACCAUCUUUGAAGGAGCAUUAGAUGAAGAGGGCCUAGCUGCAACACCUUGGGACCGUCCCCACCAAAAGAAGUGAUGGACUGCUGCUUGCGCCAUGGGGCUGCAAUAGAAUGACUUGCAUAAGAUUUUCCACGUGUCUCUUGCUGAAUUUUUCUUUCAGUACGCAUAGCUUGAUCAACAACGUCUUGCAAAGUAUGGUAUGGAAACAUCUCAACAAAUCCAGCAAUUUCCUCAUUGAGACCACCCAAAAAUCUUGCCAUUUUUGACUCUAGAUCCUCUCUAAUUCCAGUCCGCACUAACAGCAGCUCCAUCUCCUUAUAAUACUCAUCAACCGAUCUUUUUCCUUGCUUCAACAUUUGUAACCUAUUGCGAAGGUCACGCUGAUAGCUUGAUGGUACAAAUCGCCUUCUCAUCACUUGCUUCAUCUCUUCCCAUGUGUUGAUAUGUUCACGGCCCAACACAAGUUGAUUCUCUUGUAUCUGAUUCCACCAAGUCAGAGCAUAACCGGAGAACUCCACUGAAGCAAGAUUGACACACCUCUGAUCAGAGAGAUUAUGCACUCUAAAAUUUUGAUCACACUGCUCAGCCCACUCAAGAUAUGCAUCUGCAUCCUCUCUUCCAGUGAAUUUUGGGAUACUCAACUUGACACGAGCAAUGCUGUCUGGUUCUUCCUUAUUACGACGUCCAUGAUGAUGCUCUCUAUCUCCAUGAUCAGCAUGCCGCCGAUGAUAAUGGCGCCGCCUAUGCAGCCCAUCAUUUGCAAAGGGAUUCUCAUCAGACCCCUCUUCGUGACCAAAGUUAUCAAAUUCUUCAUCAUCAAAAUGAACUCGAUGGCCACGACCACGUCCAUGAGCUCGUCCUCCAUUUUGGCCAUGAUGACCAGCCCGCCUACCACCACCACGACCAUCUCUGAAACGGUCAUGUCCUCCUUUAGAAUUUUUAGCACCAGAUUCAUCAGAUUGAUGCCGAGGAGCCCUCUGCCCAUCCGCAGGUAUGCGUGCAUCAAGCAUUCUCUCCAUGGCCUGCAGAAGUGAGUCUGCCAUUUGGCGCAACUCAACCCGUGCAACAGGGGGUUCUUCUCCAUGACGAUUACCAUGAAUACUUGAGUUGAAUCCUGUCAUGUUAGCACUUAAGGCAAAAUAUAGUGGAAUGGGUAAAUUUGUGGAAUCACACAACCACACCUCUUACUUACCAAUGCUCUUUCCUGUUCUCAAGGACAGUGAAUUGUGCUAGUGUAGCUACUCAAUAGAAGUGAUUCCAAGGUCGCAAGGAUUACGAGUCGAAUGUCUUGGUUUCAGUUUUAGGUGGAGCUAUAGGUGGCUAAACAAGGGAGGCCAUGGUACUGAAUAUCAAGUGAUUUGAUGUGCUCACAAGAUAUAGUGUUGCUGAUAUAUAAAUCACCAAGAAUCUGAAUGUGUAAACUGAAUUUUCAGUGAGCAAACCGCAAUACAACCCCUUUCCUCUUCUUCUACUUUUGUUGUUCUUUCUCUUUUCUUUUCUCUGUUUUUUUUUUACUUUUCUUUUAACCCUUUUUUUUAUGCUAACAGGGGUGCGGAUAGCAAAUGAAACACAACACAAUAUAUGUAAAGAGAGUGACUAGCAACUUGAUGAACACAAAACACAAGAUAACAGUACCGUCAAAGGGCUUUAGGAUUUUUUUUGUGGCUUUUUCAGUGGACUAUAGGUGAUGAACAAAUCAGUAGCAAAUGAUUGAUAUACUAAAGAUAAAUAUGUGGAUGUUUGUAAGAUCUACCGUGACAACGAAAGCUUUGAUACCAGUUGAUAGGUUACCAAUAUGAAUCGGUGCUAGGGUCGCCCGAUCUUCACGACAGUAGAUCAAAAGAACAAGGAUAACUUGCUGCGAACAGUGGGUAACUAGCUUUAUACCUGACAAAGGUUGGAUGCGACCAAGCGACGGGGAGAGAGACACAGAAACCGCGAAGACUUCGACUCGAUCUCCGAACGACCGCAGAACCACAAUCCGGAACUAAUCCACACAAUACGGCGCAGCCGAACGGAAGCCGUAGAGCACGAAGUAGGGGAACCCAGAGGAUUCACUUCACAAGUCCAUGAAGAACAAGGAAGAACAAAGGUUGAGUAAGGCACUCAGUAGCGCGACUGCAAUAUCAUGUAGUUUAUCAAAUGAUCAAAGGUUGCUGAUAGCUUAGAGGUAGGGGAUAUUUAUACUAGGAACAACCCUCCUAGAUAAGUAUGAAAACGAAAUAGAGUUUCUGGGUGAAGGCAAUGUGAAUGGACCCCUCGGAAUGGAUUCCCGAACUGGCUUCGCGUGACUGUUGGCCUCCAGAGCAGUUUCCAAUAAACUGACCAUAACUGUUUAUUGGGAAGUCCAAAUGACGAACUGUUUCUUGGGUGUGAAACUAGACUUGAAGGGCUUUCCAGCAAUGUAUGCCAUGUACCUCGAAACGUUGUAGAUUGGUACAGUUUUGCACGGCAAGUUGUACCAACAUUCUGUCAUGGCAGACUGUUGACCUUCUAAGCAGUUUGUACUAAUUCUGGUCUGCAGGCAAUAUGGUGUAUCAAAACUGGUCGCCACUAGAUUCAUUGGAAAGUAGACUCGACAAGCUUUCCAACAAGUCCUCAUGGGCCUUCAUAGCUUUGGUGAUUAAAAAGUUAUGAAGAUUUAUUUGCACUGGUCUAUUUUUGACUUCCACUGGUCCGUUUUUGACUUCCACUGGUCCGUUUUUGACUUCCACUGGUCCGUUUUUGACGUGUCUUCUAGGACUUGCACUGGUUCGUUCUUCAGGGUCCGAUUCAUCCUUCUCUUCUUCUAUAUACUUGAGUACAAUCAAGGUAGAACACUUAGGUAGUAUAUAAUUCUCAUUAAUGUUAAAAUGAAUCUCAAAAAGUAGUGCAUGGACCUCUUGUUGUAGCUUCUUUGCACGACUACGUGUAACCGGUCCAUCGAUGACUUGGGCUGGUGUCGGUGUAGGUAAAACUUGAGUGGUUGUAGCUUGACUUGGAGCUUGUGACAUCUUGCUUGCUGGCAUGGUCAUAUCACGUUCUCUGUAGAAAAUCGAUACUCUGGAAUACUCCCGGGUGAAAGCUACAUCGGUAUCCGUGCGCUUGCGGAUUUUUCUGUUUGCGUUUAAAAUACCCAACAAGUUUUCUGGCGCCGUUGCCGGGGAACGGUAGUUGUGCUAGUUUCGAACCAAGUCGUCCGUGUAUCCUUUUUCUUUUCCUUUUUUACCACACUCACCUUAUCAUUUUCACCAUACCACAUGGAUUUCACUCUAAUCAUUAAUGAGCAUGGAAUUUUUUUCAUAGCCACUUCAUUUACUCCAUGCUCAUAUGCAACAUCUUCCCAAUCCAUUAGUUUUUCCAACAUCACCACAUUCGAGAUCUCCAACCCCCUCAUCCUUUCUAUUUAUAAAAACUUUAAAAGGGCGGUUGUCGAUGCAUAUGUCUAUAUUAAAUAUUGCAGAUCACGUUGAGUUGAUCUUGAUAUAGGUCAGCGUUGGAGGGGAAACCACUUCGGCGACAUAAAUUGAUGGUUUCCCAAAGACAAGCUUAGUGUCCUAAAACAAGCACUGAUGAGAUUGUAACAUGAGCUUUUAUUUAUUUGCAACAUUACCUUGUGUAUUGAGCAUAUAAGGAUAAUUGUAAAAAUAUUCCUUCGGGUAUUCUUAUCACUAACCUUUCCAGGAUUGGAGCAAGAAGAUCGGAUGAAUGACAAGCACAAGGUAUGUCCAACCAAUCAUCAUACAACAUUGAAUUAAAUUCAUCCAAACUUGAAUUUUGCAAAAUUCAAGCUUGGGGGAGUACUUUACAUAAAAACAUCCUUUGCCAUGUUGCUAUGUUGGUUGUCCCUACCUUUGAGAUAUGCUCAAUCUGUUAAAUACUAAUCACACUACUUCAUCCCCACUUGAGUAGAUCUCUAUAAAUGCUCUCAUGCUACCUUUAUUUGCUUUAGUAUAUGUCUAGGUUUGGAGUAGUUUCAUUUAUCUCUUAAUUAAGCAUGGUGCUUAGUUUAGGGCUAAUGAUCUUACUUCCAAGGGAUUUUGAAUUAAGCAUGGUGCUUAGGUUAAAAUGCCCUCCUAAAUCAAUUUAGACAUGGUGUCUAGGUUGAUCUUUGAGCCGAUAGUAUGCUAUAGUAGAUAUUGGAUAUUUUGUUGGACUAACCCCUGCAGGAAAACUUUCAAUAUCGACCUGGGAAGUCCUGAGAUAAACUCACAUUGGAGACAAAGAGAGAGACACAUGAAGUUUAGCAAUUUACACAAGGAAGGCAUAGUUCACAAGAGAUGAUCCAUGGAGGGUGCCAUGAACACGAUGCACAACCGCUAAGAAAGGAAAGCUUCCACAAGGUGAUAUUGUACCAUUACUCUUCAAUUAAGGUAACAUCUUAAGGUAUGUGACUAUCACUGUUGUAAGCUUCUCCUUGGUUCUGGUGUUCACAUGAAUAAAAGAGACAAACAUGUAUCAUUUACAACUCUAGAUUAACCAACCCAAUUGAUUCAACAUGUUUAGUCCUUCCACCUUUGUGAUCCCACACUCCUAAUCUUAUGAGCUAAAAUGUUGCACACUCAAUCUUUGGAAGAUAUAUUUUAUAAAAAAAACAACAUAAAUAUAGAUAGAUUAUCUUUCCAUUAGGUUGAGCGAUCAUAUCUGACAAAUGUUUUAAAUGCUACACUCAUGAUCUUAUUAUCCAUCAACUUUGUCUUGCUCACUAUGCUUAAGGUUAGAGAAGGACAAAUACACUUUUGGUUCUGUUGAUGUUUUCCACCAACAGGGCCCAUGCACUUGAUCUCUGCCUUGUCUCUAUGAGCAGGUACACUUCGAGCAAAAUAUGAAGGAGUUUUACAACUCCCAGACUCCACCAAGUGAAGAACCUAGAUCUACAAGCUCAACACAUUGGAAAUAUUAGACACUCAGGCAAUCAAUGCCCUGAAAUGCUUAAGGACGUAACUACUGGAGUAACCCUGUUGUGGAAGUAAUUACUGACCUUCUGCCGGUUAAGAGAGACGAUCCAGGACGCCCCGUCAUCCCGAUCUCCAUCGACAUGGUGGACUUCCUAGAAGCACUCUGCGACUUUGGCUCCAGCGUCAACAUUAUGCCCAGGGUACUCUAUGAAAAAUUCUUUACACAUCCUUUACUAGAAACAACCAUGUGUUUGCAGCUUGCAGAUCAGACACUAAGUUUCCCAAAGGGAAUAUUGAAGAACCUCUGCGUCCGAGUUGGUACCUUGUACGCCCCAGCAGACUUCGUGGUAACAGAGACUAGUACUGAUGAGAGGGCACCCAUCAUCCUAGGGAAGCCAUUCCUGAACACCUCAGGAGCUGUCAUCUACGCUAGUGCUGUCAAGAUCAGUUUAUACAUCAAGGGGAGGAAGGGGACGUUUUCCUUCAAGAACAAGAGUACACAAAUCUUAGAGCAAUCCUGACAUGAACCAAGGAAAGGACCAACAGGAGGAACAAGAACAAGCAAAAGUGGACCGAGUUAGCUAAGAUGGUCACUGCAGUUCAAGGAGGUCAAGAUCGUCGAUUUAAGUCACCGUUCCUAACCAAAAACGAUGACCCAGCUCCAGAUGGCAGAUCAGACAUUCUGAAAGGUUGAAGGUUAUUGACAUGAGAGAAGACAAGUACUAUCCACCCAUCAUCCUUGGAAGACCGUUCCUUAGCACCGUUAAAGCAAUCAUCUACAUUGGAACCAGAGAAGUCCACAUGCACUUCCCCUCUGAGAAGGUACGCCGCUAUUUUAAUGACCUUAACUAUAUGGUUGAAGACUCUAAGCAGGUCAGGACAAGAAAAAGACGACGCAACCGCAACCAGAGGAAGCAAAAUCAUCAAGGACGGAUGGGUAGACUAUAAAGGAGAAGUUGUAAGGUCUGAAGACAUACAGCUUGAACAGAACUGUCCUAAGGAGACCGUACCACCGAGUCAGGUGUGGAGAGAGAAGAUAGCUAUACAUGAAGACCAGGCGCCACAGGAACCACCGACUACGCCAUCCAGCGAAUCCCAGGACGAGUGAGGAAACGGAGAGUCCUGUUCGGAGGACUUAAAAAUACCGAACGCCUUGCCAAGAGAAUUCAAAGAUCAAAGAAGACUAGCAGACGGAGGACAUCCUAAUCACUAUCAGAGUGCUGCCGACAUUCAAAUACACCUCCGCCAUCUGCUAGCUAUGUUAGAAGAAAUUACGUCAAAAUCCAGCUUGGGGGAGAGCACCCCCAUUUAUCCAGCUAAGUGUUCUACUCACGUUUAUAUUUUACUCAAAUAAUAAAAAGAUGCAUAAUCAUAAAAACCCAAAUAAAGAUUUUGUGCUUAUAUAUAUAUAUAUAUAUCUUUGCUUAGUUUUCUUAUUAAAUAAAUAAAAUAUCUAGGCCAAACUGAACUUAAAUAAUAAACUCUUACAUGGAUAUGAUAAAUAGUUGCUCUGCCAUGUACCUAGUUUUCAAGUUUGAGCUUUCUCUCAAGUCACUGCCACACGUUCGGGCAUUAGCACCGGUCGGGAAGGGCCUGUUGCCCCGGUUCCCGAGCCGGUGCUGCCCUUCCGGGACUAAAGGCCCACCCUUUAGUCCCGGUUCGGGCAACCGGGGCUGAAACCCCCCUUUAACAUCGGUUGGUAACACCAACCGGUGUUAAAGGGUCCUGCCAGGGCUGCCACGUUGCAGGACCCUUACCAACCGGUGUUAAAGGGUUUCUUUUUCUUUUUUUUUUGGUUCACUUCUUCGGUUCUGUUUAUUAUUUAUAUAUAAUAUAUAAUAAUAGGUUUUUCAAUACAUGUUUUGCUGAUACAAUAAUAUAUUUAUCUUACAUGCAUAUUAAGCAUAUAUAAAUGAAAAUUAUAGGCUUAGCUUAAAAAUUAAGCUUUGCCUAUAAUAAAAUGAAUAGACCACAUCAAAAAUUAAAUAGAUAUGUAAAAAGGUUUAUAUAUAUAUAGUUUUAUAUGUACAAAAUUCGUAAAACAUAUAUACAUAGAGUUUUUUCUCCUAAUGUCUACAAACGAUACAAAUGAUCAUUGUUGUUUGGAAUAAGAGUUUCGUUGCCGUUGAAGUGAAACUCGCCGUUUGGAUUGAUCACUUGGUCGCGGAGAAAUCCUGCUAUCGUCUCUUGGAUAGCUUUGAUUCGGUCUUGUUGUAGGACCUUUUCCCUCAGCCAUUCCGGCUUUAAUUUGAAAUAAAUAAAAAAGGUAUUAGUUAUCUAAGUUAUUCAAUAUAAUUCAGGAGAUAAUGAAAAGAGACAAUGGGUGUUUGAUUGACUUGUGCCAUCAUGAAUUUGCACACGUAAUAUGCACAUAGAUUGUUCCCCCCUUCUUGUCUUAACCACCACUGUACGAUAUAUAUAUAUAAAUAUUCACGACCACGAGAAUAAGAAGGCUAAAAGUUAGCGAAAGUUUGUUAGCUAGUAGAACUUACUUGUGGAUGUAUUAUGUUAAGCGGCGCUUUACAUCCACUGAGAUGUUCACGGUCAAUGAAUCUUUUCCAAACCCUAUACACAGCCAUUGUGGAUCGUGAACUAAUAAUUACACAGUCAUAUUAUGAUAUUUUUGUAGCUGAGAUCGACAUUACGUACCUUUGAAUAAUGUUUACCAUUUGUUGAUAAUUUUCUUGUGGUUUUCUCAUUGAGUCAAAGAUUAUCAACCGGUUCUUGGGAAUUUCAAUGACCAUGAGUAUCCAGUGAAAGCUGUUUACACACACAUAUAUAUAGUCAGUCCUAUAAUGUAAAAAAAAUAUGCAUGCACUUAAUAACUAUAUAACUCACUCGAAGUUGAAGGGGAAGAGUAUUUUUUGUUUUUCUUUUUGGUUCACAAAGAACCUCAUAAGAUUGGUGUAGACUUCUGUCUCAUGAUCUGCUGUCCACACUGCCUGCGGAGCCUUGAAAACAAUAUAAGGGUCAACGAACCCAAUACUAUUGUCAUUUUUCAUUCUGAGCUCUCUCAUUUGGUGCCUGCAUAUAUACAUACAAAUCCUAAGUGUGUAAGGAUUAUAUACAUAUAAUUAAAGAAGUUAGAAGAAUAAUAAAAAGAAAAAAAUACUUACAGACAAAAGCAGCUGACAAGAGAUUUGUCAAGAGCGUCGAGGUGGCAUAAUUGGUGCAAUUCUUCGAACUGCACGUAUAUGAGGUCAUCUCCACGGAAGUAGUGAUGUUGUCUAAUACGAAAAGAAAUCCAAUUAUCUCCCCUUUUAGACGCCUCAAUGCACCAUUUGUUUAUUGCAAACAUUUGUGUGCCGAGCUCGUGUAAACGCUUAGGGUCGAAUAGACUCCUGCCCGGUUCAUAUCUUGCCCUCCAUUGAUCAACUACCUCGGCUUUUUCAAAUGUUUGGCAUCCAAGAAUGGUGGCAAUUUCUUCCAUAUUUAAACCGCUCUAUCCAAAGUAACGCUCAAGCGAGUCUAGCUCAGACAACGCUAAGGAUUUCUUUGACAUCAAGUCUUCAUUUGAGCCGUAUUGAUUUGGCACAAUCAAAGGGGGCACCGGUUUUGAUACUUCUCCGAGCUGUGGGACCCCCUUUCCUACUCUCUUCUUAGUAGGCUGUGAAGACUUGACCAGAGACCGCUCAUAGUCCGAAAGUGCUGGCUUUUUCUGAGCUUCGCGUUGCUUCUUUUGAUGGUCCGCCACCUUCUGCCUCAGUUCCGAUGGCUUCACAUAAAAGUAUGGCUUUUCUGGGUUAAGCCAUUUUUUCCUAUCCUCCUUUAUUUUAUCAAAAAAUUGUUGGACCUCAGCUUUGGAUGUAGCAAUUACCUCCUCUUCACUCUUUUCGUAAGGUAAUUUUUCUGGCGUCUUAGCUCUCUUUGCUGAGGCAGCCUUCUUUGGAGGUGGGACCGGUGACUUCGGUCCUUCUUGGGCGGACCGCUUCUUACUACCUCGCUUUGGAGGCGAGGGGACCGACCGUGCACUCUUUGGAGAGGGCGGUGCAGGCGGUGGAGGGGGUGGGGCCGAUCUUUUUGGCGUUGGAGAACGCGGUGGAGGAGUUGGAGAACGCGGUGGAGGAGUUGGAGACCUCGGUGGAGGAGGUGGAGACCGUGGUGGAGGCGGUGGCGGGGUCGGUGUGGCCGCCGCAGGUGUUGGAGGAGAUCCAGCAUUGUCACCGCCCGCAGCACUAUGAUGCGCUGGGGAGAGAACUGGACUUAGGUUGGAGGAGUCCCUGCAAAGAAAACAAUUACAAGUUUUGUGAGUAAACUUUUUUUAAUUUCAAUACAUAAUAAAUAAUAUAAGAAGUAAAAUCACACACAAACCUAUGCUGAGGAAUAAUUAUGAAGCGCUUGCGCCAACAAAUAAAUGUCUUCUCAGCUUCACCUAAGGUCUUCUCUCUGUCUCCCCCUUCUAUGUCUAGUGGCACAUUGCCACAACCUUUCUCAACCCUAUCAACCGAGACGCUAGCAUAUCCACCAGGUACUGGUCGAUUAUGGAUUCUUGGAGUUCUCGUUCGGUUGAUAGGGUUGACAACAGCGAUAGCCACCUUUUUGGUGGCAUUCCCAUCUGGUACAUGCAGCUCACAGGUAGUAAAAGCCUCUAUGACAUCAUCCACGGGGAAGUGUAGCUUCGUGUCAUCCUGAAUGGUUGGUACUUCCGUGGAUGCGCAGCUGCUUCUCAACUGGCCUGGGGGGCUAACAUUGACCUCAGGAUGUGAUGUACCUUGCCCUUUCGUCAUUUGACUAAGUGCUGCUUGCACUUGCCUUUGAAUCUCUGCCUGCAUCCAUUCUUCACGAGCUUUCUCGCGCUCUUGUGACUGCAGAACAAAAGCUUCCAGGCGGCAGAUCCGCUCUGCCUCCUCAUCCUUCUUUCUCUGGCGGCUUCUGUAGGUAUCUUGAUCGGCUUGGAAUGAUUGCAGCCACGGAACUGCCCCAUAGCCUCUCGUACGCCCACCGUGCUGAGGAUUUUCAAGCGCAUAGGUGAGUUCAUCCUUCUCCCUGUUAGGCCUGAACUCACCAGACUGAACCGCCUCUCGUGCACGGACUAGUCUCUCUGCUGCUCUAGAGAUUUCUUGGCCCCAAACUAGCGCCCCGGUGUCUGGGUCCACGCUUCCCCCAUGACCGUAGAACCAAUGCUUGGAGCGCUCGCUCCAAUUCUUUGCUAUUGUCUCGGGUGUGACCCCCCUAGCAAGCAUCUCCUGUUCCAUUUGGUCCCACUUGGGAACAGCACUCUUAUAACCACCUGAUCCCAUAUGAUGGUGGUAUGUCUUUUUACUGGCAUUCUCUUUGUUUCUAUUGGCUCGUUCCUCGCCCUCUUCUGAUGUUUUGUACUGCACAAAGUCAUCCCAGAAGGCCCUCAGCUUUACAUAUUGCUUGAGGUUGAAAUCUAGAGUCUCGUUUUUCUUGACAUAUUUAUUGUACAAAGACUUCUUCCAAUUCUGGAAGAGUACUGCCAUCUUCUUCAUAGUCUAGUCAUAAAUUCGCACCUUCAACUCUUCAUCGUUGGUGUCGAAGGUGAAAACGUCUGUGACGGCUUUCCAAACUAACUCCUUGUCACGAUCAGAGACAAAACUGAUCUCAGGAGCACCUCGCUUCUCUCUUCAUUCACGACAACUGAUCGGUAUUUGAUCUCUCACAAGAUAUCCACAGUGACUAACAUAUUUAUUUGCAUGCUCACCAAGUGGUCUGCCUGUAGCUAUCUCAAACUCAGAGAUUACAUAGCGGCCCUCCAACGGCUUCUUUGGCCCUCGUGGAGGUACGCUUCUCCCCGUAGAGGUCGAUCCAGAAGGCUACACGUACAUAUAGAAACAAAAAUACUAAAUUAAUAACCAAGUAAUAAGUCUAAAACCUAAUGUAAGAGAUGCAUUAUUUAUAUAUGUUUACAUUUACAUACCUCGCCAGUAUUUUCUUCUCGUUGCACGACAAGUUGUUGCUCAGGGGCAUUGCCCUCUUGUUGCUCAGUAGGAUUGCCUUGUAUGAUGUCAUGGUAAUCAACAAAGUACUGACUACCGUCGUCGAUUAUAUUUUGAAUGGCAGCUUCCAUAUAAUCAGAAUCAUCAUGAGGACGGUCAGCCAUUUCUAUGUCUGCAACCAUACAUAUAUAUAUUCUAUAUAAGAUAAGAAAUACACUAAUACUACUACAAAUGAAAGUGUUGGAGUGCUCUAAAAAUAAUACUAGGAUCUUUUAAGCCAAGUAAUACAUUAGAAUAAAAAACAAUACUAGAAUAAUACAUACAUACAUACAUACAAACAAUUAUAAUUCAUACAUACAAACAAUUAUAUUCAUAAAUACAAACUAUAUAUAUGUGUGUAUAUGUACAAAAAAUAAUAUACAUACAUACAAAAAAUAAUACAUAUAUACAAAAAAUAAAACAUACAUACAUACUAUAUAUAUAUACUAGAAUAAUAUAUUAAAAAAAUAAUACAUACAUACAUACAAACUAUUAUAAUUCAUACAUACAAACUAUAUAUGUGUGUGUAUAUGUACAAAAAAUAAUAUACAUACAUACAAAAAAUAAUACAUAUAUACAAAAAAUAAAACAUACAUACAUACUAUAUAUAUAUAUACUAGAAUAAUAUAUUAAAAAAAUAUGACAUACAUACAUACAAACAAUUAUAAUUCAUACAUACAAACUAUAUAUGUGUGUGUGUAUAUGUACAAAAAAUAAUAUACAUACAUACAAAAAAUAAUACAUAUAUACAAAAAAUAAAACAUACAUACAUACUAUAUAUAUAUACUAGAAUAAUAUAUUAAAAAAAUAAUACAUACAUACAUACAUACAAACAAUUAUAAUUCAUACAUACAAACUAUAUAUAUGUGUGUGUAUAUGUACAAAAAAUAAUAUACAUACAUACAAAAAAUAAUACAUAUAUACAAAAAAUAAAACAUACAUACAUACUAUAUAUAUAUACUGGAAUAAUAUAUUAAAAAAAUAAUACAUACAUACAAACAAUUAUAAUUCAUACAUACAAACUAUAUAUAUGUGUGUAUAUAUGUACAAAAAAUAANNNNNNNNNNNNNNNNNNNNNNNNNNNNNNNNNNNNNNNNNNNNNNNNNNNNNNNNNNNNNNNNNNNNNNNNNNNNNNNNNNNNNNNNNNNNNNNNNNNNNNNNNNNNNNNNNNNNNNNNNNNNNNNNNNNNNNNNNNNNNNNNNNNNNNNNNNNNNNNNNNNNNNNNNNNNNNNNNNNNNNNNNNNNNNNNNNNNNNNNNNNNNNNNNNNNNNNNNNNNNNNNNNNNNNNNNNNNNNNNNNNNNNNNNNNNNNNNNNNNNNNNNNNNNNNNNNNNNNNNNNNNNNNNNNNNNNNNNNNNNNNNNNNNNNNNNNNNNNNNNNNNNNNNNNNNNNNNNNNNNNNNNNNNNNNNNNNNNNNNNNNNNNNNNNNNNNNNNNNNNNNNNNNNNNNNNNNNNNNNNNNNNNNNNNNNNNNNNNNNNNNNNNNNNNNNNNNNNNNNNNNNNNNNNNNNNNNNNNNNNNNNNNNNNNNNNNNNNNNNNNNNNNNNNNNNNNNNNNNNNNNNNNNNNNNNNNNNNNNNNNNNNNNNNNNNNNNNNNNNNNNNNNNNNNNNNNNNNNNNNNNNNNNNNNNNNNNNNNNNNNNNNNNNNNNNNNNNNNNNNNNNNNNNNNNNNNNNNNNNNNNNNNNNNNNNNNNNNNNNNNNNNNNNNNNNNNNNNNNNNNNNNNNNNNNNNNNNNNNNNNNNNNNNNNNNNNNNNNNNNNNNNNNNNNNNNNNNNNNNNNNNNNNNNNNNNNNNNNNNNNNNNNNNNNNNNNNNNNNNNNNNNNNNNNNNNNNNNNNNNNNNNNNNNNNNNNNNNNNNNNNNNNNNNNNNNNNNNNNNNNNNNNNNNNNNNNNNNNNNNNNNNNNNNNNNNNNNNNNNNNNNNNNNNNNNNNNNNNNNNNNNNNNNNNNNNNNNNNNNNNNNNNNNNNNNNNNNNNNNNNNNNNNNNNNNNNNNNNNNNNNNNNNNNNNNNNNNNNNNNNNNNNNNNNNNNNNNNNNNNNNNNNNNNNNNNNNNNNNNNNNNNNNNNNNNNNNNNNNNNNNNNNNNNNNNNNNNNNNNNNNNNNNNNNNNNNNNNNNNNNNNNNNNNNNNNNNNNNNNNNNNNNNNNNNNNNNNNNNNNNNNNNNNNNNNNNNNNNNNNNNNNNNNNNNNNNNNNNNNNNNNNNNNNNNNNNNNNNNNNNNNNNNNNNNNNNNNNNNNNNNNNNNNNNNNNNNNNNNNNNNNNNNNNNNNNNNNNNNNNNNNNNNNNNNNNNNNNNNNNNNNNNNNNNNNNNNNNNNNNNNNNNNNNNNNNNNNNNNNNNNNNNNNNNNNNNNNNNNNNNNNNNNNNNNNNNNNNNNNNNNNNNNNNNNNNNNNNNNNNNNNNNNNNNNNNNNNNNNUGGGAUGUUUCAUUGUUUUAUAUAUACCGUUUAUAUUAUAAAUUGUAUAGUAAAUUAAAUAUUUUGCAUAAUGUUUUUUAAACAGUGAUAUAUAUUGUAAUUUGUUUUAAUGUACACAUGAAAAAUUUUAAACUUAAAUAUCUUAUUGUAUUUUUAAAAUUUGCAAUGAUUCUCUAAGAAAUGUUUAGUAUUUUGUUAAUCCAAAACAAUAUUAUUCCAAUAAAUUUACAAAAACUAUAUCCAAUGAACGGGAAAUUUAUUUUCACAUCAUAUUGACGUAAAACUUUUUAUUUUUGUUAUUUAUUACUAGGAAUGCUAGUUGGGUAUAAUUUUCAUCAAAUAAAAAAUCAUAUAAAAAUAUAUAUCUUGAUGAACACACCAUUUGACCGAACCCUAGAUUGUCCCAAAUGGAAAAGUCAUGAAUACAAAGUUUGCUACACUCAUCAAGUUCUACAUGUUGUCUAAUGGUCAACUUUUCAUUUGGAAAAGUUUGAACCACUGAAUUUUGAAUUUUCAUAGAACUCAUAGCCACGCAGCGGUUUCGGAACCUUAGAUGGUCUCGAAUGGAAAAGUCAUGAAUUCAAAUAUUGUUCCACUCAUCAAAAUCUACAUUUCAUAUAUAGACCACUUUUGCAUUUGACAAAGUUUUGGGAAGGUGUAGUUGAAAAUCCACAAUUGACACAUAUAGUUUCAUAUAGUUUGUGUGAGACUCAAGAAUUGGUGGGUAUUGUUAACUUAGACUUUCUCAAAUGGAAAAGUUGUGUAUAUAAAAAGUUUAGAUCUUGAAGAUAUCUAACAACUUGGUAUUCAAAAUAUUUUCAUUGGAAGUAAUUUAGUUUGUUAUUUGACCAAGUUUGACCAAAACCCGUCUUGGAUUUUAUAGAAAUGUAAUUAGGAUUGGCUCAAAAUUAUCCAAAUAGAAAAAUGGACAAUAUAUAAAAUAUAGAUCUUGAUGAUCUCUAACAACUUUGUAUUCAAACUUUUUUCAUUUGAAGUCAUCAAAUGGGCUAUUUGACCAAGUUUGACCAAAGUCAAAGCAUUGGUUUUUACAAACACACCCUUUGACCGAACCCUAGAUUGUCCCAAAUGGAAAAGUCCUGAAUACAAAGUUUGCUACACUCAUCAAGUUCUACAUGUUGUCUAAUGGUCAACUUUUCAUUUGAAAAAGUUUGAACCACUGAAUUUUGAAUUUUCAUAGAACUCAUAGCCACGCAGCAGUUUCGGAACCCUAGAUGGUCUCAAAUGGAAAAGUCAUGAAUACAAAUAUUGUUCCACUCAUCAAAAUCUACAUUUCAUAUAUAGACCAUUUUUGCAUUUGACAAAGUUUUGGGAAGGUGUAGUUGAAAAUCCACAAUUGACACAUAUAGUUUCAUAUAGUUUGUGUGAGAUUCAAGAAUUGGUGGGUAUUGUUAACUUAGACUUUCUCAAAUGGAAAAGUUGUGUAUAUAAAAAGUUUAGAUCUUGAAGAUAUCUAACAACUUGGUAUUCAAAAUAUUUUCAUUUGAAGUAAUUUAGUUUGUUAUUUGACUAAGUUUGACCAAGUUUGACCAGAACCCGUCUUGGAUUUUAUAGAAAUGUAAUUAGGAUUGGCUCAAAAUUAUCCAAAUGGAAAAAUGGACAAUAUAUAAAAUAUACAAAGUUUGUUACACACAUCAAAAUUCACAAUUCUCAAAUAUAGUUUCAUACAAAGUCAAGCCGACACAACAGUGAACUUCUUGACGUAUGACCCUUGGUUAUGAUCCUGCCGUAACCAUGGAGUAUCCUCAUUGUUUAACAGAAUGCUUGGGUCUUUGUUGACUAUGAAGGGCGGAAUUCGAUCAUCCCUUUCAUAAUCGCCUGACAUGUCUGACUUGUCCUCAAUUCCGACAAUGUUUCUUUUUGCCAGAAAGGACAAUGUGGCGCUUUGGCUCAUUGAUGAUUGAGUGGUCAUCAUUUUUUCCUCUCUUUGGUUUCGUAGACAUAUCUUUGACAUAGAACACCUGACUCAUGUCUGCAGCAAGGACGAAUGGUUCGUCUUUGAACCCACUAUUGUUAAGGUCCACGGUUGUCAUCCCAUACUCCUUGUCGACUGUUACCCCACCUCCGGUCAUCUUCACCCAUUGGCACCGGAACAAAGGAACUUUAAAAUUAGCUGCAUAGACUAGUUCCCAUAUGUCUUCUAUGCGUCCAUAAUAUGUUUGUCUGUUCCCAUUUGGAUCCGUGGCAUCCACGCGUACACCACUAUUUUGGUUGGUGCUCUUUUUAUCUUGGCCAACUGUGUAAAAUGUGUUACCAUUUAUCUCGUACCCUUUGUAUGUGAGGACAUGCCAUGAUGGUUGCCUGGCCAACAAAUAAAGCUGCUCAUCAAUGUUUUCAUCACCUUGACAUUUUUUGCGCAACCAAUCGCCAAAAGUUUCCAUGUGCUGACGCAUUAUCCUAGCUUCAUUCUUCCCGGGCCACUGGGACCGUAGGAAGUCUUUGUGUACCUCAACAUAUGGUUCCACCAAUGAGGAGUUCUGGAGAACUGUGUAGUGUGCUUUAUUGAAGUAAUCGUUUCCCAUACCAAUAUAUGUUUUCUUCCCAAGUGUUCCCUUUCCGCUGAGUCUGCCCUCGUGUCGAGAUUCAGGAAUGCCAAUUGGGUCAAGGUCUGGAAUAAAGUCAACACAGAACUCUAUUCCCAAGUGUACCUCAAUAUAGUUUGGUACGAAACUAGACUUUAAUAAGUGUGAAUGAAGAGUUCUUGAGUUAGAAUAUUCCAUCAAAUUCUUGCACACGGCACAUGGACAGCACAUUAAACCGUCCCUCUUAUUUGACUCGGCCACACUUAAGAAAUAGUGCACGCCAUUAAUGUACUCUUUGGAGCGCCGAUCGGCAUUAUACAUCCAAUUACGUCUUACCAUCUGCAUUAAAGAUAACAUAUAUAUUAUGAAAACCAUGCACACAUAUAGUUUCUCAUCUUAUUGCACAACAUGUCUAAGAUACAUAGUUGAUUAAUUUAGGAAAGCUUGGCUACAACAAAUACAAUCGCAACUUGCAUUAAAAAAAACAAAACUAAAAUGCACUUAAGCAACAUAAUUAGUUCGCGUCCGAUCCCAACUAUAAUAGAUAGAUGAUUCGCUUGAUCAACAUCAUUGAACUCCUUUCGUCGGCUCACUCCCUCACCACCUUCAGCCUCAACCACCUGUGCAAAAGAUUUCUUAAUGUGUUCAAUGUAUUCUUCCUCCCAGUACCAACCCGUACAUCCGCCGGUACUGUCCCACUGAAAUUAAAAGAGAGAAUCAAAAGUUGAAUUAAUAUCAUUUAAAAAAAUAUGCACAUAUAUAAGCAAAUGUCUGGAAAUAACUCACAUUACGAUCUGGACACUUGUAGAAUAUACGACCCUUGUUUACUCCCUCUUUCAACACUUUGUACUCCAUCAAAAUCUUCUGCCCACACUUGCCACAAGUAAUGAGAGGGAGUUCCGGACGGUAUCGCUUUUGAACCCGUUGAGAGACUGAAGACCCGGUCACGGUUGCCAUCUACUAUCCAUACUCAAUUUUUAAACAACUAUAAAUUCAACAUUUACUAGUAAACAUGUAUGAUACAAUGGACAUUAUAUGUAGUAAUAAAAAUAAAUCAAGUGAUAUUAACAAACCAAUUAAUUUGAACUAUCCUACUUUCUAUGAUCAUAAAAAUAUACUAUAAUUCAUUUUUGCAAAAUACAUUAAAACUAGGUCAACCAUAAAUUAUGAUAUAUAUAUAUGGAUACUAAUUCAUGUGAAUGAUUCAAAAUAACAAAGUGGAUUUGAGCUAAAAAAUGAUGGGAACAUCACAAGCCAAAAACAACAUGAAAAAGACAAGAAAGGCUCCAAGAACAACAAUGGUGCUCUCGGUCUGGACAAGAAAGUUAGUCACCUCCAAGCACGAAGAGAUGAUGACGGAGUCGAAGAAGAUCAACGAUGGGCGUUGGAGAUGAAGAACAAAUGAAGAACAAGCAAGAAGAAGCUCCAAGAACAACAAUGGUGCUCUCGGUUUCAAAUGGGCAGAGGGGAGGAGGGAGCCGGCCUAUAAACCGGACCUUUAGCACCGGUUCAGGGCAAAAACUGGUGCUAAAGGGUUACCUUUUAGCACCGGUUUGUAACACAAACCGGUGCUAAAGGGUUUGCCUCGGCCCGUGGCUCUGGCCGGUGCUAAAGGGACCCCUUUAGCACCGGUUAGAGCCACGGGCCGAGGCAAACCCUUUAGCACCGGUUUGUGUUACAAACCGGUGCUAAAAGGUAACCCUUUAGCACCAGUUUUUGCCCUGAACCGGUGCUAAAGGUCCGGUUUAUAGGCCGGCUCCCUCCUCCCCUCUGCCCAUUUGAAACCGAGAGCACCAUUGUUGUUCUUGGAGCUUCUUCUUGCUUGUUCUUCAUUUGUUCUUCAUCUCCAACGCCCAUCGUUGAUCUUCUUCGACUCCGUCAUCAUCUCUUCGUGCUUGGAGGUGACUAACUUUCUUGUCCAGACCGAGAGCACCAUUGUUGUUCUUGGAGCCUUUCUUGUCUUUUUCAUGUUGUUUUUGGCUUGUGAUGUUCCCAUCAUUUUUUAGCUCAAAUCCANNNNNNNNNNNNNNNNNNNNNNNNNNNNNNNNNNNNNNNNNNNNNNNNNNNNNNNNNNNNNNNNNNNNNNNNNNNNNNNNNNNNNNNNNNNNNNNNNNNNGCCAUUUUGGGCAUCGACCAAUGCCUCAUUCUGUAGUAGUGAGUUAGGGCAUAACUGUUAUAAUUUAACUCUGCUCUAAACCUGAACUUGUGGGAAGAGUACUUGAUCUAAAGUCUAAGUCGUUAACGGAUACGAUAUGGGAUGGUUGAGCUGUUGUUUAUCUGUUCCUAGAGAUGCUAGAAUUCUGGAGAAUUUUAUCUUUGAAAAUCUUUAAAAUGUUGCAUGAUGAGUUCCUAUAUGAUGAGAGUUUAAAUUCCUACCACAACCAUAUAUACAUGCUUGCAAGACUUUGAGCCACACAUUUACUUUUUUACUGCUUAUGAGCAUUGGAUGUGGUCAAGCUGUGUAGACCCUUAGGAGCUUGUCAUGUGGUUAAAAUCAAGAUUCACUUGCACGUUCACUCACACAUGCUCCUUCUACUCUGGAAGUACGCAUCCACAUAUAUCCACCCAUUUCCAUCUCGGAAACCACUCAAAAAUAUUCUACUCCUAAUCCGGGAGAGAAUAGCCAAAAACAUUUUUGUUUUCCCCUGUCAAAUAAAUGCUCAAGUUAUCUUGGUUACUACCACUUGCUAUAUUAUUUCAGGAAAUGAGUGCUCUAAAAAAAGAAGAUACGAGGAAAUAAUAAGGGGCAAGUGCCCGGAACCUCGAAAGAAAAGAAAAAGUGAGACGAGAGGUAAAAAUGGACAAGUGUCCGACAGUAGAAUUAGGGGUACAAGAUACCCACCUAAGAGAAAAGAAAAAGAAAAUAUAGAGCAUCUCAUUCUCCUCAAAAAGUUUCAAAAGAGCAAGAAAGGUAUGUAUCCCCUCAAAAGAGCAAAAAUAGAAUUAGACAUUCACCAUUGUUAUCACCAUCAUCACCAUACACCAUUCAUUCGCAACACAUGCACAUCUUGAUUUGACUUAAUGACUUGUUUCUCUGGAUCCAUGGUUUGACUAUGCAAUAAAUGACUUGUAAGUAUGUAUUAGUUGUCUCCCACCUAUGAGCUCCAGAUAUCAAAACAUUAUUAGAGUAUGGUGAGAGAGAAGGCAAUGCCACUAUGCCUCAUACCAAAAAUAUCACAUACUUUGAGAGAAGGCAUACACCAUUACUGCCUUGGUAAGGAUCCAAAAAUACCACAAAAGAGAGACUAGAGAGAGUCAUACAAGGAAUCUCUGAGUUUUAUUUGAAAAUCUGCAAAAACUCCAGAGCUAUAGUUAAUCGAAGAACAAGAGACAUUGCGCUUGACUAGACCGUUCUAUCUUUUAACUGCUCAAGACACAAGUGAUGGUUGCAAGCCCCAUGGUGGAAGGUAAAAUGAGUAAGUUUAAAUCUUAACAGUUUACCCUAACCCAGAGAUGAGAUCUUGUUUGAACGCAUGUGUAUCUUUAAGGCAUAAAACCACUGCAAAAACUCUUGAGUCCAUCUUUGCUCAGGGACGAGCAAAGGUUAAGCUUGGGGGAGCUUGUUGACGGUCCUUAAUGCUCACAUUUAACCGUUAACUAAUCAUGGAAAAGGAUCUAAAUGGAACCAACACCUAGACUUAGGGUUUUAUCUGACAGAAAUCCACGAGUUUUGGUGUUUGUCUAUUUCUGCAGGGGGUUAUCAGGAAAUACGGAAGAAAGGCCCACACGUCAGGUUUACAUAGAGAUAUUAACAUGCCGUGCAAUUUUCUACCAUCUAGAAGACUCCAGAAGCCACGGGAAGGAAGCGGAGGCCGAACGGGGCCAGGCACUGGGCGCCCGCCCCCUCCUAGAGUCCAAACAGGACUCUCUUUCGGGAUCAAUCUCCACCGACCUAAAGGAUCAAGGAUAACCAUUCAAUCAAUGUCGGUUUGAUCCAACGGCUCAUAUUCACUUGAAGGGACUACAAAACCAGACCCCCUGGCCCCUGGAGAUCAUACCUCUUCUACAGAAUCAAAGUUAGGGUUUCAAUCCUUCAUCCAUGUAGAGAGGAUCCCUCUAGUUCUUCUACUUCUAUCUCUAGUUCAUCUAGAUCUAGUUCUAGUUCAUCUAGUUCUAGUUCUAGUUCCUCUAGUUCUAGUUUUAGUUAGUUAUAGUUGUAAUCUAGAAAAUAGGGAGAGAGAAGAGGAGAGCGGAGGAGGAGCCGGAUCUGUCGUAUCUUCCUCAAUAUUGUACUUUUGCAGCAACUGGUUCGUUCUUCAUCGUUCUCCAGGUUCUUUAAUUCAUAAUUCCUUAGUUCUUUAAUUACUUUUAUUUACAUUCAAGUUAUUUAUUGGAUUCCCGCUUGCAUCAACCACUCUAAUCUUUGAAACAUUAGAGUAGUAAUUAAUAGAUUAGACGUGGUGUUUAGUCUUGCAAUUACCUGGAAUUGCACCUAAUCCUGCGGAUCGUUGUGGUAGCCUUAGGGUAGUGACAGCCCUAACGGUCGAUGUAUUCCACCUCAUUCGGAUCGGUGUUUGUAGGACCGUAGUCAGACCUUCCUAGCCCCCUUCUCAUCUCUUUCUGUGGUUAGUGCUCUGAUGUCCCGAUAUAAAUAAUCUUUGAAGUAAUUCUUGAUUCUUAGAUCAACUAGAGAACUCUCAAGAAACUUCCUCUCUUCCCACCAAAAAUAAUUAUAUAGUUAUCCUUGGCGAUCUUGGAUCUUAAUUAGUACACUCACGUUCUCUGUGGAAAAUCAAUACUCUGGAAUACUCCCGAGUGAAAGCUACAUCGGUAUCCGUGUGCUUGUGGAUUUUUUUGUUUGCGUUUAAAUACCCAACAGGCAGCUAAGGACCGAUCGUCGUAUGUCCUCUUGUCAUGUUGAACGCAUGCCUGACACUUAGUUGGCCGGAUAACUCGUUCCGACCGUGAAGCCUAGUAGUAUGACUCAGGCCGGAAGACCGACAAGUAUAAAGUGCGCACUACCGGAGGAAGUGCGCUGUGCGGGGGGCCAUUGGUGUAAGACCAAGGGCAGGUGAUUUAAAAGUCCUGAUCUUCAUGGCAGAGUGGCAGCCGUGGGAGUGCAGCGCUGAUCGGAGCCGUGAUUCCUGAGUCGUACCAAAGGUGACUCGCUUGCUCUCCGACGGGGUUGCAUGGGUGGCUGCUAGGAAUAACCCUCCAGCUGGAUAGGAAUCGAUUCGAAUCACCAUCUCUCUCAGAUAGUGAGAACUUGAUAGAGCAGCGGCAAACAUAGCAUUCACUAAGUACUAAUGGUUCUUAAUGAUGAUGUUGAGGAUAGCAAGAAAGAACAUAUGAUGAAACUUGAUAUGUUUAUUAUUGUUUGUUAAUAAUCAAGUGAAGUCCUUAGUCUAGGUGCUAAUCUAGUGGUAGGCUAAUGAUAAUCAAUAUGAUGCUUAUAAGAAUGGUUUAUUAUCCAAUCUAAGCUUUUUGGGAAAAAGGUAUAAGUCAGGCCAGCUACAAUUUAUACUCAGCCUUGCAUGAUCUUUGAUGUCUUUUAUUUUGGUUAGAUGGGUAAGUCUAGCUAAGUACAUCCUCGUACUUAGGGUUUAUUUCCCCAGCUGUUGCAGAUGAUAUCUUCUAUGAUGGUUUCUGCAAGACCUACCUUCAUCCCGCUGGGGAUGAGUGUAACAAAACAGUCAAAUUUAUAAGAAUUCAAGUGAAUUAGCGACCACGGAGGCAGUCAAGCCAAUGGACUUGAACCCAUAUAAACCCGGUAGUCCGACGAAAUCUCAAAAGACCUCGAUUCAACCAACAUACAACCAAGAUCGUACAUGAUCAAGCAUCACCAUCACAGAUUACAACAUUCAUCACAGAACAUAGUUUUACAUCACAUCAGAGUUUAAAGUGGUUAUUACAAACCAAAGCAGUAGCGGAAACAAAGUAGUUUUGAAACAACAACAACUCAGUUUAUAAUACAUGCCAGUUCCAUGGUCAAGUCCCAACAAAAGCACAACUGAAGAUAAAGGAGGUGAUCACGCCCAUGAUCUAUUCGUCAUCCGCAGCCGGGUGAUGACACUUAGCACAGUAGCCGUGGUAAACGACAUCAUCUGCAACAGGGUAAAUAAAACCCUGAGUACGAGAAUGUACUCAGCUAGACUUACCCGUCAUAAACCAGAAAUAAAGUGACACCAAGGAGUAUGCAAGGCUGAUCUUUGAGGACUGGUUUGACUCACCUUUUGCAUAAAAGCCUUUGUUGUAAGUAAUUCAUGUAUCAUAAUUCAGCAGCAAGUUCAUUACUUAGCGACUAUCCACUAGAUUAGCACCUGCUCUAAGCAUACACUUGAGGCUUUAAGCAUUACAAUAAUAACCAUAUCCGGAUUAUCACAUAGCUAUCAACAUUCUCAUUAUAACAUUAAGUUUAUUUAGUGAAUUCUACGUUGCCGCUGCCCAAGUCAAGUUCUCACUAUCCGGGAGAGACGGCGAUUCGAAUCGAUUCCUAUCUAGCUGGAGGGGUAUUCCUAACACUCACCCAAGCAUACUUUAUGACGGCAGCUCGGAUCACCUUUAGCACAACUCCGGACAAAUUCGCGGGUCCGUACGGCGCCGCACCCCCAGGGACCGCCAAUCUGCCAGGGUCAGGACUCUAACCUGACACCUCGGUCUUACGCCAUUGACUCCCCGCACAUCCUUACUACCAACCGGGGUGCGCACUUUAACUAGAUCCGGGUAUCCGGCCGGAGUUGCACUCGUAGGCUUCGCGGUCGGAACGACUUAUCCGGCCAACUAAGUGAUAGGCAUGCGUUCAACAUGACACGGGGACGUACAGCGAUUCGGUCCUUAAACGACAAGGACGGGGAUAGGUUCACACCCAAGACCUCCAUGCCUGGUUGCUGCACUAUCAUCGUCCCGCCCGGUCUCAAGUUUAUUAUUACCACUUAAUGCAACAAUAUAUAACCAUAGUCAUUUGAUAGCUGAAUAUGAUAAUAAAAUAGUAGGAGGCUUAUAAUGCUCCGGGGCUUGUCUUCAACGUAAGUAGAGGGACGAUGGUCCGGGCACUCCGGCAAGUCCUCCUCCUCCUCAGCUCCUUGAGGUAGCUCCCCUUGCUGUCCUUCCGGCUCCGGCAGCUCGAACUCCAGCACCGUUACUCCCUUGGGUACACCUAUGUAUGCAUGACAAGGAGAUGAAUAUAGAGAAUGCUCAUAUGAUGCAUGAUGUCAUGACGAGGAUCCAAAUGGACAUAAACAAGGUAUAACAUGAGCAUAACCCUUAAGAUUAAGUGAAACAUGGGCUAACGAGUAAGUGCGUACUUCUUCUCUGGUAGAGAGACUAAAUAGACAAGUUAAACAAUUUCUAGCUACUCCUACUCAGCCACUGGUUUAGUAGGCAAACCAACCAGUCAAAAGUUUCAGCCAUAACUCAAGCAUCUUUUAACCAAACUAAGCAAGCAAGUACUUUCUGGAAAGCUUAGCAAAUUGUCUACAAUUCACUUUUAGACAUCCCAGACUGAUUCCCAACUUAAAUAUGCUAAAACCUAUAAAGUUGGCUGGCUGCUCUGGAAAUUCCAGAGAGCAAGCACUUUGCGGCAGCUACUUGCAACAUGCACAACUUUCAAACUACUCCACCAAAUGUCAUGAAAUUUGGACACGAAGUAGAUCAGUAAGUUAGCUACAAGUUUGUUGUAGACAAGUUUCCCAGAAAACAUCAUCUUCAAUUAGUUCUUAAUCAUUUGCUAUCAGCUGUACAGAAAUACUCUAGGAAAGGCAAAAAUAGCUAAAAUAAUAUUUUACACAUAUUGAGAAUGUAUCAAAACAACAAUUCAAUUGCACCAGUAGGUAGAACAUAUCUAAGAAACACCGGAAAACAUCAUGGCAAGGUCUAAAACCAAUUCUAUCCUCACCUUUUUCAUUUAUUUAAUUAUUAAGGUGUUUUAAUGAACAUGCAUUCCAAUUGUUCCAAAAAUCCUAAGAAAAUUACAGCAAGCUCCUUAUGCUGACAUAAGAUCACUGUAAAAGUUUUAGAACAUCUGCACAUACAUAUUGUGAGAUACAAAAAUAACAAGCUAGCAAAGGCAUGCAAGGCAUAAAUGUGAAACCUCAUCAAAAAGUGUCAAACAACAGAUUUCAGAUUUUUCCUAGCUUUGUCUACACAUAAGUACAACACUCAGCAAGUUUCAUCACAAAAGGAGCUAUAAAUAAUUUAUUAAAAAUAUCACAAGAAUCUCCUAUUUAAGCAAGAACUAUUUUUAACUCCUCACCCAGGCUUCCAAAAAUCAUGAUAAAUUUACCAGAGCCUAUCCAUAUCAUAAGUAACAGUACCCUAAAUUUUCAUGGACAGCAAAUCAAUAGAUUUUAAGAUAUAAUUACCCAUUAAAAAUCGAAGAUUAAUUCAUAUCUAUUUAUUUAUGCAAAAACAUGGCAUGUUUCAUAUUUUUAUUAAAAACUAGACUUAUGCUGGAACCUAGCAAAAUUGGAACCAUGUCAUUGGGAUCUCUAAAACUCUAGAUAUGAAUUUUACAAAAACAGCAUUGGCUCUGAAAAAACAGUGACCAGAGGGGUGAGAGAGGAGAGGCUGACACCCGUGACCCGCGCGUCAGUGAGACAGAGCAGAGGAGAUGCUCGUCGCCAGCGAAGCUCAACGACGACAAGGUCUCGGCCAGAUCCAAGGGCAUCUACGUGUUCCUCUCAUCAAGGCGACUCGGUUGACCUACUUUACCCACGCUCUACUGGACUCUAGGGUGCUCGCCGUCGGGAAUGGCGGAGCGGCGGCGCUGCGCGGCGGUACGCCGGCGGAUCCAGGCAAUGGCGACGCUGUAGAGGUUGCGGACGAGCAAGAACAGUUCAAGGCGAAGCUAUAGGAAGAAGAAUCACGGCCAGAGGUGAACCAGAGAGGUCUGGCCACGUUGCCGGUGAUCUCUGUGAACUCCGGCGAGGUGAAGCUCGCGACGGAGAUGACAAUGUGACCUCACCGGUGCUCGGCUAAGGGAAUGGAGUGGACGUCGAGGUAGAGGACGUCGAGGCGGAGCUCUGAGCGGACUGGCUUGGCCGGAGACGCGGUGAAACGGACGGAAGAGCUCGCCGAAACGCGACGGAGCUCCCUGAGGCGACGGCGCAGCGGAAUGGGAGGCACUGAGCGAGUGGAGAGCGCGUCGGAGGCGUCCACUCGGUGGGUGGCAUCUUGUGGACGACGUCGGGGCUGACAGGCGGGGUCGUCGACGGCGUAUGGCUGGCACCUAGCCGGACACGCGGCGGCGGAUGGUUUCUGACGAAACUGAAUCGCGUGAUUCAGUCGUCGCCAACAGUGACUAAAACUCAAACUUCGUCAACGUUGUACUCUCAGCUCAAUCGAUGGUUUUGGCUGGGAUUUGAUCCUCUGGAUAGAGCUAUAGGAGCUCUACAACUUUGAUUAUAGGAUCAGAGCCUAACUCGGUCUGGAUUUCAAACUACAAGGCUCCCAAUCACCCUUGGUCGAAACUGCGUGAUCCAACACUUAGCCAAAUUCGGCUAAGUAUGAAAUCAGCCCUGAUUUUUGGCUUGUUAGCAAUUUUUGGAUGUGUUCUAUGCUUUUUCAUAAAAAGUCAUCAACAUAACUUUUGUAGCUUGUGCAAUUCUCUAAAACUUUGUUUCAGGUGUCAAAGACAUGCAAGGUCUCUAACACCAGUUUCAUAAAACAUCUUUGAAAAGAGGUCUAGGGGGUCAAAAAGGUCAUUCUAGGGUUAACCAUGACUUAGGGGCAUUUUUGGCCAAAACCUUCAACAUGAACUUUGUUCCAAAUGAUAUUCUAAACAUGAUUGAGGUAUUUUGGAAGAUAAUGUACAAUUGUUUGCAUUGGCUACCCCUUAUAGUCACUCAAUUCAAGUCACACAAGCAAUUCAAUCAUACAUGGUAUACAUAAGAUGACAUGUGAUCAUGAUAGAUGCUUAUGAAUGAGCAUGAUGAUGCUUAUGUUAAUGCAAUGCUCAUGGUUAACAUGCAAGCUAACACUAGGAGUGUUACAGCCCUCCCCCCUUACAAAAUCUCGUCCCGAGAUUUGAAAGACGUACCAUUUUUCGUAGAAUGAGGGAUAAGUUACUUGUAAAUAAUCUUCCCUUUCCCAAGUGGCAUCUCUCUCAUUUUGACGGUUCCACAAAAUUCUAAAAAGUCUGAUCACUCUCCCACGAGUAACUCGUUCUUUGACAUCAAGAACUUGUACAGGCUUUUCUUCAUAAGAUAGGUCUGACUGCAACUUGAUAUCUCUUGAUUCAACUCUCUCUUCGGGCACACGAAGACACUUCUUAAGUUGAGACACGUGGAAUACGAGGAAAAUAGCUCUCAUUUCGGGAGGUAGUUGUACUUUGUAAGCUACCUUGCCACUCUUCUCAAUGAUUUGGUAGGAACCCACAUACCUAGGGGCAAGCUUUCUUUUAACACCAAAGCGAUUUACUCCCUUCAUAGGCGAUACCUUUAGGUACACAAAGUCACCUACUUCAAACUCGAUUGGCUUUCUUCUUCGGUCACCAUAACUUUUCUGUCUAGCCUGGGCAGCUCUCAUGUGUUGUUGGAUCAGGAGAACUCACUUUUCGGCUUCCUUGACAAAGUCAAUUCCGUAGUACCUCCUUUCGCCGGGUUCAACCCAGUUUAAAGGAGUUCUACAUUUGCGGCCAUACAAAGCUUCGAAAGGAGCCACUUGGAUACUCUCUUGAUAACUAUUGUUGUACGAGAAUUCAGCUAAGGGUAGCCAUUUCUCCCAUGCACCCUUGGAAGAUAUAACACAUGCCCUCAACAUAUCCUCUAAGAUUUCAUUCACCCGCUCAGUCUGUCCGGAGGUUUGAGGAUGAUAGGCUGAACUAUGAACCAAUUUUGUACCAAGGAGUGAAUGCAGAUGCUCCCAAAAGCGAGCAGUGAACUGAGGACCUCUAUCAGAAAUAAUAGUGCGAGGCACUCCGUGCAAUUUAACUAUCUGAGAGAAGUACAACUCAGCAUAGUCGGAUGGUCGGUAUGUAGAGUGUAUAGGAAUAAAAUGAGCUGACUUGGUCAAACGUUCAACAAUCACCCAUAUGGUCCUUUUUGAGUAAGGGGAAGUCCAACAAUGAAAUCCAUGCUGAUCUCUUCCCACUUCCAACCUGGAACCGACAAGGGUUGCAAUAAACCUGCAGGUUUGAGGUGAACUGCCUUUACCCUGCAGCAAGUAUCACACCUUGCCACAUAAGCUGCUAUCUCUUUCUUCAUUUUGGUCCACCAGAAAUGAGGUCUCAAGUUUUGGUACAUUUUACUACUCCCCGGAUGAAUGGACAAUUUGGAAGAAUGAGCUUCUUCUAAAAUUUUGUUGCGUAGAUCACGGUCUUUGGGUACAACUAGUCGAUCGUCAAACCACAGUACACCCUUCUCAUCUACCCGGAAAUGCUUGGUGUCUUGCUCUUGCAUUUUUCUCUUGAUAUGAAAAAUACCAGGAUCAGAUUUUUGGAGCUCUAUGAUUUGACUUUCUAACGAGCAGCUGACUAUGAUGUUGUGCAAGACCACAGGAUGCAAUAAAUUGAAGCCUUCCUCUAGGAGAGGUCUAACAUGUUGUUUCCGACUAAGAGCGUCGGCUACAACAUUGGCUUUUCCUGGGUGAUAGUGCACUUCUAAAUUGUAGUCUUUUAUCAAUUCCAGCCAUCUUCUUUGUCUCAUAUUCAGCUCGGGUUGUGUAAAGAUAUAUUUGAGGCUCUUAUGGUCGGUGUAAAUGUGACAAAGAUUACCCAGCAGAUAAUGUCUCUAGAGUUUCAACGCAUGUACAACUGCUGCUAACUCUAGGUCAUGAGUAGGGUAGUUGGCUUCAUGUUUCCUCAGCUGCCGAGAAGCAUAGGCAAUAACUCGGCCUUCUUGCAUAAGUACACAACCUAGGCCAGUACCAGAUGCAUCACAAAAGACAUCAAAUGGCUUUUCAAUGUCAGGCUGUGCCAGAACAGGAGCGGUGGUCAGCAAAUGGCGUAGAGUGGUGAAAGCAACUUCACACUCCUCAGACCACACAAACCUCACAUCUUUUUGCAGUAGCUUGGUCAUAGGCUUAGCUAUUUUGGAGAAGUCUAGAAUAAAGUACCGAUAAUAUCCAGCAAGACCGAGAAAACUCCGGACUUCGUGCACUGAAGUCGGGGCCUUCCAGUCUAGAACCUCCUGCACCUUUGACUGGUCAACAGAAAUACCCUCUUCGGAUAAAAUAUGGCCUAAGAAAGGCACUUUCUUCAGCCAAAACUCACACUUGCUGAACUUGGCAUAGAGCUAAUGUUCUCGCAAUCUAGUGAGUACAAUCCGAAGGUGCUUCUCAUGUUCUUGUGCAUUUUCAGAAUACACCAAUAUAUCAUCGAUGAACACCACCACAAACUUAUCCAGUUCGGGCAUGAACACCGAAUUCAUCAGGUACAUGAAAUGAGCAGGGGCAUUAGUCAGACCAAAGGACAUGACUAAAUACUCAUAUAACCCAUACCUGGUAGAGAAAGUCGUUUUAGGAAUGUCUUCAGGUCGGAUCUUGAUUUGAUGAUACCCAGAUCGCAGAUCAAUUUUGGAGAAUACUUUGGCCUUGGCUAAUUGAUCAAACAGGAUAUCAAUGCGAGGCAGUGGAUACUUGUUUUUAAUGGUCACGGCAUUCAGCGGACGAUAGUCUACACACAUACGUAGAGACUUGUCCUUCUUUUUGACAAAGAGAGCCGGACAACCCCAUGGAGAAGAGCUAGGCCGAAUAAGACCCUUCUCUAAGAGUUCUUGCAACUGCUUUUUCAACUCUGCCAAUUCAUUAGGUGGCAUUCGAUAUGGCCUUCUAGAGAUAGGUGCGGUACCCGGAAUUAAAUCAAUUUUAAACUCGAUGUCCCUGUCCGGUGGCAACCCGGGCAGAUCCUCUGGGAAGACAUCUGGAAACUCACACACUACCGGAAUCUCUGCCAAAGUGAGUGGCCGAAUGGCAUUGGCAGCAUGACGAAUGUCAUCAUUCUUGGGAAGCUGGACUAAGAAGGCUUCUUUGCUAUCAGGCUCCCACAACAUAACUACUCUUGUGUAGGUAUCUAUUAACACCCCAUGCCUGCUCAUCCAAUUCAUUCCCAGAAUAACAUCUAUCCCUAGGCCUGGCAGUACGACUAAAUCUGCUGCAUAAUUACGCCCUUCUAUGGCAAUAUGUACAUCCCUCACUACUUGAUUCGUAGCAAUUUGAUUACCAGCAGCACUAAUGCAAAAUUUUCCACUAUCAAGGUCAAUGACAUGUUGCCCAUGCUUAGAUGCAAAUGCUUGAUUCAUAAAUGAAUGUGAAGCUCCCGAAUCAAAUAAGAUAACUACAGGGUGUUGAUUUACAAGGAACAUACUAGCGGUAACUGCUUUGCCCUCAGGGAUUUCUUCAACAGUGGUGUAGUGCACACGACCCAUACGGUUAUUGCCUCCAGCUGCAGAAUUCCUCUUGGGAUAAGGGCAAUCUCUCGCCCAAUGACCAACUUGUUUGCAAUUGAAACAAGGGUGGUUAUCAAGAGGAUUCUUGGGGCUUCCUUGACCCGUGGCACCUCUUGAGAGAGCAACUGUGAAGGACUUGCGCACUCCCGUCUUCACAUUAGACUUUUUCUGCGGUGGCCUGUACCUUGUCACAGCAUUGGGUGGGCGGUAGGCUGGUUUGCUUACCACUGGAGCCUUGGACUGUGAAGCACCUGCCUCAUAGGCCCUCUUGCGAUUCUUGGACGCGGCAUAUACAGCAUUGGAGUUCUCUUGAGUCAAUGCAUCACUCACAAACUCAUUGAAGGUGGUACUCUUAUUACCAGCCAUGUUCUUGGACAACUUGGGACCUAAUCCCGUCUUGAAGCUAGCAAGCUUUUUGACUUCAGUAUCAACCAUCUCAAGAGCAUAGCGAGACAAAUUGUUAAAAGCAUGAAGAUACUCAGUCAAGCUUUUAGUGCCUUGCGUCAGGUUCAUGAACUCAGUGUGCUUGAUAGUCAUUAAGCCUUGGGGAAUGUAAGUAUUCCUGAAAGCAGUUGUGAACUGAUCCCAGGUUACAACAGCAUUGGCAGGCAAGCUGGUCCUGUAAUGACUCCACCAGACACCUGCUUUGCCCUCCAACUGGUGGGCUGCAUACUCCGCCUUUAGCUCUUCGGUCACCCUCAGCAAUCAGAACUUCUGCUCGAGAGUGUUGAGCCAUUCAUCAGCUUCUAAAGGUUCAACUGCCUCCUUGAAAAGCGGUGGCUUUGUGUCCUGGAAAUCCUUGAAACUGCUGUACUGAUUUGCUUCUCCGCCUUGGCGGGCAUGGCGACCACCCCGGUUCUGUUGCGCCAUAGUUUGCAUAGCCUCAUUGAGCAUACGCUGGCCCUCAACGAGAGCUGCCAAUAGCUCAGUCGGCGUAGGCGGGGGAGGAGGUGGUGGCAGUGGCACCUCGUUGUGACCGGAGCGAGUAUUUCGAGCCAUCUGCACAAGGCAUACCAAGUGACCGUUUAGGACAACAGAUAUAAUUGCCAUGAACUUCAAUUGCUGCCAUACGGAAUUUAAUGAAGCAAAUUCACAUAAAUGAAGGCGCAAUAAUCCAUGUACAACAAGAGAGUAUCAUCCACAACACUUGGUUAUUCUCACGAUCAUUCAGAGUCACACUCCACAAGGAUUAAAGUCACUACCGAAAUUUAUUUAAGCUCAACAUAAACAUGGAGCAUCACAAUUGUGUGCAUAGGGUUACACAGAGUCACUGCCACAACUCAAGUUUUACAGGAGGGGCACCAUGGCCAAAUACAUAGAGUCUCAACUAAAUUUCAGAUUACAUGUCCAUUACAUAAAGAGAUGGAAACUGAUACUUGAUCAUAGAUUUAUUGCUAGGCUACAUAUCUUCCUCAGAUUCUCCAUUAGAGAUGAUGCCAUCACCCUGAUCUUCCUCACUAAGAGCUUCUUCAUGAUUAAAAGGGGCUGGUUGCGGGAUAGGAUUUAUAAUAUUGUUUAAGCAGUGGACAUCCAACUGUAGCUCAGCAAUCCUAGUGAUCAGCUCUUCCUCUCUAAUUUCAGCAUGGAACAAGGCUCUAACUCUAGCAGCUUCUCUAUUUUCAGCCAAGCGCAUAGCUUCAUCUCUCUCUCUAGUCAUUUGCAUCAUGCGGGCUUGUGCCUCAUUGCGCUCUCUAACUGCAUUUUCAACUUGGUUGCGGCGGGCUUGCAAAGCGGUGUGAUAGUUUUGGAUUUCAGCUUGUGCAUCCAUAAAAGCCUUGCGAUGCUUGCGCACUCGCUUGCGCAGUUUGCGCUGCCCAACUUGUGCUUGUUGGAGCGCUACCAUAGCGUCUAUGUAGGUGUCCUGUCACACAUAGUACAGCUUAAUCACCGCUAGCAUGGCACUCAUGGCAGGGCUAGAACUAUGUCCUAGCAAGGUUUCUCUCAUCUCUAAAGACUCAUUACCAACCUGGGACACAAAUGUGUCAGUUACACUCACUCUGGGAACGGAUCCAGCUGGGCCAUUCACUAACUCAUCACCAUGCUCUUGGCAAAUCUCUAGCAAAACCUCUAGGGCUGCUACUUGGGCACCCUCCCACGGAGUUUGGCCAUCACAGUCAACUAACCAACCUAGCCACUGUGGGUUAUUUGGACAAGAGGGAACUGUAAUUUGGACAUCUGCCCAAGGUAAGGCCCCUGCAUGCUCAGCCUCGGUCCAAGUGUACUUAGGUGGUUCCUCAUAUCCAACUGAACUUAGCACCCUCCACAGCAAGGUGGGAGUGCCAAACAUGUCCAGGAAAGUUUCACUUGCGUGCGGGGCUGCCAUCUGUAGAAAGACCACAUUUGAGUAAGGGAGAUUAAUUACAAGGAGAGAUAAAUAGAUAUAUUUUCAGAAUUUAAUACCCAAGUAAUGCAUAAGAAUGUAUGAAUGUUUCAUGAUGCAUGCACGUUCCAUACGUCCCUUCCAUUCCUAGAAGAAUGUUCUAACGGUAUAGUCGGUGGCAUACAUACGUGCACUCUUAUACGCAACUACACGGUCUACACGUUUCGUUGUUAGUGUACCUGCAGAAGAUUUCAUUUCAGCCCAGCCCCACAAUAGUAUAAGUGUAGAAAUGUAAAACCAAUUAUCAACAAUCAAGCUAGGUACUCCGAUAUAUAUUCCCGAAUAUAUAUCGCAGCACACUACCCAUUUUGGAUACACCCACAUAUACAUCAAAUAUGUAUACAUGGCUCCACCUACUACCCACAAUUAAGUACCUUUAUAUAUACAUGUGUGAAACAUGUAAAUAUUCCAGUAACCACAGCUAACACUCCCCUAGACCGACGGUUGGACGGUCAUGCUCUCACAGCUCACACUUACCGUAGCGUACAGGAAUAUAGAUCCAUACAUUACCACUCAAGCAAGUGGCAUCCAUACAAUUUCACGCCGUAUGGACGACGAAAGAAAACAAACAAGCUUACCAUGGCGUAGAGGUAUGUGAUCCAUUCAUUACCACUUAAGUAAGCGGUAUCCAUAUAAUUACACGCCAUAUGGACGACGAAAGGAAAAACCCCCAUGUUAGUAAUAUUAAGCCACCUAGAAGUCCUUAUAUGGGCAUAAAGGGCAUGACCACUGGCAUGGUAUAAUUUAUCAAAACCUUUUUAAAACAGCCCUACAUAUAGCCUAAUUUUGCCAAAUUAACUUGGGAAAACCAAAUUCAUUUGUUUUUAAAUACAUCUAUGAUGGUUAAAUGCUUAAUCUUGCUCUGAUGCCAGCUGUAACAGAACCGUCCAAUUUAUAAGAAUUCAAGUGAAUUAGCGACCACGGAGGCAGUCAAGCCAAUGGACUUGAACCCAUAUAAACCCGGUAGUCCGACGAAAUCUCAAAAGACCUCGAUUCAAACAACAUACAACCAAGAUCGUACAUGAUCAAGCAUCACCAUCACAGAUUACAACAUUCAUCACAGAACAUAGUUUUACAUCACAUCAGAGUUUAAAGUGGUUAUUACAAACCAUAGCAGUAGCGGAAACAAAGUAGUUUUGAAACAACAACAACUCAGUUUAUAAUACAUGCCAGUUCCAUGGUCAAGUCCCAACAAAAGCACAACUGAAGAUAAAGGAGGUGAUCACGCCCAUGAUCUAUUCAUCAUCCACAGCCGGGUGAUGACACUUAGCACAGUAGCCGUGGUAAACGACAUCAUCUGCAACAGGGUAAAUAAAACACUGAGUACGAGAAUGUACUCAGCUAGACUUACCCGUCAUAAACCAGAAAUAAAGUGACACCAAGGAGUAUGCAAGGCUGAUCUUUGUGGACUGGUUUGACUCACCUUUUGCAUAAAAGCCUUUGUUGUAAGUAAUUCAUGUAUCAUAAUUCAGCAGCAAGUUCAUUACUUAGCGACUAUCCACUAGAUUAGCACCUGCUCUAAGCAUACACUUGAGUCUUUAAGCAUUACAAUAAUAACCAUAUCCGGAUUAUCACAUAGCUAUCAACAUUCUCAUCAUAACCAUUAAGUUUAUUUAGUGAAUUCUACGUUGCCGCUGCCCAAGUCAAGUUCCCACUAUCCGGGAGAGACAGCGAUUCGAAUCGAUUCCUAUCCAGUUGGAGGGGUAUUCCUAACACUCACCCAAGCAUACUUCAUGACGGCAGCUCGUAUCACCUUUAGCACAACUCCGGACCAAUUCGCGGGUCUGUACGGCGCCGCACCCCCAGGGACCGCCAAUCUGCCAGGGUCAGGACUCUAACCUGACACCUUGGUCUUACGCCAUUGACUCCCCGCACAUCCUUACUACCAACCGGGGUGCGCACUUUAAUCAGAUCAGGGUAUCCGGCCAGAGUUGCACUCGUAGGCUUCGCGGUCGGAACGACUUAUCCGGCCAACUAAGUGGUAGGCAUGCGUUGAACAUGACACGGGGACGUACAGCGAUUCGGUCCUUAAACGACACAGACGGGGAUAGGUUCACACCCAAGACCUCCAUGCCUUGUUGCUGCACUAUCAUCGUCCCGCCCGGUCUCAAGUUCAUUAUUAGCACAAGGUUAUUUCCACGAUAGCAAAUAUAGCCAACCGUGAUCAUCAUCCACCUAAUUCUCGCAGGUGACAGGAAAUCACCUGGCUUCUACCGAACUAAGAAUGGCUAAGCAUUUCUUCGAUCCUGGACCUACUUUGGUAAUGUUUAAGGUGGACAAGGUAGUCAUUAUGCAGCAAGGGUGUCAUAUCAACGCCUACCACUUAAUGCAACAAUAUAUAACCAUAGUCAUUUGAUAGCUGAAUAUGAUAAUGAAAUAGUAGGAGGCUUAUAAUGCUCCGGGGCUUGCCUUCAACAUAAGUAGAGGGACGAUGGUCCGGGCACUCCGGCAAGUCCUCCUCCUCAGCUCCUUGAGGUAGCUCCCCAUGCUGUCCUUCCGGCUCCGGCAGCUCGAACUCCAGCACCGUUACUCCCUUGGGUACACCUAUGUAUGCAUGACAAGGAGAUGAAUAUAGAGAAUGCUCAUAUGAUGCAUGAUGUCAUGACGAGGAUCCAAAUGGACAUAAACAAGGUAUAACAUGAGCAUAACCCUUAAGAUUAAGUGAAACAUGGGCUAACGAGUAAGUGCAUACUUCUUCUCUGGUAGAGAGACUAAAUAGACAAGUUAAACAAUUUCUAGCUACUCCUACUCAGCCACUGGUUUAGUAGGCAAACCAACCAGUCACAAGUUUCAGCCAUAACUCAAGCAUCUUUUAACCAAACUAAGCAAGCAAGUACUUUCUGGAAAGCUUAGCAAAUUUUCUACAAUUAAAUUUUAGACAUCCCAGACUGAUUCCCAACUUAAAUAUGCUAAAACCUAUAAAGUUGGCUGGCUGCUCUGGAAAUUCCAGAGAGCAAGCACUUUGCAGCAGCUACUUGCAACAUGCACAACUUUCAAACUACUCAACCAAAUGUCAUGAAAUUUGGACACGAAGUAGAUCAGUAAGUUAGCUACAAGUUUGUUGUAGACAAGUUUCCCAGAAAACAUCAUCUUCAAUUAGUUCUUAAUCAUUUGCUAUCAGCUGUACAGAAAUGCUCUAGGAAAGGCAAAAAUAGCUAAAAUAAUAUUUUACACAUAUUGAGAAUGUAUCAAAAGAAAAAUUCAAUUGCACCAGUAGGUAGAACAUAUCUAAGAAAUACCGGAAAACAUCAUGGCAAGGUCUAAAACCAUUUCUAUCCUCACCUUUUUCAUUUAUUUAAUUAUUAAGGUGUUUUAAUGAACAUGCAUUCCAAGUGUUCCAAAAAUCCUAUGAAAAUUGCAGCAAGCUCCUUAUGCUGACAUAAGAUCACUGUAAAAUUUUUAGAACAUCUGCACAUACAUAUUAUGAGAUACAAAAAUAACAAGCUAGCAAAGGCAUGCAAGGCAUAAAUAUGAAAUCUCAUCAAAAAGUGUCAAACAACAGAUUUCAGAUUUUUCCUAGCUUUGUCUACACAUAAGUACAACACUCAGCAAGUUUCAUCACAAAAGGAGCUAUAACUUAUUUAUUAAAAAUAUCACAAGAAUCUCCUAUUUAAGCAAGAACUAUUUUUAACUCCUCACCCAGGCUUCCAAAAAUCAUAAUACAUUUACCAGAUCCUAAUCAUAUCAUAAGUAACAGUACCCUAAAUUUUCAUGGCCAGCAGAUCAAUAGAUUUUAAGAUAUAAUUACCCAUUAAAAAUUCAAGAUUAAUUCAUAUCUAUUUAUUUCUGCAAAAACAUGGCAUGUUUCAUAUUUUUAUUAAAAACUAGACUUAUGCUGGAACCUAGCAAAAUUGGAACCAUGUCAUUUUGAUCUCUAAAACUCCAGAUAUGAAUUUUACAAAAACAGCAUUGGCUCUGCAAAAACAGUGACCAGAGGGGUGAGAGAGGAGAGGCUGACACCCGGGACCCGCGCGUCAGUGAGACAGAGCAGAGGAGAUGCUUGUCGCUGGCGAAGCUCAACGACGACGAGGUCUCGGCCGGAUCCAAGGGCAUCUACGUGUUCCUCUCAUCAAGGCGACUCGGUUGACCUACUUUACCCGCGCUCUACUGGACUCUAGGGUGCUCGCCGUCGGGAAUGGCGGAGCGGCGGCGCUGCGUGGCGGUACGCCGGCGGAUCCAGGCAAUGGCGACGCGGUAGAGGUUGCGGACGAGCAAGAGCAGUUAAAGGCGAAACUAUAGGAAGAAGAAUCACGGCCAGAGGUGAACCAGAGAGGUCUGGCCACGUUGCCGGUGAUCUGUGUGAACUCCGGCGAGGUGAAGCUCGCGACGGAGAUGACAAUGUGACCUCACCGGUGCUCGGCUAAGGGAAUGGAGUGGACGUCGAGUUAGAGGACGUCGAGGCGAAGCUCUGAGCGGACUGGCUUGGCCGGAGACGUGGUGAAACGGCCGGAAGAGCUCGCCGAAACGCGGCGGAGCUCCCUGAGGCGACGGCGGAGCGGAAUGGGAGGCACUGAGCGAGUGGAGAGCGCGUCUGAGGCGUCCACUCGGUGCGUGGCAUCUUGUGGACGAUGUCGGGGCUGACAGGCGGGGUCGUCGACGGCGUACGGCCGACACCUGGCCAGACACGCGGCGGCGGAUGGUUUCUGACGAAACUGAAUCGCGUGAUUCAGUCGUCGCCAACAGUGACUGAAACUCAAACUUCGUCAACGUUUUACUCUCAGCUCAAUCGAUGGUUUUGGCUGGGAUUUGAUCCUCUGUAUAGAGCUAUAGGAGCUCUACAACUUUGAUUACAGGAUUAGAGCCUAACUCGGUCUUGAUUUCAAACUACAAGGCUCCCAAUCACCCUUGGUCAAAACUGCGUGAUCCAACACUUAGCCAAAUUCGGCUAAGUAUGAAAUCAGCCCUGAUUUUUGGCUUGUGAGCAAUUUUUGGAUGUGUUCUACGCUUUUUCAUAAAAAGUCAUCAACAUAACUUUUGUAGCUUGUAAAAUUCUCUACAACUUUGUUUCAGGUGUCAAAGACAUGCAAGGUCUCUAACACCAGUUUCAUAAAACAUCUUUGAAAAGAGGUCUAGGGGGUCAAAAAGGUCAUUCUAGGGUUAACCAUGACUUAGGGGCAUUUUUGGCCAAAACCUUCAACAUGAACUUUGUUCCAAAUGAUAUUCCAAACAUGAUUGAGGUAUUUUGGAAGACAAUGUACAAUUGUUUGCAUUGGCUACCCCUUAUAGUCACUCAAUUCAAGUCACACAAGCAAUUCAAUCAUACAUGGUAUACAUAAGAUGACAUGUGAUCAUGAUAGAUGCUUAUGAAUGAGCAUGAUGAUGCUUAUGUUAAUGCAAUGCUCAUGGUUAACAUGCAAGCUAACACUAGGAGUGUUACAAUGAGGACUAAACCGUGGGCGCAGUUCUCUAACGGCUUCAUACCCCUAAUGCUUUUGGUGGAUGUGAUGAGACUCUGGCUGUAACAAUAACUUGUGAAAUGUGGAUGUGAAAACUAUAUUGCUUCUGCUAUUUCAAACUUGUGUUGUAAUAACUUAAGUAACUCCGGUGUGGUGCCGCUUCAUCGGCAAUGAAUGAACUAUGUAACACUCGCUGUAUUGUGUUGAACUAUUAUGAUCUUGGUAUGUUGCAAAGUUGGUUUGAAAUCCUUUGUGAUUUCGGUUGACUACCGGGAUUAUAUGGGCUCAAGUCUGGAAACUUGAUUGCUAGUUCGAUCGUUUCUACACUUGAUCUCUUAUAAUUUGGUCGGUUCUGUGACAAUUGUAAAUUCCCCCGAAAGCUACCACAAAUUCAGCCAAAUAGGGAGUAUCUAUGAGUAUUCCUAGCCCAAGCACCACGAUUACGCUAUGAAUAAUUACUCUAUUCCCUACAUGAAGCAAAUAAAGUAUAUUCAUAAACCAAAGAAUAAUAAGAACAAUAACUUACUUGUUGAUGUUAGUUACACACACAAAAGAAUCAAAGAGAAAAGGUAAGAUGUAAGAAAAGGUGAGAUAACAGAAAAAGAUAAAAGUGUAAUACAAGGUAGAGUAAGACAAGGUUAUCUAAGCAGACCAUCUUUCUCCCCGGCAAUAGUGCCAGAAAUGCUUGUUGAUGUUAGUUUCGCACAUGAAAGAAUCAAAGAGAAAUAAUCUACAAGCGCACAGAUAUCAGUGAGCACUUCACCUAGGGAGAUAAGUCUAGAGUAUCAUAUUUAUUUUUUUUCCAUUAGGAGAAAGCAUGUAAAAGACUAACCUUUUAUCUUAACUACUACCCACGGGUUGCAAGACAAGAUAGUGAGAUAUAAGCGAUAUAGCGAGAACUCUUUCUCCAGUCUUCUUCUAACCUAUGGUAAGUGUGUAGAUAUUGUUCUAAGGGGAGUUACUAGAGAAAAGAGACACCUCAAGAGCGCUUAACCCUUGUGCCAUAUACCCUACCUUACCUCCUGACGGGAUGUGGAUUACUGAAACCCAAGAGGAUUAUCACUUUCCCCAAAAGGCUACCACAGAUCCACCAAAACAGGGAGUAUCUACGAGUAUUCCUAGCCCAAGCACCAUGCUUAUGCUACGAAUAAUUACUCUAUUCCCUAUGUGAAGCAAAUAAACUAAAUUCGUAAACCAAAGAACAAUAAGAACAAUAACUUACUAGUAUUAGAAGUUGAAUUGUCGAACGAUUGUAGAACCAAGCCUCAGAUUAGGAGACUUAAUCUUGAAGAUACAAAGAAGAAGGCACCGAUAGGCCGAGCUUCCUCAACUCCUAUCCUCACUCUAUACUCUCUCAAUCUCUCUUGGUUCUAUCACCCUAAAGAGACAGAUCCAUUCAAGGGACGCUCUCUGUCUAACUCUCUCUGCAAAAUAUGGAUUAGGGUUUCAGAGUUACAUCUUAGGGGGUCAGGGUCUUUAUUUAUAGCCCCCUAGGAAUCACCAUAGCCCUUGGAACAAACCAACUUAAACGUGCGCUUAAGAUUAAUCCUCAAAGUCGUUGGGGGUAGGAUCCGUGAGGUUUGCUCUAAUUGGUGGAGAGCCCCGGGCGGUCGCCCCACCUGGCAAGGGUGCUCGCCCCUGGGUAGCUUCCAUGUGGGCCUAGGUUUCAGGUGGUGGCUCCUAGAGUCUUCUAGAUUAUUCCUGAGUUGACGUUCCGGUCUUCUCUCUAUGUAAAUCUAACAUGUGGACCUUCUUUUGUUAUUAUUCUGGUAACCCUCUGCAGAAAUAGACGAUCACCACAACUCGUGGAAUUCUGUUAGUGAUAAACAUAUAUCUACUGAGUGCUUGCAAAUAGGUCCUUUUUCAUGCUAAGUUGACGGUUAAAAUUAGGAGUUAUCUACCACCAAUAGUAGAGCAGCACGAGGUUCGCCAGUGUAGGGGUCACGACGGCUGCGAGCACAGUGGCGACGCGCCCGAGGUUCGCCAGAGUAGGGGUCACCUGGUGUCGAUCUCGAGCAGCCAUGUGGUGGACAAGAGAGAGAAGCUCUAGGCAGACUUGGUGACACUUGGAGAGGAGGCACGAUGCGAGGAAGAGGACGUGCGGAGCUCGUAGGUGCUCGGUGUCAAUGGUGAUGGUGUUUCCACCGUCAGAGUGUGUGAGAGAGAGGGCAGAGAGACUGAGAGAGUGGCUGAGUGAGUGCCGGUGGCAUGGCAUCCUUGACGGCGUCGAUGGCCUAACUGAUGGGGCCAACACCGACAUACGGUCGCCGAAUGGUGCUUGGGUGCUAACACUGGUCGGCCACGAUGUUGCCAGGAGCUCGCGAUGAGUGUUUCAAUGCCAACUAAUAGAGCUACUUCGUCGAUGAUUAUCUUCCAAACUAGUGUGAGUUAGGAGAUGAUAUAGUUGACAAACUUGGAGAACUAAAUGAGAUCUACAACUUUGUCAAUUGGAGCAAGAGCCAAAUCGGCCUGGAUGAGAAUAUGCAAAGCUCCAAACUACUUUCAAGCAAACUGAGUCAUGCAGGGGACUUAGAAAAUCUUCUCAGUGUCCAAACAGCAUCCAAAAUUGACUUGUGGGCCAUUUUCAUGAGAUGGCCCUAAAAUAACUUCUGAUCCUUAUAAAAUUUUCUACAACAUUGAUUUAGAGAAUUUUGACAUGCAAAAAAUUUAUGAAGCACGUUUUAAAAACUUAAGCAAAAGAUGUCUAGGGGGGCCACCCUAGGCCAACUAUGGCUUAGAAGCAUAAUUAGAGCAAAUGACCAAUAUGAACAUUGAUCCCUAGGACAUGUUAAGCAUAGAUAAACUAUUUACCAAGAUUAUAAACACACCCUAGCACAAGGUACACAAGAUCAUAGGUAUAGAAGGCAUAAAUUAAGCAGAAAAUCAAACAUAGCACAUAAAAUGACAUGCUCCACAUGAUAUGAUGCUCAAGGAAUGAUAUGAUUAUGAUUAUGCUCAUGUCAUGCAAGAGAUAGAAUACAACCAUAACACUUUGGUGUUACAGCCUUCCCCCUUACAAAAAUUUCAUCCCAAGAUUUAGAAAGCUUACUAGUUUUUAUAGAAGGUUUUAUACACAUCUCUUAGAGAGUCUUCCCAUUCCUAGGUAGCAUCUUCUUUCCCAUGGUUACUCCACAAAACCUUGUAGAGCUUAACCACGCGAUUAUGUGUUACCCGUUCCUUGCAAUUAGUGACAGCUACAAGUUUCUCUUCAUAAACCAAGUCUGACUCUAACUUGAUACCUUGAGUUUCCACUCUUUUCUAACAGACUCGAAGGCAUUUCCUUAGUUGAGACACGUGGUAAAUAGGAAAAAUAGCUCGCAUCUCAACCGGUAGCUGGAUCUUGUAAGCUACCUUCCCUUUCCUUUCGAGAAUCUGAUAGGGUCGUACAUAGUAGGGUGCAAGCUUUCGCUUGACUCUGAACCUUUGCACCCCUUUCAUCGGAGACACUUUGAGGUACAAAUGAUCCCUGACUGCAAAGCAUAACUCUUUCGUUGAGCCUGAGCAGUUUUUAGAUGUUGCUGGAUUGUACGGACUUGUUGCUCUGCUUCAUUUACAAAAUUGAUGCCAUAGUACCUUCUCUCUCCUGAUUCUACCCAAUUCAAAGGAGUUCUACACUUCCGACCACAUAGGGCUUCAAAAGGAGCCAUUUUAAUGCUCUCCUAGUAACUAUUGUUAUAAGACAACUCGGCUAAUGGCAACCAUUCACCUAAGAACCUUGUGAAGAUAAGACAAAAGAUCUCAACAUGUCUUCCAAGAUUUGGUUAACACGCUCAGUUUGGCCAGUCGUUUGCGGAUGAUAAGCAGAACUUCAGACCAAAUGAGUACCUAUCUGCUGAUGAAGACACUCCCAGAAACGAGCAGUGAACUGCUGUCCACGAUCCGAUAUGGUAGUCCGAGGUACGCCAUACUGACGGACAAUGUGCUCAAAAUACAACUCCACGUAUUGGUGCAGAUGAUAUUUAGUUCGAACCGGGAUAAAACGAGCAACCUUCAUCAGACGAUCCACAAUCACCCAAAUUGAAUCAGAACCCUUUGACAAAAGGUGGAAGUCUAGAGAUAAAAUCCAUACUCACUUCCUUCCACUUCCAACAAGGGUUUGGCAAAGGUUGAAGUAGACUCGCUUUCAUGCGAACAGCCUUAACAAGACAACAGUUGUCGCAACGGGCAACAAAAGCAACAAUCUCUUUCUUCAUUUUUGUCCACCAAAAUAGAGAUUUAAGAUCCUAAUACAUCUUACUGCUACCAGGAUGAAUAGAUAGCUUGAAACAAUGAGAUUCAGACAGAAUCUGAUUUUGGAUCUCUCAAUUCUUUGGUACAGCAUGCCUAUCCUUAAACCAUAGAAUUUCGUUCUCAUCAACCCAGAAAUGCUUAUUUUCUGCCUCUUUCGUCUUUCUUUUUAUGUGGUGGAUACCCAUGUCAGUCUGUUGCAACUCAAUCACCAGAUUACGAAGAGAGCUUUCUAGGGCAAUAUGGUGAAGUACCACUGGAUGCAUAAGACGUGAUAAAGGAGGAUCCUCAAUUCUCACCGAUUUUCAAUGUGACUUCUGACUCAAGGCAUCCACAACUACGUUCACCUUUCCCAGAUGAUAGUGUACUUGGAGAUUAUAAUCUUUGACCAACUCAAGCCACCUUCGCUGUCGCAUGUUCAACUCGGGUUGAGUAAAGAUGUACUUGAGGCUUUUAUGAUCGGUGUAGAUGUUACACAGAUUACCCAACUGAUAGUGCCCCCAGAUCUUUAGGGCAUGAGCCACUACUACCAAUUAUAAAUCAUGAGUGGGGCAAUUGACCUCAUGUUUUCAAAGUUGGCGCGACGCGUAUGCGAUGACCGAACCUUCUUGCAUAAGCACGUAGCCCAGACCGAUACCAGAUGAAUCACAAAAUACAUCGAACAACUUCUCAAUAUUGGGUUGAGCUAAGACAGGAGCUGAUGUCAGCAAGGUUCUCAACUUGUUGAAUGCCUCAUCACACUUUGGCGUCCACAGGAAAUUUUCAUUUUUUUGAAGUAAACGAGUCAUAGACUUGGAAAUCUUGGAAAACUCCAGAAUGAAGCAACGAUAAUACCCAGCCAAACCCAGAAAACUCCACACCUCAUGCACUGAGGUCAGAACCUUCCAAUCCCGCACUUCUUGCACCUUGGCCGGAUCGACCGAGAUUCCUUCUUUAGACAAGACAUGGCCCAAAAAAGGUACUUUCUUUAGCCAGAACUCACACUUGCUAAACUUAGCAUAUAGCUGAUGCUCACACAACCGAGUUAGGACAACACAUAGAUGCUCUACAUGUUCCUCUUCAUUUCAAGAAUACUAAGAUAUCAUCAAUGAAGACCGCCAUGAACUUGUCCAACUCAGGCAAGAAGACUGAAUUCAUGAGAUACAUGAAAUGCGCCAGAGCAUUGGUCAGACCGAAGGAUUUAAUGAGAUACUCUUACAACCCAUACCUCAUUGAGAAAGUCAUCUUGGGUAUAUCUUCAGGAUUUAAUCAGAUACUCUUACAACCCAUACCUCAUUGAGAAAGUCGUCUUGGGUAUAUCUUCAAGAUGGAUCUUGAUCUCAUGGUACCCAGAUCGCAAAUCAAUCUUGGAGAAUAGCUUGGCUUUAGACAACUGAUCAAACAGGAUAUCAAUGCAAGGAAGAGGGUAUUUAUUCUUGAUAUACACUACGUUGAGUGGAUGAUAAUCCACACACAUGCGCAAGGAUUGAUCCUUCUUCUCCAUAAAGAUAGCCGGACAACCCCAAGGAGAAGAAUUAGGACAAAUAAGACCCUUCUUCAACAACUCAUUCAACUAGGUCUUAAGCUUAACUAGCUCAUUUGGUGGCAUUCUAUAAGGUCUUCUAGAGAUAGGAGAAAUGCCUAGAAGCAAUUCAAUUUAAACUCCAUGUCCCGGUCCGAUGAAAGCCUAGGCAAGUCAUCAGGAAAGACGUCUCGAAACUCACACACCACUGAAAUGUCCUUGAUGGCACUAGAUGUAACUGCGUUCAUCGUGCGAUGGACGUUAAUAUCAUGAAGAAGUUGCAAUAAGAAUGCCUCCUUAGUGCUAGUUCCCUUAACAUCACCACGUGAGUAGUAGUGUCAAUAAGGACCCCAUUACCACUCAUCCAUUUCAUUCCCAGAAUCACAUCUAUGCUCACACCAGGCAAGACUACCAAAUCAGCUAGAAACUGAUGGUCUUCUAUUUCCAGAGUAGGCCCCAAAAUCACUUGAUUUGUAGAAAUAUUAUUCCCAGUGGCACUAAUGUAGUAGCUGCCUUUAUCAAGGGUGACUGCCUUGAGAUUAGGCUUAGACACAAAGUCUGAACUCACAAAUCAAUGUGAUGCUCCAGAAUAAAAAGGCACAACUACAACACUUCGAUUAACUAGAAACUUACCAGCCCUCACCACUUUACCAGCAGGAAUCUCUUCAACAGUAGUGUAAUGAACAUGCCCUUGAUGGAUGUUUCCCUGAUUGGUUUUCUUCGACGGGCACGGGCAGUUGCUUUGCCAAUGACCCAUCUUAUUACAAUUCUAGCAUGGACGGUUGGCAGAUGGAGCUUUGGCACUACUGGGCCUAGUGUUUCCCCUCAAAAGAGCAAUGGAAUACCCCUUACGGAACCGAGUUUUCACUAGAUUCUUCCUCACCGGUGAAAGGUCCAAAUGACUAGAGGGGGGGUGAAUAGCCUAUUUAAAUUUUCUACAAACUUCAACUAGACAAGUUGAUUAGUAAAACAAAUGGUGAUGCUAUUCUAGCACUAGCACAACUAAGCUAUGCAAGCCACCUAUACAAGUCUAGCAAGAAGUCUAUAUACUAAAACACAACAACUAGAGAAGGCUACACCACAACUCUAUACUAGCAAGAACUAAGCUACACAAGCUAACCUAACAAGAUAGGCAAGUAUGUAAAGAGAGGAGAGUGAUUGUUAUACCGACGUUGUAGAGAUGAGAUAUAUCCAAUCAAUCACGUACACAAUCACAAGAGAGACCUCGGCAAGAGAUGACACAAGAUUUUUUACUGAGGUUCACUUGCACUCACAAGAUGGGGAUCCUCCAAGCCACGAGCAAUUCACUAGAGUAGCCAAUUGCGAUCUCCCGCGGUGAAGGCUCAAGAACCCCUCACAAACCACUUGGUGAGGCUCGAAACAAUCUCCAAUCACGAGCUCAACACCACCGCUGCUCCAAGCUGUCUAGGGCGUCGGGAAACACCCAAGAGUAACAAGAAAUCCGUAGCAAACUCAUGAAUCAAGUGCCACUAAAUGCAACUCUCAAAGCAAUGCACUUGAAUCUCACUCAAUCUCACAAGGAUUAGCAAUCAAGCAAGGAGAUGAGUGGAGGGAGUGUUCUCUAGCUCAAAGUAUGCCUCAAGUAAUCAAAAGUGCAAGAGAGAGUCUCCCAAAGCCGGCCACCUUCUAUUUAUAAGCCCACUCAAAGAAACUAGCCGUUGGCUGUUUUCACUGGGCUAAAAACGGGGGCACCUGACGCUACCAAGUGAGCACCACACGCUCAACCCCCUACGUCCGGUGCACUGUGGUUGGCCACAUGUCCUUCUUGAAUCUCGCGUGUCAGACUCUAACGGUCACCUGCGGACCACCGGACGCGUCCGGUGCACACCGGACUCAUGCGCAAAGAGUUCCACAAUCCUAUAGGGUCACCGGACGCUAAGCUUGUCCACACCGGACGCGUCCGGUGCUCACCGGACUCAUGUGCACAGAGGGUUGCAAAACCUCCUCACACCGGACGCAACCCACCGGACUCUCUCCGGUGCGUCCGGUGCACUCUGCUACACCUGACAGCACACCGGACGCUAAAGGCCAGCGUCCGGUGCCUCCGCGCUGAGCGUCCGGUGAGUGUUUUCUCACUGAGAAACACUCCGUGACUUCUCCAAAUUUCCCACCGGCGCAAUAGAAAAUAUGCACCUAUUUUUCUCAAAAGCGUCGAAUCCUGCCUCGCAAGCUCGUCGGGAGGGAGAGAGGAACCCACGCCCCUCUCAACCCUAGGAACUCCACCUCCUUUGCAAAUGUGCUAACACCAACAAGUGUCCACCACCAAAGUGCAAGUGUGUUAGCUUUUCACAAACAUUUUCACCAAAGGAGUUAAGUUAGCACUCUACUAGAUCCUAAUGCAUAUGCUCAAGAUAUGGACCUAGUAGCACUUGAUUCGAGAGAUGACCGUGAUUUCCCCUCUUGAUAGUCGGCUAUCUGUCCUAAAUCCGAUCAAUCACUUCUCUACACAUCUUAGACCGGCAAAAUAAAACCCUAUGUUUAUACCUUUGCCUUGAUAACUUUUGCUCCUCAUCUAUCAACAUGAUCUUCACUUCAUGCUUCAUCCCUUUGUGAUCAUGUGGCCACCUUUUUCAAGCCACCAAGCACCUUCAUCACAUGUGUUGCUAAGCCUAACUCGCAUCACUUAAACACAAGACAUUAGCAACUUGGUGUCAUUAAUUACCAAAACCAAACUUGGGCUUUCAACCAGAGGGCGGUACCGCAUAUUUGUUGUUGGUGCAUGGUACAGGGGCUUUGUAACAGAACCGACCAAAUUAUAAGAGAUUAAGCCUAACAGUGACCAUUUGCAUAGUCAAACCACCACGCUUAAGCCCAUAUAAUCCCGGUAGUCCGUGAAAUCUCGAAGGAUUUCAAACCACAUAUCGCACAACAGCCAAGAUCGUAAUAAGUUUAGCGGUCGCCAUUCACAAAUACAUCCAGAUUACAACAUUCAUAAAACACAUCGGAGUUCUAAGAAUUAUUACAAACCAAGUUCUUCAAGUAGCGGAAGCUUCAUAGUUUGAAAAUACAACACACACGCUUAGUCUGAUACAGUGCUAUAGUUCGGUCAUUCCCACAAAAGCAAAAGAAGAGACGGAGUGACCAUCGCCCUUGGUCUAGUCAUCACCCAUAGCUGGGUACAGACAGAGGAUGCAAUAACCAUAGUACAUUUGACCAUCUGCAAAACAACAUGGGAGUAGAACCCUGAGUACGAGAAGGUACUCAGCUAGACUUACCCGUCAUAAAAUUAAAAUAAAGACUCAUCAAGGAUCAUGAAAGCUAUAUAGUGGGGUAGCUGACAACCAUUUUGCAAAACCGCAGAAUUUUUACUAUCAUAACCUACAUAAGUCUUUCUUCCUUUAAUUUGCUCAAGUUGAAAGUAUCAUUACCUAUCAUCUAGGUUUGCACCUACACUAUUACAAGCAAGUAUAAGGAUAUGAUAGUACCUCAUUGUGGCAUUCAUAAGCCAUUUAUCAAUAUAGUCCAAGUGUUCCAUAGUCCUUACUACGAGGACGAAGCUCAUGUCAAGUGCUCACUAUCCAGGAGCGAUGGCGAUUCGAAUCGAUUUCUAACCAGCUGGCGAGUUUAUUCCCCACACAAACCACACUCACUGAUCAAGAGAGCUACAGGUCACCGUAUUGCACUAUCCAGGACCAAUUCGCGGGUUCUACAGGCACCUCCCGUACCCGAGGACCGUUCCGGCGACCGAGGUAUCCAAGGUAUACCAAGGUUGCGCGCCGCGCCCUCGUCGUUCUCCUCAACCAUCACUAAUACAGCGCGUACAUCGGGCCGAUUCCCGGCCUGGAUAGUGCUCAGGCUUCGCUGUCGGAAUGACUUAUCCUUCCAGCUAAAUGUGGGGCAUGCGUUCAACAUGACAAGAGGGCCGUCAACGAUCGGUCCUUAAUCGACGCAGGCAGGGGCACUAUGGUCAACCCACCAUAAGACCCUGCCCGGUCUCCAAUUACAUUCCACACUUGGUUAUUCUUUUCCCCAAGCAACCACUGCUUAAACAAGCAGGUAUCCAACUAUAUCUCGCAGGUGACAGGAAAUCACCCGACUUCUACCGGGCUACGCAAGCUAAGCAUAGACUCCGCGCCUAUCUACAUAGGACAAGGUAGAUAAACAAGUAGGGAUAACAAGGAGUACAUAUGCAGCAACGGUAUCACACAACUCCUAUCACUUAAAUGCAAUAUAGUAGAACAAGCAUAGUAUAUCUUGUAAGUUAGCGAGAAUAUGGAGACUUAGAAUGCUCCGGGGCUUGCCUUUCUCAAACGUGCUGGGUCGGUGAUCCGGACACGCCUGCAGUUCCUCUCCGGAUUCCUGUGCUUCCGGAGGUUCCUGCUCCUGGAUCUCCUCUGGUUCCUCGGGUCCCACCUCGUUCUCCUGCGAGCCUGUAUGAUGCAUGUGUGCUUAUGAGUGGAGUGCGAGAUGCCCGAGUGGAUGCUUGUAUGAGAAAGUACCAAAGAAGUCAUGACAUGAUGCAUAUGUAAUGUACUCGGUCAUGCUCAUUACAAGGUAGUCAACAUCAUCCAAGAACAAACAAUUGAAUCAAACAUCUAUUGCAUUCUCUUCUACAAUUAUUUUUCAAAUGCAACCAGCAACCCACAUGAUGCUUCAAAGAUACACCAAACCCAACUUAUUCUAUUCAACCUAUAUACACAACAAUUCAUAAUUUUCUUUAUUCAUUUCUAGGCCCAUUAAAAAUCACAUGCAAUUCUGUUCAUCAAUAAAUUCCACAAAAAUUACAGGAGACUACCAGUCAAGCAUAGAAUCUACUGUAAAUUUUUCAUAAUUUUUGGAUACUUAUUGUGAGCUACAAAAAUCACAAGGUUAAUUAAUAAGGUAAGUAUAAUCACUCUACUGUGAUAUAAGUGUCAAACAACAGAUUUCAUAUUUUUAUAAUUUGUCUAAAAUCAUUAGAAACACCCACAAAAUUUUCCAGAUUUAUUGCAUGAACCAUUAAUUAUUAAAAAUCAUAAACCACUGCCAUGUAAGCAUUUAAAUUACCAUAAAUUCAUUUAUACACGAAAUAAUGUAUAGCAAUGUUUUCCCAGUGAGUAAACAUACAUGCAGAGCCAACAAAUCAAGUUUCACAUUUUUCUGAACCAUAUUUUAUUUACUAUGCAUUUUGCAAGUUUAGCAAAAACAUGGAUUAAAUAUAUUCAUACAGAAAAGUUACUCAAACAUGACAUGCAAUCACAUCAAGCUGUAGAUCUAGAAAUAUAGAGCACACCAAAAUUUAUUUCAUCAAAUUUGGAGCUGUAGAACUCAAGAUAUGAAUUUUACAAGUUUUGAAUCAAUUUCUAGAAAACAUUUAUUCAAGAAAACCGACGAAAAAGGCUAAGUACACCCAGAUCUACACCCACCGCGGUCCCCCUGCGACUGACAGUGGGCCACUGACCCCACCAGUCAGCGAGACCGAGAGGGAGCUCACCUCCGACGAGCAGAUCUCGCCGGCGGUGAGGUUCCCGACCACGGGGUGAGCACCUUCGUGCUCCCCGCAGCGAGGCGCACCCAGCGGUACCCUCGGAUUGGCCGGAGGAUGACCGGAACACCUCCGACGAGCAUGCAUGGCGGCACGGCGGCGCUGCUCGCCGUGGCCAGGCCGCUCUGGUGCGUUAGAGCGCGCGCAAGAGCUCCUCCGAGCUUCCCCACCGAGCUACGGACCUAACGCGCUAAAGAGCGAGCGAAACUAGGCGGGAUAUCGCAAGAUCCGUCACGGCGGAGUACUCCGGCGAGCUCGGGGUAACUCCGGCGAGCGAUUCACGGCGCACGGUUGCUUCUCACCUCGGUAGAGCGCGCGCAGGGGCUUACCGUGGCGACGGCGAGUGCGCUGGUGCUCUUGGCGUCGAGGUUGGGGGUCUGUUGCGACCGGCGGCGAGCGGCGGAGCUUUCUCCGGCAAUGGCGCGGGCGGAGCUGCCGCUGCUGCUGCUGCGCGUGCGCGGGGAGGAAGAACAGAGAGGGGGAGGCAGGCGACAGAAUGGAGGGAGCGGUCUGGGGGCGCGGGGUGGCGUCCCGACCAGGGGGGUGGGGUGGCCGGCCGCGGCGCGUCCAACGCCGGCGUACGGCCGCCACGUGGCCGGCGCCGGGUGGAGCGGGGCGGCGCCGCGCACGCGGGAGAGAGGGGAGGGGGAGCGGGCCGCGCUGCCCAGCUGGGCCGUAAGGGAGACGGGUCGGCCCAGCAGCGCCUGUCCCCUUUCUCUUUUUUUUGAAAAUCUUUUCUCAAAUUCUUUCUAAAUUCAUUUGGACCAAUUUAAAAUCAUUUUCACCUCUUGCUCCCAAAAACAAAGUUGUUCCAAAAGAAAAACCCUACAACUUUGUUUUAAUAAGAAAGACCAAAUUCCCAAUAGAAUUUGAAUUAAAAAUUAAAACUAGUUCUAGGUUUUUAAAUAAAUUCAUUUUGGUCAUUUUGUAUAAAUUCCAUUUCUCAAAUUCUAUAGCUCCAAAAAUUGCACAAAAAUAUUCUUAAUUCUUCUUACACAUAAAUCCACCUAGUUUGAAUAUUUCACAUUUUUAUAAGCAAGCAUCAUAUUUUUAACAUACUUAGAACACAUGAAAUAAAGCACAUAAAAUCAUGUUUUGGGAUGAAUGACAUGCUCAUGAUGCUAUGCUUGAUGAGAAUGCUUAUGCAUUGCUUUGAUAACGCUAAGUGCAAGCUUAACACCUAGGGUGUUACAGCCCUUCCCCCCUUAGGGAAAUCUCGUCCCGAGAUUUUGGGUUACUAACCAUUUCUUAUGAAAUUUUGGAUAAACUGUUUUCAAGUAGUCCUCUGUUUCCCAGGUGGCAUCCCUAUCGUCAUGAUGACUCCACACCACCUUAUAUGUUCUGACAAUUUUGUUUCGGGUUACCCGUUCCUUGGUAUCCACAAUUCCCACUGGUUGCUCCUUAUACUCCAAAUCUGCUUUUAUUUUGAUCUCUCGAGGUUCAAUUCUUUGCUCAGGUACCUUCAAACAUUUCCGUAGUUGCGACACAUGGAAGACCGGAAAGAUCGAGCUCAACUCUUCAGGUAGCUGAAUCUUGUAGGCCACGGGGCCUUUACUCUCUAGUAUUUGAAACGGUCCCACAUAUCUGGGUGCAAGCUUGCUUCGAACUCGAAAACGCUGAACCUUCUUCAUUGGCGUAACCUUGAGGUACACAUAGUCACCUACUUUGAAUUCAAGUGGCCUUCUUCUCUUAUCAGCAUAACUCUUUUGUCGUGAUUGCACUGCUUGCAUAUGCUGCUGUAUGAUUUGCACCUUCUUCUCGGCCUCAUUCACGAAGUCGAUACCAUAGUAUCUUCUCUCACCAGGUUCAACCCAGUUUAACUGAGUUCUACACCUCCGACCAUACAAAGCUUCGAACGGGGCCAUCUUAAUGCUCUCUUGAUAACUGUUAUGGUAGGAGAAUUUAGCCAGAGGUAACCAUGAUUCCCAUGAUCCCUUGGACGAUAGCACACAGGCCCUCAGCAUAUCUUCUAACACUUCAUUUAGCCUCUCCGUUUGGCCUGAAGUCUGGGGAUGAUACGCCGUGCUUCUUAUCAGACUGGUCCCCAAACUCUUAUGCAUGCGCUCCCAGAAGUGAGCGGUGAACUGUGGUCCUCUAUCUGAUAUGAUGGUCUUGGGAAUACCAUGCAACUUGACAAUCUCGGCCAUAUAUAUAUCGGCAUACUCGGGAGGUCUGUAUGUGUUCUUAACUGGAAUGAAAUGAGCCGACUUGGUUAAUCGAUCUAUGAUCACCCAAAUCGAGUCAUUCCCCUUCCUCGUGGUUGGUAAACCUGUGAUAAAGUCCAUACUAACCUCUUCCCAUUUCCACUCUGGAACUGAUAACGGUUGCAACAGACCUGCAGGUUUCAUAUGGAUGGCCUUAACUCUGCAACACGUGUCACAACGGGCUACAUACGCAGCUAUCUCUUUCUUCAUCUUGGUCCACCAAAAGUGGGGUCUUAGAUCUUGAUACAUUUUGCUACUGCCAGGAUGAAUGGAAAGCUUAGAGAGAUGGGCUUCAUCCAUGAUGCGAUUCUUCAAUUCCCGAUCCUUCGGGACUACUAACCGAUGUUGAAACCAUAGUACCCCUUUCUCAUCAACUCGAAACUGAGUUUUUGGCUCAUCUUUGAUCUUCUCCUUGAUGUGGAAAAUACCCUUGUCUGUUUUCUGUCCUUCAAUGACUUAACUCUCGAGUGAACAACUGAGUUGUAUGUGACAUAAGACCUCUGGAUGCAUGAGAUUGAACCCAUCUUCAAACAACGGUUGAACCACUUGAUAGUGCGGCUUACGACUCAAUGCAUCUGCUACUACAUUAGCCUUGCCUGGAUGAUAGUGAACCUCCAAAUCAUAGUCCUUGAUUAACUCUAACCACCUUCAUUGCCUCAUAUUCAGCUCGGACUGAGUGAAGAUGUACUUCAAGCUCUUAUGGUCGGUGAAAACGUGACACUUAUUCCCCAGCAGAUAGUGUCUCCAAAUCUUCAAAGCGUGCACUACUGCUGCUAACUCGAGGUCGUGAGUUGGGUAGUUGACAUCGUGCUUUCUCAACUGUCGUGAAGCAUAAGCUAUCACUCGGCCGUCUUGCAUCAACACACACCCCAAGCCACUCUUCGACGCGUCGCAAAACACAUCAAAAGGCUUUUUGAUGUUAGGUUGCGCCAGAACGGGGGUAGUGCUUAGCAACUUUCGCAAGGUGCGGAAGGCUAACUCACACCCUUCCGUCCAGACAAACUUAUAAUCCUUUUGUAGCAAACUUGUCAUUGGCUUAGCAAUCUUGGAGAAGUCAGGUAUGAAACGACGAUAAUACCCGGCCAGACCAAGAAAACUUCUAACUUCCGAGACAGAAGUUGGUGCCUUCCAGUCCAUGACUUCCUGCACUUUUGACGGAUCCACAACAAUCCCUUCUUCAGACAUAAUGUGCCCUUGGAAAGGAACUUUCUUCAACCAGAACUCACACUUGCUGAACUUGGCAUAUAACUGAUGCUCUCGUAAUCGUGUCAGCACGAUUCUCAGAUGCUCGGCGUGAUCUUGCUCAUUUUCUGAAUAAACCAGGAUAUCAUCGAUAAACACCACAACAAACUUAUCCAAUUCUGGCAUAAAGACUGAAUUCAUCAGAUACAUAAAGUAUGCAGGAGCAUUUGUCAAUCCAAAGGACAUGACAAGGUACUCAUACAACCCAUAUCUGGUGGAAAAAGCAGUCCUCGGGAUAUCUUGUGGACGAAUCUUGAUUUGGUGAUACCCAGAUCUCAAAUCUAUCUAAGAAAACACUCUUGCCUUGGACAACUGAUCAAACAGGAUAUCAAACCUUGGCAAUGGAUACUUAUUCUUGAUUGUCACUGCAUUGAGUGGACGAUAGUCCACGCACAUGCGCAGCGAUUGAUCCUUCUUUUUCACAAACAAUGCGGGACAACCCCAUUCCGACGAGCUUGGUCGGAUGAACCCUUUAUCCAGUAACUCUUUUUGUUGAUUCUUCAACUCAGCGAGUUCGUUUGGUGGCAUCCGGUACGGCCUUCUAGAUAUUGGUGCUGUACCCGGUAUCAACUCGAUUGCAAACUCUACUUCCCUAUCUGGGGGAAGUCCUGGUAAAUCCUCGGGAAAAAUGUCAGGGAACUCACACACCACGGGUAUGUGCUCUAGGGGAACCACCUGUACUGCACACAAAAGACUGGCGAAGUCCAACCGCCUGGGUAGCUUGACCUGAAGCACACCCUUCCCUUGCGGGUCUCUAAGGGAAAGAGUUCUAUUCCCGGCAUCUAUAACCGCACCCUAGUCAGACAUCUUGUUCAUUCCAAUGAUGACAUCCAAAACUAGCCCUGGCAUGACCACAAGAUUUACGCGAAACCUCCGGCCACUGAUAUCCAAAGUAACUCCUGUUACUGUUUUAUUAGUCAACACAUCGGCUCCGGCUGAGCUGAUGCGAUAGCCAUAACCUAACUCAGUAACUGGCUGGUCAUGCUUUUGUGCAAAUGCUUGGCUCAUGAAUGAAUGCGAUGAUCCAGAAUCAAACAAAACAACUGCGAGAUGUUGGUUGACAGGAAACAUACCAGCUGUUACCGGUUCUCCUUCCGGGAUCUCCUCGAUCGAGGUAUGGUGCACACGAGCUGGAUAGGUUGGCUACUGCCUCUUGGGGUAGGGACAUUCCUUAGCAAAGUGCCCCAUCUUGUGGCAGUUAUAGCACGGACCCUUGGGCGCAUUGUUGACGGCAGGUGCUGCAGCUUGAACUGCCUUUGGCUUGGCAGGGGCUAUCGCCACCUUGUACGGCUUCUGCUGUGUUGGAUGCCCGGUGUUCCUUCUCUGCGGCGGUCGGAACCUAGCACCUGGGGCAGGAGGACGAUACUGCUGUCGCCCUGCCACUGGUGCCCUGGACUGAGAUGAUCCGGCUUCAAAAGCCCUCUUACGUGACUUGGAUGCACUGUAGUUGUUGUUGUUGUUCUCCUGGGUGAGACAGUCACUGAUGUAAGCAUUGAAGAUAGCCCUGGCCCUGUACCCAUGGUCUUCAGCAUCUUUGGACUCAAGCCUCUCUGGAAACUAGCAAUCUUUUUAGCCUCCGUGUUCACAAACUCCGGGGCAUAGCGAGCGAGAUUGUUGAAAGCGUGUAGAUACUCCUUCACCGAUUUCGUCCCCUAGGACAGCCUCAUGAACUCCCCAACCUUCAUUUCAACCACACCUGGAGGAAUAUAAUUUCCUCGGAAAGCAGUGGUGAAGAGGUUCCAGGUGAUUGGGGUCCCCUCUGGGUAGGUGGUACGGUGAUGGGACCACCAAAUCCCAGCGGGUCCUUGCAACUGAUGUGCCGCAUACUCAGCCUUAAGUUCUUCUGUCAUUCGGAGAAGACGAAACUUCUGCUCCAUAGUGUUGAUCCACUCAUCUGCCUCGAGCAGUUCCAAAGCCUCUUUGAAGAUUGGUGGCUUGGUAUCCAUGAAGUCCUUGAACGAACUGUACUGAUUGACUUCACGGCCACCCUGAUUAUCCCCACGACGGGUGUUAUCAGCUAUGUUGCGCAGAGCCUAUUCCAUGUUGCGUUGCAUCUGUUCCAUGUUGCGUUGGCUCCCCAGAAACUGCACGAAAAACACGUCCACAGUGUACGGAGGAGGCGGUGGUGGUGGCGGUGUUGGUGCUCUGUCCUCAUUCCGUUGAGCCCCACCUCCAGACGUACCUGCUCCAAGGCCCGGAUUGCUGUUACCCCCGCCACGUGUUUGCACCAUCUACAUACGUCAAUGAUAAGCAAUCGUUAGGAGUUGCCAGCAGCGGUAGAAAUGUGUAGAAUCAUGCUGUACUGAAUUUACUGAGGGAAUAAAUUCGCACAAUAAACAGAGGCACAACAAUUCAUCAUCUACGCACAACAUCACUAACAGAUUACUUAACAUUCACGCAACAAGGUUCGCGUACAUCCAACUUGCCAGCAUACAUACACUGGACUUUCAGCAUAACUCAUAAGUCUUACAUAGCCCAGAUCCAAAAGUACACGACAUGCCAUGCAACAUACAACACAAAAGAAGAGGGACUAGCUCUAGAGCCCUAGCAUCUAGUCACUAUGAUCACUGUCCAUGCCGGAGCCAUCCUCAUCCUCAUCUCCACUAGAAGCUGCUCCUAUCGCGGGAUCCGCAUCCAUCUCGUCCUCAGAGUCUAGCUCAGCUGCUCCAGGCAGGUGGUGAGGGUGGAGCUGGUUAUGCAGCUGGUGGAUCUCCUCAUGCAAGUUCUCAUUGUACUCCUCGGCAUUAGCUAGCUGCUGCUCUAGCUCUAGCUGUCGGGCCCUCAAAGUGUCCUCCUCGUGCCAGGCUUCAUUCCUCUGACCAAGCACAUGGACUAGCAUGCGCUCGCAGUUCCUGUGAGCAGUAGUCACCCUGUCCUUCUGCUCCCGCACUGCAAGCAGGUCCUGACUCAGCUCACUGUUCUUCUGGACUGCCUGAUCCCUCUCUGUAGUCACCCGGGGCAACUCUGCCUGUAGCCUCUCAACCUCAGAGUCAAACUCACGCUGCAACUGACGCUUCUCAUCCUGGACGGUGAGAAGAGACCUGGAUAAGCGGCCCAAACAAUGCUCCAGACCCCCAUAGGUCUUCAUCAACGCGUACAUGGCACUCAUAGCUGCACUGUCACUGUGCUGGUCCUCAUCCGCACUCCUCUCUAGAGCAUUCACCUCGGACUGAUCCCACACCGAAGUGUAGGGGUCACCCUGGGGAAACACCCCAGCGAAGACGUGGGCCAGCUCCUGUGGAAACCUCUCCAUGAGGUCCCUCAGAACUACGAAAGCUGCCCUGCUGGCACCGUGGAAAGGCGUGACACCUCGAGACUCGUACACCCAGCCGCCCCAAGCAGGGUCACCUCCACUGGUAGGAACCACUGCCUCAAUCCCCACCAGUGUCUCGUCACCAAGCGGCUCCUUAUCCCAAUAGUAGCGAGGCUCCCUUCCUUCGGGAUACCCCAUCGAACUGAGUACCCUCCAAAGCAAAGUGGGCAUCCCAAACUGCUCCAGGAACCUGCUCUUAUGUCGCGAGCUCCUAGUUGCCAACGGGUGGCGAGGGGCCCGCCCACCAGUGGACUUGCGAGCGGUGAGUCUAGUGCGUGCCAUCUGCUGCAAAUGGAAUACCGUGGGUAAGAGCGAGGAUUACCUUUAAUUAUUUUAUUUAGAAUUGGGACAGAUUAAAUUGAGGGGGAAAGUAAGCAAUGAUAUGACAUGAACAUGAUGCAUGCACGAACUUACGAUCUCACAAACUUAGAAACAAAGGUUAACACUAUGCGGUAUAUGCGGUGGCACACAACGUUCUCUCAUAACGUAACUAGCGUUCUAAGCGAGAACGUGGUUAGUGUACCUGCAGAAAACUCAUUUCAGCCCACCCACAGUAUGCUAAUGCAAAACAAAAUUUAAAACUAUGCACUCCACAUACACUGACACCCGUCCAUGCAUGUGAUGUGUUGCUACCCAUAUCAUCGCCCUAAUGACGGCAUCGCCUCUCAGGACGGAAUUCCCAACAUGCGGUACGGUUUCCAAGACACACCAAAACAUGUGUGCUUGACACAGUACCUAACAACACUCCCCUAGACCGGCAGUGUAUCCGAUCAUGCUCUCACAGCUCCCACUUACCAUGGCGUAGAGGAAAAAUGGAUCCAUACAUUACCACUCAAAUGAAUGGUACUCAUACUAUUGCACGCCGUAUGAGCGACGAAAUAAAAAUAUAAUGCAUUAACCCCCAAGUCAGUACUUAGCUAGCCACCUUAGAAUCCUUAACUGGGCAUAACGGAUAUGACCAUGGCACAUUAGAUAGUUUUCCAAAACUUAGUUUAACACUUUGAUUAUUAUUAAUUAAUAAAAUCUUUUAUUAAACCGGUUUAGAUUUUGUUUAGAACGUACUUAUGAACAGUAACGCGCUAAACCUUGCUCCGAUGCCAGCUGUAACAGAACCGACCAAAUUAUAAGAGAUUAAGCCUAACAGUAACCAUUUGCAUAGUCAAACCAUCACGCUUAAGCCCAUAUAAUCCCGGUAGUCCAUGAAAUCUCGAAGGAUUUCAAACCACAUAUCGCACAACAGCCAAGAUCGUAAUAAGUUUAGCGGUCGCCAUUCACAAAUACAUCCAGAUUACAACAUUCAUAAAACACAUCGGAGUUCGAAGAAUUAUUACAAACCAAGUUCUUCAAGUAGCGGAAGCUUCAUAGUUCGAAAAUACAACACACACGCUUAGUCUGAUACAGUGCCAUAGUUCGGUCAUUCCCACAAAAGCAAAAGAGGAGACGGAGUGACCAUCGCCCUUGGUCUAGUCAUCAUCCAUAGCUGGGUACAGACAGAGGAUGCAAUAACCAUAGUACAUUUGACCAUCUGCAAAACAACAUGGGAGUAGAACCCUGAGUACGAGAAGGUACUCAGCUAGACUUACCCGUCAUAAAAUUAAAAUAAAGACUCAUCAAGGAUCAUGAAAGCUAUAUAGUGGGGUAGGUGACAACCAUUUUGCAAAACCGCAGAAUUUUACUAUCAUAACCUACAUAAGUCUUUCUUCCUUUAAUUUGCUCAAGUUGAAAGUAUCAUUACCUAUCAUCUAGGUUUGCACCUGCACUAUUACAAGCAAGUAUAAGGAUAUGAUAGUACCUCAUUGUGGCAUUCAUAAGCCAUUUAUCAAUAUAGUCCAAGUGUUCCAUAGUCCUUACUACGAGGACGAAGCUCAUGUCAAGUGCUCACUAUCCAGGAGCGAUGGCGAUUCGAAUCGAUUUCUAACCAGCUGGCGAGUUUAUUCCCCACACAAACCACACUCACUGAUCAAGUGAGCUACAGGUCACUGUAUUGCACUAUCCAGGACCAAUUCGUGGGUUCGAUAGGCACCGCCCGUACCCGAGGACCGUUCCGGCGACCGAGGUAUCCAAGGUAUACCAAGGUUGCGCGCCGCGCCCUCGUCGUUCUCCUCAACCAUCACCAAUACAGCGCGUACAUCGGGCCGAUUCCCGGCCCGGAUAGUGCUCAGGCUUCGCGGUCGGAACGACUUAUCCUUCCAGCUAAAUGUGGGACAUGCGUUCAACAUGACAUGAGGGCCGUCAACGAUUGGUCCUUAAUCGAUGCAGGCAGGGGCACUAUGGUCAAGCCACCAUAAGACCCUGCCCGGUCUCCAAUUACAUUCCACACUUGGUUAUUCUUUUCCCCAAGCAACCACUGCUUAAACAAGCAGGUAUCCACCUAUAUCUCGCAGGUGACAGGAAAUCACCCGACUUCUACCGAGCUACGCAAGCUAAGCAUAGACUCCGCGCCUAUCUACAUAGGACAAGGUAGAUAAACAAGUAGGGAUGACAAGGAGUACAUAUGCAGCAACGGUAUCACACAACUCCUAUCACUUAAAUGCAAUAUAGUAGAACAAGCAUAGUAUAUCUUGUAAGUUAGCGAGAAUAGGGAGACUUAGAAUGCUCAGGGGCUUGCCUUUCUCAAACGUGCUGGGUCGGUGAUCCGGACACUCUUGCAGUUCCUCUCCGGAUUCCUGUGCUUCCGGAGGUUCCUGCUCCUGGAUCUCCUCUGGUUCCUCGGGUCCCACCUCGUUCUCCUGCGAGCCUGUAUGAUGCAUGUGUGCUUAUGAGUGGAGUACGAGAUGCCCGAGUGGAUGCUUGUAUGAGAAAGUACCAAAGAAGUCAUGACAUGAUGCAUAUGUAAUGUACUCGGUCAUGCUCAUUACAAGGUAGUCAACAUCAUCCAAGAACAAACAAUUAAAUCAAACAUCUAUUGCAUUCUCUUCUACAAUUAUUUUUCAAAUGCAACCAGCAACCCACAUGAUGCUUCAAAGAUACACCAAAGCCAACUUAUUCUAUUCAACCUAUAUACACAGCAAUUACAGGAGACUACCAGUCAUGCAUAGAAUCUACUGUAAAUUUCUAGGCCCAUUAAAAAUCACAUGCAAUUCUGUUCAUCAAUAAAUUCCACAAAAAUUACAGGAGACUACCAGUCAAGCAUAGAAUCUACUGUAAAUUUUUCAUAAUUUUUGGAUACUUAUUGUGAGCUACAAAGAUCACAAGGUUAAUUAAUAAGGUAAGUAUAAUCACUCUACUGUGAUAUAAGUGUCAAACAACAGAUUUCAUAUUUUUAUAAUUUGUCUAAUAUCAUAAGAAACACCCACAAAAUUUUCCAGAUUUAUUGCAUGAUCCAAUUAAUUAUUAAAAAUCAUAAACCACUGCCAUGCAAGCAUUUAAAUUACCAUAAAUUCAUUUAUACACCAAAUAAUGUAUAGCAAUAUUUUCCCAGUGAGUAAACAUAUAUGCAGAGCCAACAAAUCAAGUUUCACAUUUUUCUGAACCAUAUUUUAUUUACUAUGCAUUUUCCAAGUUUAGCAAAAACAUGGAUUAAAUAUAUUCAAACAGAAAAUUUACUUAAACAUGACAUGCAAUCACAUCAAGCUGUAGAUCUGGAAAUAUAGAGCACACCAAAAUUUAUGUCAUCAAAUUUGGAGCUGUAGAACUCAAGAUAUGAAUUUUACAAGUUUUGAAUCAAUUUCUGGAAAAUAUUUAUUCAAGAAAACCGACGAAAAAGACUAAGUACACCGAGAUCUACACCCACCGGGGUCCCCCUGCGACUGACAGUGGGCCACUAACCCCACCAGUCAGCGAGACCGAGAGGGUGCUCACCUCCGACGAGCAGAUCUCGCCGGCGGUGAGGUUCCCGACCACGGGGUGAGCACCAUCGUGCUCCCCGCAGCGAGGCGCACCCAGCGGUACCCUCGGAUUGGCCGGAGGAUGACCGGAACACCUCCAACGAGCAUGCAUGGCGGCACGGCGGCGCUGCUCGCCGUGGCCAGGCCGCUCUGGUGCGUUAGAGCGCGCGCAAAAGCUCCUCCGAGCUUCCCCAUCGAGCUACGGACCUAACGCGCUAAAGAGCGAGCGAAACUAGGCGGGAUAUCGCAAGAUCCGUCGCGGCGGAGUACUCCGGCGAGCUCGGGGUAACUCCGACGAGCGAUUCACGGCGCACGGUUGCUUCUCACCUCGGUAGAGUGCGCGCAGGGGCUUACCGCGGCGACGGUGAGUGCGCUGGUGCUCUUGGCGUCGGGGUUGGCGCUCUGUUGCGACCGGCGGCGAGCGGCGGAGCUUUCUCCGGCAAUGGCGCGGGCGGAGCUGCCGCUACUGCUGCUGCGCGUGCGCGGGGAGGAAGAAGAGAGAGGGGGAGGCAGGCGACAGAAUGGAGGGAGGGGUCUGGGGGCGCGGGGCGGCGUCCCGACCAGGGUGUGGGGUGGCUGGCCGCGGCGCGUCCAACGCCGGCUUACGGCUGCCACGUGGCCGGCGCCGGGUGGAGCGGGGCGGGCGCCACGCGCGCGGGAGAGAGGGGAGGGGGAGCGGGCCGCGCUGCCCAGCUGGGCCGAAAGGGAGACGGGUCGGCCCAGCAGCGCCUGUCCCCUUUCUCUUUUUUUUUGAAAAUCUUUUCUCAAAUUCUUUCUAAAUUCAUUUGGACCAAUUUAAAAUCAUUUUCACCUCUUGCUCCCAAAAACAAAAUUGUUCCAAAACAAAAACCCUACAACUUUGUUUUAAUAAUCAAGACCAAAUUCCCAAUAGAAUUUGAAUUACAAAAUAAAACUAGUUCUAGGUUUUUAAAUAAAUUUAUUUUGGUCAUUUUGUAUAAAUUCCAUUUCUCAAAUUCUAUAGCUCCAAAAAUUGCACAAAAAUAUUCUUAAUUCUGCUUACACAUAAAUCCACCUAGUUUGAAUAUUUCACAUUUUUAGAAGCAAGCAUCAUAUUUUUAACAUAUUUAGAACACAUGAAAUAAAGCACAUAAAAUCAUGUUUUGGGAUGAAUGACAUGCUCAUGAUGCUAUGCUUGAUGAGAAUGCUUAUGCAUUGCUUUGAUAAGGCUAAGUGCAAGCUUAACACCUAGGGUGUUACAGGCUUCACUGCCACUAGAGCCUUGGAUUGGGAUGCCUCGGCCUCAAAAGCUCGCUUGCGAGUUUUGGUUGUAGCAUGCACAACAUUGUAAUUCUCUUGAGUAAGAGCAUCACUAAUGAACGCAGUGAAUGUGGCCCACAUGCUGUCGGCCAUUGUCUUCAUCGGCUUAGGCCUGAGACCCCUCUUGAAACUGGCAAUCUUCUUUGCCUCGGUGUCCACAAACUCAGAUGCAUACCUUGCCAAAUGAUUGAAACCAUGCAAAUACUCCAUCAGAGUUCUGUUGCCCUGAGUUAGCUGCAUGAAUUUAGUAUGCUUCAUUUCCAUGAGCCCAGGGGGUAUGAAGUGCCCCUUGAAAGCAUCAUGGAACUGAGUCCAGCCAACCAUGGUAUUUUCUGGAAGAGUGCUCCUGUAAUGACUCCACCAGAUACAAGUGGGACCCUAAAGUUGAUAAGCUGCAUACUCAGCCUUCAGACUCUCAGUCAACCUGAGUAGACGGAACUUUUGCUCAACUGUGUUUAGCCAUUCCUCAGCUUGAAGCGGUUCCUCAGCCUCCUUGAAAAGAGGGGGCUUGGUAUCAAGAAAGUCCCUAAAGCUGCUGUACUGGUUGGGUGCUGGCCCAUAUUGGAUAUUCCAACCCCUAAGGUUCGCCAUCUGAUGGAUAGCGUCAGUCAACAGCCUCUAAUUCUCCACCACUGUCUGCAUUAAUUCAGCCAGAUUGGGUGGUGGGGGAGGAGGGGGUGGAUCCAUGUUCACACAAUUUGCUCCACUGUGAGUGCUAUGAGACAUUUGUCAAGACACAGUCAGUGAGUAUUGAUGAUGACAAGAUUUGUUGUAGAAGAACUCAUAAUCAUGCCUGAAAGUAUUCGAGAGGAAUAACUUUAUAGAAAGUAAGGCAUAAUAAUUCAAUUCCACAAAACAACAUCACCAAUCACAGAACAUGACAUAGAUAGUCCGUUAAGCACACAAGAAAAGAUAAAUAAUGAUAGCGGUCAUUCAAACAUGAUUAUGCCAUUACAACAACUGAUCUAAGUAGUUAUUACACCACAACAACACUGAUAACAGGAAAUGAAACCAUGGUUCAUGGUUACAACACGAUUACAAGGCAAGUUUUGCCAUUGAUCGAAACACAAAAGAACCUCCCAAAGGACAGUAUUGAACUCCACUUACUACACUGCAGACUCGUCCUCCGUAUCUCAUCAAAGAUCACCUCUCCGUCCUCGUCACUAACCGGCCCAAGCUCCUCAUCCUCCACAUCCUCGUGCUGAGGGGGUGCAGCCGUGGCUAGCCCAUCCACCUCCAUGCCAUCAUCUUCAGCCACAAUCACCUGAGGACCCAGGUUCGGAUAAGCUAGUGCAGGGCGAGGAAUUGGGUGCAGCAAAUUGUUGAGACAAUGUAUCUCCACAAGACCAGCCUCAAUUUGAUCCUCCACCUAGCUGAAUGGAUACAGUGCAUCUCCAACGCAUGACACCUAUUCUACGACACACGUAGAGCAGUAUCUCUCUCACGAGUGACCUGCACUAAGUUAUCCUACAGGGCAUCCUUCUCAUGGGACAACUGACUCAUCUGAUCUUGCUUAUGAUCCCUCUCAUGAGCAGCCUUCACCCACAACUGCCUACGAUACUCCGCAAUGCCUUUCCAGUCAUCACAGUCCUUUUGGGCUUGCCCCAGGAGUCUAGCUUGCUUGCGAAACCUACAAGCACGCUUUUUUAGCCUUCUGUUGCAUCUCCUAGGCUUAACGAAUAGCCCUCAUCACCUGAACAUAGGUGUCCUCCCACUGACCAAAUAGCUUGAGCAUUGCCAUCAUAGCACUCAUCGCAGGACAAGAGCUUUCAGCUUGCUCUCCAUUACCUCAGACCAACGCACAACCAUUAGCUUGCUUCCACUUUGCUGUUGCUGGGUCAGCACGGGAAUGGAAGUCGCUGGCCCUCCUAUCAGCUCAUCACCAAACCUCUGAUAGAUAUUGAUCAUAAUAGCCUAGGCUACAACCUGAGCCGCUUCCCAUGGAUUCUGCCCAUCAGCAUUGCAGUUCUAGCCUGACCAUGUGGGCUUGUCCUCAUGUGGAGGAACAACUCCACGCACAGCGAACCAACGCAAGCCUCCCUGCAUGUCCAUCUCCCACCAAGAGUACCGAGGGUGCUCCGAGUACCCCACUGACUGCAACACUCUCCAUAGCAGGGUAGGAGUACCAAACUUGCUCAGAAAGGUGUCACUGGGGAGAGGUGAAGCAGGCAUGUCCAUUGUUGAUAUUAGUUACGCACACAGAAAAAUCCACAAGCACAUGGAUAUCGUUGAGCACUUCACUCGGGAAACAUUCCUGAGUAUUGUUAUUUAUAUUUUUACCGCUGGGAGAAAGCACUCAUCGAACUAACCUAAAUCUAUAUUUAACCCCCAGGCUCGCAAGACAAGAUAUUGAGAUAUGAGCAAUAUAGAGAGAACUCCUUCAUUAGUCUUCUUCUAACCUAUGGUAAGCUAUGUAGAUAUUGUUCUAAGGGGAGUAACAAGAUAAAAGAGACACCUUAGAGAGUGCUUAACCCUAGAACUACCUCCUGACGGGACAUGGAUUAUUGAGACCCUAGAGGAUUGUAACUUCCCCGAAAAGGCUACCACAAAUCCGGCCAGAUAGGGAGUAUCUAUGAGUGUUCCUAGCCCAAGCACCACGCUUACACUCUGAAAGAUUACUCUAUUCCCAAGCACAAGCGAAUAAAGUAAACUCAUAAACCAAAGAACAAUAAGAACAAUAACUUACUAGUAUUAGAAGUCGAAUUGUCGAAUGAUUCCAGAACCAAGCCUCAGGUUAGGAGACUUGAUCCCACAGAUACAAGGAAGAAGAAACCGAGGGGCUAGGCUUCCUCCACUUCUAUCUCCACCUUAUACUCUCUCAACCUCUCUUGUUGCUAAAACCCUAAAGAGACAGAUCUAUUCGAGGGACCCCUCUCUGACUAAUUCUCUCUAGAAAAUAUGAAUUAGAGCUUCAGAAUUCGCUACUCCCUAGGGGGGUCAGGGUCUUAUUUAUAGGGGUAUCUGACCCCUCCUCUACCUUGCACUAGCGAUGUGGUACUAAUCUUUCCACCCCUAGGAAUAACCAUAGCCCUUGGAUCAAACCCACUUAAACGUGCACUUAAGAUUAAUCGUGAAAGUCGGUGGAGGCUGAUCCGCGAAGAUCACCCUGAUUGGUGGAGUUGAUGGGGCAGGUGCCCCUGCCCUUCUGUGUGGCCGCCUAGAGCCUGAACCCAUUUUCCCUACCGUUCGCUUUGGAGCCUCCUCGAACCUUCUGGAUUACUCUAAUUGAUGAAUCCCGAAAGGCCGUAUCAAAUGACAUUAGUCUGAGUCCAUCUUCCCUUGCUAUUGACGUAUAGGUAUGCGUAUGCCUGUCUUUCGACACUUAUCCAAGAUUGGAGUAAGCAAUCAUAGCCUAGUUGACGUUCGCGGUAUUCUCUGUAUGUAAACCUGACAUGUGGACCACCUUUGGUUAUUUCUAGCUGACCCCUAUAGAAAUAGACAAUCAACAAAACUCAUGGAAUUCUGUUAGUGAUAACCCUAUAUCUACUAGGUGUUUUGCAUAUAGAUCCAUUUUCAUGUCUAAUUGACGGUUAAAAUUUGGAGUUACCUACCAUCAACAACUCCCCCAAGCUUACCCUUUGCUCAUCUCUAAGCAAAGAUAAAAUCAGUGAUGGAUCAAGAAUUGCUACAAUGCUUUCAUGCCUCAAAAGUACACAUGCGUUCAAACAAGAACUCUCCUCCGAAAUAGAGUGAACAAUUCUGACUCAAAACUUACUCAUAUUACCUUCCACCAUGGGGCUUGUAGCCAUCACUUGGGUCUUGAGCAGUUGAAAGACAGAACAAUCAAGUCAACUACUAUCUUUCUUGCUCUUUGAUCAACUAUUAUUCUAGAGUUUUUGUAAGUUUUUAAAAUAAAACUCAGAGUUUCCUUAUAUGACCCUUUCAAGUCUCUCAUUUGUGGUAUUUUUGGAUCCUUACCAAGGCAUGAAUGGUAUAUGCCUUCUCUCUACUCUCAGAGUAUGUGGUAUUUGUGGAAUUAAGGAAUAGUGGCAUUAUGCCCUCUCUCUCUCUCACCCUACAUCUAAUAGGCUUAUGUGGAGCUCAUAGGUGGGGAGACAGCUCAAACAUACAUGCAACAUAUGUUGUAUAGUUAAAACCAUGGAUCCAAAGAAACGAGUCAUACAAUCAAAGUAUAUGUGCAUGUGAAUAAGAGGAGUGCAGCGAGUGAUAUAAAUGGUGAUGAUGAUAGUGGUGGAGAUCUAAUUCUACAUUUGCUCCUUGGUGAUAACAUACCUCCCUUAUUUGGAAACUAAAGACCUUGGAGGAAAUUGGCUUGCUCUCUGUCUUUUUUUCUUUCUUGGGACAUUUGUCCUCUUUCUUUCUUUCUUUUCUUUAUCUCUUUUUUCUAGGAGCAACCAAGCCUCCUACUAGAAAUAUAUGAAUAGGGAAUGAUAACUAGAGUAACUGGAGCUUUAUUGGAUGAUGGAAAAAAGAUAGGAUGGCGACAUAUAUUUUUGGUGUUCACUCCCAGUGUAGGAGAAGAACAUUUUCUAAAUGAAUGAAGUGAAUGCAUGUGAAUAGAGGAGUGUGUAGUCCCAGGGUAGGAGUAGCACGUGUGCAUGGAGUGUGUAUAUAUGUGGGUGGUACUUCCAGGAACAGAAGUAGCACAGAGUAAAUGGGGGCUUACUUCUGAGGACAGAAGCAGCAUAGAUCAAUGGAUGGACAGCACAUAAUAUUGACUUUAACUGCAUGACUAAUUCCUAAGGGUCAACACAGCUUAACUACACGCAAUGCCUACAAGCAGUAUAUUAAAGUGGAUGGCUUUCCUAAUCUAGCAAGCAUGUAUAUUUGGCUGUGGUAGGAACUUUGAACUCUCAUCAUACAGGAACUCAUCAUGCAGCAAUUUAAGUUUUUCAAAGAUAAAUUCUCUAGAACUCUAGUAUCUCUAUGAACAAGAUGGACAACAGCUCAAAACCUUCCAAUAUCAUAUACGUCAACUACCUUGACUUAGAUCAAGCAUUCGCUACCCACAAGUUUUAGGUUUAGAACAGACCUCAAAUCAAAACAGUUGUUUCCAAAACUCGGGAGAGUUCAAGGUUGAAAACUAGGUACUUGAAAGGAAUUACGGUAGAGCAACUAUUCAUCAUUUCCAUAUAAGAGAUUAUUCUAUAGGGUCUCUUUUAGCAGGAAAUUCUUCCAAUACUCUCCUAAAUAAAUUUUAUUUAGCAAACUUAAUAUCAAAUAGAAAGAUAGAUAUAGAUAUAAAUAAAUGGGGAAAUCUUUAUUUGGGUUUUUAUGGUUAUGUAUCUUUUUAUUUGUUUCAAAUAAAAUAGCACAUUUAAUAAAUAGAUAAGUGAGUGAUACUUAGUUGGAUAAACAGGAGUCCUCUCCCCCAAAGUGGAUGUUGACGUAGUCUAUUGGUGUUGCUAGAUGGUAGUGAAGGCGUACUUGUCCUCCCGGAGUGUCAGGGAUGGUUGCUGUUGAGAUAGCCUCGACUGUUGAAAAUAGCACUGCGACAAGGGAUAGAACAUCCAUCUGCCUGUUGGUUCUUCUUGAUCCUAUAAAUUUUGUGAGGCUCAAAUAAACAACAAAACUUGUGGAACUGAUUAAGUGUUAGUGGUAAAACCCCUAAGCCUUGGUUGAUUAAACUUUCUUAAUAUAUUUAGCAGGACCAUAAGAUAUAUUUUUAUAUAUUUUAUUAUAUGUAGAAAAUGUAGUAAGAUGAAAACUUAUUUUUAUGCCACUACCAUGGAUAUCUUUGUGGGCUACCGCACCACAAAAUUAUCCACAUGGGGCUUAGCAUUUUCUAGAUGCAGUACUAAAAAGGGAAAUAUUGAUAAAAAUUACCAAGUUACCUCUUAGCACGGUGUUUGGUGCUUUAGGUCCUGUGAAUAGGACCUUACCAUGUGUUGACGGUUCUUAAGUAUCAAUUUUAAUUAUCAAAUAAACAAGAGAAAGGACCAAUAUACAAACAACACCUAGAAUUAGGGUUUGAUCUAACAGAAUUCCAUGAGUUUUGUUGUUUAUCUGUUUCUGCAGGGGGUUAUCAGGAAAUAAGGAAGAAAGGCCCACAUGUCGGGAUUACGUAGAGAUAUCAACGCACCGUGCAAUUUUCUACCAUCUAGAAGACUCCAGAAGCCACGAGAAUGACGCAGAGGCUGAAAGGGGCUAGGCCUAGGGCGCCCGCCCUGAGGACCUGGGCGCCCGCCCCCCUCUGUACUCCAAUCGGGACUCUUUUCGCACACGACAUUCCACCGACCUAAAGGAUCAAGGAUAACCGUCCAAUCAAUGUCGCUUUGAUCCAACGGCUCACGUUCACUUGAGGGGACUAUAAAACCAGACCCCCUGGCCCCUGGAGGAGACAAGUUUAUCAUAGAGUUGAGGGGAGCCCUCGAAGGAAAACCUCUUCUCUAAAUAAAAUUUCUUUUUAGGCUUAGCAACCAAUGUGAGUAGAAAUAGAUCUUCUAGUUUCUACUAGAUUGAGAGAGAUAGAGUGGAGGUGUAGAUCGGAGGAAGCCCGGCCUGUCCGUGUCUACUCCGAGCUUGUACCUACGGGAUCAAGUUCUCCUAACCCGAGGCUUGCUCCUAGGAUUCUUCAGUAUUUCGACUUCUAAAUGCUAGUAAGUUCUUAUUUUAUUGUUCUUUUGGUUUAUGAGUUUACUUUAAUCUCUUCGCGUAGAGUUUAGAGAAAUCAUCUCUAGCGUAGACGUGGUGUUUAAGCUAGGAUACUCAUAGAUAUUCCCUGACUAGCUAGACCGUGGUAGUAGCGAGGAACGUGACAUUUCCGAGUUACCUUUGUAGACCAUAUCUCGUUAGCAGGAAGGAUAGGGUUUAUAGGUGCAGGUUGAACAUCCUCUGUGGUGUAUAGAUUCCGUUAGCCUCCCCAAUAGAACAGUGGAUCAUCCUUACCAAGGUUAGAAGGAGAUUAUGGUUGUAGUCUUCUCUAUUUAUCACUCACAUCGAGAAACAUUCUUUGUUGCCUAAAGGGUUAGUAGUAAUAGACCGGGUUAGUUAGAUGCACUCUUUCUCCUAGUGGUAAAAAAAUAAAUACGAUACUCUGGAUAACUUCCCGGGUGAAGUGCUCACCGAUAUCCGUGCGCUUGCGGAUCAAUUCCUUAUUGCGUUCCCAAAUAUCAACAAGCAUUUUUGGCGCCGUUGCCAGGUAGAAAGACGGUUUGCUGAGAUAACCUUGAGUCUUACUACUAGCUUGUAUCUAUACUUUUAUCUUUUCUUAUCUUUUGUAUUCUGUAUUUAUUUUCUUUACUAUUACCUUAUGGAAAACCAAGAUUCUAAAUCAAUCUACCAAUUUGCAGCACCUUCGGAAACUGACCUUUUACCAUGGGAGUCAUCACAGCCUAUCCAAACAUCCCAGUAUAGGUUAAGUUCUAAGUUGAUUGCCAUGAUUCAACACCUAUCUUUUCGGGAAAGGAAGACGAAAACCCUUACCUUCAUAUUAGAGAUUUUGAGCAAACAUGUGAUUGUCUUCGCACUGAAGGCAUUUCUGAUAAAACUUUACGUUGGAAGCUUUUUCCUUUUUCCUUAAGGGGUGAAGCUAGACAAUGGUACAGUCAGAAGGUAAGUCAACAAUGAGGUGAAUGGGGAGUUUUAAGAGCCAAGUUUUGUCUAGAUUUCUAUUCCCUCGACCGUAUCGGCGACCUUAGACUCGAUGUCCUAUCUUUUAAACAAAAAGAUAAUGAAACUUUGGGAAAAUCCUGGAAACAUUUUUUUGAUCUUUUAGAAUCUAGUCCAAACCUUAAUCUUGAAGACCCUGUUCUUUUAUUUCACUUUUUUCGAGGUCUUCAAAAAAAUCAUAAACAAAUGCUACACACAAUGUCUGGAGGUUCUUUCUUUCGCAUCCCUACUGAUGAAGCUAGAGUGAUCCUAGAUAGAAUCCUAGAAGCUGAGAUGGAUAAUACCCUUCAUGAUGAAACCUACAAAGCCGAAGUAGACACUCUGCCAAAUUCUUCAUCUACUUUAGCUAUCCCAAGUUCUGAUCCACAAGAGGAAGAAAUUCCACCACCGGACUUCAUGCUGGAUAUAGAAUCCGAUAUUUUUGCCGAUUUUGGAAACAUUUGAAACUACCAUUCUAUUGACAAACCCCAAAACGACCAGUUUAGCAUUUAUUUGCCAAGUUAAUAUCAAUUGAGAGAGCUUAUCUCAGUCAUGAGUAGCGAGUGGUUGGAGGAAUCGGAGCUUUCCUCUGAUGUGAUCCGUUUGGACACACCCUCUAUAACUAUACGCUGUGCUUAUGAUUCUGAUCGAUUUAAUGCUCUCUAUAAUCCUGUUAUGGGGAUCAACAUCAUGUCUGAAUCUUUUGCACUUAAAUUAUUUAAAAAUCUUGCCUUAACCCCCACAACGGAAGUCAUAAAGGAAUCUUCGGGACGAUUAGUCCCCAGUCUUAGAAUUAUUAAUGUCCUACCUCUUACGGUAGAAGGCUCCAUGGUUCAUUUGAACUUCUAUAUCUUUGAUACAUGGGACUUCGACCUGUUGAUAGGACAACCUUUUAGAAGACUCCUUUAUGAAGGUCAUAUUGGAAAGCUACACAUUUCAUUUGGAAAAACCUUUAAAUUCCCAAUAACAAUUUCACACUCUUAAACAAUAAGGCCGAGUCAUAUCUUUUGCCAGAUCCUAUGGAGGAGGUAAAGGCUGCAUCUCUUGAACUUUUAGAUGAACCAGACUUAGAAGACGAAACUCCUUUCUUCAUAGAAGAAGAAGCCGAACCUUCUGAACCUGAACCCUUAGAUGAGUUUGCAGAAACACCUAGACCCCCCAUAGAGCUUAAAACUUUACCACCCGAUCUUAUCUAUGCUUUCCUAAACAAUAAUCCAGAGUUUCCUGUGAUCAUUAGUGAUAAACUCACUCAGGAGCAAACUCUGCGAUUAAUGACCAUUCUUGAGAAACAUCACUCAGUUUUCGGCUACUCACUCCAGGAUCGUACAGGAGUCAGUCCUAUGAUUUGUACCCAUCGUAUUCCAACAGAUCCUUCUGUUUCACCUUCUCAAGAACUCCAACGUAGACUUAACAACACUCUGAGAGAGAUAGUUAAAAAGGAAGUUAUAAAGUUGCUGCAUGCAGGGAUUAUAUAUCCUGUGCCGUACAGUGAGUGGGUAAGCCCAGUACAAGUUGUGCCUAUAAAGGGAGGCAUGACUGUUAUUAUGAAUGAAAAGAACGAGCUAAUUCCGCAACGCACCAUCACAGGAUGGCGGAUGUGCAUAGACUAUAGAAAACUAAACAAAGCCACAAGAAAGGAUCACUUUCCUUUACCUUUUAUAGAUGAGAUGCUAGAGCGAUUAGCGAACCAUUCGUUCUUUUGUUUCUUAGAUGGAUAUUCAGGGUAUCACCAAAUCCCGAUCCAUCCCGAUGAUCAAAGCAAAACCAUUUUUACAUGCCCAUAUGGAACUUAUGCUUACCGUAGAAUGUCUUUUGGGUUAUGUAAUGCACCAGCUUCUUUUCAAUGAUGCAUGAUGUCUAUAUUUUCUGAUAUGAUUGAAGAGAUUAUGGAAGUUUUCAUGGAUGAUUUCUCUGUAUAUGGAAAAACUUUUGAUAGUUGUCUUGAAAACUUAGACAAGUUUUUGCAUAGAUGUGAAGAAAAGCACUUAGUCCUUAAUUGGGAAAAAUGUCAUUUCAUGGUUAGGGAAGGAUAGUGCCGGGACACCUAGUGUCUGAAAGAGGAAUCGAGGUAGACAAAGCUAAAAUUGAAGUAAUUGAACAACUACCUCCAGCUGUGAACAUAAAAGGAAUUCAAAGCUUUCUUGGCCAUGCUGGUAUUUAUCGUAGAUUCAUAAAAGAUUUUUCAUUUAUUGCUAGACCACUUACUCUUUUGCUAGCCAAGGAUGCUCCUUUCGAAUUUGAUGAUGCAUGUCUAACAUCUUUUAGUUUAUUAAAGAAAGCACUCAUCUCUGCACCAAUCAUUCAACCCCCUGAUUGGUCGUUGCCUUUUGAAAUUAUGUGUGAUGCUAGUGAUUAUGCUGUGGGGGCAGUAUUGGGACAAACUAAAAAUAAGAAGCAUCAUGCAAUUGCUUAUGCCAAUAAAACUUUGACAGGAGCUCAACUUAACUAUGCAACUACUGAAAAAAGAGCUUCUGGCUGUUGUCUUUGCCAUUGAUAAAUUUAGAUCUUAUUUAGUUGGAGCUAAAAUAAUUGUUUACAUUGAUCAUGCUGCACUAAAAUAUUUGCUCACUAAAAAAGAUGCUAAACCUCGCCUGAUUAGAUGGAUCUUAUUACUCCAAGAAUUUGACUUAGAAAUAAAAGAUAAAAAGGGAGUAGAAAAUUCUGUUGCAUAUCACUUGUCUAGAAUGUAUUUUAAGAGUCCACAGGAAACCGCCAUCAAUAAUUCACUCCGGGACGACAUGCUCUAUGGGAUUAACAGGUCUGACCCCUGUUAUGCAGAUAUUGUUAAUUUUAUGGUUUCAGGGUAUGUACCACCAGGAGCAAACAAGAAGAAGCUUAUUCAAGAAAGUCGUUCACAUAUAUGGGAUGAGCCAUACCUCUUCCGAGUAUGCUCUGAUGGCUUACUCAGGAGAUGUGUGACCACUGAGGAAGGAUGGAAGAUCAUCGACAGAUGUCAUUCAUCACCAUAUGGAGGUCACUAUGGAGCAUUCCGUACACAUUCAAUGAUCUGGCAGUGUGGAUUCUACUGGCCUACAAUGUAUGAAGACACGAAGCAAUAUAUCAGAAGAUGUGUGUUGAUAUUUGGGAACGCAAUAAGGAAUUGAUCCGCAAGCGCACGGAUAUCGGUGAGCACUUCACCCGGGAGGUUAUCCAGAGUAUCGUAUUUAUUUUUUUACCACUAGGAGAAAGAGUGCAUCUGACUAACCAGUCUAUUACUACUAACCCUUUAGGCAACAAAGAAUGUCUCUCUAUGUGAGUGAUAAAUAGAGAAGACUGCAACCGUGGUCUCCUUCUAACCUUGGUAAGGAUGAUCUACUGUUCUAUUGGGGAGGCUAACGGAAUCUAGACACCACAAAGGAUGUUCAACCCGCACCUAUAAACCCUAUCCUUCCUGCUAACGAGAUAUGGUCUGCAAAGGUAACUCGGAAUUGUCACGUUCCUCACUACUACCACGGUCUAGCUAGUCAGGGAAUAUCUGUGAGUACCCCAGCCUAGACACCACGUUUACGCCAGCAAUGAUUACUCUAAACUCUACGCGAAGAUAUUAAAGUAAACUCAUAAACCAUAAGAACAAUAAAACAAGAACUUACUAGCAUUUAGAAGAUGAAAUACUGAAGAAUCCUAGGAGCAAGCUUCGGGUUAGGAGAACUUGAUCCCGCAGGUACAAGCUUGGAGUAGACACCGACAGGCCAGGCUUCCUCCAAUCUACACCUCCACUCUAUCUCUCUCAAUCUAGUAGAAACUAGAAGAUCUAUUUCUACUUUACAUUGGUUGGUAAGCCUAAAAAGAAAUAUUAAUUAGAGAAGAGGUUUUCCUUCGUUGGCACCCGUCAAUCUCUAUGAUAACUUCUUGUCUUCUCCAGGGGCCAGGGGGGUCUCCUUAUAUAGUCCUCCUCCUCUAUGCGUUUUUGGGUCGGUAGGCGAGGUGGUACUACAUUAUCUUUGAUCCAUUAGGUCGGUGGAACAUCGUGUGCGAAGAGAGUCCCGAAAGACUUCCAGCAGGGGGCGGGCGCCCAGGUCCUCAGGGCGGGCGCCCUGGGCCUGGCCCCUUUCGGCCUCUGCUUUCUUCCCGUGGUUUCUCGAAUCUUCUAGAUGGUAGAAAAUCGCGCGGUGCGUUGAUAUCUCUAUGCAAUCCCGACAUGUGGGCCUUUCUUCCUUAUUUCCUGAUAACCCCCUACAGAAACAGAUAAACAACAAAACUCGUGGAAUUCUGUCAGAUCAAACCCUAAUUCUAGGUGUUGGUUGCAUAUUGGUCCUUUCUCUUGUUUAUUUGAUAAUUAAAAUUGAUACUUAAGAACCGUCAACAAAUACCCCCAUACUUAGGCUUUUACUCAUCCUCAAGAAAACGAUGGUUAAGAAAAAUAUCUGGGGUAAACAUUUAAAACAUUCUCUUUAUAAUUGUAGGGUGUUAAAAAUCCACUGUGUAUCAUAGUCAGGGAAGUUUAUGGUUAAAAGUAAAGAUCCUUUCUUCUCAAUCCUGUCAUUUGGAGUUUUUGUAUAUUUUUGGAAGAAAGUUAGCAUACCUUUUUAUCCUCAUAGGUUCUCUCAGAUCACUCAUUAUCUUUUAUAUAUAUCUCACUGAGGCUAUUUUAAUUUGCAAAAAUUCUCAAGCAUACUUACUUUGCAUUUAUUGCCUGAUCAAAAGGGAUCCAAGGAGGGGAAUGUCAUACUCUUAGAUCAAAGACUUUGGAAAUUAAAAUCUUUGUCAACUCUUGCUGGCAUAUUGCUUAUUAGAGGGACCAUGGGCUAUCAUUUUCUUCUUUUCUUUUCUUUUUUUUAAGUGAAUACUGAGGUAUCCCUAAUUCUACUGCCGGACACUUGUCUAUUUUUCUGCGAGGUUGUCGAGCAUUUGCUCCUUUUUAUUUCCUCGAAAUAUCUUUAUUUUUGCAUAGCCCAUGCCUCUAAUGCAAUAAUACUUUGGAAGAGUGAAUCUUUCUGAAUAAAUGUCUUGAUCUUAGGAGCUUGAUAAAUCUCUCAACAAGGGUCUAACUCAUUUUGAACAAACUCAAUACAGAGUAGAUAGCUUUUAUAAUCAUAAUUAAUAUUUUCAGUUUUAUCAGGCAUAUAAAACACUGAGGAUGGUAGCUAGAAUUUUGAAGAUUUUGAAAUAAAUUCUCCAAGCAACAAUGAUAUCAAGAAUAAGAAACUCAUACUCUACCAUCUCACAUUCCAUACUGUCUUAAGUAACACAGGGUUUUAAAAUGAUUUUAUAAUAGUUAUAAGUUUUAGGAAAUAUCACAGAGUGAGAUUAAUCAUGAUUAGAAAUAUUUUAAUCUUUUCAAUUUAUCAUGUCGGAAACAAUAUUCUGCAUAAUCCAAGAUAUGUGUACGUGUAAAGUAAAGUGUGCAGAGUGUGUGCCUGAAUCGUGGAGUGGUGUAGUCGGAGUGUGUUUGGCAUGUCGCGGGAUCUCCCCCAUACUUGUUUUCUGCUUUCUUACAAAAAAUAAAGUAGAGACACACAAGACAUAAUAAUAAUAAUAAUACUCUUUAUUAAUCUUGAGGCAUUUAUUACAAAAGACUAGUAGCAAACUGACGAUAGAAGUAACAAACUGAUGAUAAGAAUAAACCUAAAUCGAAUUUAAAGUUAGAUGACUAAGAUGCAUUGCCUCAAGGUCUAAUCUAGAUAACUUAGCGGCGCUCUAAUUCCUUGAUCUUCUUGUUGGCACUGGCAAGAUCCUGCCUAAGGCCUAGUAUAUUGGUAUUGUGGUUAGAGAGCUGCCUAGUGAGGGAAUUAAUCGAGGACUGGAGGUCUAUGAUAACUCUAUCUAGUCUGCGAACAUCCUCAUCAAUAUCCAUUAUAGUCUUGCGACGCUUGGGAGGUGUCUCAAAAGCAUUGAGAGCGUGCUUUGGGGCUGCCUUUGGAGGGAUGAAACGGACUUUGGCUGCUCUAAUCCCUUCAAAGUAAGGCCUUUCCUCCUCCGUAGUGUAGCGAAUACUGCUGAUCUCACCACUCUGGUUGGUCUUGACUCCAACGACCCUCUAAUUGCGUCUAGGUGGAAGGAUCCUUGUGCCGGUUGGCACCUUGAUGGUGGUCUUCGUCUUGGAUGAUGAUCCUUUGAGGAGUAGGGGCUGUGGCGGUGCGGUGAGAACUGGUUGAGCAUGGUAGGAUUGGGCGGAGCUACGUUGGCGUAAUGACAUGGCUUCUAGCUGUCGCUCUGUGUUGGCCGGGAUGAGAGCACGGGCAUCUGGGUCCUCCACAGGCUCCAUGUUGAGGUUGAAGGGUGUUGACGGUCCUUAAGUACUAAAAUUAAUAAUCAAAUAAACAUGAAAAAGGAUCAAUAUGAAACAAACAUCUAGAAUUAGGGUUUUAUCUGACAGAAUUCCACGAGUUUUGGUGUUUAUCUAUUUCUGCAGGGGUUUAUUAGAAAAUAUGGAGAGAAGUCCCACAUGUCAUGUUUACAACGAGAUAAUUACGUGCCGCGCAAUUUUCCUCAAUCUAGAAGGAUCCAGAAGCCACGGGAACGAACGGGACGCGAUUCGGGCUCGGGAGCUGGGCGGCCGCCCACCCCCCUUGGGCGCCCGCCCUGGCCAGGAAGCCAAUCAGGACUCUGCUUCGGGACAGCUCUCCACCGACCUAAAGGAUCAAUCUAAACCAUACAAUCUAUGUCGGUUUGAUCCAAUGGCUCACGUUCACUUGAGGGGACUAUAAAACCAGACCCCCUGGCCCCUGGAGGAGAGAGGAGAAAUCAUUAUUCAGAGGUAGCCAUCAAAGUUAGAGUUUAGAUCUCUCUCCCACAGAGAAUUAGAAUUAGCUACUCCCUAAUCCUUCAAGUUUAGAGGUUGAUUAGAUAGCAAUUAGAGAAGUAGAGCACUACGCUCUGGAUUCGGAUCUUCGGUAAUAAAGAUUAGUAUUAUUCAUAUCUUUCUCUAAUUCCAUUGUUCUAAUUGCAUUAUGUCUCUAAUUAUUAUGUUCUUAGUUUGCUCUAGUUCUAUAUUUGAUAUAGUUCUAAUUGAUAAUGAGUUUAUGUAUAAGUUUGCAAAGCGCUUAUCUCUUGUCACGAGGGAGUUAGGUGAUAGAUCACAUGUGAGCGUGGUGCUUAGAUGUUAUUUAUCUGCAAAUGUAUCCUAUUGGCCGAGUCGUGUGGUAGUUCGCGAUAGUGACAGCUUCGUUGAUUCUUAUAUAGUCCACCCUCCGUUGAUAGGACAGGCAGAACCGGUAUUGUGGAGUAAGUCAUGCGAUGUUCUGAUUUACUUUAUCAAUGUUCCUUAUACAUGAAUGAAGAGUCUUUUAUGCUAUAUAUGAUCUUGUAGAUAACUAGGGUAGAUUAUGACUUAGUAGUUAGUAUUUAACUUAGAAUCCAUUCUCUAGCUAAUCCGACAUCACCUACAUAUAUGAGGAGUAGUCUAUUUUCUAAUCGCUGUGUUAUCUACCCAUGAACUUAUACUUUAUUAUCAUUAUCUUUAUGGUUUACCCCCUGCUAAAGUAAGUGACUGUAUGACGAGUUUCUCAUUAGUAAUCAUGUUCUAGCAAGUUUAUCUCUAGUCUAUGCCUUGAUAGAUUUUGCCCCUUUGAUUUAAUUCCAUCUUCUUUAGAUCCCUAGAGCAAAAUUAUAAAUAACGAUACCUGGAAUACUUAUCCUGGUGAAAUGCUACAAUGAGGUGUUUUAUCUGUGCGCUUGCGGAUAGAAUAGAUUAUUUUCUAGAGAGCCUUUACAUUUAUAAAUACCUUUGUACACUCUGGCGCCAUGCUAGGGAUGACAACCUAGUAUCUAAGUGGUGUUAGCUAGUGUCAACAAAGGGGACGACUUCCCAAUCAUCGUGGCACUUCUCGGCCAUUGGGGCAGCAAGGAACUAAUCAAGCUCUAAUUGAGGAAGAGAAGGCUUGGUGGUUUGGUGUUUGAAAACUGAUGUCAGGGGUCAGUUUAUAUAGGGGUCAAAAAGUGCCUCUAGGGGUUGUUCGGGUUGCUCCCGUCGAUGUGCGUGCGAAACUUUCCAUCGGAGGGAUUAUUCGGAUUACCAUAAGUGCAUUUUCCAUAACAGAGAAAAUUGGGACCGAGGGGGAACAGGAGCUGGGUGCCCGCCCACCUGAUCUGGGCGCCCGCCCUCUCUCUGGCCCCUCUAUGGGCCUACUUUCUCGAGCGCGUUACUGGAUGCAAAAUUAUUUAGAAAAAUAUAUAUAUGACCCAAAAAACAUUAGACUAAAAAGGUCGGGCUCUAAUUCUCCAUGGGAAGGUAAAAAUGGACUAUGUCUAUUUCUUCUAAUUCUUUAUUGGGCUCUAAAAAUAAUUUAAGACGUUGACCAUUACCUUGAAUAACGUACCUUCAUUAUUUUGAAGUGUGAUAGCUCCGUGGGAUGAUGAAUUAAUUACCUUGAAUGGUCCUUCCCAUUUGCUCCGGAGUUUUCCAUGCCUGAAAAGCAUCACCCUGGAAUUAAAAAGUAAUACCUUAUCUCCGGGUGUGAACUCCUUCUUCUUGAUUGUUUUGUCAAGCCACCUUUUGACUCUUUCUUUGUAGAUCUUUGAGUUGUGAUAUGCCUUCUCUCGCCAUUCUUCCAAUUCUGAUAGUUGCAUUCUUCUAUAAUUUCCAGCAACAUCUAGGUCCAUAUUCCAUCUCUUUAUGGCCCAGUGUGCUUUGAACUCUAGUUCAACAGGUAGAUGGCAAGUCUUCCCGUACACCAAUUGGUAUGGAGACAUUCCAAUUGGGGUCUUGUAUGCUGUCCAGUAUGCCCAGAGUGCAUCGGGUAACUUGUCUUUCCACGCUAUUUCCCAUUUCAUUUACUGUCUUCUGAAGAAUAUUCUUGAUUUGCUUGUUGGAAGUCUCUGCUUGGCCACUUGUCUGAGGAUGAUAUGGGGUAGCGACGUUGUGACGGAUUCCAUGUUUUGAUAGAUAUUGCUUGAAGCGUUUGUCGAUGAAGUGUGCUCCUCCAUCACUUAUCACUACUCUGGGGACUCCAGAUCUUGGAAAUAUAAUUUCUUCAAACAUCCUCUUUGAACUGAUAUUGUCGGCAUGCUUGCAAGGUAAUGCCUCUACGCACUUAGAGACAUAGUCAACUGCCACCAAGAUGUACUCGCACUUCUUUGAUGGAGGAAAUGGUCCCAUGUAGUCUAUUCCCCAUACAUCAAAGAGCUCAAUCUGAAGGUUGUUGGUGAGUGUAACACUCCUAGUGUUAGCUUGCAUGUUAACCUUGAGCAUUGCAUUAACAUAAGCAUCAUCAUGAUCACUCAUGAGCAUCAUACCAUGAUCACAUGCCAUUUGCUUUAUACACUACAUGAUUAAAUUGCUUGAGUGACUUGAAUUGAGUGUUUAUAAGGGGUAGCCAAUGCAAAGAAUUGUACAUUGUCCUCCAAAAUACCUCAAUCAUGUUUAUAAUAUCAUUUGGAACAAAGUUCAUGUUGAAGGUUUUGGCCAAAAAUGCCCCUAAGUCAUGGUUAACCCUAGAAUGACCUUUUUGACCCUCCUAGACCUCCUUUCAAAGAUGUUUUAUGAAACUGGUGUUAGACAUCUUGCAUGUCUUUGACACCUGAAACAAAGUUGUAGAGAAUUUCAUAAGCUACAAAAGUUAUGUUGAUGAAUUUUUAUGAAAAAGCUUGGAACACAUUCAAAAAUUGCUCACAAGCCAAAAAUUAGGGCUGAUUUCACACUUAGCCGAAUUUGGCUAAGUGUUGGAUCGCGCAGUUUCGACCAAGGGAUGUUUGGAGCUUUGUAGUUUGAAAUCCAGACCGAGUUAGACUUUGAUCUUGUAACCAAAGUUGUAGAGCUCGUGUAGCUCUGCCCAGAGGACCAAAUCCCAGCCAAAACCAUCGACUGAUCUGAGAGUAAAACGUUGACAAAGUUCGAGUUUCAGUCACUGCAAUCGGCUGUUUUCAGAAAAACGAUUCAGUUGGACAGAGCUCACCCGCCGCCGCGUGUCCGGCCACCUGGCGGCCGUACGUCGACGGCGACCCCGCCUGUCAGCCCCGACGUCGUCCACAAGACGCCACGCACCGGGUGGACGCCUCAGACGCGCCAUUCACCCCUCCAGAGCGCCACAUUGCGCCCGCCUUCGUCCACGGCGAGCUCCGCCGCGCUUCGGCGAGCUCCUCCGGCCGUUCCACCGCUUCUCCGGCCAAGCCAGCUCGCCAAAAGCUUUGCCAGAGCCUCCUCUACCUCGGCGUCACCUCCUUGGCCACUGUCGAGAACGGGUAAGGCGGCAUUGCCAGGCUCCGAGCAGUUCUCCCUCGCCGGAGUUCCGCCCGAGCUCACCGGCAACGUGGCCAGGCUUGUCUGCUCCACCAUUUCCUUCCAUUCUUGCUCCUAUCGCUUCCCCUUGGUUCACUGAUGCUCGGCAUGACGCUCUACCACGUCGCCACUGCCUGGAUCCGCCGGCGUAUCGCCGCGCAGCGCCGGUGCUCCGCCAUUCCCGACGGCGAGCACCUUAGGGUCCAGUAGAGCGCGCGCAAAGUAGGUCAAUAGAGUCGCCUUGAUGAGAGGAACACGUAGGUGCCCUGGGAUCCGGCCGAGACCUCGCCGUCGUUGAGCUUCGCCGGCGACGAGCGUCUCCCCUGCCUCUGUCUCGCUGACACGCGGGUCCCGGACGUCAGCCUCUCUGUGUCUCUCUCUGGUUCACUGUUUUGCAGAGCCAAAGCUGAUUUUGUAAAAUUCAUAUCUGGAGUUUUAGAGAUCCAAAUGUGGUGCUUCCAAUUUUGUUAGGUUCCAGCAUAAGUCUAGUUUUUAAUAAAAAUAUGAAACAUGCCAUGUUUUUGCAGAAAUAAAUAGAUAUAAAUUAAUCUUGGUUUUUCAGUGGGUAAUUUUAUCUUGAGAUCUGUUGAUCUGCUGGCCAUGCAAAUUUAGGGAGUUGUUACUUAUGUUAUGAGUAGGCUCUGAUAAAUUUUUCAUGAUUUUCGGAAGCUUGGUUGGGAAGUUAAAAUUAAUCCUGGCUUAAAUAGGAGAAUCUUGUGGUAUUUUUGAUAAUUAAAGUACAACUCCUUUUAUGGUGAAACUUGCUGAGUGUUGUCCUUAUGAGUAGACAAAGCAAGGAAAAAUCUGAAAUCUGUUGUUUGACACAUUUUGAUAGGGUUUUACAUUUAUGCCUUGCAUGCCUUUACUAGCUUGUGAGUUUCAUACCUCACAAUGUGUACAUGCAAAUGUUCUAAAAAUUUUACAGUGAUCUUAAGUUAGCAUAGGUAGCUUGCUGUAAUUUUCUCAGGAUUUUUGGAACACUUGGAGUAUAUGUUCAUUAAAUCACCUUAAUAAAUAAAUAAAUGGAAAAGGUGAUGAUAGAAAUAGUUUUAGACCUUGCCAUGAUGUUUUCUGGUGUUUCUUAGAUAUGUUAUAUCUACUGGUGCAAUUGGAUUGAUCCUUUGAUACAUUCUUAAUAUGUGCAAAAUAUUAUUUUAGGUAUUUUUGCCUUUCCUAGAGCAUUUCUGUACAGCUGAUAGCAAUUGAUUAAGAACUAUUUGAAGAUUGUAUUUUCUGGGAAACUUGUCUACAACAAACUUGUAGCUAACUUACUAAUCUACUUCGUGUCCAAAUUUCAUGACAUUUGGUUGAGUAGUUUGAAAGUUAUGCAUAUUUCAAGUAGCUACUAUGAAGUGCUUGCUCUCUGGAAUUUCCAGAGCAGCCAGCCAACUUGGUAUGUUUUAGCAUAUUUCGGUUGGGAAUCAUGCUGGGAUGUCUAAAAGUAAAUUGUAGACAAAUUGUUAAGCUUUCCAUAAAGUGCUUACUUGCUUAAUUGGGUUAAGUGAUAUUCGAGUUAUAGCUGAAACUUGUGACUGGUUGGUUUGUCUACUAAACCAGUGGCUGAGUAGGAGUAGCUAGAAGUUGCUUAACUUGUCUAUUUAGCCUCUCUACCAGAGAAGAAGUAUGCAUUUACUUGUUAUUCCAUGACUCACUUAUUCUUAGAAGUUUAUGCUCAUAUUAUACCUUGUUUAUGUCUCUUUGGCUCUUCAUCAUGACAUCAUGCAUCAUAUGUGCAUUUCCCAUAUUCAUCUCCUUGUCAUGCAUCCAUAGGUGUACCCAAAGGAGUGACGGUGCUGGAGUUCGAGUUGCCGGAGCCGGAAGGACAGCAAGGGGAGCCACCUCAAGGAGCUGAGGAGGAGGAGGACUUGCCGGAGUGCCCUGACCAUCGUCCCUCUACUUACGUUGAAGGCAAGCCCCGGAGCAUUAUAAGUCUCCUACUAUUUUAUUAUCAUAAUCAGCUAUCAAAUGACUAUGGUUAUAUAUUGUUGCAUUAAGUGGUAGGCAUUGAUAUGACACCCUUGCUGCAUAAUGACUACCUUGUCCACCUUAAACAUUACCAAAGUAGGUCCAGGAUCGAAGUGAUGCUUAGCCAUGCUUAGCUCGGUAGAAGUCGGGUGAUUUCCUGUCACCUGCGAGAGUUAGGUGGAUGAUGAUCACGGUUGGCUAUAUUUGCUAUCGUGGAGAUAACCAAUUGCUAAAAUGAACUUGAGACCGGGCGGGAUGAUGAUAGUGCAGCAACAAGGCAUGGAGGUCUUGGGUGUGAAUCUAUCCCCGUCUGUGUCGUUUAAGGACCGAAUCGCUGUACGUUCCCGUGUCAUAUUGAACGCAUGCCUAUCACUUAGUUGGCCGGAUAAGUCGUUCCGACCGCGAAGCCUACGAGUGCAUCUCCAGCCGGAUACCCCAUUCGGUUCAAGUGCGCACCCCGGUUGGUAGCAAGGAUGUGCGGGGAGACAAUGGCGUAAGACCGAGGUGUCAGGUUAGAGUCCUGACCCUGGCAGAUUGGCGGUCCCUGGGGGUGCGGCGCCGUACGGACCCGCAAAUUAGUCUGGAGUUGUGCUAAAGGUGAUCCGAGCUGCCGUCAUGAAGUAUGCUUGGGUGAGUGUUAGGAAUACCCCUCCAGCUGGAUAGGAAUCGAUUCGAAUCGCCGUCUCUCCCGGAUAGUGAGAACUUGACUUGGGCAGCGGCAACGUAGAAUUCACUAAAUCAACUUGAUGGUUAUGAUGAGAAUGUUGAUAGCAAAGUGAUAAUCUUGAUAUGGUUAUUAUUGAUAUGCUUAAUUACCCAAGUGUAUGCUUAGAACAGGUGCUAAUCUAGUGGAUAGUUGCUAAGUAAUGAACUUGCUGCUGAAAUAUGAUUAAAUGGAUUAUUUACAGCAAAGGUUUUAUGCAAAAAGUGAGUCAACCCAGUCCACUAAGAUCAGCCUUGCAUACUCCUUGGUGUCACUUUAUUUCUGGUUUAUGACGGGUAAGUCUAGCUGAGUACAUUCUCGUACUCAGGGUUUUAUUUACCCCUGUUGCAGAUGAUGUCGUCUAUCACGGCUAUUGUGCUAACUGUCAUCACCCAGCUGCAGAUGAUGAGUAGAUCAUGGGCGUUAUCACCUCCUGUAUCUUCAGUUGUGCUUUUGCUGGGACUUGACCAUGGAACUGGCAUGUAUUACAAACUGAGUUGAAGUUGUAUCAAAACUACUUUGUUUCCGCUACUGCUAUGGUUUGUAAUAACCUCUUUCAAACUCUGAUGUGAUGUAAAACUAUGUUCUAUGUUGAAUGUUGUAAUCUGUGAUGGUGAUGCUUGAUCAUGUACGAUCUUGGUUGUAUGUUGGUUGAAUCGAAGUCUUUUGAGAUUUCGUCGGACUACCGGGUUUAUAUGGGUUCAAGUCCAUUGGCUUGACUGCCCCAGCGGUCGCUAAUUCACUUGAAUUCUUAUAAAUUGGACGGUUCUGUUACAGCUGGCAUCAGAGCAAGAUUAAGCAUUUAACCAUCAUAGAGGUAUUUAAAAACAAAUGAAUUUGGUUUUCUCAAGCUAAUUUGGUAAAAUUAGGCUAUAUGUAGGGUUGUUGUAAAAAUGUUUUGAUAACUUAUACCAUGCCAGUGGUCAUACCCUUAUGCCCAUAUAAGGACUUCUAGGUGGCUUAAUAUUACUAACAUGGGGGUUUUUCUUUUCGUCGUCCAUAUGGCGUGUAAUUAUAUGGAUACCGCUUACUUAAGUGGCAAUGAAUGGAUCACAUACCUCUACGCCAUGGUAAGCAUUGUUUGUUUUCUUUCGUCGUCCAUACGGCGUGAAAUUGUAUGGAUGCCACUUGCUUGAGUGGUAAUGUAUGGAUCUACAUGCCUCUACGCUACGGUAAGUGUGAGCUGUGAGAGCAUGACCAUCCAACCGUCGGUCUAGGGGAGUGUUAGCUGUGGUUACUGGAAUAUUUACAUGUUUCACACAUGUAUAUAUGAAGGUACUUAAUUGUGGGUAGUAGGUGCAGCCAUAUGUACAUAUUGGAUGUAUAUGUGGGUGUAUCCCAAAUGGGUAGUGUGCUGCGGUAUAUGUUCGGGAAUAUAUACCGGAGUACCUAGCUUGAUUGAUUGUUGAUUGGAUUUACAUUUCUGCACUUAUACUACUGUGGGGCUGGGCUGAAAUGAAAUCUUCUGUAGGUACACUAACAACGAAACGUGUAGACUGUGUAGUUACGUAUAAAGAGUGCACGUAUGUAUGCCACCGACUAUACCGUUAGAACUUUAUUCUAAGUUUGGAAAGGACGUAUGGAACGUGCAUGCAUCAUGAAUCAUUCGUACAUUCUUUAUGCACUAUUUGGGUAUUAAAUUCUGAAAAUAUAUUUCUUCAUCUCUCCUUGUAAUUAAUCUUCCGUACUCAAAUGUGGUCUUUCUACAGAUGGCAGCCCCGCACGCGAGUGAGACUUUCCUGGACAUGUUUGGCACUCCUACUUUGUUGUGGAGGGUACUAAGUUCAGUUGGAUAUGAGGAACCACCUAAGUACACUUGGACCGAGGCUGAGCAUGUAGGGGCUUUACCUUGGGUAGAUGUUCAAAUUACAGUUCCUCCUUGUCCAAAUAACCCACAGUGGCUAGGUUGGUUAGUUGACUGUGAUGGCCAAACUCCUUGGGAGGGUGCCCAGGUAGCAGCCCUGGAGGUUUUGCUAGAGAUUUGCCAAGAUUAUGGUGAUGAGCUAGUGAAUGGCCCAGCGGGAUCCGUUCCCAGAGUGAGUGUGACUGACACAUUCGUGUCCCAGGUUGGGAAUGAGUCUUUAGAGAUGAGAGAAACCUUGCUAGGAUAUAGUUCUAGCCCUGCCAUGAGUGCCAUGCUAGCGGUACUUAAGCUGUACUAUGUGCGCCAGGACACGUACAUAGAUGCCAUGAUAGCGCUUCAACAAGCACAAGUUGGGCAGCGCAAAUUGCGCAAGCGCGUGCGUAAGCACCGCAAGGCCUUUAUGGAUGCCCAAGCUGAAAUCCAAAAUUUCCAUACUGCUUUGCAAGCCCGCCGCAAUCAAGUUGCGAACGCAGUUAGAGAGCGCAAUGAAGCACAAGCCCGCAUGAUGCAAAUGACUAGAGAGAGAGAUGAGGCUAUGCGCUUGGCUGAAAAUAGAGAAACUGCUAGAGUUAGAGCCUUGUUCCAUGCUGAGAUGAGAGAGGAAGAGCUGAUUACUAGGAUUGCUGAGCUGCAGUUGGAUGUCCAUCGCUUGAAUAAUAUUAUAAAUCCUAUCCCACAACCAGCCCCUUUUAAUCAUGAAGAAGCUCCUAGUGAGGAAGAUCAGGAUGAUGGCAUCAUUUCCAAUGGAGAAUCGGAUGAAGAUAUGUAGUCUAGCAAUAAUUCUAUGAUCAUGUGUCAGUUCCAUCUCUUUAUGUAAGGGACAUGUAAUCUGAAUUUUAGUUGAGACUCUAUGUAUUUGGCCAUGGUGCCCCUCCUGUAAAACUUAAGAGUGGCAAUGACUCUAUGUAACCUUAUGCACUUAUUUGUGAGGCUCCAUGUUUAUGUUGAGCUGAAAUAAAUUUCUGCAAUGUCGUUAAUCCUUGAGGAAUUGUGGCUGUGAAUGAUCGUGAGAAUAACCAAGUGUCAUGGAAGAUAUUUUCUUAUUGUACAUGGAUCAUUGUGCCUUAAUUUAUGUGAAUUUACUUCAUUAAAUUCUGUAUGGCAGCAAUUGAAGUUCAUGACAAUUAUAUCUUUUGCCUGAAACAAUCGCUUGGUAUGCCUUGUGCAGAUGGCUCGCAAUACUCGCUCCGGUCACAACGAGGUUCCACCGCCACCACCUCCUCCCCCGCCUACGCCUACUGAGCUAUUGGCAGCUCUUGUUGAGGGUCAGCGUAUGCUCAAUGAGGCUAUGCAAACUAUGGCGCAGCAGAACCGGGGUGGUCGCCAUGCCCGCCAAGGCGGAGAGGCAAAUCAGUACAGCAGUUUCAAGGAUUUCCAGGACACCAAGCCACCGCUGUUCAAGGAGGCUGUUGAACCUCUAGAAGCUGAUGAGUGGCUUAACACUCUUGAGCAGAAGUUCCGCUUGCUACGGUUAACCGAAGAGCUAAAGGCGGAAUAUGCAGCCCACCAGUUGGAGGGCAAAGUAGGUGUCUGGUGGAGUCAUUACAGGACUAGCUUACCUGCCAAUGCUGUUGUAACCUGGGAUCAGUUCACAACUGCUUUCAGGAAUACUUAUAUUCCACAAGGCCGAAUGACUAUCAAGCACACCGAGUUCAUGAACCUGACGCAAGGCGCUAAAAGCUUGACUGAGUAUCUUCAUGCUUUUAAUAAUUUGUCUUGCUAUGCUCCUGAGAUGGUUGACACCGAAGUCAAGAAGCUCGCUAGUUUCAAGAGAGGGUUGGGACCCAAGUUGUCCAAGAAUAUGGCUGGUAACAAGAGUACCACCUUUAAUGAGUUUGUGAGUGAUGCGUUGACUCAAGAGAACUCCAAUGCCGUGUAUGCCACGUCCAAGAACCGCAAGAGAGCCUAUGAGGCAGGUGCUUCACAGUCCAAGGCUCCAGUGGCAAGCAAGCCGGCCUAUCGCCCACCCAAUGCUGUGACAAGGUAUAGGCCGCCGCAGAAAAAGUCAAAUGUGAAGACGGGAGUUCGCAAGUCUUUCACAGUUGCUCUCCCAAGAGGUGCCACGGGUCAAGGAGGUCCUAAGACUCCUUCUGAUAACCGUCCCUGCUUCAAUUGCAAGCAAGUUGGUCACUGGGCAAGAGAUUGCCCUUAUCCUAAGAGAAAUGCUGCAGCUGGAGGCAACAACCGUAUGGGUCGUGUGCACUACACCACGGUUGAAGAAAUCCCAGAAGGAGAAGCAGUUACUGCUGGUAUGUUCCUUGUAAAUCAACACCCUGCAGUUGUCUUAUUUGAUUCGGGAGCAUCGCAUUCGUUUAUGAGUCAAGCAUUUGCAUCUAAACAUGGGCAGCAUGUAGUUGAUCUUGACAGUUGUAAGUUUUGCAUUAGUGCUGUAACAUCCCUGAUGUUACGGUUACUAAAAACGGAUCAUGUCAUCAUGAGCAUUGCAAAUCAUAAUUGUUAAAGCACAUUAGUAUGCAUCAAUUUAAAAUAAGUUUACUUUGAGUGCUUGUGCUUAGGGAAUUAAAGUGUGCUUACAUUGUGUUUGGAUGCUUGUGUUGGAUGCUAAAACCCUAGGGUGAAAGAUUUCCGAAGAGCUAAGGGGGGGAAAACCCUGAUUUCUGGAUCCUAGAUUUGCCCCUUUUUGUUUAAUUUAAAAACUAAGCAAAAUUUGAGGUUGAGUUCAAAAGCAAAGUUGUGAAUCUUGGCAAGAUGUACAACUUUGGUGUUUUGAGUUUUUGAAGUUUCAAUACAAAAUUCAAAGUAAUUUUGAAAAUACAGAUUUCCAGAAAGUGUCCCCUUUUCCAACUUAAACCGCCAAUUCAAAAUCCAUUUGGAAUUUUGAAAAAUGGUCAACAUGAAAGUUGUAGAGCACAAAAAGUUGAGCAACUUUCAUGUUGGGAGUUUUUCAAGUUAUUAUACAAAAUCAAAAGUAAUUUUGGAAAUUCUAUUUUGCCCCAAUUCAAAAAUUUGGAAUUUCUUUGAUUUGAGUUUGAUUUUCAAACUGUUUGGUCAAAUUCACCCUGUUACACUCAAAAUUAGUUCUGGACUCUUAAAUAGGUUUUGUAGCUUAUAAAAUUUGGCACAAUUUUUGUUUUGGUGGAAUUUGGAGUUUAGUUCAAAGUUUGGCUGAUUUUCGCAAGGGGACAAAAGAGAGGAGAUAAGGGGGAGCUACAGUGAUCCAGGGGAUCACGAGCUCGUCCACCCCGGUGGCAGGGCGGGCAGGCGCCGCCUCCGCGCGCGACGCCACGCAGCUGGCCACGCAGCUGCUUGCUGCUGUGCUUCGCGCGGACGGCCUCAUCCACAUCCCCUGCUCCGCCGCUUGGAUAAGACCUCGGACGGCCGGAGUGUUUCUUUUCCUUCCUUUGAACCUCGCCGCCGACCACCACCAUCCGCCGCCAAAAUUCGUCCUCCUCGUUGCCUUUCCACGCGAAGUGAGCACCCCAGCGACUCCGCCUUGAACCCAGCCACCGAUUGCGCCCCCAAGCGCAAGCGCUAACCCACCAGAGCCCUUUCCCGAGCCGCUCUUCUCCAACUCCGGCCAGGGUCGCCGCCGAGGGAUCCUUCACGUGGACACGCUGCUCCAGUCGGUACCACGCCUUGAAGGCGGUCGUUUCGAGCUCUUCUUGUUUCCCCGGUGCUCAUGCGCUCGUUUUCCCUCCUUGGACGUGAACAGGGCCACCGAGACGACCUCACCGGAGCCGGGGCGCCGCCCGACUGCACGGCCACCGUCGCCAAGCUUCUCGGUUGUGUCUUCCGCCGUGGUGGUGUGAGCACCAUGAUCCCCAUCCCUUCCUGGCCCUCCCGAACCUGUUGGUUUGUGCUCUACCAAGCCCCGAGGACCGGUCUACGGCCGGCCAGGGUGGCCGCCCGCCAUUCGCGUGGCCGAGGAAGGAGGAGAACGGUAGAGUGUCCUCGAGUUGUACCUAUGGGGUCGCAAGGUCGAAGCGCAACUGAUGCGCACCCUGGUGUGGGGCUUGAACCUCGCCAGCGGCGACCGGGAGCGCGGCAAGGCCGCCGGGCGCGAGGGAGAUGGAACUGACGAGCGGGGCCCGCUCGUCAGUGUCCACGUGAGAGGAGGGGCGACGCGCGCGGCGCGGGUGUGGGCCGAACCAGUGGGCCGCCUGCGCAGCGCGGUUGUGGGCCGCGGCGCGCGCAGUCCGCGCGGGAGAUCGCUCCCAGGCCGACUUGGGCCGUGCCCCCGUGGGCCGCCUGCGCACAGUGUUGCUUUUCUUUUUCCUUUUUGAUUAAAAUUACUUGAUGUUUGAAAUUGUGUAAUAAAUCAGGUGCUAAUCCAAAAAUGAUGAAAGUUUUUGUAUAGGUUCCAUAAGGUGGGUAGAACACAAGAAAAAUAGUGGAUUCUGUUUUCUGGUAGUUUGCAUGUUUGUAAAAAUUUGCUCUUUUAAUUAAUGAAUAAAACUUCUAGGAAUUUUAAUAAUUUAUUUAUAUGUCCAAAAAUCACCAAAAAUUGUGGGGAGCCUCUGAAUAUUAUUCCCUGGCUCCACACAAAAUUUGAUGACAUUUGGAUAAUGUUUGAUUAGAAUACUAAUAAACCCUUAUUUAGUACUUAAGUAAUAAUUCCAAAACCAUUAAAUAAUAAUUAAUUAAAUCUUCAUAAUUAGGGUUGAGUGAUUUUGGAUUAUGUGAUGACCUGAGGUCAUUAACCCUAAUGACCCUUGGCAUUUAAUUAUUAUUUAGCCUUAAUGCUUAAUUACUGUCAUUAGUAAUUAAUUAAGAAUUAAUUAAGGUAAAUAGGUUUAAUAAUUACCUAAUGUAAGAUAAUUAUGAAUUAAGUAAAGUCUUAGUUUACAGAUGAAACCUCUUGGGUAAAAAUUAUUAAGUUAUUAAACAACUUUAUUUAGUGACAAUUCUGUAUUGCAUUAAAUAAGCAAAUCGUACUUAAUUCGGUCCAUCUUGCAUAAUUGCCAUACGCAUAUCAUAAGCAUUCAUCAUUUUGCGUAUAGUGUCCGUGACCGAAGGAGCGCCCGUUGAACCAAACCCUGAGGUCGGUGCUCCGUUCGAGGAAGUCGGAUCCGAGACUUGGGAAGUCUCCGAGGGUCCCUCUCUGCCCUGCAACCAAGGCAAGCCCCGGAUGCAUUAACCCCUCCUUGGGUGUUUUAAAUCUUUUAUCACUUAUGAAUUGAAAAUGCUGCAUUAAGUAGUUGAGAAUUGGGUUAACCUACUUGCUGCAUUUACUACCUUGAUAUCUAUAUCCUGUCCUUGACACCUGUUUUAAUUUAAAACUGCGUAGCGAUGCUUAGCCCUGCUACUAGAUAGGUUUUCAAACAAGAAAGUUUGAAGGGUUGUUGUGGGAUACACUUAUGGCCAAUGAUAUUUCAACUUGAGACCGGUCGGUGGACUUGCUUUAAGAAUGGAGUCUUAAAGUAGUGUCUCCAACUGUGUCGGUUAAGGACCGGUCCGUUGAUGGCCUGCUGGGUUGAGAAUUUAUAGUACUAGCCACUUGCCUACGGUAAGCCCAGUCUUGUGAUCCCUCGACGCGAACAGCUACUCGCGCACUGGGAGUGGAAAGAUGGCGAGAGUAGUGUGUACCCACCUUACGGAUCUGAGAUGACCGGAAAACAUCUAGAUCGGCUGUAGGAUGGUGGAGUACUGUGCUCUCGGGUGCCGCGAACCUGGUCAAAUUUGGGGAGAGCUUGAUUUGGGUUGACAUAUGCAAGAUUUAGUUCUACAUAUGUCGGGUGGUUAGGAACUCCAGCUGGAUUGCUAAGCGAUUCGAAUCGUCGUUGCUCCCCGAUUGGGAGACUCAAUUCCUUCGACCCUCAUCGUAGUUAAAUAUGCAACUAAGUGAUAAACUGAGAAAGGGGAAAAUGUCUCAUGAGGUUCGGAUCCCAAUUCCCGGACUCUUAGCGACAUGAAGCUAUGACCAUCGAUAAAUAAUACUUAAUGAUAGGACUAGGAACUCACGGAUUCGUCUGUGGGGAACAACUAGUUAGACUAUCCUCGAAUUCUUCUGCCUCCGCGAGGGAGGAAUUCAGGGUAAAACUUGAAAAUAAGGAUGCACUACUAGUAAGCUUUUCCGCAAAACACUUUGGCUCCUUGCUCAGCCACCCCUUGUCUACCCUAAGCCUGCAUCCCUAAAUUCUCCCCUCUUUCCGUCGGAUAAGUCUUGUUGAGUACUCCCGUACUCAGGGUUCAAUACCCCUGUUGCAGGUGAAGCUCAGGAGCCGACUUGUUUCGGACCCUGUUGUGUGACCGUCGUCGAGGUUGACGACGAAGAAGAGUGAGCGUGACCCAUGGGCAGGGUCUGUAAAUUUGUUCUGUCUGUACUAAAGUUUCAGUUGCUCCGCUGGACCAGGCUUGUAAUAACACUCUACUAUCUGGAAGAACUUCUUUUGUAAAAUAAGUUAUGUAAUACUUCCGCUGUUUCACUCUGAAAUAUUAUUUUGGUCUUGUAUUGUUGAGUUACUGCUUUAUCUUCGCAACGGAUGAUCCUGGUGUUAAAGUGGCCACUUGCUACCCUGUAAGGGCGAGAAGAAACAGUUCUCGUUGUUUGACCAUUACCAGGGGUCAGGACGAGCCAGCUUGGUACGCCACAGGUAGCAGUGGUAUGAGCGCCCAGCAAUGCUCAUCGGACUUCUAAAGUGGGAGGACUCCCGGCAUCACCGUCAGAAGUCCUUAGGACAAUGACAGGUGUCGGUGGGCCCAAACACUUAGGAGGUUCUGCCACAGCUGGUAUCAGAGCAUUCGUUGCUAAGAUGACUGCUGAACCUUUUGAAAAACUUCAAAAAUUCGUUUGAAACUAAUACUAUGAACCUGCCUAUUUUGAGUCCAAGUGCUUAGUCCUAACCUACCCCUGUCUAUAGGCUUUCUUAGAAUUUUUGAAGUGGGUUGGAGGAGCAACCUAAAGUAUUGCCCUAUGUUGUAAAAGCUAAAGUAAUAUCGUUACGAAUUGUUAGUAGGAAUCGUAAGUUCGUGCAUGCAUCAUAAUGUAUUAACUGGUUAAGUUCCUUCCUCCUUGUUUGGGUUGGGUGAAUAGAAUCAAUCCUAUUCUUGCUAACCUUAAGGUCUCUCUUACUAAUCUAAACUUACCCUCUACAGGAUGGCUCGUCAGAAGCAGACCCCGCGUAAGCGGACGGGUCCAAAAGGAGUUCCCCGACAUCAGCUAGCUCCACGUAGUGAUCAAGCCAGUAGUAGCCGCACACCGCCUCAGCAGGAGGUGGACAGGCUGUCCGCCGAGUUGACUGAGGUGAUGAGAGAAAGAAUGUACAAUGUUAUGGAGAUUGGCAAACUCAAAGCUCAACUGGCCAAAGAAAAACAAGCUACAGAAAAUUGUGAAGCUAUGUUGUCCCGGAUGGUGGAGGAGCGGAAUGCAGCCGUUGCUCGAGAGGAAGAAGCUAGGAGCACCCAUAGGCAUGAGUUAACUAGGAUGAACGCAAAGUUGGGCAAGGCAAAGUAUCUCAAGGAUUUGUAUGUGAAGAUGGCGGCCACGGUCACCGCACAACGGGAUGUCGCGUGGCAACGAGAGGAUCAGCUCCAGCUGGAGAAACUGGAGCUGGCAUAUCACUUAGAUACGGUCAAUGAUCUGGCUAUGCAAUAUCGUGAUAUUGCAUUUGAUCUGUAUCAUCAACUCCACCCACCUCCCGGCGAAGGAGAAAUGGAUACGGAUGGCGAGUUGGCAGACGAUGGAGAACCCGAUCCCGGCCUCAGUGGUGGAGAGGAGUCCGACCCCGAUGAUCACAACCCAGGGGGUAAUCAAGAUGAUGGCAACGACGACCCGGGCUACAGCUCUGGCCACACCGAUUAGUUCGGUGAAACCGAGGGCAACGUCGUUGUAGGGGUCUUAGCUUGCCGUAGUGGGGUUCGGGUUUGUAAUAUAAGUUUUCUUUCGGUUUGAGAAGUUGAACUUGUUUACUCUUGGUGUGUAUCUAACUAGUGUUUAAUAAGUGAAUGUAAGAUAUGUUCUGUGUUAUGAAUUUUACAUGGUAACCGGUAUCUACGAUUCUUGUAACAGAUGCCGAUGCGUACUCGCGGAUCCGAUGGAGCUGGGACAUCCCAGGGAGGGGAUGAUAUCCCCAACCCUCCACCUGCUCCACCUUCUUUGGCUGACGCCAUUGCUGUCCUGCUAAGUGCCACAACUGACAAUGCUCGCUUGCUGCGUGAGCUAGCACAGCGUCAAACACACCCUGCUUCAAACUUCAGGGCACCGCGCAACGGGGAUGGAGAGGCUCGAUAUGUAGAUUUCACCGAGACCAGGCCCCCAGUGUUCACUAAGGCCGAUGAGCCUUUAGAAGCGGAUGACUGGCUCCGAACUAUGGAGCAUAAGUUCAGUUUAAUUCAGUGUUCAGAAACUCAGAAACCCUUAUUUGCAGCCCAGCAGCUUCGGGGAGCUGCAGGUGCCUGGUGGGAGAACUUCUUAGCUAUUCAAGCUCCCGGACACCAAGUUACCUGGACUGAGUUUAGGGACGCAUUUCGCGCCCACUAUAUCCCCGAAGGGCUCAUGGCCAUGAAGGCCGAAGAGUUUCUCGCCUUGCAGCAAGGCGACAAAAGUGUUAUGGAAUACGUGGCAAGGUUCAAUCAUCUUUCUCAAUAUGCCACGGAUCAUGUGAACACUGACAGAAAGAGGAAAGCCUGUUUCAUGCGUGGUCUAAAUACUAAACUUCAGACCAUGAUGACCACAUGCCAAAAUGCUACUUUCUAUGAGGCGGUAAAUAUUGCUAUCGCCUCAGAGGAAAAGAAUAGGAAACAUAAGGAAGCCAACAAGAAGGCUGCUUCCUCUUCUUUCUCUGGUCGCGGUCAAAAGCGCCAGAGGGUCAUUUAUCAUCCACAAGGCCACGGACGUUUCCAAACGCCGAUACCUUAUCGUGGUCCUUUCUUCCCUCCACAGUACAGACCUGGGCAGCAGGUAUAUUCUCGACCUACUGCCAUCGCUUUUGCACCACGCCAGCCGAACGCCCCGGGUGUUCGCCCUACUACUCCGCCCAGCCACAAUUACCCUUGCUUCAAUUGUGGUAAACCUGGGCACUUCUCUAAAGAGUGCCCUUUUCCUCGUCAAACCAACCCUACCUUUCCCAGACCACCUAUAGUCCAACCCCAGCAGGGUCAGUUCAGAACUAGGGUUCAAAAAGGGCAACAGGUACAGAAAGGUAGACCGGUAAAGAAGACAGGGCAAGUCUUCCAUACUGAAGUGGAGACGAUUCCAGAGGGUGAACCAGUGAUGAUGGGUACGUUUCCUGUUGCAAAGCAUCCUGCUUUAAUGCUCUUUGAUUCUGGUGCAUCCCAUACAUUUAUCAAUCGCACCUUUGUGUUAAAGCAUGGCAUACCCAUUGGGGAAACACGAGAUCAUUUUUAUAUACAGUCGCCAGGAGGACGGCUGAUGUCUAAAGAAAUGGUUCACCAAGUACCCAUCGAAUUUGGUGGGCACAAUUUUCCUACUAGCAUGAUUGUUCUUAAGGACCAAGAAAUUGAUGUCAUCUUAGGCAUGAACUGGAUGGCGCAACGAGGGGUUGUGCUAGACACUUUGCACCGAACCAUUAAAAUCCCAUUGCCCAAUGAGAGUUCUUAUUUGCUAAUCCAAUUAGUUACUCCCAAACGGACAAGUGGGCAAGUUCAUGCCGCUAAUGUGUCUGAAGUUAAAGAUAUCCCGGUAGUUCGAGAUUUCCCGGAUAUAUUUCCUGAAGACUUACCAGGUCUGCCUCCGGACCGGGAUGUACAAUUCAGUAUAGAAUUGAAACCGGGAACGGCCCCAAUAUCUCGAAGGGCCUACAGAAUGGCACCGAAAGAGCUGGCCGAAUUAAAAACCCAAUUACAAGAAUUGUUGCAGAAGGGUUUUAUUCAGCCUAGUUCUUCUCCAUGGGGUUGCCCAGCCUUGUUCGUAAAAAAGAAAGAUCACACAUUAAGGCUGUGUGUUGAUUAUCGUCCUCUAAAUGAGGUAACGAUUAAAAACAAGUACCCAUUGCCCCGCAUUGACUUAUUGUUUGACCAGUUAGCUGGGGCCAAGGUGUUCUCAAAGAUUGAUUUGAGAUCAGGGUACCACCAAAUUAAAAUUAGGCCGGAAGAUGUGCCCAAGACUGCUUUCACAACCCGUUACGGGUUGUAUGAAUACUUGGUGAUGUCUUUUGGGUUGACUAACGCACCGGCCCAUUUUAUGUACCUGAUGAACUCUGUCUUUAUGCCAGAACUAGACAAAUUUGUGGUCGUCUUUAUCGAUGACAUCUUGAUUUACUCCAAAACUAAGAAGGAGCAUGCUGAACACUUGAGAAUCGUGCUGACCCGUCUUAGGGAGCACCAGCUAUAUGCCAAGUUCAGCAAAUGUGAGUUCUGGCUGGACAAGGUUCAUUUCCUGGGUCAUGUAUUAUCAGCGGAAGGAGUCGCUGUAGACCCAGGCAAGGUAGAAGAUGUGUUGAAGUGGAGACCCCCGACUACGGUACAUGAGGUCCGUAGUUUUCUGGGCAUGGCGGGAUAUUACCGUCGUUUUAUCCCUGACUUUUCCAGAGUCGCCAAACCAAUCACAACCUUGCUCAAAAGUCAAACAAAAUUUGUUUGGUCACCCCAAUGUGAGCAAGCUUUUCAGACUCUGAAAAGGUUGUUGACAACUGCACCUGUCUUAGCCCAGCCAGAUAUUGAAAAACCCUUUGAUGUAUAUUGUGACGCAUCAGGAAUCGGGUUGGGCUGUGUGCUGAUGCAGGAGGGUCGCGUAAUUGCAUAUGCUUCCAGGCAACUCAAACCUCAUGAAGAGAAUUACCCGACCCAUGAUCUCGAACUAGCCGCCGUGGUACAUGCAUUAAAGAUCUGGCGUCAUUAUUUGUUGGGAAACACAUGUCAUCUAUAUACAGAUCACAAGAGUUUGAAAUAUAUCUUUACUCAAGCUGAGCUUAAUAUGCGCCAGCGAAGGUGGCUAGAACUAAUUAAAGAUUACGACCUUGAGGUGCAUUAUCACCCUGGCAAGGCAAAUGUAGUAGCGGAUGCCCUCAGUCGUAAGGCUCACUGUAAUUGCUUAACAGUGAAGCCUAGGGAUAUAACUCUGUGCCAAGAGCUAGAGAACUUGGGAAUAGAAAUGAUUUCCCAAGGAAGCCUUUCCAAUUUAAAGAUUGAUUUCAAUCUCAAGGCUCAAAUCAUAAAGGCACAAAAAGAAAACAAAGGCAUGAGACAUCUUAAAGAGAAGAUUUCUAAUAGAGCACUCACAGACUUUAAGGUGGAUGAGGCGGGAGUAAUCUGGUUCAAGAACCGGUUAGUGGUUCCCAAGGUACCUGAGCUACGUCAGCAAAUCCUGGAUGAAGCUCAUACCACGAGGUAUUCUAUUCAUCCGGGAAGCAAUAAGAUGUAUCAGGACCUGAAGCAAAGGUUUUGGUGGACAAAAAUGAAGAUAGAAAUAGCUCGCUAUGUGGCCCAGUGUGACACCUGUCGAAAAGUCAAAGCCAUUCAUCUCAAAUCCGCUGGGGAGUUGCAACCUUUGCCUAUCCCCGCAUGGAAAUGGGAUGACAUAAGUAUGGAUUUCAUAGUAGGAUUGCCCAAAACGGCCAAGGGCUUUGAUUCCAUUUGGGUCAUAGUAGAUCGUCUCACCAAAACAGCACAUUUUCUGCCGGUAAAGCUAUUGUAUCCUGCCUCCACCUAUGCUAAGAUUUAUUUCGACCGUAUCCUAAGUCUGCAUGGAGUGCCAAAGACAAUAGUGUCAGAUAGAGGCACACAAUUUGUCUCCCAAUUCUGGAAAUGUUUACAUGAGUCCUUGGGCACUAAGCUUUUAUACAGCACAGCCUACCACCCUCAAACUGGUGGGCAAACGGAAAGGGUAAAUCAAACCCUAGAAGAUCUAUUAAGAUCUUGUGCCCUGAAUUUUCCAGAUAAGUGGGAUGACUGCUUGCCUCUAGCAGAAUUUUCCUACAAUAAUAGCUAUCAAGAGAGUAUCAAAAUGGCUCCCUUUGAGGCACUAUAUGGUCGCCGAUGUCGAACUCCAUUACACUGGUCAGAACCUGGAGAAAGAUGGUUCUUCGGAGUUGACUUAGUGAAAGAGACUGAGAACAAAGUGAAACAAAUUCAAAAUAAUUUGAAAGUUGCUCAGUCCCGACAGAAAAGUUACGCUGAUAAAAGACGUCGACCAUUGAAGUUCGCCAAAGGCGAUCAUGUGUAUUUGAAAGUAUCCCCGAUGAAAGGAGUAAAUCGUUUUGGUGUUAAAGGCAAGUUAGCGCCUCGUUACAUUGGUCCAUUUCCAAUUAUUGACCGAUGUGGGCAAGUCGCUUACCGCCUUAAACUGCCCGAACGAUUAUCCGGGGUACAUAAUGUGUUCCAUGUGUCUCAACUGAAAAAGUGUCUUCGGGUACCAGAUCGAGUUCAAGAUAUUGAAGAUGUAAAGCUUGAACCAGAUCUAACUUAUUCGGAAUAUCCUAUCCGAGUACUGGAUCAAAAAGCUAGAGUUACUCGAAGGACAACCACCAAAUGGUAUAAAGUACAAUGGAGCCAGCACUCUGAAGAAGAAGCUACCUGGGAAUCUGAAGAUUACUUGUUAGAGAAUUUUCCUGAAUUCCAUGCUUCCCUUCAGGAUAGCACAUGAUAAUCAGAGAAUGUACUCCAGUGAAGAAAAAGAGUUACCAAAGCCAUAUACUUAAUGUACAUAUAUGCAUAUAAUGAGGUAUUUUCCCCAAUUCCUUGCCUUAUGGAGAAGUUGAAGAUGAAAGAGUUUUGACAAAUUUCCUUUUCCAUUACUUACCCUAAGGUUUUAAAUCUCGGGGACGAGAUUUCUUUAAGGGGGAAGGGCUGUAACAUCCCUGAUGUUACGGUUACUAAAAACGGAUCAUGUCAUCAUGAGCAUUGCAAAUCAUAAUUGUUAAAGCACAUUAGUAUGCAUCAAUUUAAAAUAAGUUUACUUUGAGUGCUUGUGCUUAGGGAAUUAAAGUGUGCUUACAUUGUGUUUGGAUGCUUGUGUUGGAUGCUAAAACCCUAGGGUGAAAGAUUUCCGAAGAGCUAAGGGGGGGAAAACCCUGAUUUCUGGAUCCUAGAUUUGCCCCUUUUUGUUUAAUUUAAAAACUAAGCAAAAUUUGAGGUUGAGUUCAAAAGCAAAGUUGUGAAUCUUGGCAAGAUGUACAACUUUGGUGUUUUGAGUUUUUGAAGUUUCAAUACAAAAUUCAAAGUAAUUUUGAAAAUACAGAUUUCCAGAAAGUGUCCCCUUUUCCAACUUAAACCGCCAAUUCAAAAUCCAUUUGGAAUUUUGAAAAAUGGUCAACAUGAAAGUUGUAGAGCACAAAAAGUUGAGCAACUUUCAUGUUGGGAGUUUUUCAAGUUAUUAUACAAAAUCAAAAGUAAUUUUGGAAAUUCUGUUUUGCCCCAAUUCAAAAAUUUGGAAUUUCUUUGAUUUGAGUUUGAUUUUCAAACUGUUUGGUCAAAUUCACCCUGUUACACUCAAAAUUAGUUCUGGACUCUUAAAUAGGUUUUGUAGCUUAUAAAAUUUGGCACAAUUUUUGUUUUGGUGGAAUUUGGAGUUUAGUUCAAAGUUUGGCUGAUUUUCGCAAGGGGACAAAAGAGAGGAGAUAAGGGGGAGCUACAGUGAUCCAGGGGAUCACGAGCUCGUCCACCCCGGUGGCAGGGCGGGCAGGCGCCGCCUCCGCGCGCGACGCCACGCAGCUGGCCACGCAGCUGCUUGCUGCUGUGCUUCGCGCGGACGGCCUCAUCCACAUCCCCUGCUCUGCUGCUUGGAUAAGACCUCGGACGGCCGGAGUGUUUCUUUUCCUUCCUUUGAACCUCGCCGCCGACCACCACCAUCCGCCGCCAAAAUUCGUCCUCCUCGUUGCCUUUCCACGCGAAGUGAGCACCCCAGCAACUCCGCCUUGAGCCCAGCCACCGAUUGCGCCCCCAAGCGCAAGCGCUAACCCACCAGAGCCCUUUCCCGAGCCGCUCUUCUCCAACUCCGGCCAGGGUCGCCGCCGAGGGAUCCUUCACGUGGACACGCUGCUCCAGUCGGUACCACGCCUUGAAGGCGGUCGUUUCGAGCUCUUCUUGUUUCCCCGGUGCUCAUGCGCUCGUUUUCCCUCCUUGGACGUGAACAGGGCCACCGAGACGACCUCACCGGAGCCGGGGCGCCGCCCGACUGCACGGCCACCGUCGCCAAGCUUCUCGGUUGUGUCUUCCGCCGUGGUGGUGUGAGCACCAUGAUCCCCAUCCCUUCCUGGCCCUCCCGAACCUGUUGGUUUGUGCUCUACCAAGCCCCGAGGACCGGUCUACGGCCGGCCAGGGUGGCCGCCCGCCAUUCGCGUGGCCGAGGAAGGAGGAGAACGGUAGAGUGUCCUCGAGUUGUACCUAUGGGGUCGCAAGGUCGAAGCGCAACUGAUGCGCACCCUGGUGUGGGGCUUGAACCUCGCCAGCGGCGACCGGGAGCGCGGCAAGGCCGCCGGGCGCGAGGGAGAUGGAACUGACGAGCGGGGCCCGCUCGUCAGUGUCCACGUGAGAGGAGGGGCGACGCGCGCGGCGCGGGUGUGGGCCGAACCAGUGGGCCGCCUGCGCAGCGCGGUUGUGGGCCGCGGCGCGCGCAGUCCGCGCGGGAGAUCGCUCCCAGGCCGACUUGGGCCGUGCCCCCGUGGGCCGCCUGCGCACAGUGUUGCUUUUCUUUUUCCUUUUUGAUUAAAAUUACUUGAUGUUUGAAAUUGUGUAAUAAAUCAGGUGCUAAUCCAAAAAUGAUGAAAGUUUUUGUAUAGGUUCCAUAAGGUGGGUAGAACACAAGAAAAAUAGUGGAUUCUGUUUUCUGGUAGUUUGCAUGUUUGUAAAAAUUUGCUCUUUUAAUUAAUGAAUAAAACUUCUAGGAAUUUUAAUAAUUUAUUUAUAUGUCCAAAAAUCACCAAAAAUUGUGGGGAGCCUCUGAAUAUUAUUCCCUGGCUCCACACAAAAUUUGAUGACAUUUGGAUAAUGUUUGAUUAGAAUACUAAUAAACCCUUAUUUAGUACUUAAGUAAUAAUUCCAAAACCAUUAAAUAAUAAUUAAUUAAAUCUUCAUAAUUAGGGUUGAGUGAUUUUGGAUUAUGUGAUGACCUGAGGUCAUUAACCCUAAUGACCCUUGGCAUUUAAUUAUUAUUUAGCCUUAAUGCUUAAUUACUGUCAUUAGUAAUUAAUUAAGAAUUAAUUAAGGUAAAUAGGUUUAAUAAUUACCUAAUGUAAGAUAAUUAUGAAUUAAGUAUAGUCUUAGUUUACAGAUGAAACCUCUUGGGUAAAAAUUAUUAAGUUAUUAAACAACUUUAUUUAGUGACAAUUCUGUAUUGCAUUAAAUAAGCAAAUCGUACUUAAUUCGGUCCAUCUUGCAUAAUUGCCAUACGCAUAUCAUAAGCAUUCAUCAUUUUGCGUAUAGUGUCCGUGACCGAAGGAGCGCCCGUUGAACCAAACCCUGAGGUCGGUGCUCCGUUCGAGGAAGUCGGAUCCGAGACUUGGGAAGUCUCCGAGGGUCCCUCUCUGCCCUGCAACCAAGGCAAGCCCCGGAUGCAUUAACCCCUCCUUGGGUGUUUUAAAUCUUUUAUCACUUAUGAAUUGAAAAUGCUGCAUUAAGUAGUUGAGAAUUGGGUUAACCUACUUGCUGCAUUUAACUACCUUGAUAUCUAUAUCCUGUCCUUGACACCUGUUUUAAUUUAAAACUGCGUAGCGAUGCUUAGCCCUGCUACUAGAUAGGUUUUCAAACAAGAAAGUUUGAAGGGUUGUUGUGGGAUACACUUAUGGCCAAUGAUAUUUCAACUUGAGACCGGUCGGUGGACUUGCUUUAAGAAUGGAGUCUUAAAGUAGUGUCUCCAACUGUGUCGGUUAAGGACCGGUCCGUUGAUGGCCUGCUGGGUUGAGAAUUUAUAGUACUAGCCACUUGCCACGGGUAAGCCCAGUCUUGUGAUCCCUCGACGCGAACAGCUACUCGCGCACUGGGAGUGGAAAGAUGGCGAGAGUAGUGUGUACCCACCUUACGGAUCUGAGAUGACCGGAAAACAUCUAGAUCGGCUGUAGGAUGGUGGAGUACUGUGCUCUCGGGUGCCGCGAACCUGGUCAAAUUUGGGGAGAGCUUGAUUUGGGUUGACAUAUGCAAGAUUUAGUUCUACAUAUGUCGGGUGGUUAGGAACUCCAGCUGGAUUGCUAAGCGAUUCGAAUCGUCGUUGCUCCCCGAUUGGGAGACUCAAUUCCUUCGACCCUCAUCGUAGUUAAAUAUGCAACUAAGUGAUAAACUGAGAAAGGGGAAAAUGUCUCAUGAGGUUCGGAUCCCAAUUCCCGGACUCUUAGCGACAUGAAGCUAUGACCAUCGAUAAAUAAUACUUAAUGAUAGGACUAGGAACUCACGGAUUCGUCUGUGGGGAACAACUAGUUAGACUAUCCUCGAAUUCUUCUGCCUCCGCGAGGGAGGAAUUCAGGGUAAAACUUGAAAAUAAGGAUGCACUACUAGUAAGCUUUUCCGCAAAACACUUUGGCUCCUUGCUCAGCCACCCCUUGUCUACCCUAAGCCUGCAUCCCUAAAUUCUCCCCUCUUUCCGUCGGAUAAGUCUUGUUGAGUACUCCCGUACUCAGGGUUCAAUACCCCUGUUGCAGGUGAAGCUCAGGAGCCGACUUGUUUCGGACCCUGUUGUGUGACCGUCGUCGAGGUUGACGACGAAGAAGAGUGAGCGUGACCCAUGGGCAGGGUCUGUAAAUUUGUUCUGUCUGUACUAAAGUUUCAGUUGCUCCGCUGGACCAGGCUUGUAAUAACACUCUACUAUCUGGAAGAACUUCUUUUGUAAAAUAAGUUAUGUAAUACUUCCGCUGUUUCACUCUGAAAUAUUAUUUUGGUCUUGUAUUGUUGAGUUACUGCUUUACCUUCGCAACGGAUGAUCCUGGUGUUAAAGUGGCCACUUGCUACCCUGUAAGGGCGAGAAGAAACAGUUCUCGUUGUUUGACCAUUACCAGGGGUCAGGACGAGCCAGCUUGGUACGCCACAGGUAGCAGUGGUAUGAGCGCCCAGCAAUGCUCAUCGGACUUCUAAAGUGGGAGGACUCCCGGCAUCACCGUCAGAGGUCCUUAGGACAAUGACAGGUGUCGGUGGGCCCAAACACUUAGGAGGUUCUGCCACAAGUGCUGCUGGGAACCAAAUUUCCACCAAUCAAUUAGUGAAGGAUGUGAACAUUACUAUUGAGGGUCGUAACUUUUCAGCAAAUCUGGUAAUUUUGCCGGGCUUAGGCAUAGAUGUUAUAUUAGGAAUGAAUUGGAUGAGAAAUAAUGGGGUACUAAUAGACACCUCCACGAGAGUAGUUAUGUUGCGGGAGCCUGAUAGUAAAGAAGCCUUCUUGGUCCAACCUCCCAAGAGCGAUGACAUUCGUCACACUACUAAUGCUAUCAGACCCCUCACCGUGGCAGAAAUUCCGGUAGUAUGUGAGUUUCCGGAUGUUUUUCCAGAGGACCUGCUCGGGUUGCCGCCGGACAGAGACAUUGAGUUUAAAAUUGAUCUGAUUCCGGGUACCGCACCUAUCUCUAGAAGGCCAUAUCGAAUGCCACCCAACGAGUUGGCAGAGUUGAAAAAGCAAUUGCAAGAACUGCUUGAGAAGGGUCUUAUCCGGCCUAGUUCUUCUCCAUGGGGUUGUCCGGCUCUCUUUGUCAAGAAGAAGGACAAGUCUCUGCGUAUGUGUGUAGACUAUCGUCUGCUCAACGCAGUGACUAUUAAAAACAAGUACCCAUUGCCUCGCAUUGAUAUCCUGUUUGAUCAAUUAGCCAAGGCCAAAGUAUUCUCCAAGAUUGAUCUGAGAUCUGGGUAUCAUCAAAUUAAGAUCCUACCUGAAGACAUUCCUAAAAUGGCUUUCUCUACCAGGUAUAGGUUGUAUGAGUAUUUAGUCAUGUCCUUUGGUCUGACUAAUGCCCCUGCUCAUUUCAUGUACCUGAUGAAUUCGGUGUUCAUGCCUGGACUGGAUAAGUUUGUGGUGGUGUUUGUUGGGUAUUCUUAACAUCAUUACUAAAAGUAGACUAAGUUCUAAAUCUAGCAACGGUGCCAAAAAUGCCAAACCUAUCCCUCACACCACUUAAGCCAAGUUGUAAUCCCCAGCAUGAUAUAAGAGACGCGGUAUUGAAAUAUGCAAUUGCUCUUCUAAAUAAAUAAUGAAUUGGAUCUGCAAGCGCACAGAUUAAUACUGAUGUAGCAUUUAUCCGGGAAGUAUUCCAGGUAUCGUUAUUUAUAUUUUUACCACUGGGAAGGGAUUAGCAAUCAUCACUAAUGAUUAUAGAAUAGAAUAUGAGAUUGAGUAUCUAUCAUAGCAUAUAUAAUUGAGAACAUUAUAUCUAACUCUUCAUACAGGGAUAAGUGUCACAUAAAAGAUAUAUGAAAUAAUAAUAGUGACAAGGAUAACUAAUCUGAUCUAGCCACAUAAUAAAUAUGAUAAGCACCUCAAUUAGAUACUCUAGAAAGUCAUUAGCAUGGUAUUAGAACGAACUACAAGAAUAUUCCCUAAGUUAUUCUCAACUAUAUAGUCUAGCAUAUCAUAGUUAGUGCAAGCAUACUUAGCAAUCAUUGCGAGACAAGACUACGCCCAUGCAUAGUGAUAUUAGCAAGGAAUAUGAGAAACAUAGCAAUCACUCCCUUGUAAUAAUGUUGCUCUGCCAGCCCAAUACACGAGAGGGGGACUAUAUAAGAAUCAAUGAAGCUGUCACUAUCACGAACCACCCCACGAUCUGGCAUAUUGGGUACAAUCGCAGAUAAAUACGGUAUAAGCACCACGCCUACACAAUAUCUAUCAUUUACCCAUGGAUCCGAUGGAUAAACGCUAUACGAUCCUAAGCAUGUAUAUAGAUCCAAUCUAACUAAGCCAAGUACAUAACUAUGAUAAACUAAGAACAAUAUAAUCUUGAAUAUAAGCAAGUAGAGCAAAGUCAUAAGCAAUAUAUUGAAGUAGAACAAAGUCAUAUUCAUAAUAUUGAAGAACAAAGAUAAUUAGAAAGCAAUUAGAAGCACAAUUAGAGAAUUACCAAGAAUCCUCCUGACAGAUCCGGAAACCAAUCGAAGAUUGACUCCUUCUAGUUCUAAUCCUAUGUAGCUAUGCUAAUCUAGAUAUCUAAUUGAUGUGGUGGCUCUAAUCUUGAUCAGAGGCUUCUUCUCCCUUGAUGGAACAAUGAAUUAGGGUUGAGAGGCUCUCUCCUCCAGGGGCCAGGGGGUCUGGUUUUAUAGUCCCUUCAAGUGAAUAUGGGCCCUUGGAUCAAACCGACAUAGAUUGUAUGGUUUAGAUUCAUCCUUUAGGUCGGUGGAGAUCUCCCGCAAAGCAGAGUCCUGAUUGGACUCAGGAGGUGGGCGGCCGCCCUGACCAACUGGGCGGCCGCCCAGGGUCUGGCCCCGUUUCGCCUCCGCUUCGGUCUCGUGGCUUCUGGAGUCUUCUAGAUGUAAGAUAAUUGCGCAGCACAUUAAUAUCUUUACGUAAUCCCGACAUGUGGGUCUUUCUUCCGUAUUUCCUGAUAACCCCCUACAGAAAUAGACAAACACCAAAACUCAUGGAAUUCUAUCAGAUAAAACCCUAAGUCUAGAUCUUAAUUUCAUUUGGAUCCUUUUCUUUAUUUAUUUGAUAAUUAAAUUUGAUACUUAAGGACCAUCAACAAACUCCCCCAAGCUUACCUCUUGCUCGUCCCUGAGCAAGGAUAGACUCAGCUAUGGAUCAUAAGUUGUUGCAAUAUUUUUAAAAAAUAGACGGUACACAUGCUUUUAAAUAAGAUCUCAUCUCUGAGUUAGAGUAAACUAUCAAGACUUAAAACUUACUUACUUUACUUCCACCAUGGGACUUGUAACUGUCACUUCUGUCUUGAGUGGUUAAAAGAUAGAACAGUCUAGCCAAGUGCCAUGUCUCUUAUUCUUGAUCAGCUAUAGCUCUGGGGUUUUUGCAGAUUUUCAAAUAAAACUCAGAGAUUCCUUGUAUGAUUCUCUCAUAUCUCUCUUUUGUGGUAUUUUUGGAUCCUUACCAAGGCAUUGAUGGUAUAUGCCUUCUCUCAAGAUAUGUAGUAUUUGUGGUAUAAGGCAUAGUGACAUUGCCUUCUCUCUCACCCUACUCUAAUAAGGCUUUAAUAUUUGGAGCUCAUAGGUGGGAGAUAAAGUAUACAUACUCACAAGACAUUUAUUGCAUAGUCAAACCAUGGAUCCAAAGAAACAAAUCAAUAAGCCAAAUCAAGAUGUGCAUGUGUGGCGAAUGAAUGGUGUAUGGUGAUGAUGGUGAUAACAAUGGUGAAAACAAUGGUGGUGGAAGUCUAAUUCUACUUUGCUCUUUUGAGGGGAUACAUACCUUCCUUGCUUUUGAAACUUUAUGAGGAGAAUGAGAUGCUCUUCUUUUUCUUGUCUCUCAGGUGGGUAUCUUGCACCCCUAAUUCUACUGUUGGACACUUGUCCAUUUUUACCUCUCGUCUCACUCUUUCUUUUCUUUCGAGGUUCCGAGCACUUGCUCCUUUUUAUUUCCUCGUAUUAUUUUUUUUAUUUUCUUCUUUUUUUUAGAGCACUCAUCUCUUGAGAUAAUAUAGCAAGUGGUAGUAACAAGAUAACUUGAGCAUUUAUUUCACAAGGGGAAACAAAAAUAUUUUUGGUUAUUCUCUCCCGGAUUAGGAGCAGAAUAUUUUUGGGUGAUUCUGGAGAUGGAAAUGGAUGGAUAUAUGUGGAUGGUACUUCUGGAGUAGAAGUAGCAUAUAUGAGUGAACGUGCAAGUGAAAUCUUGAUUUAACCACAUGACAAGCUCCUAAGGGUCUACACAGCUUGACCACACUCAAUGCUCAUAAGCAGUAAAUAAUAAAUGUGUGGCUCAAAGUCUAGCAAGCAUGUAUAUAUGGCUGUGGUAGGAAAUUAAGCUCUCAUCAUACAGGAACUCAUCAUGCAAUAUUUUAAAGAUUUUCAAAGAUAAAAUUCUCCAGAAUUCUAGCAUCUCUAGGAACAGAUAAACAGCAGCUCAACCUUCCCAUAUCGUAUCCGUUAACAACUUAGACUUUAGAUCAAGUUUUCAUCCCACAAGUUUAGGUCUAGGGCAAGCUUUAAAUUAUAACAGUUAUAUCUAAACUUGAGAGAGAACUUAGAAUGUGCAAAUUAGGCAGAGCAACUAUUCAUCAUAUCCAUGCUUAAGUUUUUGUUUAGAUACAGAUUAGCAUAGCCACUUUAUUUAUUUGUUAAACACACUAAGCAAAAGACAUAUAUAAGCAUAAAAUAUUUAUUUGGUUUUCCCAUAGUUUAUGUGUAUUUUAAUAUUCUAAAAUAAUAUAAGUAUAAAGAUAGAUAGAUAUACUUAUCGGGAUAAAUGGGAGUGCUCUCCCCCAAGCUGAAUUUUGACGUAAUUUCUCUUGAUGUAGCUAGCAGGUGGUAGAGGUGUAUUUGAAAGUCAGCAGCAUUCUGACAGUGAUUAGAUUGUCCUCCGUCUGUGAGUCUUCUUGAUUCUUAAAUUCUGUGGAGCUCAAAUAGACAACAUAGCUUGUGGAACUGAUUAAGUGUUAGCAUAAAUAUCUUGCCUUUAUCAUGUUGAGACUCCUUAAUAAUUGUUACUCCCUGUUUUUAUAUUUUUAUUUUUAUAAAGCAGAAAAAAUAUUUAUUUUUGUUUUUAUGCCACCACAGUGAAUGUACUUAUGGGUUUUAUGCCACUCGUAUACUCACAUGGGGCUUACUGUUUUUCAUAUAUAUUUUUUAUUUUCUUUUUAGAAUAGCACGAACAUGAUUAACUAAGUAAACUAGUUGGAAUAAUUUGAAAGUGAAAAGAUAACUACCAAGUUUACCUCUUGGCAAGGCGUUCGGUGUUUUUAAGUCCUCCGAACGGGACUCUCCAUUUUCUUAAUUAUCCUGAGGUUCGUUGGGUGGCGAAGCCGGUACUUCCGGUAGCGCCUCCUCUUCAUGUAUAGUUAUCUUCAUUUUCCAUACCUGACUCGGUGCUUCAAUCUCCUCUGGAUAAUUCUGUUUAAACUCUACGUCUUCUGACCUUACAACUUCUCCUUCAUAGUCUGCCCAUCCGUCCUUGAUGAUCUGCCUCCUCUAGUUGCGGUUGCGUCUCUUUCUGACCUGCUUAGAUUCUUCAAUGAUAUAGUUAGGGUCAGUAAAAUAACGGCGUACCUUCUCUGAGGGGAAGUGCAUAUGGACUUCUCCGGUUCCAAUGUAGAUAAUUGCUUUAACGGUGCUGAGGAGGGGUCUUCCAAGGAUGAUGGGUGGAUCGUACUCGUCUUCUCCCAUGUCAAUAACUUGAAAGUCUGUGUAGACAAAGUGGUCGUCUAUUUUGACUGGGACAUCAGAUACUAUUCCUUGAACUUCUCGAAAUGUCUGAUCUGCCAUCUGCAGCUGAAUGUAUGUUGGUCUUAGUGGCAUGGUCCCGAACAAGAGCCGAUAAGUGACUGCGGCCAUUAUGUUGACGCCCGAUCCGGUGUCGCAAAUCGUCUUGUAGAAGUUAUAUCCAUUUAUGGAGCAGUAGAUGCUUGGCAUUCCUGGGUCGUCCUUCUUGGUCAAAAACGGUGACUUAAGUUGGUGAUCUUGGCCUCCAUGGACUACAGUGACCAUCUUAGCUGACUCGGUCCACACUUGCUUGUUCCUGUUCCUCCUGUUGGUCCUCUUCCCUGAUUCACGUCUGGAUUGAUCUGGAAUUUGUGUAGUCUUGUUCUUGAAGAAAAAUGUCUCCUUCUUCCCUUUGACGUAGAAACUGAUCUUGGCAGCACUGGCGUAGAUGAUAGCUCCGGUGGUGUUCAAAAAUGGCCUUCCUAGGAUGAUAGGUGCUCUCUCAUCAUUUUCGGUCUCAACCACUACAAAGUCUGCUGGGGUAUAUAAAGUACCAACUCGGACACAAAGGUUCCUCACUAUUCCUUUUGGAAAAGUUAUCGUCUGAUCUGCAAACUGCAAACACAUGGUUGUUUCUAAUAAAGGAUAUGUAAAGAAUUUCUCAUAGAGUACCCUGGGUAUAAUGUUGACGCUAGAGCCAAAGUCACAGAGUGCUUCUGGAACGUCCACCAUGCCGAUGGAGAUCGGGAUGACGGGGCAUCCUGGAUCGUCUCUCUUGACCGGCAGACGGUCAGUAGAGAAUUCAGUGAUGGGGUUACUCCAAUUACCUGCAUCGAACAUGUCUACAAGAUUUGCAGUUUCUAAUCCUUCCGGUUGUGAUGGUAUACCGGGGUUAGUAGUAGGAACAGCAGCAGCUAUUUGAUUUAACUGGGAUUCAAUCAUUUUAUUAAAGCUAAUUUGAUUCUUGAUGACAGUAGAGAAAUUAUCCAUUCUAUUAUUUAUAUUUUCUAGCAUUUUAUCAUUAGACGCCAAUUUCUUAGAUAGAUUAUCCAUUAGCUUUCCUUGAUUAGACACUAACUCUCUCAAAGGUGGAAAAUUAUUAUUAUUGUUGUAAGAAUUGUUACCUUGAUAAUUACCUGAGUAGUUAGGCCUCUGUUGAUUCCAACCUUGAUUUCGUUGAGGACGGUUGUAGUUGUUGUUGUUGUUGAUGAUGUAGUUCACAUCCUCAAGCAUCUCCGGGCAGUGGUUGCCUGAGUGUCCAGUGUCUCCACACUCCUCACAAGUCAUGUGAGAGUCGUAGAUGUGCAUAACUUCUUUCUUGUCUCCAGCUCUAUCGUCGAGCUUCUUCAUGAGCAGGUCUAGCUUUGCAGACAGCAUGUCUACCUCCUUCAGCUGAUGCAUACCCCCACCUCUCUUGCGUGUCUGGGUCCUCUCUUCAUUCCAGCUUUGGUUGGAUGCCAUCUUCUCCACAAGAGCUGUGGCUUGUGGUAUAGUAAGUGAUAAGAAUGCUCCUCCAGCUGCAGCAUCCAUGGUCUAUCGGGCACUGUUGCUGAGCCCAUGAUAGAAUGUCUGCAUCAGUAGCCAACUCUCCAUUCCAUGAUGGGGACAUUCUAGGAUGUAGUCUUGAAAGCGCUCCCAUGCUUCUGGAACAGAUUCAUCAUUUUGUUGCUGAAAACUUGUAAUCUUCCCACGGAGAGCAUUGGUCUUGCCCAUGGGAAAGAACUUAGCCAGGAAGUUUGUUGAGCAGAGUGCCCACGUAGUAUUCUUCUCCUUUGUAGCGUCGAACCACUGCUUCGCUCUUCCUAACAGUGAGAAUGGGAAGAGGCGAAGUAGUAUAGCGUCUUUAGAAACUCCUGCUAUGGUGAAUGUGUUGCAAAUCUCUAGGAAGUGUUGUAAAUGAGCACUAGCGUCUUCGUGUGCCUUCCCACAGAACUGGUUGGAUUGCACCAUGUUGAUAAGUCCAGGCUUGAGCUCAAAGUUGCCAUCGAUCUCUGCAGCAGGUCCAGUGUGGAUGUUGUCCGUAUUGGGAGCUGAGAACUCGCGGAUUGAUUUGUUCGCCAUGGCCUCGAACUCUGAAUACAAGUUCCGGUGAUCUUCUUGAUUGGAUGAAGCUUCUUCGUGAAGUGUUGAUGAUUUCUUUAGCUUGGCUCUCGUCUUCUUGAAUAAUGCUAUAGGAUUGUCAACAAAAUUUCUUGGAAGAUGUCUUCUAUUCAUACAUUCCCCUGCAUAAGAUAAAAUAGAAAAAAAUAUCGGGGUAAAACUGUAUGAGAGAAUAGAUAAGCUCAAUCAUAUUAGUGAUGCGAAUGAUAACUCAAAAUCUUUUUAUUCCAUUCUUGAUUAGUAAUCAACCUUCCCCGGCAACAGCGCCAAAAAUGCUUGUUGGGCAUUCUUAACAUCUUUACUAAAAGUAGACUAAGUUCUAAAUCUAGCAACGGUGCCAAAAAUGCCAAACCUAUCCCUCACACCACUUAAGCCAAGUUGUCAUCCCCAGCAUGAUAUAAGAGACGCGGUAUUGAAAUAUGCAAUUGCUCUUCUAAAUAAAUAAUGAAUUGGAUCUGCAAGCGCACAGAUUAAUACCGAUGUAGCAUUUUAACCGGGAAGUAUUCCAGGUAACGUUAUUUAUAUUUUUACCACUGGGAAGGGAUUAGCAAUCAUCACUAAUCAUUACAGAAUAGAAUAUGAGAUUGAGCAUCUAUCAUUGCAUGUAUAAUUGAGAACAUUAUAUCUAACUCUUCAUACAGGGAUAAGUGUCACAUAAAAGAUAUAUGAAAUAAUAAUAGUGACAAGGAUAACUAAUCUGAUCUAGCCACAUAAUAAUUAUGAUAAGCACCUCAAUUAGAUACUCUAGAAAGUCAUUAGCAUGGUAUUAGAACGAACUACAAGAAUAUUCCCUAAGUUAUUCUCAACUAUAUAGUCUAGCAUAUCAUAGUUAGUGCAAGCAUACUUAGCAAUCAUUGCGAGACAAGACUACACCCAUGCAUAGUGAUAUUAGCAAGGAAUAUGAGAAACAUAGCAAUCACUCCCCUGUAAUAAUGUUGCUCUGCCAGCCCAAUACACGAGAGGGGGACUAUAUAAGAAUCAAUGAAGCUGUCACUAUCACGAACCACCCCACGAUCUGGCAUAUUGGAUACAAUCGCAGAUAAAUACGGUAUAAGCACCACGCCUACACAAUAUCUAUCAUUUACCCAUGGAUCCGAUGGAUAAACGCUAUACGAUCCUAAGCAUGUAUAUAGAUCCAAUCUAACUAAGCCAAGUACAUAACUAUGAUAAACUAAGAACAAUAUAAUCUUGAAUAUAAGCAAGUAGAGCAAAGUCAUAAGCAAUAUAUUGAAGUAGAACAAAGUCAUAUUCAUAAUAUUGAAGAGCAAAGAUAAUUAGAAAGCAAUUAGAAGCACAAUUAGAGAAUUACCAAGAAUCCUCCUAACAGAUCCGGAAACCAAUCGAAGAUUGACUCCUUCUAGUUCUAAUCCUAAGUAGCUAUGCUAAUCUAGAUAUCUAAUUGAUGUGGUGGCUCUAAUCUUGAUCAGAGGCUUCUUCUCCCUUGAUGGAACAAUGAAUUAGGGUUGAGAGGCUCUCUCCUCCAGGGGCCAGGGGGUCUGGUUUUAUAGUCCCUUCAAGUAAAUAUGGGCCCUUGGAUCAAACCGACAUAGAUUGUAUGGUUUAGAUUCAUCCUUUAGGUCGGUGGAGAUCUCCCGCAAAGCAGAGUCCUGAUUGGACUCAGGAGGUGGGCGGGCGCCCUGACCAACUGGGCGGCCGCCCAGGGUCUGGCCCCGUUUCGCCUCCACUUCGGUCUCGUGGCUUCUGGAGUCUUCUAGAUGUAAGAUAAUUGCGCAGCACAUUAAUAUCUUUACGUAAUCCCGACAUGUGGGCCUUUCUUCCGUAUUUCCUGAUAACCCCCUACAGAAAUAGACAAACACCAAAACUCGUGGAAUUCUAUCAGAUAAAACCCUAAGUCUAGAUCUUAAUUUCAUUUGGAUCCUUUUCUUUAUUUAUUUGAUAAUUAAAUUUGACACUUAAGGACCAUCAACAAACUCCCCCAAGCUUACCUCUUGCUCGUCCCUGAGCAAGGAUAGACUCAGCUAUGGAUCAUAAGUUGUUGCAAUAUUUUUAAAAAAUAGACGGUACAUAUGCUUUUAAAUAAGAUCUCAUCUCUGAGUUAGAGUAAACUAUCAAGACUUAAAACUUACUUACUUUACCUCCACCAUGGGACUUGUAACUGUCACUUCUGUCUUGAGUGGUUAAAAGAUAGAACAGUCUAGCCAAGUGCCAUGUCUCUUAUUCUUGAUCAGCUAUAGCUCUGGGGUUUUUGCAGAUUUUCAAAUAAAACUCAGAGAUUCCUUGUAUGAUUCUCUCAUAUCUCUCUUUUGUGGUAUUUUUGGAUCCUUACCAAGGCAUUGAUGGUAUAUGCCUUCUCUCAAGAUAUGUAGUAUUUGUGGUAUAAGGCAUAGUGACAUUGCCUUCUCUCUCACCCUACUCUAAUAAGGCUUUAAUAUUUGGAGCUCAUAGGUGGGAGAUAAAGUAUACAUACUCACAAGACAUUUAUUGCAUAGUCAAACCAUGGAUCCAAAGAAACAAAUCAAUAAGCCAAAUCAAGAUGUGCAUGUGUGGCGAAUGAAUGGUGUAUGGUGAUGAUGGUGAUAACAAUGGUGAAAACAAUGGUGGUGGAAGUCUAAUUCUACUUUGCUCUUUUGAGGGGAUACAUACCUUCCUUGCUUUUGAAACUUUAUGAGGAGAAUGAGAUGCUCUUCUUUUUCUUGUCUCUCAGGUGGGUAUCUUGCACCCCUAAUUCUACUGUCGGACACUUGUCCAUUUUUACCUCUCGUCUCACUCUUUCUUUUCUUUCGAGGUUCCGAGCACUUGCUCCUUUUUAUUUCCUCGUAUUAUUUUUUUUAUUUUCUUCUUUUUUUUAGAGCACUCGUCUCUUGAGAUAAUAUAGAAAGUGGUAGUAACAAGAUAACUUGAGCAUUUAUUUCACAAGGGGAAACAAAAAUAUUUUUGGUUAUUCUCUCCCGGAUUAGGAGCAGAAUAUUUUUGGGUGAUUCUGGAGAUGGAAAUGGAUGGAUAUAUGUGGAUGGUACUUCUGGAGUAGAAGUAGCAUAUAUGAGUGAACGUGCAAGUGAAAUCUUGAUUUAACCACAUGACAAGCUCCUAAGGGUCUACACAGCUUGACCACACUCAAUGCUCAUAAGCAGUAAAUAAUAAAUGUGUGGCUCAAAGUCUAGCAAGCAUGUAUAUAUGGCUGUGGUAGGAAUUUAAGCUCUCAUCAUACAGGAACUCAACAUGCAACAUUUUAAAGAUUUUUAAAGAUAAAAUUCUCCAGAAUUCUAGCAUCUCUAGGAACAGAUAAACAGCAGCUCAACCUUCCCAUAUCGUAUCCGUUAACAACUUAGACUUCAGAUCAAGUUUUCAUCCCACAAGUUUAGGUCUAGGGCAAGCUUUAAAUUAUAACAGUUAUAUCUAAACUUGAGAGAGAACUUAGAAUGUGCAAAUUAGGCAGAGCAACUAUUCAUCAUAUCCAUGCUUAAGUUUUUGUUUAGAUACAGAUUAGCAUAGCCACUUUAUUUAUUUGUUAAACACACUAAAAAAAAGACAUAUAUAAGCAUAAAAUCUUUAUUUGGUUUUCCCAUAGUUUAUGUGUAUUUUAAUAUUCUAAAAUAAUAUAAGUAUAAAGAUAGAUAGAUAGAUAGAUAUACUUAUCGGGAUAAAUGGGGGUGCUCUCCCCCAAGCUGAAUUUUGACGUAAUUUCUCUUGAUGUAGCUAGCAGGUGGCAGAGGUGUAUUUGAAAGUCAGCAGCAUUCUGACAGCGAUUAGAAUGUCCUCCGUCUGCGAGUCUUCUUGAUUCUUAAAUUCUGUGGAGCUCAAAUAGACAACAUAGCUUGUGGAACUGAUUAAGUGUUAGCAUAAAUAUCUAGCCUUUAUCAUGUUGAGACUCCUUAAUAAUUGUUACUCCCUGUUUUUAUAUUUUUGUUUUUAUAAAGCAGAAAAAAUAUUUAUUUUUGUUUUUAUGCCACCACAGUGAAUGUACUUAUGGGUUUUAUGCCACUCGUAUACUCACAUGGGGCUUACUGUUUUUCAUAUAUUUUUUUUUAUUUUCUUUUUAGAAUAGCACGAACAUGAUUAACUAAGUAAACUAGUUGGAAUAAUUUGAAAGGAAAAAGAUAACUACCAAGUUUACCUCUUGGCAAGGCGUUCGGUGUUUUUAAGUCCUCCGAACGGGACUCUCCAUUUUUUUAAUUGUCCUGAGGUUCGUUGGGUGGCGAAGCCGGUACUUCCGGUAGCGCCUCCUCUUCAUGUAUAGUUAUCAUCAUUUUCCAUACCUGACUCGAUGCUUCAAUCUCCUCUGGAUAAUUCUGUUUAAACUCUACGUCUUCUGACCUUACAACUUCUCCUUCAUAGUCUGCCCAUCCGUCCUUGAUGAUCUGCCUCCUCUGGUUGCGGUUGCGUCUCUUUCUGACCUGCUUAGAUUCUUCAAUGAUAUAGUUAGGGUCAGUAAAAUAACGGCGUACCUUCUCUGAGGGGAAGUGCAUAUGGACUUCUCCGGUUCCAAUGUAGAUAAUUGCUUUAACGGUGCUGAGGAGGGGUCUUCCAAGGAUGAUGGGUGGAUCGUACUCGUCUUCUCCCAUGUCAAUAACUUGAAAGUCUGUGUAGACAAAGUGAUCGUCUAUUUUGACUGGGACAUCAGAUACUAUUCCUUGAACUUCUCGAAAUGUCUGAUCUACCAUCUGGAGCUGAAUGUAUGUUGGUCUUAGUGGCAUGGUCCUGAACAAGAGCCGAUAAAUGACUGCGGCCAUUAUGUUGACGCCCGAUCCGGUGUCGCAAAUCGUCUUGUAGAAGUUAUAUCCAUUUAUGGAGCAGUAGAUGCUUGGCAUUCCUGGGUCGUCCUUCUUGGUCAAAAACGGUGACUUAAGUUGGUGAUCUUGGCCUCCAUGGACUACAGUGACCAUCUUAGCUGACUCGGUCCACACUUGCUUGUUCCUGUUCCUCCUGUUGGUCCUCUUCCCUGAUUCACGUCCGGAUUGACCUGGAAUUUGUGUAGUCUUGUUCAUGAAGAAAAAUGUCUCCUUCUUCCCUUUGACGUAGAAACUGAUCUUGGCAGCACUGGCGUAGAUGAUAGCUCCCGUGGUGUUCAAAAAUGGCCUUCCUAGGAUGAUAGGUGCUCUCUCAUCAUUUUCGGUCUCAACCACUACAAAGUCUGCUGGGGUAUAUAAAGUACCAACUUGGACACAAAGGUUCCUCACUAUUCCUUUUGGAAAAGUUAUCGUCUGAUCUACAAACUGCAAACACAUGGUUGUUUCUAAUAAAGGAUAUGUAAAGAAUUUCUCAUAGAGUACCCUGGGUAUAAUGUUGACGCUAGAGCCAAAGUCACAGAGUGCUUCUGGAACGUCCACCAUGCCGAUGGAGAUCGGGAUGACGGGGCGUCCUGGAUCGCCUCUCUUGACUGGCAGACGGUCAGUAGAGAAUUCAGUGACGGGGUUACUCCAAUUACCUGCAUCGAACAUGUCUACAAGAUUUGCAGAUUCUAAUCCUUCCGGUUGUGAUGGUAUACCGGGGUUAGUAGUAGGAACAGCAGCAGCUAUUUGAUUUAACUGGGAUUCAAUCAUUUUAUUAAUGCUAAUUUGAUUCUUGAUGGCAGUAGAGAAAUUAUCCAUUCUAUUAUUUAUAUUUUCUAGCAUUUUAUCAUUAGACGCCAAUUUCUUAGAUAGAUUAUCCAUUAGCUUUCCUUGAUUAGACACUAACUCUCUCAAAGGUGGAAAAUUAUUAUUAUUGUUGUAAGAAUUGUUACCUUGAUAAUUACCUGAGUAGUUAGGCCUCUGUUGAUUUCAACCUUGAUUUUGUUGAGGACGGUUGUAGUUGUUGUUGUUGAUGAUGAUGUAGUUCACAUCCUCAAGCAUCUCAGGGCAGUGGUUGCCUGAGUGUCCAGUGUCUCCACACUCCUCACAAGUCAUGUGAGAGUCGUAGAUGUGCACAGCUUCUUUCUUGUCUCCAGCUCUAUCGUCGAGCUUCUUCAUGAGCAGGUCUAGCUUUGCAGACAGCAUGUCUACCUCCUUUAGCUGAUGCAUACCUCCACCUCUCUUGCGUGUCUGGGUCCUCUCUUCAUUCCAGCUUUGGUUGGACGCCAUCUUCUCCACAAGAGCUGUGGCUUGUGGUAUAGUAAGUGAUAAGAAUGCUCCUCCAGCUGCAGCAUCCAUGGUCUAUCGGGCACUGUUGCUGAGCCCAUGAUAGAAUGUCUGCAUCAGUAGCCAACUCUCCAUUCCAUGAUGGGGACAUUCUAGGAUGUAGUCUUGAAAGCGCUCCCAUGCUUCUGGAACAGAUUCAUCAUUUUGUUGCUGAAAACUUGUAAUCUUCCCACGGAGAGCAUUGGUCUUGCCCAUGGGAAAGAACUUAGCCAGGAAGUUUGUUGAGCAGAGUGCCCACGUAGUAUUCUUCUCCUUUGUAGCGUAGAACCACUGCUUCGCUCUUCCUAACAGUGAGAAUGGGAAGAGGCGAAGUAGUAUAGCGUCUUUAGAAACUCCUACUAUGGUGAAUGUGUUGCAAAUCUCUAGGAAGUGUUGUAAAUGAGCACUAGCGUCUUCGUGUGCCUUCCCACGGAACUGGUUGGAUUGCACCAUGUUGAUAAGUCCAGGCUUGAGCUCAAAGUUGCCAUCGAUCUCUACAGCAGGUCCAGUGUGGAUGUUGUCCGUAGUGGGAGCUGAAAACUCGCGGAUUGAUUUGUUCGCCAUGGCCUCGAACUCUGAAGACAAGUUCCGGUGAUCUUCUUGAUUGGAUGAAGCUUCUUCGUGAAGUGUUGAUGAUUUCUUUAGCUUGGCUCUCGUCUUCUUGAAUAAUGCUACAAGAUUGUCAACAAAAUUUCUUGGAAGAUGUCUUCUAUUCAUACAUUCCCCUGCAUAAGAUAAAAUAGAAAAAUAUCGGGGUAAAACUGUAUGAGAGAAUAGAUAAGCUCAAUCAUAUUAGUGAUGCGAAUGAUAACUCAAAAUCUUUUUAUUCCAUUCCUGAUUAGUAAUCAACCUUCCCCGGCAACGGCGCCAAAAAUGCUUGUUGGGUAUUCUUAACAUCAUUACUAAAAGUAGACUAAGUUCUAAAUCUAGCAACGGUGCCAAAAAUGCCAAACCUAUCCCUCACACCACUUAAGCCAAGUUGUCAUCCCCAGCAUGAUAUAAGAGACGCGGUAUUGAAAUAUGCAAUUGCUCUUCUAAAUAAAUAAUGAAUUGGAUCUGCAAGCGCACAGAUUAAUACCAAUGUAGCAUUUUAACCGGGAAUUAUUCCAGGUAUCGUUAUUUAUAUUUUUACCACUGGGAAGGGAUUAGCAAUCAUCACUAAUGAUUACAGAAUAGAAUAUGAGAUUGAGCAUCUAUCAUUGCAUGUAUAAUUGAGAACAUUAUAUCUAACUCUUCAUACAGGGAUAAGUGUCACAUAAAAGAUAUAUGAAAUAAUAAUAGUGACAAGGAUAACUAAUCUGAUCUAGCCACAUAAUAAUUAUGAUAAGCACCUCAAUUAGAUACUCUAGAAAGUCAUUAGCAUGGUAUUAGAACGAACUACAAGAAUAUUCCCUAAGUUAUUCUCAACUAUAUAGUCUAGCAUAUCAUAGUUAGUGCAAGCAUACUUAGCAAUCAUUGCGAGACAAGACUACGCCCAUAGUGAUAUUAGCAAGGAAUAUGAGAAACAUAGCAAUCACUCCCCUGUAAUAAUGUUGCUCUGCCAGCCCAAUACACGAGAGGGGGACUAUAUAAGAAUCAAUGAAGCUGUCACUAUCACGAACCACCCCACGAUCUGGCAUAUUGGGUACAAUCGCAGAUAAAUACGGUAUAAGCACCACGCCUACACAAUAUCUAUCAUUUACCCAUGGAUCCGAUGGAUAAACGCUAUACGAUCCUAAGCAUGUAUAUAGAUCGAAUCUAACUAAGCCAAGUACAUAACUAUGAUAAACUAAGAACAAUAUAAUCUUGAAUAUAAGCAAGGUAGAGCAAAGUCAUAAGCAAUAUAUUGAAGUAGAACAAAGUCAUAUUCAUAAUAUUGAAGAACAAAGAUAAUUAGAAAGUAAUUAGAAGCACAAUUAGAGAAUUACCAAGAAUCCUCUUGACAGAUCCGGAAACCAAUCGAAGAUUGACUCCUUCUAGUUCUAAUCCUAUGUAGCUAUGCUAAUCAAGAUAUCUAAUUGAUGUGGUGGCUAUAAUCUUGAUCAGAGGCUUCUUCUCCCUUGAUGGAACAAUGAAUUAGGGUUGAGAGGCUCUCUCCUCCAGGGGCCAGGGGGUCUGGUUUUAUAGUCCCUUCAAGUGAAUAUGGGCCCUUGGAUCAAACCGACAUAGAUUGUAUGGUUUAGAUUCAUCCUUUAGGUCGGUGGAGAUCUCCCGCAAAGCAGAGUCCUGAUUGGACUCAGGAGGUGGGCGGGCGCCCUGACCAACUGGGCGGCCGCCCAGGGUCUGGCCCCGUUUCGCCUCCGCUUCGGUCUCGUGGCUUCUGGAGUCUUCUAGAUGUAAGAUAAUUGCGCAGCACGUUAAUAUCUUUACGUAAUCCCGACAUGUGGGCCUUUCUUCCGUAUUUCCUGAUAACCCCCUGCAGAAAUAGACAAACACCAAAACUCGUGGAAUUCUGUCAGAUAAAACCCUAAGUCUAGAUCUUAAUUUCAUUUGGAUCCUUUUCUUUAUUUAUUUGAUAAUUAAAUUUGAUACUUAAGGACCGUCAACAGUGUUCAUCGAUGAUAUUUUGGUGUAUUCUGAAAGUGCACAAGAACAUGAAGAGCACCUUCGGAUUGUACUCACUAGAUUGCGAGAACAUUAGCUCUAUACCAAAUUCAGCAAGUGUGAGUUUUGGCUGAAGAAAGUGCCUUUCUUAGGCCAUAUUUUAUCUGAAGAAGGUAUUUCUGUUGACCCGUCAAAGGUGCAAGAGGUUCUAGACUGGAAGGCCCCAACUUCAGUGCACGAGGUUCGGAGUUUUCUCGGUCUAGCUGGAUAUUAUCGGCGCUUUAUUCCAGACUUUUCCAAAAUAGCUAAACCUAUGACCCAGCUACUGCAAAAAGAUGUGAAGUUUGUGUGGACCAAGGAGUGUGAUGUUGCUUUCACCACUUUACGCCAUUUGCUGACCACCGCUCCUGUUUUGGCACAACCUGACAUUGAAAAGCCCUUUGAUGUCUUUUGUGAUGCAUCUGGCACCGGCCUAGGUUGUGUGCUUAUGCAAGAUGGCCGAGUUAUUGCCUUUGCUUCUCGGCAGUUGAGGAAACAUGAAGCCAACUACCCUACCCAUGAUCUGGAGUUAGCAGCAGUUGUACAUGCAUUGAAACUCUGGAGACACUACCUGUUGGGUAAUCUUUGUCACAUCUACACUGACCAUAAGAGCCUCAAAUAUAUAUUCACUCAACCCGAAUUGAACAUGAGACAAAGAAGAUGGUUGGAGUUGAUAAAAGACUACAAUUUAGAAGUGCACUAUCAUCCCGGCAAGGCCAAUGUGGUAGCUGAUGCUCUCAGUCGGAAACAGCAUGUUAGACCUCUCUUAGAGGAAGGCUUCAAUCUAUUGCAUCCGGCGGUCCUGCACAACAUCAUAGUCAGUUGCUCAUUAGAAAGUCAAAUCAUAGAGCUCCAAAAAUCUGAUCCUGGUAUUUAUCAUGUCAAGAGAAAAAUGCAAGAGCAAGACACCAAGCAUUUCAGGGUAGAUGAGAAAGGUGUACUAUGGUUUGACAAUCAAUUAGUUGUACCUAAAAAUCAUGAUCUACGCAACAAAAUCCUAGAAGAAGCUCACUCUUCCAAAUUGUCCAUUCAUCCGGGGAGUAGCAAAAUGUACCAAGACUUGAGACCUCGUUUCUGGUGGACCAAAAUGAAGAAGGAGAUAGCAGCUUAUGUUGCUAGAUGUGAUACUUGCUGCAGGGUAAAGGCAGUUCACCUCAAACCUGCAGGUUUAUUGCAACCUCUAUCAGUUCCAGGUUGGAAGUGGGAAGAAAUCAGCAUGGAUUUCAUUGUUGGACUUCCCCUUACUCAAAAAGGACACAAUUCUAUAUGGGUGAUUGUUGACCGUCCGACCAAGUCGGCUCAUUUUAUUCCUGUACACUCUACAUACCGACCAUCCGACUAUGCUGAGUUGUACUUCUCUCAGAUAAUUAAGCUGCACGGUGUGCCCCGCACUAUUAUCUCUGAUAGAGGUCCUCAGUUUACUGCUCGCUUUUGGGAGCAUCUGCAUUCACUCCUUGGCACAAAAUUGGUUCGCAGUUCAGCCUAUCAUCCUCAGACCUCCGGUCAAACUGAGCGUGUGAAUCAAAUUUUAGAGGAUAUGUUGAGGGCAUGUGUUAUAUCUUCCAAGGGUGCAUGGGAGAAAUGGCUACCCUUAGCUGAAUUCUCUUACAACAAUAAUUAUUAGGAAAGCAUCCAAAUGGCUCCUUUUGAAGCUUUGUACGGUCGCAAAUGUAGAACUCCUCUAAACUGGGUCGAACCUGGUGAAAGGAGGUACUACGGAAUUGACUUCGUCAAGGAAGCCGAGAAACAAGUUCUCCUUAUCCAGCAACACAUGAGAGCCGCCCACGCUAGGCAGAAAAGCUAUGCUGACCGAAGAAGAAAGCCAAUUGAAUUCGAAAUAGGUGACUUUGUGUACAUAAAAGUAUCACCCAUGAAAGGAACAAAUCGCUUCGGCGUUAAAAGAAAGCUUGCCCCUAGGUAUGUCGGUCCCUACCGAAUCAUCGAGAAGAGCGGCAAGGUAGCUUACAAAGUGCAACUACCUCCCGAAAUGAUAGCUAUUUUCCCUGUAUUCCAUGUGUCUCAACUUAAGAAGUGUCUUCGUGUGCCCGAAGAGAGAGUUGAAUCAAGAGAUAUCAAGUUGCAGUCAGACCUAUCUUAUGAAGAAAAGCCUGUACAAGUUCUCGAUGUCAAAGAGCGGGUUACCCAUGGGAGGGUGAUCAAACUUUUUAGAGUAUUGUGGAACCAUCAAAAUGAGAGAGAUGCCACUUGGGAAAGGGAAGACUAUUUACAAGAAACUUAUCCCUCAUUCUACGAAAAAUGGUACGUCUUUCAAAUCUCGGGGCGAGAUUUUUGUAAGGGGGGAGGGCUGUAACACUCCUAGUGUUAGCUUGCAUGUUAACCUUGAGCAUUGCAUUAACAUAAGCAUCAUAAUGAUCACUCAUGAGCAUCAUACCAUGAUCACAUGCCAUUUGCUUUAUACACUACAUGAUUAAAUUGCUUGAGUGACUUGAAUUGAGUGUUUAUAAGGGGUAGCCAAUGCAAAGAAUUGUACAUUGUCCUCCAAAAUACCUCAAUCAUGUUUAGAAUAUCAUUUGGAACAAAGUUCAUGGUGAAGGUUUUGGCCAAAAAUGCCCCUAAGUCAUGGUUAACCCUAGAAUGACCUUUUUGACCCUCCUAGACCUCCUUUCAAAGAUGUUUUAUGAAACUGGUGUUAGAUAUCUUGCAUGUCUUUGAUACCUGAAACAAAGUUGUAGAGAAUUUCAUAAGCUACAAAAGUUAUGUUGAUGAAUUUUUAUGAAAAAGCCUGGAACACAUUCAAAAAUUGCUCACAAGCCAAAAAUUAGGGCUGAUUUCACACUUAGCCGAAUUUGGCUAAGUGUUGGAUCGCGCAGUUUCGACCAAGGGAUGUUUGGAGCUUUGUAGUUUGAAAUCCAGACCGAGUUAGACUUUGAUCUUGUAACCAAAGUUGUAGAGCUCGUGUAGCUCUGCAUAGAGGACCAAAUCCCAGCCAAAACCAUCGAGUGAUCUGAGAGUAAAACGUUGACAAAGUUCGAGUUUCAGUCACAGCAAUCGGCUGUUUCAGAAAAACGAUUCAGUUGGACAGAGCUCACCCGCCGCCGCGUGUCCGGCUACCUGGCGGUCGUACGUCGUCGGCGACCCCGCCUGUCAGCCCCGACGUCAUCCACAAGACGCCACGCACCGGGUGGACGCCUCAGACGCGCCAUUCACCCCUCCAAAGCGCCACAUUGCGCCCGCCUUCGUCCACGGCGAGCUCCGCCGCGCUUCGGCGAGCUCCUCCGGCCGUUCCACCGCGUCUCCGGCCAAGCCAGCCUGCCAAAAGCUUCGCCAGAGCCUCCUCUACCUCGGCGUCACCUCCUUGGCCACUGUCGAGCACGGGUAAGGCGGCAUUGCUAGGCUCCGAGCAGUUCUCCCUCGCCGGAGUUCCGCCCGAGCUCACCGGCAACGUGGCCAGGCUUCUCUGCUCCACCAUAUCCUUCCAUUCUUGCUCCUAUCGCUUCCCCUUGGUUCACUGAUGCUCGGCAUGACGCUCUACCGCGUCGCCAUUGCCUGGAUCCGCCGGCGUAUCGCCGCGCAGCGCCGCCGCUCCGCCAUUCCCGACGGCGAGCACCUUAGGGUCCAGUAGAGCGCGCGCAAAGUAGGUCAAUAGAGUCGCCUUGAUGAGAGGAACACAUAGGUGCCCUGGGAUCCGGCCGAGACCUCGCCGUCGUUGAGCUUCGCCGGCGACGAGCGUCUCCCCUGCCUCUGUCUCACUGACACGCGGGUCCCGGACGUCAGCCUCUCUGUGUCUCUCUCUGGUUCACUGUUUUGCAGAGCCAAAGCUGAUUUUGUAAAAUUCAUAUCUGGAGUUUUAGAGAUCCAAAUGUGGUGCUUCCAAUUUUGUUAGGUUCCAGGAUAAGUCUAGUUUUUAAUAAAAAUAUGAAACAUGCCAUGUUUUUGCAGAAAUAAAUAGAUAUAAAUUAAUCUUGGUUUUUCAGUGGGUAAUUUUAUCUUGAGAUCUGUUGAUCUGCUGGCCAUGCAAAUUUAGGGAGUUGUUACUUAUGUUAUGACUAGUCUUUGAUAAAUGUUUCAUGAUUUUUGGAAGCCUGGUUGGGAAGUUAAAAUUAAUCCUGGAUUAAAUAGGAGAAUCUUGUGGUAUUUUUGAUAAUUAAAGUAUAACUCCUUUUAUGGUGAAACUUGCUCAGUGUUGUGCUUAUGAGUAGACAAAGCAAGGAAAAAUCUGAAAUCUGUUGUUUGAAACUUUUUGAUAGGGUUUUACAUUUAUGCCUUGCAUGCCUUUACUAGCUUGUGAUUUUCAUACCUCACAAUGUAUACAUGCAAAUGUUCUGAAAAUUUUACAGUGAUCUUAUGUUAGCAUAGGUAGCUUGCUGUAAUUUUCUUAGGAUUUUUGGAACAAUUGGUGUAUAUGUUCAUUAAAUCACCUUAAUAAAUAAAUAAAUGGAAAAGGUGAUGAUAGAAAUAGUUUUAGACCUUGCCAUGAUAUUUUCUGGUGUUUCUUAGAUAUGUUCUAUCUACUGGUGCAAUUGGAUUGUUCCUUUGAUACAUUCUUAAUAUGUGCAAAAUAUUAUUUUAGCUAUUUUUGCCUUUCCUAGAGCAUUUCUGUACAGCUGAUAGCAAUUGAUUAAGAACUGUUUGAAGAUUGUAUUUUCUGGGAAACUUGUCUACAACAAACUUGUAGCUAACUUACGAAUCUACUUCGUGUCCAAAUUUCAUGACAUUUGGUUCAGUAGUUUGAAAGUUAUGCAUAUUUCAAGUAGCUACUAUGAAGUGCUUGCUCUCUGGAAUUUCCAGAGCAGCCAGCCAACUUGGUAUGUUUUAGCAUAUUUCGGUUGGGAAUCAUGCUGGGAUGUCUAAAAGUAAAUUGUAGACAAAUUGUUAAGCUUUCCAGAAAGUGCUUACUUGCUUAAUUUGGUUAAGUGAUAUUCGAGUUAUAGCUGAAACUUGUGACUGGUUGGUUUGUCUACUAAACCAGUGGCUGAGUAGGAGUAGCUAGAAGUUGCUUAACUUGUCUAUUUAGCCUCUCUACCAGAGAAGAAGUAUGCAUUUACUUGUUAUUCCAUGACUCACUUAUUCUUAGAAGUUUAUGCUCAUGUUAUACCUUGUUUAUGUCCCUUUGGCUCUUCAUCAUGACAUCAUGCAUCAUAUGUGCAUUUCCCAUAUUCAUCUCCUUGUCAUGCAUCCAUAGGUGUACCCAAAGGAGUGACGGUGCUGGAGUUCGAGUUGCCGGAGCCGGAAGGACAGCAAGGGGAGCCACCUCAAGGAGCUGAGGAGGAGGAGGACUUGCCGGAGUGCCCUGACCAUCGUCCCUCUACUUACGUUGAAGGCAAGCCCCGGAGCAUUAUAAGUCUCCUACUAUUUUAUUAUCAUAAUCAGCUAUCAAAUGACUAUGGUUAUAUAUUGUUGCAUUAAGUGGUAGGCGUUGAUAUGACACCCUUGCUGCAUAAUGACUACCUUGUCCACCUUAAACAUUACCAAAGUAGGUCCAGGAUCGAAGUGAUGCUUAUGUUUAGCUCGGUAGAAGUCGGGUGAUUUCCUGUCACCUGCGAGAGUUAGGUGGAUGAUGAUCACGGUUGGCUAUAUUUGCUAUCGUGGAGAUAACCAAGUGCUAAAAUGAACUUGAGACCGGGCGGGAUGACGAUAGUGCAGCAACAAGGCAUGGAGGUCUUGGGUGUGAAUCUAUCCCCGUCUGUGUCGUUUAAGGACCGAAUCGCUGUACGUCCCCGUGUCAUGUUGAACGCAUGCCUAUCACUUAGUUGGCCGGAUAAGUCAUUCCGACCGCGAAGCCUACGAGUGCAUCUCCAGCCGGAUACCCCGUUCGGUUCAAGUGCGCACCCCGGUUGGUAGCAAGGAUGUGCGGGGAGUCAAUGGCGUAAGACCGAGGUGUCAGGUUAGAGUCCUGACCCUGGCAGAUUGGCGGUCCCUGGGGGUGCGGCGCCGUACGGACCCGCGAAUUGGUCCGGAGUUGUGCUAAAGGUGAUCCGAGCUGCCGUCAUGAAGUAUGCUUGGGUGAGUGUUAGGAAUACCCCUCCAGCUGGAUAGGAAUCGAUUCGAAUCGCCGUCUCUCCUGGAUAGUGAGAACUUGACUUGGGCAGCGGCAACGUAGAAUUCACUAAAUCAACUUGAUGGUUAUGAUGAGAAUGUUGAUAGCAAAGUGAUAAUCUUGAUAUGGUUAUUAUUGAUAUGCUUAAUUACCCAAGUGUAUGCUUAGAACAGGUGCUAAUCUAGUGGAUAGUUGCUAAGUAAUGAACUUGCUGCUGAAAUAUGAAUAAAUGGAUUACUUACAGCAAAGGUUUUAUGCAAAAAGUGAGUCAACCCAGUCCACUAAGAUCAGCCUUGCAUACUCCUUGGUGUCACUUUAUUUCUGGUUUAUGACGGGUAAGUCUAGCUGAGUACAUUCUCGUACUCAGGGUUUUAUUUACCCCUGUUGCAGAUGAUGUCGUCUAUCACGGCUAUUGUGCUAACUGUCAUCACCCAGCUGCGGAUGAUGAGUAGAUCAUGGGCGUGAUCACCUCCUGUAUCUUCAGUUGUGCUUUUGCUGGGACUUGACCAUGGAACUGGCAUGUAUUACAAACUGAGUUGAAGUUGUAUCAAAACUACUUUGUUUCCGCUACUGCUAUGGUUUGUAAUAACCUCUUUCAAACUCUGAUGUGAUGUAAAACUAUGUUCUAUGUUGAAUGUUGUAAUCUGUGAUGGUGAUGCUUGAUCAUGUACGAUCUUGGUUGUAUGUUGGUUGAAUCGAAGUCUUUUGAGAUUUCGUCGGACUACCGGGUUUAUAUGGGUUCAAGUCCAUUGGCUUGACUGCCCCAGCGGUCGCUAAUUCACUUGAAUUCUUAUAAAUUGGACGGUUCUGUUACAGUGAGUGGCAUUGCAUCCCUUGUAUUUAUGUUUCCGUGUCUUUGACAUGGCCCACAUCUUCUGAUAUAUUGCUUCGUAUCUUCAUACAUUGUAGGCUAGUAGAAUCCACACUGCCAGAUCUUUGAAUGUGUGCGGAAUGCUCCAUAGUGACCUCCAUAUGGUGAUGAAUGACAUCUGUCGACGAUCUUCCAUCCUUCCUCAGUGGUCACACAUCUCCUGAGUAAACCAUCAGAGCAUACUCGGAAGAGGUAUGGCUCAUCCCAUAUAUGUGAACGACUUUCUUAAAUAAGCUUCUUCUUGUUUGCUCCUGGUGGUACAUACCCUGAAACCAUAAAAUUAACAAUAUCUGCAUACCAGGGGUCAGACGUGUUAAUCCCAUAGAGCAUGUCGUCCCGGAGUGAAUCAUUGAUGGGGGUUUCCUGUGGACUCUUAAAAUACAUUCUAGAGAAGUGAUCAGCAACAGAAUUUUCUACUCCCUUUAUAUCUUUUAUUUCUAAAUCUAAUUCUUGGAGUAAUAAGAUCCAUCUAAUCAGGCGAGGUUUAGCAUCUUUUUUAGUGAGCAAAUAUUUUAGUGCAGCAUGAUCAGUGUAAACAAUUAUUUUAGCUCCAACUAAAUAAGAUCUAAAUUUAUCAAUGGCAAAGACGACAGCCAGAAGCUCUUUUUCCGUGGUUGCAUAAUUAAGUUGAGCUCCUGUCAAAAUUUUACUGGCAUAAGCAAUUGCAUGAUGCUUCUUAUUUUUAGUUUGUCCCAAUACUGCCCCCACAGCAUAAUCACUAGCAUCACACAUAAUUUCAAAAGGCAACGACCAAUCAGGGGGUUGAAUGAUUGGUGCAGAGAUGAGUGCUUUCUUUAAUAAAUUGAAAGAUGUUAGACAUGCAUCAUCGAAUUCGAAAGGAGCAUCCUUGGCUAGCAAAAUAGUAAGUGGUCUAGCAAAGAAUGAAAAAUCUUUUAUGAAUCUACGAUAAAAACCAGCAUGGCCAAGAAAGCUUCGAAUUCCUUUUAUAUUCACAGGUGGAGGUAGUUGUUCAAUUACUUCAAUUUUAGCUUUAUCUACCUCAAUACCUCUUUUAGACACUAGGUGUCCCAGCACUAUUCCAUCCCAAACCAUGAAAUGACAUUUUUCCCAAUUAAGGACUAAGUGCUUUUCUUCAUAUCUUUGCAAAACCUUGUCUAAGUUUUCAAGACAACUAUCAAAAGUUUUUCCAUAAACUGAGAAAUCAUCCAUGAAAACUUCCAUAAUCUCUUCAAUCAUAUCAGAAAAUAUAGACAUCAUGCAUCUUUGAAAAGAAGCUGGUGCAUUACAUAACCCAAAAGACAUUCUACGGUAAGCAUAAGUUCCAUAUGGGCAUGUAAAAGUGGUUUUGCUUUGAUCAUCGGGAUGGAUCAGGAUCUGAUGAUACCCUGAAUAUCCAUCUAAGAAAUAGAAGAACGAAUGGUUCACUAAUCGCUCUAGCAUCUCAUCUAUAAAAGGUAAAGGAAAGUGAUCCUUUCUCGUGGCUUUGUUUUGUUUUCUAUAGUCUAUGCACAUCCGCCAUCCUGUGACGGUGCGUUGCGGAAUUAGCUCGUUCUUUUCAUUCAUAAUAACAGUCAUGCCUCCCUUUUUAGGCACAACUUGCACUGGGCUUACCCACUCACUGUGCGGCACAGGAUAUAUAAUCCCUGCAUGCAGCAACUUUAUAACUUCCUUUUUAACUACCUCUCUCAUAGUGUUGUUAAGUCUACGUUGGGGUUCUCGAGAGGGUGAAACAGAAGGAUCUGUUGGAAUACGAUGGGUACAAAUCAUAGGACUGAUUCCUGUAAGAUCUUGGAGUGAGUAGCCGAAAACUGAGUGAUGUUUCUCAAGAAUGGUCAUUAAUUGCAGAGUUUGCUCCUGAGUGAGUUUAUCGCUAAUGAUCACAGGGAACUCUGGAUUAUUGUUUAGGAAAGCAUAGAUAAGACCGGGUGGUAAAGUUUUAAGCUCUAUGGGGGGUCUAGGUGUUUCUGCAAACUCAUCUAAGGGUUCAGGUUCAGAAGGUUUGGCUUCUUCUUCUAUGAAGAAAGGAGUUUCGUCUUCUAAGUCUCAUUCUUCUAAAAGCUCUAGAGAUGCAGCCUUUACCUCCUCCAUAGGAUCAGGCAAAAGAUAUGAUUCGGCCUUAUUGUUUAAGGAGUGUGAAAUUGUUAUUGGGAAUUUAAAGGUUUUUCCAAAAGAAAGAAAUGUGUAGCUUUCCAGUAUGACCUUCAUAAAGGAGUCUUCUAAAAGGUUGUCCUAUCAAUAGGUCGAAGUCCCAUGUAUCAAAGAUAUAGAAGUUCAAAUGAACCAUGGAGCCUUCUACCAUAAGAGGUAGGACAUUAAUAAUUCCAAGACUGGGGACUAAUCGUCCCGAAGAUUCCUUUAUGACCUUCGUUGUGGGGGUUAAGACAAAAUUUUUAAAUAGUUUAAGUGCAAAAGAUUCAGACAUGAUGUUGAUCCCCACAACAGGAUUAUAAAGAGCAUUAAAUCGAUCAGAAUUAUAAGCACAGCGUAUAGUUAUAGAGGGUGUGUCCAAACGGAUCACAUCAGAGGAAAGCUCUCAUUCCUCCAACCAUUCGCUACUCAUUACUGAGAUAAGCUCUCUCAAUUGAUAUUCACUUGGCAAAUAAAUGCUAAACUGGCCGUUUUGAGGUUUGUCAAUAGAAUCGUAGUUUGAAAUGUUUCCAAAAUCGGCAAAAAUAUCGGAUUCUAUAUCCAGCAUGAUGUCCGGUGGUGGAAUUUCUUCCUCUUGUGGCUCAGAACUUGGGAUAGCUAAAGUAGAUGAAGAAUUUAGCAGAGUGUCUACUUCGGCUUCGUAGGUUUCAUCAUGAAGGGUAUUAUCCAUCUUAGCUUCUAGGAUUCUAUCGAGGAUCACUCUAGCUUCAUCAGUAGGGAUGCAAAAGAAAGAACCUCUAGACAUUGUGUGUAGCAUUUGUUUGUGAUUUUUCUGAAGACCUCGAAAAAAGUGAAAUAAAAGAACAGGGUCUUCAAGAUUAAGGUUUGGACCAGAUUCUAAAAGGUUAGAAAAACAUUUCCAGGAUUUUCCCAAAGUUUCAUUAUCUUUUUGUUUAAAAGAUAGGACUUCGAGUCUAAGGUCGGCUAUACGGUCGAGGGAAUAGAAAUCUAGACAAAAGUUGGCUCGUAAAACUCCCCAUUCACCUCGUUGUUGACUUACCUUCUGACUGUACCAUUGUCUAGCUUCUCCCCUUAAGGAAAAAGGAAAAAGCUUCCAACGUAAAGUUUUAUCAGAAAUGCCUUCAAUGCGAAGACAAUCACAUGUUUGCUCAAAAUCUCUAAUAUGAAGGUAAGGGUUUUCGUCUUCCUUUCCCGAAAAAGAUAGGUUUUGAAUCAUGGCAAUCAACCUAGAACUUAACUUAUACUGGGAUGUUUGGAUAGGCUGUGAUGACUCCCAUGGUAAAAGGUCAGUUACUGAAGGGAUUGCAGACUCAUGUAUUGAUUUAGAAUUUUGGUUUUCCAUAAGGUAAGAGUAAAGAAAAUAAAUAAAGAAUAUAAAAGAUAAAAGUAUAGAUACAAGCUAGUAGUAAGACUCAAGGUUAUCUCAGCAAACCGUCUUUCUCCCCGGCAACGGCGCGAGAAAUGCUUGUUGAUAUUUGGGAACGCAAUAAGGAAUUGAUCCGGAAGCGCACGGAUAUCUGUGAGCACUUCACCUGGGAGGUUAUCCAGAGUAUCGUAUUUAUUGUUUUACCACUAGGAGAAAGAGUGCAUCUGACUAACCUGUCUAUUACUACUAAGCCUUUAGGCAACAAAGAAUGUCUCUCGAUGUGAGUGAUAAAUAGAGAAGACUGCAACCGUAGUCUCCUUCUAACCUUGGUAAGGAUGAUCUACUGUUCUAUUGGAGAGGCUAACGGAAUCUAGACACCACAAAGGAUGUUCAACCCGCACCUAUAAACUCUAUCCUUCCUGCUAACGAGAUAUGGUCUACAAAGGUAACUCGGAAUUGUCACGUUCCUCACUACUACCACGGUCUAGCUAGUCAGGGAAUAUCUGUGAGUACCCCAGCCUAAACAGCACGUUUACGCCAGCAAUGAUUACUCUAAACUCUACGCGAAGAGAUUAAAGUAAACUCAUAAACCAUAAGAACAAUAAAACAAGAACUUACUAGCAUUUAGAAGUCGAAAUACUGAAGAAUCCUAGGAGCAAGCUUCGGGUUAGGAGAACUUGAUCCCGCAGGUACAAGCUUGGAGUAGACACCGACAGGCCAGGCUUCCUCCAAUCUACACCUCCACUCUAUCUCUCUCAAUCUAGUAGAAACUAGAAGAUCUAUUUCUACUUUACAUUGGUUGCUAAGCCUAAAAAGAAAUAUUAAUUAGAGAAGAGGUUUUCCUUCGAGGGCACCCCUCAAUCUCUAUGAUAACUUCUUGUCUUCUCCAGGGGCCAGGGGGGUAUCCUUAUAUAGUCCUCCUCUAUGCGUUUUUGGGUCGGUAGGUGAGGUGGUACUACAUUAUCUUUGAUCCAUUAGGUCGGUGGAACAUCGUGUGCGAAGAGAGUCCCGAAAGACUUCCAGCAGGGGGCAGGCGCCCUGGGCCUGGCCCCUUUCGGCCUCUACUUUCUUCUCGUGGUUUCUGGAAUCUUCUAGAUGGUAGAAAAUCGCGCGGUGCGUUGAUAUCCUAUGUAAUCCCGACAUGUGGGCCUUUCUUCCUUAUUUCCUGAUAACACCCUGCAGAAAUAGAUAAACAACAAAACUCGUGGAAUUCUGUCAGAUCAAACCCUAAUUCUAGGUGUUGGUCUCAUAUUGGUCCUUUCUCUUGUUUAUUUGAUAAUUAAAAUUGAUACUUAAGAACCGUCAACAAUGUGGGCCAUGUCAAAGGCACGGAAACAUAAACACAAUGGAUGCAAUGCCACUCACCAACAACCUUUAGAUUGAGCUCUUUGAUGUCUCGGGAAUAGACUAUAUGGGUCCAUUUCCUCCAUCAAAGAAGUGUGAGUACUGUUGACGGUUCUUAAGUAUCAAUUUUAAUUAUCAAAUAAACAAGAGAAUGGACCAAUAUGCAACCAUCACCUAGAAUUAGGGUUUGAUCUGACAGAAUUCCACGAGUUUUGUGGUUUAUCUAUUUCUGCAGGGGGUUAUCAGGAAAUAAGGAAGAAAGGCCCACAUGUCGGGAUUACAUAGAGAUAUCAACGCACCGCGCAAUUUUACUUCAUCUAGAAGACUCCAGAAGCCACGAGACCGAAGCGGAGGCAAAACUGGGCCAGGCCCAGGGCGCCCGCCCUGGAAGCCUGGGCGCCCGCCCCCCUGCUGGAGCCAAAUCAGGACUCUUUCGCUCGGGAUAUUCCACCGACCUAUUGGAUCAAGAAAAACAUAGUACCACCUCGCCUAUCGACCCAAAAAUGCAUAGAAGGGGAGGACUAUAUAAGCAAGGCCCCCUGGCCCCUGGAGAAGACAUGAAGAAAUUAUCAUAGAGACUGAGGGGUGCCCUCGAAGGAAAACCUCUUCUCUAAUUAAUAUUUCUUUUUAGGCUUAGCAAUCAAUGUAAGGUAGAAAUAGAUCUUCUAGUUUCUACUAGAUUGAGAGAGAUAGAGUGGAGGUGAAGAGUGGAGGAAGCCCGACCUGUCGGUGUCUACUCCAAGCUUGUACCUGCGGGAUCAUGUUCUCCUAACCCGAAGCUUGCUCCUAGGAUUCUUCAGUAAUUCGACUUCUAAAUUCUAGUAAGUUCUUGUUUUAUUGUUCUUAUGGUUUAUGAGUUUACUUUAAUCUCUUCGCGUAGAGUUUAGAGUAAUCAUUGCUGGCGUAAACGUGGUGUUUAGGCUGGGGUACUCAUAGAUAUUCCCUGACUAGCUGGACCGUGGUAGUAGUGAGGAACGUGACAAUUCUGAGCUACCUUUGUAGAUCACAUCUUGUUAGUAGGAAGGAUAGGGUUUAUAGGUGCGGGUUGAACAUCCUUUGUGGUGUCUAGAUUCUGUUAGCCUCCCCAUUAGAACAGUAGAUCAUCCUUAACAAGGUUAGAAGGAGACUACGGUUGCAGUCUUCUCUAUUUAUCACUCACAUCGAAAGACAUUCUUUGUGCCUAGAGGUUAGUAGUAGUAGACCGGUUAGUCAGAUGCACUCUUUCUUCUAGUGGUAAAAAAAUAAAUACGAUACUCUGGAUAACCUCCCGGGUGAAGUGCUCACCGAUAUCCGUGCGCUUGCGGAUCAAUUCCUUAUUGCGUUCCCAAAUAUCAACAAGUACAUCUUGGUGGCAGUUGACUAUGUCUCCAAGUGGGUAGAGGCAUUACCUUGCAAGCAUGCCGACAACAUCAAUUCAAAGAGGAUGUUUGAAGAAAUUAUAUUUCCAAGAUUUGGAGUCCCCAGAGUAGUAAUAAGUGAUGGAGGAGCACACUUCAUCGAUAAACGCUUCAAGCAAUAUCUAUCAAAACAUGGAAUCCGUCACAACAUCGCUACCCCCUAUCAUCCUCAGACAAGUGGCCAAGCAGAGACUUCCAACAAACAAAUCAAGAAUAUUCUUCAGAAGACAGCAAAUAAAAUGGGAACAGCGUGGAAAGACAAGUUACCCGAUGCACUCUGGGCAUAUCGGACAGCAUAUAAGACCCCAAUUGGAAUGUCCCCAUACCAAUUGGUGUACGGGAAGACUUGCCAUCUACCUGUUGAAUUAGAGUUCAAAGCACACUGGGCCAUAAAGAGAUGGAAUAUGGACCUAGAUGUUGCUCAUAGAAGAAUGCAACUAUCAGAAUUGCAAGAAUGGCGAGAGAAAGCAUAGCACAAUUCAAUGAUCUACAAAGAAAGAGUCAAAAGGUGGCAUGACAAGAGAAUCAACAAGAAGGAGUUCACACCCGAAGAUAAGGUAUUACUUUUUAAUUCCAGGGUGAAGGUUUUUGGGCAUGGAAAACUCCGGAGCAAAUGGGAAGGACCAUUCAAGGUAAUUAAUUCAUCAUCCCACGGAGCUAUCACACUUCAAAAUGACGAAGGUACGUUAUUCAAGGUAAAUGGUCAAUGUCUUAAAUUAUUUUUAGAGCCCAAUAAAGAAUUAGAAGAAAUGGACGUAAUCCAUUUUUACCUUCCCAUGGAGAAUUAGAGCCCGACCUUUUUAGUCUGACGUUUUCGGGUCAUACAUAUAUUUUCCUAAAUAGUUUUGCAUCUAGAAACACGCUUGAGGAAGCGGGCCCACAGAGGAGACAGAGAGAGGGCGGGCGCCCAGAUCAGGUGGGCGGGCGCCCAGCUCCUGUUCCCCCUUGGUCCCAAUUUUCUCUGUUAUGGAAAAUGCACUUAUGGUAAUCCGAAUAAUCCUUCAGAUGGAAAGUUUCGCACGCACAUCGACAGGAGCAACCCGAACAACCCCUAGAGGCACUUUUUGACCCCUAUAUAAACAGACCCCUGACCUCAGUUUUCAAACACCAAACCACCAAGCCUUCUCUUCUUCUUCAAUUAGAGCUUGAUUAGUUCCUUGCUGCUCCAAUGGCCGAGAAGUUCCACGAUGAUUGGGAAGUCGUCCCCUUCAACCUCAACAUGGAGCUUGCGGAAGACCCCGACGCCCGUGCUCUCGUCCCGGCCAACACAGAGCGACAGCUAGAAGCUAUGCCAUUACACCAACGCAGCUCCGCCCAAUCCUAUCAUGCUCAACCAGUUCUCACCGCACCGCCACAACCCCUACUCCUCAAGGGAUCAACAUCCAAGAUGAAGACCACCAUCAUGGUGCCAACUGGCAAAAGGAUCCUUCCACCUAGACCCAAUGAGAGGGUCAUUGGAGUGAAGACCAACCGGAGCAGUGAGAUCAGCAGCAUUCGCUACACUACGGAGGAGGAAAGGCCUUAUUUCGAAGGGAUUAGAGCAGCCAAAGUCCGUUUCAUCCCUCAAAAGGCAGCCCCGAAGCACGCUCUCAAUGCUUUUGAGACACCUCCCAAGCGUCGCAAGACUAUAGUAGAUAUUGAUGAGGACGUUCGCAGGCUAUACAGAGUUAUCAUAGACCUCCAGUCCUCGAUUAAUUCCCUCACUAGGCAGCUCUCUAACCACAACACCGUUAUACUAGGCCUUAGGCAGGAUCUUGCCAGUGCCAAUAACAAGAUUAAGGAGUUAGAGCACCUCUGGGUUAUCUAGAUAGAUCUUGAGGCAAUGCAUCUUAGUUAUCUAUCUUUAAAUUCGGUUUAGGUUUACUAUCAUCAUCAGUUUGUUACUACUAUUGACAGUUUGCUACUAGUCUUUUGUAAUAAAUGCCUCAAGAUUACUAAAGAGUAUUAUUAUUAUCAUUAUGUCUUUUGUGUCUCUACUUUAUUUUUGUGCAAGAAAGCAGAAAACAAGUAUGGGGGAGAUCCCUCGACAUGCCAAACACACUUCGACUACACCACUCCACGAUUCAGGUACACACUCUGCACACUUUACACAUACUCAUAUAUAUCUUAGAUUAUGCAGAAUAUUGUUUCCGACAUGAUAAAUUAACAAGCUUAAAAUGUUUCUAAUCAUGAUUAAUCUCACUCUGUGAUAUUUCCUGAAAACUUGCAACUAUUAUAAAAUCAUUUUAAAACCCUGUGUUACUUAAGCCAAUAUGGAAUGUGAGAUGGUAGAGUAUGAGUUUCUUAUUCUUGAUAUCAUUGUUGCUUGGAGAAUUUAUUUCAAAAUUUAGUCAAAAAUUCUAGCUACCAUCCUCAGUGUUUUAUAUGCCUACUAAAACUGAAAAUAUUAAUUAUGAUUAUAAAAGCUAUCUACUCUGUAUUGAGUUUGUUCAAAAUGAGUUAGACCCUUGUUGAGAGAUUUAUCAUGCUCCUAAGAUCAAGACAUUUAUUUAUCAUACUCUUCCGAAGUAUUAUUGCAUUAGAGGCAUGGGCUAUGCAAAAAUAAAGAUAUUUUGAGGAAAUAAAAAGGAGCAAGUGCUCGAUAACCUCGCAGAAAAAAUGGACAAGUGUCCGACAGUAGAAUUAGGGAUACCUCGGUAUCCACUUAAAAAAAAGAGAGAAAAGAAGAAAACGAUAGCCCAUGGUCCCUCUAAUAAGCAAUAUGCCAGCAAGAGUUGACAAAGAUUUUAAUUUCCAAAGUCUUUGAUCUAAGAGUAUGACAUUCCCCUCCUCGGAUCCCGUUUUGAUCAGGCAAUAAAUGCAAAGUAAGUAUGCUUGAGAUUUUUUGCAAAUUAAAACAGCCUCAGUGAGAUAUAUAAAAGAUAAUGAGUGAUCUGAGAAGACCUAUGAGGAUAAAAGGUAUGCUAACUUUCUUUCAAAAAUAUACAAAAACUCCAAGUGAUAAGAUUGAGAAGAAAGGAUCUCUACUCUUAACCAUAUACUUCCCUGACUACAGUACACAGUGGAUUUUAACACACUGCAGUUAUGAAAAGAAUGUUUUACCAUGUUUUACCCUAGAUAUUGUUCUUAACCAUCCUUUUCUCGAGGACGAGUAAAAGCCUAGCUAUGGGGGUAUUUGUUGAUGGUUCUUAAGUAUCAAUUUUAAUUAUCAAAUAAACAAGAGAAAGGACCAAUAUACAAACAACACCUAGAACUAGGGUUUGAUCUGACAGAAUUCCAUGAGUUUUGUUGUUUAUCUGUUUCUGCAGGGGGUUAUCACGAAAUAAGGAAGAAAGGCCCACAUGUCGGGAUUACAUAGAGAUAUCAACGCACCGCGCAAUUUUCUACCAUCUAGAAGACUCCAGAAGCCACGAGAACGAAGCAGAGGCCGAUAGGGGCCAGGCCAGGGUGCCCGCCUUGAGGACCUGGGCGCCUGCCCCCCUCUGUACUCCAAUCGGGACUCUAUUCGCACACGACGUUCCACCGACCUAAAGGAUCAAGGAUAACCGUCCAAUCAAUGUCGGUUUGAUCCAACGGCUCACGUUCACUUGAGGGGACUAUAAAACCAGACCCUCUGGCCCCUGGAGGAGACAAGUUUAUCAUAGAGCCCUCGAAGGAAAACCUCUUCUCUAAAUAAAAUUUCUUUUUAGGCCUAGCAACCAAUGUGAGUAGAAAUAGAUCUUCUAGUUUCUACUAGAUUGAGAGAGAUAGAGUGGAGGUGUAGAUCGGAGGAAGCUCGGCCUGUCGGUGUCUACUCCGAGCUUGUACCUGCGAGAUCAAGUUCUCCUAACUCGAGGCUUGCUCCUAGGAUUCUUUAGUAUUUCGACUUCUAAAUUCUAGUAAGUUCUUGUUUUAUUGUUCUUUUGGUUUAUGAGUUUACUUUAAUCCCUUCACGUAGAGUUUAGAGUAAUCAUCUCUAGUGUAGACGUGGUGUUUAAGCUAGGAUACUCAUAUAUAUUCCCUGACUAGCUAGACCAUGGUAGUAGCGAGGAACGUGACAUUUCCGAGUUACCUUUGUAGACCAUAUCUCGUUAGCGGGAAGGAUAGGGUUUAUAGGUGCCGGUUGAACAUCCUCUGUGGUGUCUAGAUUCCGUUAGCCUCCCCAAUAGAACAGUAGAUCAUCCUUACCAAGGUUAGAAGGUGAUUACGGUUGUAGUCUUCUCUAUUUAUCACUCACAUCGAGAAACAUUCUUUGUUGCCUAAAGGGUUAGUAGUAAUAGACCGGGUUAGUCAGAUACACUCUUUCUCCUAGUGUUAAAAAAAUAAAUACGAUACUCUGGAUAACUUCUCGGGUGAAGUGCUCACCAAUAUCCGUGCGCUUGCGGAUCAAUUCCUUAUUGCGUUCCCAAAUAUCAACACCAUGUUAACACCUUAGAUGCUUUAUCUGAUCCCAAAAGUGGAGUCCAUGAUAGUUGCACCUCUUGAGAUGGUUUCACCCAUGUUCAUUACUCUUCUAGCAGUUUGGAGUCAAGUAAUAGUUGUGGGAGCUCACAGCAUCUUCGCUCAGUGUGCAUGUCAAGGUGUGUCCUACUCAUACAGACAUGACAGAGAUCAAGUGCAUAGGCUCUGUUGGUGGGAAAACACCAACACAACCAAAUGGUUUGUUCAUUAAUCUCUAGCCUUGGGCACAAUGAACAAAAUAAAAUUAAUAUUCAUGUGUUUUGCUCUAUAUAAACCUAGGCAGUCGCAUCAAACAAUGAGCAGGAAUGUGGCAAUUAAAACAUUUGGCAGAUCAGGUUACCUAACCUUAAGGAAGGAUAGUCUACCUAUGCAUAUUGUGUAACAAUUUUAUGAUUAUGACUAUCUUCCAAGGAUAUGAUGCUCAACAUUCUGGAUCAUUGUGUUAAAGGAUAUAAAGCUAAGAAAGUGACGCUAGGAAUAAUCAUAAAGAACUAAACAUGUUGAGUUAAUUAGAUUGGAUCAAAUGAGGUUCUAACUUAAAGCAUGUUAGGCUCUCUACUUAUGUGCCUGCCAAAAACAAGGAGUAUAUUUUGGAAAUAAUGAUCACUUACCAAGAGAUGUUACCUUCAGUAUUGAAGCAUGUUGAAGCCAUAACAUCUUAUGGUAGCUUUCCUUGCUUGGCUAGUCACGUGUCUUGUUCAUGCACCAACUAUCUUCUCUGUUGCACUCCUUUCUUACCUUAUGCCAUUACUUGUUCUCUGUUUAAUUUGUGCUUUGACCUUUAGCUCUUCUUAUUAUUUUAUCUCUACAAAUCAUUAGUGGACAGCACAUACCCAAAGGAAUAUACAAGUAAUGACAAUGGCAUUGUUGUAACAUAGCUAAGGGUCACUCUCUAUGCUACAAAGAACAUGCUUGAGCACAAUUAGCAUAGCACAUUUAUUAUUCACAUUUACUUCUUUCUAAGGGAUUGAUUAUAUUUUUCCAUCUUAUGUUUUGAUUAUUAAAUAUAGGCAUUCUAAAUCAAUUCCAAUUUAUAGAAAUAAAGCAAUAGUGAUACUAGAGAUUGCAAACUAGCGUGUGGAGCGAUGGGAGCAUGAGAUGUGGAAGAACUUGGUUUGAUCAUCUUGAGGAGUUGCCCUUCCUUCCUCAUGUCUUAGGUUCUCGACCUCAGAGGUGAGAGUGCAACAUGUUGCAUGCUCUUCUCUUGUCAAUGUUUUCUUGAUUCUUGAUAAUUAGUGGAUGACAAGAGAGUGCAACUCCAUGGAGCAAGUGCUUUGAUUGUUGAUCAUGUUUUGUGGCACCCUUCUUUCUUCUUGGCUAUGAGUGAGUUGUGUCUCCCUUGUGCAAAAUUAUUGUGUCUCCCCAGUGUGAGUUCAUCUCAGGACUUUUCCCAAUUUGAAUUUGAAAGUUUUCCUAUAGGGGUUAGUUCAAUAAAAACAUUCCAAUAUCUACUAUACCAUACUAUCGGCUCAAAAAUGAACCUAGACACCACAUCUAGGAUGGCAUUUUAACCUAAACACCAUGUUUAAUUUAAAAAGCCUUUGAAUUUAAGAUCACUGUCGACGGUCCUUAAGUAUCAAAUUUAAUUAUCAAAUAAAUAAAGAAAAGGAUCCAAAUGAAAUCAAGAUCCAGAAUUAGGGUUUUAUGUGACAGAAUUCCACGAGUUUUGGUGUUUGUCUAUUUCUGCAGGGGGUUAUCAGGAAAUACGGAAGAAAGACCUACAUGUCGGGAUUACAUAGAGAUAUUAACGUGCUGCGCAAUUAUCUUACAUCUAGAAGACUCUAGAAGCCACGAGACCGAAGCGGAGGCGAAACGGGGCCAAAGGCAGGGCGCCCGCCCUGUUCCCCUGGGCGCCCGCCCUCUCCAGGAGUCCAAUCAGGACUCUGCUUUGCGGGAGAUCUCCACCGACCUAAAGGAUGAAUCUAAACCAUACAAUCUAUGUCGGUUUGAUCCAAGGGCCCAUAUUCACUUGAAGGGACUAUAAAACCAGACCCCCUGGCCCCUGGAGGAGAGAGCCUCUCAACCCUAAUUCAUUGUUCCAUCAAGGGAGAAGAAGCCUCUGAUCAAGAUUAGAGCCACCACAUCAAUUAGAUAUCUAGAUUAGCAUAGCUACAUAGGAUUAGAACUAGAAGGAGUCAAUCUUCGAUUGGUUUCCAGAUCUGUCAAGAGGAUUCUUGGUAAUUCUCUAUUUGUGCUUCUAAUUGCUUUCUAAUUAUCUUUGUUCUUCAAUAUUAUGAAUAUGACUUUGUUCUACUUCAAUAUAUUGCUUAUGACUUUGCUCUACUUGCUUAUAUUCAAGAUUAUAUUGUUCUUAGUUUAUCAUAGUUAUGUACUUGGCUUAGUUAGAUUGGAUCUAUAUACAUGCUUAGGAUCGUAUAGCGUUUAUCCAUCGGAUCCAUGGGUAAAUGAUAGAUAUUGUGUAGGCGUGGUGCUUAUACCGUAUUUAUCUGCGAUUGUACCCAAUAUGCCAGAUCGUGGGGUGGUUCGUGAUAGUGACAGCUUCAUUGAUUCUUAUAUAGUCCCCCUCUCGUGUAUUGGGCUGGCAGAGCAACAUUAUUACAGGGGAGUGAUUGCUAUGUUUCUCAUAUUCCUUGCUAAUAUCACUAUGCAUGGGCGUAGUCUUGUCUCACAAUGAUUGCUAAGUAUGCUUGCACUAACUAUGAUAUGCUAGACUAUAUAGUUGAGAAUAACUUAGGGAAUAUUCUUGUAGUUCGUCCUAAUACCAUGCUAAUGACUUUCUAGAGUAUCUAAUUGAGGUGCUUAUCAUAUUUAUUAUGUGGCUAGAUCAGAUUAGUUAUCCUUGUCACUAUUAUUACUUCAUAUAUCUUUUAUGUGACACUCAUCCCUGUAUGAAGAGUUAGAUAUAAUGUUCUCAAUUAUACAUGCUAUGAUAGAUACUCAAUCUCAUAUUCUAUUCUGUAAUCAUUAGUGAUGAUUGCUAAUCCCUUCCCAGUGGUAAAAAUAUAAAUAACGAUACCUGGAAUACUAUCCGGUUAAAAUGCUGCAUCGGUAUUAAUCUGUGCGCUUGCAGAUCCAAUUUAUUAUUUAUUUAGAAGAGCAAUUGCAUAUUUCAAUACCGCGUCUCUUAUAUCAUGCUGGGGAUGACAACUUGGCUUAAGUGGUGUGAGGGAUAGGUUUGGCAUUUUUGGCACCGUUGCUAGAUUUAGAACUUAGUCUACUUUUAGUAAUGAUGUUAAGAAUACCCAACAAGCAUUUUUGGCGCCGUUGCCGGGGAAGGUUGAUUACUAAUCAGGAAUGGAAUAAAAGAUUUUGAGUUAUCAUUCGCAUCACUAAUAUGAUUGAGCUUAUCUAUUCUCUCAUACAGUUUUACCCUGAUAUUUUUCUAUUUUAUCUUAUGCAGGGGAAUGUAUGAAUAGAAGACAUCUUCCAGGAAAUUUUGUUGACAAUCCUGAAGCAUUAUUCAAGAAGACGAGAGCCAAGCUAAAGAAAUCAUCAACACUUCACGAAGAAGCUUCAUCCAAUCAAGAAGAUCACCGGAACUUGUCUUCAGAGUUCGAAGCCAUGGCGAACAAAUCAAUCCGCGAGUUCUCAGCUCCCACUACGGACAACAUCCGCACUGGACCUGCUGCAGAGAUCGAUGGCAACUUGGAGCUCAAGCCUGGACUUAUCAACAUGGUGCAAUCCAACCAGUUCUGUGGGAAGGCACACGAAGACGCUAGUGCUCAUUUACAACACUUCCUGGAGAUUUGCAACACAUUCACCAUAGCAGGAGUUUCCAAAGACGCUAUACUACUUCGCCUCUUCCCAUUCUCACUGUUAGGAAGAGCGAAGCAGUGGUUCUACGCUACAAAGGAGAAGAAUACUACGUGGGCACUCUGCUCAACAAACUUCCUGGCUAAGUUCUUUCCCAUGGGCAAGACCAAUGCUCUCCGUGGGAAGAUUACAAGUUUUCAGCAACAAAAUGAUGAAUCUGUUCCAGAAGCAUGGGAGCGCUUUCAAGACUACAUCCUAGAAUGUCCCCAUCAUGGAAUGGAGAGUUGGCUACUGAUGCAGACAUUCUAUCAUGGGCUCAGCAACAGUGCCCGAGAGACCAUGGAUGCUGCAGCUGGAGGAGCAUUCUUAUCACUUACUAUACCACAAGCCACAGCUCUUGUGGAGAAGAUGGCGUCCAACCAAAGCUGGAAUGAAGAGAGGACCCAGACACGCAAGAGAGGUGGAGGUAUGCAUCAGCUGAAGGAGGUAGACAUGCUGUCUGCAAAGCUAGACCUGCUCAUGAAGAAGCUCGACGAUAGAGCUGGAGAUAAGAAAGAAGUUAUGCACAUCUACGACUCUCACAUGACUUGUGAGGAGUGUGGAGACACUGGACACUCAGGCAACCACUGCCCUGAGAUGCUUGAGGAUGUGAACUACAUCAACAACAACAACAACAACUACAACCGUCCUCAACAAAAUCAAGGUUGGAAUCAACAGAGGCCUAACUACUCAGGUAAUUAUCAAGGUAACAAUUCUUACAACAAUAAUAAUAAUUUUCCACCUUUGAGAGAGUUAGUGUCUAAUCAAGGAAAGCUAAUGGAUAAUCUAUCUAAGAAAUUGGCGUCUAAUGAUAAAAUGCUAGAAAACAUAAAUAAUAGAAUGGAUAAUUUCUCUACUGCCAUCAAGAAUCAAAUUAGCUUUAAUAAAAUGAUUGAAUCCCAGUUAAAUCAAAUAGCUGCUGCUGUUCCUACUACUAACCCCGGUAUACCAUCACAACCGGAAGGAUUAGAAUCUGCAAAUCUUGUAGACAUGUUCGAUGCAGGUAAUUGGAGUAACCCCGUCACUGAAUUUUCUACUGACCGUCUGCCGGUCAAGAGAGGCGAUCCAGGACGCCCCGUCAUCCCGAUCUCCAUCGGCAUGGUGGACGUUCCAGAAGCACUCUGUGACUUUGGCUCUAGCGUCAACAUUAUACCCAGGGUACUCUAUGAGAAAUUCUUUACAUAUCCUUUAUUAGAAACAACCAUGUGUUUGCAGUUUGCAGAUCAGACGAUAACUUUUCCAAAAGGAAUAGUGAGGAACCUUUGUGUCCGAGUUGGUACUUUAUAUACCCCAGCAGACUUCAUAGUGGUUGAGACCGGAAAUGAUGAGAGAGCACCUAUCAUCCUAGGAAGGCCAUUUUUGAACACCACGGGAGCUAUCAUCUACGCUAGUGCUGCCAAGAUCAGUUUCCACGUCAAAGGGAAGAAGGAGACAUUUUUCUUCAAGAACAAGACUACACAAAUUCCAGAUCAAUCCAGACAUAAAUCAGGGAAGAGGACCAACAGGAGGAACAGGAACAAGCAAGUGUGGACCGAGUCAGCUAAGAUGGUCACUGUAUUCCAUGGAGGCCAAGAUCACCAACUUAAGUCACCGUUUUUGACCAAGAAGGACGACCCAGGAAUGCCAAGAAUCUACUGCUCCAUAAAUGGAUAUAACUUCUACAAGACGAUUUGCGACACCGGAUCGGGCGUCAACAUAAUGGCCGCAGUCACUUAUCGGCUCUUGUUCGGGACCAUGCCACUAAGACUAACAUACAUUCAGCUCCAGAUGGCAGAUCAGACAUUUCGAGAAGUUCAAGGAAUAGUAUCUGAUGUCCCAGUCAAAAUAGACGAUCACUUUGUCUACACAGACUUUCAAGUUAUUGACAUGGGAGAAGACGAGUACGAUCCACCCAUCAUCCUUGGAAGACCGUUCCUCAACACCGUUAAAGCAAUUAUCUACAUUGGAACUGGAGAAGUCCAUAUGCACUUCCCCUCAGAGAAGGUACGCCGUUAUUUUACAGACCCUAACUAUAUCAUUGAAGAAUCUAAGCAGGUCAGAAAGAGACGCAACCGCAACCAGAGGAGGCAGAUCAUCAAGGACGGAUGGGCAGACUGUGAAGGAGAAGUUGUAAGGGAAGUUGUAAGGUCAGAAGACGUAGAGUUUAAACAGAAUUAUCCAGAGGAGAUUGAAGCACCGAGUCAGGUAUGGAAAAUGAAGAUAACUAUACAUGAAGAGGAGGCGCUACCGGAAGUACCGGCUUCGCCACCCAACGAACCUCAGAACAAUUAAGAAAAUGGAGAGUCCCGUUCGGAGGACUUAAAAACACCGAACGCCUUGCCAAGAGGUAAACUUGGUAGUUAUCUUUUCCCUUUCAAAUUAUUCCAACUAGUUUACUUAGUUAAUCAUGUUCGUGCUAUUCUAAAAAGAAAAUAAAAAAAAAAUAUAUGAAAAACAGUAAGCCCCAUGUGAGUAUACGAGUGGCAUAAAACCCAUAAGUACAUUCACUGUGGUGGCAUAAAAACAAAAAUAAAUAUUUUUUCUGCUUUAUAAAAACAAAAAUAUAAAAAGUAACAAUUAUUAAGGAGUCUCAACAUGAUAAGGGCUUGAUAUUUAUGCUAACACUUAAUCAGUUCCACAAGCUAUGUUGUCUAUUUGAGCUCCACAGAAUUUAAGAAUCAAGAAGACUCGCAGACGGAGGACAUUCUAAUCGCUGUCAGAAUGCUGCUGACUUUCAAAUACACCUCUGCCACCUGCUAGCUACAUCAAGAGAAAUUACGUCAAAAUUCAGCUUGGGGGAGAGCACCCCCAUUUAUCCCGAUAAGUAUAUCUAUCUAUCUUUAUACUUAUAUUAUUUUAGAAUAUUAAAAUACACAUAAACUAUGGGAAAACCAAAUAAAGAUUUUAUGCUUAUAUAUGUCUUUUGCUUAGUGUGUUUAACAAAUAAAUAAAGUGGCUAUGCUAAUCUGUAUCUAAACAAAAACUUAAGCAUGGAUAUGAUGAAUAGUUGCUCUGCCUAAUUUGCACAUUCUAAGUUCUCUCUCAAGUUUAGAUAUAACUGUUAUAAUUUAAAGCUUGCCCUAGACCUAAACUUGUGGGAUGAAAACUUGAUCUGAUGUCUAAGUUGUUAACGGAUACGAUAUAGGAAGGUUGAGCUGCUGUUUAUCUGUUCCUAGAGAUGCUAGAAUUCUGGAGAAUUUUAUCUUUGAAAAUCUUUAAAAUGUUGCAUGAUGAGUUCCUGUAUGAUGAGAGCUUAAAUUCCUACCACAGCCAUAUAUACAUGCUUGCUAGACUUUGAGCCACACAUUUAUUAUUUACUGCUUAUGAGCAUUGAGUGUGGUCAAGCUGUGUAGACCCUUAGGAGCUUGUCAUGUGGUUAAAUCAAGAUUUCACUUGCACGUUCACUCAUAUAUGCUACUUCUACUCCAGAAGUACCAUCCACAUAUAUCCAUCCAUUUCCAUCUCCAGAAUCACCCAAAAAUAUUCUGCUCCUAAUCCGGGAGAGAAUAACCAAAAAUAUUUCUGUUUCCCCUUGUGAAAUAAAUGCUCAAGUUAUCUUGUUACUACCACUUGCUAUAUUAUCUCAAGAGAUGAGUGCUCUAAAAAAAAGAGAAGAAAAUAAAAAAAAUAUACGAGGAAAUAAAAAGGAGCAAGUGCUCGGAACCUCGAAAGAAAAGGAAGAGUGAGACGAGAGGUAAAAAUGGACAAGUGUCCGACAGUAGAAUUAGGGGUGCGAGAACCCACCUGAGAGACAAGAAAAAUAAGAGCAUCUCAUUCUCCUCAUAAAGUUUCAAAAGCAAGGAAGGUAUGUAUCCCCUCAAAAGAGCAAAGUAGAAUUAGACUUCCACCACCAUUGUUUUCACCAUUGUUAUCACCAUCAUCACCAUACACCAUUCAUUCGCCACACAUGCACAUCUUGAUUUGACUUAUUGAUUUGUUUCUUUGGAUCCAUGGUUUGACUAUACAAUAAAUGUCUUGUAAGUAUGUAUAUUUUAUCUCCCAUCUAUGAGCUCCAGAUAUUAAAGCCUUAUUAGGGUAGGGUGAGAGAGAAGGCAAUGUCACUAUGCCUUAUACCACAAAUACUACAUAUCUUGAGAGAAGGCAUAUACCAUCAAUGCCUUGGUAAGGAUCCAAAAAUACCACAAAAGAGAGACCUGAGAGAAUCAUACAAGGAAUCUCUGAGUUUUAUUUGAAAAUCUGUAAAAACCCCAGAGCUAUAGCUGAUCAAGAAUAAGAGACAUGGCACUUGGCUAGACUGUUCUGUCUUUUAACCACUCAAGACGGAAGUGACAGUUACAAGUCCCAUGGUGGAGGUAAAGUAAGUAAGUUUUAAGUCUUGAUAGUUUACUCUAACACAGAGAUGAGAUCUUAUUUAAAAGCAUGUGUACCGUCUAUUUUUUAAAAAUAUUGCAACAACUUAUGAUCCAUAGCUGAGUCUAUCCUUGCUCAGGGACGAGCAAGAGGUAAGCUUGGGGGAGUUUGUUGACGGUCCUUAAGUAUCAAAUUUAAUUAUCAAAUAAACAAAGAAAAGGAUCCAAAUGAAAUCAAGAUCCACACUUAGGGUUUUAUCUGACAGAAUUCCACGAGUUUUGGUGUUUGUCUAUUUCUGCAGGGGGUUAUCAGGAAAUACGGAAGAAAGGCGUACAUGUCGGGAUUACAUAGAGAUAUUAACGUGCUGCGCAAUUAACUUACAUCUAGAAGACUCUAGAAGCCACGAGACUGAAGCGGAGGCGAAACGGGGCCAGAGGCAGGGCGCCCGCCCUGUUCCCCUGGGCGCCCGCCCUCUCCAGGAGUCCAAUCAGGACUCUGCUUCGCGGGAGAUCUCCACCGACCUAAAGGAUGAAUCUAAACCAUACAAUCUAUGUCGGUUUGAUCCAAGGGCCCAUAUUCACUUGAAGGGACUAUAAAACCAGACCCCUUGGCCCCUGGAGGAGAGAGCCUCUCAACCCUAAUUCAUUGUUCCAUCAAGGGAGAAGAAGCCUCUGAUCAAGAUUAGAGCCACCACAUCAAUUAGAUAUCUAGAUUAGCAUAGCUACAUAGGAUUAGAACUAGAAGGAGUCAAUCUUCGAUUGGUUUCCGGAUCUGUCAAGAGGAUUCUUGGUAAUUCUCUAAUUGUGCUUCUAAUUGCUUUCUAAUUAUCUUUGAUCUUCAAUAUUAUGAAUAUGACUUUGUUCUACUUCAAUAUAUUGCUUAUGACUUUGCUCUACUUGCUUAUAUUCAAGAUUAUAUUGUUCUUAGUUUAUCAUAGUUAUGUACUUGGCUUAGUUAGAUUGGAUCUAUAUACAUGCUUAGGAUCGUAUAGCGUUUAUCCAUCGGAUCCAUGGGUAAAUGAUAGAUAUUGUGUAGGCGUGGUGCUUAUACCGUAUUCUUAUAUAGUCCCCCUCUCGUGUAUUGGGCUGGCAGAGCAACAUUAUUACAGGGGAGUGAUUGCUAUGUUUCUCAUAUUCCUUGCUAAUAUCACUAUGCAUGGGCGUAGUCUUGUCUCGCAAUGAUUGCUAAGUAUGCUUGCACUAACUAUGAUAUGCUAGACUAUAUAGUUGAGAAUAACUUAGGGAAUAUUCUUGUAGUUCGUUCUAAUACCGUGCUAAUGACUUUCUAGAGUAUCUAAUUGAGGUGCUUAUCAUAUUUAUUAUGUGGCUAGAUCAGAUUAGUUAUCCUUGUCACUAUUAUUACUUCAUAUAUCUUUUAUGUGACACUCAUCCCUAUAUGAAGAAUUAGAUAUAAUGUUCUCAAUUAUACAUGCUACGAUAGAUACUCAAUCUCAUAUUCUAUUCUGUAAUCAUUAGUGAUGAUUGCUAAUCCCUUCCCAGUGGUAAAAAUAUAAAUAACGAUACCUGGAAUACUUCCCGGUUAAAAUGCUGCAUCGGUAUUAAUCUGUGCGCUUGUAGAUCCAAUUUAUUAUUUAUUUAGAAGAGCAAUUGCAUAUUUCAAUACCGCUUCUCUUAUAUCAUGCUGGGGAUGACAACUUGGCUUAAGUGGUGUGAGGGAUAGGUUUGGCAUUUUUGGCACCGUUGCUAGAUUUAGAACUUAGUCUACUUUUAGUAAUGAUGUUAAGAAUACCCAACAAUCACCACUCCUAAACUAGGCAACAUGCUUCAUUUAAGAGAUGUAUGAAAUGACUCAAAACCUAAAUAUAUACUAUAACAAACAAAGGUAGCAUGAGAGCAUAAUAGAUGUUUUACUCAAAUAGUGAUGAUAGAGCAUGAUUAUUGUUUAGCAAAUUGAGCAUAUCAUAUAGGUAGGGACAACCAAGAUGAUGUAGCAACAUGAAAAAGAUGUAUCUAUGGAAGCAUAUCCCCCAAGCUUGACUUUUGCAACAAUCAAGAUUGGAUGAAAGUAAUUCAAUGUUGCAUAAUGAUUCGUUAGACAUACCUUGCAUUUGUUACUCCUUCGAUCUUUUCCUCCAAACCUGGAAGGUUAGUGACAAGAAUACCCGAAGGAAUAUUUUCAUAAUUAUAAUGCUAUGCUCAAUUAACAAGGGUAGCAUAGUAGAAAGAUGAACACUCAUGUCAUGGCCUAAAUAGUCCUUGUUUUAGGACACAAAGCUUGUCCUUGGGAAACCUUCAAGAUUUGGUUUGGCGAAGUGGUUUCCCUUCCAAUACCACUCUAAGUGUAUUAUUCACCACACCGAGAUCUACAAUAUUUAUGGUAAAGAUAUGUGUCUACAACCACCCUUUCAAAAACUUUAGGAACAAGGAGCAUGAGGGGGUUGAAGAUCUCAUGUGGGGCAAUGUUAGAGAGAUUAAGUGAAUCAGGAGAUUUUUCAUAUGAGCAAGGGACAGAUGGGGUGUUGAUGAAGUCUCUUCCAAGCUCAUUGAAGUCUCCAUCAUUUUCUACUUGCAAGAGUGACUCGACAUGUAUGUCCAAAAAUUCCCUUGGGUCAUCUCUUGAAUUGAUCUUAUCUAAUGCCUUGUCCAUCCAUUCAAUGGCAAUACCAUAUAGGUUUUUAAUGCUCUCUAGCCAUGGAAGUUGCGCUCCUCAAUCUUCUGUAUGGCCUUGAUGAUUCCUAUGCAUGGGAUAUCUAGAUGGAUUUCUAGAAUCAUCAGGUGGUUUUGGAGAAAGAGCAUAGAAUAAGCCAUAGUGAUCAAGGAUGGGGUUAGAGAUGUGUUCAUAUUCAAUAUCUAAAGUUGCCAUAGAAGGGGAGAGGAUAAGAGUGGCUUCUAGAUGGCUUCCUCUCCUUCUAUGGCAUCAUUUGACAUGCCAUCCUUGAGUCUUUCUAAUUGUCCUUCAAAGGGAUUGGUUUUGAAAAGCUUUCUAAGAGAUCUCUUUUGAAGAUUCAAACUAUAAGCACUAAAAGAUCUCAUAUGAAGCUGGAAGUUUAAACUCCUCCCAAAAUCUUUUUGAUGGCAAAUUUGGAGUACUACUGGUUUGGCAUGGAUAGCUGAAUCAUCGAAUUGGAAUGUUUGCAAAGUGCCUACAAAAACAUCCUCUUCUAGUUUGGGGGAUGAUUCCUUCUCUAUCUCUAGGAUUUUAUAAUGCAAGGAGUGUGUCCACUCAUAAGGACAAACUGAAAGGUCCUAAUAUGGCUAGAGGGGUGAAUAGCCUAUUAAAAAAUUCUACAAACUCACUAGACCAAGAGGUUAGUAAAUAAAAAAGCAAAGCUUUUUGCUCUAGCUCUAAAGGAGUGUUUGCAAGCCACCUAUCUAAUAAUUCUAGUUCAUAUGAUCACUAGGCAUACAAGAGCUAUGUUGCUACAAAGCUACACUAGUGAACUAUGUUACACAAGGCAAGACUAGCAACUAAACUAGUUACACUACGAUGCAGUAAGUAAAAGGAGAGAAAGAGAUAUUUAUACCGCCGUGUAUGAGAUGAACCAAUCACCAAUAUAUGAAGAAUCAAGCACCGGGAGAAUGUCAAUCAAACACAAUUGAGACACCGAUGUUUCUCCCUAGGUUCACAUGCUUGUUGGCACGCUACAUCCCCGUUGUGUCGACAAAGACUUGGUGGUUUGGUGGCUAAGAGGUGUAGCAUGAACCUUGUCCUCACUAAGACACCGAAAGAACCUACCCACAAAUGAUGUAGCUUAAUGACAUGCGCAAUCCACUAAAGUUGCCUUUGGCUCUCUACCGACGUAGGCACCAAACCCCUCACAAUCACCGAGAGAUGGCCACGAACAAUGACCAACUUGUGCCAAUGCUCCUCCGCUACUCCAUGCCAUCUAGCUGGCGGCAAUCACCAAGAGUAACAAGAAAACCACAGCCCAAUCAAUCCCUAAGUGCCACUAGAUGUAAUCAAUCAAGCAAAUGCACUUGGAAACACACCCAAUCUCACAAAGAUGGUUAAUCUAUGAAGGAGAUGGGUGGGAGGUGUUUGCUUUGGCUCACAAGGAUGUCAAGUAUGCUAGAAUGCUAAGGGAGUGAGCCCCAAGCCAACCAACACGUAUUUAUAAGCCCCUCAAACAAAUAGAGUUGUUGGCUCUAUCAUUGGGCAAAAGACAGGACCACCGGACGCUCAAGCAGGUGCCACCAGACGCUCAACCCAUGCAUCCGGUGCUCCAGAUGCGGCCACGUGUUUGCUACUUGAACCUCACGUGUUGAACUCUAAUGGUCAUAUUUGAACCACCGAAUGCAGUCAAGUAGAUAUCGGACGCGUCCGGUGCACACCGGUCAUGUACGUAGAGAGGUUUGCAAAAACGCAGGAGCACUAGACUCACACCACCGAACGCUCCCUAAGCGUCUAGUGCUUUCAGUCAGAAACACCUACUGAAGACAAGUCACACCGGAUGCAUGAACAGGGUCUAGCCUGCGUCCAGUGCUGAGCGUCCGAUGCUCUACCCUAACAUCGCUAGAUACUGAUAGCACACCGGACACGCAGGCUCAUCGUCUGGUGCCUGCGAACUGAGCAUCCGGUGAGUGUUCUUUCAGAGAGAAACACUCCAGUGACUUCUCCAAACUUUCCACCGGCGCAAUAGAAAAUAUGCAUUUCAUUUUGGUAAUUGAUGACAACCCUUUUACAAAGACUUUCAAUAGAAAUUUGAAAGCAAUUGCUCCCCCUACAUAUGUGCUAAGAGUUUGGAUUUGAAAGCUUGCACAUAUUGCUUGAAUAGAAAAUAUAGGAGUCAAUUUCUACCAAGUGAUGCUAAGGUGUAAAGAAUGGACCUUUAAAGCAUGAUACCAAUCGGAGUUGCCAAUAUACAUCAUCCUUAGCACCAUUAGUAACUAGACAUUCACAAAACUAGAACACCCGGUGAGAUCAACAUUAUAAACAAGGUUCUAGUACCACUUGUGAAACAACCAAAAGUCUAGUUACACUACCUAUGCAUGCUAGUUUUUCAUUGUAUCAAUCAAACCUACAACUAGCAUACACCACACAAGCAAGGUAUUGGAGAGAAAACUUCUAAAGCUAAUGCAAAUGCAAGCAAGCAUAUAUAAUGCGCAUUCAAAUGCAACAUACAAGUUUAUGAGCUUGCUCCCCCAACUUGUGUGCGCAAAGUUUUUAAUUGAUCCCCUUCUUUUAUCACUUUUACUCCCCUAUCUUUGUACUUCUUUGUAAUUUCUCUCCCCCUUUAGUAAAUAUUUGGGAAAUCCUCUCCCCCUUUGUCAUUAAUGACCAUAAAAGGUGAGCUCAAAUUUUAGAUAGGUUAGUGAGAAACCAUGUGAAGUGAGAUUAUUUUACCAAAUUAGUCCAAUCUAGAUUACUUGCCUAAGAUAUUUAACUCGAUUUGAUCCAAGUACAAGCUUUUUCACACCUCCAAAUAAGGGUUAUCUUGUACCAUCUUGAGUUAAACACUUAUAGCUCAUAUUCUGGAUCAAACACUAGGGUUGCAAGCCGAAAAACAUGUCAUAUGCUACCGCUAGAUCAAGUCAAGCAUAGAAGCAAUAGUGGUACCAUACAAGAAUCAAAUUCAUUUGAUUUGCCUGAAUGAGCCUAAGACAUGUAAGGAAUAACUAGAUGCACUAAGCAAGUCCUUAGCAUAGGAUGAAUGACAUGCCAAACAAUUUUACCUUCCUUUACUCAAAGGAGAGGCAUGUCAUAUAAUGGAGUGCAUCAACUCAUAUUUGAGACAAGUAUGUUCAAUUCAUUCCUUAGCUUGCAAAACCUCUUCUCAUCAAGUGGCUUGGUGAAUAUAUCGACAAGUUGAUCAUCAGUCCCUAUACUCUCAAUGCAAAUGUCCCCUUUUUGUUGAUGAUCUCUUAUGAAAUGAUGGCGGACAUCUAUAUGCUUUGUUCUUGAGUGUUGAACCGGAUUGUUGGUGAGCUUCACGGCACUUUCAUUGUCACAUAGCAAUGACACUUGUUUGAAAAUUAUUCCAAAGUCCUUUAACAUUGCCUUCAUCCAUAGGAUUUGUGCACAACAACUACCGGCCACAAUGUAUUCUGCUAUGGCGGUUGAUAGUGCAACACUAUUUUGUUUCUUGGAUGACCAUGAAACAAGUGAUCUUCCCAAUAGUUGACAUGUGCCCAAUGUGCUUCUUCUUUCAACUUUGCAUCCCACAUAGUCCGAAUUGGAAUACCAUAAACCAACAUUUUGUGUAUGCUUCAAGUACCUCAAUAUUCCCUUUGUUUCCUUCCAAUGACUUUCUAUUGGUGAGGCUUGAAAUCUUGCACACAUGCAUACACUAAACAUGACAUCAAGUCUGGUCACAUAGAGUAGGCUUCCAAUCAUAGACCGAUACAACUUUUGGUCCACCAUAUUUCCACUUGUGUCACUAUCUAAGCUUCCAUUUGCUCCCAUUAGAGUGCUAAUUGAUUUUGUAUCACCCAUACCAAACUUCUUGAGCAUGUCUUUUAUGUACUUUCCUUGACUCACAAAUGUGUCAUUCUUCAAUUGCUUGAUUUGAAGACCAAGGAAGUAACUAAGCUCUCAAAUCAUUGACAUCUCAAAUUCAUGAGCCAUCAUGUUUCCAAACUCUUCACAAAAUUCUUGGUUCGUUGAUCCAAAUAUGAUAUCAUCAACAUAUAUUUGCAACAGAAACAUGUCCUUUGCCAAUCUUCUUGGUGAAGAGAUUGGUGUCAACCUUGCCCAUCUUGAAACCUUUAGAGAGUAAGAAAUCUCUCAGUCUCUCAUACCAUGCUCUAGGUGUUUGCUUCAAACCAUACAAUGCAUUUCUUACCUUGAAAAUAUGGUUGGGUUCCUUGUCAUCUUCAAAACCGAGAGGUUGCUCAACAUAGACUUCUUCAUUGAUAUAGCCAUUGAGAAAUGCACUCCUCACAUCCAUUUGAUAUAACUUGAUAUUAUGUGCACGAGCAUAGGCUAACAAGAUCCUAAUUUCCUCCAAUCUUGCAACCGGGGCAUAUGUUUUGUAACACCCUUGGUGUUAAGCAUGCACUUAGUCUCAUAAAACAUUCAUAAGCAUUCUCAUCAAGCAUGGCAUAAGCAUCACAUCCCAUGAGCACAAAAAUAAUUCAAGUGUUAUUUUAUGUGCUUUAUUUCAGGUGAAUUAAAUAUGUUAAAAAUAUUAUGAUUGCUUCUAAAAAUUGUGAAAUAUUCAAAUUAGGUUGAAAUAUGUGUUAGAAGAAUUAAGAGUAAUUUUGUGAAAUUUUUUUUGGAGCCAUAGGAUUUGAGAAAUGGAAUUUAUACAAAAAUCCCUAAAAUGAAUUUAUUUAAAAACCUAGAACUAGUUUUAAUCUGUGGUUCAAAUUCUAUUUGGAAUUUGGCUUUGCUUAUUAAAACAAAGUUGUAGGGAAUUUUAUGGGAGCAAUUCUUCUUUUUACCCCAGCCCCUGAAAAGUUUUAUAAAAGCUUCAAAAGUCUCAUUUAAACUUUUUGGAGACAAGGAAUUCAAAAAAAGGAAAAGGGGACAGGCGCUGCUGGGCCGACCCGCCUCCCUUUUGGCCCAGCAAAGCCACGCGGCCCAGCUCCCCCUCCCCCUCUCUCCCACGCGCGGCGCCCGCCUUCGUUCACCCGACGCCGGCCACGUGGCUGCCGUAUGUCGGCGUCGUGGACGCGCCGCGGCCGACCGGCUAUAACCUGGUCGGGACGCCGCCCCGCGCCUCCAGGCUCCACUCUGUCGACCCGCUCCUCUCUCCUUCUUCUUCCUCCACUCGCGAGCGCCGCAGCCGUAGCAGCUCCGCUGCAGCGCCAUCGCUGGAGAAGCUCCGCUGCUCACCGCCGGCCACGCCAGUGCCCCAACCUCAGCGCUAAGACCACCAUCGCACUCGUCUUCGCCGUGGUAAGCCUAUGCGAACGCUCUACCGAGGUGAGAGACUGCCGUGCGCCGUGAAUCGCUCUUCGGAGUUGCUCCGACCUCACCGGAGAGCUCCGCCGCGUCGGAUCCCGCUAGUCUACCUCUUUUCGCUCGCUUUUGGGUGCUUUAGGUCCGUAGUUCGAUGAGGAAGCUCGGAAGAGCACUCGCGCGUGUUCUACCGCCCCGGAGCAGCCUGGCCACGGCGAGCAGCGCCGCCGUGCCGCCAUGCAUGCUCGCGAGGGUGCUCCGGUCAUCCUCAGGUCGAUCCAAGGGCACCCCUCGGUGCGCCUCGCUGCGGGAGCACGCUGGUGCUUACCCCGUGGCCGAAGAUCUCGCCGUCGGCGAGAGCCGGCCGACCGAAGUCAGCCGGAGUGCUGCAUGGCUGACCCAUGGGGGCCACGACCCCUAGGUCCCGCCUGUCAGCACCUCUGCGGGUGUGGACCUGGGUAGAUCUAUCGUUUUCCGUUGGUUUUUCUUAAAUAAAGGUUUUUUAGAAUUUGUUUAAAUCUUGUAAAUUUCAUAACUUGAGUUCUACAGCUCCAAAAUUGGUGAAAUAAAUUUUGAUGAACUCUAUAAUUCCAGAUCUAUAGCUUGGUGUGGUUGCAUGCCAUGUUUGGACAACUUUUCUGUAUAUAUAUAUUUAAUCCAUGUUUUUGCUGAAUUUGGAAAAUACAUAGUAAUUAAAAUAUAGCUCAAAAAAAUAUGAAAAUUGUUUUGUUGGCUCUACAUGGGUGCUUAGGCUCUGGGAAAAUAUGUUACACAUUAUUUGCUGUAUGAAUUAUUUUAUGAUGAUUUAAAUGCUUGCAUGGCAGUGGUUUAUGAUUUUUAAUAAAUAAUUGGAUUAUGCAAUUAAUCUGGAAAUUUUUGUGGGUAUUUCUUAUGUUAACAAGUUAAUUAUAAAAAUGUGAAAUCUGCUGUUUGACACUUAUACCACAGUAGGGUAUUUAUACUUGAUUAUAUGGUUUGAUCUUGUGAUUUUUUGUAGCUCAAAAUAAAUGUCCAAAUAUUAUGAGAAAUUUAUGGUAGACUCUAUGGUUGACUAGUGAUCUGCUAUAAUUUAUGUGGAAUUUAUGGAUAAGCAGAAAUAUAUGCUAUUUUGUAGGCCUAAAAGUGGAUAAAUAAAUCAUGAAUUUGUUAUACAUAGAUUAAAUGAAGUAAAAUGAUGGUUGGUGUAUCUUGGAAGCAUCAUGUGAGUUUGCUGGUUAACCAUGAAUACAAUUUGUAGAAGAGGAUGCAAUAGAUGCUUAAUUCAAUUACAUGUUCUUGGAUGAUGUUGACUACCUUAUAGAAAUGACCACCUAUAUCAUCUAUGCACUAUGUCAUAGUCAUCUGUUACCCACUUGCAUAAGCAUUGCACCCCGGGCAUCUCGCACUCCACUCAUGAGCACACAUGCAUCAUACAGGCUCGCAGGAGAAUGAGGUGGGACCCGAGGAUCAAGAGGAGACCCAGGACCAGGAACCUCUGGGAGGACCGGAGCCCGGAGAAGAGCUGCAGGAGUGCCCGGAUCACAAGCCGAGCACGUUUGAGAAAGGCAAGCCCCGGAGCAUUCUAAGUCUCUCUAUUUCUCGCUAACAUAAAUGAUAUAUUAGGCUUGUUUUACUAUGUUGCAUUUAAGUGAUAGGAAUUGCUUGAUACCGUUGAUGCAUAUGUACUCCUUGAUAUCACCACUUGUUUACCUACCUUGUCCUUUGUAGAUAGGAACGGAAUCUACGCUUAGCUUGCUUAGUCCGGUAGAAGUUAGGUGAUUUCCUGUCACCUGCGAGAUAUAGGUGGAUACCUGCUUGAUUAGCGGUGAUUGCUUUGGGAAAGGGUAACCAAGUGUGGAAAGGAAUUUGAGACCGGGCAGAGUCUUACGGUGGGUUGAUCAUAGUGCCCCCACCUGUGUCGAUUAAGGACCGAUCGUUGAUGGCCCUCUUGUCAUGUUGAACGCAUGCCCCACACUUAGCUAGAAGGAUAAGUCGUUCCGACCGCGAAGCCUGAACACUAUCCGGGCCGGGAGUCAAGCCGCCAUGCGCUAUAUUGGUGAUGGUUGAGGAGAACGACGAGGGCGCGGCACGCAACCUUGGUAUACCUUGGAUACCUCGGUCGCCGGAACGGUCCUCGGGUACUGGCGGUGCCUGCCGAACCCGCAAAUUGGUCCUAGAUAGUGUAACACGGUGAUCUGUAGCUCACUUGAUCAGUGAGUGUGGUUUAUGUGGGGAAUAACUCGCCAGCUGGUUAGAAAUCGAUUCGAAUCGCCAUCGCUCCUGGAUAGUGAGCACUUGACAUGAGCUUCGUCCUCGUAGUAAGGACUAUGGAACACUUGGGUUAUAAAGAUAACUGAUUUAUGAAUGCUAUGAUGAGGUACCAUCAUAAUACUACCUUUGGUUACAAUAGUACAGGUGCAAACCUAGAAAAUAGGUAAUGAUAAUUGUUGACGGUCCUUAAGUACUAAAAUUAAUAAUCAAAUAAACAUGAAAAAGGAUCAAUAUGAAACAAAAAUCUAGAAUUAGGGUUUUAUCUAACAGAAUUCCACGAGUUUUGGUGUUUAUCUAUUUCUGCAGGGGUUUAUCAGAAAAUAUGGAGAGAAGGCCCACAUGUCAUGUUUACAACGAGAUAAUUACGUGCCGCGCAAUUUUCCUCAAUCUAGAAGGAUCCAGAAGCCACGGGAACGAACAGAACGCAAUUCGGGCUCGGGAGUUGGGCGGCCGCCCACCCCCCUUGGGCGCCCACCCUGGCCAAGAGUUGGAUCAGGACUCUCUCUCAGGACAACUCUCCACCGACCUAAAGGAUCAAUCUAAACCAUACAAUCUAUGUCGGUUUGAUCCAAUGGCUCACGUUCACUUGAGGGGACUAUAAAACCAGACCCCCUGGCCCCUGGAGGAAGAGAGGAGAAAUCAUUAUUCAGAGGUAGCCAUCAAAGUUAGGAUUUAGAUCUCUCUCCCACAGAGAAUUAGAAUUAGCUACUCCCUAAUCCUUCAAGUUUAGAGGUUGAUUAGAUAGCAAUUAGAGAAGUAGAGCACUACGCUCUGGAUUCGGAUCUUCGGUAAUAAAGAUUUGUAUUAUUCAUAUCUUUCUCUAAUUCUAUUGUUCUAAUUGCAUUAUGUCUCUAAUUAUUAUGUUCUUAGUUUGCUCUAGUUCUAUAUUUGAUAUAGUUCUAAUUGAUAAUGAGUUUAUGUAUAAGUUUGCAAAGCGCUUAGCUCUUGACGCGAGGGAGUUAGGUGAUAGAUCACAUGUGAGCGUGGUGCUUAGAUGUUAUUUAUCUGCAAAUGUAUCCUAUUGGCCGAGUCGUGUGGUAGUUCGUGAUAGUGACAGCUUCGUUGAUUCUUAUAUAGUCCACCCUCCAUUGAUAGGACAGGCAGAACCGGUAUUGUGGAGUAAGUCAUGCGAUGUUCUGAUUUACUUUAUCAAUGUUCCUUAUACAUGAAUGAAGAGUCUUUUAUGCUAUAUAUGAUCUUGUAGAUAACUAGAGUAGAUUAUAACUUAGUAGUUAGUAGAUAACUUAGAAUCCAUUCUCUAGCUAAUCCGACAUCACCUACAUAUAUGAGGAGUAGUCUAUUUUCUAAUCGCUGUGUUAUCUACCCAUGAACUUAUACUUUAUUAUCAUUAUCUUUAUGGUUUACCCCCUGCUAAAGUAAGUGACUGUGUGACGAGUUUCUCAUUAGUAAUCAUGUUCUUGCAAGUUUAUCUCUAGUCUAUGCCUUGAUAGAUUUUGCCCCUUUGAUUUAAUUCCAUCUUCUUUAGAUCCCUAGAGCAAAAUUAUAAAUAACGAUACCUGGAAUACUUAUCCUGGUGAAAUGCUACAAUGAGGUGUUUUAUCUGUGCGCUUGCGGAUAGAAUAGAUUAUUUUCUAAAGAGCCUUUACAUUUAUAAAUACCUUUGUACACUCUGGCGCCAUGCUAGGGAUGACAACCUAGUAUCUAAGUGGUGUUAGCUAGUGUCAACAAGCAUUUCUGGCGCCGUUGCCGGGGAGGUAUACGAGUCUCCGGAAUAAGUCAUUAAAGGGAACAAAAGGGUAAUAUUAAGGAAAGUCAGAAAAUCAAUCAAGGUUAUUCAUAUAAAAUAUUAGACUAGACUAUAGAGAAAUAAUUGCAUAAAACAGCUACUAAGUGAGAAAUCAUAACAAGGCACCGCUGCUUUGGCAGGUUCACCCUGUUGUUUUUCUAUGUUUAUAUUUUUAUACAGGGUAUAACAGGAUUGACUUUGGGUACAUUCAACUCUUCAUCAUCAGAACCAAAGCAAUCAAGAGAAGAAGAAGCUAGCUACCAAUUGCUGAAGCUAUGGCACAAAAGACCUUGCAAGAAUUCUCUGCUCCAAGCCUUGAGAACAUUCUAACUGGUCCAAGAUUUGCAGUAGAAGAAGGAAUACCUGAGUUUGAGCUCAAGUCAAGCCUCAUCAAUUUGGUACAAGCUACACAAUUCAGUGGAAAGGCACAUGAAGAUGCCAGUGCACACUUGCAGAAUUUCUUAGAGAUUGGAAGCACAAUCCACAUCAACGGAGUUGACAAAGACGUCAUACUGCUUCGCCUUUUUCCAUUCUCACUAGAAGGAAAAGCGAGGAAGUGGUUCUACACUCAUCAAGAUAACAUCAACAACUGGACGAACUUGUCAGAUGCGUUUCUAUCAAAGUUUUUUCCUAUAGGCAAAACAACUGCCUUAGGAGGAAAUAUUGUCAGUUUCCAACAGCAGAAGACAGAAGCCAUUUCAGAAGCAUGGGAGCAUUUUCAAGGAUACAUAUCAGAUUGUCCUCACCAUGGAAUGGCCACAUGGUUACUUAUGCAGACCUUCUACCAUGGAUUAACCCAGAAGGCUCGUGAGUGCCUAGAUGCAUCUGCUAAAGGAUCAUUCUUGGAGCUUACAACUGGAAAAGCAGAAAUACUUUUGGAUAAGAUAGCAGAAAACCAAAGCUGGUUCCAAGAUAAAGCUCAACAUUGUCAUCAAACUGAAGAAAUACCAGAAGAAGUAAAUGCAUUAUCAACUAAGAUGGAAAAUUUGCUCCAUUGGAUUGACCAGAGGGCCAAGUUCAAAGAAGAUCAAAGGGCCAUUGAGACAGCAUACAAAUAUCAACCAACUUCGAGUCAACCCAAUAGCAAAGGUAUGAAUUCAGGUAAUACUGUCAAGCAACUUUCAUUAAAAGAGAUAAUUGCUCAACAAACCAAAAUUAAUGAUGAAGUUAAACAAAGGCUAGAUACAAAUGAAUCAUCUCUAAAAGAUAUAUAUAAUAAAAUGGAUUUUCUACUAACUGCCUUUGAUGAGCAAAACACUCUUAAUAAAAGGGUAGAGCUUAAAUUAAUAAAAUUAUCUGCUGCACUGCCUGUUGCUACUAACAUUGAGCAGGUAAAGAAUAUAACUACUAGAGGAGGCAAAGCUACCAGAGAUCCACCAUACCCAAAAGAGAAACAAAGAACAUCAGCACCAGUGCAACCAGCAGUGAUAGAAGAAGAAAGCCCAGUUGAAGCAGAAGAUCUGCUACAACCACCAAGAACUGGAGAAAUGAGGAAAGAUUUUUACGACACCAACUAUUUGCCAUUUCCCAGAAGAAACAGAGGACUGCAGUCGGAUGAGCAGUUUGGUAAGUUUGUAGAGGUCAUUCAGAAAUUAUAUGUCAACAUACCUCUACUUGAUGCCAUACAGGUACCUACAUAUGCAAAGUACAUCAGAGAAAUUCUUAACAAGAAGAGACCACUGCCCACCACUGAGGUUAUCAAGCUGACAGAAGAAUGUAGUGCGGCCAUCCUCAACAAACCACCAAAGAAGAAGGAAGAUCCAGGAUGCCCCACUAUUGACUGCUCGAUCGGAAACCAAAACUUCAACAAUGCACUUUGUGAUCUCGGAGCAAGUGUCAGUGUGAUGCCAGCAUCAGUCUACAAAAAGCUUGAGCAUGCAACCUUAGAACCAACAUCAAUGUGCCUACAACUAGCGGAUCAAUCGGUUCGACACCCGUUGGGCAUCGCCGAGAACGUUCCAGUCAAGAUCAGAGAUUUCCUGGUGCCAGUAGAUUUCGUAGUACUGGACAUGAGUCCUGACUCGAAAGUAUCCAUCAUCCUUGGAAGGCCAUUUCUGAGCACUACCAAUGCCCACAUUGAUGUUGGGAAGGGAGAAAUCAAGUUCAACAUAAACGGUCAAGAAGAACACUUCACAUUCAAACCCAGACCAGAGAGAGACUCUAUAGUGAAGGAAGUUCAUGAAGAACCACUAGAGACACCAUCUCCGGAGGAAGAAAACUCAGAAGAUUAAAAGAAUUGGAGGUCCAGCUUGGGGGACCUAAAAAUCCCAAACCCUCACCGGGAGGUAAAUCGGUAUUUAUCCGCAUUAUUAAUUUUCUCAUAUUUAAAUUCUUGCAUAAUUAAUUCUUGCAUUAGUCAUAGCAUAAUUAUAAUAAUAAAAAAGCCCCAGAUAAAUAAUAUUCGUGGUGUGUAACAACCCAUAUUUAUUAAUUAUCGUGGAGGCACAAAAAUAUUUUCCAUUAUCAUUUUAAUUAAUUUUCAAUUCUCAUAGAUUUUCCUGCAUUAUAUUUAAUCAUAUUAAUCUUCUAGAAGCAUGACCCACACUCUUUGGGUCCCACAUGUCAUACACUUCACCUCACAUACAUCCCAUCACAUAAUUUCAUCCACCAAUAUGUUUCCACUCACUUGACAUCUUUCCACCGUCCAACCACCACCAACACAAUAUUAUUCUGCGUGAGAUCAAAGCAAGGAAGCAAGUGGAGGAGGCACACCCAGGAUGGACACCACAAGUGGGUGCCCGCCCACCUACCUUGGGCGCCUGCCCUGUUCCCUGCUCAGCUUAUAAAAGGCCACCUCCAACUCCCCUUCUCUUCACACAAACACUUCAGAAAACCACACAAAUCUCAGUUUCCCGAGAAGGAGUUCUUGUAGUGAAGAGAAGAGAGUAGAGAGAAAGAGGAGAGUGGAAGGGAAGGUUGGAGUUCUUUUGAGAAAGUGAUUGUCACCUAGCAAAUAGUGAUCCCGCUGUCCAAGCGGAAGUAAAAGUUGUUUAGGGGGAGGCUCUACCAAAAUAGAAACUUGUCUUGAACGAUUAACCCCUGGACUACUGACACUCCGGACAACUAACCACUAACAUUUUAUCUCACAUUUUCCACUAGUUGUGUUUUUGCCAACUUUUGUUUGCAGGAUGUUUAAGAAGGUGAAGAAUGCAGGGAAGGCUCUUAAGAACAUUGGUACAAGGAGUUCAACCCGACACUCCUCACAGCCAUCAGAGAUGAGCGUCGAUCCGACACCCACACAAGCUCCAUCAUCUUCAUCAGGUCAACAAGUUAAGGUUCUUCUCAAGAUAGGAGACCUUGGACUGAAGACCCGAAGAGAGAAGGAAGUUUAUCAGCAAUUGAAGAACAAGGAUUUCAUUCACACCCCUACUAUCGAUCCAAUCCUACUACGAGAAACAGGUAUGGACACUGAAUUUGACUUAAUUUUUCAGAUGAUGGGUUGGACAAAUUUUUGGAAUAUAACUGAGCUGGGUUCUCGUCUUCUCACCCUCGAAUUUCUUUGCACUUUACAAUACUAUGAGGGGGGAAUUGUUUUUUGGACGUUCAAACAGGAAAUUAUGUUAUCUUGGAGAGAGCUGAGCGACCAUCUUGGUUUCUCUUCAAGAUGCAUCCUGAACAUUGACUCCGAUUUACCCAACUUUGAGAGACACCAGUUUUGGAGAGAAAUAUCUAGAGAUAAUUAGCCCGAACUAGUGACAUGGAACACCCCACUCUCAGGAUGUUUCACAAAUGGCUUGGGUACAAUCUUUUCUAUCGCGAUGAUAUUAGGAAAGUAAGAGUAGGAGAUUUACAACUUUUAUAUGCUGCUAUUAGUAAAGUACCUACUUCACCUGUUACACUAUUAGUUUCACAUUGGCUUAGUAUACCUAGUCUUCAGGGACCAGUAGGAUGUACUUCACUUAUCACUCGUCUAGCCACUAAUCUUCACUUACUAGAAAACUCGUCAUUGGACUUCAUAGAAGAAUUAAGAAUUUAUCAUGGCUAUGACACAUUUAGACAAGCUCGGAUGUUAAAGAAAGAGGGAAAUAUAAUGUAUAUGCUAUAUGAUGAUAAAGGCAAGAUUCGGUUACCUAACCCGAACCUUGGCCUCUACGCUGUGCAAAACUUUUUGAUUGAGAUUGCAUCAACACCAGUGAACCAGAGAACUCCACAGCGAGUGGCAUCUGAAAGGAUAACCACUCACCGAGAACGCACUUGGUAUGGAGCUGAUCCUGGACCAGAAGAAGCAGCGCACCUGCAUUAUUGCGAUUACAAUCCACGAGUCCUUCGAGACCCAUGGGAUCGUCAUGCACAACCACAACAGCCAACAGAGGAGACAUGGCCGGAGAGCAAAGAUCACCAGUGGACAAACCCGCCUUUUCAUACGGGCAGGUACUCCACUGAUCCAUAUGGAGCUUCAGGAUCCAGACCUCCGCCCUAAUUUGAUGCAGGACGAUACUCCGACGCCUCCUACGCCUUCACGAAUGACUACUAUCAAGAGGCCGGUGCUUUCUUCACUCGUACCGACAACACCCUCCUCGACAUUCAGAACACGCAAGCAGAACAUGGAAGACUCCUGGAAGAGCAACAAAAAUGGAACCAGAACCAUGCCGCAGCAGUAGAAGAGCUGAGACAAGAUACAACAACAAUGAACGACAACAUCACAACCAUGAUGCGGUUCUGGAACAUCGGGUAAGACCGACGUCAACAUCCAGCUUGGGGGAGUUCCUCCUCAAUUUAUCAAGUAUUUGCUCUUCUUAUUUAUUCUAUUCUGUCUUAGUAUUUAAUUUAUCUUAAAAGGAAAAACUUAGAAAACCAAAUAAAUAUUUUCUUGCUUUAAUUCACUGCACUUUAAUAAACAUGAAAACAAAAUAAAAAGAGUGUGUAGAUAAGUGUGCUUUAUUUUCCUGCUAAGUUUAAUCUCUAAAAAAAAUAAAAAAAAUAAAGACCAAAAAUAUGCAUGAUGGAAAUGAUGAACAGUUGCUCUGUUUGCUUACUUACAAGUACCUAGCUUUUAUAUUAGAAUUCUUCCAGGAAUUACUAAAACUAAAAUCACUAUCUUUGGGAAGCAUAAAACUAAAGUCUAGGUAAGAGAAAGGCAUGAUAUAAAGUUGAGCUGCUGUUUAUCUUGUUCCUACUACACUAAAUUCUGGAGAUUUAUUUUUGAAAACUUGCAAAUCACAUGAUGAGUUCCUAGCAUAACAAACUACCUACCAUAGCCAUACUUGCUAUAACAUCUUUUACUAUAUUUACAUUGAGUUUGAUCGAGCUGUGUUGACCCUUAGGAGCUUUUCAUGUGGUUAAAUUAAGAUAUUCACUUGCACACAUCUACUACACCAUUCAUCAUCAUUCAAAUUGCUAAAAAUAUUAUCACUCACUGUCCCGCGUAUUGUUAUUUUCUCUCUCUAAAAAGAUUCAAUGCAGAAGAGGCAUGGGUUAUGCAAAAAUAUAUACGAGGAAAUAAAAAGGGGCAAGUGCCCGGGAACCUCGAAAAAGAAAGAAAAAGAGUGAGACGAGAGGUAAAAAUGGACAAGUGUCCGAAGUAGAAUUAGGGGUACAAAGAUGCCCACUUGAGCGGAAAAAAUGGACAAGUGUCCGACAGUAGAAUUAGGGGUAUCUACUACCCACCUGAAAAAAAAAGAAAAGAGAAAAAAAAGAAAAGAUAGCCCAUGUUCUCCCAAAGCAAAGAUCAAAAAGAAAGAAGAGAGAUAGCAAUAUGAGGAGCAAUGAGAACCAAAUUUUAUUAUCACUUAUGCAUUUCCACCAUCAUUAACAUUUACUCCACCACACAUGCACAUCUUGAUUUAAUUAUAUGCUGAGUUUCUUUGGAUCCAUGGCUCGAUUAGACAACAUAUGUAUGAGCUGUUUGUUUUUUUUCACUCCUAUGAGCUCCACUUAAAUAUUUCAUUAGCUAUAGGUAAGUGACAUUAUGGUAAGGAUCCACAAAUACCACAUAUAGAGAGACUUGAGAGAAUCAUUGCUGGGAACUCUGAGUUUUAUUUUGAAAACUUAUGAAAAACUCUGGAACAAAAGUGAAGUAUAGACAAGAGGGAUAGUGCUUGACUUAACUAUUUUGUCUUUCGAUUACUUAAGAUUUAAGUGCAGGUACUAAACUCCAUAACACUUCACUCGAAUCUGGAAGAAUUUUUAUGUAAAAGCAUGUGUGCCUGUCAGGAAAGAAAACAUCAAAGCAACUCCUGAUCCGUCUUAGUUUAGCUGUUUGCUCAGGGACGAGCAAAGGGUAAGCUUGGGGGAGUUUGUUGACGGUCCUUAAGUACUAAAAUUAAUAAUCAAAUAAACAUGAAAAAGGAUCAAUAUGAAACAAACAUCUAGAAUUAGGGUUUUAUCUGACAGAAUUCCACGAGUUUUGGUGUUUAUCUAUUUCUGUAGGGGUUUAUCAGAAAAUAUGGAGAGAAGGCCCACAUGUCAUGUUUACAACGAGAUAAUUACGUGCCGCGCAAUUUUCCUCAAUCUAGAAGGAUCCAGAAGCCACGGGAACGAACGGGACGCAAUUCGGGCUCGGGAGCUGGGCGGCCGCCCACCCCCCUUGGGCGCCCGCUCUGGCCAGGAGUUGGAUCAGGACUCUCUCUCGGGACAACUCUCCACCGACCUAAAGGAUCAAUCUAAACCAUACAAUCUAUGUCGGUUUGAUCCAAUGGCUCACGUUCACUUGAGGGGACUAUAAAACCAGACCCCCUGGCCCCUGGAGGAAGAGAGGAGAAAUCAUUAUUCAGAGGUAGCCAUCAAAGUUAGGGUUUAGAUCUCUCUCCCACAGAGAAUUAGAAUUAGCUACUCCCUAAUCCUUCAAGUUUCGAGGUUGAUUAGAUAGCAAUUAGAGAAGUAGAGCACUACGCUCUGGAUUCGGAUCUUCGGUAAUAAAGAUUGGUAUUAUUCAUAUCUUUCUCUAAUUCUAUUGUUCUAAUUGCAUUAUGUCUCUAAUUAUUAUGUUCUUAGUUUGCUCUAGUUCUAUAUUUGAUAUAGUUCUAAUUGAUAAUGAGUUUAUGUAUAAGCUUGCAAAGCGCUUAGCUCUUGACGCGAGGGAGUUAGGUGAUAGAUCACAUGUGAGCGUGGUGCUUAGAUGUUAUUUAUCUGCAAAUGUAUCCUAUUGGCCGAGUCGUGUGGUAGUUCGCGAUAGUGACAGCUUCGUUGAUUCUUAUAUAGUCCACCCUCCGUUGAUAGGACAGGCAGAACCGGUAUUGUGGAGUAAGUCAUGCGAUGUUCUGAUUUACUUUAUCAAUGUUCCUUAUACAUGAAUGAAGAGUCUUUUAUGCUAUAUAUGAUCUUGUAGAUAACUAGAGUAGAUUAUAACUUAGUAGUUAGUAGGUAACUUAGAAUCCAUUCUCUAGCUAAUCCGACAUCACCUACAUAUAUGAGGAGUAGUCUAUUUUCUAAUCGCUGUGUUAUCUACCCAUGAACUUAUACUUUAUUAUCAUUAUCAUUAUGGUUUACCCCCUGCUAAAGUAAGUGACUGUGUGACGAGUUUCUCAUUAGUAAUCAUGUUCUUGCAAGUUUAUCUCUAGUCUAUGCCUUGAUAGAUUUUGCCCCUUUGACUUAAUUCCAUCUUCUUUAGAUCCCUAGAGCAAAAUUAUAAAUAACGAUACCUGUAAUACUUAUCCUGGUGAAAUGCUACAAUGAGGUGUUUUAUCUGUGCGCUUGCGGAUAGAAUAGAUUAUUUUCUAAAGAGCCUUUACAUUUAUAAAUACCUUUGUACACUCUAGCGCCAUGCUAGGGAUGACAACCUAGUAUCUAAGUGGUGUUAGCUAGUGUCAACAAUAAUAUCAAACUUGAGCUAAUUAAAAGAAGAAAGGUUUUCUUUAGGCUAUGAUUAGUGGAACAAUGCUUUUAUGCAAAAAAAGUCUUAGCUACUCCCUCAUACAGCCUUCAUGAUCCUUGAGGAGUCUUUAUUUUUGGUUUAUGACGGGUAAGUCUAGCUGAGUACAUUCUCGUACUCAGGGUUUUAUUCCCAUGUUGUUUUGUAGAUGGUCAAAUGUAUUAUGGAUAUUGCAUCCUCUGCUUGUACCCAGCAGUGGGCGAGGACUAGACCAAGGGCGAUGGUCACUCUAACUUCUCUUGUGCUUUUGUGGGAAUGACCGAACUAUGGCACUGUAUCAAACUAAAUGUGUGUGUGUGUUACUUUCAAACUAUGAAGCUUCCGCUACUUGAGAAUUUGGUUUGUAAUAAUUUUUAAGUACUCCGAUGUGUUCGUUAAAUGAUAUGAACUGGAUGUAAUUGUGAAUGGUGACUGCUAAACUUAUUACGAUCUUGGCUGUAUGUGCGAUAUGUGGUUUGAAAUCCUUCGAGAUUUCACGAACUACUGGAAUUAUAUGGGCUUAUGCUUGAUGGUUUGACUGUGCAAAUGGUCACUAUUAGGCUUAAUCUCUUAUAAUUUGGAUGGUUCUGUUACAGCUGGUAUCGGAGCAAGGUUUAGCGAGUUACUAUGCAUUAGUACGUUCUAACUAAACUUAAACCGGUUUAAUAAAAGAUUAUUAUAAUUAAUGAUAAUCAAGGUGUCAAACUAAGUUUUUGGAAAACUAUCUGGUGUGCCAUUUGCAUAUCCUUUAUGCCCAGUUAAGGACUCUAAGGUGGCUAGUUAAGUACUGACUUGGGGGUUAAUGCAUCAUAUUUCUAUUUCAUCUCAUACGGCGUGCAAUGGUAUGAGUACCAUUCAUUUGAGUGGUAAUGUAUGGAUCAAUUCUUCCUCUACGCCUCGGUAAUUGGGAGCUGUGAGAGCAUGAUCGGAUACACUGCCGAUCUAGGGAAGUGUUGUUAAGGUGCUGUGUCAUGCACACAUGUUUGGUGUGCCUGGGAACAAUACCGCAUGUUGGGAGAUUCUGUCCUAAGAGGCGAUGCCGUCACUAGGGCGAUGAUGUGGGUAGUAACACGUCAUAUGCAUGGACGGGGUGUCUAUGUAUGUGGGGUGUAUAGUUUUAAAUUCUUGUUCUGCACUAACCACGUUCCCGCCUAGAACGCUAGUUACGUAUGAGAGAACGUUGUGUGCCACCGCAUAUACUGAUUAGUGUCAACUUUAUUUCUAAGUUUGUGAGAUCGUAAGUCUGUGCAUGCAUCAUGUUCAUUUCAUAUCAUUGCUUACUUCCCUCCCUUAAAGUAAAUUUGUCCCAAUUUUAAUUAAGUUAAUAAAAGGUACUCCUCAAUCUUACCCAAGGUAUUCCAUUUUCAGCAGAUGGCGCGCACUAGGCUCACCGCUCGCAAGUCCACUAGUGGGCGGGCCCCUCGCCAUCAGUUGGCAGCCAGGAGCUCGCGUCAUAAGAGCAAGUUCUUGGAGGAGUUUGGGAUGCCCACCUUGCUAUGGAGGGUGCUCAGUUCGUUGGGGUAUCUCGAAGGAAGGGAACCUCGUUACUAUUGGAACAAGGAGCAGCUUGGUGACGGGACCCUGGUUGGGUGUAUGAUUCCCAAGGUACCACGCCUUUCCACGGUGCCAGCAGAGCAGCUUUCGCAGUUCUGAGGGACCUCAUGGAGAGGUUUCCACAGGAGCUGGCCCACGCCUUCGCUGGGUGUUUCCCCGGGGUGACCCCUACACUUUGGUGUGGGAUCAGUCCGAGGUGAAUGUUGACGGUCCUUAAGUAUCAAAUUUAAUUAUUAAAUAAAUAAAGAAAAGGAUCCAAAUGAAAUUAAGAUCUAGACUUAGGGUUUUAUCUGACAGAAUUCCACGAGUUUUGGUGUUUGUCUAUUUCUGCAGGGGGUUAUCAGGAAAUACGGAAGAAAGGCCCACAUGUCGGGAUUACGUAAAGAUAUUAACGUGCUGCGCAAUUAUCUUACAUCUAGAAGACUCCAGAAGCCACGAGGCCGAAGCAGAGGCGAAACGGGGCUAGACCCUGGGCGGCCGCCCAGUUGGUCAGGGCACCCGCCCACCUCCUGAGUCCAAUCAGGACUCUGCUUUGCGGGAGAUCUCCACCGACCUAAAGGAUGAAUCUAAACCAUACAAUCUAUGUCGGUUUGAUCCAAGGGCCCAUAUUCACUUGAAGGGACUAUAAAACCAGACCCCCUUGCCCCUGGAGGAGAGAGCCUCUCAACCCUAAUUCAUUGUUCCAUCAAGGGAGAAGAAGCCUCUGAUCAAGAUUAGAGCCACCACAUCAAUUAGAUAUCUAGAUUAGCAUAGCUACAUAGGAUUAGAACUAGAAGGAGUCAAUCUUCGAUUGGUUUCCGGAUCUGUCAAGAGGAUUCUUGGUAAUUCUCUAAUUGUGCUUCUAAUUGCUUUCUAAUUAUCUCUGUUCUUCAAUAUUAUGAAUAUGACUUUGUUCUACUUCAAUAUAUUGCUUAUGACUUUGCUCUACUUGCUUAUAUUCAAGAUUAUAUUGUUCUUAGUUUAUCAUAGUUAUGUACUUGGCUUAGUUAGAUUGGAUCUAUAUACAUGCUUAGGAUCGUAUAGCGUUUAUCCAUCGGAUCCAUGGGUAAAUGAUAGAUAUUGUGUAGGCGUGGUGCUUAUACCGUAUUUAUCUGCGAUUGUACCCAAUAUGCCAGAUCAUGGGGUGGUUCGUGAUAGUGACAGCUUCAUUGAUUCUUAUAUAGUCCCCCUCUCGUGUAUUGGGCUGGCAGAGCAACAUUAUUACAGGGGAGUGAUUGCUAUGUUUCUCAUAUUCCUUGCUAAUAUCACUAUGCAUGGGCGUAGUCUUGUCUCGCAAUGAUUGCUAAGUAUGCUUGCACUAACUAUGAUAUGCUAGACUAUAUAGUUGAGAAUAACUUAGGGAAUAUUCUUGUAGUUCGUUCUAAUACCAUGCUAAUGACUUUCUAGAGUAUCUAAUUGAGGUGCUUAUCAUAUUUAUUAUGUGGCUAGAUCAGAUUAGUUAUCUUUGUCACUAUUAUUAUUUCAUAUAUCUUUUAUGUGACACUUAUCCCUGUAUGAAGAGUUAGAUAUAAUGUUCUCAAUUAUACAUGCAAUGAUAGAUGCUCAAUCUCAUAUUAUAUUCUGUAAUCAUUAGUAAUGAUUGCUAAUCCCUUCCCAGUGGUAAAAAUAUAAAUAACGAUACCUGGAAUACUUCCCGGUUAAAAUGCUACAUCGUUAUUAAUCUGUGCGCUUGCAGAUCCAAUUCAUUAUUUAUUUAGAAGAGCAAUUGCAUAUUUCAACACCGCGUCUCUUAUAUCAUGCUGGGGAUGACAACUUGGCUUAAGUGGUGUGAGGGAUAGGUUUGGCAUUUUUGGCACCGUUGCUAGAUUUAGAACUUAGUCUACUUUUAGUAAUGAUGUUAAGAAUACCCAACAAGCAUUUUUGGCGCCGUUGCCGGGGAAGGUUGAUUACUAAUCAGGAAUGGAAUAAAAAGAUUUUGAGUUAUCAUUCGCAUCACUAAUAUGAUUGAGCUUAUCUAUUCUAUCAUACAGUUUUACCCCGAUAUUUUUCUAUUUUAUCUUAUGCAGGGGAAUGUAUGAAUAGAAGACAUCUUCCAGGAAAUUUUGUUGACAAUCCUGAAGCAUUAUUCAAGAAGAUGAGAGCCAAGCUAAAGAAAUCAUCAACACUUCACGAAGAAGCUUCAUCCAAUCAAGAAGAUCACCGGAACUUGUCUUCAGAGUUCGAAGCCAUGGCGAACAAAUCAAUCCGUGAGUUCUCAGCUCCCACUACGGACAACAUCCGCACUGGACCUGCUGCAGAGAUCGAUGGUAACUUUGAGCUCAAGCCUGGACUUAUCAACAUGGUGCAAUCCAACCAGUUCUGUGGGAAGGCACACGAAGAUGCUAGUGCUCAUUUACAACACUUCCUAGAGAUUUGCAACACAUUCACCAUAGCAGGAGUUUCCAAAGACGCUAUACUACUUCGCCUCUUCCCAUUCUCACUGUUAGGAAGAGCGAAGCAGUGGUUCUACGCUACAAAGCAGAAGAAUACUACGUGGGCACUCUGCUCAACAAACUUCCUGGCUAAGUUCUUUCCCAUGGGCAAGACCAAUGCUCUCCGUGGGAAGAUUACAAGUUUUCAGCAACAAAAUGAUGAAUCUGUUUCAGAAGCAUGGGAGCGCUUUCAAGACUACAUCCUAGAAUGUCCCCAUCAUGGAAUGGAGAGUUGGCUACUGAUGCAGACAUUCUAUCAUGGGCUCAGCAACAGUGCCCGAGAGACCAUGGAUGCUGCAGCUGGAGGAGCAUUCUUAUCACUUACUAUACCACAAGCCACAGCUCUUGUGGAGAAGAUGGCGUCCAACCAAAGCUGGAAUGAAGAGAGGACCCAGACACGCAAGAGAGGUGGAGGUAUGCAUCAGCUGAAGGAGGUAGACAUGCUGUCUGCAAAGCUAGACCUGCUCAUAAAGAAGCUCGACGAUAGAGCUGGAGACAAGAAAGAAGAUAUGCACAUCUACGACUCUCACAUGACUUGUGAGGAGUGUGGAGACACUGGACACUCAGGCAACCACUGCCCUGAGAUGCUUGAGGAUGUGAACUACAUCAACAACAACAACAACUACUACUACAACCGUCCUCAACAAAAUCAAGGUUGGAAUCAACAGAGGCCUAACUACUCAGGUAAUUAUCAAGGUAACAAUUCUUACAACAAUAAUAAUAAUUUUCCACCUUUGAGAGAGUUAGUGUCUAAUCAAGGAAAGCUAAUGGAUAAUCUAUCUAAGAAAUUGGCGUCUAAUGAUAAAAUGCUAGAAAAUAUAAAUAAUAGAAUGGAUAAUGUCUCUACUGCCAUCAAGAAUCAAAUUAGCUUUAAUAAAAUGAUUGAAUCCCAGUUAAAUCAAAUAGCUGCUGCUGUUCCUACUACUAACCCCGGUAUACCAUCACAACCGGAAGGAUUAGAAUCUGCAAAUCUUAUAGACGUGUUUGAUGCAGGUAAUUGGAGUAACCCCGUCACUGAAUUUUGUACUGACCGUCUGCCGGUCAAGAGAGGCGAUCCAGGACGCCCCGUCAUCCCGAUCUCCAUCGGCAUGGUGGACGUUCCAGAAGCACACUGUGACUUUGGCUCUAGCGUCAACAUUAUACCCAGGGUACUCUAUGAGAAAUUCUUUACAUAUCCUUUAUUAGAGACAACCAUGUGUUUGCAGUUUGCAGAUCAGACGAUAACUUUUCCAAAAGGAAUAGUGAGGAACCUUUGUGUCCGAGUUGGUACCUUGUAUGCCCCAGCAGACUUCGUAGUGGUAGAGACCGGAAAUGAUGAGAGAGCACCUAUCAUCCUAGGAAGGCCAUUUUUGAACACCACGGGAGCUAUCAUCUACGCCAGUGCUGCCAAGAUCAGUUUCUACGUCAAAGGGAAGAAGGAUACAUUUUUCUUCAAGAACAAGACUACACAAAUUCCAGAUCAAUCCAGACGUGAAUCAAGGAAGAGGACCAACAGGAGAAACAGGAACAAGCAAGUGUGGACCGAGUCAGCUAAGAUGGUCACUGUAGUCCAUGGAGGCCAAGAUCACCAACUUAAGUCACCGUUUUUGACCAAGAAGGACGACCCAGGAAUGCCAAGCAUUUACUGCUCCAUAAAUGGAUACAACUUCUACAAGACGAUUUUCGACACCGGAUCGGGCGUCAACAUAAUGGCCGCAAUCACCUAUCGGCUCUUGUUCGGGACCAUGCCACUAAGACCAACAUACAUUCAGCUCCAGAUGGCAGAUCAGACAUUUUGAGAAGUUCAAGGAAUAGUAUCUGAUGUCCCAGUCAAAAUAGACGAUCACUUUGUCUACACAGACUUUCAAGUUGUUGACAUGGGAGAAGAAGAGUACGAUCCACCCAUCAUCCUUGGAAGACCGUUCCUCAGCACCGUUAAAGCAAUUAUCUACAUUGGAACCGGAGAAGUCCAUAUGCACUUCCCCUCAGAGAAGGUACGCCGUUUUUUACUGACCCUAACUAUAUCAUUGAAGAAUCUAAGCAGGUCAGAAAGAGACGCAACCGCAACCAGAGAAGGCAGAUCAUCAAGGACGGAUGGGCAGACUAUGAAGGAGAAGUUGUAAGGUCAGAAGACUUGGAGUUUAAACAGAAUUAUCCAGAGGAGAUUGAAGCACCGAGUUAGGUAUGGAAAAUGAAGAUAACUAUACAAGAAGAGGAGGCACUGCCGGAAGUACCGACUACGCCACCCAACGAACCUCAGGACGAUUAAGAAAUUGGAGAGUCCCGUUCGGAGGACUUAAAAAUACCGAACGCCUUGCCAAGAGGUAAACUUGGUAGUUAUCCUUUCCAUUACAAUUAUUUCAAAUUAUUUCAACUAGUUUACUAAGUAAUCAUGUUCAUGCUAUCUUAAAAAGAAAAUAAAAAUAUGAAAAACACUAAGCUCCAUGUGAGUAUACGAGUGGCAUAAAACCCAUUAGUACAUUCACUGUGGUGGCAUAAAAAUAAAAAUAAAUAUUUUUCUGCUUUAUAAAACAAAAAUAUAAAAACAGGGAGUAACAAUUAUUAAGGAGUCUCAAGAUAAUAAAGGCUAGAUAUUUAUGCUAACACUUAAUCAGUUCCACAAGCUUUGUUGUCUAUUUGAGCUCCACAGAAUUUAAGAAGACUAGCAGACGGAGGACAUUCUAAUCGCUGUCAGAAUGCUGCUGACUUUCAAAUACACCUCUGCCACCUGCUAGCUACAUUAAGAGAAAUUACGUCAAAAUUCAGCUUGGGGGAGAGCACCCCCAUUUACAUCGAUAAGUAUUUCUAUCUAUCUUUAUACUUAUAUUAUUUUAGAAUAUUAAAAUACAUAUAAACUAUGGGAAAACCAAAUAAAGAUUUUAUGCUUAUAUAUGUCUUUUGCUUAGUGUGUUUAAUAAAUAAAUAAAGUGGCUAUUUUAAUCUGUAUCUAAACAAAAACUUAAGCAUGGAUAUGAUAAAUAGUUGCUCUGUCUAAUUUGCAAAUUUUAAGUUCUCUCUCAAGUUUAGAUAUAACUGUUAUAAUUUAAAGCUUGCCCUAGACCUAAACUUGUGGGAUGAAAACUUGAUCUGAAGUCUAAGUUGUUAACGGAUACGAUAUAGGAAGGUUGAGCUGCUGUUUAUCUGUUCCUAGAGAUUCUAGAAUUCUGGAGAAUUUUAUCUUUGAAAAUCUUUAAAAUGUUGCAUGAUGAGUUCCUGUAUGAUGAGAGCUUAAAUUCCUACCACAGCCAUAUAUACAUGCUUGCUAGACUUUGAGCCACACAUUUAUUAUUUACUGCUUAUGAGCAUUGAGUGUGGUCAAGCUGUGUAGACCCUUAGGAGCUUGUCAUGUGGUUAAAUCAAGAUUUCACUGGCACGUUCACUCAUAUAUGCUACUUCUACUCCGGAAGUACCAUCCACAUAUAUCCAUCCAUUUCCAUCUCCAGAAUCACCCAAAAAUAUUCUGCUCCUAAUCCGGGAGAGAAUAACCAAAAAUAUUUUUGUUUCCCCUUGUGAAAUAAAUGCUCAAGUUAUCUUGUUACUACCACUUGCUAUAUUAUCUCAAGAGAUGAGUGCUCUAAAAAAAGAAGAAAAUAAAAAAAUAAUACGAGGAAAUAAAAAGUUGCAAGUGCUCGGAACCUCGAAAGAAAAGAAAGAGUGAGACGAGAGGUAAAAAUGGACAAGUGACCGACAGUAGAAUUAGGGGUGCAAGAUACCCACCUGAGAGACAAGAAAAAGAAGAGCAUCUCAUUCUCCUCAUAAAGUUUCAAAAGCAAGGAAGGUAUGUAUCCCCUCAAAAGAGCAAAGUAGAAUUAGACUUCCACCACCAUUGUUUUCACCAUUGUUAUCACCAUCAUCACCAUACACCAUUCAUUCGCCACACAUGCACAUCUUGAUUUGGCUUAUUGAUUUGUUUCUUUGGAUCCAUGGUUUGACUAUGCAAUAAAUGUCUUGUGAGUAUGUAUACUUUAUCUCCCACCUAUGAGCUCCAAAUAUUAAAGCCUUAUUAGAGUAGGGUGAGAGAGAAGGAAAUGUCACUAUGCCUUAUACCACAAAUACUACAUAUCUUGAGAGAAGGCAUAUACCAUUAAUGCCUUGGUAAGGAUCUAAAAAUACCACAAAAGAGAGAUCUGAGAGAAUCAUACAAGGAAUCUCUGAGUUUUAUUUGAAAAUCUGCAAAAACCCCAGAGCUAUAGCUGAUCAAGAAUAAGAGACAUGGCACUUGGCUAGAGUGUUCUAUCUUUUAACCACUCAAGACAGAAGUGACAGUUACAAGUCCCAUGGUGGAGGUAAAGUAAGUAAGUUUUAAGUCUUGAUAGUUUACUCUAACUCAGAGAUGAGAUCUUAUUUAAAAGCAUGUGUACCGUCUAUUUUUUUAAAAAUAUUGCAACAACUUAUGAUCCAUAGGUGAGUCUAUCCUUGCUCAGGAACGAGCAAGAGGUAAGCUUGGGGGAGUUUGUUGACGGUCCUUAAGUAUCAAAUUUAAUUAUCAAAUAAAAAAAGAAAAGGAUCCAAAUGAAAUUAAGAUCUAGACUUAGGGUUUUAUCUGACAGAAUUCCACGAGUUUUGGUGUUUGUCUAUUUCUGCAGGGGGUUAUCAGGAAAUACGGAAGAAAGGCCCACAUGUCGUGAUUACGUAAAGAUAUUAACGUGCUGCGCAAUUAUCUUACAUCUAGAAGACUCCAGAAGCCACGAGACCGAAGUGGAGGCGAAACGGGGCCAGACCCUGGGCGGCCGCCCAGUUGGUCAGGGCGCCCGCCCACCUCCUGAGUCCAAUCAGGACUCUGCUUUGCGGGAGAUCUCCACCGACCUAAAGGAUGAAUCUAAACCAUACAAUCUAUGUCGGUUUGAUCCAAGGGCCCAUAUUCACUUGAAGGGACUAUAAAACCAGACCCCCUG
rnacentral:lncRNA from 1 species